rnacentral:lncRNA from 1 species
AGGCCCCUUUCAUGAAUUUUUCCUCUGACCAGGGUAGCAACUCCUUUAGUUGCUCAGACUUCAGCUGGGAGAAUGAUAUCAAGACCCCUGACAUAACUUCUGUGCUUGCAUCCAUUCCCACCUCAACAGAGGUCAAUGAAUCUGCAUUUCUCCAGAACAAUGGCAUCAAUUCAACGGUACCUCCUGUGAUGGGUGAUGCUAAUGUUGAUCUUGCCGACUUGGAGCCAUACAUGAAGUUCCUGAUGGACGAUGGUUCAGAUGAGUCAAUUGACAGCAUUCUAAGCUGUGAUGUACCCCAGGAUGUGGUCGGCAACAUGGGCCUUUGGACCUUUGAUGACAUGCCCUUGUCUGCUGGUUUCUACUGAGGGAAUCGAGGUCGCUGGGUGCCUGUAUAUAUAGACAAAGGUUAGGCAUAUACAAUGCUGGAAAUAAACUCAUUGUUAUGCACUUCAAUUUCCAUUUGAUUGAUCACUAUCCUUUAUCUUGUUUCAGGAAUAAGUAUUCAGGACAUCAACAAGUGCUUGUGUCUGGUGCCUCUAGAAUUGAGCAGUAGCGAUGUCAGUCUAUGGUUAUGUCUAGCUUAAAUGGUCAGGUGACUGAGGUCUUUUGCAAUAGACCUCUGUCUUGUGCCCCCAGACUAUAUUAUAUCUAUAUAUGAGACCAGUAUGUGAUGGGGAACUGCUUAUUUUGUAUUCAUGUUUCUACCUUAUUGUAAUUGCUACAAGAGGCUGUAAACCUUUUAAAUUUGAAGCCAGUGUUUGUUAUGUUGUGCUUAGUUUUUCUAACACACUAGUUCAUCAUUUGCUGCAAUUCUAAGGACUGUUGGUGUAUGUUGCCAUGGCUGUUAGGGUAGGUGACAUGGCAUAAACAUAAGGUAUCAUGUUGGGCCAUCAUCCUCCAAAGUUUUUCAAAGUAUAGCUUUACUUGUAACAGUGUUCUAGCACAAGUUGCAGAUACUUGCUUGGGAAAACAGCUUGUGGCUCAAGUGGUAUUGGACUAGUCUGCUCUUUUAUGCAAAUACAUCUUGCGUUCCUGAUGCACCAAACUCUUUAGCUACCUACCUUCCCACACCUGCCUCAAAUGUGCAUGGCUUGGGGUCAUGUCUGGUUGCCCUGCACUGCAUAACAAAAUCCUGUUUUUGUUAGGUGAAAUCUUAACCGCUCUUGGAUUUUGAAGUAGAGUAGACUAGAGAAUUCUGUUGAAAAGGGAGAGUGGACUGUAGAGACUCUUGCUUUGUACAAAUGAGAAUUGCAUGCUUGAUACUGCGAUAUCUGAUUUGAAAUUUUUUUCUGCUUCCAUUGGUCAUUAUGCGCACGUUCUUGUUUUGACCCUGUUCGGUAGGCUCUGCUUUUGCACUGCACGGAAGGGAGUAGCUGAUGCCGAAAUCUAGACGUGUGAAUCAAAUGAUCUGGUGUGUAAGUUUUGUAAGACUCAGACGAAGCCCUGGAUAAGUGCACGGCAGCGAGGCGGUUCCUCCACCCAAAUCAGCUAAAAAGCUUUGGAAGUCCAGAAAUCGGCUCGCAGCCCAGAGAAUGCAGCAGAAACUUCAAUGUUCAUGACACCAGUUCUGAUCUCAGAUUUGAUAAGAUUCAGAAAUGAAGCAGCAUCCGCUGCAUUCUCUGAUGCCUCCCAUGCCUAGUCCUGCUACAAGCAUCUAAAGGCGAUGGUGGCCAAAUAAACCUCAAGUCAGCUAGCGUUUCGGAAAUGUCAAGUCAAGCAUCCCUUCCUACUCUUUAUAGGAAGAUGUAAUGGACCAUUCGACAGUACCUGAUCUGGUGCCACAAUCACACACAACUUGAAUGCUUGAUCAUGUUGUACUCGACAGAUGAAGACCACAUCAUGUUGAUUGUGACUUGUACUGAAGCAUACAACCCCCGCAUUGCUUGACAAAUGAAAUGUUGGGUCGAUUCCCAUCCUCUCGCUCAACCCCCAUUGGAGUUAAUCCCUCCCAGCACCCUAUUCGGUAGAGCAAGCUAAAAAUCCCUCCCAAGACUGAGUUCUAUACAUGAAACACUAUAAAACAUACCAAUGAAGAAGACUUGGCACGCAACACGAGAAGCAAGGUAACAACAAAGCAUAAUGAAUAAAUUUCCAGGAUCCCAUCGUGACAUGCCAAAACAAGUUUCGUGCAAUUGAUUAAUUCACACGGCUGCUAUUUUCACAAGAAAAUUAAUGGGAAACACUUCUUAUCAUAAGUCUGAAAGAACGCAUUAGUCAGACCAAUCGUGAAACGUUGAUGUUUUCUCAUCACACGGCUGAGAUUGCUUUCAUAAAUCCGUGAUGUGUUUCCAAACUCAGCUGAUUUCUUGCCACGUCCCACCUAUAAUCUCUCCCUCAUUAAUCUUACCUUCCUCAAUCACCCCACCCGACCCUUGUCCCCAUCUCUCCUCCCCUUGUCGCCCAGAUCUCGCCGCCAUGAACCAGCCACCCCGCAGCGGCCGUGAGAUCCAAUGCGCCAGUUCGCCGUCCCAUCCGGGGGUUGUGCCUGGCAAUAUCCACAACGUGCACGAGCGAGCUGCCAACCCCCGUCGCCCUCCUGGUCAUCUGCACGUUGCUUAGCAUGCGAUUGCCAGGCACAACCCCCGGAUCAACGUGCACGAUUGAUCCAAUAGUUUUUGAUGCAUAUAUUUUCAACUGUGUAAUUAGCAUUUUCAUUCAGAGCAUUGCUUGAAAACAUCCAUGCUUCCAGUAAAGAUCAUUGCUUAGCAUUCAUGCUACCUAGGUGCCUGUUGCAUGCUUGUCAUGUAUACAAUUAUAGUUGUGCAACCUGAUUUUAGUAUAUUUCUUUCUAGUCUGUCUGGAGAUUUUUAUUUGUCUUUUUUAAAAACACACUUCAUUAUUUAGCUUUUUCCCAAUCUAACAGUAAUGCAUACAUAUUAAACUGUUGAUGCCUCCUUCCAUAUUUAUUUUUCGUUCUAUAUCUGUCCUCGGGUGCUAUCUUCACCGUCGUUUUAACACUGUGCUUCCAUACUUAACAAAAUUAGGAUGACACGAUUCCCAAUCCAUUUGCUAGUGUAUGUAAUGUUUGCUUCCGAUCUACUUUAUUAUUGCUUCAAAAUGCCAAAUUAUAUGCUUCCAACAUAUUAUUGUUCUUCCACACUAGCUCGCCUAACAUACCUUGCUUAUAUGCUUCCAGUCAAACCUUUUAUUGCUUCUGUUGGACGGUGAUUUGCUUCAAGCAAUCAGGGGUGAUUUUGACGGCGUUGGAAGCACUACCUCAUCGGAAGCAAAAUUUACUUAUGUUUGAAGCACCACUGCAUGGACGAGUGACUUCUUCAAGCCGACGGAAGCUGACUGAUGACUUGAUCGUGCGCCAGAUACAACGACUUGAUGGCCACAUUGUCACAUCCCGUACAACAUCAAGUAUGAAGCUAGUAGGAGCAAUUACCAGUUUGUCUGAGCUUGUAUUCAAUUUAAAUUGUAUGUGCACGGAACUAUGGAAGCAUAAUUUGCUGCCAAUGUAAGCAAACUGAGCACAGUUUUAUAACUUAUUCCCAGACAUCCCUGUUUUGUUUCAAGCAUGUGUCCUCAUGUUAAUGGUUCUCUUCUACAGAAAGGUCUUAUUGGUUAAAAACAAUUAUCUAUUCGAUGCAAGCAAUUUUUUUGAUGUUUGUAUGUGAAAAAAGGAACAAUAUAUAAGUACAAGUUUCUAUCAAAUCACAGCAAAUUUGAUUCUUCAAGGAAGCCAAUUCACUAGUCGGUGGAAGCAAAAUAUUUAAAUAACACAUAUAAACCAGAAGCAAGUUUGAAUAAUAGUGGAAAUAAUAUUUGCUUCGGAAGACCCUCAAUUUUUUUAUUUUUUAUUUUUGCUUCCGAGCAAACCUGUAUGGGGACCAGGAGCGAUGAGCUUAAUUUGGGGGCUAAUUCCACGCAUGUACAAUUAAAACUGGAUUGGCGUGAUUUACGGAAGCAUCAUGGAAUCAAAUCGCUAUUAAUGCAUAUCCAAACUAAUUAACCACCUGCACCCUCCUCUAUGUGUGGGUCUAACUUGCAAAUCGGACGCUUAGCUUGCUACUAAUCCGAUGGUCUAUGACUAGUCUGAUAGGAUGCAAACAUCAGUAGUCUGAUGCCUAGUACUGCCCAAAAUUAAUCUACUCCCUUCGAUCCAUAUUAAUUGACGUUGUUUUAGUACAACCUUUGGUCCAAAGUUAUACUAAACCAGCGUCAAUUAAUUUGGAUCGGAGGGAGUAGUAUUAUUUAUGUUCGGCCACAAGAAGGCUCGAAGAAGAAUUACUUCAACAUCUCACUCGUAGCAGCUUUGUUCUCAUCUUCUGUUUCUCUAGAUGCUCUUCAACUAUCCUUCAUCUGAUUGCACACAUGCGGAAGGAUUAGUAGUAAUCAAUGUACGUGAAGAAAAUAAACAAAAUAAAUAGUUAAAAAAUGAGUUCAAGACUACACACCUACAACCAUGCAUAUCAACAUCUUAAGAUAGGCACACUAAGAAAAGUUCAUGAUGUAGAAGGGAGCCAUGAGAAAUGCAUUUGCUUGGUGCAGUAAUCUUGGUAAACCAUAUGCUUUAGUUUCUUUGAAAAAGGACACUUUAUUCACCCAUAAUAAAGCAUCAAGGGGAUACAAAACACCAUGAGUGCAUACCCGGCCUCUGCAUAGUUCGGAUGCACACAAAUGAUCAUACCAGCAAAUAGCAAAUCCAUAGAAGACCAACGGUAUGCCUAGGCGGAUGAAAAAGAAGAGCAACAUUAAUCCUCAUCGAGCAGGUGCAGCCACCAAAAAUAAUGUAAGCGCAUAUGGUACGGACGUGAUACCCAUGCAAGCUGUAAAUCAUGCACACACCAAGCAAAUAGCCAGUCUCGGAGCCAGUGACAUGUGCGAGAGAAGACGCAACCACCGAAAUCUCACCUUGGAGACAAUCUGGUAAUCCCAUGAUUCCAUCGUCACUGUUUGUCAAUGGUAAAUCUAGGUACCUAGACAACACAAAACGAGUUGUCACUGUCCCUCUAAGACCACGAUGUCUCAACGAAGGAUAGCCACUACUUGCCGCCACGCUCUGCCUCGAUUGGCUCAGCCACCCAAAACAGGGCACCAACAAGACAUGGAAGCAUCCAUCGCAACACAAACCUGCAAUCAUCCACACCCCCUAAUCAAUGCAACUCCAAGACGAUGCUCCCAGGAGAGAGAAACAACACCAAUGAUGCCAUCGUCCAAUCCAAUAUCACCCGGAGCCUAGGGUUUUCCUCGAAGCAGCCGAUAGGUAGGCAUCAACGGCAUCGACAUGACCGCUUCAACAAGGUAACAACAUGCAAAGGCAUCGCAUGUCGGCCGAGACAAAAUCACGCCUCCACAACAUGUAGCGACCGAGCCACAAGCCGUGGACUAGCCGGGAGCCGUCGAGCCCAGCUGCCGCAAGCCCAAGUCUGCGGACACACAAAUUUCCUCUCGCAUCCGACGCAGAUAGGGGGGACCAGUCUGCGGACACGGGUGCGGGAGGCGGCCAUUCAACGCUGCCCACAUACAUUUCAAUCCACAUUUGAACUAACUGAACGAAAUUCAUGUGAACUGGACGAUAUUCAUCAAAGUUCAGAUAAAAAAUAACAUAAAUCAUCAAUACAUAGCAUGCAUGUAGUACAACAAUGUCUCAAAUUCGACUAGAUUAACCGGAUGUCCAACAAGUUUUUCAUCAACAGAUCAUACCCUCCCACACAUUCUCCCCCUUCAGCUUCAUCCAGCAGUCUGUGUACGUAAAUGGCCUUUCCUCUGUCCUGUGGUACAUCACGAUAGCGUGUGCAUGCUACAUAAUGUGUAGACCAACAUUGGGUGAACGAAUCAAUCAACAAUUUGAGCAAGUGGAAGCAAAAAACUUACAUUCUCGUUCUCUGCCGCAUGCAAUGGCCACCUUGCCUCCAGUUGACGAACCAUGUUACAAAACUUGGUGAUGCUGGUUUGGAUAUCGUACCAGCGAUACGUUAACGACCUCACAUUGCGUUCUUGAAUGAUGUACAUGUCAUGGGGUGCAAUGUGCUUUCGUACGUGAAAUGAUUCAUGCACUUGCUGCCAGAAGGUCCCCCUUCUGCUGUUGCUUACGAAAUCCGCGGAUACGGCCAACCACGCAUCACACAACAACUCAUCCUCCUUGGUAGAGUAGCACGCCAUCCUUCGUACUCUAAAAAACGACAUAGCGUUAGAAAAUAAGCUCACUGGCAUUUGACCGAACACCUACGAGCAUGGUGUCCGCCAUGGAGGCCAUCUACAGGGGGCAAGUACCUGGGUGCAAACGGCUCCAGAGUGGACAUCGCCGUCGUAGAGGCGAGCGGGCGCAUCAGUGCUGGUUGCAAACCUCCGUCAAUGCCUCUGUGGCGGUCGGAGACGGCGGAGGUGGAGGGUGUGGAUGCAAAGCAAGGGGGAGAAGGGGCGGAGUGAAAGGAAAUAAGACCAGGAGGGGGGAUUGGGCGGGCUGGGUGGUGUCAGAGCCCUAUGUAUCUGUUGUCCGGACCGCUCGGCGGGCUGGUACAACCCCGCGUUGGAUGGCUUCGGCGGUCCGGACGUAUGCGGGUGGUUUGAGGGUCGGCAUUGGAGAUGCCCUAACAGUGUUGUAGCACGAUCGAGUUGCAGAUACUUGCUUGGGAUAACAGCUUGUUCUCAAGUGGCAUUGUACUAGUUUGCUCUUUUGUCGAAAUACAUCUUGUGUUCAAGUGGAAAGUAGAGAAUAGCAAUCGUCGGUCCUUCAGUUGCACCAAACUCUUGAGUUUCCAUUGUCACACCUGCCUUGAAUGUACAUGGCUUAGGGACUUUGUCUGGUUGCUCUAUAUUGCAUAACCAAUUCCUGUUUUUGUUAGGUACAAUCUUUUCCACUCUUGGGUUUUGAAGUAGGGAGUAGAAUGUAGACUUAUGUGAGAAAGGGAGAUUGGACUGUAGAGACUCGUGCUUUACAAAUGAGAAUUGCAUGCUAUUGAGAUAUCCAAUUGGAACAUUUUCUAUUUCCAAUGGUCAUUACGCUCACGUUCUUCUUUUGACCCUGUUCCGUAGAAGAAUCCAAUUGGAAAUUUGUUUCACAGUUUGAAUAAAAGUCUAGAGGUUGCACGAUGUUGACCCGGAUGGUAAUGUACUUAAAAAAAACAUGUUAUUGUUCAAUUUUGUUUUCCUAAAGUUGCAAAAGCUGGAAGGAACAGGCUCUGCUUUUGCGUUGCAGGAGAGGGAAUAGCUGUACCUCGGCCGAAGACUAAGCAUGUGAAUCGAAUGACCCGACGUCUAAGCUUUGUCAAACUAAGGGAAAGUCAAGGAUAAGUGCUCGGCAGCGAGUCAGUUCCUCUCCCAAAGUCAUCCCAAGUGCUUUAGAUAUCGAGAUCAUUGCUUCCGAGGGGUAUCCAACACAUUUGCCAAAAUCAGCCCGCAGCCCAGAGAUUUCGCUAGAAACUUCAUGUAUUCCUCCAGCAGUCCUGAUCUCAGAUUUGAUAGGAUUCAGAAAUAAAACAGCAUCCGCUGCAUUCUCCGAUGCCUCCCAUGCCUUAGCCCUGCUACAAGCAUGGAAUGGUAAUGGCUGCGAAAUAAACCUCAAGUAAGCUAGCGUUUCGGAAAUCUUAAGUCAAGCAUCCCUUCCCACUCUUUAUAGGAAGAGUACUGGACCAUUUGACACUACCUUGUCUGGUGCCACAAUCACACACAACUUGAAUGCUUGAUCAUGUUGUACUCAGACUGAUGAAUACCCCAUCAUGUUGAUUGUGACUUGUACUGAAGCUUACAACCCCCGCAUUGCUUGACAAAUGAAAUGUUGGGUCGAUCCUCAUCCUCUCGCUCAACCCCCAUUGGAGUUUUUUUUUUUAAUCCCUCCGAGUACCAUAUUUGGUAGAGCAAGCUUAAAAUCCCUCCCAACACUGAGUUCUAUACAUGAAACACUACAAAACAUACCAACGAAGAAGACUGUUGGCAUGCAGCAUGAGAAGCAAGGUAACACCAAAGCACCAUGAAUAAAUUUCUAGGAUCCCAUUGCGACAUGGCAAAACAAGUUGGAUGCAAUUAAUUAAUUCACACGGCUGCUAUUUCCACAACAAAAUUAACAAAAAUGCUAGACUACUCUCUCUGAUCCAUAUUAAUUGACGUUGUUUUAGUACAACUUUAGUACAGAGUUAUACUAGAGCAGCGUCAACUAAUUUGGAUCGGAGGGAGUACUAUUGUUUAUGUUCGGCCACAAGAAGGCUGGAAGAAGAAUUACUUCAAUAUCUCACUCGUAGCAGCUUCGUCCUCACCUUCUAUUUUCUAGAUUCUUCAAUUAUCCUUCUUCUGGCUGCACAUAUGCGGAAGGUUUAAUAGUAAUCGAUGGACGUGAAAAAAUAAACAAAAUAAGUAGUUAAAAAAUGAGUCCAAGACAACAGACCUACAACCAUGCAUACCAACAUCUUAAGAUAGGUGAACCAACCUGUGGUCGGAUGGUUAGAAGGACAGUUGCAUCCCAGGCCCACCAGGGUUCAAAUCCUGGCACUUGCAAUUUAUCCUGGAUUUAUUUCAAGAUUUUCGGUGAUUUGUGUUCAAUGGAGGAGAUGUUUCCGUCGACUACGAGGCACCUACGGUGACUUCGUAAAAUCUCACGAUGACAUGCCUGCUCAGUCUCUCGAAGGUGCUCAUAGGGGUAGGGUGUGUGUGUUCGUUCAUAGGGGUGAGUGUAUUCGCAUUUGUAUGAGUGCUUACAUCUGUACCGUGUUAAAAAAAGAUAGGCAUGUAAAACGUAUGUUUUGGGCAACUGCUCGACACCCUAAUAGGGUGCGGCUAUCUCAUUAUAUAUAAGUACCAAAGGGUACAAAUACAAGGUGUAUACACAAGUCUACAUAUAAACAAGUCUAUGUAUACAUAUACAGUCUAACACCCUCCCUCAAUCUUAAUUGUGGCCUGAGGUACAAACCACGUUAAGAUUGCGCCUGCAGCCUACAAACCGUGGUUGUGGAAGAGGCUUCGCGAAGAUGUCAGCAAGUUGAUCUUUUGACGAGAUGAACUUGAUGCUAAGUAGCUUCCGUGCAACACGUUCUCGAACGAAGUGAUAGUCAACCUCAAUGUGUUUCGUCCGAGCAUGAAACACCGGAUUAGAUGACAGAUAUGUAGCACCAAUGUUAUGACACCAAAGCACCGGAGGAUGAGCUGAAGAGACUCUCAACUCUCUCAACAAAGACUGAACCCAAAUGAUCUUAGCCGUCGCAUCAGCAAUUGCUUUGUACUCAGUUUCCGUACUGCUGCGAGACACCGUAGCCUGCUUGCGAGCAUUCCAAGCGAUCAAGUUAGAACCAAGAAACACUGCAUACCCCCCCCCCCUCGUGGAUCGCCGGUCAUCUGGACUACCAGCCCAGUCUGCAUCUGAAAAGGCUAAGAUCUCAUAAGACGGCGCAGGCUGGAGAAGCAAACCAUAAGAAGCAAUGAGGCAGAUAUAACGCAGGAUACGCUUCACAGCUGACCAAUGAGAUGUCCUGGGUGCAUGGAGAAACUGACAGACACGGUUGACUGCAUAAGAGACGUCUGGUCUGGUGAUAGUAAGAUACUGCAGACCACCAACAAGACUGCGGUACUCAGUAGCAUCAUGAGAUGAAAGAGGGUCUCCAUCAAGAGCAGACAACCGAUCAGUGACCGACAUUGGAGUGCUGGCAGGUUUACACUUCAGCAUUCCAGCAUGACGCAACAAGUCCGAAGAAUACUUCUUCUGAGUAAGAGUUAACCCAGCAGAAGACCGUGACACCUCCAGACCAAGGAAGAAGUGCAGAGCACCUAGAUCCUUGACAGCAAAAUCACCACUCAAAGCAGCGACAAGACGAUCUGCAGCAACAUCUGAGGAACUGAUGAGUAUGCUAUCAUCAACAUAAACCAGUAGAUACAUCAUAACCUCGGGAUGCUAAAGAAGAAACAGGGUGUCAGCAGUGGAGGGAAUAAACCCAAGCGCCCAGAGAACAGAGCCGAGGCAUGCAUGCCAUGCACGGGGAGCCUGCUUGAGCCCAUAGAGCGCCUUAACAAGACGACAUAGAUGGUGAGGACAUGCCGGAUCCACAAACCCUAGUGGCUGACGCAUAUAAACCUCCUCCUCCAGAACUCCAUGCAAGAAAGCGUUCUGCACAUCAAGCUGACGAAGAAACCAUCCUCGAGUAACAACAAGAGAUAGCAGCAAACGAAUGGUAGUGGGCUUGAUAACUGGACUGAAUGUGUCUUCAUAAUCAAGACCAUACCUCUGUUUGAAACCCUUAGCAACUAGCCUUGCCUUGUAGCGUUCAAUGAAACCAUCAGCAUGUCUCUUGACUUAAAAAACCCACUUAGAAUCAAUGAUGUUAACCCCAGAUACUGGAGGAACAAGCUGCCAAGUGUCAUUCUUCAGCAAUGCCUAAAACUCCUGUUCCAUCGCGGCACGCCAGUGAGGAAUGGUCAGUGCAGCCUGAAAAUGGCGAGGCUCAGCAGUAGGAUCCUCAGCAAAAUGAGCCAUUGUGACGCCCCCGAUUUGACCGCACACUAAUCAUGCAUGCAAAUGUGUACGAUCAAGAUCAGGGACUCACGGGAAGAUAUCACAACACAACUCUACAACAUAAAUAAGUUAUACAAGCAUCAUAAUACCAGCCAGGGGCCUCGAGGGCUCGAAUACAAGUGCUCGAUCAUAGACGAGUCAGCGGAAGCAACAAUAUUUUAGUACAGAUAUAAUUUAAACAAGAUUGCCUUAAGAAGGCUAGCACAAAAGUAGCAACGAUCGAAAAGGCAAGGCCUCCUGCCUGGGACCUCCUAACUACUCCUCGAAGCUAAACUCCAUGUAGAAUCAUCCCGGGAUCUCUAGCUCCUGGACUCCAGCAUCUGGUUGCGACAACCAGGUAUAGAAAGGGGAAAAGAGGGAGAAAAGCAACCGUGAGUACUCAUCCAAAGUACUCGCAAGCAAGGAGUUACACUACAUAUGCAUGGGUAUAUGUGUAAAGGGCCAUAUCGGUGGACUGAACUGAAUGCCAGAAUAAGAGGGGGAUAGCUAAUCCUGUCGAAGACUACGCUUCUGGCAGCCUCCAUCUUGCAGCAUGUAGAAGCGAGUAGAUUGAAGUCCUCCAAGUAGCACCGCAUAGCAUAAUCCUACCCGGCGAUCCCCUCCUCGUCGCCCUGUUAGAGAGCGAUCACCGGGUUAUAUCUGGCACUUGGAAGGGUGUGUUUUAUUAAGUAUCCAGUUCUAGUUGUCAUAAGGUCAAGGUACAACUCCGGGUCGUCCUUUUACCGAGGGACACGGCUAUUCGAAUAGAUAAACUUCCCUGCAGGGGUGCACCACAUAACCCAACACGCUCGAUCCCAUUUGGCUGGACACACUUUUCUGGGUCAUGCCCGGCCGCGGAAGAUCAACACGUCGCAGCCCCACCUAGGCACAACAGAGAGGUCGGCACGCCGGUCUAAAUCCUAUGGCGCAGGGGUCUGGGCCCAUCGCCCAUUGCACACCUGCAUGUUGCGAGGGCGGCCGGAAGCAGACCUAGCCUAGCAGGCGUUCCAGUCCAAUCCGGCGCGCGCCGCUCCGUCGCUAACGUCACGAAGGCUUCGGCUGAUAACACGACGUCGAGUGCCCAUAACUGUUCCCGCGUAGUUGGUUAGUGCGUAUAGACCAAAUGGCCAGACUUAGAUCAAAUACCAAGAUCUCGUUAAGCGUGUUAAGUAUCCGCGAACGCCGACCAGGGCCAGGCCCACCUCUCUCCUAGGUGGUCUCAACCUGCCCUGUCGCUCAGCCACAAAGUAACAGUCGGGGGCCAUCAGGAACCCAGGCCCACGUCUACCGAGAUGGGGCCACCUGUCCUUUCAGCCCCCUCAUCAGAAUCACUUGCGGGUACUCAACGAGCUGACCCGACUUUAGUCACCACAUGUGUCAUGUAUAUAAAGUAUAUAGUAUAUACCCGUGAUCACCUCCCGAGUGAUCACGGCCCGAUAGUAUAGCAUGGCAGACGGACAAGAAUGUAGGGCCACCGAUGGAAUACUAGCAUCCUAUACUAAGCAUGUAGGAUUGUAGGAAAAGGUAACAACAGUAGUAGCAAGGACAGGCUAUGCAUCAGGAUAGGAUUAACGGAAAGCAGUAACAUGCUACACUACUCUAAUGCAAGCAGUAUAGAGAAGAAUAGGCGAUAUCUGGUGAUCAAGGGGGGGGGGGCUUGCCUGGUUGCUCUGGCAAGAAGGGAUCGUCGUCGAUGUAGUCGAUCACAAGGGUACGAGCAGCGGUCUCAGAGUCUACCGGAAAGAAGUAAAGGAGGGGGAACACAAUAAAUAACAGAGCAAUCAAAGCAUCACAAAGCAUAACAUGGCAAUACGCGGUGCUAGGGGUGACCUAACGUAGUACUAGGCGAUACUGGUGAAGAGGGGAAACAUCCGGGAAAGUAUCCCCGGUGUUUCGCGUUUUCAGACAGACGGUCCGGAGGGGGAAAGUUAUAGAUUCGCUAUGCUAGGGACGCGUGGCGGACGAACGGUGUGCGUAUUCGGAUUCGUCUCGUCGUUCUGAGCAACUUUCAUGUACAAAGUAUUUUCAUCCGAGUUACGGAUUAUUUUCUAUUAAUUUAUAAAGAUUUAAUCAUUUUCUAGAUUUCCUGGUUUUAAUUUAAUUCGAAAUUAAAUAGCUAAAUGCUAGGUGCACCCAGCUCUGCGUACACAGAAGUGUACCAGAGGCUGACAGGUGGGCCAGGGGGUCCCUGUUGACCAGUCAACGUUUGACUGGUCAACAGGGGGUGGGGCCCCCUGUCAUUGGCUGUUACAUUAACUAACUAGUUAAUUUUGUCUAACUAGGUUAUUAGGGUAACAGAUUUUAAUUAGUUUAAUUGAACCUAAUUAAUUAAUUAAUUAGUUAAUUAAAUUAAUUAACUUAAUAUUAAUUAAUUAGUUAAUUAAAUUAAUUAAUAUUUUUAUUUACUUAUUAUCAAUUUUUUUAUUCUUUUUUUAUAUACGUUCUGAGGGGUGCGGCCCCACAUGUCAUAGGGCCAGGGGGACUGGCCCAGUGGUAAGUGGCCCUGGCCAUAGCGGGCACGGGCGCACGGGCGCUAGCCCGACUGGGCACUGGCCAGGCCAGCCACGGCGAGGCUCGCCGGCCGGAGCAGCAGUAGGCAGCGGCUGCGGCGGAGCGGGAGUAAGGGGGCGAGGCCGCGGAGCGAGGGCGGCGAGUGCGGGAAGCGUCGGCGAGCGCGACGCGCGGUUCGGCGGCUCCCGGCAGCAAGCGGAUGGUGCGGUGGCGCGGGCGAGCGCCGGUGUGAGGGCACGGGGAGGAGGAGGAGGACCGGGGUCCUCACCAGCGUUGGUGAGCAGGGGGGGCGGCGAGGCUCGGUGGAGCCUUUGGGGAGGAGGACGAGGAUGCGUCGUCGGCGAGGAGGAGACGAGGAGGACGAGGCGACGAGCGGUGGCGGGGUCCGGUGAGGAGGAGGCCNNNNNNNNNNCUGCGGCGGAGCGGGAGUAAGGGGGCGAGGCCGCGGAGCGAGGGCGGCGAGUGCGGGAAGCGUCGGCGAGCGCGACGCGCGGUUCGGCGGCUCCCGGCAGCAAGCGGAUGGUGCGGUGGCGCGGGCGAGCGCCGGUGUGAGGGCACGGGGAGGAGGAGGAGGACCGGGGUCCUCACAGGCGUUGGUGAGCAGGGUGCGGCGAGGCUCGGUGGAGCCUUUGGGGAGGAGGACGAGGAUGCGUCGUCGGCGAGGAGGAGACGAGGAGGACGAGGCGACGGGCGGUGGCGGGGUCCGGUGAGGAGGAGGCCGUGGCACGGGGACGACGGAGAAGCUGCGGGGCCGAGGCGGCAGCCCUCGGGCGCGGGCGUGCUCACCGGGGCCGCGGGGAGCCGCGGCAGACACGACCGAGACCGCGAAGCGCCGGCACGGCUGUGGUUGCGGAGGCGGGCGCCGGUCGAGGCCGGACAGGGAGGUGAGGGUCGACGAUGGGCGGAGCAGGAGAGAAUGGAGGGAGGAGAGGCUGCGAGGGAGGGUCGGACAUGAGNNNNNNNNNNNNNNNNNNNNNNNNNNNNNNNNNNNNNNNNNNNNNNNNNNNNNNNNNNNNNNNNNNNNNNNNNNNNNNNNNNNNNNNNNNNNNNNNNNNNNNNNNNNNNNNNNNNNNNNNNNNNNNNNNNNNNNNNNNNNNNNNNNNNNNNNNNNNNNNNNNNNNNNNNNNNNNNNNNNNNNNNNNNNNNNNNNNNNNNNNNAGGGGGGUUUCUUUUUGUUUCUUUUGGUUUUUUGUUUAUUUGUGUUUUCUUUUUCUUUGUACUUAUUUUCCUUUUUCGUUUUACCUUAGUUUUUGAUUUAUUAUAGUCUUGUAAAAUACUGUAUUUAACUCCUAAAUUAGUGUCAUGGUCUAGCCCUGUGCCACAAAAAGGUUGGGCCCCCAAAUAAAAUAGUGUAACAAUUUAAUAUUUAUAGAAGGCAUUAUUUCAAUUGUUAUAGCCAAUGUUUUAGUUAUUUUGGAGCAUUUACAUAUUUUAUAAAAAUGUGGCUUCAUCACCAUAAUUACCUAUGCAUUAUAUGUCACUUCUAGAACACUUUAGUUUUGAUUUUCGAAAACUUUUAAUGUUUGCCUAAAAUUCAAAUUUGAUUUUGAAACGUUUUGAUCUAACGCGAGGUUAGCAACGGUAAAAGAGGUGACGUGGCAUCAUUAGCGUAGGUUUACUGUAGCAUAAUUAUCCGGGCGUCACAAUUCUCCUCCAGUACAAGAAAUCUCGUCCCGAGAUUUAAGAGUGGAGUAAGGGGGAAGAAUAGGUUACGAAAUUCUAACGAUUCUUCUCGGUCUUGGUUGCUCUUCUCGAAGAGGUUAAUCCAUUAUGUUGAUGUCUUCAUUUCUCUGCUUCCAGUCAUCAUGAUGAAGUCGGCAUUCUUUCUUCGGGAACUCCAUCGUACUUACGAAAGAAUAAGGGGGUAUUCUGGGAGAAUGGACCUCUGCAAGGUUGACUAUGCGGUCAAUAACAUCGGGGAAGGCGGUGGAAAGUAACUCUCGAAUUGAACUUAAGAAAAUAUCGAGAGGAAAGUAAGGAGGUAUCAUGGAAAGUUUCGAGCGGGUACGCAAUCGCUCGAUGUCUGGAACAGGGCAUGAAAGGGGUUCAAAGCAACGGGGAUAAGUAUUCUGUUUGAUACUAGAAUUGAUGAUCCUCGGAAGGUGGUCGUGAAUUAUAUACAAGGUCACGCGCGAGGAACAACCUUGGGAACCAGUGGUGUACAGGAGAGUCAGGUGUCGAUCCUAUGGAACUGUGGGUUAUGGGCCCACCAUGUGGAUUAAAAGUAGGAGGAAUGGUAACAUCUUGCACGGUCAUGGUAGCAAGGCAUGUCAGAGGGUAGCCUGUCAGUUUUGUUGGCAACAACGUUGGUACCAAGGGCGAGGGACGAAGAGAACCAUUUUCCUGCUCGUUGAAACGAGGCGGACCAAUAGGCAAGGUUCUCGUCCAUCGGUGAUUACCGGAAUGUCAUCAACAAUAGUAACAGGGUCUUACUGACAGAGUGGUACAACAAGGUGCUUCCCUAAGCAGGGAAUUAUCACUGCUCAGCUAAGUCAGAUUACAAGAAACGUUAAUCCAAACAAUGGAAAGGAAAAUGUGAUUAUCAGAUUAAACAGAACAAUGGAAAGGAAAAUGUGUUAAAACACAUAUUUCAGGGGUAUAUCCUUCCCAAUGACAAGCAGAGCAUGAUAUCCAUGAGAGGAUAUAAUGUAGAAAACCCUUUAGGAAAGGGGGGAGAAAUUUCAUGACAUUACCCAUACAAUGGUGUUUGGAUAAUUGAGCAAGAAACAUUUAGCAUUGGGCUUCAAAUGUUCUUGUUGAAAAUCGAAGUACCAUAGACAUGCUUCGAGAUAGCAUUGACAUGGUCAUUAGGUACGAUCAGGCUAUGGAUACACAAAGGAUCCAUCAGGAACAACUUUAUAGAGUAAGUCUUACAAUUUCCUCAUGGAAGAAUAGCUAACCUUGCUAAAAAGGAAAACUUAUAACAAUAGGUCCUCCAGCCAGGUGUGCGAGCCAUGACAUCAUCUUACCGUGUCAUAAAUAGACCAAUGUUAUAACUCUUGGAAAUAUGUUCCAACCAUCAUAUCUGACCGAGAUUCAGAUCUGAUUGGUGUUAGGAUAACUCAGACUUAGGAUGUCUGAGAAGAAAGGUGCAACACAAAUUGAUGGGAUGACAUUGUAAGAUUCUCGGGAAAUGAACUAUGAAAGCAAGUUCCGAAACAAGAGUUCAUCAUUAAACCAAGGAGAGGUGAGGAGGUGACUGAUUGACUCAGCGACAAUCCAUUGAGACUUCCAAAAGAUGGAUUUCCACAACUAUGUGAACAAGGAGAUAACAUUAGCUAGAUCGAAUGACUUAAUGAUGUAUGCUCGAGGAAAACAUACACAGUUAAACAUUGGUUGAAAUGUGCACCCGAAAUAUGGGCUAGGUAGCACGAUCAAUGUUCGAAUGAUGAUUCAUUAAGCCAUAGACGUAGAAUGAAACUAUAGACCAAUAACUUCAAAGCAAUAGGGUUGCUAGAAGUUUAGAAUCUACACAUCACAGACCAUUUGUCGGUAUUUCGUUUAGAAACUACACGGGGACCAAGAAAGAAUGGUGAUGGUGAGAAGUAUCACUGUACCAAGAAUUCUUAAGAGGUGGAGUAAUGCUCACAACAUCCUUGACAUCAAAGAUGGUAAUACUCCACGGUAGAACAUAACAUAAGUUGGAUAGCAGGGAAAUCAAGAUACAACACAAAAUAUGAACAAGUUUGUGUUGGGGGGAGGCAAGAAUGUUGUCGAUGAUAACACAAUUUAUCGAGGGGCAAGGAUGGUAUUUCUUAUCCUAAAUUUCGACACACAACUUGGAAGAAGUCAAAUUGUUGACAAUGAUCACGACAAAUUUGUCGAGAGGUUUUCAAGAAGAUGUAAUUGAUCGACGAUGACAUCAAGUCAAGGGAAUGAUGAAAGCGAAAGGUUAUUGGAACCACGGGUAGGACACAAACUCGAAAUAAAGUUUGCCGUUCAAGGAGAAGUGAUAUGACGAGGAAGAUCGACGCAAGAUUAGCUCACUAUCGAAAUUUGUGCGCUGGGAAGGUCCAGGUAGCACAGUUAAAAUCGGCACGAUAAUGACAUAGCCGAGCAGGCUAGGAAUGACUUGAAGGGUUAUUAAACUCGUAAGCAACAAAAAUUACUUAGAGUUAUUGAAUCGAAGUGCGGAAUUGAUUCACUUAUCGGUGUCCUUGAGGGGUUCUAACAACUCAGAACCCGUUGGAAAAAUGGAAUCGGCAAGAAUAUUUGUUGAUGAAGAACUCAUAAGAAGUUAAGUAGUUCCUUGGCAUUCUCGAGAUACCAGGGGGGUAAUACUCGACGACAGACCAAAGUAGAGGUUGGACAGGGGUAUUGCUCUGCAGAGGACAAGUGCUUAAACUUGCACGAGAAAUGGUAUUUAAAGGAGAACAUGGUCGGAACCACGAUUGCAAAAGGAUCAAUACACAGAUACUAGACGAUAUCAUAUCAAGGAAAUAGUUAUUAUUACAAGAAGCUUCUAUGAUAGUAUCUACAUCGUGUCCAUGGGCAUGAACACAAAGUUCAAGGUCGACUCCCACUUCUCCAAUGCAUACCCUUUCAUUCACUUCUCAUUUUUCGAAGAAGUUGUAAUGUUUAAAUUUUAUCUAGCAAAACUCCAGAAGAAUAUGACUCGUGAUAGCUCUCGGGUUUACCCGGAUCUGGAAAGGCAUAGGUUCAACCCUUAGGGUCAAAUUGGGAACAUAUACCACAAGCUUCAAUAGUAAAUAACACAAGCUCGAUAGUAGAGCAUGGGUGACAAAAGGAGAGGAUACAAUUUACCGAAGGCAUUAUGUAUGAGGGAAGAACUUCUCAAGGUGGUUGAAUAUGAAGGACACUGUCGGAUAAAAAUCCAACAAUGGAUCGGGCGAUCCACCACAGAGCUAAUGUGAGUAUCGGUACUCUAUCAGAGGAAGAAGGAACGAAAGGGCAUCGGACUAUAAAAACAACUGAGUAAUUCAAAGCUCAAAUGCAAAGGAAUUAUCAUUUCUAAAUCAAGGGAUCAGAAGCCAAUGGUCUGAUUAAGAAUGGAUAAGUUGAAUAGACUUAGGGGUACAAUCGACGACAAUUUGAUUGGUCGAUAACCAGUUCACGUUUCAAUUGUCGUCUGAGCCGGAAGGAUGAAUUCUAGGCUCCGAUUGAGAAUUGCGAGCAUUCGCAACAAAUUGAAUCAACGGACUCAAAAUGAUAAUGACAAUAGAUGCCAAUAAGAUUACGAGACUUAAGAUUAAUCAUAAUGCAAGUAAGCAAGAAUUUCAAGAGCAAAAAGGCUCCUGAGGAUUUUCGGAAGAUCGAAUGGUAUUUUGAACACGUUUGUGAAAUACUUGAAUCAACUGGGGAUGAGCGGAUACUCGGUAAGUACGAGAAUUAUCCGUAGGGUUAUUCAGGUGACAAAGAACAGCAAGGCAGUAAGCUCAAAGGAUUCUCGGAACAACAGAGAGAAUUUCGGGGUAUCUUGUAAUAACAAGAUCAACUGGGAAACAUUGUAUGAAUGGCGAGUAUACGUGGUUAUCCAUAGGAGUUUAUCGAUGGAAGGGAAUUGCAAAAGCGAUGAACACAAGUUUCUCGGGUAAACAGCGGAGGGUGUCUUCAGGGUCCCCACGUGCAGCAGACGAUCAUCAGUAAUAAGGGGCUCUCCGGGUGAAAGUGAUAACGAGAUCCUAAUGUUAGAAUUAGCAAAAUUCAUUUAACCCGAAUAGAGGAGAGAUCAGAGUCCCAGAGUAUAGACAAGGAGUAAAAGAUCCUAAUACCACCCAAUGGCGACGUAGGCCCGUAAGCCACACAGUCAUGUUAUUAAAAGUUUUUCAAUGACUAGACUCGACUUCGGCCAAGGAGUUGGAAAGGGGGAUUCCUACAAGCAGUCGGCUCUGAUACCAACUUGUGACGCCCCCGAUUUGACCGUACACUAAUCAUGCACGCAAAUGUGUACGAUCAAUAUCAGGGACUCACGGGAAGAUAUCACAACACAACUCUACAACAUAAAUAAGUUAUACAAGCAUCAUAAUACCAGCCAGGGCCUCGAGGGCUCGAAUACAAGUGCUCGAUCAUAGACGAGUUAGCGGAAGCAACAACAUCUGAGUACAAACAUAAGUUAAACAAGAUUGCCUUAAGAAGGCUAGCACAAAAGUAGCAACGAUCGAAAAGGCAAGGCCUCCUGCCUUGGACCUCCUAACUACUCCUCGAAGCCAAACUCCAUGUAGAGUCAUCCUCGGGAUCUCUAGCUCCUAGACUCCAGCAUCUGUUUGCGAGAACCAGGUAUAGAAAGGGGAAAAGAGGGAGAAAAGCAACCGUGAGUACUCACCCAAAGUACUCGCAAGCAAGGAGCUACACUACAUAUGCAUGGGUAUAUGUGUAAAGGGCCAUAUCGGUGGACUGAACUGCAGAAUGCCAGAAUAAGAGGGGGAUAGCUAAUCCUGUCGAAGACUACGCUUCUGGCAACCUCCAUCUUGCAGCAUGUAGAAGAGAGUAGAUUGAAGUCCUCCAAGUAGCACCGCAUAGCAUAAUCCUACCCGGCGAUCCCCUCCUCGUCGCCCUGUUAGAGAGCGAUCACCAGGUUAUAUCUGGCACUUGGAAGGGUGUGUUUUAUUAAGUAUCCAGUUCUAGUUGUCAUAAGGUCAAGGUACAACUCCGGGUCGUCCUUUUACCGAGGGACACGGCUAUUCGAAUAGAUAAACUUCCCUGCAGGGGUGCACCACAUAACCCAACACGCUCGAUCCCAUUUGGCCGGACACACUUUUCUGGGUCAUGCCCGGCCGUGGAAGACCAACACGUCGCAGCCCCACCUAGGCACAAUAGAGAGGUCAGCACGCCGGUCUAAAUCCUAUGGCGCAGGGGUCUCGGCCCAUCGCCCAUUGCACACCUGCACGUUGCGAGGGCGGCUGGAAGCAGACCUAGCCUAGCAGGCGUUCCAGUCCAAUCCGGCGCGCGCCGCUCCGUCGCUGACGCCACGAAGGCUUCGGCUGAUACCACGAUGUCGAGUGCCCAUAACUGUUCCCGCGUAGUUGGUUAGUGCGUAUAGAACAAAUGGCCAAACUCAGAUCAAAUACCAAGAUCUCGUUAAGCGUGUUAAGUAUCCGCGAACGCCGACCAGGGCCAGGCCCACCUCUCUCCUAGGUGGUCUCAACCUGCCCUGUCGCUCCGCCACAAAGUAACAGUUGGGGGCCGUCAGGAACCCAGGCCCACCUCUACUGGGAUGGAGCCACCUGUCCUUUCAGCCCCCUCAUCAGAAUCACUUGCGGGUACUCAACGAGCUGACCCGACUUUAGUCACCACAUGUGUCAUGUAUAUAAAGUAUAUAGUAUAUACCCGUGAUCACCUCCCGAGUGAUCACGGCCCGAUAGUAUAGCAUGGCAGACGGACAAGAAUGUAGGGCCACCGAUGGAAUACUAGCAUCCUAUACUAAGCAUUUAGGAUUGCAGGAAAAGGUAACAACAGUAGUAGCAAGGACAAGCUAUGCAUCAGGAUAGGAUUAACGGAAAGCGGUAACAUGCUACACUACUAUAAUGCAAGCAGUAUAGAGAAGAAUAGGCGAUAUCUGGUGAUCAAGGGGGGGGGCUUGCUUGGUUGCUCUGGCAAGAAGGGUUCGUCGUCGAUGUAGUCGAUCACAAGGGUACCAGCAUCGGUCUCAGAGUCUACCGGAAAGAAGUAACGGAGGGGGAACAUAAUAAAUAACAGAGCAAUCAAAGCAUCACAAAGCAUAACAUGGCAAUACGCGGUGCUAGGGGUAACCUAACGUAGUACUAGGUGAUACUGGCGAAGAGGGGAAACAUCCGGGAAAGUAUCCCCGGUGUUUCGCGUUUUCAAACAGACGGUCCGGAGGGGGAAAGUUGCAGGUUCGCUAUGCUAGGGACGCGUGGCUGAUGAACGGUGUGCGUAUUCGGAUUCGUCUCGUCGUUCUGAGCAACUUUCAUGUACAAAGUAUUUUCAUCCGAGUUACGGAUUAUUUUAUAUUAAUUUAUAAAGAUUUAAUCAUUUUCUAGAUUUCCUGGUUUUAAUUUAAUUCAAAAUUAAAUAGCUAAAUGCUAGGUGCACCCAGCUCUGCGUACACAGAAGUGUACCAGAGGCUGACAGGUGGGCCAGGGGGUCCCUAUUGACCAGUCAACGUUUGACUGGUCAACAGGGGGUGGGGCCCCCUGUCAUUGGCUGUUACAUUAACUAACUAGUUAAUUUUGUCUAACUAGGUUAUUAGGGUAACAGAUUUUAAUUAGUUUAAUUGAACCUAAUUAAUUAAUUAAUUAGUUAAUUAAAUUAAUUAACUUAAUAUUAAUUAAUUAGUUAAUUAAAUUAAUUAAUAUUUUUAUUUACUUAUUAUCAAUUUUUUUAUUCUUUUUUUAUAUACGUUCUGAGGGGUGCGGCCCCACAUGUCAUAGGGCCAGGGGGACUGGCCCAGUGGUAAGUGGCCCUGGCCAUAGCGGGCACGGGCGCACGGGCGCUAGCCCGACUGGGCACUGGCCAGGCCAGCCACGGCGAGGCUCGCCGGCCGGAGCAGCAGUAGGCAGCGGCUGCGGCGGAGCGGGAGUAAGGGGGCGAGGCCGCGGAGCGAGGGCGGCGAGUGCGGGAAGCGUCGGCGAGCGCGACGCGCGGUUCGGCGGCUCCCGGCAGCAAGCGGAUGGUGCGGUGGCGCGGGCGAGCGCCGGUGUGAGGGCACGGGGAGGAGGAGGAGGACCGGGGUCCUCACCAGCGUUGGUGAGCAGGGGGGGCGGCGAGGCUCGGUGGAGCCUUUGGGGAGGAGGACGAGGAUGCGUCGUCGGCGAGGAGGAGACGAGGAGGACGAGGCGACGAGCGGUGGCGGGGUCCGGUGAGGAGGAGGCCNNNNNNNNNNCUGCGGCGGAGCGGGAGUAAGGGGGCGAGGCCGCGGAGCGAGGGCGGCGAGUGCGGGAAGCGUCGGCGAGCGCGACGCGCGGUUCGGCGGCUCCCGGCAGCAAGCGGAUGGUGCGGUGGCGCGGGCGAGCGCCGGUGUGAGGGCACGGGGAGGAGGAGGAGGACCGGGGUCCUCACAGGCGUUGGUGAGCAGGGUGCGGCGAGGCUCGGUGGAGCCUUUGGGGAGGAGGACGAGGAUGCGUCGUCGGCGAGGAGGAGACGAGGAGGACGAGGCGACGGGCGGUGGCGGGGUCCGGUGAGGAGGAGGCCGUGGCACGGGGACGACGGAGAAGCUGCGGGGCCGAGGCGGCAGCCCUCGGGCGCGGGCGUGCUCACCGGGGCCGCGGGGAGCCGCGGCAGACACGACCGAGACCGCGAAGCGCCGGCACGGCUGUGGUUGCGGAGGCGGGCGCCGGUCGAGGCCGGACAGGGAGGUGAGGGUCGACGAUGGGCGGAGCAGGAGAGAAUGGAGGGAGGAGAGGCUGCGAGGGAGGGUCGGACAUGAGNNNNNNNNNNNNNNNNNNNNNNNNNNNNNNNNNNNNNNNNNNNNNNNNNNNNNNNNNNNNNNNNNNNNNNNNNNNNNNNNNNNNNNNNNNNNNNNNNNNNNNNNNNNNNNNNNNNNNNNNNNNNNNNNNNNNNNNNNNNNNNNNNNAGGGUUCGGUGCCCCAGGGGGUAUAGGCCAGGGGCUCGGCCGACCGGUAGGUUGGCCUGGUGGCCAGCUGGGCUACGGCCCAGCAGGGGGGUUUCUUUUUGUUUCUUUUGGUUUUUUGUUUAUUUGUGUUUUCUUUUUCUUUGUACUUAUUUUCCUUUUUCGUUUUACCGUAGUUUUUGAUUUAUUAUAGUCUUGUAAAAUACUGCAUUUAACUCCUAAAUUAGUGUCAUGGUCUAGCCCUGUGCCACAAAAAGAUUGGGCCCCCAAAUAAAAUAGUGUAACAAUUUAAUAUUUAUAGAAGGCAUUAUUCCAAUUGUUAUAGUCAAUGUUUUAGUUAUUUUGGAGCAUUUACAUAUUUUAUAAAAAUGUGGCUUCAUCACCAUAAUUACCUAUGCAUUAUAUGUCACCUCUAGAACACUUUAGUUUUGAUUUUCGAAAACUUUUAAUGUUUGCCUAAAAUUCAAAUUUGAUUUUGAAACGUUUUGAUCUAACGCGAGGUUAGCAACGGUAAAAGAGGUGACGUGGCAUCAUUAGCGUAGGUUUACUAUAGCAUAAUUAUCCGGGGGUCACAACCAUGCAAGUAGCGAGCCACGCAACAGUCCCAUCGGUGCGGAUCUUUGGCUGGAAGACCCCUGUUUGGCUGCGUGUGCGAGGACGAAGAGCAGCAGCUGGUUGUGGCUGCAAUGCCGGGCUCGACACGGGCGACAGUAGAGGCGAGGCCGAGCCACCCAAGCUCGCGCCAGAGCCCUCUGGUAUCAGAGAGGCAGGUGGUGUCGGGCCCUGCAAGGACGGCCCAUCAGGAGCCGGGGCGCAGGAGAAGCGGUCAAUGGGCCAGGCGAGGUAGCAGCCGGCCCAGGCGAAGCCACCACCAAGGCAGGCGAGGGUGACGCCCGCGGGGCAGCUGCGGGUGUAGCUUCCGCAGGCUAAUGGGUGCCGCCCGAUAUGCAUAUCCCAUGCAUGAGAUCGACGUCCGGAUCCGGGGCAUCCGUUGACGCCUGUUCAUCAAGGAGCUCAAGAUGAGCACCACGUCCAACACCUGCAGCAUGGUUAGGAAGCAACACAGGAGUAUUUGCAACAUCCACAAAUUUAUCAGGCGAAGGUAUGGUAGAAUGAACGUCUGGCAUAGGAGUGUUAGAGUUGUUCGGAAGUGCAUGAAAGGGGAACACAUUCUCAUCAAAUACAACGUCAUGAGAAAUGUAGACGCGAUUGGUGGGAACAUGUAGGCAUUUGUACCCUUUGUGAAGGGAACUAUACCCAAGGAAAACACACUUUUUAGACCGAAACUCUAGCUUAUGUUUGUUAUACGGAUGCAAAUGAGGCCAACAUGCACACCCGAAGACUUUGAGAAAUGUGUAGUCUGGGAUUUCAUUGAGCAAGAGUUCAAGCGGAGUUUUCAUAUUCAGAAGUCUGAGGGAAGCCUAUUUAUCAAAAAACAGGCAGUGGAGAAGGCAUCACUCCAGAACCUAAAAGAAAGGAGGCAUGAGCUAAUAAAGUAAUGCUAGUUUCUACAAGAUGACGAUGCUUACGUUCAGCGGUCCCAUUCUGCUGAUGUGUAUGAGGACAAGACACACGAUGUGUGAUCCCAAGUUUGUUAAAAAACGAGUUGAGGUUGUGAUAUUCACCCCCCAGUCAGUUUGAACAUGAAUAAUUUUCUGGCUAAGGAGAUGCUCAACAUGUGCUUGAAACUGUAUAAAAGCAUCAAACACAUCAGAUUUCUCUUAAUAAGAUAAAGCCAAGUAAACCAACUAUAAGCAUGUAACACCCACGAUGCGGCUAUAUCUCCCAGGUGUCGAGGCACGACUUAGAGGCAUAACCGCAUUCUAGAUGUUGUCGCAAGAAGGGUCAUCUUCACAGAAUCCCAUGUAAUGAACAAGAAUGGGAUAAAGAGAGUUGGCUUACAAUCGCCACUUCACACAAUACAUAAAUAAAUUCAUACAUCAUCCAAAAUACAAACAUAGACCGACUACGGUCAAAUCCAAAUGAAAAGAAGAUAACCCCAAAUGCUAGAUCCCCGAUCGUCCCAACUGGGCUCCACUACUGAUCAUCAGGAAACGAAACAUAGUAACGACCAAGUUCCUCGUCGAACUCCCACUUGAGCUCGGUUGCGUCACCUGCACUGGUAUCAUCGGCACCUGCAACUGUUUUGGUAGAAUCUGUGAGUCACGAGGACUCAGCAAUCUCACACCCGCGAGAUCAAGACUAUUUAAGCUUAUAGGAAGGAUGGGGUAAUGAGGUGGAGCUGCAGCAAGCACUAAGCAUAUAUGGUGGCUAACAUACGCAAAUAAGAGCGAGAAGAGGAGCAACGCAACAGUCGCGAAGCUAGAAAUGAUCAAGAAGUGAUCCUGAAACUACUUACGUUCAUGCAUAACCCAAACCGUGUUCACUUCCCGGGCUCCGCCGAAAAGAGACCAUCACGGCUACGCACACGGUUGAUGUAUUUUAAUUAAGUCAAGUGUCAAGUUCUCUACAACCGGACAUUAACAAAUUCCCAUCUGCCUCAUAACCGCGGGCACGGCUUUCGAAAGAUAAUACCCUGCAGGGGUGUCCCAACUUAGCCCAUUACAAGCUCUCACGGUCAACGAAGGAUAUUCCUUCUCCCGGGAAGACCCGAUCAGUCUCGGAAUCCCGGUUUACAAGACAUUUCGACAAAGAUAAAACAAGACCAGCAAAGCCGCCCGAUGUGCCGACAAAUCCCGAUAGGAGUCGCACGUAUCUCGUUCUCAGGGCACACCGGAUGAGCCAGACGUCGGGUUGGCAUAGACCCUGGUUGCCCAGGGGGCGCCGGACAUCGCUCGGUUUGGACCAGCACUCGAAGGAGCACUGGNNNNNNNNNNNNNNNNNNNNNNNNNNNNNNNNNNNNNNNNNNNNNNNNNNNNNNNNNNNNNNNNNNNNNNNNNNNNNNNNNNNNNNNNNNNNNNNNNNNNNNNNNNNNNNNNNNNNNNNNNNNNNNNNNNNNNNNNNNNNNNNNNNNNNNNNNNNNNNNNNNNNNNNNNNNNNNNNNNNNNNNNNNNNNNNNNNNNNNNNNNNNNNNNNNNNNNNNNNNNNNNNNNNNNNNNNNNNNNNNNGGGUAAAUAAAGAUGACCCUCGGGCUCGCGAAAACCCAAGUGAAAAAGGCUUAGGUAGGCAAAUGUAAAACCAAGGUUGGGCCUUGCUGGAGGAGUUUUAUUCAAGGCGAACUGUCAAGGGGGUCCCAUAUAUCACCCAACCGCGUAAGGAACGCAAAAUCAAGGAACACAACACCGGUAUGACGGAAACUAGGGCGGCAAGAAUGGAACAAAAACACCAGGCAUAAGGCCGAGCCUUCCACCCUUUACCAAAUAUAUAGAUGCAUGAAUUAAAUAAGAGAUAUUGUGAUAUGCCAAAAUAUCCAUGUUCCAACAUGGAACCAACUUCAACUUCACCUGCAACUAGCAACGCUAUAAGAAGGGCUGAGCAAAAGCGGUAACUUAGCCAAACAACGGUUUGCUAGGAAAGGAUGGUUAGAGGCUUGACAUGGCAAUAUGGGAGGCAUGAUAUAGCAAGUGGUAGGUAGCGCAAGCAUAGCGAUAGAGCGAACAACUAGCAAAGCAAAGAUAGAAGUGAUUUCGAGGGUAUGGUCAUCUUGCCUGCAAGGUUCUCAGAGUUGUCGAAAGCUUGAUCCUCGUAAGCGUUCUCAACAGGUUCCUCGUAAGCGUUCUCGUCUCCCAGCUCUACCCAAAGCAAGAACACAAGCAAAGGACCAACAAUCAAUCACGGGAAAUGCACAAACAACAUGAUGCAAUACAUGGCAUGAUAUGCGAGAUGUGAUAUGCAAUGCAUAUGCGUGCUCCGGAAGGGAAAAGAUGAGCAAGGAAUCAACUUGGCAAACCAAGUAUGCCGCUGAAAAGAUGAGAUGAUUUCGGUUGAAAUCGAUAUAAAGAUCACCGGAAUCGGAUGCACGGUUUGCAAAUGAAAAGCAAAACAAGGAUGGCACCAAUCUGCGAUUAACAGCAUGAUAGCACUUAGAAUACAUCAAGAAACUACGCUACAUCACCCCAACAUAGCAAAAAAGCAUACGGAAGUGAUCUACAAGAGAUGAUUGACAAAAGAUGAACACUGAGCUAUGGCUAGAUCACACAAUAACAGGUUCAAAAAAGCAUGGCAAAAGUGAAAAAGAUAUCAGCUUCACAGACUUGGUGAAAAUACUAACAUGCCAGGAAUAACAUCAGGAAGCCAUGUUUAGAGCAAGCAAACAACAUGCUACAAGAACAUAUCAUAGCAAAUCAAGGCAUUGCAUGAAUCUACUAAAUGCAUAGAACAAAAGUCCCUUACUGACCAUGAGCCAAAAAGGAACAGAAGAUAUGAUGGAACCCAUGUAAACAUAGCAAGUUUCGUUAACAGAUUCCAAACUUAGCAGAAAACAGAGCAUGACAUUAACAGAAUUAUGAAGGCAUCUUUGUGAGCUGGAUUCACUCAUCUCAAAGCAUUGAAUGACAAAAAAAGCAUACCAAAAGCAAGAAGACAUGUUCAUGAAGCUAUCCAAGGCAGGAACAAGUUCAUAGGAUGUAUGGAUCACUAGCAACAUCCAUGGCAAAAUUGAAUAGCAUGUUAACAUUCUGCCAGGAACAUUUUAUAGCAAAAGUAGAGCAAGAUUGAGACAUGCUAGGGCACUCCAUAAUUGCAAAAAGGGGCAUGGAUGGAUAGAGCACAUCUAUAUAUCCAAAACAUCCUUACUGAACAUACUCAAAAGAAGCAUGGAUCUCACUGUAGCAACAUGGAUACAUGGCAUCAAAAUAACAGCAGGAAAAAGACUUAGCAAAAUCCUAAGUCCCUGAAAACAGAAACAUCACGAAGCCUAGUUUGCAUGCUUGUGCUAGUGACCACAUAGAUCACAAAAAUACAUGGCAAGCACCCCUGUAAAUAUGGCAUGGCAUAGAUCAAAACACAUGCAGAGCUCAUGCUCAUAAGAUGCACACAUCAAAUGCAACAAAAAUAACAAAACAUCAAGUUCUGCAACGAUGAUUUAGGCAUCAAGAUUAACUCAAACGAGCAUGGCACAAUGGAACCAAAUGAAUAACAUCUCAUGAUGAACAUUUUGAUAUAUCAUACACGCAAAACGAAGCGGUAUGCAAGGAGAUAUGACGUGAUGAACAGGGCUACAUAAUGUAGAAAAAUAAGGACUCAGAGGAAUUUUCGGGUCAACCUUCAGAUCUAGGGUUCGGGGAGGCGCGCGAACCGAGGACCGCCGGGGUUCCUCGCCGGAGAAGAGGAGGACGCCGGCCGGAGAUGGAGAGGAGGGAGAUGGCCGGAGAGGAAGACGGGGACCGGAUCCGAGGCGCUCCUCGCCGGAUCCGGCGCCCACGGCGGCGGAGACGAGGCCGGACGGCGGCGGCGGCGGAUCCCGGCGCGGGUCGGGUGNNNNNNNNNNNNNNNNNNNNNNNNNNNNNNNNNNNNNNNNNNNNNNNNNNNNNNNNNNNNNNNNNNNNNNNNNNNNNNNNNNNNNNNNNNNNNNNNNNNNNNNNNNNNNNNNNNNNNNNNNNNNNNNNNNNNNNNNNNNNNNNNNNNNNNNNNNNNNNNNNNNNNNNNNNNNNNNNNNNNNNNNNNNNNNNNNNNNNNNNNNNNNNNNNNNNNNNNNNNNNNNNNNNNNNNNNNNNNNNNNNNNNNNNNNNNNNNNNNNNNNNNNNNNNNNNNNNNNNNNNNNNNNNNNNNNNNNNNNNNNNNNNNNNNNNNNNNNNNNNNNNNNNNNNNNNNNNNNNNNNNNNNNNNNNNNNNNNGGCGCCGGAGGCGGGCGGCGACCGGAGCGGACAGCGGGGAGGCGCGGGAGGCGCGCGGAGGCGCGGGGCGACGAUGGGCUCGGGGAGGGCCGGCCUCGGGCCCGGCGGGCUGGCGGCGGCGCGGGUGGCCGGGCGCCAUGUGGCGGCCUCCGAUUGGCCGCGGGCGGUGGCUCCUGUCCGGCGUGGACCGGACGUGUCCGGCGGCGGAGAGGGAGCGGGGCUAGGGUUAUGGACCCGGAUUUGGAGGAGGGGUGCACAUAUUUAUAGCUAGAGGGAGCUAGGAGACUUCAAAUGGGGUGUAGUUUUCGCCCACACGAUCGUGAUCGAACGGCGGAGAGCAUGAGGGGGCUUAGAUGGGUUAUUGGGCUGUUUUGAAGGGGUGUAGGGCUGCAACACACAAGAGGCCUUUGCGGUUACCCGGUUAACCGUUGGAGCAUCAAACGGCCUCCAAAUGGAACGAAACUUGACAGGUGGUCUACCGGUGGUGUACCAAGGCCACUUGGCAAACCUCGGUCCAUUCCGAGAACGUUUAACACACGCUCACGAAAAGAGACAAGAGGGGUGCGCUGGUGCAUGUGGGAGUGUCGGAUUGCAAAACGGACAACGGGGAAAAUGCUUGGAUGCAUGAGACGAACACGUAUGCAAAUACGAUGCACAUGAUGACAUGAUAUGGAAUGCAUGACAAGAACAAAAUGUAAAAUGAAGGCAAAACCGAACCACGAAGGGAAUCUCAUAACUUAAAGCCGAAAAUGGCAAGUGUUGGAGUUACAAAUAUGGAAAGUCACAUCCGGGGCGUUACAAAGCAUCAAUGAAACUGACAUAAUAAUUGUGGCCAUUGACAGACGUUUGGGCAUGACCCCAUACAUCGGAAAACACAAGUUCAAGAGGAUGUUUCACAACACGACUAGACUCUGAAAACGGAAGUUGAUGACAAUUGCCCUGCUGACAGGCAUCACAAAUAGUUUCAGUAGUUUUAUUUGACACAACCGGUAGUUCAUGACGAUGCAACACAUGACGAACUAUAGGAGCAGAAGGAUGACCAAGGCGCGCAUGCCAAUGUGUAGAUGACACACGAACACCUCUGAAUGCUUGAGGAGAAAACUGCGUAGGAGGUGCGGUCGGCGCGUCAAGCGGAUACAAGCCAUGGCGAAGACGACCGCUAAGCAGAAUGACCCUCGUGUCCCGAUCCUUGUUAAAGAAACGAAAAGGGUGAAACUCAGCAAGGACAUUAUUAUCACAAGUAAGUUGUGGAACAGACAACAAACUACGCGUAGCAGUGGGAAUACGAAGAACAUUAGAAAGAUGCAGUUUUCGGGAAUUGUGUGGAAGAAGUGAUGCCUGACCAACAUGGGAGAUGCGCAUACCCGCUCCAUUGGCGGUGUGCACCUGAUCAUGACCGCGAUAUGGCUCCUGAGUGGAGAGCUUGCCCAUCUCGUUGGUGAGGUGGUUCGUAGCUCCCGUGUCCAUGUACCAUGUAGGAUCAAUAGAGUAGGAGGGAGUGCGUCCGUGCUCAUGACUCGUCACUGCAGUAGCCGCCUGCUUUUCAUCCCCUUUGCCAUUGUUGCCUAGGCCAAGAAAAUCUUGCUUGUAGUGGCGAUGACAGCGGGACGCUAUGUGGCGCUCAAUGCUACACAGUUGGCAGGCCUGCUGGGCGCCGCAGCAAGGGCAGCAAGCCACUGGCCGAGACCCGCCAGUGAUGGAUGGCGCGGCGCUCCGCGAAGUCUGCUGAGAUGAAGCCGCCGUCUUGGCAGGCAGCGACGGCUUCUGUGGUUUGCCGCGGGUGGCAUCAUUAGCGGAGGCGAAACUCGGGGAGGCACGACGCGCUUUGAUGCGCUGUUCGCGACCAAGAAGGCACGCAUAAUGUUCCCGUGGCGGAAGAGGUGCCUCGCGACCAUGGACAUUCUCAAUGAGAUUAUCAUAGUCAUCAUCGAGGCCAUUGAGCACAUGGGUGGUGAAGUCCUCAUCUCCAAGUGGCUGGCCAAUCGAGGCCAAAGUGUCGGCGAGACCGGACAUCUUGUUGAAGUACUCUGUGAUGGUUAGGCCGUCGAUCUUGGUCUCCCCCAACUCAGUGCGUAUAGAGUGAGCACGCGCCUGAGAUUGAGAGGCAAAGCUGCUGUGAAGUGCUGACCAAGCAUCCCGAGACGUCGCGGCGAAGAUGACAAGCGACGACACGCUCGGAGUGAGCGACGACUGAAUAGCAGAGAGGAUCGCCUGGUCUUGAGCCGCCCACACGUGAUAAGCCGGAUGAUACGGCGGUGGACACGGGAUGGAGCCAUCAACAUAUCCCUCCAAGUAGCGACUCCGGAGAAGAGGUAGCACCUGAGCCCACCACGACAAAUAGUUGUCCGGCGUAAGCUUCACCGGAAGGAGGUGCGAGAAAUAAAACGGCAAUGGUGCCACAGCAUAACCCGCAGGAGCCUGUAUCGGUGGCGCGUGAAAACCCAUCAUCGGGUCCGUCUCGGCGUGAGGAGCGAGCGCCAUAGAUGUAUCAUAGCCAGGGGCGGNNNNNNNNNNNNNNNNNNNNNNNNNNNNNNNNNNNNNNNNNNNNNNNNNNNNNNNNNNNNNNNNNNNNNNNNNNNNNNNNNNNNNNNNNNNNNNNNNNNNNNNNNNNNNNNNNNNNNNNNNNNNNNNNNNNNNNNNNNNNNNNNNNNNNNNNNNNNNNNNNNNNNNNNNNNNNNNNNNNNNNNNNNNNNNNNNNNNNNNNNNNNNNNNNNNNNNNNNNNNNNNNNNNNNNNNNNNNNNNNNNNNNNNNNNNNNNNNNNNNNNNNNNNNNNNNNNNNNNNNNNNNNNNNNNNNNNNNNNNNNNNNNNNNNNNNNNNNNNNNNNNNNUAGGCCGCUGCGUAGGGGUGCAGGUGCGGUUGGGCCGCGUAGGGUGACGCAGGCGGCGGCCCGUAGAGGGGCGCCGGCCAGGCAGGGGGCGGCAGUGGCACGACACCGUAGGUUGGUGCAGGGGCGCCGUAAGGUUGGGGGAACCGCCCCAUACACGGGCGCAGGGCCGCGGAAGGACGACAACGCAGAAGCAACGUUCGAGGGAGCAGCGCCACCGGAUGAGAUCGGCGGGGGCAGAUCGCCCUGCCCGCCCGACCCGGCCAGAGAAACCGCGGGGUUGCCGCCAUGCGGCUGAGCCUGCCACCAGGUUGUAGCGAGCGGGCAAGAGGCGAGGAAGGGCGACGACGGGGCGAUAGCAGAGGCCGGCAUGGCGGCAGCGUUAGGUGCAGCUGAAGACAUCGAAAACCCUAGUCUGAUACCAUGUAAAAUGUAUGUUUUGGGCUACUGCUCGACACCCUAAAAGGGUGCGGCUAUCUCAUUAUAUAUAAAUACCAAAGGGUACAAAUACAAGGUAUAUACACAAGUCUACGUAUAAACAAGUCUACGUAUACAUAUACAAUCUAACAAGGCACAUGAAGAAAAGUUUACGGUGUAGAAGGGAGCCAUGCGAAAUGCAUUUGCUUGGUGCAGUAAUCUUCGUAAAUCAUAUUCUUUUUACUUUCUUUCAAAAAGGGUAUUUUAUUCACUCAUAACGAAGCAUCAAGGGGAUACAAAAGAUAGUUAGAAUGUACAGAACCAUCAUUAACACUCAUGCACACAAAUGAUCACACCAACAAAUAGCAAAGCCAUAGAAGACAAAUGCUAUGCCUAGGCGGAUGAAAAAGAAGAGCAAACAUUGAUCCUCGUCGAGCAGGUGCAGCCACCAAAAAUAAUGUAAGCGCAUAUGAUGCAAACGUGAUAUCCAUGCAAGCUGUAAACCAUGCACAUACCAAGCAAAUAGCGAGUCUCAGAGUCGCUGAUCGCAUGCGCGAGAGAGGAAAUCACCAUGAAAAUCUCACCUUGGAGACAAUCCGGCAAUCCCACUCUUCCUUCGCCUACGUUUGUCAAUGGUAAAUCUAGGUACCUAGACAUACACCACGAGUUGUCACUGUCCCUCCAAGGCCAUGAUUACCACCAGAAAAUGGCCACACACCAUCUUCGUAGCGCGACGUUUCAAUGAAGGAUAGGUGCCACUCACCGCCACGCUCCUCCUAGAUUGCCUCAGCUACCCAAAACAGGGCACUGACGAGACAUGGAAGCAUUCGUCGCAACGAGAGUUGAGUGUAGAGACUCGUGCUUUGUACAAAUGAGAAUUGCAUGCUUGAUAUUGAGAUACCUGAUUUGAACCUUUUCUGUUUCCGUUAGUUAUUAUGGCCGCGUUCCUGUUUUGACCCUGUUUAGUAGGAGAACCCAAUUGGAAAUUUGUUUCACAGGUAAAAAAAAAGUCUACAGUCACAGAGCUCCUGUAUGAUCGAUGUUGACUGAGGUGGUUAUGUAGUAACAAAUAAUCAUGUAACUGUUCAAUUUUGUUUCUCUAAAGUUGGAAAAAACUGAAGGGACGUACUCUGCUUUGGCAUUGCAAAAGAGAAAAUAGCUGUACAGAGGCUGAAGGCUGGCAUGUGAAUCAAAUGACCUGGCCUCUAAGUUCUGUGAGAGUCGGACGCCCUGGACAAAUGCACGAACAGGUUCCUCCGGCCAAAUCAGCUACAAUGCUUUGGAUAUCCAAAUCAUAGCCUCUGAUAGGUAUGCAACACAUUUACCAAAACCGGCUCGCCGCCUAGAGAUUUCAACAGAAACUUCAAUGCCCGUUACAGCAGUUCUGAUCUCAGAUUUGAUAAGAUUCAGAUACAGAGCAGCAUCCACUGCAGUCUCCGAUGCCUCCCAUUCGUAGUCCUGCUACAAUCAUCGAAAGGUAAUGGUCGUGAAGUAAACCUCGAGUCAGCUAGCUUUUCAGAAAUGUUAAGUCAAGCAUCCCCGUCUCGGUGUACAAAAGUAAGGGCUUUUCUUUUGACCCUUUUACUUGUGCACGAGCAGACAGGGCCGCGCGCCGUGACCACACUUAGUAGAGCAGAGGAGGGAAGCCGAAGCACGAGGCAACCAAGACAACGCCAAAACCAGAAACACAAAAAGCAAGAGGGCGAGGUGGGCUCUCCCGGCAAGACCCUUGCCGGGGUGGCCUCUGCAUCCCCGGCAAGAGCCUUGCCGGGGUAACUUGCCUGACACCAAUGGAGCGCGCUUUCCUUGAGCCCAAGGGUUCCACCGCCAACAACUACCUUGGGACUAGGGCUCGGGAGGCACCUCCGUGGUGGCAUGCAGAUCUUUGUGAAGAUCAUAAAUACACAGGAUCAGAUGAGGACUAGAAGACGACGACUCUUGGCGGGAUCCUAGUCGAGGAAAUCCACAAGACCCCCGGCAAGCGCCUUGUUGGGGACGACCGCAGCGCCACGGCAACACCCUUGCCGGGUCCCCCGGCAAGACCCUUGCCGAGGGCAUCGGCAGGGCCACAGCCAGGCCCGCACCAGCCAACACUCCACCGCCGUCCCCAAACAGCUGCUAGCUCAACCAGCUGGGUAGGCACCUACGUGGCGACGGGCGGCCUCUACACCGACUCAGCAAGCACCUGCGUGGUGACAUGCGACCCUUUGUGAAGGCUCCACCACCACGCCAGCCCAGCAGCCAGCCAACGUGGCGCCGCAAGGCCUCGUCAGCUCGGGCGCGUGUCAAAGCCAGGCGAGGCGGCGACAGCUGGGACGUGCUUCCUUGCCGUCCCCGAUAAAGCGAGAGGGACGCGUCGGCAGCGCAUUAUAAAUGUGUUUGUCCGACGGUGCCAGAGGAUAGACUCAUCCACUUUACACCUUUCCACCUCCUGUGUGCCACUGUGGCGACCCCUUUUGCCUAUAAAAGGAGGCCCGAGGCGACGAGGAGAAGGAUUCGGAUCUUUUGGGGAGAUUACACCCCGUAGCUAGCUCAAGAACACAAGAACACUCAAUACAUCCGCCAAAGCAGGACUAGGGUUUUACGCAUCUUCGCGGCCCGAACCUAGGUAAACGAUCUGUGUGCUCCUGUCAGACCCGCUCUUUCCACAACCCCGCGCCCGCCAGCCAUAGAAGGGAUUCCAGUGAUCCCAUAGGUGUCGAUUUCCCCGACAUCUUUGGCGUGCCAGGUAGGGGCGGCGCAGUUGUGGAAAUCUGGUCCGAUCGGAGCAGCUUCAUCGUGGCCGUCGUUCUAAGGAAGAAGAUGACCAAGCUUGACGGCACCAUCUGCAGAUGCGGUGGACGCCCGUGCAGCGACAGAAAAGCUAAGUUGUGUGAAACUUUAAACAAUUUCUUCUUAUAUAUAUGGUUAUUGUCCUCGAAGGUCCUGCCUUAUGUAUGGAAAACUUGCACGCAAAGGGGCCCUUCUGCUAUUGGCAACGCCCUUGCCCUGUUUCGAGUCCGCUCAUCAGCUCAAGCGGCCGCGUCGAGAGCGGCAGGGUAGCCUUCCGCAAUUGGCAACGCUCUCGAUUCUGACUCGAGUCAAGCUCGACAGUUCGAGCGGCCGCGUUGAGGGCGGUAAGGUGGUUCGCCUAGUAGCAAGCAUACCUGGCAGGCUAUUGGGGAUCCGUCCUCAAGGCGCUGUGGCCUGGAUUACGCGCCGGCAAGCCUACCCGAUUAACGUAGGGUGAACAUACAAAGGGCGGAUUGAACAGGAAAGUAACAUGCAUAAUAUCAAAAGUGCUGCAGAGUUAUAUUACAUCAAUUGUUGCUGCGGUUCUAAGUUCUAACUAAAGAUAAAAAUUGUCUUGGUCGUGAACCUGCAGCGGCGAUGAGAAACGGGGUGCCUAGUCCCGGCGCAGGCCUUCCAUCCUCUGGAUUCUGUCCAUGCGGCUGAUGAUGGGCUUGAUACGCUCCUUGAGCACAGUGAGGUCCGCGUCCUCCGGCAAGCUCUCCAGCGCGGUGUCGAAGUGGAGGUUGGGAUUCCAGUGCGCCACCUUGGUGAGGACCUUGGUCAUGGCACUCCGGCAAAGCCUCCGGGCCUCAUCGGCCAGAGAGGCCGCCCGGUUGGAGUGGAGCUGCUCUAGGGCCCCGAAGACACCCUCGAAGAAUAGGGUUAGCUUGGCGUUGGGGCCCACGUUGCGCUCCAGGGUGUACCUCACAUUUGGCAUCCCCAUGGUAGCCAGCUGCAUGGUGAUCCUGCCGGCGACGUCUUCAAGGCGCCCGAUCCAGCGAUUCUCACCCUCCACAUCGCGCGUUCAACGCGGGUCGUGGGGAAGCGCAGCGGACGAAGCAAUUACUACGGUAAAAAUCCGCCCCACCUGCCCACGCACCGUUCUGGGCCUAGCCCAACAACGCGUCGUGCUUAUGUGUGGCUCGGGCCCGGGGGCUCCUGUUGGUGUACAAAAGUAGGGGCUCUCCUUUUGACCCCUUUACUUGUGCACGGGCAGUCCGGCCGCGCGCCGCGGCCACACUUAGCAGGGCAGAGGAGGGAAGCCGAAGCACGAGGCAACCAAGGCAACGCCAAGACCAGAAACACAAAGAGCAAGAGGGCGAGGUGGGCUCCCCCGGCAAGACCCUUGCCGGGGUGGCCUCUGCAGCCCCGGCAAGUGUUGGGGAACAUAGUAAUUUCAAAAAAAUUCCUACACACACGCAAGUCAUGGUGAUGCAUAGCAACGAGAGGGGAGAGUGAUGUCCACGUACCCUCGUAGACCGAAAGCGGAAGCGUUAGCACAACGCGGUUGAUGUAGUCGUACGUCUUCACGAUCCGACCGAUCAAGUACCAAACGCACGGCACCUCCGAGUUCAGCACACGUUCAGCCCGAUGACGUCUCACGAACUCCGAUCCAGCCGAGUGUUGAGGGAGAGUUUCGUCAGCACGACGGCGUGGUGACGAUGAUGAUGUUCUACCGACGCAGGGCUUCGCAUAAGCACCGCUACAGUAUUAUCGAGGUGGACUAUGGUGGAGGGGGGCACCGCACACGGCUAAAAGAUCAACAGAUCAAUUUUUGUGUCUCUAGGGUGCCCCCUGCCCCCGUAUAUAAAGGAGCAAGGGGGGAGGUGCGGCCGGCCAGGAGGAGGCGCGCCAGGAGGAGUCCUACUCCUACCGGGAGUAGGACUCCCUCCCUUCCUUGUUGGAUUAGGAGAAGGGGGGAAGGAGGAAGAGGAGAAGAAGGAAAGGGGGGCGCCGCCCCCUCCUGGUACAAUUCGGACUAGAGGGGGAGGGGGCGCGCGGCCUGCCCUGGCCGCCCCUCCUCUUCUCGACUAAGGCCCACUAUGGCCCAUUAAACUCCCGGGGGGUUCCGGUAACCCCUCCGGUACUACGGUAAAAUCCCGAUUUCACCCGGAACACUUCCGAUAUCCAAAUAUAGGCUUCCAAUAUAUCAAUCUUCAUGUCUCGACCAUUUCAAGACUCCUCGUCAUGUCCGUGAUCACAUCCGGGACUCCGAACAACCUUCGGUACAUCAAAACUGAUAAACUCAUAAUAUAACCGUCAUCGAAACUUUAAGCGUGCGGACCCUACGGGUUCGAGAACUAUGUGGACAUGACCGAGACACGUCUCCGGUCAAUAACCAAUAGCGAAACCUGGAUGCCUAUAUUGGCUCCCACAUAUUCUACGAAGAUCUUUAUCGGUCAAACCGCAUAGCAACAUACGUUGUUCCCUUUGUCAUCGGUAUGUUACUUGCCCGAGAUUCGAUCGUCGGUAUCUCAAUACCUAGUUCAACCUCGUUACCGGCAAGUCUCUUUACUCGUUCCGUAAUACAUCAUCCCACAACUAACUCAUUGGUUGCAAUGCUUAAGUGAUGUGCAUUACCGAGUGGGCCCAGAGAUACCUCUCCGACAAUCGGAGUGACAAAUCCUAAUCUCGAAAUACGCCAACCCAACAAGUACCUUCGGAGACACCUGUAGAGCACCUUUAUAAUCACCCAGUUACAUUGUGACGUUUGGUAGCACACAAAGUGUUCCUCCGGUAAACGGGAGUUGCAUAAUCUCAUAGUCAUAGGAACAUGUAUAAGUCAUGAAGAAAGCAAUAGCAAUAUACUAAACGAUCGAGUGCUAAGCUAACGGAAUGGGUCAAGUCAAUCACAUCAUUCUUCUAAUGAUGUGAUCCCGUUAAUCAAAUGACAACUCAUGUCAAUGGCUAGGAAACAUAACCAUCUUUGAUCAACGAGCUAGUCAAGUAGAGGCGUACUAGUGACACUCUGUUUGUCUAUGUAUUCACACAAGUAUUAUGUUUCCGGUUAAUACAAUUCUAGCAUGAAUAAUAAACAUUUAUCAUGAUAUAAGGAAAUAAAUAAUAACUUUAUUAUUGCCUCUAGGGCAUAUUUCCUUCAGUCUCCCACUUGCACUAGAGUCAAUAAUCUAGAUUACACAGUAAUGAUUCUAACACCCAUGGAGCCUUGGUGCUGAUCAUGUUUUGCUCGUGGAAGAGGCUUAGUCAACGGGUCUGCAACAUUUAGAUCCGUAUGUAUCUUGCAAAUUUCUAUGUCUCCCACCUGGACUAAAUCCCGGAUGGAAUUGAAGCGUCUCUUGAUGUGCUUGGUUCUCUUGUGAAAUCUGGAUUCCUUCGCCAAGGCAAUUGCACCAGUAUUGUCACAAAAGAUUUUCAUUGGACCCGAUGCACUAGGUAUGACACCUAGAUCGGAUAUGAACUCCUUCAUCCAGACUCCUUCAUUUGCUGCUUCCGAAGCAGCUAUGUACUCCGCUUCACACGUAGAUCCUGCCACAACACUUUGUUUAGAACUGCACCAACUGACAGCUCCACCGUUCAAUGUAAACACGUAUCCGGUUUGCGAUUUAGAAUCGUCCGGAUCAGUGUCAAAGCUUGCAUCGACGUAACCAUUUACGACUAGCUCUUUGUCACCUCCAUAAACGAGAAACAUAUCCUUAGUCCUUUUCAGGUAUUUCAAGAUGCUCUUGACCGCUGUCCAGUGAUCCACUCCUGGAUUACUUUGGUACCUCCGUGCCAAACUUAUAGCAAGGCAUACACCAGGUCUGGUACACAGCAUUGCAUACAUGAUAGAGCCUAUGGCUGAAGCAUAGGGAACAUCUUUCAUCUUCUCUCUAUCUUCUGCAGUGGUCAGGCAUUGAGUCUUACUCAACUUCACACCUUGUAACACAAGCAAGAACCCUUUCUUUGCUUGAUCCAUUUUGAAAUUCUUCAAAACUUUGUAAAGGUAUGUGCUUUGUGAAAGUCCAAUUAAGCGUCUUGAUCUAUCUCUAUAGAUCUUAAUGCCCAAUAUAUAAGCAGCUUUACCGAGGUCUUUCAUUGAAAAACUCUUAUUCAAGUAUCUCUUUACACUAUCCAGAAAUUCUAUAUCAUUUCCAAUCAACAAUAUAUCAUCCACAUAUAAUAUCAGAAAUGCUACAGAGCUCCCACUCACUUUCUUGUAAAUACAGGCUUCUCCAAAAGUCUGUAUAAAACCAAAUGCUUUGAUCACACUAUCAAAGCAUUUAUUCCAACUCCGAGAGGCUUGCACCAGUCCAUAAAUGGAUCACUGGAGCUUGCACACUUUGUUAGCUCCCUUUGGAUUGACAAAACCUUCUGGUUGCAUCAUAUACAACUCUUUUUCCAGAAAUCCAUUCAGGAAUGCAGUUUUUACAUCCAUUUGCCAAAUUUCAUAAUCAUAAAAUGCGGCAAUUACUAACAUGAUUCGGACAGACUUAAUCAUCGCUACGGGCGAGAAGGUCUCAUCGUAGUCAAUCCCUUGAACUUGUCGAAAACCUUUUGCAACAAGUCGAGCUUUAUAGACAGUAACAUUACCGUCAGCGUCAGUCUUCUUCUUGAAGAUCCAUUUAUUCUCAAUGGCUUACCAAUCAACGGGCAAGUCAACCAAAGUCCAUACUUUGUUCUCAUACAUGGAUCCCAUCUCAGAUUUCUUGGCCUCAAGCCAUUUUGCGGAAUCUGGGCUCACCAUCGCUUCUUCAUAGUUCGUAGGUUCGUCAUGGUCUAGUAACAUAACCUCCAGAACGGGAUUACCGUACCACUCUGGUGCGGAUCUUACUCUGGUUGACCUACGAGGUUCAGUAACAACUUGAUCUGAAGUUUCAUGAUCAUCAUCAUUAACUUCCUCACUAAUUGGUAUAGACGUCACAUGAACCGGUUUCUGUGAUGAACUACUUUCCAAUAAGGGAGCAUGUACGGUUACCUCAUCAAGUUCUACUUUCCUCCCACUCACUUCUUUCGAGAGAAACUCCUUCUCUAGAAAGGAUCCAUUCUUAGCAACAAAUGUCUUGCCUUCGGAUCUAUGAUAGAAGGUGUACCCAACAGUCUCCUUUGGGUAUCCUAUGAAGACACAUUUCUCCGAUUUGGGUUCGAGCUUAUCAGGUUGAAGCUUUUUCACAUAAGCAUCGCAACCCCAAACUUGAAGAAACGACAACUUUGGUUUCUUGCCAAACCACAGUUCAUAAGGCGUCGCCUCAACGGAUUUUGAUGGUGUCCUAUUUAACGUGAAUGCGGCCGUCUCUAAAGCAUAACCCCAAAACGAUAGCGGUAAAUCAGUAAGAGACAUCAUAGAUCGCACCAUAUCUAGUAAAGUACGAUUACGACGUUCGGACACACCAUUACGUUGUGGUGUUCCGGGUGGCGUGAGUUGCGAAACUAUUCUGCAUUGUUUCAAAUAUAGACCAAACUCGUAACUCAAAUAUUCUCCUCCACGAUCAGAUCGUAGAAACUUUAUUUUCUUGUUACGAUGAUUUUCAACUUCACUCUGAAAUUCUUUGAACUUUUCAAAUGUUUCAGACUUAUGUUUCAUUAAGUAGAUAUACCCAUAUCUGCUUAAAUCAUCUGUGAAGGUGAGAAAAUAACGAUACCCGCCGCGAGCCUCAAUAUUCAUUGGUCUGCAUACAUCAGUAUGUAUGAUCUCCAAUAUAUCGGUUGCUCGCUCCAUAGUUCCGGAGAACGGCGUUUUAGUCAUUUUGCCCAUGAGGCAUGGUUCGCAAGUACCAAGUGAUUCAUAAUCAAGUGAUUUCCAAAGUCCAUCAGUAUGGAGUUUCUUCAUGCGCUUUACACCAAUAUGACCCAAACGGCAGUGCCACAAAUAAGUUGCACUAUCAUUAUCAACUUUGCAUCUUUUGGCGUCAACAUUAUGAAUAUGUGUAUCACUACUAUCGAGAUUCAUCAAAAAUAGACCACUCUUCAAGGGUGCAUGACCAUAAAAGAUGUUACUCAUAUAAAUAGAACAACCAUUAUUCUCUGAUUUAAAUGAAUAACCGUCUUGCAUCAAACAAGAUCCAGAUAUAAUGUUCAUGCUCAACGCUGGCACCAAAUAACAAUUAUUUAGGUCUAAUACUAAUCCCGAAAGUAGAUGUAGAGGUAGUGUGUUGACGGCGAUCACAUCGACUUUGGAACCGUUUUCCAUGUGCAUCGUCACCUCGUCCUUGGCCAGUGUUCGCUUAAUCCGUAGUCCCUGUUUUGAGUUGCAAAUAUUAGCAACAGAACCAGUAUCAAAUACCCAGGUGCUACUGCGAGCUCUUGUAAGGUACACAUCAAUAACAUGUAUAUCACAUAUACCUUUGUUCACCUUGCCAUCCUUAUUAUCCGCCAAAUACUUGGGGCAAUUCCGCUUCCAGUGACCAGUCUACUUGCAGUAGAAGCACUGAGUCUCAGGUUUAGGUCCAGAUUUGGGUUUCUUCUCUUGAGCAGCAACUUGCUUGCUAUUCUUUUUGAAGUUCCCCUUCUUCUUCCCUUUGCCCUUUUUCUUGAAACUGGUUGUCUUAUUAACCAUCAACACUUGAUGCUCCUUCUUGAUUUCAACCUCCGCAGCCUUUAGCAUUGUGAAGAGCUCGGGAAUCGUCUUAUCCAUCCCUUGCAUGUUAUAGUUUAUCACGAAGCUCUUGUAGAUUGGUGGCAGUGAUUGAAGAAUUCUGUCAAUGAUGCUAUCAUCCGGAAGAUUAACUCCCAGUUGAAUCAAGUGAUUGUUAUACCCAGACAUUCUGAGUAUAUGCUCACUGACAGAACUAUUCUCCUCCAUCUUGCAGCUGUAGAACUUAUUGGAGACUUCAUAUCUCUCAAUCUGGGCAUUUGCUGGAAAUAUUAACUUCAACUCCUGGAACAUCUCAUAUGCUCCAUGACGUUCAAAAUGUCGUUGAAGUCCCGGUUCUAAGCCGUAAAGCAUGGCACACUGAACUAUCGAGUAGUCAUCAGCUUUGCUCUGCCAGACGUUCAUAACAUCUGGUGUUGCUCCUGCAGCAGGUUUGGCACCUAGCGGUGCUUUCAGGACGUAAUUCUUCUGUGCAACAAUGAGGAUAAUCCUCAAGUUACGGACCCAGUCCGUGUAAUUGCUACCAUCAUCUUACAACUUUGCUUUCUCAAGGAACGCAUUAAAAUUCAACGGAACAACAACACGGGCCAUCUAUCUACAAUCAACAUAGACAAGCAAGAUACUAUCAGGUACUAAGUUCAUGAUAAAUUUAAGUUCAAUUAAUCAUAUUACUUAAGAACUCACACUUAGAUAGACAUCCCUCUAAUCCUCUAAGUGAUCACGUGAUCCAUAUCAACUAAACCAUAACCGAUCAUCACGUGAAAUGGAGUAGCUUUCAAUGGUGAACAUCACUAUGUUGAUCAUAUCUACUAUAUGAUUCACGCUCGACCUUUCGGUCUCAGUGUUCCGAGGCCUUAUCUGCAUAUGCUAGGCUCGUCAAGUUUAACCUGAGUAUUCUGCAUUUGCAAAACUGGCUUGCACCCGUUGUAGAUGGACGUAGAGCUUAUCACACCCGAUCAUCACGUGGUGUCUGGGCAUGAUGAACUUUGGCAACGGUGCAUACUCAGGGAGAACACUUUUAACUUGAAAUUUAGUGAGAGAUCAUCUUAUAAUAAUACCGUCAAUCAAAGCAAGAUAAGAUGCAUAAAAGAUAAACAUCACAUGCAAUCAAUAUAAGUGAUAUGAUAUGGCCAUCAUCAUCUUGUGCUUGUGAUCUCCAUCUCCGAAGCACCGUCAUGAUCACCAUCGUCACCGGCGCGACACCUUGAUCUUCAUCGUAGCAUCAUUGUCGUCUCGCCAAUCUUAUGCUUCUACGACUAUCGCUACCGCUUAGUGAUAAAGUAAAGCAUUACAGGGCGAUUGCAUUGCAUACAAUAAAGCGACAACCAUAUGGCUCCCGCCAGUUGCCGAUAACUCGGUUACAAAACAUGAUCAUCUCAUACAAUAAAAUAUAGCAUCAUGCCUUGACCAUAUCACAUCACAACAUGCCCUGCAAAAACAAGUUAGACGUCCUCUACUUUGUUGUUGCAAGUUUUACGUGGUUGCUACGGGCUGAGCAAGAACUGUUCUUACAUAUGCAUCAAAACCACAACGAUAGUUUGUCGAGUUGGUGCUGUUUUAACCUUCGCAAGGAUCGGGCGUAGCCACACUCGGUUCAACUAAAGUUGGAGAAACUGACACCCGCCAGCCACCUGUGUGCAAAGCACGUUGGUAGAACCAGUCUCGCGUAAGCGUACGCGUAAUGUCGGUCCGGGCCGCUUCAUCCAACAAUACCGCCGAACCAAAGUAUGACAUGCUGGUAAGCAGUAUGACUUAUAUCGCCCACAACUCACUUGUGUUCUACUCGUGCAUAUGACAUCUACGCAUAAAACCUGGCUCGGAUGCCACUGUUGGGGAACGUAGUAAUUUCAAAAAAAUUCCUACGCACACGCAAGAUCAUGGUGAUGCAUAGCAACGAGAGGGGAGAGUGAUGUCCACGUACCCUCGUAGACCGAAAGCGGUAGCGUUAGCACAACGCGGUUGAUGUAGUCGUACGUUUUCACGAUCUGACCGAUCAAGUACCGAACGCACGGCACCUCCGAGUUCAGCACACGUUCAGCCCGAUGACGUCCCUCGAACUCCGAUCCAGCCGAGUGUUGAGGGAGAGUUACAUCAGCACGACGGCAUGGUGACGAUGAUGAUGUUCUACCGACGCAGGGCUUCGCCUAAGCACCGCUACAGUAUUAUCGAGGUGGACUAUGGUGGAGGGGGGCACCGCACACGGCUAAAAGAUCAAUAGAUCAAUUGUUGUCUCUCUAGGGUGCCCCCCUACCCCCGUAUAUAAAGGAGCAAGGGGGAGGGGGGGAGGUGCGGCCGGCCAGGAGGAGGCGCGCCAGGAGGAGUCCUACUCCUAGCGGGAGUAGGACUCCCUCCCUUCCUUGUUGGAUUAGGAGAAGGGGGGAAGGAGGAAGAGGAGAAGAAGGAAAGGGGGGCGCCGCCCCCCUCCUUGUCCAAUUCGGACUAGAGGGGGAGGGGGCGCACGGCCUGCCCUGGCCGCCCCUGCUCUUCUCCACUAAGGCCCACUAUGGCCCAUUAAACUCUCGGGGGGUUCCGGUAACCCCUCUGGUACUCCGGUAAAAUCCCGAUUUCACCCGGAACACUUCCGAUAUCCAAAUAUAGGCUUCUAAUAUAUCAAUCUUCAUGUCUCGACCAUUUAGAGACUCCUCGUCAUGUCCGCGAUCACAUCCUGGACUCCGAACAACCUUCGGUACAUCAAAACUGAUAAACUCAUAAUAUAACCGUCAUCGAAACUUUAAGCGUGCGGACCCUACGGGUUCGAGAACUAUGUGGACCUGACCGAGACACGUCUCCGGUCAAUAACCAAUAGCGGAACCUGGAUGCUCAUAUUGGCUCCCACAUAUUCUAUGAAGAUCUUUAUCGGUCAUACCGCAUAGCAACAUACGUUGUUCCCUUUGUCAUCGGUAUGUUACUUGCCCGAGAUUCGAUCGUCGGUAUCUCAAUACCUAGUUCAAUCUCAUUACCGGCAAGUCUCUUUACUCGUUCUGUAAUACAUCAUCCCGCAACUAACUCAUUGGUUGCAAUGCUUGCAAGGCUUAAGUGAUGUGCAUUACCGAGUGGGCCCAGAGAUACCUCUCCGACAAUCGGAGUGACAAAUCCUAAUCUCGAAAUACGCCAACCCAACAAGUACCUUCGGAGACACCUGUAGAGCACCUUUAUAAUCACCCAGUUAGGUUGUGACGUUUGGUAGCACCCAAAGUGUUCCUUCGGUAAACGGGAGUUGCAUAAUCUCAUGGUCAUAGGAACAUGUAUAAGUCAUGAAGAAAGCAAUAGCAAUAUACUAAAUGAUCGAGUGCUAAGCUAACGGAAUGGGUCAAGUCAAUCACAUCAUUCUUCUAAUGAUGUGAUCCCGUUAAUCAAAUGACAACUCAUGUCAAUGGCUAGGAAACAUAACCAUCUUUGAUCAACGAGCUAGUCAAGUAGAGGCAUACUAGUGACACUCUGUUUGUCUAUGUAUUCACACAAGUAUUAUGUUUCCGGUUAAUACAAUUCUAGCAUGAAUAAUAAACAUUUAUCAUGAUAUAAGGAAAUAAAUAAUAACUUUAUUAUUGCCUCUAGGGCAUAUUUCCUUCAGCAAGAGCCUUGCCGGGGUAACUUGCCUGACACCCGUGGAGCGCGCUUUCCUUGAGCCCAAGGGUUCCACCGCCAACAACUACCUUGGGACUAGGGCUCAGGAGGCACCUCCGUGGUGGCAUGCAGAUCUUUUUGAAGGUCAUAAAUACACAGGAUCAGAUGAGGUCCAGAAGACGACGACCCUCGGCGGGAUCCUAGCCGAGGAGAUCCACAAGACCCCCGGCAAGCGCCUUGCCGGGGACGACCGCAGCGCCACGGCAAGACCCUUGCCGGGACCCCCGGCAAGACCCUUGCCGAGGGCAUCAGCAGGGCCACAGCCAGGCCCGCACCAGCCAAGACUCCACCGCCGUCCCCAAGCAACUGCUAGCUCAACCAGCUGGGCAGGCACCUGCGUGGCGACGGGUGGCCUCUACACCGACUCAGCCAGCACCUGUGUGGUGACAUGCGACCCUUCGUGAGGCUCCACCACCGCGCUAGCCCAGCAGCCAGCGAACGUGGCGCCGCAAGGCCUCGUCAGCCCGGGCGCGUGUCAAAGCCAGCCGAGGCGGCGACAGCUGAGAUGUGCUUCCUUGCCGUCCCCGAUAAAGCAGGAGGGACGCGUCGGCAGCGCAUUAAAUGCGUUUGUCCGACGGUGCCAGAGGAUAGACUCAUUCACUAUACACCUUUGCACCUCCUGUGUGCCACUGUGGUGACCCCUUUUGCCUAUAAAAGGAGGCCCGAGGCGACGAGGGGAAGGAUUCGGAUCUUUUGGGGAGAUUACACCCUGUAGCUAGCUCAAGAACACAAGAACACUCAAUAGAUCCACCAAAGCAGGACUAGGGUUUUACGCAUCCUCGCGGUCCGAACCUGGGUAAACGAUCCGUGUGCUUCCUGUCAGACCCGCUCUUUCCACAACCCCGCGCCCGCCAACUGUAGAAGUGAUCCCAGUGAUUCCAUAGGUGUCGAUUUCUCCCGACACCCCGCAUCCCCCUCUUUAAAGAAGUUUAAUAGACCACUGGAGAAUGCCUUUUCUGGGACCACAAUCACAUUGAUCUUGAAUGCUUGAGAUCAUGUUGUACUCACCUGAUGAAGGCACUGGUUUGAUUUUCAUUUGUACUAAACUGUAAAACCCUGCUAUUGCUUAAUGAUGUCAUUGUUGGGUUGUUGGGAUCAAUUCCCCACAGAGAAUUACUCGAUCCCUGUCCUCUCACUCAAUCCCCAUUGGGGUUAAUCCUUCCCAGUACACUGUUCGGUAGAGCAAGCUAAAAAUCCCUCCCAGUACCGAGUUUUGUACAUGAAACACAACAAAUAAGGAUACCAAAGAAGAGAACUGUUGGCAUAGUACAACAAGAGAAGUCAGGUAACAACAGAGCACCAUGAACAUGUUCCAGGAUCCCAUCACUCCAUGCCAAAGAAAUGUUUCAUGCAACUGAUUAAUUCACAUGAUUUCUAUUUCCACAAGAAAAUGAAAAUUUUAUUGUAAAUUACACUAUUAUUUAUAUUUGGGCACAUAAAGGCUUGAAGAAGCAAAAUUACUUCAACAUCUCACUGGUAGCAUCUUCGUCCCUGCCUUUUUCUCUCUCUAGAUACUCAUCAAUUCUCCUUCUUCCAGGUACAGUACAGAUGGGGAAGGUUUAGUAAUAACUGGUAGCGCCGGCUCGCCAUUAUCUGCCAUCGUCCUAGAUCGUGGCUCCGUGUGGUCUAGUAAGGGCAUGAAUUAUGCUACACCGUCGACAGAGAGGAUUAGUAGUACGACAAAUGUAGCGGUGGGUGGGCUCCAGCUGAUGAGCUGACCGAUGCAGCGGUAGUAGCCUCUACUGUCUGUUUUGGGCCAGCUACUGCCCCGACUACUGCAGCUGCUCCUCGCCGGCGUUUGCUCCAUGACGGCAGCUGUUCCGCUAGCUUCUUUUCAAGUGCACUGGCGGCUGCAGCACUCCGCACGGCUCCCUUUAGUAGUACUGGUUUGAACUUCUCCGAUGCCUCCCAUGCCCAGUCCGAGUUCUACUAUGGUCCCCGAGAGAUAUGGUGGUGAGUUGAACUUCAAGUUGGCCAGCAUCUGUGAAAUACUGAAGCAGUUGGCAUCCCUUCAUUAUUUAUAGGAAGAUAAAUGGAACUACGCCUAUUGAUCUGGUAUAACAACCGUACAAAGCCUGGUCAUUAUGUAAUCGCCAUAUAAAGACCAGAUGCUUGUUGGUUGGUGAACUUUCUGACGCAGUUGAUGGAUGUUCCUGCAGGCUGCAGAUUUCCCUACGUGAAUGGAGAUCAUUCAUUGACCAGACAUUCAUGCAAAGCUUUGGUGCCCAUCAUUUUAAUGUUACAUUGGAUGGAAUCAUUUGGAUAUAAAUAACACUUUUAGUAUAAAUGAACUGGCAGUCGUGGGAUUCUAAAUCUAAUUUUGUGUUUGGAUGCGGUCAGGAAUUUUGAAGUAAAUUAAAUUGGGAACUCGUUUGAAUCAUGUUCUUUUUAUUUUGCAGGUGUGAAUCAUGUUCAUGUAUACAUUUGUAAACAAUAUACUUUAAUCCAAAUUAAUUGACACACAUUUAGUAUAACUUUAGUACAAAGUUGUACUAAGUUUGCAUCAAUUAAUAUGGACUGAAGGAGUACCAUACUUUUCCCAUCAGACCUAUAAUAUGACACUAGUAUAACGCCCAUGCAUUACCACGGGCUUUUAUAAAAAAUAAAGAUGCUAGUUUAAGCUAAAAUAACCAAGAACAAUGUCGUCUUAGCUAACGUACAUCUAUCCCUAAAAAAGCAACACAUCUUUAUUUUAACAAUCACCUAACACACAUAAUACUAUCAAACGUAAUAAUGUAUUAUUCAUUCAUCUUGGCACGACCUGAGUCUAAAAUAUCACGAAUACAAUCCGGCGGGUUCCUGACCGAAGUCAAUGCGAGUCUAAGAUAUCAUAAAUACAAUCCGACGGUUCCUGACCUAAGUUUUACAUAACUUAUUUGCACAACAUGGUUCGCUAGCCAAUGAGCAGCUCCAUUAGCCGAGAUGGGCGGUGCACCCAACGAUGCUACCCUAUUUGGAACGGACAUGUCCUGGCGUUGCCAUCGCCAGAGAUGAUCAAAGAGGUGUUGCGAGUAGCUACCGGCGCCGGACAGGGCAUCCACCCCCGCUACCCUCCUCUGGUUGGCACUGAAACACUUGGGUGGAGAGAUGAAGGAAGCGCCGCGGCACCUUGUGUGGAAGGGAUGGCGAUGAACGAGAGCACCGUAAGGUGCCUGCCCUUGCACACUGCAUCGGGGAACCAACACACACCGUCGAGUACGGUCUAGACAUUGAGUGCCACUUGGGUGGGCAGCGCUAGAGGGAGCACCAAUUGGGUGGACAAUGCCCGGGCGUUGCUACGGGCUGCUGAUACGUCUCCGUCGUAUCUACUUUUCCAAACACUUUUGCCAUUGUUUUGGACUCUAACUUGCAUGAUUUGAAUGGAACUAACCCGGACUGACGUUGUCUUCAGCAGAAUUGCCAUGGUGUUAUUUUUGUGCAGAAACAAAAGUUCUCGGAAUGACCUGAAACUUCACGGAGAUUAUUUAUGGAAAUAAUAAAAAAUACGGGCGAAAGAAUUAAGGCCAGGGGCCCACACCCUGUCCACGAGGGUGGGAGGCGCGCCCCCCUACCUCGUGGGCCCCCUGGUGCUCCACCGACCUGAACUCCAACUCUAUAUAUUCACGUUCGGGGAGAAAAAAAUCAGGGAGAAGGAUUCAUAGCGUUUACGAUACGGAGCCGCCGCCAAGCCCUAAUCUCUCUUGGGAGGGCUGAUCCGGAAUCCGUUCGGGGCUCCGGAGAGGGGAAUCCCUCGCCAUCGUCAUCAUCCACCAUCCUCCAUCACUAAUUUCAUGAUGCUCACCGCCGUGCGUGAGUAAUUCCAUCGUAGGCUUGCUGGACGGUGAUGGGUUGGAUGAGAUUUAUCAUGUAAUCGAGUUAGUUUUGUUAGGGUUUGAUCCCUAGUAUCCACUAUGUUCUGAGAUUGAUGUUGCUAUGACUUUGCUAUGCUUAAUGCUUUUCACUAGGGCCCGAGUGCCAUGAUUUCAGAUCUGAACCUAUUAUGUUUUCAUGAAUAUAUGUGAGUUCUUGAUCCUAUCUUGCAAGUCUAUAGUCACCUACUAUGUGUUAUGAUCCGGCAACCCCGAAGUGACAAUAAUCGGGACCACUCCCGAUGAUGACCAUAGUUUGAGGAGUUCAUGUAUUCACUAUGUGUUAAUGCUUUGGUCCGGUACUCUAUUAAAAAAAGGCCUUAAUAUCCCUUAGUUUCCAUUUGGACCCAGCUGCCAUGGGAGGGUAGGACAAAUGAUGUCAUGCAAGUUCUUUCCAUAAGCACGUAUGACUAUAUUCGGAAUACAUGCCUACAUUACAUUGAUGAAUUGGAGCUAGUUCUAUGUCACCCUAUGUUAUAACUGUUGCAUGAAUAAUCGCAUCCGGCAUAUCUCCAUCACCGAUCCAAUUCCUACGAGCUUUUCACACACUGUUCUCUGCUUAUUUACUUUUCCGUUGCUACCGUUACAAUCACUAUAAAACUAUCACUGUUACUUUUGCCACUGUUACCGCUACUAUCAUACUACUUUGCUACUAAAUACUUUGCUGCAGAUAUUAAGUUAUCCAGGUGUGGUUGAAUUGACAACUCAACUGCUAAUACUUGAUAAUAUUUUUUGGCUCCCCUUGUGUCGAAUCAAUAAAUUUGGGUUGAAUACUCUACCCUUGAAAACUGUUGCGAUCCCCUAUACUUAUGGGUUAUCAAGACUAUUUUUUGGCGCCGUUGCCGGGGAGCAUAGCUCUAUUCUUUGAGUCACUUGGGAUUUAUAUCUGCUGGUCACUAUGAAGAACUUGAAAGACGAGAAAACUAAAAUUUAUCCCUCAACUACGAGGGGAGGUAAGGAACUGCCAUCUAGCUCUGCACUUGAUUCACCUUCUGUUUUGAGUAAGCUUGCGACACCUAAACCUGCUUCUGCUAUUAAUUCUGAUAUGUCGCAUGUUAUUGAUGAUGCCACUUCUGCUAUGCAUGAUACUUAUGAUGAAACUACUUCUAUGCUUGAUACUACUGUGCCACUUGGUGAAUUUCUUGAUGAACAACUUGCUAGGGCUAGAGAGAAUGAAAUUAUUGAAACUGAUAAUAUUGAUGAAAGUGAUGAUGAAGAUUCUCUCCCUAAAUAUGAAUUGCCUGUUGUGCCUGAGGGUUAUGUUAUGGAUGAAGAAACUGCUAGGGACUUUCUUGCUUGCAAUUAUAGAAGUGAUCUUAAGAAAUUAUUAGCUAAGCUGAAACAAAAAUCUCUGAAUGCUAGAAUGAAACAUGAUCCUGCUUAUGCUACUUCACCUAUCUUUGUUACUGAUAAGGAUUAUGAAUUCUCUGUCGACCCAGAUAUAAUUACUUUGGUUGAAUCUGAUCAUUUCUAUGGCUAUGAAUCUGAAACUGUUGUGGCACAUCUUACUAAAUUAAAUGAUAUAGCCACCCUGUUCACUAAUGAUGAGAAAUCUCGUUACUAUUAUAUCCUUAAAAUAUUUCUGUUCUCAUUAAAGGGUGAUGCUAAGAUAUGGUUUAAUUCUUUUGAUCCUGGUUGUGUGCGUAGUCCCCAGGAUAUGAUUUAUUACUUCUCUACUAAAUAUUUUCCCGCUCAUAAGAAACAAGCUGCUUUAAGGGAAAUAUAUAAUUUUGUGCAAAUUGAAGAAGAGAGUCUCCCACAAACUUGGGGGAGGCUUCUCCAAUUACUUAAUGCUUUGCCUGAUCACCCUCUUAAGAAAAAUGAAAUACUUGAUAUCUUUUAUAAUGGACUAACCGAUGCUUCCAGAGACCACCUAGAUAGUUGUGUUGGUUGUGUUUUCAGGGAAAGAACAGCUCAUCAAGCGGAAAUUCUAUUGAAUAAUAUGUUGACCAAUGAAAAUAAUUGGACACUUCCUGAACCAACUCCUAAGCUAACUCCGAAGAAAAGGGGUGUUCUAUUUCUCAGUCCUGAAGAUAUGCAAGAGGCAAAGAAAUCUAUGAAAGAAAAAGGUAUAAAAGCUGAAGAUGUUAAGAAUUUACCUCCUGUUGAAGAAAUACAAGGUCUUAAUUCAUCACCUAUUGAAGAAACACAUGGUCUUGAUAACCCGACACAGGUAGUAAAGGUAAAUUCUCUCUAUAGAUUUGAUGAAGGUGAUAUUCCUCGUUAUAAGUCUGCUAGCCAAUGCCUAGAUGAGUUUGAUAAUUUUAUGGUUAAGCAAGAAGAUUUUAAUGCUUAUUUUGGUAGACAACUGAAACGCAAUGCUUAUAUGAUUGAACACUUGAGUGAUUAUAUGUCUAGAAUUAAAGGUGAACUUAAACUCAUUAGUAAACAUGCUUCUAUGGUUACCACUCAAGUAGAGCAAGUACUUAAAGCUCAGAAUGACUUGCUCAAUGAAUUAAAUAGUAAGGAUAAUGACUUUGUUGUUAGAGUUGCAACUAGAGGGGGUAAUGCGACUCAGGAACCUCUGUAUCCUGAGGGCCACCCUAAGAGAAUUGAGCAGGAUUCUCAGAGAACUAUUGUAGAUGCACCUAGUCCCUCUAAAAGGAAGAAAAAGAAAAAUGAUAGGACUUUGCAUGCUGCUAGUGAACCUGUUGUUGACACACCUGAGAAUCCCAAUGAUAUCUCUAUCUCUGAUGCUGAAACGCAAUCUGGUAACGAACAUGAACCUAGUGACAAUGUUAAUGAUGAUGUUCAUGUUCAUGCUCAACCUAGCAAUAACAAUGAUGUAGAAAUUGAACCUGCUGUUGAUCUUGAUAACCCACAAUCAAAGAAUCAACGUUAUGAUAAGAGAGACUUUGUUGCUAGGAAGCACGGUAAGGAAAGAGAACCCUGGGUUCAGAAACCCAUGCCUUUUCCUCCCAAACCAUCCAAGAAAAAGGAUGAUGAGGAUUUUGAGCGCUUUGCUGAAAUGAUUAGACCUAUCUUUUUGCGUAUGCGUUUGACUGAUAUGCUUAAAAUGAAUCCUUAUGCUAAAUAUAUGAAAGAUAUUGUUACAAAUAAAAGAAAGAUACCGGAAGCUGAAAUUUCCACCAUGCUUGCUACUUAUACUUUUAAGGGUGGAAUACCUAAGAAACUUGGAGAUCCAGGAGUACCAACUAUACCAUGCUCCAUUAAAAGGAACUAUGUUAGAACUGCUUUAUGUGAUCUUGGAGCCGGUGUUAGUGUUAUGCCUCUCUCUUUAUAUUGUACACUUGAUUUGAAUAAGUUGACACCUACUGAAAUACCUUUGCAAAUGGCUGAUAAAUCAACUGCUAUACCUGUUGGUAUUUGUGAGGAUGUGCCUGUUGUGGUUGCAAACGUUACUAUUUUAACGGACUUUGUUAUUCUUGAUAUUCCCGAGGACGAUAGUAUGUCUAUUAUUCUUGGAAGACCCUUUUUGAAUACUGCAGGGGCUGUUAUUGAUUGCAACAAAGGCAAUGUCACUUUUCAUGUUAAUGGUAAUGAGCAUACGGUACACUUUCCGAGGAAACAACCUCAAGUUCAUAGUAUAAAAUCUAUUGGAAAAAUUCCAUCGAUUAUUAUUGGAGGUUUUGAAUUUCCUCUUGCUACUGUCAAGAAGAAAUAUGAUAUUCUUAUUGUUGGGGAUGUGCAUAUCCUCGUUGAGGUAACAUAGUGUUAUUCAAAAUUUCUCCGGUUCCAUGUUAUUUGGAAUGAGUUUAUUAAUAAGACUUGAUCAACUUUGUUAGUGGAUUCCUUUUGAUGAGCAUGAGAUGGAUGAAGUUAGAAAGCACAACCUUCUGUACCCUUCUUUUACUUUCUGUUAUUUAGUUGAAAUGAAGUUAAAAUAGUAUUUUUCUUUCAGUUUUCUGAAUUAUCCGUGCAAUAAAAAAUACCCCGAAAAUAACAGUUCUCCGAAUGCCCCGAAAUUGAAAUAUGAUUUUUUCUAGAAUAUUUAAGAAUAUUUGGCACUGAGAACACAUCAGGGGGAGCUGGCACCUAGCCACGAGGGUCCAGGGCGCGCCCCCUGCCUCGUGGGCCCAUGGUGGCUCCCCUCCACUUAUUCCAGCCACCACACACUCCUUCUUCCUCCCAAAAAAAUCACCAACCAGCUCAAGCACGAGUUCUUGCUCAUCUUGCUGCCAUUUUCGAUCUCCUUGCUCAAAGCACCUCUCACAAAACUGCUUUGGGGGAUUGUUCUUUGGUAUGUGACUCCUCCAAUGGCCCAAUUAGUUUUUGUUCUAGUGCUUUAUUCAUUGCAAAUUUGUGCUGCUUAGGUGACCAUGUUCUUGAGCUUGCAUGUCAAAUUUAUUUGGUCCCAAGUAGUUCUAAUGCAUGAUAUAGUCUAUAGGCACUUGUGGGAGUAGUUGCUAUCAAUUUUGCUGAGUUUGGUUCACUUUUAUUUGAAGUUACUAAAAUUUUCAGAAAUUUUCAGAAAAUGAUGAAGAGAUUUUUGAGGGGCUCUUCGAGCCGAAGCUCGAAGGAUAAGCAAAGUGAAGAAGAAGAGAGGCCCAAAUAUAAUCUUCCUUGUACCGCGGAGGUUCGACCGUGUGAAUGGCCUUGUGAUGAUUUCUUGAGAGCAGCCGGGAUAUAUGAUGCUUUUUAUGAGUUGGAGGAUAAUGCAGGCCUCACCGACUUCCUCCGCGACCAACACGAACAGUAUCUCUUACUCACUAAUAUCUUUGUGCAAAAUUUCCAUUUCCAUGCUAGGAGGUCACCACCUUCGGUGGAUUUUUAUUUAUAUGAUGAGUAUAAGGAGAUGCCCCUCUCCGAAUUUUGUGAGGUUUGCAAGCUGCCCUCUUCGGGCAGCGUAGAGGAACCACAUCGUGACGAUGUGGAGGGUUUUAUUGAUACAAUUGCUGCGGGGGAGACUAGGAAAGUUUCUGAUGCAAGAAUUACUAGCAUAUAUUUCCCUGUUUUACGUUACUUUGCAUUAUUUGCUAGUAGAUGCUUGAUUGGUCGCGGAAACUGUGGUAACCUAAGUGCCCCUGAUAUUGUUUAUUUUGUGCCAUGCCUUGUUUCGUGAUGAUACAUUUAGUAUGGGCGCUAUUGUUGCAAAGCGGUUAAAUCUUAACCGUACUAAGGGCCCCAUCUCGGGAGGCAUCUUCGCCUCGCGCCUCGCUGCAUACUUUAACAUACCUAUUAGGCAUUAUGAGAAAGAAUAAAAGUUGCUGCCUUCUGUUAUUCUAGACUAUAAGAGUAUGGUAGCACAUGAUUUUAUCAUUAAGAACAAGAAAAAGGAGCUUAACUAUAGACUGUUAUUUGAUAAAAAUCACCCUGAGAUUAUUACUUUGCCUGCUCCUUCCUUGUUUGACUUAUCUGCAGGCAAGUACCUGGUUCCACUGAAGGCCAUUCACGCCUACCGAGACCCCACAUCAGCUACAGAGCCAGAUCCGGAACCACAAUUUGUUCCCCCACGCCAGUCUGUUUACCAGUGGGAUCCGGAGGAGGUUGCCAACCAGUGGCAACCCGAGGCUUCAUCUCAGUACGACCCCAGUUAUAACUUUGGAUAUCCACCAGGCCAGCCGUGGCGAUAGACCAACUUAGGCCAAAAGCCUAAGCUUGGGGGAGUACGUAUUUCCCACCGACAUUACACUUAUGCUUACACACUCAUGCUAGUUGUCGGUGCUCAUAUUUUUUUCAUUGUACUAUCCAUGCUAGUUUAUUUUCCUUUUUAUGCUUUCUUCUUGUGUGUUUGAAAAACCUUAGAAAAAUAAAAAAAAUAGUUGUAGCGUUUAGCUAGUUUACUUUCCAAGCUUGUAGUACUAGUAACUAAAAGAAAACCCAAAAAGAUUUUCUGUUCUUCUUUUGCUUGUUGGGAGCUUUCCCGUGUAAAUAGUUUUUUUCUUUUUUUUUAGGGGUCGAUAGGAGAAGACUAUUAUGAAAAUGUUGACGUGGCUCUUAUAUGCAUUAUUGUUGAUUUAACCAAGAGCCCAUAUUGCCUUGUCUUCUCCUGUUUAUUGAAUAUUCGCAGAUUCCAGCUUAGUCCAAUGCACGUGCACUAUUAUUAUUAUUUACAUCAUUCGGCCGUGCAAGUGAAAGGAAAUUAUGACGAUAUAUUAUGGACUGAUUGAGAUGAGAGAAACUGGUAUGAACUCAACCUCUUUUAUUUUUGUAAAUAUGAUAGUUCAUCGUUCCUCAUUCAGCCUAUUAUGAAUGAAACAUGUUUGCAAUGACAAUUAGAGAUUAUAGUUGCUUAUGCCAUGAUUAAUUAGCUAGGAGUUUAUAAUGGUUUACCUUGCGUGCCAACAUACUAUUAAAAUGGUUGUGAUGUGAUAUGAUGGGGUGGUAUCCUCCUUUGGAUGAUUCAAGUGACUUGACUUGGCACAUGUUUACACAUGUAGUUGAAACAAAUCAACAUAGCCUUCACGAUAUUUAUGUACAUGGUGGAUUAUAUCCUACUCAUGCUUGCACUCAAUGUUUAUUAAUUUUAAUGCAUGUUCAUGACUGUUGUCGCUCUCUAGUUGGUCGCUUCCUAGUCUUUUUCUAGCCUUCACUUGUACUAAGCGGGAAUACUGCUUGUGCAUCCAAUCCCUUAAACCCCAAAGUUAUUCCAUAUGAGUCCACCAUACCUUCCUAUAUGCGGUAUCUACCUGCCGUUCCAAGUAAAUUUGUAUGUACCAAACUCCAAACCUUCAAAUGAAAUUCUGUUUUGUAUGCUCGAAUAGCUCAUGUAUCAACUAGGGCUGUCUGUAUCUUCCAUGUUAGGCGGGUUAUUAUCAAGAGGAGUGGACUCCGAUCCUCACUCACGAGAAAAUGGCUGGUCACCGGGAUGCCCAGUCCCAUGCUUUAUGCAAAUCAGAUCAAAAUAACUACAAACAAAACUCCCCCAGGGCUGUUGUUAGUUGGAGGCACUCAUUGUUUCGAGCAAGCCAUGGAUUGAUGCUUGUUGGUGGAGGGGGAGUAUAAACUUUACCAUUCUGUUUGGGAACCGCCUAUAAUGUGUGUAGCAUGGAAGAUAUCACCAUCUCUUGGUUGUUAUGUUGACAAUGAAAGUAUACCGCCCAAAAUAGUAUUUAUCUCUAUUUCAAAAACCGAGCUCUGGCACCUCUACAAAUCCCUGCUUCCCUCUGCGAAGGGCCUAUCUAUUUACUUUUAUGUUGAGUCAUCACCCUCUUAUUAAAAAGCACCAACUGGAGAGCACCGCUGUCAUUUGCAUCCAUUACUAUUAUUUUAUAUUGGGUAUGACUAUGAUUGGAUUUCUUUUACCAUGAAUUACAAUGUCUAGUCAGUCCUUGAUCUUUAAAGGUGCUCUGCAUUUAUGUUUUGCGGUCUCAGAAAGGGCUAGCGAGAUACCAUCUUGUUAUAUCAUAUCAUGACUGUUUUGAGAAAGUGUUGUCAUCCGAGAUUUAUUAUUAUUGCUGCUAGUUGAGCCAUUGAUAUGAGUAAACAUGAGACCUAAGUGUUAUUGUGAAUAUGGUUAGUUCAUAAUCUUUGCUGAAAACUUGAAUACUGGCUUUACAUUUUUACAACAACAAGAGCAAACAGAGUUUGUAAAAGUUUUUUUUAUCACUUUCAGUUUGUCAACUGAAUUGCUUGAGGACAAGCAAAGGUUUAAGCUUGGGGGAGUUGAUACGUCUCCGUUGUAUCUACUUUUCCAAACACUUUUGCCCUUGUUUUGGACUCUAACUUGCAUGAUUUGAAUGGAACUAACCAGGACUGACGCUGUUUUCAGUAGAAUUGUCAUGGUGUUAUUUAUGUGUAGAAACAAAAGUUCUCGGAAUGACUUGAAACUUCACGGAGAUUAUUUUUGGAAAUAAUAAAAAAUACUGGCGAAAGAAUUAAGGCCAGGGGCCCACACCCUGUCCACGAGGGUGCGAGGCGCGCCUGCCCCCAGGGCGCGCCCCUUUGCCUCGUGGGCCCCCUGAAGCUCCACUGACCUCAACUCCAACUCUAUAUAUUCACGUUCGGGGAGAAACAAAUCAGGGAGAAGGUUUCAUCGCGUUUUACGAUACGGAGCCGCUGCCAAGCCCUAAUCUCUCUCGGGAGGGCUGAUCUGGAGUCCGUUCGGGGCUCCGGAGAGGGGAAUCCGUCACCAUCGUCAUCAUCAACCAUCCUCCAUCACUAAUUUCAUGAUGCUCACCGCCGUGCGUGAGUAAUUCCAUCGUAGGCUUGCUGGACGGUGAUGGGUUGGAUGAGAUUUAUCAUGUAAUCGAGUUAGUUUGUUAGGGUUUGAUCCCUAGUAUCCACUAUGUUUUGAGAUUGAUGUUGCUAUGACUUUGCUAUGCUUAAUGCUUGUCACUAGGGCCCGAGUGCCAUGAUUUCAGAUAUGAACCUAUUAUGUUUUCAUGAAUAUAUGUGAGUUCUUGAUCCUAUCUUGCAAGUCUAUAGUCACCUACUAUGUGUUAUGAGCCGGCAACCCCGAAGUGACAAUAAUCGGGACCACUCCCGAUGAUGACCAUAGUUUGAGGAGUUCAUGUAUUCACUAUGUGUUAAUGCUUUGGUCCGGUACUCUAUUAAAAGGAGGCCUUAAUAUCCCUUAGUUUCCAUUAGGACCCCGCUGCCACGGGAGGGUAGGACAAAAGAUGUCAUGCAAGUUCUUUUCCAUAAGCAUGUAUGACUAUAUUCGGAAUACAUGCCUGCAUUACAUUGAUGAAUUGGAGCUAGUUCUGAGUCACCCUAUGUUAUAACUGUUGCAUGAAUAAUCGCAUCCGGCAUAUCUCCAUCACCGAUCCAAUGCCUAUGAGCUUUUCACAUAUUGUUCUCUGCUUAUUUACUUUUCCGUUGCUAUUAUUACAAUCACUAUAAAACUAUCACUGUUACUUUUGCCACUGUUACCGCUACUAUCAUACUACUUUGCUACUAAAUACUUUGCUGCAGAUAUUAAGUUAUUCAGGAGUGGUUGAAUUGACAACUCAACUGCUAAUAGUUGAGAAUAUUUUUUGGCCCCCCUUGUGUCGAAUCAAUAAAUUUGGGUUGAAUACUCUACCUUCGAAAACUGUUGCGAUCCCCUAUACUUGUGGGUUAUCAGCUGCUGAAGCCAAAUCAUUGAAACGGAAUAAUAAAAUAUAAACACGAUGAUCAAAUUAUUCUUUUAAUUAAGAAAUACUAUGUGUUAAGCAUGAUGGCAUAUGGUUUCCAUCAUACAGCGUGCAUUUGUAUGGGUCUUAAAUAAAUAAAGAAUUAGUAAGAUAACACAAGUUAUUGUCUGUCUUCUAUCUUCCGCUCUCUUUGUCUAUCACUUGGCUUCCAUUCUCCCUUUCUCUUUCUCCCUCUCCACCUGCAUCAUAUAACAAUGCUAUCACCAUUGGUGAAGCCAUAUGAAUUAUGGAUGAGUGCAUCCAGAACAGUUAUAUUAUUAAGGGUUAAUUGCAGAGUUAAACUGAAUUCAUUUCCAGGCGCCUGGACUCAUUUCUAAACCGUCAAAUGUAGAGUUUAUUACAAGGUGAGCAAACGAAAACCAAAAUUUACAAAGAGAAAAAAAGAUAAAAUCUAAAAGCUAUGCAGGAGUAGCUAAAUGUAAGAACAUCACGACCCAAUUCUUAAAAAGAGAUCUACAAGCUACAUUUUGGUACUUGUGAGAUCAUAGGAGCAGUCUGUCAGUGCUGACAGUUUCAUUUUCAUGGUUGAAUAUCGCAGCAUUGCAUCAUUUCAAGAGGGUUAUGGGAUAAAAUGCAUACAAUCCUAGAAGCAAUCCCCAAGCUCUUGUUAAUGAUACAGUAUAUCAGUAAAUGAUCCCAGGAAAUGAAUAACAAGAUUGAGCAUCAACUUCUGUAAUAGGAAAAUAUUCCAAAAGAAUAAAACUAUGUUAUUUGCUCACACUGAGAGACUAUGUUGAGUGUUGUUACUGUCCAGGUUGACAAUUAUAGAGUCAUGAAUAACAAUGCAGCAAAGAUUGGUCUUAAUUUAUAGAAGGACUCCGUCGAGACGGCCCUUAUUGACUUAGGGCGUCUCUCCUUCCGGCGCCCCUUUGGCCCCCUUGAGGUGGACGAGUGGGACUCCCUUCUCCAGUACAUCGCUCUCCUGGCGAUGGACGUUGAGGGCGCCCCGAACUCCGUCUCUUGGCGCCUGGAGCCCUCCGGUCGCUUCUCCACGAAUUCUCUAUACGCGGCCAUUGCCCCUUUGUCGCCCCCUGAGCCCUUUAGCCUGAUAUGGGACAUUCGCCUUCCCCUCAAGAUCAGGAUAUUCCUAUGGCAAUGGAUCCGGGGACGCCUCCCCUCUGGGGUUGAAGUCCGCAAGCGCAAUGGCCCAGGCGACGGGUUGUGUCCCUUGUGCGACAUAGUGGAGGACUCGAACCACAUCUUCUUUUCCUGCUCCACAACCCAGUUCCCGUGGUCUUGCUUCCGUGAGACGGUCGGCGGACCAUGGUGCAAUACCAACUUCCUCGACUUACUCGCUGAGAUCCACGCCUCCCCCCUCGCUACCGCCACAUUCGAUGGCUGUGCAUUGGGGUCCUCGCCUGGACGGUUUGGAACAUCCGCAACAAACUUGUUAUUCAGAAAGUGCCUCUCCGACGUGCGACUGACGCGAUCUUCAAAAUGUGUGCUUAUUUGCAGCUCUGGCGGUCGCUUAGCCGCCCACAGGACCAGGACGUCAUCACCACCCUCCUCGCCGACCUUCGAUCGAUGGCCUCCCGCAUGGCGCCUCCGCUUCCACCACCGCCACCGGAGCCUGAUUAGUCUUGCUGCUCUUGUUGCAGGACACGUGCGUGUUCUAUGUUCCGAGGGCUUGUUGAGCUGUGCCCUCAGCAUUAACCCUCCUGCGACCUUUUAUGUGUGUGAGACUUGUGUGUGUGUGUGAACCUUGUUGGAUGUUUGGCUCGGGCGGUUUGCUUUAUAAUAUAAAGCGGGGCGAAACCCUUUUUCGGUAAUUUAUAGAAGGACAACUAUAAGUCUUGUAUAUAGAAUUCAUUCAACAGAUUUAGGAGGCUAAAUGUAAGAACAUGUAUUGACAUAUCUUUAGCACUACGAAUGAAGAUAAUUUUAUGGUCUAUUGACGCCACCUGAUAAAUAAAAAAUGAGCUUCUUACUUGUACCACCCGGAUGUGAACUACUCCCUCCGUUCCUAAAUAUUUGUUUUUGUAGAGAUUUCAACAAAUGACUACAUAUGGAGCAAAAUGAGUGAAUCUAUACUCUAAAAUAUGUCUAUAUACAUCCGUAUCUGGUAACCAUUUGAGAUCCCUAAAAAGACAAACAUUUAGGAACGGAGGGAGUACUUGUCUAGAAUUUCAGAUAAGCAUGCACUGUAUUUGGUGGUGUAUGGGUGUGAACUCACGCAUGCACACACAGACAAGGAAGCACUCAGCCGACCUGGAAACAGAAUCUUGCGCACGCGCUCUGCAGGCGAGCGCGUCAAAUCUUGCCGCCACUCCGUCUCCGGAGCUGCCUUUCUCUGCCUCCAUCCCUCGCCACUCCACCUUCCCCAUCCCCGCGCCGCUUUCGUCGACAAGCACCCGUCGCCUCCGCCUUCGACGAUGUUACCAUCAUGGCCGCCAGCACAGCACAAUGCCUCGCCAUCACGUCCAUUGAUCAAAUAGGACCAACAAACUGGUUAUACUCUCAAAAAGUGAGCACGCAAGAUGAGUGUAAAACCAAACCAGAUGCAGCAAUCUGAACCACAUAUAACUCCCAGACAAAGUGUACCUCUGCAUCAGUUCCAUAGACACACGAUAGACAACAAAUACAGAUCUCCCAUCAGAUGAGUAGACAGUGUUGUGAACCUCCCCGGACCAUUCUGCAGAGGGUUACAAAAAUGGUGGAAGGAAAAUUGGGAAAACAUUUUUAAGUCCUAGAAAUGAUAGAAAAUGAAGAGUUAAAUUACUUCUUCUGAGGGAAAUAAUUCAUAAGCUAAUUAAUACGUGUAAUGGGAACAUACAUUUUUCACACAAGAUCUCUUCCUGCAAACUUAUUCAGUGCGCUGUUAGGAAUAGUCAAUUUUAGGUCUGAACAAAUUUGUUUGAGAAGAUAUACGAAUACAUAUUAUAAUCAAAUUUAUUUUCUUAAGAGCAUACCUUCCUCUAGAGAUCAGUGAGAUGAUGAAGCAUAUGUCGUGUCUGCAAUCAUGAAAUUGAUCAACAUUUUUUCUGUUGUAACAUAUCGAGGCCGGGCUCACACAGCCAAAUUAUUCGUAGUUUGUAGGACAUAUGAUGCAUUGCAUUACGGAAUCAAUAUCUCUAAUGUAACAUUUUCCAGUCCUAGAAUAAUGAUGUUAAAUCAGAGACGUCAAGCUGAAAACUGCAUAUAGUUCAAUUGAGAUGUAGUGUACAGAGAAGCUCAUUAACCUGAGAUGUGUUUUGUCCAUUGAACUUAAACUGGGCUAUAUUUGCAGCAUGAAGAGACUCCAUUUUGCUUAUUGCUUGAUCAUGGCACACACCCUAAUCAACUUUACUUAAAAACAAAGCAAGACAAAAAUAGGUGUAAUCUACCUACAACACUGGUCAAAAGUGAUCAUGACCAUCUAGCAGCAUAAUAUUGCCUAUGAUUAUUUAACAGAGUAGAAACAUGCAGUACAAAGGAACAAUUUGUAUUGUUUUCUGUACAUAAUGAAAGAGCUAGUGCUCCUAUCUUCUAAAUCAUGAUUAUAUGGAAAGCAAUCAAUUAGUCUUGUGGAUCUUAUGUACCUUGAGGAUGAAUCAAGUUGUUUUUCAAGCAGCUCGAGCUCUUUGAUGCCAAGCGACCCAAGGCCUUCGCCUAUAAUCUGAGUUAGAAUAUCACUGUAAGUAGGUACAUUAGUUAUUAAAACUAAACUACAUGGAUUCGUGUAACGUCAAUACAAUAGAUGUUUGGAUUUCAUUUCUGGAUACAUAGUGUGUCUGAUUGCUCCAGGUUACAAAAUACCCCUAUGAGGAUGGCUCAAACAGCCCCCAAGCUCUCCACCACAUUGCAAUGGUAUAACCAAAAGAAACAAACUAUUCAAUCUAUGUGGUCACACAAAUUAAAAACUCACCUGUGUGUAGGCCCAAAUUGUUCCUUGGCGAGAAAAUGUGACGAUGUCUAGAGGGGAGAUGGCGUCUUUGGAAUUGGUAGCAGGAAGCAUGAAGGCGACGGCUUUCACAACCUCCUCGAAAAUCUUGCAGUAUUAACUAAAAAUCUCACCUUCCUUAUCAAUAUCUGCCUUCAGACCCACAACAACCACAGGGCGCCUCCUCCUUGUUCCCAUGUGGUUAUCUUCCCCUGUUAAAAAGAAGAACACCAUCUGUAAAAUCCAACAACCAAAUCCCUGUCCGUCAUUUGAUCAAACAACCCUCUGCGGCACUUCAUCAAACAACUCCCUAGUUUCUGCAGCUAUGUAGUUCAUUCAGACUGUAGCUGGUCUUACACAAGCUUUAUAAUAAAGUGUCUUCUAUAACCACGCCUUUUUUCUUGGCCUUCCAAACCUAUGAGUUGCUGCAGCUAUGUCCCAACAUCACGAUACACAAGAACACUAAAUGGCACGAAAAUGAAGACACAUGCACAAAGUAACAAGAAUCGUAUAAUACUGAGGAGAGGGAGAGGGAUACGAGGAAUAGCUCAUCACUGGGUAGUUGCGUUGUUGAUGCUGUAGACGCUGGGUCAUUGCGCUACAGCUGUCGUCGUGUGGAUGAAAAGAUUGGACGUUGCAGGAGGAGUUGAUCUGGUCUGACGAUGGGGAUGAACUGCUCUCGCGGACAGGGAAGGGAAGAACACGUCGCCGCAGUGUUUCUCCUCGGCGCUCGUUCUAUGGGGUAGCACCGGCUGCGACGACUGCGAGGCACGAAUGGCUGGCGGCGUGACGGCGACAGCCGGCGUCGGCGUUCGUGGUUGGGACUGCAAUGGCGUGGGGGAACAAGGAGAGGCGUGAGUAGGUUUCGGUCUUAGGUGGGGAUGGAAAAGCGUAUAUGGUGAGGGGGCGAGAUAUCGGCGGCGGCAUAUGGAACCCUAGCCCAUAGUCGGGACUCGGGAGGAAGAGAUGGAGGGAGGGAGGCACGGGCGGGUGUGGAUGCGAGGGGGCCGCUCCCGGUCCUUCCGUUUUUCUCAUCGGGGGCAUCGCUACAUUUUUCGUCCGCGUUUUUUUUCGUUCGAAGGUCCUCGCUACGUGGUCUGUGACGUGCCUGAUUAGAAAAGUUUACAAAUGUUAAGAAAAUUUUUAUUCGGUGAGCGAAAAUUCAUCAUGAAAAUAUGAUGAUAAAAGAUGAGACAAAACUAAACCGGACGAAAAUAAACCCGACGAAAAUAAAUCGUAGACGCAAUCAUACCAAAAGCUCUAUUAGAAGUAGAGAUUCCCCGAUCAAGUUUGUUUCUACCUUGUCAUGCGUCUCAGGCUAGACGUAGCAAGCGGGCCAAAAAGCCCACUCGUGGACCGGCCUAGACUGGAACGAAAUUGUAGGACCGAUAGAAAAAAAACAGCCGGACCGGUAUGCAAAAAGAGGCCCAAAAACAGGUCCGGUCUGGUCCUUUUUUGGCCCGGUCCACUCGGUCGGACGGAAACAAUUUCUUUUUUGCAUUAUCUAAAUUAUAGGUAUGAGUCCCAGCCCAUUUAGCGACCCUGUUAUGAGCUAAGCCCAUCCCAAGCACACACAUUGCACUCAGGCGCGCGACCUCCUAUAUGACGACCUGUGUGUCGGAAACCAGUGAAACGUGCACCCCCGCUCCGUGCGCACCCUCAUGGGCCAGCCCAAGUGUGGGGCGGGAUUUCCCCCUAUCUGAUUUAAGUUUUUUUUAAAUAAUUUGGGAUUUCAAAAAUGUUGCGAAUUGUGAAAAAGAUGUCCGUCAAUUUAGAAAAUGUUCAUGAUUUAAAAAAUGUUCUGGAAAUGAUAAAUGCUCAUGGAUUAAAAAAUGUUUGUGAUUUUGGAAAAAAUGUUCGUGUAUCUAAAAAGUGUUCACAAUUUUUAAAAAAUCAUGAAUCUAAAAAAACUUAACGAUGUUUUAGUUGUUGGAAUUUUUUUGUGUGAACACUUCAAAUCUGUUCAUCUUCAAUCAUGGCAGUAUAGCGAACACCAAUUUUGUUUUAUCCAGACCAUAGACCACCUAGCGACGACUACAAGCACUGUAGCGAGUCGAAGGCGCACCGCCGUCAUCGCCCCUCCAUCGCCGGAGUCGGUCACAACUUGUUGUAGUAGACAGUUGGGAAGUCGUCGUGCUAAGGCCACAUAGAACCAGCGCACUAGAACAACAACCACCGCCGAUGAAGAAUAACGUAGAUCGGAAGGAUUCAACCUAAAGACACAUGAACAUAUACGAACAACGACGAUAUCCAAGCAAAUCCACUAAUAGAUCUGCCGAAGACAGACCUACACACGCCCACCAACGAUGCUAAACAAAUCGCCGGAACGAGGGCUAGGCGGGGAGACCUUUAUUCCAUCUUCAAGAAGCCGUCACCGUCUCGCCUUCCUGAGCAGGACACAAACCCUAACAAAACUGAAAGGACCGACUAAAAUCGGAGCCCUCCCGUCGGCCCUUGCCAGGAUCCACCGUGCCCCCAUGCCCCUAUGGCCACUGGAGACGAGGUGGACCAGCGGAGAUGCUGGCGAGAGGCAGGAACCCUAGCUUUUUUUGGAGGAGGAGGAGGCAGCGGAGGCUCUCUUCCGUGCGUCUAUAAUAGAAUAGAUGUUAUCAUUGUUUAAGUCGUUGGAAAAAGUUGACCAAAUGGAAUGGGGCGAUCCCUAUUUCUAUUGUCACUUAACAAAUCUUGGCCGCUCUUGGAUUUUGAACUAGGGGUAGACCGUAGAUAUUAUUGUAAAAAAAGAGUGUGCGGCUCUAGAAACUUUGCGUUGUAUUAAAAAGAAAUGAGAAAUCUCAUGCUUCAUGUUGAUAUAUAUGCUUUGAACUUUUCUAUAUCCAUUUGACAUAUGCUCAAGUUACUCUUUUGUUCCCCUUCAAUAGGAGGACCCAAUUGGAAGUUCGUUUCGUGGUUUGACAAAUGGUCUAUCGUACCAUUGCAAAGUUCUUGCACGCUGUUGACAGGGUUGGUAAUGUAGUGAAAAAACUUCCAUAUUAUUGUUCAAUUUUGUUUUCUCAAAGAUGGACAAACAUGAAUGAUACCACGAUAGUAGCAGAGUGAUAGCCAGCCAUAGUGUUUCUGUGUUGUUAGCAGAUGGCUGCAACUUACCAUGGCAUGGCCUCGACAUCAACUUUCAUUUCCGGUCAGCUUUGUGGCCAUCUUAUCAAUUAGAUGUUGAAAUUUAAUUCAGUUUAGCUUUGAUUCGCUUAAGGAAAGCGCCGGGGAAGUGCACGACAGCGGACUAGUUCCUCCGCCCAGAUCAGACAAAAUGCUUUGGAUAUUCAGAUCAUCGCUUCUGAGAGGUAUCACAUCCAUUUGCCAAAAUUAACCUGCAGCCCACAUAUUUCACCAGAAGCUUAAUGAAUAUAUAUAGUUGUUCUGAUCUCAUAUUUGAUAAGACACAAAUAAAACAACAUCCACUGCAUUCUCCGAUGCCUCUCAUGCCUAGUCCUGCUACAAGCAUCAAAAGGUAAUGGUGGCGAGAUAAACUUCAAGUCAGACAGGCGCCAGCUUCUCACAAUCUUUAAGUUGGGCAUCCUUUCCCCUCUUUAUAGGAAGAGUGAUGGACCACGAUAUGGUGCCUCAGUCACAGAAAGCUUGACCCUUCUGUACUUGCCUUUAUAAAGACCACAUCUUGUGAAUUGUACUGAAUUAUACAACCUGCAUUGCUUCAGCCUCCCCAGCAUGUAUCCUCAUGUAUGCCCUCUCUCUCUCCCCACUCCUCAAAGUUGUAAAACACUCUUAGCUUUGGCCUAAAUUUUUCUGAUGAAAUUCAGGUGCAAAACCUCUCUCACAGGUGAACAUUAAAAAAAAAAAAACUAAUAAUCCCUCCCAGCACCAUGCUCGGUGGAGCAAGCUAAACAAUCCUUCCCAACACCCAGUUCGGUCCAACAGGAGAGGCAGAUACCAACAGAUCAUAUCCGAUUUGCCCUAUGGACCAAUACGCAAGCAUACGUUUCGCCACUUUCCCGCAAACUAAACAAAAAAAGAAAAACCUGAUCAGUAUAAACAUGUUUCAGGAUCACAUUGCACAGUUGUACACAUGAAACUUGUCUUUAGUAUGGUGUGAUCCUUUCAGCAAUUUCAAAAGUACACGGGAAUUCAAAUAUUUUUCAACAUUUUAAAAUAUUUAAUUCAAUUUAUGUGAAUAUUUAGACCUUUGCCCGAAAUGCAAACCGAAAUAAGUGAAAUUCACUGAAUUCCAGUGAUUUUGGUUGGUGCUGAAUUUUUUCUGAAACUGAAACUGAAAACCGCCUAGUUCAUCAUUUGCUGCAUUAAUGAGAGUCUGCGGCGGUAUCUUGCCAUGGUUGGUAGAGUUAGUGACAUAGCAUAAACAUAAGCUAUCAUACUGAGCCAACAUUCUCCUCCAAAGUUUCUCAAGGUAAACCUUUACUUGUAACGCAUUUCCUGCAGAAGAUGCAAAUACUGGCUUGAAAAAACAGCUUGCGGCGCAAGUGGUAUUGGACUGGUUUACAUUUUUAUGCAAAUCAUCCUUCCUUCAGUUGCACCGAACGCUUGACGUACGACUGGUUUACCUUUUUAUGAAAAUCAUCCUUCCUUCAAUUGCACCGAACUCUCGACGUACCUAGCUUUCCAUUAUCACACCUGCCUCAAAUGUACAGGGCUUAGGGGCUUCUCUGGUUGCUCUGUAUUACAUUACAAAAUCCUGUUUCCGUUAGGUGAAAUCUUGGCCAGUAUUGAAACAGGGAAUAUACCGUAGUCAGAUGAGAAAAAACAGAGUGGGCAUUAGUGACUCACGGUUGCAUUUUUUGCUUCACUUCCGCUUCGGUAGACCCCCUCCAAUACAAGGAUGGUCAAGAUUGUCCGAUACCCCUUUAAAACGAAGGGCACGAUGGGCAUUAUUUGAAAAAGAGAACGCCCGUCCACCCGCCCGCCCGCGUCGUGUACGUAUAGAAAUACACAUAGUGUUGUUUCAUUUUUUUUCGUCUGGUCAUCCCGCCUGCCCACGCGUACAUAUUUAUUAGUCCAACCGACCCGGCCGGCCACUGCGCACACGCGUACCAUCGUGGUCUAUCCACUCGCCCGCGAUCAACGAGGCAGCUCGCGGUCAACGCGGCUGCAUGGGAUCUUGUCUUCCGCGCGCCGCCCCGUCCCAUCUCGCGCCGCUGCCGGCCGAUAGCACCUCGCCUGCCACCAGACCACGCCGCUGCCGCACGGCAGCACUGCCGCGCCCGCGCCUGCGGCAUGCCACCGCUGCCACGUCCGCGCCUGCCGCACGCCACCGCUGCCGCGGCCCGGCGCCACCCUGCCGCAGUUUAAUGCCCCGCUCCGCCCCGCCACGGCGCCUCACCUGCCGUGCAUUAAUUCCCGGCGCUAUAAAACCCGCCCUGCGCGGCGAGUUUGGUCACACCGCCCGUCCAUCCCUCCUCUCCCUCUUCACACGCGCGUUCUCUUCACCGAUCUGCGCGGGAUGGCGUCCAGCGACUCGGACUCCGACGGCGCGGCACCGGGCAGCGUCUGGCCUUCGAGCCUAACACAAGGGCAGACGGAAGAUCUCUUCCGGUUCGGGCUGUUCGUGCCGCCGGCGGCGAAGGUGCCGCGGCCGUGGAGGAUCUCCGCCGACGGCUACCCCACGCAGGGUCCGCCGGCGACGAACGCCGAGCUGAGCGCGCACCCCGGUGGGCGGUUCAACCGGAGGAACCGCCGCCGAUUUUGGAAGGGCAAGCGGUUCAACGACGUUAUCGGCGCCUUCAAGCGCGCCGCCCGUGGGCUCCCGUUGGCGACAUCACAGGCGAAGCCGGGCCCUCCCGCCUGCGCGGGCGCGGGCGCGCCCCGCCUCCUGGCCCCGCCCCACCAGCCCUGGCCGAGGCCGUGAUCCCGCCGGAGGUGGCGGCGCUCCGACAGGACGGCGACCCGGAGGACACGCCCGGACUGCUCGCGGCCCUAGCGCGGUCAUCGGAAGAAGCCGCCGCGGCGGCGGCGCGGGAGGCCGAGGAAGCCUCCGAGAUUGCGGCCGCAAUCCAGGCGGCCGAGGCGAUGGCGGCGCCGCAGGCGGCGAUGGCGGCGCCGCCAGAGUGGCAGCAGGCGCCGGCGGUGGAGGAGGAAGAGGAUUCGGACGACGUCCCGGUGGACUGGGACGACGUCGCGAACCGGUCCAGCAGCGACGAUGACGGCGGCAACGGCCCGGGCGUGAUUGACCUCGUUGAUAGCGACGCCGAGUAGUUUUUUUAGCGUGUUGUUUAGGUAAUUUGGUUAUGUUGUUCUAAGUCUAAGUACUAGACUUUAUGUACGAACUAGACUUUAUGUACGAACUUAUCAUCAUCGAGUUCGCUCAAGUAUGUAAAAUCUCUUAUCUAUGUUGAAUGAAAUUUGAGUGAAAUUUGUUUUGUCCAUUUCAUUUGAGAGUAUUGAUUUGAUGAUGCAUUUGUACACCAAUAUAUGGUAAAACAUAAGAAAUUAGUAACGAUGCUCAAUGUAAAGUUACGUGAUUGAAUGCAUGUAAUGAAACGAAAUUUUGCGAGUGUGUGCGCAUCCCGAAUUUAGUUCUGCACGCAUGAUAUGAACGAAAUCACACAAGGAACACACGUCGCGCCACGUCCGGACAGCGGUUUAGGGUACUUUCGCCUAAAAAACACUAGAAAAUGCAUCGGACGUAAAAAAAUACCGAAAGUUGCCGUGCGUUCUGUGGAUGGUCAAGGCAACGUGUGGAAAAAGUUAGGUGACGUUUGACGGAGUAGAAAAAAAACCAUAGUUGGGAACCCCCUCUCCGGCAGACCAAAAAGUAGCUGGUUGCACUGGGGUUACGUGAUCGCAUGCAUGCAAGUGGACCAAAGUGUGCGUACACGUGGGCACGGCCAACGUAGGCCCCCACGCAAGGUUGUAACGAAAACGGAUACAAAACGAACGUUGCGUCACGUCCGGCCAGUGUUUUAUUGUUUUUUGAACGGGAAAACCAUAGAAAAUGCAUCGAGCGUCGGAAAAAUAUGCAAAUUGGCGUGGGCGCUGUGGAUGGUGAUGCCAACGUGUGGAAAAAGUUACGUGACGUUUGACGGAGUAGAAAAAAACCGUAGUUGGGAACCCCCUCUCCGGCAGACUGAAAAAUAGCUGGUUGCACUGGGGCUACGUGAUCGCAUGCAUGCAAGUGGACCAAAGUGUGCGUACACGUGGGCACGGCCAACGUAGGCCCCCACGCAAGGUUGUAACGAAAACGGAUAUAAAACGAACGUUGCGUCACGUCCGGCCAAUGUUUUAUUGAUUUUUGACCGGGAAAACUAUAGAAAAUGCAUCGAGCGUCGGAAAAAUAUGCAAAUUGGCGUGGGCGCUGUGGAUGGUGAUGCCAACGUGUGGAAAAAGUUUCGUGACGUUUGGCGGAGUGAAAAAAAUACGUUUCAAUCAAUGUAUUUUCGAUAUUGGAUGUUUUAAAAAACGAACGCAUGUAAUGAUUGGGAAAAAACUAAUGAAUGGGUUGUUAGAAAAAAAUUUAAUAGAUAGGCCCCGCGUAUACAUGCAUAUCCAUUGGGGGUCAAAGCCCUAGUGGACGCCGCCUCCACGCCUCCACGAUCGCCACUCCACGCCGCCUCAACGCCUCCACGAUCGCCUCCCCCGACGCCAUCUGCGGCCGACGCUGCCCUCGACGCCACCUCACGCCGCCUCCACGAUCGCCUCCCCCGACGCCGUCAGCGGCCGACGCCACCUCACGCCGACGCCAUGAUCGCCUCCCCCAACGCCAUCUGCGGCCGACGCCGCCCCCGACGCCACCUCACGCCGACGCCAUCUGCCACCGACGCCAGCUCACGCCGACGCACCAGACAGCGACUGCCCCGACGCCAUCUGCGGCCGACGCCGUCGCCCCCGUCGCCACGUAACGCCGACGCCCCCAACUUGGUAAACACAGAUUCGGACCUACUUGCAUGUUUCAUGUGCUUUAUCAUAGAUCAUAGAUCAUGCGUCGACGCCCCCAACAUGAUGAAUUUUAUUUGCAGGUUGCGACCGACGCCAUCUGCCACCAACGCCACCGUGCCGUCGUCCCCCAGGGCCGGCCCUGAUCCCAUGGCACGAGGUACUAUGCAUUCAUCAUGUUUAUCAUGUACCCAUAUAUGGUAGCUAACAUUAUUUUUGCUCCUAUUCCUGGCGACGGUGGAGUACGGAGAUAUUUUUUGUUCGGUUGAGAAGUGGUGUCUCUUGGUCAGCAAACUAAACUCUAGGCAGAAAAAGCGUUUUGCAAGCACUAGUCUCGAAAAAAUGCUGAUGAUUCCUAGUGUGCUCAUGCGAAAAUGUUUGCUCAAGUUCAUUAUUAAAUCAUAUGCGUUGGACAGAAAAAGGUUCAUCAUGCCAUCAAAAAAUGGUGCGAUGUCAUUGCGCACCGAAGAUGUGUUUGACAUUUUUGGGCUACAGAACAAGGGCAAAGAUGCCAUGAAAGCGCUAGGAAAAGGGGGGUUAAAGGCGAAGGUGAAGGUGCCUAGUCGCUUUCUAGAUUCCAAUACGGGGGAAAUGAUGAUAGACUCGCUGAUUGAGAACAUCGUUGCCAGUGGCACGUACGAUGAUGAUUUUCUCCGUAGAAUUGUUCUGGUUCUUCUAGGCACGGUUCUUGCACCGCAGUCCAUGAAAGAAGUUCCUAAUGCUUAUUACAAGUUAGUGCACGAUGUGUGCCAUCAAAGCAUUUAAUUGGAACGCGUUUACUUUACGCGUUUGCGUUGAAGGCUUCACAAAGACCUUAUCAGAUCGUACAAAAUUUACUUGACCGAUCGGAAACCUUGCCCUCCUACAGGUAAAUCUUAUGUUAUAUUUUUUUCUUUCGAACUAUAGUUUGUGAAAAAAAUUGCUAAUAUACUUCAUGUUCAUGCAGUACUUGUUUUGGGAGAAAGUGCAGCCACUGGAUGAUGAGGCAUUUGAUCCAUUGGCUCAUGAAUAUCCGUUGAUGCUUAAUUGGUCAGAAGAUGAGGCUAAGAAGCGUGACGCGUACGACACGUCAUACGGCCGUGGUAAUGGGACGGUAAGUUACUAUUAAUAUGUUACUAUUUCGUACUGCAUGCACUUAUGUUACUAUUUAUAUGUUGAGAAAUUUAUAUUGAUUUUACCUGUCACAGAUUGAUGACGUGAUAAGUGAGAAGUACAGGCAUAUAUUAAUUGCUCAGCAAGGAAGAAAGGUGGAGGAAGAAUUAGAGCAAGAAGAUCGUGCCCAAAAAAAGAAAGAUAAUAGAGAUGAGGCUUCAUCGAGCAGGGAUAGUACAUUAGAUCAAGUGAUGAAAUGCAUCAAAGAUAUGCAAAAAGAAAUUAGACUUCUCCCUCAAAAAUGUGCGGAGGUAAUAUCAGUGAUGUUCAGUUUACAUUGGAUUAUUCAUAAUUUAUGCAUGUAGUUAAUGCUUUCGAUGUGUCAUUGCAGAUAGUAGUGGAGAAGCUGGAGAAGAAAGGUCUUGUAUUCAAGCCAAACAAGGGGUCUGAUGAUGACAUUGAGUUUGUGGAGCAUAGUGAAGACUGGGUGGGGAAGUAUGGUCCAUCAAAAUACAAAUCAUCAAAAUAUUGGACAUAUGUAAAAUCAACUCCUGCAAAAGAAGAUAUGGACAACAGGGUGGACGCAUCCUUCACCACUGGGAACGGGAAUAAAUUGGCGCGUGAGAAAGGUGUGCAUCACAACACACCUGGUACAGGAGAUGAAGGAGACCCCUUCGUUAUUGAGGACAAUGGUAAUUCACCCAACCCAUCUCUUGCGACGGUAGACACGAAUGACUUUCCGGCUAUUACUUCAAUCCCCAAGAAUAUGAAUGAAGUGUCAGACGGGUCUAGCGCCGAUAAAUCUGAGGAGAUUAGUAUGGAUAGUCUGAACACCCGUAUUAAAAAUGCGAAAGAAAAUGGCACUCCGGAGAAUGAUGGGAAGGAGCAUGAUGGGAAAUGCAAGAGGAAACAGUCAAAAUAUUGUCUUUCACCUUACCAGCAGAACGGUGGACGUAAACGUGCAAACAAAAGUAAGUGCUAGGUAAUUUAUUCUUGCAACAUACUUCUGUACUUGCAUUCACACUUUAUUAACUCAUUGUUUCUUACUAUUUUAGGUCUGUUUGGUAUAAGAGCUGCUAUGAUUAAUACUGAUUACAUUAAUGAGGAUCACAUAGAGGCCGCGAAGGUUUAUAUCCGGACACUGGCAGACUCAGAUAAGCUUUGCAGCAAAACUGUCGUGCACAUGACGGGAAUUGGUGGGGAAACAUGUACACCUGAAAUGCUUGAAGCCAUCAUUUCGAAAAAGUGGUUGCAUGGCGGUGUAAGUAUUGUCAAUAAUUUAUUAAGUUGUACAUGUCAUUUACAUAAAUUAUCUAAUAGGCGUAUUGAUGUUAUGUUAUUUUGUAGGUCAUCAAUAGUUAUUGCAACCAUAUGCAGUCCCAUAAUCCUCGUGCUGACCGUCACAUAUUAUCAUCUUGGGUGUCCCACUGGCUUAUUCUUCGUGCUGAUGGAAAGGUUAACAACUCUAAGAGGCAUUUUAUGGAUCACUUCACAAACCAAACUAAAAUGGUGUCUAGAGUUAGUGAAGAGUAUUUCAUCAAAGAUAAGGUACUUCAGUUUAGUAUGAUCAUUCGUAGUACAUCUGUGUGUACACCAACAUGAAUAAACUUUGUUGUAGGCAUACUUUCCUUUUCAUGUGGAAGAAAAUCAUUGGAUAACAGUUCUUAUGCACAACAAGAAAAAAGAGUUCCAAGUUUUAAUCUCUACUGGUAAAUGCAGCAAAAGAGUUCUUGCAAAGAUUGCUAAGCUUGUAAGCUUGCAACGUUACAUAAAACAACAUAUAGUUAUUCGAAAUGUACUUCAUAUGAAUUUGUCAUUUUUAUUUCAGAGGGCAGAAAUAGCAAAUGAUACAAAGGAGGUGAAUGCUCUUAUUGAAACGGAACAUCCUGACGUAUCAUCCUGGCCAAUAAGGGAGUACGAUAUGCCGUCACAAACAGACGGGUAUGUUCCAAAUGUUUAAUUAGUAUGUACUUGUCUGAUCCAUCAAUAAUUGACUUGUGGUUUCUUGCAGAGUCUCUUGUGGUCUUUUCGUGGUGAAAUGCGUUCAAAACUGGGACGGAGAUGAUUGGACAUUUGAGUUCGAUCAAGAUGAGGUUAAUGCUUCAAGGGGACGCAUUCUAGCUGAAAUACUUUUUUCAGAAUGCAACACGAAGGAAGUAGUGAAAGAGAAGAUCCUCAAGAUCAUGGAGAAGAAAUGAGUCGGAGGAUGGGGUGUUGGCUAUUAUCUCCACUAAAUAAACGUGCCGUUGUCGGUACUUGAUACAAUUUACAUAUUAAGACAUCUCAUUAUUUGCAGUGGUCGGUAUUUGCUACAAUAUCACUCAUAUCUGCGGCAUGGUUUAGCAUGUUUCGCAACUAAAUAAAUGUGAUGUGGUCUGCUACAAUAUCACUCUUAUUUGCAGCAUUGUGGGUGAUGAUUUUUGAACAUGUUAUAUUCGCACUUUGUAUUAUGCACUGUUUGCCAUUUUCAAUGUGGGCUAAUAUUAUCCACUGUUUCCCAUUUUAACUUUGUAUGUACUACCAUUUGUUUGUCCUACUUCCUGUAUUCCAAUGAUCCUUUAUAUGUCAACUUUGUAAUCCCACAUAAAAAGUGGUGGUCAGUGCGGGCAGUCCCACAAACGUCCAGCGGACUGACCAUUUGCAUCCUGACCGGCCGGCAGCUCCUUUCUGUGCAAGUAGUUAAGUUACAAAAAAUGUCCAAAAGAAAAGUUAUAAAAAAUGCCCAACCACCGCUGCUGGGCCCAUAGUAGCUUACAGAACGUACCCAAAUCAAGCCCAAAGGCGACUCGGGCGGCUGAUCGAGCCCACUAGCGGGCCCAGCAACGGGGUCCAACGGGGCACAGGAGAGUAGUAACAGAGGAGUUCGAAACAGGGGGCGGAGGCAGCUAUUUAAGCCGCUCCUCGUGCCCCCCGCUUCCGAGGUGGUCCUAAAGAUGGCGCCCCCAUUGCGCCCAACGCUGCACGCGGUCGCCGCAAGGCUCAGGAGGCCUAAUUUGCGUUGUCUCGGGCCGGCCCAGUUUGGCCCAAUGAAGGCACGCCGCCACUGGCCCCCUCCCCCGGCCCACGCCCCCUCCCGUCGCCUGCGCGGGGCACCAUCGCCGUUUUUAAUACCACCUCGGAAGCGGGAGGUCGCGAGGAGCGGCUUAAAUAGCUGCCUCCGCCCCCUGUUUCGAACUCCUCUGUUAAUUCUGUCCAGUGCCCCGUUUGGACCCCGUUGCUGGGCCCGCUAGUGGGCUCGAUCAGCCGCCCGAGUCGCCUUUGGGCUUGAUUUGGGUACGUUCUGUAAGCUACUAUGGGCCCAGCAGCGGUGGUUGGGCUAUUUUUUUGUAACUUCACUUUUUGAAAAAAAAAUUACAGAAAGGAGCGGCCGGAAACAGCAGCAAACAACAAACAAAAUCAUCAUCAUGCCCAGGUAGUACAACAUAUAUGCCCAGGUAGCAAACAACCAACAAAAUCAUCAUCAUGCCCAGGUAGUACAACAUAUAUGCCCAGAUAGCAAACAACAAACAAAAUCAUCAUCAUGCCCAGGUAGUAUAACAUCUGCAAUGUCAUCUCCAAAUUAAUUACAUAAAUCUUUUGACAAAACAUAAACAAAUAACUUAUCAAGUUUUCUUGCACACACGUACGAAUAAAAAACAACAUAGGUUCAUGCGACCACUUUUAUUCUUCCUACAAACCUAGCCGCAUCUCUACGCCCAGUUCCUGAACAAAACAUAAAGAAAUGGGUGAGCAAAUAUAGUUGGUAAAAUCAAAGUAGCAACAUACCAAAAAUAAGAAGAUAACAUCUUACUUCUCGUUCAAAUGACAUGUAGCCUUAUUAUGACCUGGGAGACUACACAGACUGCACAAAGGACCACUUUUCUUCUCUGUAAAAUCUUUUGGCCUACCAUUCUUUGUAACGUCGGGGCCCCCCUUUGACCGCCCCUUCUUAGGUGCACCCUUCGUCGAAACUUUCUGAGGAUCACCAAUACCAGGCUCAACUUGUUGUGCCUGACUUGCCUCCUUCUUAAGCAUAGCAUACUUUCUACUUCCUAUAAGUUCCUCCUCUGAAAUUUUUUUCUGCGCUAUUAUGUUGUCCAGACACUUCAUCAACUCGUCGAACAAGAAGGGAUCAUUUGCUGCAACAUGAGCAGCUUCUGCGGUUUUAAUGGUUAUUGCACUAUACCGUUCUCUCUCCAAUGGCCCUGACCAACCCCAUCCAAACAUAUCACUCUUCCGCUGCACAGGCAACCCAUCUCUCGCAUGUUUGGACAACCGAUGCAGGACACAACACUUUGGUAUUUCAGUUAAGUUCAGAUGAUGGAGAACAAACAGAAUGUGUUUGCAUGGCAGCCCUUUCCGAACCAUCCUAAGACAACUGCAUGUAAUAGUUUCUUCUGAGUUACCUGGUUCAUAAACAACAUUGUACCUGAACUUGUGGUUAUCCUUCCAUGUCACCAUGAAUGUCUGACGCCCAAUUCCCACGAGCGUCUCAAAUAUCUCCAGCUGACCCAUCUUAUGCAAAUCAUCUUGCAGGAUGUAGAAAUUAGCAGGUGUGAAUACUUUGGCGGCAUGCUCCUCAAGGGCCUUAUAUUCAGUAACCGACGGUGGUUCCUUCUGGAAUGCCUCGCAGUCAUCGUACGCCUCGUUCUCACGCAGGCGAACUAUACAGUUCUCAUAAUGCACCACCAAAUCAACAAUUGUCAUACCGUAGUCCAGGUGAAGGUGAAGGCAGGAGUUGAGGCUUUCACUCCUCUGGUUACUUCGCAUACCAAGGAAAAACCCAUCGGAAAGAUAUGAAGCUGCCCAAAGUCUCCUCUUCCUGUACAUCCUGUCAAGCCACUCUUCAGUUCUAUCCGUCUUCCACUUAUCACAAAAAGCUUUCCAUCUCUGCUCAAAGUUCGCUUGAGAGGUGGCAUAGUACAGGAGCGAUCUGAACUCAUCCAGUGACUUGUAAUGCAGGUGCCUCUGCAUAUUUUUCUCGAUAUGCCAGGAGCAAAGACGAUGGAAAACAUCUGAAAGGACAGUCCGAAUAGCCCGGAUCAUUGCAGCGUCACCGUCUGUGAUUAUUGACUUUGGCUUCACCUGACAGUUUGCCUUCAUAAAUGUCUGCAGCAGCCACACGUAUGUCCCUUCCGUCUCGUCAGCAAUGAUGGCACAACCAAACACUGUGGUGCAAUGGUGGUUGGUAACUCCGACAAAGGGGACGAACGGCAUACCGUAUCUGUUCAUCUUAUACGUGCUAUCAAACACGACCACAUCUCCGUAGUCCUGAUAGUCCCUCCGCGACUGUGCAUCGCACCAGAACAUACUCUUCAGUCGCCCUUCCUUGUCACGCACAUACUCAAAAAAAAACUCAGGGUCCUUCUCCUUCCUGCUCCUCAUAAUGCCAACUGCCGUCUCUGCAUCACCCUUUGCAAUGAGCUUCAUUUUUUCUCUGCAACAAAGAUUGUAAAUGUCCCUCCUGAUAAGCCCGCACUUAUCGUAGGAACCGUAUCUGCUGAUGAAGUUGUCCAUUAUAAUAUGCUUUCUUAUCCCGGCCGCUUCCAUCGCCAAUAUCUCGGCCCUCUGGCCAUCUCCAAUCCGUCUGUGUGACCACAAAAAACAAACCUCGUCGGGCCGAGCCAUCGUGUGGUUGUGAUCAUCCACGAAUGAUGCGACGAACCAAACGCCACGUUCUCUGUCCAGCUUCACCACCAUUUGUGCACCGCAGUCGCAACGAGUCUCCGGUCGAAGCCUGCGCUUGCGGCCCUCCAUGGUUAUGAACUUGCUCUGCCUUCUCCCUGCCCUGGAGCAAAGAAACCGCCGGUACUGUAUCAUUCCCGAAGCACCUCGUUUCACCUUCUGUUUCCUGAUGCUAAACCCGUGCUCUCUGGCGUGAUUGUUGUAGAAUAUGUAUGCAUCCCCUUGCGACCGAAAGGUCAUGACCUUCCAAUGUGUCUCAAGCAUCUUCUGCUGCCUUUGAGCCUCCUCAAUAUCGAUCUCUCCCUCAUCGUGAUCAACGCUAGGACCAUCUGACUCCUCCUACAACAUUCAUUUGAAAAUAUAUAUGUCAAUUACUAUCAUUUAAAUCAUAGUAUUGAUCGAUGUACAACAUCUAUCAACUAACCUGGCUCAAGUUAUCUGCAAAUGAUUCCUGCCAACUAUGUUGCACAUUGUCAACAUCCACAUCUUCCUGCAAAUUUGUACACAAAGAUAUAUAGUUAGUCAUGCCAUACUUUGCAAAUUCAAAAAUAAAAUCAAAAUAUACGCCACUUACGUUUUCACUAUUUGCGCCAUGUUCAUUAUUAUGAAAAUCAUCCGGAGGUAAGAUAUCAUAUGACGGGACUGAAUCAUUGUCGCUGCUGUCAUCAUCUUCGUUCAAAUUUUCGUUAUCAGUCUUAGUCACCUUAUCAGUAUCAUUCUCGUCCCUCCCGAAUACGGAUUCUUUCUCCAUGUCAACACGCCUAACUCACAGAACUGCAAAACAUUUGAAGUGUUGAUUACAACAAGGACAAAAACUCAUGUUGGUUUGCAAAAAAAAGAGAAAGACUGUAAUCCAUGAACCCAACAGCUACCAUGAAUUUUUUUCUUAAUGCAAUGGUUCAAACAACACUUUUUAGUGUUGUGUGAAACAACUAGUUGAGGUUGCCCAGCGGUGUGUGCAUAUUGUGUGAUGUCGUCAUGAAAAAAAUAUAGCGUUCUUUAAAUUAAGCCUGCCCUCCACUUACAUCCUAGAUUCGCCACUUAACUAGCCCUAACUUCCAUCCAUCAUGCCCGCUAGGUUUAGAUGACAAACCUUGCCCUGCGGUGUAGGCAUCGCCGGCGUUCGACGAUGGCAGCUGUCCCCUCCUUGAAUCUAGCAGCCGACGACGUGCACGACGAGCCACCGGCCGGAUGUUUGGCACGAUCCGCGACGGGGGUGGGGAGAGUGGUGCGGUGGCGGCGUGGCACGUCGGGCCCUUCACGUCCGGGCGGUGGAUGAUGACGGAGAGAUGCGGCGACGCACGCCGUUGGGACGGCGACGGCGGCGUUGGACGGGGUCGGAGGGCGGCGAUCCGCGGCGGCGGCGAUCGGAUGGGGCGGGCGAGUAGACGGGGUGGGCGGGCGAGUAGACGGGCCUUCACAUCCGGGCGGUGGNNNNNNNNNNNNNNNNNNNNNNNNNNNNNNNNNNNNNNNNNNNNNNNNNNNNNNNNNNNNNNNNNNNNNNNNNNNNNNNNNNNNNNNNNNNNNNNNNNNNNNNNNNNNNNNNNNNNNNNNNNNNNNNNNNNNNNNNNNNNNNNNNNNNNNNNNNNNNNNNNNNNNNNNNNNNNNNNNNNNNNNNNNNNNNNNNNNNNNNNNNNNNNNNNNNNNNNNNNNNNNNNNNNNNNNNNNNNNNNNNNNNNNNNNNNNNNNNNNNNNNNNNNNNNNNNNNNNNNNNNNNNNNNNNNNNNNNNNNNNNNNNNNNNNNCGCCGUUGGGACGGCGAUGGCGGCGUCGGACGGGCUCGGACGGUGGCGGCGGACGGGGUCGGAGGGCGGCGAUCCGCGGCGGCGGCGAUCGGAUGGGCCGGGCGAGUAGACGGGGUGGGCGGGCGAGUAGAUCGUGCUGACAGUUUGUUUGUGUUUUUUUUUUGCAUGCACGCGGUCUACGUACGCCAUUCACAAUUGUAUAAUACGAGGUGGGCAUACCCUUCUUUCGUAUGACCAUUCUGUCCUUCUACGUUUUGUUGGGGGGGUCUACCGAAGUAAGGCCCUUUUUGCUUUUUAUUUAAAAAUCAAAAUUAAGUGAUUUGAACGUUUCUAUUUCCACUGAUCAUAGGCCAAGUUCUUCUUUUGGCCCCUUCCAAUACGAGAACCCUGUUGGAAAUUCGUUUUGCAGUUUGGCAAAAGUCUAGCCGUCCCUUCAGGCUGUUGGCAGGGAUGUCAAUUUAGUAAAUAACUUCCAUGUUGUUGUUGUUCAAUUGUUUUCCCAAUCAUCGAUAAACCAACACGAAACCAUGCUAGGGAUGGAGAGAUAGCCAGUCACGUGGAAUGUUUUAGUGUUGUCUGCAGACAAAAAGGCAGCAACUCCAAAUGCUUGACAAGAACAGCAGAGCUCUGUUUUCGCAUCAUAGAAGACGGUAAUGUUGAACAGAGGCUGAAUGCUAGACGAGGAAAUAAUAACAGAGACAACGCAUGGACUUCUUCAUAGUAUCACAGGUGACAGCUAAGCCUUUCCAUGCCAUGUAGUCGUCCUCUGUUAGACUAAGUAUAUAUUAGAUAUACGUGUUGUAACAUAACUGUAUUUGUACGGUUCCCUCUUAUAAAUAUAUGACAGCCGUACCUACCAAGGGUAUCGAGCAUUGUUCCAAACCCUAGUUUGUUUAACAUGGUAUCAGACGACGCGUUCGAUCCGCGCCGUGCUUCCGCCUCCUCUGCCGCCGUCGCGUCGGCCUCCGCCGCCGUGCCGCCUCCGUCAACCCUGGCGAUGGACUCGCCGUUCAUGGCGUCCGCACCACUCGCCUGGGCCCGUCCGGGAUCGCACCCGCCUGCGUCCCGAUCGCCCGCACCCCGAUCUCCAGCGAUCCCACCUGCCUGCGAUGUGUCCCUGGCGCGCGCCUCCUUCGACCCUGCGCAGCUCCCUCGGGAUGCAUCUGGCGCUGCUGCGGGGCUACCCUACGCUAGGUCUCAGGCCCAUGAUGCGAUCUACGCCGGGACUCAGCUGCCCCGUGAUGCAUCUGGGGCUGCGCGGCUGUACACCGGGACUCAGCCCCAUGCUGUGUCGCCCUACGCCGCCGGGUCUCAUGCGCAUGCUGCGGCGCCGGCCUCAGGCCCCCACAGUGCCCCCGCCCAGGUGCCCUACGGCGGGCCGUAUCCAGCGCCGUACGUCACGCCGUCGUCGUCGCCGUAUGUCGCGCCGGCACCGUAUGCUUCGUCCUCCGCGGUGCCCUACAAGGCGCCGUAUGGCGCGCCCUACGCUGUCUCUGUGCCGCACGUCGCGUCGCUGCAGCCCUACGGCGUAUCUCCUAUGGCGCCCUACGGUCAUCACCAACACUACCGUACGUCUCCGUCGGCCGAUGCGCUGAUUCCGUACAGUGCUCCUCCGACGUACGACUCGCAGCUCUCCGCAUCGGUGGCUGACCCAGGACCUUUCCACUUCGCUCACCUGGUGAUGGUGAAGCUCUCUGCUGACAACUACCUCCUGUGGCGCGCUCAGGUGUUACCGCUGAUGCGUAGUCACUACCUUGAGGGGUAUGUCGAUGGUAUGCUGCCGUGUCCCCCGGCCAUGGUUCCGGUGCCCUCGGCCGCUGGUGGCUUUGUCAUGGUGUCUAACCCUGCUCAUCGUCGGUGGAUCGCUCAGGAUCAAGCUAUUCUGGGUCCCAUUCAGUCCUCGCUCACACCCUCCGUGGCCGGCAUGGUGGUCUUUGCCGCGACGUCGAGGGAUGCAUGGGCCACGCUCGACUCCAGCUUUUCCUCGCAGUCGCUGGCCCGUUCCUCUGCCAUUCGUAACCAGCUGGGUGAGGUCAAGAAAAAUGACCUCUCCGUCACGGCCUUCUUCAACAAGGUCAAAAGUUUGGCUGAUACACUGUCGUCUAUUGGGAAGCCUCUUCGUGAUGAGGAGUUUACUUCGUUCAUUCUCAAUGGGCUUGAUGAGGACUAUGAUUCUCUCGUUGAAAACAUUAAUGGACGUGACACACCGAUGCCGCCUCGCGAUCUCUAUGCACGCCUUCUCAACACCGAACAGAGGCUCGCUGCUCGCCGCUCCGUUGGCGUCUACACGGAGGGCCCUUCUGCGAACGCUGCUCUCCGCGGGGGCGCCCGCGGUGCCAAGCAGAAGGCGCCGCCGACCUCAGGCAACCAGCCCCGUCCGCCCGCUCCACCUCCGACGGCUGGCCGCAAGCGGCUCCACUGCGAGGCAUGUGGUGGUGGGGUUGAGUGUCAACUCUGCGGCAUCGAGGGGCACUUGGCGUCUCGCUGCCAUCGUCGCUUUAAACGAGAUUUUCUUGGCAUUGGGAACAAUGGGAAGGGCAAUGAGAAGCAAGCUGCUCUCGCUACACCGGAUCCCGGGUUCACUCCUUCAUACUCGGUGGAUCCUGCCUGGUACAUGGAUACAUGCGCUACAGACCAUUUGACGAGUCAGCUUGACAAGCUGGCCACUCGCCAGCCCUACACCGGUCACGAUCAGGUCCGCACGGCCAAUGGAUCAGGUAUGCCCAUCUCACAUGUUGGUCAGGCAUCUCUUCUUUCACGUACCACUAAAACCUUGCAUCUGCUUGAUGUCCUUCGUGUUCCCUCAGUCACACGUAGUUUACUCUCGGUUCCUAAAUUAACUCGUGACAACAAUGUGUUUGUUGAGUUUCACCCUUUCCAUUUUUUGUUAAGGACCGGGACACGAGGGACGUUCUUCUUAGUGGUCGAGCUCGCGACGGUUUAUAUGCACUUGAUGUGCCACGAGUCUCUCAAGUUUUCAGUGGUGUUCGGGUGUCGUCGUCGCAGUGGCACUCUCGCCUUGGCCAUCCCGCUACUCCCAUUGUGCGCCAUGUGCUUCAUCGCCAUCAUCUUCCUAUUGAGUCGAGUAAUAAGGAGUUUCUAGUGUGUGAUGCUUGUCAACAAGGCAAGAGUCAUCAGUUGCCUUUUUCUGUAUCAAGUCGUGUUGUCACGGCUCCUCUUGAACUUGUGUUUUCAGACGUGUGGGGCUAUGCCCAAACUUCUGUUAGUGGUCACAACUAUUAUGUCAGUUUCAUCGAUGCUUCCAGUCGCUUUACUUGGAUUUAUCUUAUUAAGCGCAAAUCUGAUGUGUUUCAUGUCUUUAUGCAAUUUCAAGCACAUGUUGAACGAUUGCUUAAGCGCAAAAUUAUCCAUGUUCAGUCAGACUGGGGGGGUGAGUAUCGUAACCUUAACACCUUCUUUCAGAAGCUUGGCAUCUCACACCAUGUGUCUUGUCCUCAUACACAUCAGCAGAACGGUGCAGCUGAGCGCAAACACUGUCACAUAGUUGAAACUGGCCUGACACUUCUUGCACAUGCCUCUGUCCCGUUUCGGUUCUGGAGCGAUGCUUUUGUUACUGCCUAUUUUUUGAUAAACAGGAUUCCCACACGACGCCUUCACAUGAAGUCUCCACUCGAAGUGUUUCUUAAUGAAACUCCAGAUUACUCCCUCCUCAAAGUGUUUGGCUGUGCGUGUUGGCCGCAUCUUCGUCCGUACAAUAAGCAUAAACUUGAGUAUCGAUCUAAAUAAUGUGUGUUUCUUGGGUACAGUCCUCUCCACAAAGGUUACAAGUGUCUUCACAUCCUGUCAAAUCGUGUUUACAUUUCUCGUGAUGUUGUGUUCGAUGAGACGGUCUUCCCGUUUUCCACGCUCACAUCACCCACCGAUACUCCCGUCACUGAGUUGCACUCUUUUCCAGUUUUGCCUGAUCAAUUUGUGGAUGCUGCAUAUUAUCCUCUGUUGUUGCCUAACCAUGGUGCAGGGACUGGACGAGGCGCUCGACUUGAGCUUCUGGAUGAUGAUAUGGCCACAACUGCGCCAGUUGCUGCUACGCCGGAUGAGGCGCUCGACGAGGCUGCCUCCGCCACUACCCCGCUUGACCCCGACGUCGAUCACGCGUGCAUGCCCCAUGCACGAGGAUCCGACGGGGUGACCAAGUCGCCAGGGCCAGCGGUCUCGCUGUCGCCUGGGCCGGCCGAACCUGCGGAGCUGUCGGCCGGGCCGGCUGGACCCGUGGCGCUCUCCCCUGAGCCGGAGGCCUCGCAGGUCACCGAGUCUUCGUCGCCUGGUCCGUCGACGCCGAUCACGCCCGGUCUGUCUUCGCCGACCCUGACCGUGCCACCGGAUGCGCCUGUUGACUCGCCCGCCGGUGCGUCCUCCUCGCCGUUGAUGGUUAGUGGCUCCUCUAGUAUGGCAGCUCCAACGCCACCUCCGCCUAUCGUCCUGCGUCCCCAUACUCGCAGCAAAAGUGGCAUCUUCCAACCGAAGAAGCGCACUGACGGCACUGUCGCGUGGCUUGCGGCCUGUGUGGCACAUGCUGAGGCUGACCCUACGACUGAACCACGACAUUUUCGAGCGGCACUUGCCAUCCCGCAUUGGCGUGCUGCGAUGGAGCAGGAGAUUCAUGCCCUUCAAAGAAACAACACUUGGCGUCUUGUUCCACCUCCAUCUGGUGUUAAUAUCAUUGACUCUAAAUGGGUAUUCAAGGUGAAGAAAUAUGCUGAUGGCUCCAUUGAGAGGUACAAGGCACGCCUGGUUGCCAAGGGGUUCAAACAAUGGCAUGGCAUUGAUUAUGAAGACACAUUCAGUCCUGUUAUUAAACCAACUACUAUUCGUGUUCUUCUCUCUUUGGAUGUUACUCGCGGAUGGUCGCUUCGACAGCUUGAUGUUCAGAAUGCCUUUCUCCAUGGAGUUCUGGAAGAAGAGGUUUAUAUGCGUCAGCCGCCAGGUUCUGUUGACCCUGCUCAGCCACAUCAUUUAUGUCGCCUUGUCAAAGCUCUCUACGGUUUGAAGCAGGCCCCGCGUGCAUGGCAUGCCCGUCUUGGCGCUGCUCUUCGUGCGCAUGGGUUUGUUCCUUCUACAGCAGACACAUCUCUGUUUAUUCUACAGCGACCUGAGGUGACUAUGUACAUUCUGGUAUAUGUUGAUGACAUCAUUCUUGUCAGUUCGUCUGCUUCUGCUACAGAUCGGCUUGUGUCCUCUCUUGGUGCUGAGUUUGCUGUUAAGGAUCUUGGAAGACUGCAUUAUUUUCUGGGCCUAGAGGUUCUUCAUUCUGAUGGUGGCUUGACUCUUAUUCAGAAGAAGUACUCUCAGGAUCUCCUGCGUCGUGCCGGUAUGUUGCAGUGCAAGUCUGCUACGACUCCCAUGUUUGCUACAGACAAACUGACAGCUCUUGCUGGUGACUUGCUUGCUCCUGAGGAUGCCACAGAGUACCGCAGCAUUGUGGGUGGACUGCAGUACUUGCUCAUUACUCGACCAGACAUAUCAUUUGCAGUCAACCGUGUGUGCCAGUAUCUUAAUACACCACGUGAUUCUCACUGGUCAGCUGUUAAGCGCAUCUUGCGCUAUGUUUGUCACACUGGUUCAUAUGGUCUCCAUCUUCAGCCUGUGCGUUCUGGACUGAUCUCAGCAUUUUCUGAUGCCGACUGGGCUGGUUGUCCUGAUGAUCGGCAAUCCACGGGGGCACAUGCUGUGUUCUUUGGGCCUAACUUGAUCGCCUGGCAAGCUCGCAAGCAAGCUACGGUGUCUCGGAGUAGUACCGAAGCUGAGUACAAAGCUGUUGCUAAUGCCACAGCUGAGAUCAUGUGGGUGCAGUCAUUGCUUCGAGAGUUGAAGGUCUCCCCAACUCAGCCGCCUGUUCUUUAGUGUGAUAACAUCGGUGCAACAUACCUUUCAUCCAAUCCAGUAUUUCAUGCCCGAACGAAGCAAAUCGAAGUUGAUUAUCAUUUUGUGAGGGAACGUGUUGCUCAGAAGCUCCUUCAGAUUAAGUUUGUUUCUUCGAAGGAUCAGCUUGCUGAUAUUUUCACUAAACCCUUGCCCUUGCCUUCUUUUGAAGGAUGUCGUCGCAAUCUUAACCUUCUGAGUGUUUCAGGACAUAGUUAAGAUUGAGGGAGGGUGUUAGACUAAGUAUAUAUUAGAUAUAUGUGUUGUAACAUAACUGUAUUUGUAUGGUUCCCUCUUAUAAAUAUAUGACAUCCAUACCCACCAAGAGUAUCGAGCAUUGUUCCAAACCCUAGUUUAUUUAACAUCCUCGCAUUGAAAGUUGAAACCAAAUCCAUCGAAAAGCGUUUAUCAGAAUCCCCGGAUAAGUGCACGACAGUGAACCCGUUCCUCCCAACCAAAUCAGCCAAAAUCCUUUGGAUGGCCAGAUCAGCGCAUCUGUUCAUUUUGGAGCAUGUUUACCAGAACUGGCUCGCACCCGAGAGCUUUAGCUAGAAGCUUUUUUUAUAGCUCCGACUGCUGUAAUCUCACAUUCGAUACGAUUCAGAAACAAAGCAGCAUCGGCUGGAUUUUCCGAUGCCUCCCAUGCUUAGUCCCACUACAUACAUCCAAAUGUUCUCAUAGUCAGCCAGCUUCUCAGAAAUGUCAAGUUAGGCAUCACUUCUCCGCUCUUUAUAGGAAGAGUAAUGGACACAAUCACACACAGCUUGUUCAUGCUGUACUCGCUUAUGAAGACCAACUUUUCUUUCUCAAAAAAAAAGGCUGCAUUUUGUGAAUUGUGCAGUAUAUUAAACUGUAUAGCACCGACAUUGCUUGAUGGACUUCCUGACGGAGUUAUAAAUGGUUUCCUAUAGGCAGCAGAUUUCUCUAUAUUAAUGAAGCGCAUUACAUGUUUUUUAUACCAGCUCAUUACAGGAUUAAUCAGCCAGAAACUUACAGUAAGAAGUUUUAGAGUAUGAAUUUAUUGUGUUUCCUAAUUAAAUCAGAUAAAUGCCUGUCUUCAUUUACCAUUUACUUAACUGUUCGCAAACACUUAUUGGAUAUGUUUGAGUUAGUUUUUAUGAAAUCAUGCAAUUUUCGUUGCAGUUAGGUGUAGAUCGAAUGCUCUCACAGCUGCAUCCUCAAACAUGCACAUAGCUCUGCGAUACAUACAUGUAUUGACCAUACUGUAAAAUUUCCAAAAAGUUGACAAAAUUACGGAUUAGUGAAGCAGCUACGCCAAGCAGCUGUGGAUGGCUACCAUCAGCAAUCUUUGAGGCCCCUUCCUCUUCAUAGCGCCAACGGUGAUCAUGACCCAGCCAUGCCAUUCUCUGAAAUCCAACUGGACGAAGCAGCUUAACUCACUCCCGGUUGAUAAGAAGAAAGUUUGGAAGUUGGCCAUCUGCUUGGUCUCCUUGAUUCUAUGGAAAGAACGCAACAACCGUGUCUUCAAUGGCUCCAGUUGCACUGUCCCACAGCUCAUGGGGCGAAUCAUGGAAGAGGCAAUAUGUUGGUCGGCGGCUAGCUUAAGCCUGCUCAACUGAUUGUUUGAGCCACCUAGAGUGUGCCCUGUUUUCCUGCUGACUGCUGGUUGUAAAUUCUGGAAGCCAGCUCCAGACCUUUUUCCUUGGUUUAAGACUUUUUUUACGUUUUAUAUCCUGAUUAAUCAAACUUUUUGUCGAAAAGUAAAGCAGUCCCUGAUUAUUUAUUAGUAGUGUUGCUAUCUGUUGGUGCCCAUACUGUAUAUACUUGCACAGAGACAAACUUAAGCCUGGAUAGGCAUGGAGAUAAGCACUCUGAUACUUUAACUCCACGUACUUUGAUAAUUUCCUUUUCGAAAAAAAUACCUUGAUCAUUUGUUCUCCCUGCUUUAGGAAUAAAGACUGUAGCCAAUUAAUGGAGAAGCGCAUGUGUCGGCUUCAUGUGCAUGUUCUUGAACAGUAAAGCAUAGGAUAGUUGCUUGGGUACAUGAUGCAACCAUAUGGAUAAAAUUAAAACCACUCACUAAUGCUACUUUCAUUGAUAAAAUGGCGAUAUUCAGUUGAAACAUGUUUACCUAUUGCAUGAUAAAAUACUAGCUGCUGCAAAAUCAGUAAAUAAAAUUUGACAAAAGGAAGUUAUUUUCCCUCCUAAUAGUUAACAUUUAAAAGGAAAACUGAAAGAUACGGUAUUGGUGAUUUUCGGAGCAAGGCAACCUGAAACCUCAUAUUAUUCAUCCUGAUGUUGGAUUGACCGGUGCCUCUAGACCUAGCCGCACUUUAUUAUCUUGGAGAUAAUGGAAGAAAUAUUUUGAUGGCAUUAUUGAAGAAACCCCAUAUCAAGUUGCAUGUAUGUUGGAUGGUGUGGUACAGAAUAGCAAAAGUAUAUAUCAAUCAUACCCUUGCUUCCCUCAAAGUCAUCGUGCAUUUUCUAGUAUUUAGGGGCAGGCAUAUGAGGUGGUUGCUUUUCCCAUAUUUAUAAGUAAAGUUUUGGAGAAUGGCUCAGCUCCCCUUUUUCUAUUACAACCUCUAGCAUCUCCCAUUUUUUCUCUCAAGAACACACACGUACAAGAAAAAAAUGAAGUUAGCUUUGCCGAUGCAUUUCUCAUUAGACCAGCCUAUUUGAAUGGCUGAUCCACACGGCUAGCUAAUGUUGCAUGCUACCCCGCAACAAAAAUAAACUAAUGCUGCAUGCUCUACUAACGAACUCCAGGAUCGAUUCCUUUGUUUACAUGCACACUCAAUAUAUCACGACCAAAUAUCUCUGUCGUCACAACACAUUUAGCACCUCGCCGUAAUAUGCUUCCAGGUGCGCUGGCCUUGUACACCUCACACGUACCUCCUGCUAGCUGUAACCGUGGACAAACCAUCAUCCAAAGUUCUAGAUUACCAUAAAAAAAACAUCAUUCACUAGAUGUGGCAUGACCUUUGACCCUCUGACAUGCAUGCUAAAUCAGGCUUGCUGAUAUAAUUGCUAUAAUGUUAAAUAACAUCGGGAAUAAAAGACAUGUAGGAGGACUUCUUUUAUCUGGGAGCAUGGAUUGAUCAUUUGACUUUACAAUAUGCCUUCGUAAAAUCUAAUUUUAGGCCCAUCAUAUUGUGGUACAACUCAUGAAGAAUCACGACCCCAUCGAGAGGAUGAUUCUGUCCUGCAUGAAAGUGGUCCAUGAAGUCAGUCAUUUGCUAUCUUAAAAAAAAAUUAAAGCCCACAUUACGUACGUAUACAACAUGCAUUGUACAAUCCGAAAAGCCUUCUUACUUUAGGGUGCAAAUUAUUUCGGUGAAGAUUAGCCUACUUAGCUCAAGGUCGUCCUUCAUAAUCAUUCAAAUAGUUCGAUAGUGUUGAAAUAUGAGAUGGGCCUAGAGCCCAUAUAACAAUUUCAGAUUUAAUCUCUAAGGGCCCAUGUAAGUGGCAUGACAAGGUGGUGGGAAGUUUAGUCCCAUACCGCUAGUGGAAGGAGAGUUGGAGUGGUUUAUAAGGAUUCUCUCCCUCAUGCUAUUGGAGCUUGAGAAGAAAAGAAGCCCUCGCGCACUCCUCCUCGUCGCGCCGCGGGUUGCGGGAUUGAGCCGAGCCGAGCUUACUCCUAUGCGCUUCUUUUUGCCGGUCAGGAACGGAGAGUCUUUGACAGGUAGGGCCACGAUCUGAGACGUCGGAUCAUGGGCUACCGACUUGGACGUGGGUUCAGCCCACGUCUCUCCACGCGCGGCCGCACAUAUAUAUGUGGGGCGCUGCCAACCCUAACCGCCGCGAAAACAGAACGCAUCUAGCCGCCUCCACGCCCAUGUUAUGUGGGGCGCUGCCAACCCUAGCCGCCACGUCGUUCCUCUGCUGCUGCUGCCGCCGGCGACUCCAUCCCGUUCACCGCGUACACGGUUGACGGGAGAGCAGGCCUCCGAAACCCCGCCUCUCCGGAUCCUGUACGGGAGAGGGGCGAUUAGGUUUUUGGGUAGCGACUACGCGACUGCUCGCUUCUGUUCAUCUACGUUCGCAUCACCAUCUCCAUCACCAUGUUGACCGACGCUGACCGUGCCGCCGCUGAGAAGGCCGAGGCCGACAAGAAGGCCGCCGAGGAUGCCGCGGCUGCUGCCACCGCCACCGCCGCCGCGUGGCCGAUUGGAGGGUAUACAUCGCUUAUCCCUCUCGUGUUUCUUUCUGUUGUAGCAGUACUAGCGAUAUGCGUAGAUGUUUCUACUAUGUGCGUAGUACAUGCUCUGUUAGAUCGUAAUCAGUGUGUUAUCAAUGCUGUCCAUGUCAUGCUCAUGAUUUAUUCAUGGAUUAAUUUAAUCGAAAAACUGCCUAUUUCUCAUCAAUCCAAAAACCUAAAUUGUGUAGGAGUUUUUCGAAUUCUGGUUUUGCUGCUGCACCGAAACCGUUCCCAUUUACGGGGACGUACUUUAAGCGUUGGCAGACUAAAACCACCUUAUGGCUCACGGCCAUGAACGUGUUCUGGGUCGCCGGUGUGACUCCCACAGGAAGGAUCGCUCCUGAACAGGAGAAGGCGUUCAAGGAGGCCACUGUCGUGUUCCUCGGGGCAGUUCUGAGCAUGAUUGGAGAUAAGCUGGUUGACGCAUAUUUGCAUGUGCGGUCUGCCAAGGACUUGUGGGAGGCGCUCGAAUCUAAGUUUGGGGCGGCCGAUGCAAGGAGCGAGAUGUAUAUUAUAGAGCAGUUCCACGAUUACAAGAUGGUUGAAAACUGUCCUGUAUUGGAGCAGGCUCAUGAGAUAAUAUGCAUUGUUAAGGAGCUUGAGCUUCUUAAGUGCGAGUUACCGGGCAAGCUUGUCGCGGGCUGCAUAAUCGCUAAGCUCCCCAAUUCCUGGAGGAACUUUGCCACCACUCUGAAACAUCAGAGGCGUGAAUUCUCUAUGGAGGAUGUCAUUGGCCAUCUGAGUGUUGAGCAGAAUUCAAGGGCAAAUGACUCGCACGGAAAAGGGGUCGAAGGAACUUCUGUGGCCAAUAUGGUGCAUCAGAAGAACUCCAAUUCCCACAAGCCCAAGGGAAAGAACGGUGUCCAACAGAAUGCCGACUUUAAGAAGAAGGGUAAGAAGACCUUCAAGAAGAACAAGAAGGAUGAGGGCUGCUUUACUUGUGGUUCGGUUGAACAUUGGGCCAACAAGUGCCCAAACAAGUACAAGAAGCCAGGGUAGGACUCCAAGUCUAUCAAUAUGAUUGUGAGCAACAAUGAGAGUGGUGCAUCUGGGUACGGUAAUUUAUUUGCUGUAUUUUCAGUUUGGCCGUCCACCGAUUGGUGGGUCGACACAGGUGCAGGUGUUCAUGUGUGUGCUGACAUUUCAUUGUUUUCUUCUUACCAGGCCACAGGUCACGGGUCUGUACUGAUGUGGAAUGGCGCGAGUGCUUCUGUUCUUGGUGUUGGCACGGUCGAUCUGAAGUUUACUUCGGGAAGGAUCGUGCAGCUGAAGAAUGUGCAGCAUGUCCCCGCCAUCAAGAAGAACCUCGUUAGUGGCUCCCUUCUAUGUAGAGAAGGGUUUAAGUUGGUAUUCGAGUCUAAUAAAUUAGUUGUUAUGAAAUAUGGACUAUUUGUUGGAAAGGUUUAUGAAUGCGGAGGCAUGUUCCGCCUUUCUCUUGCAGAUCUAUGUAAUAAAGUCAUGAACAAUAUUCAUUUGAGUGUUAAUGAAUCUGAAGUCUGACAUUCACGUCUUUGUCACAUUAGUUUCGGCGUUAUGACGCGGCCAGCAAAAUUGAAUUUAAUCCCGAGUUUCACUUUAGCCAAAGGUUCUAAGUGCCAUUCGUGUGUGCAAUCUAAGCAACCUCGCAAGCCUCACAAGGCAGCAGAGGAGAGACACUUGGCGCCACUGGAACUCAUACAUUCUGAUCUUUGUGAGAUGAAUGGUGUGUUGACUAAUGGUGGAAAGAAAUAUUUCAUGACUUUGAUAGAUGAUUCCACUAGAUAUUGCUAUGUGUAUCUAUUAAAUACUAAAGAUGAGGCUCUACACUACUUUAGAAUCUAUAAGGCAGAAGUUGAGAAUCAACUUGAAAAGAAAAUUAAACGAGUCCGGUCAGAUCGUGGUGGAGAGUACUUCUCGAAAGAGUUUGAUGCCUUUUGUGUGGAACACGGUAUUAUUCACGAGAGGACGCCUCCCUACUCACCCCAGUCAAAGACGGGGUUGCCGAGCGGAAAAACCGUACUCUAACUGAUUUGGUUAACGCCAUGUUAGCUACGUCGGGUUUAUCCAAGGCAUGGUGGGGGGAGGCUAUAAUGACAUCAUGUCAUGUCCUGAAUAAAGUUCCGACAAAGGACAACGAGAUCACUCCUUAUGAGAAGUGGACCAAGAGAAGGACAACACUCUCGUACUUACGUAUUUGGGGUUGCUUCGCGAAAGUUAAUGAGCCGAUCCCCAAAAAGCGUAAGCUUGGACCAAAGACUGUGGACUAUGUUAAUUUGGGCUACGCUAUGAAUAGUGUUGGCUAUAGAUUUCUAGUAGUGAAAUCUGAGGUACCUGACAUGAAGGUUGGUACAAUUAUGGAGUCUAAGGAUGCUACAUUCUUUGAGGACAUUUUCCCCAUGAGAGAUGUACAAAGCACUUCUAGACAGGAAUCUGAGGAGACUCCUGAACUUGCCAUUCCGAUGGAAUAUUAUAAACAAACACAUGAUGAAAAUCCUGAGGAGGAUAAUGACGAAACCCUUGGUAGGGGCAAGAGACAAAGGAUUGUAAAGACCUUUGGUGAUGAUUUCUUCAUAUACCUCGUGAAGGAUAAUCCCACUUCUAUUUCAGAAUCGUAUGCAUCUCCAGAAGCUGACUACUGGAAGGAUGCGGUCCAUAGCGAGACAGAUUCCAUCAUGGCUAACGGGACUUGGGAGCUUACUGAACGUCCUUAUGGUUGCAAACAAUUGGGAUGCAAGUGGGUGUUCAAGAAGAAGCUUAGGCCCGACGGUACGAUAGAAAAGUACAAGGCUAGGCUUGUGGCCAAGGGCUACGCCCAGAAAGAAGAAGAUUUCUUCGACACUUAUUCACCUGUGGCCAGACUGACCACCAUUCGAGUAUUACUCUCGUUGGCGGCCUCGCAUGGUCUUCUCAUUCAUCAGAUGGAUGUUAAGACGGCUUUACUGAAUGGAGAGCUAAAGGAGGAAAUCUAUAUGCAACAGCCUGAUGGCUUUGUGAUAGAUGGUCAGGAAGGCAAGGUGUGUAAGUUGGUGAAAUCCCUGUAUGGCCUGAGACAAGCGCCUAAGCAAUGGCAUGACAAGUUUAAUGAAAUGUUGACAUCUGUUGGCUUUGUUGUUAAUGAGGCCGACAAAUGUGUAUACUAUCGCUAUGGUGGGGGCGAAGGAGUUAUACUAUGUUUGUAUGUUGAUGACAUACUGAUAUUUGGAACUAAUCUCAAGUUGAUCGAGGAGGUUAAGUCUUUCCUAUCUCGGAACUUUGAGAUGAAGGACCUUGGAGUGGCUGAUGUUAUCUUGAACAUCAAGCUAUUGAGAGAUGAUGAGGGUGGGAUUACACUUGUGCAAUCCCAUUAUGUUGAGAAGGUGUUGAGUCGCUUUGGAUAUUCGGACUGCAAACAAUCUCAAACACCAUAUGAUUCUAGUGUGCUGAUUCGAAAGUCUAAAGGCACAGCUAUAGAUCAAUUGAGAUACUCUCAGAUUGUUGGUUCACUCCAGUAUCUAGCGAGCGCAACGAGGCCUGACAUCGCAUCUGCUAUUAGCAAACUGAGCCGAUUUGUUUCCAAACCGGGCGAUGUACAUUGGCGUGCUCUUGAGAGAGUUAUGCGCUAUCUGAAAGGUACUAUGAACUAUGGACUUCACUAUACCGGAUACCCGUCGGUACUUGAAGGGUAUAGUGAUGCGAAUUGGAUCUCUGAUACUGAUGAGAUGAAGGCCACAACUGGGUAUAUGUUUACUCUUGGAGGUGGUGCUGUUUCCUGGAAGUCUUGCAAGCAAACGAUCUUAACAAGAUCGACAAUGGAAGCAGAAUUAACAACAUUAGACACAUCGGGUGGCGAAGCGGAAUGGCUUCAAGAUCUGUUGAUGGACUUGCCAGUGGUUGAGAAGCCGGUUCCAGCCAUCCUUAUGAACUGCGACAAUCAAACAGUUAUUGUCAAGGUGAAGAGUUCAAAGGACAACAUGAAGUCCAACAAACACAUAAGAAUGAGAUUGAAAGCUGUCAGAAAAUUGAGGAACUCCGGAGUGAUAGCACUGGAUUAUAUUCAAACGGCUAAGAAUCUGGCAGAUCCCUUUACUAAAGGGCUAUCACGUGUUGUGAUAGAUAGCACAUCAAGGGAGAUGGGUGUGAGACCCACAUGAGUUGCCAUGGUAGUAACCCAACCUAUGUGAUCGGAGAUCCCGUGAAGUAGGACCUGGGAAAACAAGCCGGUGGUGAACUGAGGAGAGUAACUUUACUAACCCACUCCGUUGGAGAUGCAAUACUCUCGGAAACUGUAUGGAAGGAUGACUACUGUCUUAAUGUGUUCCAAGGCUUAUAUGUAUAAGCAAGAUGCUAUCCUACAGAGCGAUCUUUGAAGGAACACACCUAUAUGAGCCCGACUGCUGGUCACAGUCUAUGAGAUUGGGGUGAUCUCUAGCAAGCUCAUGAACAGGCCAGGAGUGUGACUAAUAUGCUCCACCCGAGGGGUCGGCCUUCGGCAGCCUCGUAUCAGUGAGACUUGUGGUGAAACUUCUUGACGCCAAACUGACAAUUCAAGGCAUUGUCCAUUGUUCAGUUGUGAAGGACUGUAACUACUUGGUCUAGGUGGAGCUCAACCUUAAUCGGUCUCCACUGAGAUGCUGGUAUAUCAAAACAACGUUUGGAACAAAGGACAAGUGGGCCCCUGAGAUCUGGUGGGGGAUUGUUGAAAUAUGAGAUGGGCCUAGAGCCCAUAUGGCAAUUUCAGAUUUAAUCUCUAAGGGCCCAUGUAGGUGGCAUGACAAGGUGGUGGGAAGUUUAGUCCCAUACCGCUAGUGGAAGGAGAGUUGGGGUGGUUUAUAAGGGAUUCUCUCCCUCAUGCUAUUGGAGCUUGAGAAGAAAAGAGGCCCUCGCGCACUCCUCCUCCUCCGCUCGCCUUGUCACGCCACGCCACGCCUCGUCACGACGCGCCGAGGGUUGCGGGAUUGAGCCGAGCCGACUCCUAUGCGCUUCUUUUUGCCGGUCAGGAACGGGGAGUCUUUGACAGGUAGGGCCACGAUCUGAGACGUCGGAUCAUGGGCUACCGACUUGGACGUGGGUUCAGCCCACGUCUCUCCACGCGCGGCCGCACAUAUAUAUGUGGGGCGCUGCCAACCCUAGCCGCCGCGAAAACAGAAUGCAUCUCCAUCUCCGCCUCCACGCCCACGUCGUUCCUCUGCUACUGUUGCCGCCGGCGACUCCAUCCCGUUCACCGCGUACACGGUUGACGGGAGAAUAGGCCUCUGAAACCCCGCCUCUCCGGAUACUGUACGGGAGAGGGGCGAUUAGGUUUUUGGGUAGCAACUACGCGACUGCUCGCUUCAGUUCAUCUACGUUCGCAUCACCUUCGUCAUCACCAUGUCGACCAACGCCGACCGUGCCGCCGCUGAGAAGGCCGAGGCCGACAAGAAGGCCGCCGAGGAUGCCGCGGCUGCUGCCACCGCCACCGCCGCCGUGUGGCCGAUUGGAGGGUAUACAUCGCUUAUCCCCCUCGUGUUUCUUUCUGUUGUAGCAGUACUAGCGAUAUGCGUAGAUGUUUCUACUAUGUGCGUAGUACAUGCUCUGUUAGAUCGUAAUCAGUGUGUUAUCAAUGCUGUCCAUAUCAUGCUCAUAAUUCAUUCAUGGAUUAAUUUAAUCAAAAAACUGUCUAUUUACUUAUCAGAUAGAACUCAGCUGAGAAUCCAUCUAGUCCAGAUGCUUUAUUAUACUCCGUCUUGAACUGACACUCCUCAUCUCUUCAGGAAAAGGGGCGGUGAGGAGCUCAUUUCUAGUAUCUGAAACAUGUGGGGUGUCUUCUAUUUGGGCAGCUUCUAAUGAGAAACGACACUCAUGUGGAGUUCCGAAUAGGCCUGUAUAAUAAUUCGUAAUAUAUGCCUUAAGGGAGGCCACGCCCUCGAGGCCCACAUGUUGUUGAAGACUACAAAUACAUUUUCUCUUGUGUUGCCCAUUGCCAAAAUAACAUCUUCCUCCUUGCACCUUUUCCUUAGUAUGAUACACCUUAUUAUUUAAACUACUCUCCUAUUUUCCCUGAAGUGGCUAUUAAAUAAUUUACUCUCCACUUGUUUAUUUUGCAUCUGCUCCAGUUCAUCCUUUUCUACAAUAUUAAAAGGGGGUUCGAAAUGUGCGAGCCGUUGGGCGUACGGAAUGGCGACAGCGAGAGCGCAGUGGUGCGGGCGCCGGGCGACUCUCCGUCGGCGGGGUGGACUCUGGUCCGCCGCGGCGCGGGGUCCCCUCUGGUGAGCGCGGCUGGCCGCACCGGCUCGCCGGUGGCGGGGGCUGGCUUGCGGCGCAACCGCUUCUGGGCGCUGGAGACAGAGGAUUCGGAGGACGACGAGAUGGGUGCGGAGGAGGAGCAGCUGCUACGUGCGGUGCCGGCGGGGCCAUCAGUAGGAGACUUUGUGGCGUUUGCGGCGGAGGCGUGCGGUCUGCGUACGGGGCGCGACCGCCGUUUCGCGCCGGGCGACCGGGGUUCACGAGCCUUGGCCUCGCGCAUCUGGCAGCCAUCGUCGGUGGCGAGCUCGGGUGAUGCGGCGUGGGCGACGCGGAACAUCAGAUCCAAGGCGGCGGCGUGCUUGGUGGCUGCGGGCGGGGCAGUGCCAUCUAGGGAGGAUUGGCCAUGCCUGCCUGCUCCACCGUCCCCUCCGGCGCUGGCGGCGACGGAGCGCGGUCGGGAGACGUCGACUUCCCCCCCGGUGCCUAGGGUUGGCACGGCUGGGCCGGUCACUGUUAAUGGCCCUGGGCCUGUGUGCCCACAGAGGCCCGUGACAGUGGUGCCUGCUGGGGUGGGACAGGCCGCGGAUAUCGUUCCGACUCCCACGGGGCCUGCGGGGCCUGCUAGGCCCAUGGCACCUCGGCCCGCUCCAAGGCCCGUGUCGGGCUAUAUAUGGCUGCGGCGGGGUUGCCGGGAUCCCCAUUUAGGGCUUCCAGCCUCUUCCAGAGAGGUGCGGCGCCUCGCUCCCUCCGCCCGCACACUCCAGAUCUCUCCUCCUCCUUCCCCUCUUCUCAAGUCCUUCGCGGCGGCGGUGAUGGGUGACCGGCGGGCUGACAAGAGGCCUAUGGAGAUCUCCGACCAUGAGGCGGACAUGCAGAAGGAGCGUGAUCUACGCGACAAGGCGAAGCGUGCGAUGCGGGAGCGCUCGGGUGGCGGCGAGGCCCGGGAGGAGCGCGGAGGAUCCCGUGACCAGGGCGGGCGCGAGGGGGAUUGGGGUCCUCCUCCCCCGUGGUGGAUCCAACUACAGGAACGUAAGAAGAAGAAGAAGGCCAACCAACGUCGUCGGGAGCUCGAACGGAAGCCGAUGGCGCAUCCCAACUGUGGUGGGGGCCACGGUGACCCGCUGGCCAAGAAGCUGCGGGCGCUCGCAGAGCCGCUGGCGAUGGCGCUGCCCUCCUCGUCCAAGGGCACGACGGAGGAGCCCAUUCCGAGGGAGGAGGCCCCCGACGCCGAGUGUUUCAAGUGUGGGCGCUUGGGACACUUCCAAUCUAAGUGCAAGUACAAGCCUCUCUAUGUGCUCUAUAAGGAAGAGGGUCAUGCUUCUGCCCAUUGCCCGUCGCGAGGCCGUCAACUGCACAUGCAGAUCAUGGGCAGCGCCAUCUCUGGCGAGGGUUUCUUCUGUCUUGAGUUUGACGAGGAGACCGAGGCCGACCUGCCCGUGGAUGCUCGCAUUGAGAACGCGGCUAUCCUAUCUACGGAGCCUGGGAAGCUCAACCUGCGCAUCCUCAAGCAAGAGCUGCAACACAUGGUGACCGGGGAUUGGGACUGGCAAGUGACUCAGGUGGGUGACGCUGAUUUCUUGGUGGUUUUCCCGUCUGCUGAUCUGCUGCAUAUGGCGAAGUCUAGUGGGAAGCUAUUCUUGUCCAUCAAUGACAUCACUGCUUCAGUGCGGGAUAUGCUUCACGAGGAAGUGCAGCCAAUGGUCAUGCCCGAGACGUGGGUGAAAUUGCACGGCAUCCCUAAGAAGCACAGGCGUGAGGACCGCAUCAAGGAAGGGUUCCGAAUGCUUGGUCGGCCAAUCGUGGUGGACGAGCUGUCCCUCAUCAAGUUUGGGCUGGUGAGGAUGAAGAUUGCGUGCAAGGCACCGGAGAAGCUUAACGGAUUUGUGGAAGUAUGGUUCAAUCACGAGGGUUACCAGAUCAAGGUGGAGCGAGAGGUGCUUCCCAAGCGUGGGGGCGAUCGGGUGGAGCCUGGAGCGGGGCCAUCCAAUCCCCCUCCCAAGGAUUCUGACUUGCAGGGGGGAUCACGCCCAUCAGGCAGCGCGAGACCUGGCAGUGCUGGGGCUGGCAAGACACAUCAGCAGGCUGGCGGGGCUACUAACGCUGCCGCGGACCCGGAUACCAAGAUGCAAGACAUGGGAGACGACCAAGAGGGCAGCCUUCAAGACACUUCAAUUGAUACGGAGACGUGGGAUAAGUUGGGUGCUUUGUCGGCUGACGCUGGGGCCAUGGGGGUGGCGACCUAGGACAUGGCGGUGAGCGUGCCGCCGCUGGCUCGCUCCCUCACGCUGACCUUUGACGAGUACGGGUCCAACCUUCUCAGCUCAGAUUCCGGAUCUGGCCGAGCCCAACAAGAUGGUUGGGGCCAUCACUCCUGCACUCCUGCCGUCCUCGCCUCCAGUGGUGAUGGGGACGGACUUCGGGUGCGUUAUGGACGAGGGCUGUGACAUGACGCCGGCACCCAGGCGUGGCUCCAACAGCUCUGGUCGUCAGGCCAAGAAGACGACCGGUUGAAAGUCGGCCAACAAGCAGGCUACAUCCAUUCCGGCGGCGACGGCGAUGCUCGGGGUGGAGCUGAGGGCGGCCCUGGGAGCGCCCGAAGCGGGCAGCAAGGCCAGGCGCUCCAAGGCGACACCGGUGGUGCAGCGGGUUCCCAGCAUGUGGGCCAAGGCCAAGCUGGGUGAGCUGUCAUCCAUGGAGAGCGCCAAGCUUCGACUCGCCGACAAGAAUCUCGAAUCUUCAGAUAAUCCUUUGCCCUCUGCUACCUCUUGAGCACUGCGUUGGUUUUGCCUUGAAGAGGAAAGGGUGAUGCAGCAAAGUAGCGUAAGUAUUUCCCUCAUUUUUUGAGAACCAAGGUAUCAAUCCAGUAGGAGGCUACACACGAGUCCCUCGCACCUACACAAACAAAUAAAUCCUCGCAACCAACGCGAUAAGGGGUUGUCAAUCCCUACACGGUCACUUACGAGAGUGAUAUCUGAUAGAUAUGAUAAGAUAAUAUUUUUGGUAUUUUUAUGAUAAAGAUGCAAAGUAAAGAAAGUAAAAUCAAAACGGCGCCAGAAAUAGCUCGUUGUCGGAAGAUUAAUAUGAUGGAAAAUAGACCCCGGGGCCAUAGGUUUCACUAGUGGCUUCUCUCAAGAGCAUAAGUAUUUUACGGUGGGUGAACAAAUUACUGUUGAGUAGUUGACAGAAUUGAGAAUAGUUAUGAGAAUAUCUAGGCAUGAUCAUGUAUAUAGUCAUCAUGUCCGAAACAAGUAGACCGACUCCUGCCUGCAUCUACUACUACUACUCCACACAUCAACCAUUAUCCAGCAUGCAUCUAGAGUAUUAAGUUCAUAAGACCAGAGUAACGCUUUAAGCAAGAUGACAUGAUGUAGAGGGAUAAACUCAUGCAAUAUGAUAUAAACCCCAUCUUGUUAUCCUCGAUGGUAACAAUACAAUACGUGCCUUGCUGCCCCUACUGUCACUGGGAAAGGACACCGCAAGAUUGAACCCAAAACUAAGCACUUCUCCCAUUGCAAGAAAGAUCAAUCUAGUAGGCCAAACCAAACUGAUAAUUCAAAGAGACUUGCAAAGAUAACUAAUCAUACAUAAAAGAAUUCAGAAGAUUCAAAUAUUGUUCAUAGAUAAACUUGAUCAUAAACCCAGAAUUCAUCGGUCUCACCAAACACACCGCAAAAGAAGAUUACAUCGAAUAGAUCUCCACAAGAGAGGGGGAGAAUAUUGUAUUGAGAUCAAAAAAGAGAGAGAAAGCCAUCUAGCUAAUACUUAUGGACCCGAAGGUCCGAGGUAAACUACUCACACUUCAUGGGAGAGGCUAUGGUGUUGAUCUAGAAGCCCUCCGUGAUCGAUGCCCCCUCCGGCGGAGCUCCAGAACAGGCCCCAAGAUGGGAUCUCACGGGUACAGAAGGUUGCGGCGGUGGAAUUAGGUUUUUUGCUCCAUAUCUGGUAGUUUGGGGGUACGUAGGUAUAUAUAGGAGGGAGGAGUACGUCGGUGGAGCAACGUGGGGCCCACGAGGGUGGAGGGCGCGCCCCCUACCUCGUGGCUUCCUGGUAGCUUUCUUGACGUAGGGUCCAAGUCCUCUGGAUCACGUUCGUUCCGAAAAUCACGUUCCCGAAGGUUUCAUUCCAUUUGGACUCCGUUUGAUAUUCUUUUUCUACGGAACUCUGAAAUAGGCAAAAAAUAGCAAUUCUGGGCUGGGCCUCCGGUUAAUAGGUUAUUCCCAAAAAUAAUAUAAAAGUGUAUAAUAAAGCCCAAUAAUGUCCAAAACAGAAGAUAAUAUAGCUAGGAGCAAUAAAAAAUUAUAGAUACGUUGGAGACGUAUCAAGCACCCCCAAGCUUAAUUUCUGCUCGUCCUCGAGUAGGUAAAUGAUAAAAACCAAUUUUUUGAUGUGGAAUCCUACUUGGCAUAAUUUCAAUGUAAUUCUUCUUAAUUGUGGUAUGAAUAUUGAGAUCCGAAAGGUUCAAGAUAAAAGUUCAAUAUUGACAUAAAAAUAAUAAUACUUCAAGCAUACUAACUAAGAAAUUAUGUCCUCUCAAAAUAAGAUGGCCAAAGAAAGUUCAUCCCUACAAAAUCAUAUAGUUUAGUCAUGCUCCAUUUUCGUCACACAAGAAUGCUCUCAUCAUGCACAACCCCGAUGACAAGCCAAGCAAUUGUUUCAUACUUUAGUAAUCUCAAACUUUUUCAACCUUCACGCAAUACAUGAGCGUGAGCCAUGGAUAUAGCACUAUGGGUGGAAUAGAAUAUGAUGAUGAUGAUGGUUAUGUGGAGAAGACAAAAAAGGAGAAAGUCUCACAUCAACGAGGCUAAUCAAUGAGCUAUGGAGAUGCUCAUCGAUUGAUGUUAAUGCAAGGACUAGGGAUUGCCAUGCAACGGAUGCACUAGAGCUAUAAAUAUAUGAAAGCUCAACAAAAGAAACUAAGUGGGUGUGCAUCCAACUUGCUUGCUCAUGAAGACCUAGGGCACUUGAGGAGGCCCAUUUUUGGAAUAUACAAGCCAAGUUCUAUAAUAAAAAAAUUCCCACUACUAUAUGAAAGUGACAAAACAAGAGACUCUCUAUUAUGAAGACCAUGGUGCUACUUUGAAGCACAAGUGUGGUAAAAGGAUAGUAACAUUGUCCCUUCUCUCUUUUUCUCUCACUUUUUUGGGCCCUCUCUUUUUUAUGGCCUUUCUCUUUUUUUUAUUCCUCACUUGGGACAAUGCUCUAGAAAAUGAUGAUCAUCACACUUCUAUUUAUUUACAACUCAAUGAUUACAACUCGAUACUAGAACAAAGUAUGACUCUAUAUGAAUGCCUCCGGCGGUGUACCGGGAUAUGAAAUGAACCAAGAGUGACAUGUAUGAAAGAAUUAUGAACGGUGGCUUUGCCACAAAUACUAUGUCAACUACAUGAUCAUGCAAAGCAAUAUGACAAUGAUGAACGUGUCAUGAUAAACGGAAUGGUGGAAAGUUGCAUGGCAAUAUAUCUCGGAAUGGCUAUGGAAAUGCCAUAAUAGGUAGGUAUGGUGGCUGUUUUGAGGAAGAUAUAAGGAGGUUUAUGUGUGAAAGAGCGUAUCAUAUCACGGGGUUUGGAUGCACUGGCGAACUUUCCACCAACUCUCAAUGUGAGAAAGGGCAAUGCACGGUACCGAAGAGGCUAGCAAUGGUGGAAAGGUGAGAGUGUGUAUAAUCCAUGGACUCAACAUUAGUCAUAAAGAACUCACAUACUUAUUGAAAAAAUCUACAAGUCAUCAAAAACCAAGCACGACGCGCAUGCUCCUAGGGGGAUAGAUUGGUAGGAAAAGACCAUCGCUCGCCCCCGACCGCCACUCAUAAGGAGGACAAUCAAAGAACACCUCAUGUUUCAAAUUUGUUACAUAACGUUUACCAUACGUGCAUGCUACGGGACUUGCAAACUUCAACGCAAGUAUUUCUCAAAUUCACAACUACCCAACUAGCACAACUUUAAUAUCACUACCUCCAUGUCUCAAAACAAUCAUCAAGCACCAAACUUCUCUUAGUAUUCAACACACUCAUAAGAAAGUUUUUACUAUUCUUGAAUACCUAGCAUAUUAGGAUUAUUUAAGCAGAUUACCAUGCUAUUUAAGACUCUCAAAAUAAUCUAAGUGAAGCAUGAGAGAUCAAUAGUUUCUAUAAAACAAAUCCACCACCGUGCUCUAAAAGAUAUAAGUGAAGUACUAGAGCAAAAACUAUAUAACUCAAAAGAUAUAAGUGAAGCACAUAGAGUAUUCUAAUAAUUUCCGAAUCAUGUGUGCCUCUCUCAAAAGCUGUGUACAGCAAAGAUGAUUGUGGUAAAAUAAAAAGCAAAGAAUCAAAUCAUACAAGACGCUCCAAGCAAAACACAUAUCAUGUGGUGAAUAAAAAUAUAGCAAAUAUAGCUCCAAGUAAAGUUACCGAUGGAAGUAGACGAAAGAGGGGAUGCCUUCCGGGGCAUCCCCAAGCUUUGGCUUUAAGGUGUCCUUAGAUUAUCUUGGGGGUGCCAUGGGCAUCCCCAAGCUUAGGCUCUUGCCACUCCUUGUUCCAUAAUCCAUCAAAUCUUUCACCCAAAACUUGAAAACUUCACAACACAAAACUCAGCAGAAAAUCUCGUGAGCUCCGUUAGCGAAAGAAAACAAAAGACCACUUCAAGGUACUGUAAUGAACUCAUUAUUUAUUUAUAUUGGUGUUAAACCUACUGUAUUCCAACUUCUCUAUGGUUUAUAAACUCUUUUACUAGCCAUAGAUUCAUCAAAAUAAGCAAACAACACACGAAAAACAGAAUCUGUCAAAAACAGAACAGUCUGUAGUAAUCUGUAACUAACGCAAACUUCUGGAACUCCAAAAACUCAGCCAAAAUAGGACGACCUAGACAAUUUGUUUAUUGAUAAGAAGCAAUUGGAAUCAAUAUUUUAUCACGUUCUGGUGAUUCUUAACAAUUAUUUUCAUGAACAGAAAGUUUCUGGAAUUUUCUGCAAGAUCAAAUAACUACCAUCCAAGAAGAUCCUAUAGGUUUAACUUGGCACAAACACUAAUUAAAACAUAAAAACACAUCUAACCAGAGGCUAGAAAAAAUAUUUAUUCCUAAACAGAAGCAAAAAGCAAAAAACUAAAAAUAAAAUUGGGUUGCCUCCCAACAAGCGCUAUCGUUUAACGCCCCUAGCUAGGCAUAGUAGCAAGGAUACAUCUAGGUAUUGCCAUCUUUGGUAGGCAAUUCUCCAAUGAGGCAUCUAUCAUCCUUGGGAAUUUCUUUAUUUUUAUUAAUUAACAAACAUUUAGGCACAAGACCGAAAAAUUAAUUUAUAGCAAAUGGUUCCUUAAUGAUAGCAAAAAGAUCGGGAUGAAUACUUAUAGAUUUGAGAUCCGCAGUUUCCUUACUAGAGGGUUCACCCUUAUUUUUAGGAACAUACAUAAGCUUGGCAAUUUUUGUUGGAGGACUAGGAGUAUUUUUUACGGAAGAAAAAGCGGUUCGCAAACUGGUAAUGAUACCCUCAAGUUUAUCGAUUCUAGUAGAAUCCUGAUUUAUUCUUUUAUUAACUAUGGGUUCCUUCUCCUUAAUGUUUUUCAAAGUGACUCCUACUUUAGAUCCGUAUUGGGUAAUUUGGUUGUGGAUCUUUUUAUCCAUAUUUUCAAUUAGCUCUAUGGUAGUAACUUUAUUUUCAAUAAUAUCAAGUCUUUGCAUUACAUGCUCCAAAGUUAAAAUAGUUCCAUUAACCAAAAGAGGUGGUGAGCCAAACAAAUCUAUCAUAGCAUUAUAAGAGUCAAAAGUAUGGCUACCCAAGAAAUUCCCUCCGCUAAUGGUGUCAAGAAUAUAUCUAUACCAAGGAUUAGCACCUACAUAAAAAUUGCGGAGAAGAACGGAAGUAGAUUGCUUCCUGGUAGAUCUAUUUUGAGCAUUGCAAAUUCUAUACCAAGCGUCUUUUAGAUUUUCUCCCUCCCUUUGUUUAAAAUUGAGAACUUCAUUUUCGGGAGACAACGGAGAAGAUAAGGAACUAGUCAUGACUACAAGGCAAGAAAGAAAGCGACAAACGGAAAGAGAGGGCAAAUAAAACGGCAAGGGUGAAGUGGGGGAGAGGAAAACGAGAGGCAAAUGGCGAAUAAUGUAAUGCGGGAGAUAAGGGUUUGUGAUGGGUACUUGGUAUGUUGACUUUUGCGUAGACCUACCCGGCAACGGCGCCAGAAAUCCUUCUUGCUACCUCUUGAGCACUGCGUUGGUUUUCCCUUAAAGAGGAAAGGGUGAUGCAGCAAAGUAGCAUAAGUAUUUCCCUCAGUUUUUGAGAACCAAGGUAUCAAUCCAGUAGGAGGCUACACACGAGUCCCUCGCACCUACACAAACAAUAAAUCCUCGCAACCAACGCGAUAAGGGGUUCUCAAUCCCUACAGGGUCACUUACGAGAGUGAGAUCUGAUAGAUAUGAUAAGAUAAUAUUUUUGGUAUUUUUAUGAUAAAGAUGCAAAGUAAAGAAAGUAAAAUAAAAACGGCGCCAGAAAUAGCUCGUUGUUAGAAGAUUAAUAUGAUGGAAAAUAGACCCGGGGGCCAUAGUUUCACCUGUGGCUUCUCUCAAGAGCAUAAGUAUUUUACGGUGGGUGAACAAAUUACUUUUGAGCAAUUGACAGAAUUGAGCAUAGUUAUGAUAAUAUCUAGGCAUGAUCAUGUAUAUAGGCAUCACGUCCGAAACAAGUAGACCGACUCCUGCCUGCAUCUACUACUAUUACUCCACACAUCGACCGCUAUCCAGCAUGCAUCUAGAGUAUUAAGUUCAUAAGAACAGAGUAACGCUUUAAGCAAGAUGACAUGAUGUAGAGGGAGAAACUCAUGCAAUAUGAUAUAAACCCCAUCUUGUUAUCCUCGAUGGCAACAAUACAAUACGUGCCUUGCUGCCCCUACUGUCACUGGGAAAGGACACCGCAAGAUUGAACCCAAAGCUAAGCACUUCUCCCAUUGCAAGAAAGAUCAAUCUAGUAGGCCAAACCAAACUGAUAAUUCAAAGAGACUUGCAAAGAUAACCAAUCAUACAUAAAAGAAUUCAGAAGAUUCAAAUAUUGUUCAUAGAUAAACUUGAUCAUAAACCAACAAUUCAUCGGUCUCAACAAACACACCGCAAAAGAAGAUUACAUCGAAUAGAUCUCCACAAGAGAGGGGGAGAACAUUGUAUUGAGAUCAAAAAAGAGAGAGAAAGCAAUCUAGCUAAUAACUAUGGACCCGAAGGUCUGAGGUAAACUACUCACACUUCAUCGGAGAGGCUAUGGUGUUGAUGUAGAAGCCCUCCGUGAUCGAUGCCCCCUCUCGCGGAGCUCCGGAACAGGCCCCAAGAUGGGAUCUCACGGGUACAGAAGGUUGCGGCGGUGGAAUUAGGUUUUUUGCUCCGUAUCUGGUAGUUUGGGGAUACGUAGGUAUAUAUAGGAGGGAGGAGUACGUCGGUGGAGCAACGUGGGGCCCACGAGGGUGGAGCCCGCGCCCAGGGGGGUAGGCGCGCCCCCUACCUCGUGGCUUCCUGGUAGCUUUCUUGACGUAGGGUCCAAGUCGUCUGGAUCACGUUUGUUCCGAAAAUCACGUUCCCGAAGGUUUCAUUCCGUUUGAACUCCGUUUGACAUUCUUUUUCUGCGAAACUCUGAAAUAGGCAAAAAACAGCAAUUCUGGGCUGGGCCUCCGGUUAAUAGGUUAGUCCCAAAAAUAAUAUAAAAGUGUAUAAUAAAGCCCAAUAAUGUCCAAAACAGAAGAUAAUAUAGCAUGGAGCAAUCAAAAACUAUAGAUACGUUGGAGACGUAUCACCCUCAUACCAUAUUUUGAAUGCAUUUUCGGACGAGCAUCUCGCUAGUAUUCUCGACGAUAGUGGUGUGGCGAUCAGUGCGCCUAAUGUUGAUAUCAUUUCGCUUGUUUGUGCGCGGGAAGUAGCGCAGGCCACGCUCGCUGCUGCGGCUGCCCGCUGCGCUGAUCAGAAGCAUCUCGCCAUCGUACCAGUUGGGGCUGGUGUCGAGGCAGAGCCCUUUGAGGGGACAGAAGCCAGGGCAGCUUCUGAACUUCCUUCCUCCAGCCGGAUGCCGGCUCGGAAGCGAGUGGCCAAAGCGGUGACCUCCAGGGGAGUGCGCCUGUGCAAUAGGAUUAUUUAGAUGCGCUACAUGUUCUGGAACAUUCGUGGUUAUGGCCACGGAGGGCGCCGUACUCAGCUCAAGGAGUACAUGGCCAAGGAGAGGAUCGACGUGGUUGCACUACAGGAAACGAUUAAAACUGACUUUUCCUUCCGUGAUCUUAUUGCUUUUGAUCCCCUGCAGCGUUUCGAUUGGCACUGGGUGCCCUCGGUGGGACACCCGGGCGGCAUUUUAAUGGGUUGUAACUGUGAUGUUUGUGAUGUAUUGAGCUGGGAGGUUGGUGUAUUUUUCCUUGCGGCUACUAUUAAUCAUCGUGCCUCGGGUCACUCGUGGGUUAUUGUGUGCGUAUACGGACCUGCUGAUCACGCCCGUUCGGCGGAUUUCUUGCUCGAGCUUACAAAUUUGGUCGGGGCCAAAUGGGCUAUCAACUUGCCAUUGUUGGUAGCUGGCGAUUUCAACUUAAUCCGCUCGGGGGUGGACAAGAACAAUGCUAACAUUGACUGGACUAGGGUGUCCAUGUUCAAUAAUGGCAUUGCGGCGGCAGCAUUACACGAAGCUGCCAGGACCAGGGCCAGAUUUACUUGGACUAACAAGAAGAUGCAGCCGGUGCGAAGCGUGUUAGACCGAGUCUUCUUUACUCCCGAGUGGGAGGUGCUUUUCCCCCUGUGCACGCUUGUGGCUGAAACUCGUAUAGGGUCGGACCAUGUGCCAUUGUUUCCUCUGGGGAGGAUUUCAUUAGGCGUAGCCCUAGAUUCUACUUGGAAACAGCAUGGUUCGAAUCCGAGGGGUUUGCACAAAUGGUUGUCGAGCGCUGGCUGUCGAUCCGCGCACAACUGGGGCCGCAACACGGACCGGCAGAAUGUUGGACCGCGGCGGCUAGCAAACCCCGGGCUUUCCUCCGUGGGUGGGGUGCUAACCACGGCAGUGAAUCCAAAAAAGAACGUGCUAGGAUUGUCGAUGAGGUUGCAGCGUUGGAUGUGGAGGCAGAUUGCCGGCCAUUCUCAUAGGGAGAAUGGGCCCAUAGAUAUGCCCUAGAAAACAAAGUCAUUGCAAUUCUUAGAGCGGAGGAAGAAUAUUGGCGACGUAGGGGCGGAUCAAGUAGGUUACGAAAGCAGACGCAAACACUAGUCAAGUGGGUUACUUCAAUCCGACAAUGGACUCCUUUUGACCAACGAGCAAAUCGUAUCCCACAUUUAUGAGUUUUUCAUUGGCCUUUUGGGGACGGCCGAGGAAUAAUCGCUUUGCCUCUGGGAGGACUUGUGGGAACCUUCAGAACGGGUUUCGCAGGAGGGGGAUGAAGGGCUCGCUCUCUCGUUUCUCCCAGACGAAAUAGAUAAAGCUCUGGAUGACAUGAAAACCGACACGGCACCCGGGCCGGAUGGGUGGCCUGUAGAGUUCUUCAAAAAGUUUUGGCCCUGCCUCAAGCAUCUGCUCUACGAGAUAGUGAACGGUUUCGCUAUGGGUACGGUCGACUUGUCGCGCCUUAACUACGGUGCUAUUAGCUUGAUACCUAAAGUGAAAGGGGCUGAUAACAUCAAGCUCUUUAGGCCGAUCACGUUGAUUAACGUCCCGUUCAAAAUUUGUGCCAAAGCCUAUGCCUCGCGCUUGGCCCCGGUGGCGCAACGCGUCAUUAGCUCUAGUCAGACCGGUUUCCUCAAACACCGUAACAUCCUAGAAGGACCGAUCGCGCUUCACGAAAUAGUACACGAGCUAAAACGCGAUAAGUCACAAGGUGUGCUCCUCAAGCUGGAUUUUGAGAAAGCCUACGACCGCGUGAACUGGGAGUUCGUGCGUGAGGUCCUCCUCAAAAAGGAUUUUGAGGCGGGUUUCGUUCACCGUAUUAUGCACAUAGUGUGUAGUGGGCACACAAUGGUUACCAUCAAUGGUAUAGUGGGCAAGUUCUUCCGCAACAAACGUGGCCUUCGGCAGAGCGACCCGAGCUCGCCACUAAUUUUAACUUUGUUGCGGAUGCCCUAGUGGCAAUGAUUAACAAAGCCAGAGUGGCGGGACACAUUCGAGGGCUUGUCCCGCACCUCAUCCCCGGCGGCUUUACCCACCUACAAUACGCAGACGAUACGAUGCUUCUCUUUGAACCUGACGACCAUAGUAUCGCCUCGAUAAAGUUGCUGCUCCUCGCUUUUGAGAUCUUGUCGGGGCUUAAGAUCAAUUUCCUAAAAAGCGAAGUGAUCACCAUUGGGAUGGCGGAUCAUGAAAGUACUCGGAUUGCCAACUUGCUCAAUUGCAAGAUCGGGAGAUUUCCAAUCAAAUACCUUGGCCUCCCGAUCUCUUACAAGAAUCUGACCAUUGCGGAUUGGGCGCCACUAUAUGGCAAAGUGGCCAAUCGGGUUAGCCCGUGGCGAGCGAGGUUUAUGUCCUCGGCUGCUAGGCUUAUUUUAACUAACUCGAGCCUAUCCUCGCUCCUCCUAUUCACAAUGGGGAUGUUUCUCCUUGUGGAUGGUGUUCAUGCCAAGCUUGACACGCCGCGAUCCCGGUUCUUUUGGGAAGGAACCGGGACUAAACGCAAGUACCAUUUGGUGAAAUGGGCAGCGGUUUGCAGACCUAAAAAGUUCGGUGGUUUGGGGAUCACGAAUUCUAAAUUAAUGAAUGUGGCCUUGCUCACCAAGUUGUGGUAGCGCCUUGCCCAAAAUGAGUCGAGACUCUGGGCGGAUAUCCUCCGUCCGAAAUAUUUCCCGGAUGGAAAUCUUUUCAAGGCCAAGGCCAAGGGCUCGACGUAUUGGAACGGGAUCCAAGCGGUGAGGCCGGCAUUCUCGGUGGGAGCUCAUUUCAAUGUGAACAAUGGCUCGUCCACACGGUUUUGGCUUGACUGUUGGUGGGGUCAAGUGCCAUUGUGGCAAUCAUACACAGAGCUAUACGAAUUGGACAAGGACACUAACAUCCUGGUGGGCGAUGCCAUGCGCGUGCACCCUCCGGCGAUCUCCUUCUUUAGGACGCUGGAGGCAGGAGAGCUUGCCUCCUGGGCCGAACUAGUGGCUGACCUCGAGGGGAGGAAUCUCAGCCAGGAUAAUGACUCUAGUAGGAAAAGGGGCUUUUACCCCGGUUCAUAAGGGCCUUUCUUCUUCUCCUCUUCUUUUUCUUCUUUUUUCCUCUUCUUAUUUAUUUCUCCUCUUCUUCCUCUCCUCUUCUUCUUUCUUUCCUCUUCUUAUUUUCUUCUUUCCUAUCCUUCUUUUUUCUUCUUCUUCCCUUCCUAGCUAGAUAUAUGAAACUUUUCUAAAAUUGUAACUUUUGCAUAUAUAAAACUUUUCCAUGUGGAUCAUCAUUUCUCAUAUAUAUCGAAUAUAUAUCCAUUGUCGUAUAUAAAAACUUUCUAUAUAUGAACAAAAAACAUUCUAUGAACAAAAAAACAUUUUUGACAUAUAUAUUCAUACAUUUUGAACAUCUACAUACAUACAAAUUUUUUUUUGUUCACAUAUACAUUAUAGCCACAUACACAUAUACAUCACAUAUGAACAAAAAAAUUAAACUAAUAAAAAUAAAAAAACAUAUAGCCACAUAUGAACAAAAACAUAUAGCCACAUNNNNNNNNNNNNNNNNNNNNNNNNNNNNNNNNNNNNNNNNNNNNNNNNNNNNNNNNNNNNNNNNNNNNNNNNNNNNNNNNNNNNNNNNNNNNNNNNNNNNNNNNNNNNNNNNNNNNNNNNNNNNNNNNNNNNNNNNNNNNNNNNNNNNNNNNNNNNNNNNNNNNNNNNNNNNNNNNNNNNNNNNNNNNNNNNNNNNNNNNNNNNNNNNNNNNNNNNNNNNNNNNNNNNNNNNNNNNNNNNNNNNNNNNNNNNNNNNNNNNNNNNNNNNNNNNNNNNNNNNNNNNNNNNNNNNNNNNNNNNNNNNNNNNNNNNNNNNNNNNNNNNNNNNNNNNNNNNNNNNAUAAAAACUUUCUAUAUAUGAACAAAAAACUUUCUAUGAACAAAAAAACAUUUUUGACAUAUAUAUUCAUACAUUUUGAACAUCUACAUACAUACAAAUUUUUUUUGUUCACAUAUACAUUAUAGCCACAUACACAUAUACAUCACAUAUGAACAAAAAAAUUAAACUAAUAAAAAAACAUAUAGCCACAUAUGAACAAAAACAUAUAGCCACAUACAUACACAUAUACAUUAUAUAUAUAUGAUCAAAAAACAAUUAACUAAUAAAAAAACAGAGCCGGGGCGGCGGCUCUCACAGCGGGGGCGGCUAGGACGAUGGCGACGGCGGGGGCGGCGAGGGCGCCGGCGCGCGGGGNNNNNNNNNNNNNNNNNNNNNNNNNNNNNNNNNNNNNNNNNNNNNNNNNNNNNNNNNNNNNNNNNNNNNNNNNNNNNNNNNNNNNNNNNNNNNNNNNNNNNNNNNNNNNNNNNNNNNNNNNNNNNNNNNNNNNNNNNNNNNNNNNNNNNNNNNNNNNNNNNNNNNNNNNNNNNNNNNNNNNNNNNNNNNNNNNNNNNNNNNNNNNNNNNNNNNNNNNNNNNNNNNNNNNNNNNNNNNNNNNNNNNNNNNNNNNNNNNNNNNNNNNNNNNNNNNNNNNNNNNNNNNNNNNNNNNNNNNNNNNNNNNNNNNNNNNNNNNNNNNNNNNNNNNNNNNNNNNNNNNNNNNNNNNNNNNNNNGACGGCGACGAGCACCGGGCGGCGACCCGUCGAGGCAAGGGCGCGGGGCGAUGGCGACGAGGAGCGGGCGGCGACGGCGAGCACGGGCAGCCUGGCGGCGUCGGGGUAACUGGCGAGGUAUCUGAAAAUUUCCCAAGUGUUGGCUUAUAUAAGCACACCUUUGGUCCCGGUUGGUGGCACCAAACGGGACCAAAGGUCCCUUUUCAGCAGCCCAAAGGGCGGGAAGCGGCGGCCUUUGGUCCCGAUUGGUGGCACCAACCGGGACUAAAGGGUGGGCAUUGGUCCCGGUUGGUGCCACCAACCGGGACCAAAGGCCUUGCGCUGCCCGCGGCCAAAAGUUUAGUCCCACCUCGCUAGUUGAGAGGGGCUCGGAGUGGUUUAUAAGCCCCACUGCGGCUGCCCUCUCGAGCUCCUCUCAAAUGCAGGCUUACGGGCCUAAUGUCACACUGUGCUGUCUGUGGGCCUAUUGGGCCUUCUGCGGGCCUGAAUCCUGGCCCAGGUUGGGUUUCUAGUCGUAUUCAGGCCGUGGUGGCCCAAUAGGUGGCAGUUUUUUAAUUUUUUUCCAGUUUUUUGGUUCUGUUUUUUGCAUUAUUUAUUUUCUUUUGUUUUUUGCUUUAUUUUUAAAUUCUUUUUGCUUUUAGGUCAGCAAAAUUAUAAACUGCCUGUUAGUGCCAUUAGUUUUAGAAAAAAUAUAAACUUUCUAUUAGUGCCAUUAGUUCUUUAUGAAAAUUCUUUUUGCUGUAUUUAGUUUUUUAGUUUUCUUUUUUGCUAUAUUUAUUUUGUUUUGUUUCUACUUACAACAAAAAACUUAUUUAUUUUACUUUAUGAUAAUUCUUUCUGCUAUUAAAGUUUCUAUCAAAAAAGUUCUUUAUGAAAAUUCUUUUUGCUUUUAAUGAUUAAAAAUAAAAAAGAGGCGCAAUGCGCGUUGAUUUGCUUCAAGCCUUUCGGAAUAGUGUAGACUGCACUGCACAUAGCUCGAUGCAGUCUACCUUAUUCCUCAAGGCUUGAAGCUAAGCAACGUGAGCAUUGCGCUUCUUCUUCAUCGUCUCUGCACUCAGGGCUUAUAAACCGCUCCUUGCACAGCGGCGUGGUGGUGAGUUUAGUCCCACCUCGCUAGCUAAGAGAGAGCCGCACCUGUUUAUAUGGUGCGGUGCGCCUGAGCUGUCGAGCUCCUCUCUAAAGCAGGCUUACGGGCCUAACCUCUCUGUACAUGCCUGUGGGCCUAUUGGGCCUUCUGCGGGCCUGAAUCCUGGCCCAUGGAUGGGUUUCUAAUCGUAUUCAGGCCGUGGUGGCCCAGUAGGUGGCAUAAUUUGUAAUUUUUGGCCUGUUAUUUUUCAUGCAUUUACUAAUUAUUUUGAGCUAUAAGACCCUAAAAUUGAAAAGCAUUUCAAAUGAACUCUGAAAAGGUUGAAAGUUGGCAUGGUAUCAUCAUUUCAUCCACAUAGCAUGUGCAAGAAAGUUGAGAGGGUUACGGCAAAAACUAGAUGCACUUCUUGUACAAAACGGACAAUGGUAUCAUACUCGUCUAUUACAAAGUUGGCAUGGUAUCAUCAUAAUAGUUGCGGGAGAAAGUCUUCACUUUUUCUUCGCUUGUGUCAUUUGCUUAUUGCGCCGUAACCAUGGAUAAUCUUCAUCGUUUAUCAGGAUGCUUGGGUCAGCCUUGACUUUGAAGGGAGGAAUUUCAUGAAACUUUUCAUAAUCUUCAGACAUGUCUAUCUUGCCCUCCACUCCCACAAUGUCCCUUUUUCCUGAAAGAACUAUGUGCCGCUUUGGCUCAUCGUAUGAUGUAUUCGCUUCCUUAUCUUUUCUUUUCCUCGGUCUGGUAGACAUGUCCUUCACAUAGAUAACCUGUGCCACAUCAUUGGCUAGGACGAACGGUUUGUCAGUGUACCCAAGAUUGUUCAGAUCCACUGUUGUCAUUCCGUACUGUGGGUCUACCUGUACCCCUCCUCCUGACAGAUUGACCCAUUUGCACUUAAACAAAGGGACCUUAAAAUCAUGUCCGCAGUCAAGUUCCCAUAUGUCCAUUAUGUAACCAUAAUAUGUGUCCUUUCCCCUCUCGGUUGCUGCAUCAAAGCGGACACUGCUAUUUUGGUUGGUGCUCUUUUGAUCUUGGGUGAUCGUGUAAAAUGUAUUCCCAUUUAUCUCGUAUCCUUUGUAAGUCAAUACAGUCGAAGAUGGUCCCCUGGACAACGAGUACAACUCAUCACAAACAGUGGUGUCACCUCUAAGACGUGUUUCUAACCAACUACUGAAAGUCCUGAUGUGUUCACAUGUAAUCCAGUCGUCACACUGCUCCGGGUGUUUGGAGCGCAGACUGUUCUUGUGUUCAUCGACAUACGGGGUCACCAAGGUAGAGUUCUGUAGAACUGUGUAGUGUGCUUGAGACCAAGAAUAUCUGUCCCUGCAUAUUAUUGAGUCCCCCCCUCCAAGCGUGCCUUUUCCAGUCAGUCUCCCCUCAUACCGCGAUUUAGGGAGACCUAUCUUCUUCAGGCCAGGAAUGAAGUCAACACAAAACCCAAUGACAUCCUCUGUUUGAUGGCCCAUGGAGAUGCUUCCUUCUGGCCUAGCGCGGUUACGGACAUAUUUCUUUAGGACUCCCAUGAACCUCUCAAAGGGGAACAUAUUGUGUAGAAAUACGGGCCCCAGAAUGACAAUCUCGUCGACUAGAUGAACUAGGACGUGCGUCAUGAUAUUGAAGAAGGAUGGUGGGAACACCAGCUCGAAAAUGACAAGACAUUGCGCCACAUCACUCCUUAGCCUUGGUAUGAUUUCUGGAUCGAUCACCUUCUGAGAGAUUGCAUUGAGGAAUGCACAUAGCUUCACAAUGGCUAAUCGGACAUUUUCUGGUAGAAGCCCCCUCAAUGCAACCGGAAGCAGUUGCGUCAUAAUCACGUGGCAGUCAUGAAACUUUAGGUUCUGGAACUUUUUCUCUAGCAUAUUUAUUAUUCCCUUUAUAUUCGACGAGAAGCCAGUCAGGACCUUCAUACUGAGCAGGCAUUCAAAGAAGAUUUCUUUCUCUUCUUUCGUAAGAGCGUAGCUGGCAGGACCUUCAUACUGCUUCGGAGGCAUACCGUCUUUUUCGUGCAAACGUUGCAGGUCCUCCCGUGCCUCAGGUGUAUCUUUUGUCUUCCCAUACACGCCCAAGAAGCCUAGCAGGUUCACGCAAAGGUUCUUCGUCACGUGCAUCACGUUGAUUGAAGAGCGGACCUCUAGCUCUUUCUAGUAGGGUAGGUCCCAAAAUAUAGAUUUCUUCUUCCACAUGGGUGCGUGUCCCUCAGCAUCAUUCGGAACAGCUAGUCCGCCGGGACCCUUUCCAAAGAUUACGUGUAAAUCAUUGACCAUAGCAAGUACGUGAUCACCGGUACGCAUGGCGGGCUUCUUCCGGUGAUCUGCCUCGCCUUUGAAAUGCUUGCCUUUCUUUCGACAUUGAUGGUUGGUCGGAAGAAAUCGACGAUGGCCCAGGUACACAUUCUUCGUGCUUUUGUCCAGGUAUAUACUUUCAGUGUUAUCUAAACAGUGCGUGCAUGCGUGGUAUCCCUUAUUGGUCUGUCCUGAAAGGUUACUGAGAGCGGGCCAAUCGUUGAUGGUUACAAACAGCAACGCGUGCAGGUUAAAUUCCUCCUGUUUGUGCGCAUCCCACGUACGUACACCGUUUCCAAUCCACAGCUGUAAAAGUUCUUCAACUAAUGGCCUUAGGUACACAUCAAUGUCGUUGCCGGGUUGCUUAGGGCCUUGGAUGAGAACUGGCAUCAUAAUGAACUUCCGCUUCAUGCACAUCCAAGGAGGAAGGUUAUACAUACAUAGAGUCACGGGACAGGUGCUGUGAUUGCUGCUCUGCUCCCCGAAAGGAUUAAUGCCAUCCGCGCUUAAACCAAACCAUAUGUUCCUUGGGUCAGCUGCAAACUCACCCCAGUACUUUCUCUCGAUUUUUCUCCACUGUGACCCGUCAGCGGGUGCUCUCAACUUCCCGUCUUUCUUACGGUCCUCACUGUGCCAUCGCAUCAACUUGGCAUGCUCUUCGUUUCUGAACAGACGUUUCAACCGUGGUAUUAUAGGAGCAUACCACAUCACCUUCGCGGGAACCCUCUUCCUGGGGGGCUCGCCGUCAACAUCACCAGGGUCAUCUCGUCUGAUCUUAUACCGCAAUGCACCGCAUACCGGGCAUGCGUUCAGAUCCUUGUACGCACCGCGGUAGAGGAUGCAGUCAUUAGGGCAUGCAUGUAUCUUCUGCACCUCCAAUCCUAGAGGGCAUACGACCUUCUUUGCUGCGUAUGUACUGUCGGGCAAUUCGUUAUCUUUUGGAAGCUUCUUCUUCAAUAUUUUCAAUAGCUUCUCAAAUCCUUUGUCAGGCGCAGCAUUCUCUGCCUUCCACUGCAGCAAUUCCAGUACGGUACCGAGCUUUGUGUUGCCAUCUUCGCAAUUGGGGUACAACCCUUUUUUGUGAUUCUCUAACAUGCGAUCGAACUUCAGCUUCUCCAUUUGACUUUCGCAUUGCGUCCUUGCAUCGACAAUGACCCGGCGGAGAUCAUCAUCAUCGGGCACUGGUUCCUCUUGAUCUUCAGCAGCUUCCCCCCUUGCAGAAUCAUUGGGCACAUCGUCUGGUUCCUCUUGAUCUUCAGCAGUUUCCCCUGUUGCAGCAUCACCGUAUUCAGGGGGCACAUAGUUGUCAUCGUCCUCUUCUUCUUCGCCGUCUUCCAUCAUAACCCCCAUUUCUCCGUGCCUCGUCCAAACAUUAUAGUGUGGCAUGAAACCCUUGUAAAGCUGGUGGGUGUGAAGGAUUUUCCGGUCAGAGUAAGACUUCGUAUUCCCACAUGUAGGGCAUGGACAACACAUAAAACCAUUCUGCUUGUUAGCCUCAGCCACUUCGAGAAAAUCAUGCACGCCCUUAAUGUACUCGGAGGUGUGUCUGUCACCGUACAUCCAUUGCCGGUUCAUCUGCGUGCAUUAUAUAUAAUUAAGUGUGUCAAAAACCAUUACAGAACAUCAUGAAUAGAUAAUUAAGUGACCAAAUUAAUAGAAGUUCAUCAUCACAUUAGAACCAAAGUACAUACAUAGUUCUUAUCUAACAACAUAUAUAUAGCUCUCCAGAGCAUCUAAUUAAUUAAACCAUACAUUGAAACUAUGUAAAACAUUUCAAUGCGAAAACAAAUGCGAUCAUAAUCGCAACCAAGGUAACAAUUGAUCCAACGGCAUAAUGAUACCAAGCCUCGGUAUGAGUGGCAUAUUUUCUAAUCUUUCUAAUCUUCAAGCGCAUUGCAUCCAUCUUGAUCUUGUGAUCAUCGACGACAUCCGCAACAUGCAACUCCAAUAUCAUCUUCUCCUCCUCAAUUUUUUUUAUUUUUUCCUUCAAGUAAUUGUUUUCUUCUUCAACUAAAUUUAACCUCUCGACAAUAGGGUCGGUUAGAAUUUCCGGUUCAACCACCUCCUAGAUAAAUAAAAUCUAUGUCACGUUAGUCGGUAUAUUUGUCAUAAACAAUAAAUGAACCAAAUAGUUAUAAAAAGAUAAUAUAUACCACAUCCGAAUCAUAGACAGGACAAGGGCCGACGGGGGCGGAUACCAAAACCAUCGCACUAUGUAAUAAGAAGGAAUAAUAAAAGUAACAAAAUUAGACAAGUAACUAUCUAAAGUAAGAAUUUUUUCCUUUCAGAAAGAAGAUAAGAACAAGAGGCUCACCACGGUGGUGCUGGCGACGAGAUCGGCGCGGGCGAUCGACGGCAGUGAAGACGGGGACGGGACGUGACGGACCGCUAAACCUAGACAAAUCUCGGGGAAAAUGGAGCUCGGAGGUCGAGUUUCGAGAGGACAAAGAUUAACUAGUGUGGCUCAGACAUUUCAUCGAACACCUCAUGUGCAUAGGAGGUGAGCUAGAGCACCCAAAUGCCCUCCCCUCGCCGGCCAGAAAAAACAGAGCACUCUGGAGUGCUCUGAUGUGGCGAUGGGGUAUAUAUAGGAAACUCAUUGGUCCCAGUUGGUGGCACCAACCGGGACUAAAGGCCAUUGGUCCCGGUUUGUCCCACCAACCGGGACCAAAGGGUCCGGACGAACCGGGACCAAUGCCCCCACGAGGCCCGGCAGGUCCCUGGCCGCACGAACCAGGACCAAUGCUCACAUUAGUCCCGGUUCGUGACUGAACCGGGGCUAAUGUGAAAACUGUCCUGUGACCUAAGCCCCUUUUCCUACUAGUGUAACCCCCUCCUGGAAAUUCUCGGUGAAAUCUUUAUACGAUAAGUUGACAGAGGGGAAUGAGCUAGACAUGGCUAGGGGGCUACAGAAGGCAGUCAUCCCUCUUAAGAUCAAAAUAUUUAUGUGGCAAAUGUUCCGAAACCGUCUUCCUACUUCUGAUAACAACGUAACGAGCCGGCGGAUGGGACAUGCGCCAUUUGCAAUCUUGGGGAAAACGCUAACCACUUGUUCUUCGGGUGCUGCUUAGCUAGAUUUGCGUGGAGUGCGGUGAGAGAUGCUUUCAAUCAGAAUUGGAAUCCGCACUCUAGCGACGAUCUAUUGACUUUGCUGUCGGCGCAGAGGGGUGCCAACGUGAGGGUUCUUUGGCGCUGCGUAGGGGCGCUACUUUGGUCGCUUUGGUCUGUGCGGAACAAAAUAACCAUAGAAUAUAAGUUCCCUGCACACCCAGCUGAUAUCCUUUUCAAAUGCCAUAUUUUCUUACAGGCUUGGGCACCAUUGGGGAAGCCACGUGAUGAGGACCUCAUGACCAGGAUCAUGGAGUAGAUCAAGCUGUGCAUGGUGAACUCGUGUCAAGAAGAACAGCCAGCCUGAGUCUUUUGCGUUGAGCUACAUGUCUCGCUCCGCUUUUGUUUUAAGUUAUCUUCUUUGAACUUACCCUGUGCCGGGACUUCGAGCCCGAGGAACCUUUAAAUUCGGUCUGUAUCGAUGAAACCUUGUCUGGAUGCUGCCUUGGGGCUUUAUUAAUUUAAAGCCGGACGCGAGGUGCGUCUCUGUUAAAAAACACAAUAUUAAAAGACAUACCCGUGUUCCACUUUUCUAUGGUUAUUGCAGAGUUAAGUGAAAAAAAUAAACUUAUAAUAUCAUAUUGGGUCCAUCAAGUAUCUCUAAUUUUAGUACUAUAUAAGUGAAGCUGCUAAAUUUCUUGUGGAAGUAGAUUCGGUGUAGAUUGCUAAGAAAUAUGAUUUUUUUUCUACAAUUCACCAAACUUGUAUUUAUUCAUAUCUUCUUCAUUAACUGGUACCCACCGGCUCUUUGAAAUGCUAGUGUCCAAUUUUGGUUGAUGUCAAAUUUUUAUUUUAGCUCUUAAUGCCAUGACUUGCAUAUUUUUCCUUCAAAUUUCACUAAGCUUGGGUUGCUACAGUUUUCAAAUGUUGUGAAUAAGCAACAAAGAGAAAUUCAUUGGCACACCACGAUUCUUAUAUAUAUUCCAUAUUAUAUUUCUCGAAUCUAAUAAAAAAAAAGUUCUCCAAUCUAUAUUCCUUGGUGCACCAAUUUACUUAGAAAGAUGUGUGAUCUAUGGUGGAUUCAGUAGCAUGUGCUUGUUCUAUAGUGGAAAAGCAUACACGUGCUACGUGCCAUCUUAUUAUAAUACACAAAGUUAUAUAUUAAGAGUAAGCUAUCUAUAAUACAUUCGACCAAAAAUGAAGGUAUUUAUUUCAAUGCUGAUUGUUAAACAAUCAUUGUUGAUGAUAUCACACACAUGUGAAGUUUCUAUCUAUUAUGUUCUAAUCCAUCUAGAUUCCACCAAAAUCCUAGUCCUAACUCGUUAGAAAAUAUAGGACAAAUAUCAGAAAACCACAAUCCAUGUACCCUACUUAACCAGAAUCAUAGGAAUUAUUUUCAUUAACCAUCACUGCAAGGUUCCACUACUUAUAGUGUAGUUGUAUUAAGACUCCACACAUACACACGGUUGUAGCAGAAGUGUGUGCAUUGUAAUAACUGCAAACAUUCUUCAAGACACAACAAUUUCUGAUGUGGCAGGCGUGAAAGAGGGGUUGCGAGGUGAAAUACAUCGUGCACAAUCCUUGGAAAGUAGUCAAAAAUUGGCGAUGUGAUAUUUAUAGGAAAAGUAACGGGUCGCUCACACGGGCUCUUCAGGUUGGCCAUUAGCAGCGGGACCCAAUAUCCACUGGAUUAGUUAUGCACUGUAUCUGAUGUGAGUACGGUUGGGUCCUGACUGAUUUGUUGCAAGAUGGACCCUGUUUCAACCAUCCGACUCAAUCCCGGAGGUAAUCUUCGUACAUCUUGCUGCAGCGGGCCGGCGGCCAGCUCAUGUGUAAGAGCGGUGGCUUAUGGGAGGGGCUCAGUGUGGUCUACUGGUAGAGAAACGGUCGGUGUUGGGGACUAGUCAGAGGGGUACAGCGGUAGCGACAUCGUUUGUGGGUGAGCGUCUACUUGAUAGCUGACGGCUGCUGCGGUAGUGUGAUCCAAAGGCUGGUUCGGGCCAGCUGGUGAUCCGGCUGCUAGAGCUGCUCCAGGCUGGUGGAGCAGCAGGUAGUCAAGUAGAGUAUCUUGUUCGGCACUGACGGCUGCCCCAGGCCCCUCAGGCCAACUCCACCGCACGAUCCCAAACGGACGUCCGUUUUAUCCGGAUUCUGUCCGUUUGGAUAGGGUAAUGGGGUCGUGUUCGGGCGUGUCCUGGGAUGCGGUGGCCGUGCGUUCAGCGCGCGGACGCAUCCCGGCCGCAUCCUGUCCGCGUGCAUUUUUCUUUGCAAGUCCUUAACUUUUUUUUAUCAUUUAUUUUUGGUACAUGACAAUACAUCAUCACAUUUUGACUAGUAAAGCAAGGCCAAAGAAAAUAACAACCACAAUAAUACAUUUUAGAAGAUACCCAACUUCCAUAACUGCUCCCUUGAGUUGGGUUAGGGCCUUCUCGAUGCACUCAUUGUUGAUCCGUGGAGGAGGCUCGAUGUUGCACCCUCCUUUCUUCUUCAAGCCAGAAGUCGAUGUUGCUUCCUCACACCUAGUCUCGUGUCUAGACUCUAAUCUAGCAACAAGUGCACUUGUCUCAUCUACAACCUCUAUGCUAGCUAAAAGUGCACGAACAUGUACUAAAUUUCGCUCUAUCAAUAUAUCGAUGUACUCUUCUUCCCAACACCAAAACUUGCAUCCAUUCUACACAAUAAAAUUUGAAGUUAGCACAACUAGUCUAAUCCGAGAGCACAAACCGAAGCUAAAAAUAGCACAUACCCCAUCGUUUAAGCACUUGAUGAACACCCAUCCGGGAUGUUCCGGCGUUGUAGACACGCGACACACGAUCAUCCUUGGGCACUGGUCGCACUUAAUGAGUGGCAACGGUGCACCGACGAGCUUUUGGGCAAGCACCGAGCCCGGCCGGCCACCAUUCGUGUAUCUGCCGGCAGACCAACGACGGUGCAGAUCCGAGUGGCUAGAGGAGGAGCCACUGCCUGCAUGUGGCCUUGCGGCCCUGCCAGGGCCUUCCGGCGAGGUGCCCGGCCAGUCCAUGGCUCGGCCCAGCCUCUCACAGUCGGGCGAGCUCAAGACCCACCGGAUCCGCCCCAAAUCCGGCCGGCGGGUGCGCAAACCAGGUGGCUGUGGUUGGGUAGCUCGGCGGCUGGGCGAGCGCGCGUCCGAGCUGCACGGCUGCAAUGGCAGCGGCGGCGAGGGAAAGAGUGGGGAAGAGUGGAGUGGGGUACGGUCGGAGGGAGGGAGGGGGGCGGAUAGAAAAAGGCCCGCCCUGUGCCACCGACGGGCGGGCCAGGGGAGGACACACGCAGACAGCCGGCGCGUCCGCGUGGUGUCCGUUACACCCAAAAGCCGCGCAAACUUGGGCCGGGAUGGGUCGAAAGCGAACACAAAACGGACAAAAGCCCGUUUGCUCCCGCGCGCUGGACCGCCCGGUUUGUCCCUUUUACCCCAAACGGCGGGGCCAGACAGGAUAGGGUCGCGCGGUGAAGUUGGCCUCAGCUCUGAGUAGGAAUUGCCACUUCUCUGUUGCAUCCCAUGUCUAGUCCUACUAUGGUCACCGAAAUAAGGUGCUGUUCUGAAAUCGAGGUCUACCUGCUUUGUGUGAAAUAUGGAAGCACGUGACAUGCCUUGAUUAUUCAUAGGAAGAGAAAUGGAACUGCACUCGAGUUGAUCUUGUACAACAACCAUACAGAGCAAGAUUAUAAUGUAAUCGCUAUGUCAAGACCACAUAUCAGGCCUGCACAUGCUUGUUGUUGUUGUUUUGAUUUCUGAACCCUACAAUCACUACGUUGGUACUUGUCGGUGAACUUUAUGAUGAGGUUGAUACAUGUUCUGCAACGUGCGGAUUUCUCUACAUUAGUGUAGAACAUUCGUCGACCAGACAUUCUUGAAAAGGUUUGGCACCAUCAGUUCAUUUGGGUACCAACAUGAAUACUAUUUUGACAUUCUAAAUCUAUUUUUUUUGUUUGGCUGUGGUCAGGAGUAUUGAAAUGAAAUAAAAUCUGAAAUUCGUUUGAAUCUUGUAUACAAUGAUAAACAACAAACCAGNNNNNNNNNNNNNNNNNNNNNNNNNNNNNNNNNNNNNNNNNNNNNNNNNNNNNNNNNNNNNNNNNNNNNNNNNNNNNNNNNNNNNNNNNNNNNNNNNNNNNNNNNNNNNNNNNNNNNNNNNNNNNNNNNNNNNNNNNNNNNNNNNNNNNNNNNNNNNNNNNNNNNNNNNNNNNGGUGGUCACCGUCGGUCCUUCCCUCGACCGGGGGGUCAUCGGCGUCGCCCAUUCCUUCGACGGGGAGAUCGCUGAGGGGAUCGGCGCAGAUCAGAUCGCCCAACCCCCAUGACUCCGUGCCGGCGCAGUCGGGAGGGAAGAUGCAGGCGGCGGGAUCGCGUGUUGGUCUCGUUCCCCCGGCGCCGAGAGAGACCGGACGGGGCCAGGGGCGAUUCACGCAAUGGCGGGUGAAUUUCUGCGCCGGGACGGAUUCCGGCAAUCGUAUUGAAGGCCACAUCCGCUUUUCUCCUCAUUCUCGCUGGCUAGUUCUUCUGGACUUGGACAAUGACGUCCUAGCAGGCGAAUACUUACCGGACGGCAAAUCAAUCGAGGUAGGGCUUCAUUUCAGGAUUGAUGAGUAUGAUGUGUUAGUUGCUGAAUGCGUGCAGGUCGAUCUUCGUUCGAAGACACCAGAGAUAGUUGAUCUGACGGAGAAGUUGGUUCCUGGAAAACCGGGAGGACGAUUUUGGGCACUUAUUGAGAGCGACGACGACGAACAGGUGGAUGAUCACACUCGCGAGGUACGAUGAUUCCAAUGAUUGUACCGAUGGAGUUGUCGGUGCCUACAGGAGUAUUGAAAUGAAAUAAAAUCUGAAAUUCGUUUGAAUCUUGUAUACAAUGAUAAACAACANNNNNNNNNNNNNNNNNNNNNNNNNNNNNNNNNNNNNNNNNNNNNNNNNNNNNNNNNNNNNNNNNNNNNNNNNNNNNNNNNNNNNNNNNNNNNNNNNNNNNNNNNNNNNNNNNNNNNNNNNNNNNNNNNNNNNNNNNNNNNNNNNNNNNNNNNNNNNNNNNNNNNNNNNNNNNNNNNNNNNNNNNNNNNNNNNNNNNNNNNNCGACCGGGGGGUCAUCGGCGUCGCCCAUUCCUUCGACGGGGAGAUCGCUGAGGGGAUCGGCGCAGAUCAGAUCGCCCAACCCCCAUGACUCCGUGCCGGCACAGUCGGGAGGGAAGAUGCAGGCGGCGGGAUCGCGUGUUGGUCUCGUUCCCCCGGCGCCGAGAGAGACCGGACGGGGCCAGGGGCGAUUCACGCAAUGGCGGGUGAAUUUCUACGCCGGGACGGAUUCCGGCAAUCGUAUUGAAGGCCACAUCCGCUUUUCUCCUCACUCUCGCUGGCUAGUUCUUCUGGACUUGGACAAUGACGUCCUAGCAGGCGAAUACUUACCGGACGGCAAAUCAAUCGAGGUAGGGCUUCAUUUCAGGAUUGAUGAGUAUGAUGUGUUAGUUGCUGAAUGCGUGCAGGUCGAUCUUCGUUCGAAGACACCAGAGAUAGUUGAUCUGAUGGAGAAGUUGGUUCCUGGAAAACCGGGAGGACGAUUUUGGGCACUUAUUGAGAGUGACGACGACGAACAGGUGGAUGAUCACACUCGCCAGGUACGAUGAUUCCAAUGAUUGUACCGAUGGAGUUGUCGGUGCCUAUGGUAGUACUUGAUCAGCGCCGCACCAAAGUUCAAACAUUCAAACCGACAGUGAAACCCUGGAUCGGCCCGAUUCCUAAGGUAUUCCACGAACCUGUUACUUUGUACGAUUUUAUGCCCGAUUCUUGGACUGUUGUUACUCGAAAGAAGAAGAAGGGAAAGAAGGGUCGAUCGCCACCGCCGCAGAGGCCGCCGGUGGCGAGGUCGGCGAGCGCGAUUCGAACGGCCAGACGGGCUCGUUUGAAUUCGCUGCUGGCUUCUGUGCGCGUGGCGGAUGAGGCGACGGUCGUGGGCUUGCAUGACUCGGGCGAGGCCCAGUUAGGAGCCCAAGCCUCUGCCGAUCCAAUACGUACGUGCGUGCAUGUAUCACCACUGUUGCCUGACGUGAUCGAGACUAGGGUUAUCAAGCCUGGCUUCCCGACGUUGGGCGAGGGACAUGCAAAGAGAAUAUCGUGCGCCGGCGCCAUGGCGGGACGCGGGCAACCACCUGGCAAGCGAGGGCUUCAGCCCGCCGUGGGUGCAACUGCCGAUGCCGGCCGCGGUGCACCGCCCACUUCGGUCGGUGGUGCCGGGCGCGGUGCUCCGCCCGCCUCUGCUGGGGGUGCCGGGGGGAUCGGCCGCGCAGCUAUGCUCGCCGCUGGUGCUGGUAGGGCCGGGCGCGGGAUUCCACCUCCGCAAGGGCCACUGGCCGGAGCAGGAGCCGGUCGUGGCGCUCCACCUCCUGCGCGACAAGGCCCGGUUGUUGUUGCUCCCAGCUCGCAGGCGCCGGUGCAAGGAGUGCAGCAGCCAGAUGAUCCGGUUCAGCAGCCGGUGGCCAAGGCACUGGCCCUAGGAAGAGGUCGCGGCGCUCAGGGGCGUGGUGGAUACAGUGGACACAGCAGAGAUGGUUGGAAUUUUAACCAGUACGGGCUGUGGGGAGACGAUGGAUAUGAUGCAUAUGGUGAGGGGCUGCACCGUGGAUCUUCAUCCGGUGGCGUCCGUGAAGGAAAUAUGCCCUAGAGGCAAUAAUAAAGUUAUUAUUUAUUUCCUUAUUUCAUGAUAAAUGUUUAUCAUUCAUGCUAGAAUUGUAUUAACCGGAAACAUAAUACUUGUGUGAAUACAUAGACAAACAGAGUGUCACUAGUAUGCCUCUACUUGACUAGCUCGUUAAUCAAAGAUGGUUAUGUUUCGUAGCCAUAGACAUGAGUUGUCAUUUGAUUAACGGGAUCACAUCAUUAGGAGAAUGAUGUGAUUGACUUGAACCAUUCCGUUAGCUUAGCACUUGAUCGUUUAGUAUUCUGCUAUUGCUUUCUUCAUGACUUAUACAUGUUCCUAUGACUAUGAGAUUAUGCAACUCCCGUUUACCGGAGGAACACUUUGUGUGCUACCAAACGUCACAACGUAACUGGGUGAUUAUAAAGGUGCUCUACAGGUGUCUCUGAAGGUACUUGUUGGGUUGGCGUAUUUUGAGAUUAGGAUUUGUCACUCCGAUUGUCGGAGAGGUAUCUCUGGGCCCACUCAGUAAUGCACAUCACUAUAAGCCUUGCAAGCAUUGUAACUAAUGAGUUAGUUGCGGGAUGAUGUAUUACGGAACGAGUAAAGAGACUUGCCGGUAACGAGAUUGAACUAGGUAUUGAGAUACCGACGAUCGAAUCUCGGGCAAGUAACAUACCGAUGACAAAGGGAACAACGUAUGUUGUUAUGCGGUCUGACCGAUAAAGAUCUUCGUAGAAUAUGUGGGAGCCAAUAUGAGCAUCUAGGUUCCGCUAUUGGUUAUUGACCGGAGACGUGUCUCGGUCAUGUCUACAUAGUUCUAGAACCCGUAGGGUCCGCACGCUUAAAGUUUCGAUGACGGUUAUAUUAUGAGUUUAUGAGUUUUGAUGUACCUAAAGUAGUUUGGAGUUCCGGAUGAGAUCAGGGACAUGACGAGGAGUCUCGAAAUGGCCGAGACGUAAAGAUCGAUAUAUUGGACGACUAUAUUCGGACUUCGGAAAGGUUCCGAGUGAUUCGGGCAUUUAUCGGAGUACCGGAGAGUUACGGGAAUUCGCUGGGGAGAAGUAUUGGGCCUUAUUGGGCCAUACGGGAAUAGAGGAGAGAGGCCAAAAGGAAGGAGGCGCGCACCCCCCCUCUGGUCCGAAUUGGACAAGGGGUGCAGCCCCCUUUUCCUUCUCCCUCUCCCCCUCUUUCCUUCUCUCCUACUCCAACAAGGAAAGGAGGAGUCCUACUCCCGGUGGGAGUAGGACUCCCCCCUUGGCGCGCCCUCCUCCUUGGCCGGCCGCCUCCCCCUUGCUCCUUUAUAUACGGGGGCAGGGUGGCACCCCAUAGACACAACAAUUAAUCGUUUGAUCUUUUAGCCGUGUGCGGUGCCCCCCUCCACCAUAGUCCACCUCGAUAAUACUGUAGCGGUGCUUAGGCGAAGCCCUGCGUCGGUAGAAUAUCAUCAUCGUCACCACGCCGUCGUGCUGAUGGAACUCUCCCUCAAAACUCGGCUGGAUCGGAGUUCGAGGGACGUCAUCAAGCUGAACGUGUGCUGAACUCGGAGGUGUCGUACGUUCGGUACAUGGAUCGGUCGGAUCGUGAAGACGUACGACUACAUCAACCGCGUUGUGCUAACGCUUCCGCUUUCGGUCUACGAGGGGUACGUGGACAACACUCUCCCCUCUCGUUGCUAUGCAUUACCAUGAUCUUGCGUGUGCGUAGGAAAUUUUUGAAAUUACUACGUUCCCCAACAGUGGCAUCCGAGCCUGGUUUUAUGCGUAGAUGUCGUAUGCACGAGUAGAACACAUGUGAGUUGUGGGCGAUAUAAGUCAUACUGCUUACCAGCAUGUCAUACUUUCGUUCGACGGUAUUGUUGGAUGAAGCGGCCCGGACCGACAUUACACGUACGCUUACGCGAGACUGGUUCUUCCGACGUGCUUUGCACAGAGGUGGCUGGCGGGUGUCAGUUUCUCCAACUUUAGUUGAACCGAGUGUGGCUACGCCCGGUCCUUGCGAAGGUUAAAACAGCACCAACUUGACAAACUAUCGUGGUGGUUUUGAUGCGUAGGUAAGAACGGUUCUUGCUCAGCCCGUAGCAGCCACGUAAAACUUGCAACAACAAAGUAGAGGAUGUCUAACUUGUUUUUGGAGGGCAUGUUCUGAUGUGAUAUGGUCAAAGCAUGAUGUUAAAUUUUAUUGUAUGAGAUGAUCAUGUUUUGUAACCGAGUUAUCGGCAACUGGCAGGAGCCAUAUGGUUGUCGCUUUAUUGUAUGCAAUGCAAUCGCCCUGUAAUGCUUUACUUUAUCACUAAGCGGUAGCGAUAGUCAUAGAAGCAUAAGAUUGGCGAGACGACAACGAUGCUACGAUGGAGAUCAAGGUGUCGAGCUGGUGACGAUGGUGAUCAUGACGGUGCUUCGGAGAUGGAGAUCACAAGCACAAGAUGAUGAUGGCCAUAUCAUAUCACUUAUAUUGAUUGCAUGUGAUGUUUAUCUUUUAUGCAUCUUAUCUUGCUUUGAUUGACGGUAGCAUUAUAAGAUGAUCUCUCACUAAAUUUCAAGAUAAAAGUGUUCUCCCUGAGUAUGCACCGUUGCCAAAGUUCGUCGUGCCCAGACACCACGUGAUGAUCGGAUGUGAUAAGCUCUACGUCCAUCUACAACGGGUGCAAGCCAGUUUGGCACACGCAGAAUACUCAGGUUAACUUGACGAGCCUAGCAUAUGCAGAUAUGGCCUCGGAACACUGAGACCGAAAGGUCGAGCGUGAAUAAUAUAGUAGAUAUGAUCAACAUAGUGAUGUUCACCAUUGAAAACUACUCCAUUUCACGUGAUGAUCGGUCAUGGUUUAGUUGAUUUGGAUCACGUGAUCACUUAGAUGAUUAGAGGGAUGUCUAUCUAAGUGGGAGUUCUUAAGUAAUAUGAUUAAUUGAACUUGAAUUUAUCAUGAACUUAGUCCUGAUAGUAUUUUGCAAAUUAUGUUGUAGAUCAAUAGCUCGCGUUGUUGCUUCCCUGUGUUUAUUUUUGAUAUGUUCCUAGAGAAAAAUUAUGUUGAAAUAUGUUAGUAGCAAAGAUGCGGAUUGGAUCCGCGAUCUGAGGAUUAUCCUCAUUGCUGCACAGAAGAAUUAUGUCCUUGAUGCACCGCUAGGUGACAGACCUAUUGCAGGAGCAGAUGCGGACGUUAUGAACGUUUGGCUAGCUCAAUAUGAUGACUGCUUGAUAGUUUAGUGCACCAUGCUUAACGGCUUAGAAUCGGGACUUCAAAGAUGUUUUUAACAGCAUGGACCAUAUGAGAUGUUCCAGGAGUUGAAGUUAAUAUUUCAAGCAAAUACCCGAGUUGAGAGAUAUGAAGUCUCCAACAAGUUCUAUAGCUAAAAGAUGGAGGAGAAUAGCUCAAGCAGUGAGCAUGUGCUCAGAUUGUCUGGGUACUACAAUCGCUUGAAUCAAGUGGGAGUUAAUCUUCCAGAUAAAAUAGUGAUUGACAGAAUUCUCUAGUCACCAUCACCAAGUUAGUAGAACUUCAUGAUGAACUAUAGUAUGUAAGGGAUGACGAAAGUAAUUCCCGAGCUCUUCGCGAUGCUGAAAUCGACGAAGGUAGAAAUCAAGAAAGAGCAUCAAGUGUUGAUGGUUAACAAGACCACUAGUUUCAAGAAAAGGGAAAAGGGAUAGAACGGGAACUUCAAGAAGAACGGCAAGCAAGUUGCUACUCAAGUGAAGAAGCCCAAGUCUGUACCUAAGCCUGAGAGACUAAGUGCUUCUACUGCAAAGGGACUGGUCACUGGAAGCGGAACUGCCCCAAGUAUUUGGUGGAUAAGCAGGAUGGCAAAGUGAACAAAGGUAUAUUGGAUAUACAUGUUAUUGAUGUGUACUUACUAGUGUUUAUAGCAACCCCUCGGCAUUUGAUACUGGUUCAGUUGCUAAGAUUAGUAACUCGAAACGGGAGUUGCAGAAUAAACAAAGACUAGUAAAAGGCGAGGUGACGAUGUGUGUUGGAAGUAGUUCCAAGAUUGAUAUGAUCAUCAUCGCACACUCCCUAUACUUUUGGGAUUAGUGUUGAAACUAAAUAAGUGUUAUUUGGUGUUUGCGUUGAGCAUGAAUAUGAUUUGAUCAUGUUUGUUGCAAUACGGUUUUUCAUUUAAAUUAGAGAAUAAUUGUUGUUCUGUUUACAUGAAUAAAACCUUCUAUGGUCGUACACCCAAUAAAAUGGUUUGUUGGAUCUCGAUCGUAGUGAUACACAUAUUCAUAAUAAUGAAGCCAAAAGAUGCAAAGUUAAUAAUGAUAGUGUAACUUAUUUGUGGCACUGCCGUUUAGGUCAUAUUGGUGUAAAGCGCAUGAAGAAACUCCAUACUGAUGGGAUUUUGGAAUCACUUGAUGCUUGCAAACCGUGCCUCAUGGGCAAGAAGACUAAAACGCCGUUCUCCGAAACUAUGGAGAGAGCAACAAAUUUGUUGGAAAUCAUACAUAUAGAUGUAUGUGGUCCGAUGAAUAUUGAGGCUCGUAGCAGGUAUCAUUAUUUUCUGACCUUCAUAGAUGAUUUGUGCAGAUAUGGGUAUAUCUACUUAAUGAAACAGAAGUCUGAAACAUUUGAAAAGUUCAAAGAAUUUCAGAGUGAAGUGGAAAAUCACCAUGACAAGAAAAUAAAAGUUUCUACGAUCUGAUCACGGAGACAAAUAUUUGAGUUACGAGUUUGGUCUUCAAUUAAAACAAUGUGGAAUAGUUUCACAAAUUCGUGCCACCUGGAACACCACAGCAUAAUGGUGUGUCCGAAUGUCAUAACCGUACUUUAUUGGAUAUAGUGCAAUUUAUGAUGUCUCUUACCGAUUUACCACUAUCGUUCUGGGGUUAUGCAUUAGAGACAGCUGCAUUCACAAUAAAUAGGGCACCGUCUAAUCCGUUGAGACGACACGGUAUGAACUAUGGUUUGGCAAGAAACCUAAGCUGUCGUUUCUUAAAGUUUGGGGUUGCAAUGCUUAUGUGAAAAAGUUUCAUCCUGAUAAGCUCAAACCCAAAUCGGAAAAGUGUGUCUUCAUAGGAUACCCAAAAGUUACUGUUGGGUACACCUUCUAUCACAGAUCCGAAGGCAAGAUAUUCGUUGCUAAGAAUGGAUCCUUUCUAGCGAAGGAGUUUCUCUCGAAAGAAGUGAGUGGGAGGAAAGUAGAACUUGAUGAGGUAACUAUACCUGCUCCCUUAUUGGAAAGUAGUUCAUCACAUAAAUCUGUUCCUGUGACUCCUACACCAAUUAGUGAGGAAGCUAAUGAUGAUGAUCAUGUAACUUCAGAUCAAGUUACUACCGAACCUCGUAGGUCAACCAGAGUGAGAUCCGCACCAGAGUGGUACGGUAAUCCUAUUCUGGAGGUCAUGUUACCUGACCAUGACGAACCUACGAACUAUGAGGAAGCGAUGAUGAGCCCAGAUUCCGCAAAAUGGCUUGAGGCCAUGAAAUCUGAGAUGGGAUCCAUGUAUGAGAACAAAGUGUGGACUUUGGUUGACUUGCCCGAUGAUCGGCAAGCCAUAGAAAAUAAAUGGAUCUUCAAGAGGAAGACGGACGCUGAUAGUAGUGUUACUAUCUACAAAGCUAGAAUUGUCACAAAAGGUUUUCGACAAGUUUAAGGUGUUGACUACGAUGAGAGUUUCUCACUCGUAUCUAUGCUUAAGUCUGUCCGAAUCAUGUUAGCAAUUGCCGCAUUUUAUGAAAUCUGGCAAAUUGAUAAACAAAACUGCAUUCCUUAAUGGAUUUAUUAAACAAGAGUUGUAUAUGAUGCAACCAGAAGGUUUUGUCAAUCCUAAAGGUGCUAACAAAAUAUGCAAGCUCCAGCGAUCCAUCUAUGGACUGGUGCAAGCAUCUCGGAGUUGGAAUAUACGCUUUGAUAAGUUGAUCAAAGGAUAUAGUUUUAUACAGACUUGCGGUGAAGCCUAUAUUUACAAGAAAGUGAGUGGGAGCACUACAUCAUUUCUGAUAAGUAUAUGUGAAUGACAUAUUGUUGAUCGGAAAUAAUGUAGAAUUAUUCUGCAAAGCAUAAAGGAGUGUUUGAAAGGAGUUUUUCAAAGAAAGACCUCGGUGAAGCUGCUUACAUAUUGAGCAUCAAGAUCUAUAGAGAUAGAUCAAGACGCUUGAUAAGUUUUUUCAAUGAGUACAUACCUUAGCAAGAUUUUGAAGUGGUUCAAAAUGGAACAGUCAAAGAAAGAGUUUCUUGCCUGUGUUACAAGGUGUGAAAUUGAGUAAGACUCAAAGCCCGACCAUGGCAGAAGAUAGAAAAAGAAUGAAAGUCAUUCCCUAUGCCUCGGCCAUAGGGUCUAUAAAGUAUGCCAUGCUGUGUACCAGAUCUAUUGUAUACCCUACACUGAUUUUGGCAAGGGAGUACAAUAGUGAUCUAGGAGUAGAUCACUGGACAGCGGUCAAAAUUAUCCUUACCGGAAUAAGGAUAUGUUUCUCGAUUAUGGAAGUGACAAAAGGUUCGUCGUAAAGGGUUACGUCGAUGCAAGUUUUGACACUAAUCUAGAUGACUCUAAGUCUCGGUCUAGAUACAUAUUGAAAGUGUGAGCAAUUAGCUAGAGUAGCUCCGUGCAGAGCAUUGUAGACAUAGAAAUUUGCAAAAUACUUACGGAUCUGAAUGUGACAGACCCGUUGACUAAAAUUAUCUCACAAGCAAAACAUGAUCACACCUUAGUAUUCUUUGGGUGUUAAUCACAUAGUGAUGUGAACUAGAUUAUUGACUCUAGUAAACCCUUUGGGUGUUGGUCACAUGACGAUGUGAACUAUGUAUGUUAAUCACAUGGUGAUGUGAACUAUUGAUGUUAAAUCACAUGGCGAUGUGAACUAGAUUAUUGACUCUAGUGCAAGUGGGAGACUGAAGGAAAUAUGCCCUAGAGGCAAUAAUAAAGUUAUUAUUUAUUUCCUUAUUUCAUGAUAAAUGUUUAUCAUUCAUGCUAGAAUUGUAUUAACCGGAUUCAUAAUACUUGUGUGAAUACAUAGACAAACAGAGUGUCACUAGUAUGCCUCUACUUGACUAGCUCGUUAAUCAAAGAUGGUUAUGUUUCCUGGCCAUAGACAUGAGUUGUCAUUUGAUUAACGGGAUCACAUCAUUAGGAGAAUGAUGUGAUUGACUUGACCCAUUCCAUUAGCUUAGCACUUGAUCAUUUAGUAUUCUGCUAUUGCUUUCUUCAUGACUUAUACAUGUUCCUAUGACUAUGAGAUUAUGCAACUCCCGUUUACCGGAGAAACACUUUGUGUGCUACCAAACGUCACAACGUAACUGGGUGAUUGUAAAGGUGCUCUACAUGUGUCUCCGAAGGUACUUGUUGGGUUGGCGUAUUUCGAGAUUAGGAUUUGUCACUCUGAUUGUCGGAGAGGUAUCUCUGGGCCCACUCAGUAAUGCACAUCACUAUAAGCCUUGCAAGCAUUGUAACUAAUGAGUUAGCUGCGGGAUGAUGUAUUACGGAACAAGUAAAGAGACUUGCCGGUAACGAGAUUGAACUAGGUAUUGAGAUACCGACGAUCGAAUCUCGAGCAAGUAACAUACCGAUGACAAAGGGAACAACAUAUGUUGUUAUGCGGUCUGACCGAUAAAGAUCUUCGUAGAAUAUGUGGGAGCCAAUAUGAGCAUCCAGGUUCCGCUAUUGGUUACUGACCGGAGACGUGUCUCGGUCAUGUCUACAUAGUUCUCGAACCCGUAGGGUCCGCACGCUUAAAGUUUCGAUGUCGGUUAUAUUAUGAGUUUAUGAGUUUUGAUGUACCGAAGGUAGUUCGGAGUUCCGGAUGAGAUCGGGGACAUGACGAGGAGUCUCGAAAUGGCCGAGACGUAAUGAUCGAUAUAUUGGAUGACUAUAUUCGGACUUCGGAAAGGUUCCGAGUGCUUCGGGUAUUUAUCGGAGUACCGAAGAGUUACGGGAAUUCGCCGGGGAGAAGUAUUGGGCCUUAUUGGGCCAUACGGGAAUAGAGGAGAGAGGCCAAAAGGAAGGAGGCGCGCAACCCCUCUAGUCCGAAUUGGACAAGGGGUGCAGCCCCCUUUUCCUUCUCCCUCUUCCCCUCUUUCCUUCUCUCCUACUCCAACAAGGAAAGGAGGAGUCCUACUCCCGGUGGGAGUAGGACUCCCCCCUUGGCGCGCCCUCCUCCUUGGCCGGCCGCCUCCCCCUUGCUCCUUUAUAUACGGGGGCAGGGUGGCACCCCAUAGACACAACAAUUGAUCGUUUGAUCUUUUAGCCGUGUGCGGUGCCCCCCUCCACCAUAGUCCACCUCGAUAAUACUGUUAGCGGUGCUUAGGUGAAGCCCUGCGUCGGUAGAACAUCAUCAUCGUCACCACGCCGUCGUGCUGACGGAACUCUCCCUCAAAGCUCGGCUGGAUCGGAGUUCCAGGGACGUCAUCGAGCUGAACGUGUGCUGAACUCGGAGGUGCCGUACGUUUGGUACUUGGAUCGGUCGGAUCGUGAAGACGUACGACUACAUCAACCGUGUUGUGCUAACGCUUCCGCUUUCGGUCUACGAGGGUACGUGGACAACACUCUCCCCUCUCGUUGCUAUGCAUCACCAUGAUCUUGCGUGUGCAUAGGAAAUUUUUGAAAUUACUACGUUCCCCAACAGUCCGUGGGUAUAACUGGUACAAUGAUGAUGGUCCAGGACAUUUUCGGGGCCACCCGGUAAUUUUGUUGAAGGCGUCGCCGGACCCAAUGAUCGCUUCCGGGGGGGAUAUCGGCGUGGUGGGAGAGGUAGACGCCCACCUCCACCGCGACAUAUCCCUCCGCCACCACCGCCCGUUGCAGACAUGGCUACGGGGUAGGAGCAUGAGCACACAGCAGAUUUGGUGAGAGAUUCAUCCACGUUGCCCGCGGCUGCGGUUGACGUGGUUACGGCUCUGGCAGCGGUGAUAGUUCCGGCGGCCUCUGGAGCUGCAAAAUCUAGGGAUGGCACGUCUGACAAAGGGCCGGAGAAAGCGGAGGGAGAGAAACUCUCGAAGUGGGCAAUUAAGAAGAAGAAGUUGCCUUGCUUUAAAUGUGGCGAACCGGGUCACUUUAUGGCAGAGUGCGGUGAUGAGCUUUGUGAUUAUUGCCUCAAAUCUCAGCAUGUAACCGGGGACUGCCCACUUCUAUCCGGUCCUAAACCUAGCAUUAACAUUUUUGGUGUGUGUUGCAAGGAGUUGAUGUUCUUUGAGACAUCGGAGGUGGACUCUCUACCACAGAUGGUUGAGAGUUCCUUCCCAGUAGUUGUCCGGGUGACUAAUGGACAGUUGUCUGAGGCUCAGAUUGUGAGACAACUACGUGACUUGGUGCCAGGUAACCAUCAAUGGCAUCUGGAACAGUUAGAGGGACAGUCUUAUAAGGUGGACUUUCCCACUACAGAAGAUCAGAUGCAUUUUAUCAAGUGGGGCUUGUGUAGAGUCCCAAGCACCAACAUUAUUAUUGCUUUUGAUGAGUGGAAGCAGGAGGAACCUGAGGGUAUACCUUUAGAGAAGGUGUGGGUACAUUUCUUGGGCGCACCACCAAAACUGAUGAAACAUUUUCUGAUUGCUUGGAGCUUUGGUGGAAUGGUUGGCAAGACUAAAAAAGUGGACAUGCCUUUUACUCGUGCACAAGGGUCUGCGAGGUUGCUUGUCAGUGUUGCGAGUGUUGAGCACAUACCGGAUGUGGUUAGAUGGACAUAUGCUGGAGUCACUUAUAUUUUAGAGCUUGAGAUAGAGGAUACUCCGAUUUCCCAGGAUGGGGAUGAGACUCAGGAUAUGGACACGACUGAGGGGGGAGGAGCGCCCGGGAAUCAGGAUAAGGGUACCGACGAUUCACCACAGGAGUCGGACAAGGAGCCCAGUGCGCAACCAGAUAAGGCAGAUAGUACUGCCAAAGAGGUGCCCCCGUCCACCACUCCGAUGAACACACUUCAUUUUACUUCGUUUGGAUCGAGAUCGGCUCCUAGUCGGUUAUGGAGCACCAGAGUCGAGGCAGACGACCCGGCGGAACUUGAGUUGCCAUCAGUGUUGAGUCUGACCUGCGAGACGACGACGGCACUCGAGCGACACAUUGACUGUGGCACAACCAUGAUUGAUUCUUCUCCGGGCGGGCUGGUCAUCACUCACGAGGUGGCUGCGAGUGGGGGGACCGUGGGCAGGAGGCCCAUAGCACCCGCCUACUUGCGCCCGGCCAGUCUUCUUUGGGAGGAGAGCCUGGACAGGAAGUCUGUGGCUCUCUUCCCACCACGGCUGAGGCGACCCCGGGCGAGAUGGGGGUGAGGUGCGGGAAGGAGACUCGUGCCGUAACCCCCUGCAGGAUCACGCCAUGCAGAGCGGCGAGCUGGGGGUGAGGUGCAGGAAGGAGUCCCGUGUCGUAACCCCCUCACAGGACUGUGCCGUACAAUGCGGCCAGGGGACGAGAGGUUCUGGUGGGGAGAGGGGGAGAGGGACUAGUGAGCAGGCGGCUCUACGGUCUUCUUCCCCCUUGACCUCUACGGCCGAGUUCCACUCGACCAUGCCCUACCCUUCUUCACCUAUGAUAGGGGAUGGGCGUGGGAGUCGGGAACUUACUCCUCGGGAGAGGACGGCGGAGGAGCUUAUCGCUUUCGGCAGGAUUGCGGAUCCGGUGUCGGCUGGCAGGCGUGUCAGCAACCGGAUCCAGGGACAGCCAGAUGCGGAUGACCUGCAGCUAGCGCGUGCCAAGAGGGCCGCCAUGCCUCGUCAUGUCGAGGCUACUACAUGUGCGUCUUUUGAUAAAAGUUGUUCACUUUAGCACUUCUCAGAGAAUGAAAUAGUAGAUAAGGCAAACAACUUAGGAAUUUCUUUGGGCUCAAAUGAAACCGAGGUCGUCAAAUCCAUUAAUGAUCUUUUAGACUUGGAAGCGGAGAGGCCUUCCGAAAUCAUUCGAAAUCUUGCAUCUAUCAAACCAAUGAGUGACAAUGAAAUGAAUAAUUUAGGAAAGGCUGAUCUUGCAAAUAUUUGUAAUAACCUUUUGCCUACCAUGGAGGCGGAGGAUGAGGAGGAUUCGGAGACUACAGACACGGUAGAGCCUCUCCUGAUGGAGGGUGAAGUUUCUGUCGUCGCCAAUCCUUCUCUCCCGCGGGGAGUUGAGGAGAAGCCCAAACGGCCUUGGAAGCGGAAAAUUUAUCCUACUUCGGCGGUACGCAGAAGUGCCAGAGUUAAGCAUUAAAAAAAUUCAUGAUAAUUUAUGAAAGGACUCUUCUGGAAUAGCAGAGGUCUAGCAGACUUGGCUAAACAAAGAUUCUUAGCAGAGACAACGAUAGAACAACACUUAGACUUUAUCGCACUUUUGGAAACUGGACGAGAUAAUUUCACAUCAUAGUUUCUUCAAACUCUCUCCAGUGGUAUCGAUUUUGACUGGCACAUCUUACCUCCUAGAGGAAGAUCCGACGGGAUUUUACAAGGAGUACGGUGUGAGACGUUAGAGGUGCUUAAUGUGGUUCAGGGAUAUUUUUCGGUCAAAUUCAGGGUGCGAUCAAAACUGGAUGGGUUUCGAUGGUCUCUAGUAGCUGUCUAUGGGGUAGCACAACCUGAAUUCAAACCUGACUUUCUGGCCGAUUUGGUGCGGAUUUGUGGAGAUGAAAAUCUGCCAAUACUAGUUGGGGGGAUUUUAAUAUCAUCAGGAGAAGAGACGAAAAGAACAAUGACAAUUUUGAUGGACGAUGGUCCAUGAUGUUUAACAUGAUUAUCGAGAGUCUCAAUUUGAGAGAAAUAGAGCUCACCGGUAGACAGUUUACAUGGGCCAACUCGUUACCUGUUCCGACUUAUGAAAAGUUGGAUAGGGUACUUGCUAGUGUGGAGUGGGAACAAAAAUAUCUGUUGGUGUCGGUCCAUGCGAUGCAGAGAGCGAUCUGGGAUCACACACCACUUCUUUUAGACUCGGGGGAGGCUACCCAUGUGGCAAAUAAAAAUAUCUUCUCCUUCGAGCACAGCUGGUUUGAGCGAGAAGGAUUUAUGGAGAUGAUUACACGAGAAUGGGCUAAGCCGGUUAGUGGAAGGACUCAUGUUGAGAGAUGGCAAAAUAAAAUUAGACAUCUUCGAUAGUUUCUGAGAGGUUGGGCCAGAAAUGAGAUUGGGAUUUACAAACGAGAAAAAGAGCGUCUUACUCAAUUGAUUGAGGCACUAGACUUAAAGGCGGAAGCCACUCUUCUUUCUGUUAAUGAGCAACGAACGAAGUCCCAGGCUGAGCAAGAUCUACGGGCUCUCUUGGGAGAAGAGGAGCUGAAGUGGGCAUUGCGUGCAAAAACGCUUAGGCUUGUCCACGGGGAUGACAACACACAAUUCUUCCAUAUGGUUGCAAAUGGUAAGCAUAGGAAGAAAAAAAUUAUACAGCUUGAACAGGACGAGGGGACAAUAGUGGGACAUGAAAAUCUGAAAGCAUACAUCUCCAACUAUUAUAAAAAACUUUUUGGUCCCCCGAAUACAACUAUGGUGUCACUUGAUGAAUCUGUGAUUGAUGAUAUACCUCAAUUACAGGCAGCAGAGAAUGAUGUUCUCUCUGCACCGUUUACUGAAAAAGAGGUUCAUCAGGCAAUAUCCCAAAUGAAGCUGAAUAAAGCACCGGGACUAGAUGGGUUUCCAGCUGAAUUCUAUAAGAAAUGUUGGCAUAUUAUUAAAGAUGAUCUUAUGCCUAUGUUUCAUGAUUUUGUGACGGUCAUUUGGAGUUGUUUCAUCUUAACUUUGGUACGAUCACGUUGUUACCUAAGAAAGAUGAGGUAGUUUGGAUCGAACAAUUCCGCCCCAUUUGUCUGCUGAAUGUGAGUUUCAAAAUCUUCACAAAGGUUGGAACCAAUAGAUUGACACAAAUUGCUCAUUCGGUGAUCCAACCAAGCCAAACAUCGUUCAUGCCGGGACGACACAUACUAGAAGGGGUGUUCGUUCUACAUGAAGUGCUUCAUGAGAUCCACUCGAAGAAACUGUAUGGGGUUAUCUUCAAAGUGGACUUAGAGAAGGCGUAUGAUAAAGUAAAGUGGCCUUUUCUGCAGCAGGCAAUGCGCAUGAAGGGUUUUAGUGAAACUUGGAGGAACCAAGUAGAUACCCAAGUCCAGAAAGGUAUUGUUGGAAUCAAGGUGAACGAUGACAUUGGUCACUAUUUCCAGACACAUAAGGGGCUGCAACAAGGGGAUUCCAUGUCUCCUCUUCUAUUCAAUAUUGUGGCAGAUAUGCUGGCCGUCAUUAUUGGCAGGGCCAAGCAGCAUGGUCAUGUAGAGGGUCUAGUUCCUCAUCUAGUCGAUGGAGGGGUAUCCAUUCUACAAUAUGCUGAUGACACUAUUCUAUUCAUGGAACAUGACAUGGCUAAGGCACGUAAUAUGAAAUUUAUCUUGUGUCUCUUUGAAGAAUUGUCUGGAUUAAAAAUUAAUUUUCAUAAGAGCGAGGUGUUCUGCUUUGGGAAGGCCAAAGACGAUGAACACAACUACAGACAAUUGUUCGGAUGUGAAUUAGGUGCUUUACCAUUCAGUUACUUGGGUAUACCGAUCCAUCACCAUAAGCUUUCCAAUAAAGAAUGGAAAUGUAUCGAAGAACGAAUUGAAAAAAACUUAGCUACUGGAAGGGCAAGCUUAUGUCAUAUGGAGGUCGGCUAGUCCUGAUUAACUCAGUAUUGACUAGUAUGCCGAUGUUUCUACUUUCGUUCUUCGAAAUUCCGAAAGGAGUUCGCAAGCGACUUGAUUUCUUUAGAUCCCGCUUCUUUUGGCAGUCUGAUGAGGCCAAGAGGAAAUACCCUCUCGUGCGAUGGGAUACCAUUUGCCGACUUAAAGUCCAAGGGGGUCGCGGUAUUGAGAACUUAGAAAUCAAGAACAAAUGGCUUAUGAGCAAAUGGCUAUAUAGAUUAGAGACUGAGCCCGAGGGCAUGUGGUCUCAACUCUUGCGCAAUAAGUAUCUGCACUCGAAAACACUAGCCCAGGUUACCAUGAGACCGACUGACUCGCCGUUCUGGAAGGGACUUAUGCGAACGAAGGACCUGUUCUUUCGUAGGGUCAAAUUCUUGGUUGGCAAUGGAAUGUCAACAAGAUUUUGGGAGGAUACGUGGUUAGGAGAGACGCCCCUGGCCAUCCAAUAUCCUACACCCUAUAAUAUUGUGCAACCUAAGGAGGAUUACGUAGGCACCGUCCUUCAAACAAUUCCCUUGAACAUCCAGUUCAGACGUGUGUUAGUCGGUGAGAGAUGGACCGCCUGGAUGCACCUGGUUCGGAGAUUGAUAGAAGUUCAACUCUCCGACCAGCCAGAUUCAAUUCAAUGGAAGUUAACUAUGAAUGGGAUUUUUACGGUGAAAUCUUUCUAUAUGGAUCUGAUUAACUCUGGCCCCCUCUCAAGGUCGUUGCACAUUUGGAAAGUUAAGAUUCCUUUGCGUAUUAAAAUCUUCAUGUGGUUUGUCCAGAAGGAAGUGAUGCUCACAAAGGACAACUUAACUAAGAGGCGAUGGGUAGGCUGUUCGCGGUGCUGUUUUUGUGAUCAUGAUGAAACAAUACAACACUUAUUUCUUGAAUGCCCACUUGCUAAGUUACUUUGGAGAACGAUUCAUAUAGCUUUCAAUAUUAAUCCUCCAGUUGAUAUUGCGUCUUUGUUUGGGACGUGGUUAGCUGGCAUUGAAUAGAUUACUGCGGCUCGUAUUCGGAUUGGAGUAUGUGCGGUAUUAUGGGCUAUAUGGAACUGCAGGAAUGAUAUGAUUUUUAACAGACAACACACUUUAACUUUUUUGCAGGUUACCUUCAGAGCUACAGCUUGGAUCCGUACGUGGUCCUUACUCACUCCUAUGGACUCCAGGGAGCCUUUGGUUACUGGGUGCAACCAAUGGGAGAUGGUAGCUCGGGUUAUCUUCAACCGGUUCGGAUGGCGCUCGCAUAACAGGAUAGGAGUCUAGGGAGCUUAUCCUUUUUAUUUUCACCGUGCCGGUUGUCCUGGUUCGCAUGUAAUUUUCCUUUUUUGUUACUUUGUUCUGCUCCAUUUUGUGAGCUGUAAGACCUUUUCGACGAUUCUGGAUUGUUAAUAAGAUGGCCGCAUGCAUCAUCAUGAUGCAGAGGCCGGGGGCAUGCCUCCAUUUCCAAAAAAAUCCCUCAUAUCUGACAUGCAAGGCUGCAACAUGCAUUCACCGGCACCGACACACUUUCUUCUGCCCCUUCCGUGUGGCGCCCGCUAGCCUGGUAUCCAUAGCCGGCUAUGCACACCCGUGCAGAGGCACUGUCACCUGAGCCACCGUUAUCCACCCCUCGACACUUGCGACAUGUCAUUGUUGGGCUCUGUUAGAUGUGUAUAGUCCCUUUUCGGUACAUCCCCAUUGUAUGAGGGGUUUUCUGCACUUUACCACACAUGUAUAUAUAAUGCCCUUUGGCCCUCAGUGAAUAUUAGUUGCUUAUUAUCCAACAUGGUAUCAGAUGCCAGGCUAGCCACUUCCCCCCGCACGAUGCAACUCUGUGCGCCUUGUACCUAGCCUGCCCGUCUCCGGCUGCCGUGGACUGUCUCCGUCCGUCUCCCCUCCAGUCCCCGGCCCGGAAUAGCUGCUCCGUUGCCUUCUCUGUCAGGCAGGAGCUGUCUCCGGCUCGUCCGGGCCUCCUACCCGCUGCUGCCGCCGUAGCAGCUGUCCAGCCGCUGCCCCGUCGGGUCGCCGCUGCCUCCGACCUGCUCGGCUGCCGUCGUCCCGGCCCGGCCCUCGCGCCGCCGCCGCCUCUUUCUCGUCUGGCCGCCGCCGUCCCAGGCCCAGUCGUCGCCGCUCCCUUCCGGUCCCGCUCCCCGACCUCCUGGCUCCCUUCCAGUCGGCUUGCUGCUGGUGCUUUGCAGCAGGCGCGAGCGGGGCUCAUCCGGCUCUUCCCUGCUUCCCGAGCGAGCGGCGCUCGAUUGGCCCGGCCGCAGGCGCAAGCGAGCGCUCCUUUGCCUCGAUCUCGCUGGAUCCAGAUCAAGUCUUUCUGGUCCGUUGACUUCAAAAAAAGGGAAUCAGAGAAGCAGAAGGGAGACUUCCUCAUGUCUUCUUCGAGCUAUGUCAUUGUCCCUCGGUGAUCGGUGAUCUUCGAUGGCACCAACUAUGCUGAGUUUGUGGGUUUCAUGCGUAUCCAUAUGCGGGGCCUUCUGCUGUGGGGCGUUCUCUUUGGAGAGGUUCCCUGUCCGCCCUGCCCUGUUGCUCCGGUGGCUCCUACCCCGCCGGUCCCGCCGGUGCUUGCUGCUGAUGCUUCUCAAGCUGAUCGGGUUGUAGCCAAGGCUCUUGAUGAUGCUGCAGUUGAUGCUUAUGAUCAGCGGCUCUCCGCCUAUUCUGAUGCUCUUUCUGUCUAUCGGGAUGAUCUGUCUGUUUACACUCAGUGGUGCAACGAUGAUGCUCGAGCUGCUGCUGUUCUCACUGCGAGUGUUCUCCCUCAGUUUACUUCGGAGUUGAUGGGACUCGGCAUAGUUACAGCGAUGUGGUCUUAUCUUUGUUAGCGCUAUCAGCCCUCUGGUGAUGCUCUCUACCUAUCUGUGGUGCGUGAGGAGCACGCACUCCUGCAAGGUGAUUCCUCUGUUGAUGAGUUCUAUUCACAGUGCUCUGCCAUCUAGCGCCAGCUUGACUAUCUUCGGACAGUUGUUUGUGGAACUUACCAUUGGUACCAGACUACGCAGUCUGAUUUGGAGUUUCAGAGGGUUCAUGAGUUCUUAUCUCGUCUCCAUUCUGAGUUCGAGCCUCGACGUGCUCACUUGCUUGCUCGUGGUUGUGUCCCUCUCUCGGAGGUGCUUGGCGAGCUUCGUGCUGAGGAGACCCGCCUUCGCUCAGCUGGGUUGCUUGCGAUUCCAUCAGUGUUAGCUGCCCGAGCUCCUAUGUCCUCUCUCGUCUCACUGCUCCUCCGCUCCUGCCAACACCUUCAGGGGGGUUGGUCGCCCUCUCUAUGUUGAGAAGGGCCGAUCGCGCCGUGACACCUUCUGUGGCUACUGCUCUCGGCCAGGUCACCCAGGGUCUGAUUGUCGCGAGAAGAAGCGAGACCAGAGGUGCUCCUCUUCCAGUGGGACUCCUGGAUCUUCCUCGACUCAGUCACUCACUGCCAGGACAUUGUGCGGCUCAAGCGCCUUCUGGCUUCCUCCGGUUCUUCAUCAACGGGUUCUGCUGCUGCUGUGACUGUUUUCACCACCUCGUCACCACCAGCAUCUACUCCACCAGGUACAUCUUCGUGGGUUCUGGACUCUGGAGCUUCCUGUCAUAUGUCCUCUAAUUCUUUAGCGUUGUCUUCUCUUCGCCCUCUUUAUUCUCCUAUUAAUGUUCUUACUGCCGAUGGCACAUCUCUUCCUGUUGAUAGUCGUGGUAUUCUUUCCACUCCGUCCUCUUUGGUUCAUAGUCUUUCUCAUGUUCCUCGCCUUACCAUGAAUCUGCCCAACUUACUGAUUCGGUUGUCGUGUCAUUCUUGAUACCGACUCUUGCUCCAUUCAGGAUCGUUGCACCAAGGUUUUGUUUGGUGCUGGCCCACGGCGCCGUGAGUCAGAGGGCCUUUGAGAGGUACACUGGCUUUGUGUUCCUUCUGCUGCCACCACUUUUGCCAGUUCUCAUGCUCUUGUUGCCUCCUCGUCUGCGCCCUUUCAGCAGUGGCAUCAUCGCCUUGGUCACAUCUGUGUCUCUCGCUUAUCAUCAUUAGUGCGCCAGGGCCUCUUAGGGUCUGUAUCUGGAGAUGUUUCUUUACAUUGUAAUGGUUGUAGACUUGGCAAACAGACCCAGUUACCUUGUUCUAUCAAUGAGUUGGUAUCUCAGCAUCCCUUUGACUUAGUUCAUUCGGAUGUCUGGGGUCCUGCUCCCUUUGAUUCGAAAGGUGGUCAUUGUUACUAUGUUUUGUUUAUUGAUGAUUUCUCUCGCUACACUUGGCUCUACUUCAUGAAAUCUCGUAGCGAGGUUCUCUCUAUAUACAAAUGAUUUGCUGCCAUGGUUCACACCCAGUUUUCCACACUUAUUCGUACUUUUUGUGCUGACUCCGCUAGAGAGUAUAUCUCCCAGCUAUUGCGUGGUUUUCACGCAGAACAGGGUACUCUUCCCCAGUUCUCUUGUCCUGGUGCUCAUGCUCAGAAUGGCGUUGCGGAAUGUAAGCAUCGUCGUUUGCUUGAGACGGCUCGUGCGCUGAUGAUUGCCGCUUCCCUUCCACCCUACUUUUAGGCUGAGGUUGUUUCUGCAUCCACCUACCUCAUCAACAUUCAGCCAUCGACUGCCCUGCAGGGUGGUAUUCCUAUGGAGUGUCUCACUGGUCGUUCUCCUGACUACUCAGCCCUUCGUAUGUUUGAAUGUGUGUGCUAUGUCCUUCUUGCCCCGCGAGAACGCACCAAACUGACUGCUCAGUCGGUUGACUGUGUUUUCCUUGGCUACAGUGAUGAGCACAAGGGCUAUCGCUGUUGGGACCCUGUUGGUCGUCGUUUGCGCAUCUCGCGUGAUGUGACCUUUGACGAGUCUCGCUCUUACUACCCACGUCUUUCUUCCUCGAGUUUCUCUGUGGAUGAUAUUUCUUUUCUUCUCCUUCCCGAUACACGCUGCUGUGUGCCUCAUGUUUCACCUCUUCCUCUUGCACCUCUCAUUCAUUCUCAUUCACCACUGACACCAUCUUCCCCAUCCUCCUCCUCCACCUCUCCACCAUCUUCUCUUGUUCUUCCCCCUCUCUCACCGUUUCCUCUCCACUAUACUCGCCCUCCUCAUACUGAGGAUGCUUCCCCUGACGCGCCUUCCACCUCCAGUGCACCUCCGUUCACGCCUCCCCCGGUUCAUAACCUCCGUGCUCGGCCUCGCCCCCGCCUGCUCGCUAUUCUCCUGAUCGUUACGGUCUCUCUGUUAUUGCUGAGCCCACUUCCUAUCGGACUGCCAUGACUCAGCCUGAAUGGCAGCUUGCGAUGGCCGAAGAGCUUGCUGCCCUUGAGCGCUCUGGCACAUGGGAUCUGGUUUCCCUCCCUUCCGGUGUUCGUCUCAUCACCUGCAAGUGGGUCUACAAGAUUAAGACUCUCUUCGAUGGUUCUCUUGAGCGCUACAAAGCUCGUCUUGUGGCCCGUGGUUUUCAGCUGGAGCAGGGACGCGAUUAUGAUGAGACAUUCGCUCCUGUGGCCCACAUGACCACUGUCCGCACUCUCCUUGCUGUGGCUUAUGUUCGUCAAUGGUCUAUCUCUCAACCUGAUGUCCAGAACGCCUUUCUCAAUGGCGAGCUGCGUGAGGAGGUUUAUAUGCAGUCACCACCGGGGUACUAUGCUCCUGAUGGUAUGGUCUGUAGACUUCGCCACUCCCUCUAUGGUCUUAAACAGGCCCCUCGCACCUGGUUUGAGCGCUUCGUCUCUGUGGUGACUGCCGCUGGUUUCUUGCCUAGUGAUUAUGAUCCCGCGUUGUUUGUUCACACGUCUCCUCGUGGCCGAACUCUUCUCCUCCUCUAUGUUGAUGACAUGAUCAUCACUGGUGACGACUCUGACUACACUGCCUUUGUUAAGGCUCGUCUUCCCGACAGUUCCUCAUGACUGAUCUUGGUCCACUUCGCUAUUUUCUUGGAAUUGAGAUCUCCUCGACCUCUGAUGGCUUCUACAUCUCCCAAGCAAAAUAUUCAGGAUCUUCUUGCUCGCGCUGCUCUUGGUGAGGAGUGCACAGUUGUGACUCCUAUGGAGCUCAACGUUCAGCUUCGUGCCUCUGAUGGUGAACCUCUUCCUAAUCCCACUCGCUAUCGUCACCUCGUUGGCAGCAUUGUCUACCUUGCUGUUACGUGUCCUGACAUCUCCGAUCCUGUCCACAUCCCGAGUCAGUUUGUUUCGGCCCCCCACCUCUGUCCACUAUAGUCAUCUCCUCCGUGUUCUACGAUAUCUUCGUGGCACGAUCUCUCAGCACCUUUUCUUUCCCUGCUCCAGCUCUCUUGAGCUCCACUUAUACUACCAAGGCUAGUGAUCCCUCUGAUCGACGCUCGCUGUCUGCUUACUAUGUCUUUCUUGGUGGCUCUCUUAUUGCCUGGAAGACAAAAAAAAGACUGCAGUUUCUCGCUCGAGUACAGAGGCUGAGUUGCGAGCCAUGGCUACGUUGACGGCUGAGGUGAUCUGGUUACGGUGGUUACUUGAGGAUUUUGGUGUGUCUGGUACUACCUCGACUCCCUUACUGUCAGACGGUACCGGUGCUAUUAGUAUUGCGCAUGACCCGGUGAAGCAUGAGCUCACCAAGCACAUCGGUGUGGAUGCCCACUUUGUGCAUGCUGCUGUGCUAGAUCAGAUUCUCGCUCUUCAGUAUGUACCCUCUGAGUUACAGUUGGCAGACUUCUUCACGAAGGCACAGACUCGAGCGCAGGAUGGGUUUCUUCUCUGCAAACUCAGUGUUGUUGNNNNNNNNNNNNNNNNNNNNNNNNNNNNNNNNNNNNNNNNNNNNNNNNNNNNNNNNNNNNNNNNNNNNNNNNNNNNNNNNNNNNNNNNNNNNNNNNNNNNNNNNNNNNNNNNNNNNNNNNNNNNNNNNNNNNNNNNNNNNNNNNNNNNNNNNNNNNNNNNNNNNNNNNNNNNNNNNNNNNNNNNNNNNNNNNNNNNNNNNNNNNNNNNNNNNNNNNNNNNNNNNNNNNNNNNNNNNNNNNNNNNNNNNNNNNNNNNNNNNNNNNNNNNNNNNNNNNNNNNNNNNNNNNNNNNNNNNNNNNNNNNNNNNCCUUUUCGGUACAUCCCCAAUGUACGAGGGGUUUCCUGCAUUUUACCACACAUGUAUACGUAAUGGCGUUUGGCCCUCAGUGAAUACUAGUUGCGGAUUAUCAACCGGGCUCAUCGUAGGAGCCAUGAGCUCAGUGCCCUAAUGACCAUCCAAAGUUGAUGGUCUAUUCGGCUUCAGUCAGUGGUUUGGAUGGAGACAUUCAAUUCUCAGUUUGGAAAACCUAAAUUUAUGAAUAACUGACCAAACCGAACAGAACAGAAGGUAUCGUAGAGCCCCAAUGCCCCCCCACCUUCAAUUGGUAAGGAAUGACCUGUUCCGAUAUCUAUGAUACAAACUCAUGGUAACAUGCACCUUGAAAAUAGUUUUAAAAUUCUUAAAGAUAUGUCUCUACAAUCCCAUAAUAUCAAACUUAAUUGUGGUCUAUGUAUAGGAAACAAAAGGAAAAAAUCCACCAUAACCAGUCUCUUUUUGUUGCACUAUUGAAGUAGAAUCUGUCUUUUCUAUUUCUCUAUGCAUUGAUCGAAUUUGGGUUUUGAAUUUCUCUAUGCAGCCCCAAGGAAAAGUAGGACUACCUUCAGAAUAAUUGCCAAGUAGAUUGGGCCAUUUGGGCAACUCCAACCAACUCUCCCGCCUCUGAUCGGCCUAAUCCAGAUCCCCCAGCUGAGCUUGUGCACGAGGGAGUCCAGCGGAGAGAAUAGGAACAGCGAAGACGAGCAUACCUUGCCUGCUUCCAUGGACGGGUGUGAUGGAAGAGCAGCGGCAGCGUUUGCUUGUUGCCAAGUGAGGCUCUGCUCCACAAUAUCGAGUGUCGACGCUGGUAUUUGGUGAGUCUUAAAAAUGCAGGGCCGCACAGGGGACAUGUUGGAGCAUUGUUUUUUGGCCUUUUGGUGCAAAUGCUAAGAUGGAGACGUUUCUAACACUGGUUAGACUUGCUCUGAUCAAGUUGGUGUUUGUGGAACAAUGGAAGCACAAUGGGUGACGAUUCGGAAACGUCCCAUCUUGUUGUCUCAAUUCAUAGGAGUGGCCUCUUAAGUCUUAACACACCAAGCAUCUUGUAGCUUUGAGAAAUUUCCUAUCUAUGAAUUUCAAAUAUACGAGAGUAGGGAAACCGGUACCCCUCUACCCCAUGCUGUCCCCGUGAUGAACAUACAUUGGGCAGUGUUGUUAAAUCUUAAUCUUAACUAGUUCAUGAAAAAUGAGAGGAACCAAAGAGCAUAUUACACAGCAUUAUUGUAGCUUCUGAAAUUUCAGUUUGGGUCAAGAAUUGAGCCGUGGAACCAAAACUGAAUGUAAUAAUCUCUAUCUGCAAGCAUGUAUUGUAAAACUUUUAUGAGGAUCAUUUAUUGGAAGCUGACAUAUCAGCCCGCUAAAACCCAAACUAUAGUUCUCCGCAAAAAAGAAGAAGAAGAAGAAGAAAAACGAAGCUACAGUCAAGAUCUUUGCCUGGUAGAAAUAUUAUACGUGGAGUGGUAGUUCUACAUGAAAUGGUUCACCAAAUGCACAGGAAAAGCUAGUUGCCAUGAUCUUUGAAAUUGAUGUCUCAACAAUGUUGCGCUGAGCCUACCUACUAAGGUGGCCGAAUUCAACACCGAAGAGAAGCCCAUGGCCAACACAAAUGUGUAUUCCUCCCCUAUUGCCUACCACACCCUACGCGCACAAGAGCGAGCCACUUGUGCAGCCUCCAAACAUGUCAUUUGUGCCUCCGCUGAAUGGAGUUGAUGCUCGUUUCAUGAAUCUUUCUUCUGACCAAGGGAUCAAUUCCUUCAAUUGCGUAGACUUUAGGGGCUUGUCUGGUUGCUCUGCAUUACAUAACAAAAUGUUGUUCUUGUUAGGUGAAAUCUGCGUCACUCUUAGAUUUUGUACUAAGGAGUAGACUGUAGAGACUCCUGUGAAAAGAGAGUGCUGUAGGGACUCAGGCUUGCAUUUCUGUUUUGUAUUAAAAACAAAUGAGAAUUUCAUGCUUGAUAUUGACAUAUCUGAUUUGAACUUUCUAUUUCAAUUGGUCAUAUGCUCAAGUUCUUCUUUUGUCACCUUUCAAUAGGUCAACCCAGUUGGAAAUUUGUUCUGUUGUUUGACAAAAGGUCUCGUAGGCUUUGAUGGGGAUGAUAAUGUAGUGAAAAAACUUUCAUACUCUUCAUGUUUAUUUACAGGGAAGAAGCAGGAGCUCUGUGUAUGCAGUAGAGAGAGACGGCGGGCUUGGAGAGGAUGGCGGGCUCUGGCGUCUCCCCUGGCGACGCGCCCGUCGUUGCGCCCGGCACUGCUCCCAGGUGCGAGGCUCGGCCCCUGGCUCACGGCGGGCGACGCAGUGGCGGCCGGUCUCCGGUGCCAAAGGUGGGUGCUUGCCGCGGUGUGUGGACCGCCGCCGCCGCCGUCGUGCGUGGGGUGUUGCUGGCCGUUCCGAGCUCGGCUCGGCCCGCGCGACCUGGCGGCCUGCUCCGGCGGCCUCGCCCCUCCCUCCUCUGCUCCCUUCACCGGUGCCCCCCUCCAAUGUGGAUUCGCCGGUCUUCCCGUCCAGCCGCUCGCCGUUCCGCCCCUUCAUAGCAUGUUUCGGGUCUUCCUCGCUCAGGUUCCAGACCUCUCCGCAACUCCGGCGCCCCUGGCUGGCCGUGCCUCGCGGCAGGGCGGGUACCCCGCCCCCCGCCACGGGCCGCGCAUUGCUGGGCCAAGGCUUGUCGGGCCGCCAUCUGGCUGGGCCGUGUCCGGCCCGCCGCGCGUUGGAGCCGGCUGGGACCUCUCUGGGCCUGUUGGGCCGCCCCACGGCUGCCGGCCUGGUUGCUUGCCCUAGGCCCAACAUCCCCUCCUCUGUGUGGCCUCCCGCUCCACCCAUCUCCUCCCUCCGCUGCCACCCCUCCUCCCGGACAGCUCUCUCGCUUCCCCCCACCCAAAGCGGCGGCUCCCGCGCCCUCCGUCGCCCUAGUUGGCCCACCGUCGCUGCCCAUGACUCGCAACUGGGACGAUGGGGAGCCCCAUCGCAAGCGCCGGUUGGACGACCGCAGGGAGCCCUCCCGCCCGUCCCUGGACUUCCUCCGUCGUGAAGAUGAACUGCGCCGUGACCUCCGGGACCGCGACCGCGGUGGCUCUCGCGUCCAGGAGCGGGCCGACCAUCGUGACGCGCCCCGCCCGUCGAGCCGCUCUGACUGGCGCGGCCAGUCCUGCUCCCCGCCUCCCACCGCGGAUGUCUGGCGGUCUCGCCGCCGCUCUCCCUCUCCUGCUCGCCAGCGUGCACGCAGCCCCUCCCCGCCGCUCUCCCUCUUCGGCUGCUGCGGCCCCGGCCCGCAAGUACGUGCCCCCACGCCUCCUCCUCGGCGGCCCCCGCCGCAUCGGGCGCUGCUGGUGGUGGGCAGGGCCGUGGCUGCCAGGGCCCCAACAAAAAGAAGAAACGGCGCGGGCAGGGUCGGGCUCCCGUUGGUUAGGUCCCGGGUGCCACCAUCCUGCCAAGUCCUGUCUCCGGCCUCCCCUGCUCGCCUUGCUUCAAUUGCGGUGUCACGGGUCACUCUCAAGUCAACUGCGUCAACCCCACCUACUGCUACAUCUGCAAGGAUCCAUCCCACCCCGCCUUGCUAUGCCCGGACAAGCCUAUUGACGAGGAGUUGAUGAUGUACGGCCACGGGAUCGAGGGGUUGGGGUUCUUCCACAUCGAGCUCCCCGACAUCCCUACCCCCACCCCCUCCCUCCAGGCGAUCGUCACGGUGGUGGACGGAGUCGCCUCCCCUGAGAUGAUCGAGGCCGAGCUCAACCACCUCUACCGCUGCAAGUGGGAUUGGCAGGCUACUCCCACCUCCGGCGGUGUGUUUACUGUGGUCUUCCCCGACGCCCUCAGCAACGGCUACGCCACGCGCAGUGACCAGAUCACCCUCGCCCUCAACAAGCUCGUCAUCGACAUCACCGAGCCGAUCCUCGACCUAGAGGGGUCGGAGGACUGCCCCUCCCGCUCCACCUCGCUGCCCCCCGGCUCCGUCCUCCAGCCGGGGCGGUAGGCAAGCUGGGCUCGCCGAGCUCCUUCCCUCCGCGCUGCUUGCCGAGGCCUCCGAGGGGAGUGACACCUUGAGUGUUGGCUUGAUCAUCGUCCCCGCCUCAUCUUCGCGCUCCCCUACUGUCCUCCCCUCCGUCGAGCCGAGCAUGGGAUCCCCUCUGGCCCCCUCCGGGUCCUCCCCGGGACCCGUCGCGGCGGACCCCGGCACGGAUGGGGAGACCCGGGUGACCACCCCCGUGGCCGCCCAGCCUCCCCCUCCGCCGACCGCGGCCUACUCCCGCCGCGGCCGGUCUGCCUCCUCUCCGGUGACGGCAUACCGCCGGAGCGCUCGGCUCGAUGCUGCGCGUCCCAAUGGCAGCCCGGCUCUGCCCAUCCACGAGCGGGUGGAGCUCCGGGCUGCGGCCCGGAACCUGGAGCCAGGUACACCUGGUGUUCCCCCCUCUGCCUCUACUUGCUCGUUCUCUGCUCUCGAGUCGAUACCGCUUGGUCAGCUUGUGAAGGUCGUGGCAGACUCCGCGAUCAUCUUCAGGGGGAGGUGGCUGCCCCAUUAGUGCAGAUCGAGGCCAUCAGGGCUCGCGAGAUCCUCGGCGGUAGACUAGCGGAAGUUCAUGCGGCUCUGCUCUCGCCCCCCCGCUCCUGCGCCUGCUGCGGAGACUGCCACCCCGGCCCCUCCUCAGAGGACCGGGGGCCUCCUUCCGUUGGCUGCAGCCGACCUACAUGGCCGCACUCGGUCCCGGACCGCCGCUCUCCGCGCCCAAAGCGCAUCCCGUGUCCUGGGGUCAAGUAGCCCCCCAAUGGUUUCCUAAUGCACGCCCUCUUCUGGAACAUCCACGGUUUCGGCCAUGAUGGCCGCCGCCGCCAACUCAUUGAGUACACGCACGAGGAACACAUUGACGUUGUCGCCAUACAAGAAACCAUGCGCACAGAAUUCUCUCUUCCCGAACUCGAUCGGCUUAGCUCCCACCUCUUUGCUUGGCAUUGGCUCCCUUCUUGUGGGAGCACUGGCCAUUCCGGUGGCAUCCUGUUAGGUGUCAAGGAUGCCACCUUCGAGGUGGGUAGUAUGGACCGGGUCCAGUUCUUUGUUAGCAUGGAACUUUUCGAACGGGCCCUCAACUUCAAGUGGGAGGUUAUUAUCGUCUACGGCCCUGCGGAUCAUAGUAGAUCUGCCUCCUUCCUCGAGGAGCUCCAGCGGAAGGUUACGGCUGCUACGCUUCCGGUGGUGGUUGGGGGCAAUUUUAACCUCCUUCAAUCCGCGGAGGACAAGAGCAAUUCGCAUGUCAACUUUGCUCGCAUGCAAAUGUUUAAUGACUGCAUUGCUGACCUGGGUCUCAGCGAAAUAGAUAGGGUGGGUGCCAGGUUUACCUGGAGCAACCGUCAGGCGUCCCCGACCCAGUUCGUCCUGGACCGGGUCCUAGUCUCUCCGGAAUGGGACCUCCGUUGCUCCCUUGCUUCCCUCCGGGCCAUUACCCGGAUUGGCUCCGACCACGUCCCCCUCCUCCUCUCCUCCGCCGAUGAGCGCCCCCCGAUUCCCCCCGGUUCCGGCUUGAGACAUUCUGGCUGUCCCAAACUGGUUUCGUGGAGGCGGUUGGUGCCCAUUGGGUGGAGGCACGCUCCCAACCUCAGCGGCGCCCCCCUCUUCCAUUGACUCUUGGCAAUUCUGUGCCAAGCGUGGCUGUUAGUUCAUGAAGGGAUGGGGCGCCAACCUGGGGCGUGACCUUCGCGAUCUCAAGAAGGCCUUGUUGUCCGCCAUCCAGGCCCUGGACCUACGCGCCGACGCGGCUGGCCUCUCUCCUGAGGAGUGGCUUUCCCGAUACGACUUGGAAGACCAGCUCUCUGUCAUCUAUACCGACGAAGAGGCUUAUUGGCGCUUGCGUGGUGCCCAGAAAUGGGUGUUGAAGGGCGAUGCGAACUCGGCCUACUUCCAGGCCAUAGCGAAUGGUCGCCGAAGACGCAGCACCAUCCCCCUCUUUGGGAUGGACCGACCCUCCUGCAGUCCCCCCGCAACAUUAGGUCGACGGUUUCUAUAGGUCCCUGUUCUCAGCCGCUCCUCGGAGCGGCUUAUCUCUGGCCCAUGACUGCUGGUCUGGCCGCCAGCUUGUCUCCGUUGCAGAGAACGCGGCCCUUACGGUUCCCUUCUCCGAAGGCGAGGUCUGGGCUGCCAUUAGAGGCAUGAAUCCUACCUCGGCCCUGGGUCCGGACGGCCUCCCGGUUAAAUUCUUCCAGUCCUUCUGGAAUGUGAUCAAGCCGGAGGUCAUGGCCAUCUUUGACGAGUUCUACGUUGGGUCCAUCGACCUCGGGCGCCUCAAUUAUGGGAUCAUUUCACUCAUUCCCAAGGUGCCUGGGGCGUCCGACACCCGCCAGUUCCGUCCAAUCACGGUGAUAAAUGUGAUCUUUCGAAUUCUGGCAAAAGGGUACGCCAAUAGGGUGACCCUUCUUGCCGACCGCAUUACCCACCCCAACCAAUCUGCCUUCAUUCAAGGUCGGUACAUCCUGGAUGGGGUGCUAGUCCUUCAUGAAUUCCUGCAUGAGGUCCGAUCCAAACACCUCAAGGUAGUCUUCCUGAAAAUCGACUUCCAUAAGGCUUACGACACUGUUAGCUGGCCCUUCCUUCGGGAAGUUUUGCUCCGGAAAGGCUUCGACGAACGAUGGGUCACCAGAGUGAUGCAGAUGGUCUCCUGUGGUCGCACUGCGGUGAACAACAAUGGGGAGAUAGGCCCUUACUUCUCCACCCUCUGUGGUUGAGCCAUGGCACAUUCGAACAACAAUGGUUAGACAAGGCGACCCUUUCUCCCCAUUCUUGUUCAAUAUGGUGGUGGAGGCGUUGGCUGCCAUCCUGGACAAAGCUAAGGCUGCUGGCCAUAUCCGUGGGAUCACUCCCCAUCUGGCCGGUGGCUCCGGGAUCUCCCUGCUCCAGUACGCCGAUGACACAAUCAUCAUGGUCGAAGGCUCGAACGCGGACAUCGCUAACCUUAAGUUCCUUCUCAUCUGCUUCUAACAAAUGUCUGGCCUCAAGAUCAACUUCGACAAGAGUGAUGUGAUGGUAAUGGGCUACUCUCCGGCGGAGGCCCUCGACAUAGCCAACCGCCUCAACUGCCGCCUAGGCUCCUUUCCCACGACAUACUUGGGAACACCCAUUACUGACUCGCGGCUUACCGUUGCUGACCUGCGUCCGACUGUGGCCACGUUGCAAAUGCGCAUUGAGCCAUGGCAGGGUAGGUGGUUGUCGAAGGCAGCUCGGACGAUUCUCAUAAACUCCUCCCUCUCCAGCCUCCUCUUGUUCCUCAUGAGGUUCUACAGUCUUCACAAGACGCUACACCAUGAGAUCGCCAAGGUCCAAUGUCGCUUUUAUUGGGCUGGCGAGAACAAUAAACAGAAAUACCAUAUGGUUAGCUGCCAGACAUCUACAAGCCCCGCGAUCAAGGAGGCAUCGGUAUCAUGUGCUCUAAGCGCAUGAAUAUUUGCCUCCUUUCCCGCUGGCUCUGGCGCAUUUCGCAAGGGCACGGUGGCCUUUGGUUAGACAUCAUCCGGAACAAGUACCUACGUGGGCAACCCCUGGCCUUAUGUCAAAUGUCCGGCGGCUCCCAGUUUUGGCAGUCGGUCAUCCAACUACUCCCCGUCCUCCGCAUUGGGACUUCCAUCUCGGUUGGAUCGGGUGCUGCGACUUUGUUCUGGUUUGAUCGUUGGGCGGCGGGUGAAACCCCCUUCGCGGCUCGCUUCCCCGACCUCUUCUCCAUCGCCGUCGCCCCCUCGAUCUUAGUAGAGAGGGCCCUUAUUGACUUAGGGCGCCUCGCUUUCCGGAGGCCAUUUGGGCCUCCGGAAGCCACCGCUUGGCAGGAGUUGCUUGAUUGCGUCGCUCUCCACGAGCUGACUGUGGAUGCCGGCCUGGAUGAGGUUCGUUGGCGUCUUGACCCAUCGGGCCAAUUCUCCACCAAUUCCCUCUAUAAGGCCAUUGCCCCCUCCUCCGCCCCUCCCCCAUCUCGGCGGUGUGGUCCAUCCGCCUGCCCUUGAAAAUCCGGAUAUUCAUGUGGCAAUGGAUUCGUGGACAGAUCCCGUCUGGGGUGGAGGUGCGCAAGCGCAAUGGUCCUGGUUCCGGCCUCUGCCCGCUGUGUGAUACCCCCGAGGAUUCGAAUCACAUCUUCUUCUCCUGUAUGUCCGCUCAAUUCGUGUGGAGCUGCUUUAAAGAGGUGGUGGGAGGUGAUUGGUGCCACAUCAACUUCCCCGACCUCUUCGCCGAGCUCCAGAACUCCCCCUGCCCUCUCGUCACAUUAGGUGGCUUGAAAUUGGGGUUCUCGCGUGGACUCUCUGGAAGAUCCGCAAUAAGCUUGUGAUUCAGCGCAUCCCGCUUCGAUGGGCUACUGACGCUCUCUUCAAACUGUCUGGUUAUUUGCAGCUUUGGCGGCCGCUUAGCCGCGCUCAGGAUCGGGAUGCCAUCUCCGCCUUCAUCGCCGACCUUCGCUCGAUGGCCGUCCGUCUGNNNNNNNNNNNNNNNNNNNNNNNNNNNNNNNNNNNNNNNNNNNNNNNNNNNNNNNNNNNNNNNNNNNNNNNNNNNNNNNNNNNNNNNNNNNNNNNNNNNNNNNNNNNNNNNNNNNNNNNNNNNNNNNNNNNNNNNNNNNNNNNNNNNNNNNNNNNNNNNNNNNNNNNNNNNNNNNNNNNNNNNNNNNNNNNNNNNNNNNNNNNNNNNNNNNNNNNNNNNNNNNNNNNNNNNNNNNAUGAUGUUUUUUUGGGCUUGUUGAGUUGUGCCCUCAGCAGAACCUUUGUACUCCUUGUUGUGUGACUUGGGUGUGUGUGUGUGUAUUCUGGAUUAGUCCGUGUAUGUGUGCUCUUGGUGGAUUGCUUUAUUUAUAAAGCGGGGCGAAAGCCUUUUUCGGUACGCAGUAGAGAAGGGGGAAACAUUGUACAGAGAUUGGAGCUAGAUGAGCAAACAAUGAGAGAACGCCGUGAAGAGGGACUUGUCCACAGUAUCAAGGGGGUAGCAGAACCUCACGUCAUGUUCUUGGAUUCCACAUAACCAAAUCAAUGUAAGGCUCAAAGCUCUGCUAAAAGGUGAGAGUGUGGUGGUGGAAUUGAGCACAGAACACAAAGCUUGGCAUACAUCUUAUUGAUAAGAGGCUGGCCUUGGACCUUUCCCAACAUCCUUAGACUUGGGGAGUGCCCCGAAUGUCCAUAUCAUCCCAUCUGAUAGGUAUGCAAAACAUUUGCCAAAAUUGGCCUGCAACCUAGAUUUCACCAGAAGCGUAGGGGACACCGGGACAGCAUGGACUACUGUGGUUUGAGAUCCCAUAAGAUUCAGAAAUAAAGCAACAUCUGCUGCAUUCUCGGACACGUCGUAGGCCUAGUCCUACUACAGCAUUCGUAAGAUAAUGGUCGAAUGAUAAACUUCAUGUCAGCCAGCUUGUCACAAAUAUAAGUCGGGGAACCCUUCUGCCUCUUUAUAUGAAGAGUAAUGGACCAUCAAACAGUACCUGAUUGGAUCUGGUGCCAUGAUCACAUAGAUAUCGAACGCCUAAUCAUAUUGCACUCACCUUAUGAAGACCACUUCUUGGUGGUUGUUUCUAGUACUGAACUGUACAACCUCGACGUUGCAUGACGUAGGCCUUGCCUGGUUGUGGGACCAAAUCCACACAGGGAUUGGGUUCCCUCACUUAAUUCCUGUUGGGGUCAGUCCCUCUCAGCACUCUGUUCUCCAGAGCAAGCUGAAAAAUUACUCCCCAACACAAAGAAGAAGACUGAUGUGAUACUAACAGGAGAAACAAGGAAAUAACAGAGAACCAUAGACAUGUUCCAGAAUCCCAUCACAACAUACGGAAGAUGAGUUUCAUGCUAUUAAUUAAUUCAAGCAAUUGCUAAUUCCACAAGCAAAUGAACAAUUUAAUAUAAAGUCCAACCAUUAUUUAUCGUUGGCCACAAGAUAGCUGGAAGACGCAAAAUUCCUUCGACAUCUCACUGGUAGCACCUUCGUCCUCACCUUGUUUUCUACAUGCUCCUCAAUUAUCCUUCUUCUAGAUAGGGAAGGUUUAGUAGUGAUCAAUGCACGUUAACAUAUAAAAAAUAGAUAAAGACUGACGUUUGUAAAGAAGUAUCCAUGCUGCUACGUAAAACCAUCUCCUCGGAUUCUUCUUGCCAGCAGUGCGACCACACCAAGGAGGACGAGACACAUCUCGGCACCCUUUGCCCUUGCGCGGCCCAUGUUUGGUCUAUUUUGGGCCUCCAGACUCCUCUAUCCAUCGACCACGUUUGGUACACUCCUACGCCAGUUGGCCUCGACAUCAACAUUUGGCCUACCGUCGUGCUCGCCAUCCCGUGGAAGCUGUGGGACUCUCGGAAUGCUCGUGUAUUUCGUAAUGAGCUCCACUCCCCCCUGGACAAUCUUCGAAACAUCGCUUCGGACUUUACUCUUUGGGUUUUUAGAUUUAAGGACCCAGUAAGUAGGGAGGCGGUCGUGUCUUGGCGCCUACACCUUUCGAUGUAACUCUCCCUUGGGCAUUUGAGUAAUAUAUUCUGGUGGGGACCCCCUCCCCCGCUUAAUAGUUCAAAAAAACUAUCCAAGUCCAAGCUGACAUACCAAGCAAAAUUCUGGGUGCAGAAUGGAGCCACAAGGAUACUUUUGCUUGGCGCAGUAAUAUUCGUAAACUGUACCUUGUCCUUGAACUCUAUGAUAACUGAUAACUAGAACAAAAUUUCAAUAGGAACUUUUUUCCUUUUCUUCUUUUGUGUACAUCAUAAGGUACUUCAUUGCAUAUUAGCUUCAAGUUGAAAAAGAUAAAUAAGCUUGUCCAUAUUACUGUAUAUAGCAAUGCCAGAGCUCAAAAUAUUUGAUUUGGACUUAUGUGUUCCAACAGGUGAAAUGGUCGAGUUAAUCGGUGUGAUCCAGUUUGUGUGUUUAUAUUAAGAGCUCAAAAUCAUUUUGUGCUUUUGUAGCUAAUAUUCAUUUUUUAGUAUGUGAAAAAUGUAUGCAUGUGGAAUUUGCAUGUUAUUAUAUAUUGACCAUUAGCCAUUAGCACUUUGUUAAUUUUCUGAAGUCGCAUUUACAGAUGACAGCGAACAGCCAACCGAUCCAAAUUUAGUGACAUGUCGUGUACUUUGAGCAACUACAUCCAGUAGAAGAUACAGUAAAGCAAGCUGGCUUCUUUAGUGGGGCCAUGGGAUCGUGCUCUGUUCUAGAAGCCCUUGUACAAGACAAUCCGAUCACUAGUGCAAAAACAAGAUAGACAGGCACAGUUCAUUUACAUUAAACUUGUCUUUGGUACUGUGAUGCGAUCUAGUAGUAGGGAUUGCUAGGACGCGACGAACAACUUUGAUAUCGGUCUGCCUGACGCCAAGCGUCAAACCACAUUUCGUCGUCCACUGCAUUCUCCGAUGCCUCCAAUGCCUAGUGCUACUACUGGUGAAACAAACUACUCCACUACUCAGGAUCGUGAAGUCAGGUAUCACUUCUCCCUCUCUAUAUGAAGGAUGGAAGUGGAUCAUUGGAUAGUACUUGAUCUGAUCUGGUGGCACAAUCACACAGAGCUUGAUCACGUUGUACUCGCCUUAUAAAGACUGGAUCUUUUUGAUUGUGAAUUGUACACAUAAAUGCCUAAUGAACUUCUGGAGGCCUUGUUCGCUUGCUGGGAACAAAUCCCCACAGGGACUGGGUCCCAUCACUCAAUCCUCAUUAAGAUCAGCCUCUAAAAGCACCCUGUUCGGUACACCAGGAGAAUCCAACUAACAAUAGAUUAUAUGAACGGGUUUCAUGAUCGUGUCGCACCUUGCUAAAACAAGUUUCAUGCAUUUGAUUAAUUCACACGAUUUCCAGUUCUAUAAACACAUUAACAAUGUAAUAUAAAUUCCCAACCUUAUGUUUUGGCACAAGAUGGCGUGAACACUCAAGUUCCUUCAACAUCUCAUCGGUGGCAGCUUUGUCCUCACCUUUUUUUUUUUCCUCUCUAGAUACUCCUCAAGUCUCCUUCUGUUUGCAAAAGGUAGCGAAGGUUUAGUAGUAACCAAUGAACGUGAACAAAUUAUCAAUGAAGACUACGAAUAUGAAGAAGAAUCCGAGCUCAGCCCUUUUUCAACAAGGAGGAAUACUCUCGGUCUCUGCAUCAAGCGAUGCAUACAACCAUUUAUUUAAACGAACAGAGUAUCAAUGUACAAAUAUCUUCUCAGAUACAUAAACAAAAUCAAGCAAGUAAACAAAUAGUCACAACCGGCAAAAAAUAGGAUACAAUGCCAAAACACCUAUCCUAUUAUUGUACAGCUAUUCAUAUUGUUUGUAUAUAGCCACGCUUUCAAGAAGAAAUACACGUUCUUGCGUUGUCGUCGCCACGUCCAAUCGAAGACGAUAUGGACAAGCAUUUUCAUCUUGCUUGCUGAGGCCCAGGCAAUAAAGGCUAGCUCAAUAGCAAGAAGCCCAUGCCUUCAACAAGGUAACGGCACAAGUUCGUCGCUGCUGUGCCCGGCCAAUAAGGUCAAGAUAAGAGUUUUCAUCCUAGAUAUGAAGUUGUGUUUCAAUCAACAUCUUUAUGAUGGUUUGUUUGAUAGUCGCCUCAUCGGUGCUCCAUGCUAGGGCCAAAAGGUACUAGCUGAUUGGUGGGGUGCCUCCCCACCUACAACCUCCUCACGACCAUCAGGUAGUCGGGGUGCCUCAUGGGUGGCUUGCCACGGAAUUGGCCGCUGUCAUUCCACGCUGGCGCGAGUCAUCCUGUAGUCUUGGCACACUAAGUCAUUUUUUUCAUAAAGAAAGAUUACCCCCGGCCUCUACAUCAAUCGAUGCAUACAACCAUCUUUAUUAAAUUAUUGAACAGAGUCUAACAGAGCAUGUACAUGGGUCGACCCAAAGCGACCUUCUUGACGACCUCAAUCGCUACACCUACAAGUCUGAUGGACUGCACCGCCGUAUCCAUACACACCAUCUAAUCUGGCGGCCUCAGCAGGCUGCCCAAUGACGGGCAGAGAGCACCAACCGGCCAAGCAGAUCCUUAGCGCGUACCGCAUGCGCACGCUCUAGAAUCUACCGCGCCAUCAUGUUCCGCCAUCCCAAGUUCAAUGCAUAGGCCUUGUCUGGCCCAAUUGCCGUCAACGCCACCAUGGCGCUAGACAACGUCAUCAUCCUACGCGCGUCCAUCAACACACGUCCGUCGUCGGGACCCCAUUGCGCCACGCCGCCGAGAUCCGACGUCGCCAUGGCUUAAGGGCAUACUAAGCCAUGCAUAUCAACAUCUCUAGAUUGGCAAACUAAGUAAAAUUUUGGGUGCAAAAUGGAGCCACGAGGAAUACAUUUGCAUGGUGCAUUAUAAUUUAGCAAUAGGGAUGGACAAACAACUGUGUGUGUGAGCAACUCAGCACUGCAAGUACAAGUUAGUUACAAGGCUAUAUUUAUGGAUGAUGGCACUUGCUUCAGGUAUCUAGACAGGAAAGCCAAAGAUCCAUAACAAUGUUGAGUUCCAGUUAAGGUCGGAAACAGAGUAGCCAAUGACGAGGUAGAUGUCAGAAUUGAGUGUGUCCAAGAAAAACGAGGAGUUACGCUGCUAAUGUUCAACAUAGUUUUACUUGCCAGGCUCAAGAACAAAGACCAAGACAAGCCCCUAAGGUGCCUAAGGCUGUGAUUUUCUCGGUGCCUCGUUACACGGCCGGAGACUGAGUCCAUGCUAGCUGUCCUUCACUAGAGUGCCUAGCCCUCCUUCAGCUUUCAUUCCUGCGUUCGCAGAAAUCCACCCGCAUAAGAAGCUGUGAACUUGGUACACUACAUUCUCUGAUGUCUCCCAGUUCUAAUCCUACUACGUGCAUCGCGAUUGAACUUCGAGUCAGCCAUCUUUCUCUGAAAUUUUGAGGCAGCCAGCUCCUGUCCUUCCUUAUCUAAAGAGCAUUGGAAGAUGGAGCUCUUUGUCUUUUCUUUGACCUGGUUUUAGCACGGUGUGUGGCUUCUCUCUUUUACCGUACUAGGCACACAGUAGGCUCGUCUUCUUAAGGCCCUGUUCGGUUAAUCCCUUUGCCAAAGGGAUUGAAGGGGAUUGAAGAGGUUUGAGGGGGAUUUUUACAUGCAAAGGAUUUAAUCCCCUCUAAUCCCUUUCAAACCUCUUCAAACCCUGCCUAACCGAACAAGCCCUAAGUUAUUGGCAGUACCAACUGGCAUUUCCAAAAAGAAAAGACAUUGGAACUGUACUAUAUUCGAUAUGACGUGGUGCAACGUUCAUUCAGAAUUUAUUAUGUUGUACUUGAAAUCGCUAUAGCAAAACCACAUGUUUCUUUGGUUGUAGUUAAUGUGUUGUAGUGUACAUUCACUACAUCACGUGGUGAACCAUGUGAAUGGACCUCACUGAUUUACCUAAGAGUCGCGGUGAAAAGUUUAGAGCAGAACGGAACUUCGUUACCGAAACAAGUCAGAUAAAUACGAUAAAAAUAUCAGAUAAAUGCAUGUCCUCUGUUUUACCGGCACUUGCCAAAUACGGCACCAUGGUAGAUCAUGUGGGCACCACAUCAUCUGGUCCGGCUGCAGGCUUGGAGUAGAGCGCAAUGCAUUCUAAUAGAUCCUCCUAGGCUGCUUGCUCAAUGAGCCCGAAGGUGCGGCGGAAAGCAAGACUCCCUAAGUCAAUAAGGGCACCCUCUACCAAGAUUUGUAGAGUAGUGCAAAUGGAAAACAAUUCAGGGAAUCGGGCCACAAGGGGUUGGUCGGACACCCAGCGAUCAAACCAGAAUAGGAUUGAGGACCCAACACCGACAUAAAUCAAAGAGUUGAUACGCAGAACUGGGAGGAGCUGAAUUACGGAUUGCCAGAAUUGGGAGCAACUGGAGCGUUGGCAGAAUGCAAGGGGUUGGCUACAAAGAUGUUUUGCCUUAAUAUCCAGCCAGAGCCCGCCCUCAUUAUUAGCGAUACAUGAUACGUCUCCGUCGUAUCUAUAAUUUUUUUAUUGUUUCAUGCCAAUAUUAUACAAGUUUCACAUAUUUUUGGCACCUUUUAUAUGAUUUAUUGAACUAACCUAUUGAUCCAGUGCCCAGUGCCAGUUCCUGUUUUCUGCAUGUUUUUCGUAUCACAGAAAGUCCAUAUCAAACGAUGUCCAAAUGCAAUAAAAUAGCACGGAAAAUUAUUUUGGAAUAUAUGUGAUUUUUGGGAGUUGGAAUCACCGCAAACGGAGGCCCACACAGCCCACAAGACACCAGGGCGCGCCAGAGGCCCCUGGCGCGUGGAGGUGCGUUGUGCCCUCCUCGAACGUCAAUUGGAGCUCUACUUCGGGCGCAAGGAAGCUUAUAUCCGUAAAAAAUCGUGUUAAAAUCUCAGCGCAAUCGGAGUUACGGAUCUCCCGGAAUAUAAGAAACGGUUUUCAGCCAGAUCAGGAGAGCGCGAAACAGAAGAGAACAGAGAGGGAGAUCCAAUCUCGGAGGGGAUCCCGCCCCUCUGCCGCCAUGGAGACAAUGGACCGGAGGGGGAACCCUACUCCCAUCUAGGGGGGGGGGGUGCCAAGGAAGAAGAAGAAGGAGGGGGGCUCUCUCGCCCUCGCUUCCGGUGGCGCCGGAGUGCCGCCGGGGCUAGGAUCGUGACGGCGAUCUACAUCUACAACCUUGCUACCAUCAUCACCAACUUUCUUCCCCUCUAUCACUAGUAGAAAAAGGGGCUUUUGUCCCGGUUGGUAAGGCCCUUUAGUCCCGGUUUUUGAACCGGGACUAAAGGGUCGUUACUAAUGCCUCUCCCCUUUAGUCCCGGUUCUUACACGAACCGGGACUAAAGGCCGCGGCCACAUGGAGCUCCACCUUUAGUCUUUUUUUGAAUUUUUUUUGAUUUUCAAAUUUCUGAAUUAUUUUAAUCUCUAAUCUCUAAUCAUCACCCCUCAUCAUUCCAAAUCAUCUAACUUCCCGAACGGUCACCCAUCCUCCCACUACCCCAGCCUGAGCACGCUUAACUUCCGGGUUCUAUUCUCCCUCGUUUCCAAGUCUGCACUUGUUGUUUUCCUGACAAUAGUAAGAUGUCAAUCCUAUUAACCCUCAGGAAUUUUGCUUGAGCAUGAAGUGACACAUUUCACUGUUUGAGUUUGAAACUAAUGUUUUGAAAAACAAUAAUUAUUUAGUAACACUAAUAUUUCUUGAAUAAUUAGUUUGACCAUUUGACCAGAUUUGACCAAAAUUCAAAAUAACUGAAAUAAUUAUUUAGUAACACUAAUAUUCUAGAAUAAUUAGUUUGACCAUUGUUUGACCACAGUUUGAAACUUUUUCGAUUUUUUCCACUCUAGAUCUUAAAAGCCCCGUAACUUUUUUUCUGUUAGGUUUUUGAGGAUUUUGGAAAUGUUUAACGAGGUUUCCCCCGUUAAAUUCGGAUGUAACUUUUUGAGUAGAUGAUUUUUCAUAUAAAAAACUUUUUCAUUCGAGUUCGUAUGCAAAAGUUAUGCCCAUUUUACAAAUUCCAGAGAGAUUUUGCAAAUAAAGUCCAAAUUCAUAUUGUUAAUUUUCCCAACAACUAGACCACAUAUCACAUGGGAAACUUAUUUUUUUUAUUUUUUUUGACAUUUCCAUCAUUUUUUUUGUUUUUUCUAAAACUGAAAAGGCGGUCCAGGGGGGGUGGGGGUGGGGGUGGGGGUAGAGUUUGAAAAUGGGACCUUUAGUCCCGGUUGGUGCCACCAACCGGGACUAAUGGGCAUCGCACCCUUUAGUCCCGGUUCGUGGCACCAACCGGGACUAAAGGGCCCAGGUGAACCGGGACUAAUGCCUUAGCCGCACGAACCGGGACGAAUGCUCACAUUAGUCCCGGUUCGUGACUGAACUGGGACUAAUGUGAAUACGACCCUAUGACCAAAGCCCUGUUUUCUACUAGUGUAUGCAGCGGUGUAACACCUAUUCCCCCCGCUGUAAUCUCUACUUAAACAUGGUGCUCAACUCCAUAUAUUGUUUCCCAAUGGUCUAUGGUUAUCCUAUGAUGUUUGAGUAGAUCUGUUUUGUCCUAUGGGAUAAUCGUGAUCUUGGUUGGUAUGAUUGUAUAUUUUAUUUAUUGUGUUGUCCUACGGUGCCCUCCGUCUCGCGCAAACAUGAGGGGCCCCCGUAGUAGGGUGUUGCAAUAUGUUCAUGAUUCGCUUAUGGUGGGUUGCGAGAGUGACAGAAACUUAAACCCGAGUAGGUGGGUUAUGGAGUAUGGGAGUAAAGAGGACUUGAUACUUAAUGCUAUGGUUGGGUUUCACGACCAUAAUGAUCUUUAGUAGUUGCGGAUGCAUGCUAGAGUUCCAAUCAUAAGUGCAUGUGAUCCAAGUAGAGAAAGUAUGUUAGGUCAUGCCUCUCCCUCAUAUAAAAUUGCAAGAAUGAUUACCGGUACUUGUAAUCGAUUGCCUAGGGACAAAUAACUUUCUUGUUGACACAAACCCUUUUACUAAACACCCAACUUUUAUUAUCUUUCAAAGUACUUCUAGUUUUAUUCUUGCAAAGUAGUUCUAGCAUCACUCCUACAAACUAGUUUCAUACUCGUUUCGGGUAAAACAAACGCCAAGUGUGCGUAUAGUUGUAUCGGUGGUCGAUAGAACUUGAGGGAAUAUUUGUUCUACCUUUAGCUCCUCGUUGGGUUCGACACUCUUAUUUAUCGAAGAAGGCUACAAACGAUCCCCUAUAAAGUUGUGGGUUAUCAAGACCUUUUUCUAGCGCCAUUGCCGGGGAGCAAUAGCGUGGGGUGAAUAUUCUUGCGUGUGCUUGUUUGCUUUAUCACUAAGUAGUUUUUAUUUUCUGUUCAAAGUUGUUCUCUAUCUUUAGUUAUGGAUAUGGAACACAAAACACCAAAAUAUUUUAGGGAGAUGGGGAACCUCCUAAAACCCUCGAUGCUCGUUAUGUGAAAAAUAUUAUGCAUUACUUUGAUAAUCCUGAGAAAACCCCAUUCAACUUGAUAAUGGGAGUAACGUUGGAUCAACGUGAAUAUUUUAGGGAUUAUCACUUGAAACAAAAGGGAAACUUUUAUGGGAUCGAAUUCAUAUGUUGCAUUGGUAUGCUUGGAAUUUAUGUCAGAGAUAUGAUUUUACUUGUUGCUCUAGGAUGAAUGCUCCACAUCUUCCCUUCUCAUGUGAAUUUAAUGAUAAUGAAACCUUGGUUUCUUAUGCUAAUGGUAUAUAUGAUUACUAUGAUGUGGAACGAAUAGAAGAAUUUGUUGCUUUUAAGGGUGCAUAUGAAAUUGAAUCUUUGUUUGAAAAGUUUGAAGAUUUUGAUGAUUCAGUUUAUAGACCUGAAAAUUUUGCUAUCCUUAAAUAUUGCUAUGAUAAUUAUAAAUACAAUUCCGAUAUUGAUGAAUUUAUUGAGAAGGUCUCCGCCGUCCAAGAAGAGACUAAUAUUUUGCAGGAGUCUAUGGAAGAAGGAAUUGAUGAAACUGUGAGCUUAUUGGAUGAAAAAGAUGGGGAGGAGAGCGAAGAACAAAAGGAGGAAGAGCGGAUUGAUCACCCGUGCCCACCUUCUAAUGAGAGUAACUCUUUAUCUCAUACAUUAUGUAAUGCCCCUUUGUUCUUACCGAAGGAUGAAUGCUAUGAUAAUUGCUAUGAUCCCGUUGAUUCGUUUGAAAUACCCCUUUUUGAUGAUGCUUGUUAUGCUUGUGGCCAAGAUGCCAAUAUGAAUUAUGCUUAUGGAGAUGAACUUGUUAUAGUUCCUUAUAUUAAGAAUGAAAUUGUUGCUAUUGCGCCCACACGUGACAGUCCUAUUAUCUUUUUGAAUUCUCCAAACUACACUAUAUCAGAGAAGUUUGCUCUUGUUAAGGAUUAUAUUGAUUGGUUGCCUUUUACCAUUGCACAUGAUGAUUUUGAUGAAUAUAAUAUGCAUGUGCUUGCUGCUCCUACUUGCAAUUAUUAUGAGAGAGGAACUACAUCUCCGCCUCUCUAUGUUUCCAAUACGAUGGAAUUGCAUGAAACUUCUUAUGCUAUGUAUUGGCCUUUACUUGAUGUGCAUGAAUUGUUCGUGUAUGACAUGCCGAUGCAUAGGAAGAGAGUUAGACUUCGUCAUUACUUGAUAUAUGUUGCUUUGUGCUCACUACUAAAUGCCAAAUCAGUGUUAAUUAAAAUUGGCUUUGAUAUACCUUGGGAUCCGGGUGGAUCCAUUACUUGAGCACUUUUAUGCCUAGCUUAAUGGCUUUAAAGAAAGCGCUGCCAGGGAGACAACCCGGAAGUUUUAGAGAGUCAUUUAUUUCUGUUGAGUGCUUUUAUAAAGUUUUAAAACAAAAAAUAUAGAGGGGAACUUAAAACUUUUUCACAAAAGAGAAGCGAUUGGAAGUAAUGCAUUGGAGAAGUGAGGGUCGACCUUGAACACUUGUGUUCAUGCUCAUGGAAACAAUGUAGAAUUUUUCAUGAAUAUUCUCACAAAAAUAAUUAUCCUCUUGUACAUCUCCAAUGUAUUAUAAAAAUAAUGUGCCAAUGUUUGCCUUUAGGAUGUUUAGAUUGCUUGUUGGUUUGUGCGGUGCAAAAUAGAAACUUUGCAGUAGUGCGCGAUUUUAUAUUUUUUACUGGAAUGUCAAACGGUUCUGAAACUUUUUGCACUGUCUUUAUAUACAAAUUGUUUAUUUUUCCUAAUUUGUUCAGAAUUUGUGGAGUACCAGAGGUAUGGUGAAUGUUCAGAUUACUACAGACUGUCCUGUUUAAGACAGAUUCUAUUUUUGAUGCAUUGUUUUACUUGUUUUGAUGAAACUAUCAAUUCUAUCAGUGGAUUAAGCCAUGAAAGGUUAUAUUACAGUAGCUACAAUGCAAAAACAAAAUAUGAAUUGGUUUGCAACGGUACUUAGAGUAGUGAUUUUCUUUAUUAUACUAACGGAUCUUACAGAACUUUCUGUUGAGUUUUGUGUGGACGAAGUGAUCAAAGAUCGAGGAGGUCUCGAUGUGAGGAGAAGGAGGGGAGGCAAGAGCUCAAGCUUGGGGAUGCCCAAGCCACCCCAAGUAAAUAUUCAAGGAGACUCAAGCAUCUAAGCUUGGGGAUGCCCUAGAAGGCAUUCCAUCUUUCUUCAACAAGUAUCGGUAUGUUUUCGGUUUCGUUUCAUUCACAUGAUAUGUGCAAAUCUUGGAGCGUCUUUUGCAUUUAGUUCUAAUUUUUUCCUUUGUGCACCAUGCUGCUAUGAGAUAGUCCAUGGUUGAUUUAUAGAAUGCUCAUUGCACUUCACUUAUAUCUUUUGAGUAUGGCUUUAUAGAGCUUCAUGUGCUUCACUUAUAUCAUUUGAAGUUUGGAUUGCCUGUUUCUCUUCAUAUAGAAAACCGUUUUUUGAAGAAUGCUCUUUUGCUUCACUUAUAUUUGUUAGAGCAUGAUGUUUUGUAGAAAGAAUUAUACUCUCAUGUUUUACUUAUAUCUAUUUAGAGAGUUAAAAGGAAUUGGUCAAUUGCAUGGUUAGUCAUGAAAUCCUAUAUAAAACUUAUGGAUCACUGAAUAUGAUAUGUUUGAUUCCUUGCAAUAGUUAUGCGAUAUAGAGAUGAUAAUAUGUGGGAGGUUGUAACACCCCGGAUGUAACUUUCCAUAUUUGUAACUCCAACUCUUGCCAUUUUCAGCUAUGUGUUAUGAUAUUCCCUUCGUGGUCGGGUUUUGUUUGUCGUUUUACAUUUUGUUCAUGUCAUGCAUCUCAUAUCAUGUCAUCAUGUGCAUUGCAUUUGCAUACGUGUUCGUCUCAUGCAUCCGAGUAUUUUCUCUAUUGUCCGUUUUGCAAUCCGGCACUCCCACCUCCUCCGGCGCACCCCUCUUAUUUCUUUUCGUGAGCGGAUGUUGAACGUUCUCGGAAUGGACCGAGGCUUGUCAAGUGGCCUUGGUAUACCACCGGUAGACCACCGGUCAAGUUUCGUUUCAUUUGGAGGUCGUUUGGUACUCGAACGGUUAACCGGGCAACCGCAAAGUACGUUUGUGUGUGCAGCAAAACCCCUCUCUAAACAGCCCAAAACCCACCAAACUCUCUUCCAUGCUCUAGGUCGUUCGAUCACAAUCGUGUGGGCGAAAACCGCACCUCAUUUGGACUCUCCCAGCUCCCUCUACCUAUAUAUUUGCACCUUCCCCGAAAAUCUCGGAUCCCGAAACCCUAGCCCUCUCCCUCCACGCGCCGGACGUGUCCGCCCGGCGCCGGACGUGUCCGCCCGGCGCCGGACGAAUCGUGCCGCCGCGCCCAGCCAAUCUCGCGCUGCNNNNNNNNNNNNNNNNNNNNNNNNNNNNNNNNNNNNNNNNNNNNNNNNNNNNNNNNNNNNNNNNNNNNNNNNNNNNNNNNNNNNNNNNNNNNNNNNNNNNNNNNNNNNNNNNNNNNNNNNNNNNNNNNNNNNNNNNNNNNNNNNNNNNNNNNNNNNNNNNNNNNNNNNNNNNNNNNNNNNNNNNNNNNNNNNNNNNNNNNNNNNNNNNNNNNNNNNNNNNNNNNNNNNNNNNNNNNNNNNNNNNNNNNNNNNNNNNNNNNNNNNNNNNNNNNNNNNNNNNNNNNNNNNNNNNNNNNNNNNNNNNNNNNNNNNNNNNNNNNNNNNNNNNNNNNNNNNNNNNNNNNNNNNNNNNNNNNNNNNNNNNNNNNNNNNNNNNNNNNNNNNNNNNNNNNNNNNNNNNNNNNNNNNNNNNNNNNNNNNNNNNNNNNNNNNNNNNNNNNNNNNNNNNNNNNNNNNNNNNNNGCCCCGUCGCGCUGCCGUCCUCCUCCGCGCCUCCCUCGCCGCGUCGACCCCGCCUUCGCCUCCCUCCGCCGCCGCACGCCGCCCCGCCGGCGUCCCCAUCCUCAACUCCGGCUGCCCGAGCUCGGAUCCGGCCAGAUCCCGAUCCAAACGACCAGUGGUUGACUUCUCCUCUCCCCUCGUUUUUCCAAGUCUUUAGGAUUUUGCAAUAUUUGCACAUGUUCAUCGCAUCAUAACUCUCUGCAUAUAGCUCCGUUUCACGCGUGUAAUAUAUAGAAAUGUUUUUCUCGUGAUGCUCUACAUUUUGUUCCAUUGCACCAUGUUUAUUUGAGUCCAUCUUGAUGCCCAAAUCUCUGGUGCAAGAGUGCUAGUUGCUGUUAUCUGCUGUUACUUAGCAGAACUUGAGGAUUUGUUAUUUUUGUUGCAUUUAAUCUGUGCAUCUUAUGGGCAUGAGCUCUACAUGUGUUUUGUUGUAUGCCAUUCCAUCUUUCCAGUGGUGUAUGCCAUGUAUUUUUGUGAUCUCUGUGGUGACUAGCACGAUCAUGCAAAUUAGGCUCCGUAAUGUUUCUGAUUUCAGGGACUUAGUAAGUCUUUGUCUGCUGUUAUUUUGUUGCCAUGUAUCCAUGUGGCUACAGAGAGAUCCAUGCUUAUUUUGGUGAUGUUCAAUAACGAUGUUUUGUAGAUAUUGUUGUAGUUGUUCCAUUCAUGCCCUUGUUUGCAAUUAUGGAGUGCCAUAGCAUGACUCAAUCCUGCUCUACUUUUGCUAUAAAAUAUUUCUGGCAGAUUGUUUACGUGUUAUUGAAUUUUGCCAAGCUUGUUGUAGUUGUUUCAUUCAUGCUAUGUACUUUAUCUUGCCAUGGAUAGCUUUAUAAACAUGCCAUCUUGCAGUAGGUAUGUUUUUUUGUCAUGCAUUGCUUUGUGCUGAGCACAUCAAGCUCACCAAGGUGCCUUCAUAUUAUCGUUUUCUGCCCUGUUUUCUGCUAAGUCUGAAAUCUGUUAACGAAACUUGCUAUGUUUACAUGGUUGCCAAGAUAUCUUCUGGUCCUUUUCGGCUUAUGGUCAGUAAGGGACUUUUGUCAUAUGCAUUUAGUAGAAUACUUCCAUGCCUUGUUUUGCCAUGUCAAGUACCUGUAGCAUGUUGUUUUCAUGCUCUGAACAUUGCUACCUGAUGCUGUUUCAGGCAUGUCCAGUAAUUUCACCAAGUCUGUGAACCUGUUAUCUUUUGCACUUUUGCCAUGCUUGUUUGAACCUGUUAUUGUGUGAUCUAGCCAUAGCUCAGUGUCUAUCUUUUGUCAAGCAUCUCCUGUAGAUUACUGCCAUAUGCUUUGUUGCUAUGUUGGAGUGGUGUACCAUAGUUUCUUGUUGUAUUCUAAGUGCUAUCAUACUGUUAAUCGCAGAUUCGUGUCAUCUUUGUUUUGCUUGCCAUUUGCAAACCGUGCAUCUGUUUCCAGUGAUCUUUAUAUCGAUUUCGACCGAAAUCAUCUCAUCUUUCUAGUGGAAUGCUUGGUUUGCCAAAUUACUGCCUUGUUCAUCAUUUUUCCUACCGGAGCACGCAUAUGCAUCGCAUAUCAUAUCUUGCAUAUCAUUCAUGUUUUGCAUCAUGUUGCUUGUGCGUUUCCCGUGAUUGAUUGUGGUUCCUUUGCUUGUGUUCUUGUCUUGGGUAGAGCUGGGAGACGAGUUCGUGAACGAGGAACCUGUUGAGUACGCUUACGAGGAUCAAGCUUUCGACAAUUCUGAGAACCUUGCAGGCAAGAUGACCACCCCUCGAAAUCACUUCUAUCUUUGCUUUGCUAAUUGUUCGUUCUAUUGCCAUGCUGCGCUACCUACCACUUGCUAUAUCAUGCCUCCCAUAUUGCCAUGUCAGCCUCUAACCAUCCUUUCCUAGCAAACCGUUGUUUGGCUAAGUUACCGCUUUUGCUCAGCCCUUCUUAUAGCGUUGCUAGUUGCAGGUGAAGUUGAAGUUUGUUCCAUGUUGGAACAUGGAUAUUUUGGAAUAUCAUAAUAUCUCUUAUUAUAUUAAUGCAUCUAUAUAUUUGGUAAAGGGUGGAAGGCUCGGCCUUAUGCCUGGUGUUUUGUUCCACUCUUGCCGCCCUAGUUUCUGUCUUACCGGUAUUAUAUUCCUUGAGUUUGCGUUCCUUACGUGGUUGGGUGAUUUAUGGGACCCCCUUGACAGUUCGCCUUGAAUAAAACUCCUCCAGCAAGGCCCAACUUUGGUUUUACCAUUUGCCACCUAAGCCUUUUCCCCCGGGUUCUCGCGAGCCCGAGGGUCAUCUUAAUUUUAACCCCCGGGCCAGUGUUCCUCUGAGUGCCGGUCCAAACUAGAGCACCGUGCGGGACAGUCCCUUGGCAACAUGGGUUAUGUUGGUACCUGUACGCUUCACUUAUCCGGUGUGCCCUGAGAACGAGAUAUGUGCAGCUCCUAUCGGGAUUUGUCGGCACAUUCGGGCGGCUUUGCUGGUCUUGUUUUACCAUUGUCGAAAUGUCUUGUAAACCGGGAUUCCGAGACUGAUCGAGUCUUUCCGGGAGAAGGUUUAUCCUUCGUUGACCAUAAGAGCUUAUGAUGGGCUAAGUUGGGACACCCCUGCAGGGUAUUAUCUUUCGAAAGUCGUGCCCGCGGUUAUGAGGCAGAUGGGAAUUUGUUAAUGUCCGGUUAUAGAGAACUUGUCACUUGACUUAAUUAAAAUACAUCAACCGUGUGUGUAGCCGUGAUGGUCUCUUCUCGGCAGAGUUCGGGAAGUGAACACGGUUUGAGUUAUGAAUGACAUAAGUAGGAGUUCAGGAUCACUUCUUGGUCAUUUCUAGAUGACGACCGUUCUGUUGCUUCUCUUCUCGCUCUCACUUGCGUAUGUUAGCCACCAUAUAUGCUUAUUGCCUGCUGCAGCUCCACCUCUUUACAUCACCCUUUCCUAUAAGCUUAAAUAGUCUUGAUCUCACGGGUGUGAGAUUGCUGAGUCCUCGUGACUCACAGAUUCUACCAAAACAGUUGCAGGAGCCGACGAUGCUAGUGCAGAUGAUGGGAUCGACCUCAAGUGGGAGUUCGAUGUGGAACGUGGUCGUUACUAUGUGUCUUUUCCUGAUGAUCAGUAGUGGAGCGCAGUUGGGAUGAUUGGGGAUCUAGCAUUUGGGGUUAUCUUAUUUUCAUUUGGAUCUUGACCGUAGUCGGUCUAUGUGUGUAUUUUGGAUGAUGUAUGAAUAUUAUUUAUGUAUUGUGCGAAGUGGCCAUUGUAAGCCAACUCUUUAUCCCAUUCUUGUUCAUUACAUGGGAUUGUGUGAAGAUGACCCUUCUUGCGACAAAACCACAAUGCGGUUAUGCCUCUAAGUCGUGCCUCGACACGUGGGAGAUAUAGCCGCAUCGUGGGCGUGACAGAGGUACUAGUGAAUGGUUGUGUUUAGUAAGAAUAUUGGUGUUAAGGUUUGUGAUUCCCGAAGCAUGCACGUAUAGCCUAUCGUUAUGCUAUGAUGUUGGAGCAUGAUUUAUUAUUGAUUGCCUUCCUUAUGAGUGGCGGUCGGGGACGAGCGAUGGUAUUUUCCUACCAAUCUAUCCCACUAGGGGCAUGCGUAGUAGUACUUUUUUUAGGGCUAAUAAACUUUUGCAAUAAGUAUACAAGUUCUUUAUGACUAAUGUGAGUCCAUGGAUUAUACGUGCUCUUACCUUUUUGGAAUUUGCUAGCCUCUACGGUACCGUGCAUUGCCCUUUCUCACCUCGAGAGUCAAUGCAAACUUCGCAGGUGCAUCCAAACCCCGUGAUAUGAUACGCUCUAUCACACAUAAGCUUUAUUAUAUCUUCCUCAAAACAGCCACCAUACCUACCUAUUAUGGCUUUUCCAUGGCCAUUGUGAGAUAUAUUGUCAUGCAACUUCCACCGCUUCCGUUUAAUGACUUGAGCAUUCAUUGUCAUAUUGCUUUGCAUUAUCAUAUAGCUGACAUAGUAGUUGUGGCUCAGCCACCGUUCAUCAUUUUUCAUACAUGUUACGCUAGACCAUUGCACAUCCUGGUACAUUGCUAGAGGCAUUCAUAUAGAGUCAUACUUUGUCAUAGGUAUCGAGUUGUAAUUUUUAUUUCUUUCGAGUUAUAAGUAAAUAGAAGUGUGAUGAUCAUCAUUAUUCAUUUUUAGAGCAGUGCCCCAGUGAGGAAAGGAUGAUUGAGACUAUGAUUCCCCCACAGGUCGGGAUGAGACUCCGGACAAUGAGAGAAAAAUUAUGAAAAAAAAGAAAAAAAAAGAAAAAAAAAGAAAAAAAAAUAAAUAAACAAAUAGAGAAGGGGCAUUGUUAGUAUCCUUUACCACACUUGUGCUUCAAAGUAGCACCUUGUUUUUCAUAUGGAGAGUCUCCUAUGUUGUCACUUUCAUAUACUAGUGGGAAUUUUUCAUUAUAGGAUUAGAUGCACACCCAUUUAGUUUUCAUAUUGAGCUUUCAUACAAUUAUAGCUCUUAGUGCAUUCGUUGCAUGGCAAUCCCAACUCCUCACGUUGAUAUCAAUUGAUGGACAUCUGCAUAGCCCGUUGGUUAACCGCUUCGAUGUGAGACUUUCUUACUUUUUUGUCUUCUCUAUAUUUACCCCUAUCAUCAUACUCUAUUCCACCUAUAGUGUUAUAUCCAUGGCUUGCGCUCAUGUAUUGCGUGAGGGUUGAAAAAGUUGAAGCGCGUUAAAAAGUAUGAACCAAUUGCUCGGCUCGUCAUCGGGGUUGUGCAUGAUAAAUACUUUGUGUUAAGAAGACAGAGCAUGACAAGACUAUAUUAUUUUGUAGGGAUAGCUUUCUUUAGUAUUGAUAUUUUGAAAGACAUGAUUGUUUGUUGGGAUGCCUGAGUAUUAAUGUCUUUAUGUCAAAUUAUAGACUGUUGCUUUGAAUCACUUAUGUCUUAAUAUUCAGGCCCUGAUUAGAUAUAUGAUCAAGUUUAUGCUAGGUAGCAUUCCACAUCAAAAAUUAUCUUUUUUAUCAUUUACCUACUCAAGGACGAGUAGGAAUUAAGCUUGGGGAUGCUGAUACGUCUCCGUCGUAUCUAUAAGUUUUGAUUGUUUCAUUCCAAUAUUAUACAACUUUCACAUAUUUUUGGCAUCUUUUUAUAUGAUUUAUUGGACUAAUUUAUUGAUUCAGUGCCCAGUGCCAGUUCCUGUUUUUUUGCAUGUUUUUUGUAUCGCAGAAAAUCCAUAUCAAACGAAGUCCAAAUGCAAUAAAAUUUCACGGAGAAUUAUUUUGGAAUAUAUGUGAUUUUUGGGAGUUGGAAUCACCGCAAACGGAGGCCCACACAGCCAACAAGACACCAGGGCGCGCCAGAGGCCCCUGUCGCAUGGUGGUGGGUUGUGCCCUCCUCGAACGUCGGUUGGAGCUCUACUUCUGUCGGGGAAACGACACCAAUGGGAUCACGAGGAUCCCUUCUGCGGUUGGCGGGCGCGAGGUUGUGCAAAGAGCGGGUCUAGUGGUUAGUACAAGGAGAUUUUACCCAGGUUCGGGCCGCAAGGAUGCGUAAUACCCUAGUCCUGUAUAUUCGAGUGUUCUUGAGUUCUUGAACUAGCUACGGUGCGUGCGUAGUCCAAAAAGUCUGAAUCCUUCCUCAGUAUGCGUCGGGCCUCCUUUUAUAGGGUAAAGGGGUCACCACAAUGGCACGCAGGAGGUGGAAAGUAUGUACAAUGUACAAGCUUAUCACCUGACAUCACAUGAAAAAACGCAUUUAAUGCGCUACUUAGGUGUUCUCUUGCUUUAUCGGGGAUGGCAAUGAAGCAUGUCCCGUCCGUCGCUGCUCCGCCUUGCUUCGACACGCGUCCAGGCCAACGAGGCAUGCAGUGCCAUGUAGGCUGGCAGGCUACUGAGUUUGUGUGGUGGCAGGGUCUUCACGAAGAUCUGCAUGCCACCACGCAGGUGCUUUACUAGUUGGCCUAGAAGCCACGCACUGCCACACGGGCAUUUGCUUAGUUGGUGGGUUGGCCACUGAGCUAGGUCGACGACAGGGCGGCAAGCCUUGCCGCGAUCUUGCUGAUGUCCCCGGCAAGGGUCUUGCCGGUGCCUCGCGUGUGCCCGCGGCACGGAUCUUGCCAGGGUCUCGUCGGCAGGAGCCUUGCCGGGGCCUCGUGGGCGUCCUCAGCAAGGAUCCUCGCUAUGGUCUUGUCUUCUGGUUCUCAUCCAGGCCUCGCAGGCCCUUUGUCUUCACAAAGAUCUGCAUGCCACCAAGCAGGCACCUCCCGAGCCUUGGCCCCAACAUUGUCGAUGGUGUCGGAACUCUCAGGCUCAAGGGUAGUGGCCUCGCUGGUGUUGGGUAAGUUGCCCCAGCAAGGCUCUUGCAGGGGAUAAGUAGGCCACCCCGGCAAGGGUCUUGCCAGGGGAGAGCCCAUCUUGUCGCUUUGCCCUUUGUGCUCCUGGUCCAAGCGCUGCUCUGGUAGUCUUGUAUCUUCACUACAAGAAAUAUGUCAACUUGCGACCAUCACUAUUAUUCAAUGAAAGGUCAUUGUUUUUUAUUUGCCACCUUUUUGUGACCAAAAACAGAUGGUCAAAAGCUGACUGUCGUAAACUGAAAUUCACGACCUUAUUUGUGAUAUGUAAAAGGUCGUUGGUUCUUUGACCAAUUUUUUGGUCCCUAGCAGCCUCCCCAGGCCACGUAGGAUCCAGCAUGGCAAGCUGACGUGGAUAAGAAUCAACCCGGUCCAAUCCGGUGCUUAUGUGGGCCGAGCCCAUUAAUUCAGCCCAUUUAUAUUUUUUUUCCUGCUAAUUUUGGUGAACUACACAGGCCAAGCCCUACAAUUCAGCCUUUUAUUUUUGGGAUGUAGCCUUUGUUUCUCUUUUUUUAAUGCACCCCAAUUGUCAAAUUCUGGUAAGUGGGUCCCAAAUGUGACGUUCUAGUUUGUGGGACCCUACUGUCAAGGUCAUGCUCUUCAAUUUCAAUAUGCCAAUACAGAAAACAGACGGAAUACUUCAAAUAACUGCAAGCAGUCUGCUAGAUCAUAUAACAUACAUACAAAUAUGAUCAGCAUCAAGUUUACAAUUAGAUAACAAGCUCUAAAGUGUACAGUAUACCACGUGAGUCGAUCACAUAAGCCCUACAAGUUCUGCUACAUCAUAUAACACACAUACAAAUAGGAUCAGCCUAAAGGGCUCCAAUAAGCUAGAACUCUGCUUCCUCCGACUUCUUUGUCCUGAUGCUCGCGAAGAAACAUGAAAGACCAGCAUCUGCACGUUAUAGAAAAAAAUGUUUAGGCACAAAAUAAAAGUAAAUCUAACAGCAUAUUUAACAGUAAAUAAAAAUAAUAAUGAAGGCCAAUCCGUGUGCAUAAAUACCACCAGAACAUGCAAAAAGAGGCGUUGCUAGGAACUGAGAAAUGUACCAAUGGUAUGGUAGUGUUGCUAUAUUAGGGCCGUCCCAGCUUGUCCCUGCCCAAACGGCAUGAUGAUCUGCUGAUCCAUGUACUGCUCCAGCGUCACUUCCGCUACCACUACUGGAAGAAGCUCAGCUCAUCGAUCAUCUGCACACCAACAAACCAAGAAGAUAGCCUAUUUAGCCUACUGAAAUAAACCCAUCCAUCAAAAUCUUCUUUCUGAACAUCAACAUCAAAUCAACAACACUGAAUUAACAUGCAUAAAAGGAUAGAGCUAAUACAGGCAGGUAUAUGGGUAUCAAAACAAACAAGAAAGGAACGACAAUCUAUUUUAAGUAUUUCAGGUUUGAGCCAUUUUUUAUACUAAAAUCAAUACUUAACAGCCAACAUUAUGUGUGUACGACCAGUCAAUAACUACUACAGCCAGUCAACAUUAUGUGUGUACACCAGCCAACAUUAUGUGUGUACAACCAGUCAGUGCUACACAUGCGCCCAUGUGAAUGUGAUGUGAUCUGCCGAAACAACUAUAACCAGUCAAUGCUGGCAGGAGGGAACAAGAUCCAUGGACAACAACGAGGUAUGCGUGUACUGUGAUAAUAAUUAUGUAACACUGGAGCAAGACAGUGUAGAAUCUGUCAUCAUCAAGCUCAAGGAAUCAUUCUAGCUAGAACCAAAUUGACAGCAACAACAUGAGAGGAGAAGAAGCUCCCUAGUAUGGAACAGAACAAGAUCAAGAGCAUAUCACAAAAUUAUGAACUGAAAUCAAACACAAGCGACUCCGAAUUACUCAUUUAGAUUGUACACGAUAAUGAGACGCUGACACGAGACGACAGACAGUACCAGUAGAAUGCAACAGGACGUUGCUUGCACACCGCCAUUGUGCCAGAGGUCUUCCAGGCAUAUGUUUUUCACCUGAUCACCACCUCCCUGCAUGCCACACACACACACUGCAAGUUAGAUUACAUACCGACAGAUUGUGUUUCUAAUGCAUGCAUACCACUAACAGAGACCGUGGUGUUCUAGGAUGAUGCAGAGUCCAUCUAACUAAUCAAUAUCAUAUAUGAUGCAGAGUCCUCCGGAUGAUGGAAUACCUUUCACACAGAGGAGGUUGACCGUGGUGUUCCAUCUCUCACCUGGAAGGAUGGUCCUCCUUGCUCCCGGCGGCGGGGUUGGCUGUCGUGGAUCGUGGGACUUGGCGGUCGCUGGAGGUCAACGAUGGGCGGCGCAUGUCCCGUCGCCCGAAGUAGAGGACGAGCGGGCGCCGUGGCUUAGAUGGCGGGGCGGCAGAGGCGCAGGGGUGGUGGGCGGCACCGGAUGAUGGUGGAGAUGAAGCGGGGCGGCGACGCGGACGAACUGCAGCGGCGGCAAGCCCCGGCCCGCCGCGUCGGCGCUCGCGCUGAAAAAGAGAGGAUCAAUGAAACUGAGAAACUUGUCCGAGUAGAACUAGAUAGAACAACAUUGAUUGUCUAUCUAGGAUAAAUAUAUAUCACAACGAUUUGAGCUGCAUUUUAAGAACUGAGAAAGCUAAGAGCUAAGAAAGCACAACCAUGUAAGCUGCAGUUUGGGAGCUAAAGAAAAAACAUGUGGCUGUACUGAAGAAAAAGAAAGGUGCCCAGCUACAACACCAACUAUUGUACUACAUGAGCUACAAUUUUCAACUCAAAGAACAAAAGUCUGUAGAGUGAUCCGACUACUCAUCACAGAAAUCUUAUAUUAUACUGAAAAAUGGCAACUCUUGUUUGGAUAGGAAAGUUCUAAGCAAUUCAGUUCAGACAACCACCCCUAAAAAAAUCAUGUGUUUUUUGAAAAUUUCUAGUGCAAAGAAACAUGACUGAGUGCGCCACACCAACAUAAGCAACUUACUACAGUACCAACUAAUCUGCCACUUUGCCCCUAAAAGAGAAACAAUCUGCCACUUUGGCCCCUAUUUUUGUAGCAUUUCAGUUAUAGAAACCGCAACUUUAAUUGCUAAAACAUGUCGCUAGUACAUUGAAAACUGGUUUAUACAGAGGCAGUAACCGUGGUGAAUGUACACUUGGAGCUAUACCAGGAUGUAAAAGGUUCUUACCUGUAACCGCAGUCAGUAACCAAGCCAUGCCUCGCCUGUCUACUCGCAGCUAGUUGGGCAGCCUCGGAAGUUCAGAUCUUCUUGGGAGCACAAUGCAGUCGUCUCGUUCAUCCACCACCCUAAACAUUCAAGUAAAUGGAAGUGAGAGCUGGGAGCUAACUUAAGACAGACUGCAGAGAAUCAAAUUAACAACUAGUUUUUUAAUGCCUAGGGGUACACACAGCACAUAUAUACAGUUAGAAAAAUUGAGCAGCCAGGGGGGCGAUUAAGUGGAGAUGCUACAUCCUCUUCAUAGGAGGCAAUUCAUAGGCAGCACUCAAGGUUUUUUUGGUGGCAAUUGUUCUCGAUCUAAUUGUGCGAAUGAAUUGAAAAACAUCAAAUGGAUUGCAAAUGAAUUGAUUCUAGGAUGCAAAUCAAAACAUCUAAAGACGGACACACAGAGCAUCUCUAAAGACAGACACACAGAGCAUGGCAAGGACCAGAUGCUACGCAGAGCUACCACCUAGGCAGAUGGGAUCGAGCGGGGGGCAAAAAGAGAGAGUGUCGGAGAUAUACCACGCGGUAUGACCCGGCCGGACUUGGCGGCUCACAGAGACCUGGCGAGUAUUUGGUGACUUACUGAUAACCCCAACGGCGGGUCAGAUGGAUGACAAGGCCCAAGGCCCAGAAGGCCGGCUCAUGUUAUGGUGGGCCGGUUUACGAGGAAAGGCAUAAGGAGUUUUCCCUUAAGGGAGAAGACUAGGAUUCCACUUGUAAUAGACUAGUCCUAAUCCUAAUAGGACUCCACAUGUAACCCGCCCCUUCAACUUGUAUAAGGAGGGGCAGGGCACCCCAAAGAGGGACGAGCAACAACAAACAAUCUCUAGGGCUAGACACAAAGAGCCGGCUUACCGGCGACUCUCUCAUGAGCAUAAUGAGACCUAGCCACAAACAGCAUGUAGGGCUAUUACCGGAUGAUGUUUUCCGAUUCCGCCCAACCCCUCUCAAGCUACUACAUAGUUGCGCUGGCCUCGCGACUAAGUCCUGACACUAAGGACAUCUGCCGUGACAAUUCCACGACAGUUGGCGCCCACCGUGGGGCCUGCGCACAGUGGUGAUGAGUUCUUGGAGGGAUCCCCAGGGAUCGAGGAUUUUUGCAAUUUUUCGGAUGAAGAUUUUUACAAUCCAUGAGAUUGAAGUAAAAAAAGAGAUUAGGGUUGAAAUAUGCGCGUCUGCCACCGCUGUCCAAUGAUCCGCCGAAACUUUCAGGUACUCAAUCUAUACGUCAUGAAACGAUGGGGUUGAUGAGAUUAAUUUUUUCUCGGUGGAUGCUGUGCACUACACCUGGUGAUCCGACAAAGCGUCAAAUCCCAGAGAAGGCGAGGACAACCGUUUUCUGCAGCACCUAGUAUUGGUUGGACACGCAAAGCACUAAGACCAAGGAGGACCGUUCUGAUGAAGAAACCAGCAGAACCGCCGAGUUGACGAGACCGACAAGCAGUCUAAUCCAAAACCGGAUCGAUUUCUUGGGAUGCUGCCGCGCGUCGCUAAGACUGGUUAGAUUUCCAUAACACGCUGCCAAGGAUUCGGAAGUACGGCACAUGUUUCCCGUCCAUGGCAACCAUACGUCAGGGAAGCUUCAAGUCCCGAGGAGCUCAGGCGCAGCUGGUGUUUUUACUACUCGUUUUUUCUAAUCAACACGUUGCGAGGACUAUUGCUGCCACUUUCCAUCCAUCCGAGAACUCCAAUCUAGUUACACACACGGGCCAAGUCCCAAAGGACUCCUGUGGUGGCAGGGAACAGCGGCGGCCUCAUUUUUUUUUCUGAUCUGCAUUCAUUGAGGAGACGGAGGAACAUGCAUAUUGUGGCAAAAAGUGUACUAAAAAACAGACUACAUCCACACGUGUGGUGGCCAGGCUGUAACGCCCCGGAUCCGAUGCGCCAGGUGUCUGCCAGUUGUUCGCUGUCGUUGCCAUGUCACCUGCUUGCGUGUUGCAUUUUGCCAUGUCAUCAUCUGCAUUUCAUAUCAUGUCAUCAUGUGCAUUGCAUUCGCAUACGUGUUCGUCUCAUGCAUCCGAGCAUUUUCCCCGUUGUCCGUUUUCCAAUCCGGUGCUCCUAUCUCCUCCGGUGCACCCCUCUUGUUUUCUUUCGUGUGCGUGUGUCAAACUUUCUCGGAAUGGACCGAGGCUUGUCAAGUGGCCAUAAUAUACCACCCGGAGACCACCGGUAAAGUUUCGUUUCAUUUGGAGGUCGUUUGGUACUCCAACGGUUAACCGGGCAUCCGCAAAGUCCAUUUGAGUGUCCAGCGAAACCUCCUCUAUGACCAGCCCAAAACCCACCAAACUCUCUUCCAUGCUCUAGGUCGUUCGAUCACGAUCGUGUGGGCGAAAACCGCACCUCAUUUGGAGCCUCCUAGCUCCCUCUACCUAUUUAUAUGUGGGCAUCCCGAAAUACAUUCGCAGUCUCCCGUAACCCUAAAAUCCCCUCUCCGCGGGCGGACGCGUCCAGCGCCCGCCGGACAUCCACGCCGCCGCCCCGAGCCAGUGGCGAGGCGACACGUGGCCUGCCUCCGGCCUCCCACCGCCGCGGCCCGCAGGCCCGACCGCGGCCCUCCCGGGCCNNNNNNNNNNNNNNNNNNNNNNNNNNNNNNNNNNNNNNNNNNNNNNNNNNNNNNNNNNNNNNNNNNNNNNNNNNNNNNNNNNNNNNNNNNNNNNNNNNNNNNNNNNNNNNNNNNNNNNNNNNNNNNNNNNNNNNNNNNNNNNNNNNNNNNNNNNNNNNNNNNNNNNNNNNNNNNNNNNNNNNNNNNNNNNNNNNNNNNNNNNNNNNNNNNNNNNNNNNNNNNNNNNNNNNNNNNNNNNNNNNNNNNNNNNNNNNNNNNNNNNNNNNNNNNNNNNNNNNNNNNNNNNNNNNNNNNNNNNNNNNNNNNNNNNNNNNNNNNNNNNNNNNNNNNNNNNNNNNNNNNNNNNNNNNNNNNNNNNNNNNNNNNNNNNNNNNNNNNNNNNNNNNNNNNNNNNNNNNNNNNNNNNNNNNNNNNNNNNNNNNNNNNNNNNNNNNNNNNNNNNNNNNNNNNNNCCCUCGCCGCCGCCGCCGGACCUCCGGAGCUCCGCCGCCGCCGCUUCAAGCUCCGCCGCCUCGGGCCGCGCUCCUCCACCGGAGCCCGAGCCCCGGCCGGCCUCCUCUCCGGCCUCUCCUCCCCUCCCCUCCCGCCGGCGAGCCGCGCUGCCGCCCCAGCGAUCUCCCUCGAAGGCUCAGCCCCGAUCGGAUCUGGGUACUGUAGCGAGGUUGACCCCGAGCCCCAUUUUUUUCGAAGUGUUGGAAUUUUCUCAGCAUGUGCCUCUGUUCGUGAUGCCAUAACUCCUUGCAUGUAGCUCCGAUUCACGCAUGUAAUAUGUCAAUUUGUUUGUCUCGUGAUGCUCUACAUUUUGUUCAAUCGCACCAUGUUCAUUAGAGGUCAUCUUGAUGCCCAAAUCUCUGUUGGAAGAGGGCUAGUUGCUGUUAUUCUCUGGUUCUUAUCAGAACUUGGAGAUUUGUCAUUUUUGCAUCAUUUAAUCUGUGCAUCUUAUGAGCAUGAUCUCUACAUAUGUUUUGUUGUAUGCCAUGCCAUAUUUCCAUUGGUAUAGUCCAAGUAUUUUUGUGAUCUCUGUGGUGACUAGCACAAGCAUGCAAAGUAGGCUCCGCAUCAUUUAGUCUUUGUCUGCUGUUAUUUUAUUGCCAUGUAAACUUGAUGCUACAGAGAGAUCCAUGCAUAUUUUGGUGAUGUUCAGUAAGGAUGUUUUGUAGAUAUUGUUGUAAUUGAUUUAUUCCUGCAAUUGUUUGCAAUUAUGGAGUGCCAUAGCAUGACUCAAUCUUGCUCUACUUUUGCUAUAAAAUAUUUCUGGCAGAUUCUUAACAUGAUAUGCAAUUUUGCCAAGCUUAUUGUAGUUGAUCCGUACAUGCUAUGCAAUUGUUCUUGCCAUGGAUAGCUUCAUUUACAUUCCAUCUUGCUGUAGGUGUGCUUGGUUUGUCAUGCAUUGCUCUGUAGUGAGUGCAUCAAACUCACAAAGAGGCCUACAUAUUAUUAUUUCUGCCAUGCUCUGUUUUCUGCCAAGUCUGAAACCUGAUAACGAAACUUGCUAUGUUUACAUGCUUGCCAUCAUAUCUUCUGGUCCUUUUUGGCUUAUGGUCAGUAAGUAUCGUGGAAUUGUCACGGCAGAUGUCCUCGAGCUAGGACUUAGUCGUGGAGCCAUCGCAGCUAGGAAGCUUGAAGGGGUUUUGUGGGACAAGGAACACGAGGAUUUAUACUGGUUCGGCCCCUUACGGUGAAGGUAAAAGCCUACGUCCAGUUUGAGGUGUUAUUGAUUAGGGUUACGAUCGCCAGGGAGCUAAACAGCUAUGCCCGGCUCUCGAUGAGAUUGUUGUCGCCCUUAAACCGCUGCCGGGUCCUCCCUUUAUGUAGGGAGGCUGACGCCCAGCAGCCCUUAGAGUCCCGGCCGGCUCAUAAGAGCAUCCGGCUCGGACUCUAAGCAAUACCUGCCUUACACUACAAGUCUACUAUAACAAUGAUUGUAACUACAGGCUUUAAGCCAUAUCCGGGUCUCAGCCCAUCUCUGGCCCAUCAUCUUGAAACUUGGCUCCGGGCUUCUGGCAAUGAUCAUCCGAAGAGUAACCCGGCCCCUCCUGGCGGGUGACUCUAAGGUCUAUAUCCUCAACAUUAGGCCCCAGAUUGACUUGAGCCGGCUCAGGUCAAUCUUCAACUCUGCCGACAGAGAAAAAUCUCCGGCUCACUAUUCAUGUGAAGACCAUAACCUGGAGUGACGUCAUCCUCUGGACUCCGGAUAAUCCGCCGUGACGUCAUCCUCCAUUAAGUCCGUUUUUUUUACUCCGCCAGAUCCGCAACGGAUCUUUGCUUUUACUGUCCUCCCGAAAAUCGAGGCGUCGUAAGGGGGAGAUAACCACGCCGUGGUCUCCUUGAAUCUCGCGCCCACUUAUGACUCUGCCUUAUAAAUAGGCCGGCCCAACACUUCUCUUCUCACGCUCUCCUUCUUCCUCCUCGCGCCGUCGCUUCUCUGCCUGAGCUCCGCCGCCGUCGCGCCCCUGGUCUUCAUCAACCCGGCCGCUGCAUCACCCUGAUUCGGAUCAGAUUCACGGCAGCGACCUCCGCCCUUUCCAACUCCGGUGAGUCUCCCUUGCCCUGUCAGAUAGAUCUGCUGUAGGGUUCAUCUUGUGUUCGUCGCGUUCAUCACCAUUGCCGCAAACCUCAGUAGCUCUUGUAGUCACCACGCUCAGUUGAUCUUUAACCUCACAUAGAGUCAGUGCGGUAGAUGUUUGAGAUCCAUUUCUCCUGCAAAAAACCCUCUUUUUACUGCAUAAGAACCAUGCUCCACCUCAAGAACUUCUCCUGCCUCUGUUUUUUAGGUCUAGAAAUUUUUCAUUUCACCCGACCAUUUUGAUCCAGAAAAGUUACUGCAAUAUGUGAAAUCUGUUACCAUACUUAGUAAAAACUGCAGCCCUUGAAUCUUGACGGCUUAUAUUUCCGACUUAAAGAAAACACGCGCCGUAGAACUUUCCGGUUUAAAGAGAACCAUGCUCCGUAGAAUCCUCCGGCUUAACCGCGGUAAGCCGUAGAUGACCAACUUAUUCUGAAUGCUCCUCCGGCUUAGAUAACUCACCGUAUCUGAAUAUAUAUCAUUAGUCCCCUUUUUGAGCCGCCACCUUAGUUUGAACAAUAGCUCUCCGGCUUAUAAUUAACCCGGAUACCUUUAUCUUUAUCAUAGACCACCAACCGUCACCAUGCCUCCCAUGGCUCCCAUCACUUGCAACUGGAUGAGAUCCAACGUCACUGAUGAGACCCUGGCCAACUUUGUUAAGUCCGGAUAUCUGCCCAAGAAGGAAGUGAUGUCCUACCGUGCCCCUGAUCCGUCCAAAGAAACACCACAGCCGAGGGACGGGGAGGUAGUGAUCUUUGCAGACCAUAUGAGCCGGGGCUUCGCACCGCCCGGCUCAAAAUUCUUCCGGGACGUGCUCAACUUCCAAGUCUUUUGUGAAGUGUAUCUUGGAGAAGAGCCCAGUUUACUGCUUUUCAGAGAACUGUUCUACUUAAACCGCCAAACCGAGUGUGCCAACGGGCCAAGUCUGGAAUUAGGCGGCAUCUCCAUCCAACGGCGCAGGGACUGUCUGUUCCCUUAUGCAGAGCCGCCGAGCCACCCCAAGGACUGGAAUAUGACUUGGUUCUACUGCCAAGAUACGUCCCCGGCUAACGAGAAUCCGCUGCCCGGCUUUCGCCCAACGCGCCUGGAACCGACUCAUCCAUUAUCCGAUAAACUGACUGCCGCGGAACGCCAGCCACUGCUUCCAACGAUCAAUAAGAUCAAGGCCCUGCUAGGCAACGGUCUGAACGGAAUUGAUCUAGUCCGGGUCUGGAUCUCAUGGCGGGUGAUCCCAUUGAGCCGCCGCCCCGGCUUAAUGUGUGAGUACACCGGGCGAAAGGAUGACCCGCAGAGGCACAGUCGCAAUGAUCUUCCAGAAGACGUUGCUGAAGAAGAGACCAAGGCUCUGUUAAACGAGAGCCUGGCAGACUGUGGAAGAACCGGGCUAGCCCCGUUCUGCAAGACCAAUCCAGCCCCAACGGUAAGCCGCUGACUUUAAUCUUUCAACUUCUUUUGCAUGUCACCUUGAUCUGGACCGUUUUAAGAAUUCAUUACUGUACUUCUCAGGCUGAUGACAAAUUCUGGCGGGUCAAAUAUGACCAUGAGGUGGCCAAGAAGGCCAAGAAGGCGAAGAAAGCCGCCAAGAAAGCCGCCCCUCGCAAAAAGGGAAGCAGACCCACUGCUUCGGAGCUGCUGCAAUUAAGCGACAGCUCCGAGUCAGAGGUAACCCUUAAACCUUUAAACUCUUGCCAUAUUUAUUGUUUGCUGCUGUCCGCCUUAUCAACAUUUUGCUUAUUGACAGGAUGACACCGGCGCCAGUAACCCGGUGAUUGAAGAGGUAACAUCACUUUCCUCCGACUCGGAGCCUUUGCCACAGCUGAAAGUCCGAAGAGUAACCCGGAAAGUAAGCUUUUCUGAUCAGUUAGCUCAUCAAGACCCUCAAUUUCUUUUGAAGCAGCAGGUUCACGAAAGCCGGCGUCACACCCGGGCCCGCAAGGACACCGACCUCUCCGCCGGGUUACCCGACGCAACAAGGAAGCGUCGUACUGAGGUUUUUUCUCACCUGUACCCUUUUCAUCCGUUGGCGGGUGUCAUCCGUCAGCCACUCAACUCUUCUGACUCCAAUUACCAGGAGACCUCCCCCUCUUCGGGUGACUCCAUGCAGUCAAGUCUGCCGGCCUUCAAAACUGCACCCAGGUAAUAACAAUCUCCUUACAUUAUCUCUCUGUACUUACUCUUUGUAUGCCUAACACUUCUGUCUUUUCAGUGCCCAGGCAAAGCUCACCAAAAGAGCAAAGAAGACCAGGUCAGCCGGAGUGCCAGACUUGCCUGAGCCGGAGACGACGGCUCAAGAGCCGCCAGCUGCCGCCGCCCCCGAAGCCACCAUUCCUAUGGACACGGCACCUGAAGCCCCUGCCCCAACUACCAAGACAACAACCGAAGCGUCGGUUAACCCGGAGGCCUCCGGCUCCGCCCCAUCAACUGACGACCCGGACGUGGUAAUUACCCGGACGGAGUAUGUUGAGCCGGGGAGACCGACCGUGCUGGCCAAAUGCUCCGCGAAGGGGGAGUUGCUGCAGCCCCACCGGGUGAAUCUGGACCUCUCCAGCUACACCGACUUGAGCAUUGGAGAGCUUGUCUCUGGCUACAUCAGCCAAGUUCACAAGAGCCGGGACGCCGAAAUCGCCAUGGUCAACCAGAUCCAACAAAAAUCUGAGGUAACCUUCUGCUGUCUUCUUAUUUUCUGCAUAGUGAUCCUUGUCAUGCUAGCCCCCAAGUCUAUAACUUAUACUUGAAUAUGUUGUAGACUUAGAUUCCGGCUUACUUAACUGAACCGGCAGUACGUAGAUAGAUACGUUCAAUAUGCAUUAGCCCCCAAGUGCCAAGUGUCUUUGCUUGGAAAGUGCUUGGGACUUAUAUAAUGACUGUUAACAACCCGGAAAUAUAUGCAGGCUGUUGGCAAAAAAUUAGAGUCGGACCUUGCGGAUCUUAAGAGCCGGCUAAAGACACAAGAGAUGGAGACCCGGAAGGCAAACGCCAAGUUUGUCUCCAGCAUCGCCGCUCAAGAGAAGCUGAAGACUGAAUUCGAUGCUGAGCGGAAGGCCUGGGCUGAGGAGAAAACCGCACUGGUGACCCGGGCCGAACAGGCGGAGAAGGCCCUCACCGAGAAGACCGCUGAGCUCUCCGGCCUAAAGCGCCAGGUUUCCCAAAUGGUGGCUGCUAUCUUCGGUAAGUCGCCUCGCCGGCUUUCAUCAAGUCUGUAUAUGUUAUGAUUCAUCCUUGUCACCGGCUUAUCUGAUCUUUAUUAAACAGGUCCCAGGAGUGCCAACCUCAAUCAGAGCGUGGUCACCAAGUUAAAGGCCGUGUACACCCUGGUGGAACAACUCUACACCGGGUCACAGCGCGCCUUAGCUGUGGUGGCCCUAUCUAACGAGGUGCCAACCCAUCUGGCCGAGGUCCUGCGCCGGCUCGCUGUUCUGCCACAGCGGAUCCAGGAGCUACGCCGAGCCUCCGCAAGAUCCGGAGCAAUUGCCGCGCUGAGCCGGGCCAAAGCAUUCCUGCCGGAGCUAGACCCGGCAGACAUCGCCCUGGGUUACCCAAGCCUGAAGGAAGACGGCUCCGCCUUCGACCAGAAGGACUUCGCGGCAUGUGUGAAGGCUGUACGCCCGGUGGCCACCAUCAUCGGGAACGACACCGACUUAACCAAGUAUCAGCCGGGGUACAACGCGGAGAAUCAGAGGAUUCCAACCCCUCGCUAUGAAGCUCUCAGUCUGAUUCCUCCGGCUCGCCAGCACACCUUCGCCCCCGAGAUUGACCCGGCCGGGUUAAUCGACGAAGAAGCCCAGUUCGAAGCUCUCAGCGGCAUCGACUGGAAGUCGUCAACCUUCGAGGUCUUGGGAUCAGCCGGAGCAGACGACGAGCCGGGGACUUCAACUCAGCAGGCGUCAUAAAGCGGCCGGCGGUUCACCGAGCAACGCUCCACCCUUGAGACUCUGAAGGAUUUUUGUAAUAGAAUAAGUGCAACAAUUUAUCUCUGCCGUGCCAUCGUGCACGUAAUGAAUGCUGAAACCCCUUGAAGUUAUUCUUUUGGUGUUCCUCCGGGUCAUAAUUAUCCCUUUGUCCUUCUCAACCUUAAAAAGUACCUUCAAGUAUCUGCAUAGAAAGGCAAAUCACAAGUCUCAAGGCGGCUUACCGCCCUGAGAAUCAGGUGUUUAAAAUGGAUAACCCGGAAUACGAAUCAAAAAAGACUGGUCAUUAACUAUACUCUGAACAUAGCCGUGAUAACACACUUAACGGCCUGUAAGCAUACUUCCGGUUUAAAUAACCCGGGUAGCUUGGUUGGUACCUUAACUCGAAUUUACCUGUCUUGAUGACAUCCCUGAUGUUCAACUAACAAGAUAAACCAAAAUUAAGCCGGCAAGUGAGACCCGGCAGUACAUACUUUGACAUGAUCAGAGUAGACUUGUGAUAAAAUAUAAAAACUUAGGGGCUUCCGGUUCGAAUACGACCAGAAACCCGGUCCAAAGGGGUUAAGCUAAGAUUCGGAUGCGAUCAUAUAGCCCCCAGUGGGUGUGGCGAUGCCAAUCAAGAGGGUAUCGACAGCUAUGUUCUCUUUGGUUCGAAUACGACCUAUGUUUGAACAGGAAGCCCCCAAGUGAUUCUGAAAAUUGAUUAACGAUGCUGAUUCGAAUACGAUCCACGUCGGCUAUCAGAGGGGUUACACUAUGAUUCAAAUAUGACCAAAGGCAACCUCCCAAUGAGCUCGGCACUUUGCCAAUCAAAUGGGUAUCGACAGCUAUGUUCUGUUUGGUUCGAAUACGACCCAUGUUUGAACAGGAAGCCCCCAAGUGACCUUACUGCUUACGGCUAGACUCGAAUACGAUCAUAAGCCGGAUCCUCCUUUCAAAUUAGCAUGUAAAAAGUGACACACACAUAAUUGAAGGAGAAAAAGGACAGAGGUCCUGCUUUAUUGCUUAUAAUAAUAUAUACAUGUCUGAGAUAAAUAUGUACACCACGAGAGCCGGCAGCUCAAGUGUAGUAAGGCCGAAGCUGAGCUAUAUUCCAUGGCCGACGGGUCUCCUCCUCAGAUUUACGCGAAUCCUUAUGUUCCCGAAUAUCAAUGAGAUAAUAUGACCCGUUGUGUAAGUUCUUACUGACCACAAAGGGCCCUUCCCAAGGUGGGGAUAACUUGUGUGCAUCAGUUUGAUCCUGGAUGAGCCGGAGCACAAGGUCGCCUUCCUGGAAGACCCGGGAUUUGACCCGGCGGCUAUGAUAACGGCGCAGGUCUUGUUGGUAAAUCGCUGAACGGGCUGCCGCCACAUCACGUUGUUCGUCCAACAAGUCCAGAGCAUCUUGGCGCGCCUGUUCAUUAUCCGUCUCAACAUAAGCCGCCACACGAGGCGAAUCGUGACGGAUGUCGCUGGGGAGGACUGCUUCUGCUCCAUAAACCAUGAAGAAAGGCGUGAAGCCAGUAGACCUGUUAAGAGUAGUGUUGAUGCUCCAUAAGACGGAGGGCAGCUCCUCCACCCAACAACCCGGCGUCCGUUGCAAAGGGACCAAAAGCCGGGGUUUGAUGCCCUUCAGAAUCUCCUGGUUAGCUCUCUCAGCUUGACCAUUGGAUUGGGGAUGAGCCACUGAGGAAACAUCAAGUCGGAUAUGCUCCCGUUGACAAAAUUCUUCCAUAGCGCCCUUGGAUAAAUUGGUGCCAUUGUCAGUUAUGAUGCUGUGCGGAAAGCCGAAGCGGAAAAUCACCUUUUUCAUAAAUUGAACCGCUGUGGCUGCAUCGCACUUGCUAACUGGCUCAGCCUCUACCCACUUCGUGAAUUUGUCAACGGCCACCAAGAGGUGGGUCUUCUUAUCCUUGGAUCGUUUAAAAGGCCCAACCAUAUCAAGCCCCCAGACCGCAAAGGGCCAAGUGAUUGGGAUCAUCCUCAACUCCUGAGCCGGCACAUGAGCCCGUCGUGAGAACCUUUGGCAACCAUCACAUUUACUGACCAAGUCCUCUGCAUCAGCGUGAGCCGUCAGCCAAUAAAAACCAUGACGGAAAGCCUUGGCCACAAGAGAUUUUGAACCGGCAUGAUGGCCACAAUCCCCUUCAUGGAUCUCGCGCAAGAUCUCUUGACCUUCCUCAGGGGAGAUACAAUGCUGAAAGGCCCCUGAAACACUGCGAUGAUGCAACUCGCCGUUGAUAACAAUCAUUGACUUGGCCCGCCGGGUUAUUUGCCUGGCCAAAGUUUCAUCCUCAGGCAACUCUCCCCGGGUUAUAUAAGCCAGAUAUGGCAUUGUCCAGUCUGGUAUGACAUGAAGAGCCGCCACUAGUCGUGCCUCCGGGUCAGGGAUAGCCAAGUCCUCCUCUGUAGGCAACUUAACCGAAGGGUUAUAUAGGACAUCCAGGAAAGUGUUAGGCGGCACCGGCUUUCGCUGAGAGCCUAGCCGGCUUAAAGCAUCAGCCGCCUCGUUCUUCCUGCGAUCAAUGUGCUCCACUUGAUAUCCCUGAAAGUGCCCAGCAAUGGCAUCAACCUCGCGGCGAUAAGCUGCCAUGAGAGGAUCCUUAGAAUCCCAGGUGCCUGAUACUUGUUGAGCCACCAAAUCUGAGUCCCCGAAGCACCUUACCCGGCUUAAGCUCAUCUCCUUAGCCACCCGAAGACCGUGGAGUAAAGCCUCGUAUUCAGCCGCAUUGUUAGUGCAAGGAAACAUCAAUUGUAGCACAUACUGGAACUUGUCACCCCUAGGGGAAGCCAAUACAACGCCAGCCCCCGAGCCCUCCAGCUGCCUGGACCCAUCAAAGUGAAUAGUCCAAUAAGUGUUAUCCGGCUUUUGCUCAGGCACUUGUGACUCUGUCCAAUCAUUGAUAAAAUCCACCAAAGCCUGAGAUUUAACAGCAGUGCGUGGCACAUAUUUGAGGCCAUGAGGUCCAAGUUCUAUAGCCCACUUAGCAAUUCUCCCUGUAGCCUCUCUGUUCUGGAUCCCCAAGAGGGGCAGAACUGACCACAGUGAUGGGAUGACCCUGAAAAUAAUGCUUGAGUUUCCGGCUCGCCAUGAACACACCAUAUACGAGCUUCUGCCAAUGCGGGUACCGCUGCUUGGACUCAAUAAGCACCUCACUGACAUAAUAAACCGGCCGCUGAACCGGAUGCUCCUUACCCGUCUCCUUACGCUCCACCACAAUAGCCACACUGACGGCUCGUGUGUUUGCUGCCACAUACAGUAGCAAGGGCUCCUUAUCAACCGGAGCAGCAAGGACGGGGGGCUCUGCCAGUUGCUUUUUCAAAUCCUCAAAGGAGGUAUUAGCUGCAUCAUUCCAGACAAAGUUAUCAGUUUUCUUCAUCAACUGAUAUAAGGGCAUAGCCUUCUCACCCAAGCGGCUUAUGAACCGGCUUAAAGCAGCGAUGCGACCCGCCAAACGCUGAACAUUAUUUAUACAUGCCGGUUUAGCUAGGGAGGUGAUAGCCUUGAUCUUCUCCGGGUUAGCCUCAAUGCCUCUGUCAGAAACCAAGAAGCCCAAUAGCUUGCCUGCAGGAACGCCAAAAACACAUUUGGCCGGGUUAAGCAUCAUCUUGUAGACCCGGAGAUUAUCGAAGGUUUCCCUUAAGUCAUCUAUCAGGGUUUCCUCCUUGAUGGAUUUAACCACAAUAUCAUCCACAUAAGCGUGAACAUUGCGCCCGAUCUGUUUAUGGAGACAAUUCUGCACACAACGCUGGUAAGUCGCCUGCGCACACUUGAGCCCAAAGGGCAUAGACACAUAGCAGAAGGCUCCAAAGGGAGUGAUGAACGCCGUCUUCUCCUGGUCCUUAACUGCCAUCUUAAUCUGAUGAUACCCGGAAUAAGCAUCCAAGAAACUUAAGCGUGCACAACCUGCCGUAGCAUCAAUAAUUUGAUCAAUACGGGGGAGAGCAAAAUGAUCAGCCGGACACGCCUUGUUCAAGUCCGUGUAGUCCACACACAUUCGCCAGGUGCCGUUCUUCUUGAGUACGAGCACCGGGUUAGCCAACCACUCUGGGUGAAAAACCUCAACAAUGAACCCGGCCACCAAGAGCCGGGCCACUUCUUCACCGAUAGCUUUCCGCCUCUCUUCGUUAAACCGUCGAAGGAACUGUCUGACCGGCUUAAAUUUUGGAUCAACAUUGAGAGUGUGCUCAGCGAGUUCUCUAGGUACACCUGGCAUGUCAGAAGGUUUCCACGCGAAGAUGUCCCUAUUCUCACGGAUGAACUCGAUGAGCGCGCUUUCCUAUUUCGGGUCAAGAUUUGCACUGAUGCUAAACUGCUGAGACGAGUCACCUGGAACAAAAUCAACAAGUUUAGUCUCAUCAGCUGACUUAAACUUCAUUGCUGGUUCAUUCUCCGUGGUUGGCUUUUUCAAAGAGGUCAUAUCUGUUGGGUCAACAUUGUCUUUAUAAAAUUUCAAUUACUUUGUGGCGCAAACAGACUCUGCAUAAGCUGCAUCACCUUCCUCACACUCCAGAGCCACUUUCCGGCUGCCGUGAACCGUAACGGUCCCAUUGUGACCCGGCAUUUUGAGCUGUAAGUAUACAUAACACGGCUGGGCCAUGAACAUGGCGUAAGCCGGCCAUCCAAAUAUAGCGUGGUAUGGACUUCUUAUCUUGACCACCUCAAAGGUCAACUUCUCCACCCUGUAGUUGUUCUCAUCGCCAAAAGCCACUUCCAGUUCGAUCUUGCCGACUGGAUAAGCCGACUUACCGGGUACUACGCCAUGGAAGAUAGUGUUUGACUGGCUGAGGUUCUUAUCGACUAGCCCCAUACGACGGAAAGUCUCAUAAUAGAGGAUAUUGAUGCUGCUGCCUCCAUCCAUGAGCACCUUUGUGAACUUAUAGCCUCCCACCUGAGGAGCCACCACUAAGGCCAAGUGGCCCGGGUUAUCCACCCGGGGAGGGUGAUCCUCCCUACUCCACACUAUAGGCUGCUCAGACCACCGCAAGUAGCGUGGAACCGCCGGCUCAACAACAUUAACAACCCUCUUUUGAAUCUUCUCGCCUCGUUUACACAAACUAGUGGUGAACACGUGAUACUGUCCACCGCUAAGCUGCUUCGGGUUGGUCUGAUAACCCCCCUGCUGCUGUUGAUGACCCUGACCAGACUGUUGAUUAAAGCCUCCUUGAUCGUUCUGAGGGCCGGAAUUUGAGCCACCGCUCGGGCCAUGAAAGCCGCCGGCGCCUGAGCCGCCGGCACCUGAGCCGCCACCCGGACCAUUGUAGUUUUUAAAGGCCUUCAUGAUAGCACAAUCCUUCCACAGAUGAGUUGCUGGCUUCUCUCUAGAGCUGUGCCUUGGACAAGGUUCAUUCAACAGCUGCUCCAGAGAAGGUCCUGACCCGCCGCCUCGGGGAGGGGGCCUCCCCUUGCGUCGCUGGUUAUUACCUUGAGAGUUGGUGUUGGCUACAAACUCUAGGCUGCCAUCGGCCUUACACUUGCCUCCUCCUUGGUUCCCCGGGUUAAACUGAGGACCCUUGCCGUUGCCAUUCUUCUUUCCCUUCCCUGCCCUUUCAUCGUCUGAAGGGGGAUCCUUGGUACCAUCGGAAUCGGCGUACUUGACAAGAGCCGCCAUUAGGGUACCCAUAUCGGCUCAGUCGCGCUUGAGCCGCCCAACCUUCAUCUUAAGGGGCACAAAGCGACAGUUCUGUUCCAACAUUAAGACUGCAGAGCCGGCAUCCAUCUUAUCUGAUGAAUGUAUGAUUUCCUUGACCCGGCGAACCCAAUGGGUCGUGGACUCACCCUCCUGCUGCUUACAGUUAGUCAAAUCCACAAUUGACAUAGACUGCCUGCAGGUAUCCUUGAAGUUUUGAAUGAACCGGGCUUUCAGCUCCGCCCAAGACCCAAUGGAGUUCGGCGGUAACCCUUUCAACCACGUGCGGGCAGUUCCAUCUAACAUCAUGGUGAAAUAUUUGGCCAUGGCCACCUCACUGACCUCCAGCAAUUCCAUAGCCAUCUCAUAACUCUCAAUCUAGGCUGCAGGCUGUAAGUCCGCUGUGUAGUUAGGCACCUUCCUAGGGCCCUUGAAGUCCUUAGGUAGACGUUCAUUGCGGAUGGCUGGUACCAAACAAGGGACUCCCCCGGUCCUGGUAGAAAUUCCCACAUCAACGGACGUCGUCGGAUAAGCCGGGGGGGUCUGAUAAGCCGUCAAUUGAGGCGCCUGCUCUGCCUCUUGCCGCGCUUGGUCUGUUGCGUAAAAGGCUCCAUUAUGAGCCGGGCCAUGGCCAGGGGGCGGGUCAUGGCGUCGCACAUUACUUGAACCAGUUGCUGAGACCAUGUGCCGGCUGUAACUCGGGCUCUGGCCUGGACGAGGGGUCGAGUGGAUCAUGUCACGGCUAUAGGAGUACGCCUCUUGCUGUGCUAGUGCCGUCUGCAGGAGGUCCCUGACCCGGCGGGUUUCGAUGGCCGCCGGAGAAUCGCCGUCAACGGGGAGAGCCGCCAGCCGUGCUGCCGCAGCCACCAUGUUCUCUAGCGGGUUAUCAUAAUGACCCGGGGGUAUUGGCACAUACUGAGGCGGGGCAGGGGGCCCCUGGGGAGGCCCCAUCACUCGUGGCUGAAUAAGGGGUCCAGACCCGGGCGCAAUGACCCCUGGCGGUUUACUAGACCCUGCACCCGGCGUGUUGAAGAGAUUGCGUGGAUCGUAAACCGGCGGGAGUUGAGACUGGGCCUUCUGAUGCCUCCUCCUCAUGACCUUGUUGGCCGCGUUCUGAUCCAUCGUGAGCUGGAAGGACUGCGCCUGAAUUAGCUGAGUCUGGGCAUGGAGAGCCGCCCGCUCCGCAGGAAGCCUGAUCCCUUCCGCUGCAAGAUCCUCUUUAGCCUUUAUCAUAUCUAAUUUUAACUGCGCCACCUCCGCAUCAUGCUGGGCUUGAUGCGCCGGGUCGACCGUGGCGGUUAGCAGGGCCGUCAUCUUGUCCGUGAGAUCCAUCAGCACCUGAGCCGGAGAAGGCACCGGGUUUCCCGCUCCAGCAGCGGGGUUCUGAACAGGCUGCGCACCGGCCAUAAAAACUCCAACCUGACUUGGCGGCUCAAAAAGGUCCGGAAUACUGUCGCCAUCGGAACAACCCAUGAGCCUACCAUCUUGAAGUUGGUACAACGAGUUUGACUCAUCGGUGGCUGACUCGCCGUCAGAGCCGGCGGCCGCCUCAUCACCGGACCCCGAUGGAUCAGAGGGCCCUCCAUGGAUGCAUCCCACAAAAAUGUGCCUUAAGGCAGGCCGGGCCCGGGCAGGUCGUGCGCGCUGAGCCGUUUCAAAGAGAUCGGCGCGGAGAUCCGGCUCGGGGCCCGGCUCACCGAUCUUGCCGAUGAAGACAUGAAUUCCGCCAAAGGGGACCCGGUACCCGUACUCAAUUGAGCCGGCGUCGGGGCCCCAGUCCGCAUCGUCGAUGUAGAGCUUGCCGCGACGACUCUUGGUCAUCCGGCCCACAGCGUAUCCCUUGAGCCCUUCGAAGCUGCCCUUCAAGAACUCAAAUCCACCGUGCGCUGGCCCCACGGUGGGCGCCAACUGUCGUGGAAUUGUCACGGCAGAUGUCCUCGAGCUAGGACUUAGUCGUGGAGCCAUCGCAGCUAGGAAGCUUGAAGGGGUUUUGUGGGACAAGGAACACGAGGAUUUAUACUGGUUCGGCCCCUUACGGUGAAGGUAAAAGCCUACGUCCAGUUUGAGGUGUUAUUGAUUAGGGUUACGAUCGCCAGGGAGCUAAACAGCUAUGCCCGGCUCUCGAUGAGAUUGUUGUCGCCCUUAAACCGCUGCCGGGUCCUCCCUUUAUGUAGGGAGGCUGACGCCCAGCAGCCCUUAGAGUCCCGGCCGGCUCAUAAGAGCAUCCGGCUCGGACUCUAAGCAAUACCUGCCUUACACUACAAGUCUACUAUAACAAUGAUUGUAACUACAGGCUUUAAGCCAUAUCCGGGUCUCAGCCCAUCUCUGGCCCAUCAUCUUGAAACUUGGCUCCGGGCUUCUGACAAUGAUCAUCCGAAGAGUAACCCGGCCCCUCCUGGCGGGUGACUCUAAGGUCUAUAUCCUCAACAGUAAGGGACAUUUGUUACAUGCUUUGAGUAGAUUCCUGCCAUGCCUUGUUUUGCCAUGUUCAGUUUCUGUAGCAUGAUGAUAUCGUGCUCUGAACAUUGCUACCUGAUGCUGUUUCUGUCAUGUCCAGUAAUUCUGCUAAGUCUGGGAACCUGUUAUUAUUUGCAAUCUUGCCAUGUCCUUUUGAGCAUUUUCUAGUGAUUUCUGGAGAUAGCUCAGUGUUCAUGUUUUGUUGUGCUUUACCUGUACAUCAUGCCCAUGCCUUUUGUUUUCAUGUUGAGUUGCUGUAGCAUAUUGUUUUGAUGCUUGCAUUAUGCCUAGUUGCUGUUUUGGACAGAUUGUUGCUAUGUCUUGUUUGGAGUGUAUGUGUUGCACCGUUGCUCUGUUUUGAGCAUGCUCUACAUGAAACUUGCUUAGUUUUGCAUGUAGUCUCAUAUUAUCAUGUUGCAUCCUUGUUUUGAGGUUUUUGCUUGAUGUUUGUAUGCAUUUUGCAUCAAUGCCAUGUUUAACUUGUUUUGAUCAUAUCUUCUAGACCGUAGCUCCGAAUCUAAUGAACUUUAUAUGCAACUUGACUAGAAUUUCGUGUAGAUCAUCAUGGUGCUCUUUAACUUGCUGUUUAAGAACUUGAACAUAAUGUUUAUUCAGUUCUGGACCAAUUUCGAAAUUUGCAUAUGAGGACUUACCGGAUUUGUUAUAUGUUGUUUCCGGCCUCAUUUAAACUUGCCUUGAUGUGUUGUUCUUGUAUGCAUCAUCUCUUGUCAUGAGUAGCUCCAUAUAGCCUUGUUAUGCAUCAUACUUGUUUGAGCAUCGUGCCUUGUUCUUGUGUGGUGUGUUUACCUUGUUGUGUGCUUCUUUUCGAUAGUUUCCCGUGUCGUUGCGAUCGUGAGGAUUCGUUCGUCUUCGUGGCCUCUUCUUCUUCUUCAUGGACUUGUUCUUCUUCCUAGCGGGAUUUCAGGCAAGAUGACCGUCACCUUGGAUCUCAUUACUAUCAUUGCUAUGCUAGUUGCUUCGUUCUAUCGCUUUGCUGCGCCACCUAUUCACUUGUUCCUCAAGCCUCUCAUUUUGCCAUGAACCUCUAACCUUUGUCACCCUUCCUAGCAAACCAUUGUUUGGCUAUGUUACCACUUUGCUCAGCCACUCUUAUAGCAUUGCUAGUUGCAGGUGAAGAUGAAGUUUGCUCCAUGUUGGAUUAUGUUUAUGUUGGGAUAUCACAAUAUCUCUUAUAUUUUUAAUGCAUCUAUAUACUUGGUAAAGGGUGGAAGGCUCGGCCUUAUGCCUGGUGUUUUGUUCCACUCUUGCCGCCCUAGUUUCCGUCAUACCGGUGUUAUGUUCCUGGAUUUUGCGUUCCUUACACGGUUGGGUGAUUUAUGGGACCCCCUUGACAGUUCGCUUUGAAUUAAACUCUUCCAGCAAGGCCCAACCUUGGUUUUACCAUUUGCCUAGCCUAUUUCUUUUCUCUGGGGAGUCGCUCUCUCGAGGGUCAUCUUAUUUUAACCCCCCCGGGCCAGUGCUUCUCUAAGUGUUGGUCCGAACUAGAGCCCCUUGCAGCGCCACCUGGGAAACUUGAGGUCUGGUUUUAGUUGUACGGAUUGCUCAUCCGGUGUUGCCCUGAGAACGAGAUAUGUGCAGCUCCUAUCGGGAUGUCGGCGCAUCGGGCGGCUUUGCUGGUUUUGUUUUACCAUUGUCGAAAUGUCUUGUAACCGGGAUUCCGAGACUGAUCGGGUCUUCCCGGGAGAAGGAAUAUCCUUCGUUGACAGUAAGAGCUUAUAAUGGGCUAAGUUGGGACACCCCUGCAGGGUACUAUCUUUCGAAAGCCGUGCGCGCGGUUAUGUGGCAGAUGGCAACUUGUUAAUAUCCGGUUGUAGAGAACUUGACACUUGACCUUAACUAAAUACAUCAACCGCGUGUGUAGCCGUGAUGGUCUCUUCUCGGCGGAGUCCUGGAAGUGAACACGGUUUCUGGGUUAUGCUUGACGUAAGUAGGAGUUCAGGAUCACUUCUUGAUCAUUGUUAGUUCACGACCGUUCCUUUGCUUCUCUUCUCGCUCUCUUUUGCGUAAGUUUAGUCACCAUAUCUUGCUUAGUCGCUGCCGCAACCUCACCACUUACCCUUUCCUUUCCCUUUAAGCUUUGCUAGUCUUGAUACCCAUGGUAAUGGGAUUGCUGAGUCCUCGUGGCUCACAGUUUACUACACCUCCAGCUGCAGGUUCAGUUUUUGCGAUGAUCAUGACGCGAGAGCGAUGUCUUGUUUUGGAGUUCUUCUUCUGCUUCUUCUUCGAUCAGGGGAUAGGUUCCAGGUCGGCAGCCUGGGCUAGCAGGGUGGAUGUCGUUUGAGUUCCUGUUUAUGUUUCAUCCGUACCCGGAUGUUGUUUUCAUGUAUUGUUGUAUUCUUGCGGCAUUUGUAUGCCUUGUAUGUACCCUCAAAUAUUAUGUAAGGUUGAUGUAAUGAUAUCCACCUUGCAAAAGCGUUUCAAUAUGCGGUUCUAUCCUUGGUGGGGCCUUCGAGUCUCUUUAGGAUAGUAUCGCAUAUUGGGCGUGACAAGUUGGUAUCAGAGCCUCGACCGACCCUAGGAGCCCCCCUUGAUUGAUCGUGUAGUUUGGCCGUUGUCGAGUCUAGAACAAAACUUUUUCUGAGUCUAGCUAUAUCGGAGAGUAGGAAUUCUUUUUACUCCUCUGCCUCUUCGUCGCUCUGGUGAGAAAUCUUGACGUAGGUGUUUUGAACUAUUCCUCUUCCCCUUCAAAUUUUCUUCAGGAUCACGUGGUUAGUUUUCGUUCGUUGUCCAUCCUCUUUUCAAUCCGACGCAUUUCUCUUCGAGUGUUUUCGAUCCUCGUCAUCUUUUGCGAGAUCAGUCCUCAGUUAUUUCUCUUCUCUUGUUUCCCUGUCCGAAGUUGUCCUUGUUUUUCCCACCCGCCCACCCUUUUUCUUCUCGGAACCGGGGUCUGUAAUCGAGUAUCCAUUUUACUCGUGCGAAAUCUUUGCAUUCUCUCCUCAAUUAUUUCAACCGGUGCCUUUCUUCCCAAAGCUAUUCGUCGAUUUCCCAUUCCAAGUUGCCGUUGUUUUCCCGCCCUCCCACCCCUUUUAUUCCGGAGUCUGAGCCNNNNNNNNNNNNNNNNNNNNNNNNNNNNNNNNNNNNNNNNNNNNNNNNNNNNNNNNNNNNNNNNNNNNNNNNNNNNNNNNNNNNNNNNNNNNNNNNNNNNNNNNNNNNNNNNNNNNNNNNNNNNNNNNNNNNNNNNNNNNNNNNNNNNNNNNNNNNNNNNNNNNNNNNNNNNNNNNNNNNNNNNNNNNNNNNNNNNNNNNNNNNNNNNNNNNNNNNNNNNNNNNNNNNNNNNNNNNNNNNNNNNNNNNNNNNNNNNNNNNNNNNNNNNNNAAGCAUCUAUUUCAUUCGUGCGGAACCUCUUCAAUCUUUCGUAAAUUAUUUCAACCGGUGAAUUCUUGGCAGAGUUCAUCAUUGAUUCGUCUUGUUUUCUUUUCCGGUGGAUUCAAUUCCAAUCUUCGGUAGUGUUUAUAUUUAUUUUCCUCGGCUCAAAUGUUUCUCGUUGCUCGUUCCCCUCUCGCCUUAAUCGUUCCGGAGUGAUGAAGACAUCUCAGGAGAGUCGUCUGUGUUCGAAUUAAUUCGAGGUUGUCACCUCAUUUUAAUAUCUCAAUUGUUCCGGUGCAUCAUCUAUCUGAUCAACAAUCCUUUUCUCAACGGUGUUUCUUUUCGGUGGGCCCUAACCCACAGGUCUUUUCCCAAGAUCUUACCUGACUCUUCUAAUUUUCCGGUGUUUUUCUCAAAUCCUUUUGAAGUCUGACGUAAGUAUGAAUUUCAUCAGUCAGACGUUUUUCCAAGAUCAAUUUCAAAUUCUUUCAUGUUCAGGCCAACAUUCUUCUCCCGGAGCAUCUCAACAACUUUGGUGUUCUUUCUCGUCGUCAUUCUCAACUUUUGAGGACCGAAGAAGAAUUUCUCUUAAAUCUUGUCCGUUCUCCCGGAGAUUCGCGGUGCUAGCUCGAUGUUAGCCUAUCCAAUUGUUUCUAGCCGUGCAUUUAUUUUCAACCAUCCAGAGUUUCUCAGGAUCUGUUUUUCCGUCUCAGUUAUCCGGAGGUCAUCUUUUCGAAAUAUUUCGUCGUUCUAAGUUUUCAAAUCCAUUCUCCGAUCAUUCUAUAUUCAUGCCCCUUCGCUCGUCUCCAUAUUCUUCCGGUGUUUCGUUCAAGUAUGCUUCAAUCAGCUCGCGAUCUCUUCUUUCUAUUGCAUCUUGAUUCCCUCAUGUAUAUUCGUGUUUUUCCUUAUUUUUCCCGGUGAGUCAUCCUCCUUCGUCAGUCAAUUUUGAAUUCUUACGGUGGCUCGUUCAAGAUUCUUUCUGUUGUUGUCAUAUCAAUUCAGUCAUUCGUUCCAAAUCCUACCGGUGGUUUAUGUUGAGGAUAUAGACCUUAGAGUCACCCGCCAGGAGGGGCCGGGUUACUCGUACGUUCGUUGCCAGAAGCCCGGAGCCAAGUUUGAAGACGAUGGGCCAGAGAUGGGCUGAGACCCGGAUAUGGCUUAAGGCCUGUAGUUACAAUCAUUAUUAUGGUAGAACUUGUAGUGUAAGGCAAGUAUAGUUGAGAGUCCGAGUCGGACACGCUUAUGAGCCGGCGGGGACUCUAAGGGCUGCUGGGCGUCAGCCUCCCUAUAUAAAGGGACGACCCGGCAGCGGUUUCGGGGCGACAACAAUCUCAUCGAGAGCCGGGCAUAGCUGUUUAGCUCCCUGGAGAUCGUAACCCUAAUCAAUAUUACCUCAAACUGGACGUAGGCUUUUACCUUCACCGUAAGGGACCGAACCAGUAUAAACCCUCGUGUUCCUUGUCCCACAUAACCCCUUCAAGCUUCCUAGUUGCGAUGGCUCCAUGACUAAGUCCUAGCUCGAGGACAUCUGCCGUGACAAUUCCACGACAGUUGGCGCCCACCGUGGGGCCAGCGCACGGUGGAUUUGAGUUCUUGAAGGGCAGCUUCGAAGGGCUCAAGGGAUAUGCUGCGGGCCGGAUGACCAAGAGUCGUCGCGGCAAGCUCUACAUCGACAAUGCAAACUGGGGCCCCGACGUCGGCUCAAUUGAGUACGGGUACCAGGUCCCCUUCGGCGGAAUUCACGUUUUCAUUGGCAAGAUUGGUGAGCCGGGCCCAGAGCCGGGUCUCUGCGCUGAUCUCAUCGAGACGGCUCAGCUUGCGCCACCCGCCCAGGCCCGGCAUGCCUUAAGGCAUGCUUUUGUGGGGUGUAUCCAUGAAGGACUCUCCGAUCAAUCUAGAUCCGGUGAUGGGACGGCCGCCGGCUCUGACGGCGAGUCGGCCACCGAUGAGUCAACCUUGUUGUACCAACUUCAAGAUGGCAGGCUCAUGGGUUGUUCCGAUGGCGACAGUAUUCCGGACCUUUUUGAGCCGCCCAGUCAGGUUGGAGUUUUUAUGGCUGGUGCGCAGCCGGUUCAGAACCCCGCUGCUGGAUCGGGAAACCCGAUGCCUUCUCCGGCUCAGGUGCUGAUGGAUCUCACGGACAAGAUGACGGCCCUGUUAACCGCCACGGUUGACCCGGCGGAUCAAGCUCAGCAUGAUGCGGAAGUGGCACAGUUAAAAUUGGAUCUGAUAAAAGCUAAAGAGGAUCUUGUAGCGGAAGGGAUCAGGCUGGCUGCGGAGCGGGCGGCUCUCGAUGCCCGGACUCAGCUGAUUCAGGCGCAGUCGUUCCAACUCAGGAUCAGAACGCGGCCAAUGAGGUCAUGAGAAGGAGGCAUCAGAAGGCCCAGUCUCGACUCCCACCGGUCUACGAUCCACGCAACCUCUUCAACACGCCAGGUGCAAGGUCUAGUAACCCGCCAGGGGUCAUAGCGCCCGGGUCUGGACCCCUUAUUCAGCCACGAGUGAUGGGGCCUCCCCAGGUGCCCCCUACCCCGCCUCAUUAUGUGCCAAUACCCCCGGGUCAUUAUGAUAACCCGCUGGAGAACAUGGUAGCUGCGGCAGCACGGCUGGCGGCUCUCCCCGUUGACGGCGAUUCUCCGGUGGCCAUCGAAACCCGCCGGGUCAAGGAACUCCUGCAGACGGCACUGGCACAGCAAGAAGCGUACUCCUACAGCCGGGAUAGGAUCCACUCGACCCCUCGUCCGGGUCAGAGCCCCAGUUACAGCCGGCACAUGGUCUCCGCAACCGGCUCAAGCAAUGUCCGACACCAUGACCCGCCCCCUGGCCAUGGCCCGGCUCAUAACGGAGCCUUUUACGCAGCAGACCAGGACAAAGCACGCCAAUGGGCGGAGAAGGUACCUAGAUUGACGGCUUACCAGACCCCCCCGGCUUAUCCGACGACUUCCGUUGAUGUGGCUAUCCCUACCAGGACUGGGGGUGUCCCUUGUUUGGUGCCAGCUAUCCGUAAUGAACGUCUACCUAAGGACUUCAAAGGCCCUAGGAAGGUGCCUAACUAUACAGCUGACUUACAGCCUGCAGCCUGGAUUGAGAGUUAUGAGAUGGCUAUGGAAUUGCUGGAGGUCAGUGAGGCGGCCAUGGCCAAGUAUUUCACCAUGAUGUUAGAUGGAACUGCCCGCACAUGGUUGAAAGGGCUACCACCGAAUUCCAUUGGGUCUUGGGCUGAGCUGAAAGCCUGGUUCAUCCAAAACUUCAAAGAUACCUGUAGGCAGUCUAUGUCAAUUGUGGAUUUGACUAACUGUAAGCAGCAGGAGGGUGAAUCCACGACCCAUUGGGUUCGCCGGGUCAAGGAGAUCAUACAUUCAUCAGAUAAGAUGGAUGCCGGCUCUGCAGUCUUAAUGUUGGAACAGAACUGUCGCUUUGUACCCCUAAAGAUGAAGCUCGGGCGGCUUAAGCGGGACUGCACAGAUAUGGGUACAUUAAUGGCGGCUCUUGUCAAGUACGCCGAUUCCGAUGGUACCAAGGAUCCCCCUGCAGAUGAUGAAAGGACAGGGAAGGGAAAGAAGAACGGCAAUGGCAAGGGUCCUCAGUUUAACCCGGGGAACCAAGGAGGAGGCAAGCGCAAGGCCGAUGGCAGCCUAGAAUUUGUAGCCAAUGCCAACUCCCAAGGUAAUAACCAGCGACGCAAGGGGAGGCCCCCCCCCCCCCGAGGCGGCGGGUCAGGUCCGACGCUGGAGCAGCUGUUGAAUGAACCUUGUCCAAGGCAUGGCUCUAGAGAGAAGCCAAUGACUCAUCUGUGGAAGGAUUGCGCGAUCAUGAAGGCCUUUAAGAAUUACAAUGGCCCGGGCGGCGGCUCAGGCGCCGGCGGCUUUCAUGGCCCGAGCGGCGGCUCAAAUUCCGGCCCUCAGAACGAUCAAGGGGGCUUUAAUCAACAGUCUGGUCAGGGUCAUCAACAGCAGCAGGGGGGUUAUCAGACCAAUCCAAAGCAGCUAAGCGGUGGACAGCAUCAUGUGUUUACCACUAGUCUGUGCAAGCGAGAUCAGAAGAUUCACAAGAGGGCUGUGAAUGCUGUUGAGCCGGCAGUCCCACGCUACUUACGAUGGUCUGAGCAGCCCAUAGUGUGGAGUAGGGAGGAUCAUCCUCCUCGGGUGGAUAACCCGGGCCACUUGGCCUUAGUGGUGGCUCCUCAAGUGGGAGGAUAUAAGUUCACAAAGGUGCUCAUGGAUGGAGGCAGCAGCAUCAACAUCCUCUAUUAUGAGACUUUUCGUCGUAUGGGGUUGGUUGAUAAGAACCUCAGUCAGUCCAGCACUAUCUUUCAUGGUGUGGUACCUGGUAAGUCGGCUUAUCCAGUUGGCAAGAUCGAAUUGGAAGUGGCUUUUGGUGAUGAGAAUAACUACAGGGUGGAGAAAUUGACCUUUGAGGUGGUCAAGAUAAGAAGUCCAUACCAUGCUAUAUUUGGACGGCCGGCUUACACCAAGUUCAUGGCACGGCCGUGUUAUGUGUACUUACAGCUCAAGAUGUCGGGUCACAAUGGGACCAUUACGGUUCACGGCAGCCGGAAAGUGGCUCUGGAAUGUGAGGAAGGCGAUGCGGCUUAUGCAGAAUCUGUUUGUGCUACAGAGGAGUUGAAGUAUUACAAGGAUAAUGUUGACCCAACAGACAUGACCUCUCUGAAAAAGCCGACUACGGAGAAUGAGCCGGCGACGAUAUUUAAGUCGGCUGAUGAAACUAAGCUUGUUGAUUUUGUUCCAGGGGAUUCAUCUCGGCAGUUUAGCAUCAGUGCCAAUCUGGAUCCAAAAUAGGAAAGCGCGCUCAUCGAGUUCAUCCGUGAGAAUAGGGACAUCUUCGCAUGGAAACCCUCUGACAUGCCAGGUGUACCUAGAGAACUCGCUGAGCAUACUCUCAAUGUUGAUCCUAAAUUUAAGCCGGUCAGACAGUUCCUUCGGCGGUUUAAUGAAGAGAGGCGGAAAGCUAUUGGUGAAGAAGUAGCCCGGCUCUUGGCGGCCGGGUUUAUUGUUGAAGUCUUUCACCCAGAGUGGUUAGCUAACCCGGUGCUCGUACUCAAGAAGAAUGGCACCUGGCGAAUGUGUGUGGACUACACGGACUUAAACAAGGCGUGUCCGGACGAUCCUUUUGCCCUCCCCCGUAUUGAUCAGAUCAUUGAUGCUACGGCAGGUUGUGCACGCUUAAGUUUCUUGGAUGCUUAUUCCGGAUAUCAUCAGAUUAAGAUGGCAGUUAAGGACCAGGAGAAGACGGCGUUCAUUACUCCCUUUGGAGCCUUCUGCUAUGUGUCUAUGCCCUUUGGACUCAAGUGUGCACAGGCGACUUACCAGCGUUGUGUACAGAACUGUCUUCAUAAGCAGAUCGGGCGCAAUGUUCACGCAUACGUGGACGAUAUUGUGGUUAAAUCCAUCAAAGUGGAAACCCUGAUAGAUGAUUUAAGGGAAACCUUUGAUAAUCUCCGGGUCUAUAAGAUGAUGCUUAACCCGGCCAAAUGUGUCUUUGGUGUUCCUGCAGGCAAGCUCUUGGGUUUCUUGGUUUCUGACAGAGGCAUUGAGGCUAACCCAGAGAAGAUCAAGGCCAUCACCUCCCUGGCUAAGCCGGCGUGUAUCAAUGACGUUCAGCGCUUGGCGGGUCGCAUCGCUGCUUUAAGCCGGUUUAUAAGCCGUUUGGGUGAAAAGGCCAUGCCCUUAUAUCAGUUGAUGAAGAAAACUGAUCACUUUGUCUGGAAUGAUGCAGCUAAUACCGCUUUUGAAGAAUUGAAGAAACAGCUGGCAGAGCCCCCGGUCCUUGCUGCUCCGGCUGAUAAGGAGCUCUUACUACUGUAUGUGGCAGCAAACGCACGAGCAGUCAGCGUGGCUAUUGUGGUGGAGCGCAAGGAGGCAGGUAAGGAGCAUCCGGUUCAGCGGCCGGUUUAUUAUGUCAGCGAAGUGCUCAUUGAGUCUAAACAGCGGUACCCGCAUUGGCAGAAGCUUGUGUAUGGUGUGUUCAUGGCGAGCCGGAAGCUUAAGCAUUAUUUUCAGGGUCAUCCCAUCACUGUGGUCAGUUCUGCCCCUCUUGGUGAUAUCAUUCAAAACAGAGAGGCCACAGGGCGAAUUGCUAAGUGGGCUAUAGAACUUGGACCCCAUGGUCUCAAAUAUAUGCCACGCACUGCUGUUAAAUCUUAGGCCUUGGUGGAUUUUAUCAACGAUUGGACAGAAUCACAAGUGCCCGAGCAGAAACCGGAUAACACGUAUUGGACUGUUCACUUUGACGGGUCCAGGCAGUUCGAGGGCUUGGGGGCUGGUGUUGUAUUAGCCUCCCCUAAAGGUGACAAGUUCCAUUAUGUGUUACAGUUGAUGUUUCCUUGCACUAACAAUGCGGCUGAGUACGAGGCCUUGCUCCACGGUCUUCGGAUGGCUAAGGAGAUGAGCUUGAGCCGGGUAAGGUGCUUCGGUGACUCAGACUUGGUGGCUCAACAGGUAUCAGGCAAGUGGGACUCUAAGGACCCUCUAAUGGCGGCUUAUCGCCGCGAAGUUGAUGCCAUUGCGGGGCACUUUCAGGGCUACCAAGUAGAGCACAUUGAUCGCAGGAAGAAUGAGGCGGCUGAUGCUCUAAGCCGCCUAGGCUCUCAGCGAAAGCCGGUACCGCCUAACACUUUCCUGGACGUCCUGUAUAGCCCUUCGGUUAAGGUGCCUAUGGAGGAAGAUUUGGCCGUCCCUGACCCGGAGGCACGGCUGGUGGCGGCUCUCCAUAUCAUACCAGACUGGACAACACCAUAUCUGGCUUACAUGACCCGGGGCGAGUUGCCUGAGGAUGAAUCUUUGGCCAGGCAAAUAACCCGGCGGGCCAAGUCAAUGAUUGUAAUCGAUGGCGAGUUGCAUCAUCGCAGUGUCACAGGAGCAUUUCAGCGUUGUGUCUCCCCUGAGGAAGGUCAAGAGAUCUUGCGUGAGAUCCAUGAAGGGGAUUGUGGCCAUCAUGCCGGCUCAAAAUCCCUUGUGGCCAAGGCUUUCCGUCAUGGUUUUUAUUGGUUGACAGCUCAUGCUGAUGCGGAGGACUUGGUCAGUAAAUGUGAUGGUUGCCAAAGGUUCUCACGACGGGCUCACGUGCCGGCUCAGGAGCUGAGGAUGAUCCCAAUUGCUUGGCCCUUUGCGGUCUGGGGGCUUGACAUGGUUGGGCCUUUUAAAAGGUCCAAAGAUAAGAAGACUCACCUCUUGGUGGCAGUUGACAAAUUCACAAAGUGGGUGGAAGCUGAGCCAGUUAGCAAGUGCGAUGCAGCCACGGCGGUUCAAUUUAUGAAAAAGGUGAUUUUCCGCUUUGGUUUCCCGCACAGCAUUAUAACUCACAAUGGCACCAAUCUCUCCAAAGGCGCCAUGGAAGAGUUUUGUCAACGAGAGCAUAUCCGGCUUGAUGUUUCUUCAGUGGCUCAUCCUCAAUCCAAUGGUCAAGCUGAGAGAGCUAACCAUGAAAUUCUGAAGGGUAUCAAGCCCCGACUUUUGGUCCCUUUGCAACGGACGCCGGGUUGUUGGGUGGAGGAGUUGCCCUCCGUCUUAUGGAGCAUCAAUACUACUCCUAACAGAUCUACAGGCUUCACGCCUUUCUUUAUGGUUUAUGGAGCAGAAGCAGUCCUCCCCAGCGACAUCCGUCACGACUCACCUCGCGUGGCGGCUUAUGUUGAGACGGAUAAUGAACAGGCGCGCCAGGAGGAUCUUGACUUGUUGGAUGAACAGCGUGAUGUGGCAGCAGCCCGUUCAGCGAUUUACCAACGAGACCUGCGCCGUUAUCAUAGCCGCCGGGGUCAAAUCCCGAGUCUUCCAGGAAGGCGAUCUCGUGCUCCGGCUCAUCCAGGAUCAAACAGAUGCACACAAGUUAUCCCCACCUUGGGAAGGGCCCUCUGUGGUCAGCAAGAACUUGCACAAUGGGUCAUAUUACCUCAUUGACAUUCGGGAGCACAAAGAUUCACGUAAGUCGGAGGAGGAGACCCGUCGGCCGUGGAACAUAGCUCAACUUCGGCCUUACUACACUUGAGCUACCGGCUCUCGUGGUGUACAGAUUUGUCUCAGCCAUGUAUAUAUUAUGAUAAGCAAUAAAGCAGGACCUCUGUCCUUUUUCCUCCUCCAAAUAUGCAUGUGUUGUUUUUAUUGCAAGCUUACAUGAUGACUUAUAGGAGGAUCCGGCUUAUGAUCGUAUUCGACUCUAGCCGUAAGCGGUAAAGUCACUUGGGGGCUUCCUGUUCAAACAUGGGUCGUAUUCGAACCAAAGAGAACAUAGCUGUCGAUACCCAUUUGAUUAGCAAAGUGUCGAGCUCAUUGGGAGGUUAUCUUUGGUCAUAUUUGAAUCAUACGUGGAUCGUAUUCGAAUCAGCGUCGUUAAACAAUUUUAAAUCACUUGGGGGCUUCCUGUUCAAACAUAGGUCGUAUUCGAACCAAAGAGAACAUAGCUGUCGGUACCCUCUUGAUUGGCAUCGCUACACCCACUGGGGGCUAUGUGAUCGUAUCCGAAUCUUAGCUUAACCCCUUUGGGCCGGGUUUCUGGUCGUAUUCGAACCGGAAGCCCCUAAGUUCUUAUAUUCUAUCACAAGUUUACUCUGAUUACGUCAAGGUGUGUACUGCCGGGUCUCACUUGCCGGCUUAAUUUUGGUUUAUCUUGUUAGUUGAACAUCAUGGAUGUCAUCAAGGCAAGUAAAUUAGAGUUAAGGUACCAACCGUGCUACCCGGGUUAUUUAAACCGGAAGUAUGCUUACAGGCCGUUAAGUGUGUUAUCACGGCUAUGUUCAGAGUAUAAUUAAGGACCAGUCUUUUUUGAUUCGUAUUCCGGGUUAUCUAUCUCAAACACCUGAUUCUCAGGGCGGUAAGCCGCCUUGAGACUUGUGAUUUGCCUUUCUAUGCAGAUACUUAAAGGCACCUUUUCAGCUUGAGAAGGACAAAGGGAUGAUUAUGACCCGGAGAAACAUCAAAGAGACAAUUUCAGAGGACUUUCACAUUCAAUACGUGCACGAUGGCACGGCAGAGAUGAACUAUUGCACCUACUCUAUUACAAAAACUCUUCAAGUCUAAAAAGUGGAACAAUGUUUGAUAAACCGCCAGUCAAAUUAUGAUGCCCGCUGAGUUGAAGUCCCCGGCUCAUUCCUGUCUUCUCCUCCGGCUGAUCCCAAGACCUCGAAGGUUGAUGAUUUCCAGUCAAUGCCGUUGAGAGCUUCGAAUUGGGCUUCUUCGUCAAUUAACCCGGCCGGGUCAAUCUCCGGGGCGAAGGUGUGCUGACGAGCCGGAGGGAUCAGGUUGAGGGCUUCAUAGCGAGGGGUUGGAAUCCUCCGAUUCUCCGCAUCAAAACCCGGCUGGUACUUGGUCAGAUCCGUAUCGUUUCCGAUAAGGGUGGCCACCGGGCGUACCGCCUUUACGCAGGCUGCGAAGUCCUUCUGAUCGAAAGUUGAGCCGUCUUCCUUCAGGCUUGGAUAACCCAGGGCGAUGUCUGCCGGGUCUAGUUCCGGCAGGAAUGCCUUGGCCCGGCUCAGCGCGGCAAUCGCUCUGGCUCUUGCGGAGGCCCGUCGCAGCUCUUGGAUCCGCUGAGGCAGAACGGCGAGCCGGCGCAGGACUUCGGCCAGAUGAGUUGGCACCUCGUUGGAUAGGGCCCCCACAGCUAAGGCACGCUGUGACCCGGUGUAGAGCUGUUCCACCAGGGUGUACACGGCCUUUAACUUGGUGACCACGCUCUGGUUGAGGUUGGCACUCCUGGGACCUGUGUAACAGAAUCAGAUAAGCCGGUGAUAAGGAUGAAUCAUGAGAUGCAAACAUUCUAACAUGGAUGAAAGCCGGUGAGGUGACUUACCGAAGAUGGCAGCCACCAUUUGGGAAACCUGGCGCUUUAGACCGGAGAGCUCAGCGGUCUUCUCAGCGAGAGCCUUCGCCGCCUGUUCCGCCCGGGUCACCAGUGCGGCUUUCUCUUUGGCCCAGGUUUUUCUCUCAGCAUCAAACUCGGUUUUCAACUUUUCUUGAGUAGCGAUGCUGGAUACGAACUUGGCGUUUGCCUUCCGGGUCUCCAUCUCCUGCAUCUUCAGACGGCUUUUGAGAUCCGCAAGGUCCGCCUCUAGUUUCUUGCCAACAGCCUACAUGUGUUUCCGGGUUAUUGAGAGUUACUAUAUAAGUCCCAAGCACUUUCCAAGCAAAGACACUUGGCACUUGGCGGCUAAUGCAUAUUGAAAGUAUCUAUCUACAUAUUGCCGGCUCAAUUGAGUAAGUCGGAACCUAAGUCUACAACAUAUUCAAAUCAUAAGUCGUCGACUUGGGGGCUAGCAUGGCAAAGGUAACUAUGCAGUAAGAAAGAAGGUGGCAGAAGGACACCUCAGAUUUUUGCUAGAUCUGGUUUACCAUGGCGACCUCGGCGUCCCGGCUCUUGUGUACUUGGCUGAUGUAGCCAGAGACGAGCUCUCCAAUGCUCAAGUCGGUGUAGCCGGAGAGGUCCAGGUUCACCCGGUGGGGCUGCAGCAACUCCCCCUUCGCGGAGCAUUUGGCCAAAACGGUCGGUCUCCCCGGCUCAAUAAACUCCGUCCGGGUGAUUACCACGUCCGGGUCGUCUGCUGGCGGAGCUGAGCCGGAGGCCUCCGGGUUAACCGAAGCUUCGGUCAUUGCAUUGGUAGUUGGGGCAGUAGCUUCCGGUGCCGUGUCCAUUGGGGUAGUGGCUUCGAGGGCGGAGGCAACUGGCGGCUCUUGGGCCGUCACCUCUGGCUCAGGCAAGUCUGGAACUCCGGCUGACCUGGUCUUCUUCGCUCUUUUGGUGAGCUUUGCCUGGGCGCUGAAAGGACAGAAACAUUCAGCAUAAAGAGAGUAAGUACAGACAAGUAUAAUGAGAGAUAGUUGUCAUUACCCGGGCGCGGUCUUGAAUGUCGGAAGACUCGACUGCAUAGAGUCGCCCAAAGAAGGGGAGGUCUCCUGAUAAUUGGAGUCAGAAGAAUUGAGUGGCUGACGGAUAAUGCCCGCCAACGGAUGAAAAGGGUACAAGUGAGAAAAAACCUCAGUUCGACGCUUCCUUGUUGCGUCGGGUAACCCGGCGGAGAGAUCGGUGUCCUUGUUGGUCCGGGUGUGACGCCGGCUUUCAUGAACCUGUCGCUUCAAAAUAAAUUGAGGGUCUUGGUAAGCUAAAGGAUGCGAAAAGCUUACUUUCCGGGUUACCCUUCGGACCUUCAGCUGUGGCAAGGGCUCCGAGUCGGAGGAAAGUGACAUUACCUCUUCAACCGCCGGAUUACUGGCGCCCGGAUUACUGGCGCCGGUGUCAUACUGUCAAUGAGCAAGUAUUGAUAAGGCGGACAGCAACAAACAGUGAAUAUAGUAAGGACUUAAAAGUUCAGGUGUUACCUCUGACUCGGAGCUGUCGCUUAAUUGCAUCAGCUCGGAGGCAGUAGGCCUGUUUCCUUUUUUGCGAGGGGCGGCUUUCUUGGCGGCUUUCUUCGCCUUCCUGGCCUUUUUGGCCGCCUCAUGGUCAUAUUUGACCCGCCAGAACUUAUCAUCAGCCUGAAAAAUGCCAGGAUGAAUUCUUAAAACGGUUCAGAUGAAGGUUAUAUGCAGGCUAAGAUAAAAGUUAAAGUCAGCGGCUUACCGCUGGGGCUGGAUUGGUCUUGCAGAAGGGGGCUAACCCGAUCCUUCCACAGUCUACCAGACUCUCAUUUAAAAGAGCCUUGGUCUCUUCUUCAGCAACGUCUUCUGGCAGAUCACUGCGACUGUGCCUCUGAGGGUCAUCAUUUCGCCCGGUGUACUCACACAUUAAGCCGGGGCGGCGGCUCAAUGGGAUCACCCGCCAUGAGAUCCAGACCUGGACCAGGUCGAUUCCGUUCAGACCGUUGCCCAGGAGGGCCUUAAUCUUAUUGAUCGUCGGAAGCAGAGGCUGGCACUCCGCUGCAGUCAGCUUGUCCGACAGUGGGUGAGUCGGCUCUAGACGUGUUGGGCGAAAGCCGGGUAGCGGGUUUUCAUCAGCCGGGGACGUAUCUUGGCAGUAGAACCAAGUCAUAUUCCAGUCCUUGGGGUGGCUCGGCGGCUCUGCAUAGGGGAACAGAUAGUCCCUACACCGUUGGAUGGAGAUGCCACCUAACUCCUGAAUUGGCCCGUUGGCGCAUUCAUUCUGGCGGUUUAAGUAAAACAGCUCUCUGAAGAGCAACAGACUAGGCUCCUCUCCAAGGUACACUUCGCAAAAGACUUGAAAGUUGCAGAUGUUGGAUACGGAGUUGGGUCCUAUAUCUUGAGGCCGCAAGUCGAAGAAAUUGAGCACGUCCCAAAAAAACUUUGAGCCGGGCGGUGCGAAACCCCGGCUCAUAUGAUCUGCGAAGACCAGUACCUCCCCGUCCCUUGGCUGCGGUUUAUCUUCCGACGGGUCAGGGGCACGGUAGGACAUGAUUUCCUUCUUAGGCAAAUAUCCGGACUUAACAAAAUUGGCCAGGGUCUCAUCAGUGACGUUGGACCUCAUCCAGUUGCAAGUGAUGGGAGCCUUGGGAGGCAUGGUGAAAGUUGGUGGUCUAUGGCAAAAAGGAAAAAUGUCCGGGUUAAUUAAAAACCGGAGAUCUACAGUUCAAAUUAAGAUGGCGGCUUAUGAAGGGGACUAAUGAUAUAUACUCAGGUACAGUGGGUUAUUUAAGCCGCAGGAGGGUUCAGAAUAAGUUGGUCAUCUAUGGCUUUACCACGGUUAAGCCGGAGGAUUCUACAGAGCAUGGUUCUCUUUAAACCGGAAUGUUUUACGGCGCGUGUUUUCUUUAAGCCGGAAGUGUAAGCCGCUAAGAUUCAAUGGUUGCAGUUUUUACUAAGUAUGGUAAAACAGGUUUCACAUACUGCAGCAACUUUUUUGGAUCAAAAUGGUCGGGUGAAAUAAAAAUUUUCUAGACCUAGAAACAGACGAGCGGAUGUUCUUGAGCUCGAAUGAAGCAUCUAUACAGUGGAAAGAGAUCUACUGGCACUGGAAAUGGGGCUUAAACAGCUACCGCACCGGUUCUAUACGAGGCUAAAGAUCAAACAAGGGCGGACAAUGGCGAAGAACACGGACGAAGUAUUUGAACCCUACUGCAGAUCUGUUCUAGCAGGGCAGAAGAGACUCACCGGAGUUGGAGAAGAGCGGAGGUCGCCGCCGUUUAUCUGGUCCGAGUCAGGGUGAUGCAGCGGCCGAGGUUGAUGAAGACCGGAGGCGAGACGACGGCGGCGGAGUGCGAGCUCAGUGAGAAAGGCAGCGGCGCGAGGAAGAAGAAGAGAGCGUGAGAAGAGCCCGUCGGGCCGGCCUAUUUAUAAGGCAAGGUCAUAAGUGGGCGUGAGAUUCAAGGAGACCACGACGUGGUUAUCUCCCCCCCACGACGCCUCGAUUUUCGGAAUGACAGUAAAAGCAAAGAUCCGUUGCGGAUUUGGCGGAGUAAAAAACGGACUUAAUGGAGGAUGACGUCACGGCGGAUUAUCCGGAGUCCAGAGGAUGACGUCACUCCGGGUUAUGGCCUUCACAUGAAUGGUAAGCCGGAGAUUUUUUCUGUCAGAAGAGUGGAAGAUUGACAUGAGCCGGCUCAAAUCAAUCUGGGGCCUAAUGUUAAGGAUAUAGACCUUAGAGUCACCCGCCAGUAGGGGCCGGGUUACUCGUACGGUCGUUGCCAGAAGCCUGGAGCCAAGUUUGAAGACGAUGGGCCAGAGAUGGGCUGAGACCCGGAUAUGGCUUAAGGCCUGUAGUUACAAUCAUUAUUAUGGUAGAACUUGUAGUGUAAGGCAAGUAUAGUUGAGAGUCCGAGCCGGACACGCUUAUGAGCCGGCGGGGACUCUAAGGGCUGCUGGGCGUCAGCCUCCCUAUAUAAAGCGACGACCCGGCAGCGGUUUAGGGGCGACAACAAUCUCAUCGAGAGCCGGGCAUAGCUGUUUAGCUCCCUGGCUAUCGUAACCCUAAUCAAUAUUACCUCAAACUGGACGUAGGCUUUUACCUUUACCGUAAGGGGCCGAACCAGUAUAAACCCUCGUGUUCCUUGUCCCACAUAACCCCUUCAAGCUUCCUAGUUGCGAUGGCUCCACGACUAAGUCCUAGCUCGAGGACAUCUGCCGUGACAAUUCCACGACAGUUUAUGAAGACUUUCGCAAGUUUUGCGCUAUAUCCCCCCAAAUCUUCCCAACGCGAAUAAGUGGUAUGCAAAUCCAUUGUUUCUCAUCAAUUCAAUUGGUGGAGGAUAAGCAUAACGUAAUUCUUAUUAUUAUUUCAUCGUCGCCAAGAAAUUCCUUUUCUUCAGAGUUUGUUCUUGAUAAAUAAAUUCUAGUUCCAAGUGUUUUUCAUCUUUUCUUUUCCGGAGUUCAAAUUUCCUCAGCCUUUUCGUCGGAACCUCCUUCUAAAUCAUCGCAAGACUCAGAGCUUAUGCUAUUCUUCCGUCUAUUUUAUCUCGUCAUUCUUUUGUUACCGGAGUUCUUCAUGGUGGUUCUUCAUGAUUUAAUUCAUUCUUCAAGAGUUCAUCAAGAUUUUGUUGCUGGAGGUCAAGUAUCUUUUCUUCUCGCGUCUCGAAGUGCAAUUUAAUUUUCCGUAUUCUUUUGAAGUGGACUUUUGCAUUUCUUCGUUCUUCUCAGCUAUUUAAUCUUUUUAGAUUGUGGUCGGUUAUCACCUUAUAAACUUGGGAUGUUACCUAUAAGUCCACAACAAGCUUAUUCUCUUCUUGUCGAAAAUCCAACAACUCCGUUCAAUCCUUUCUUCUAAGGUUGCUUUCUAUUUCAUUCGUGGCACAAGUUGUCAUUCUCUUCCCCGUUCCUCUCAUUCUAUUAAUUCAAUUCUUUCCGGAGAUUUUGUGUUGCUCCUCAAGUCAUGUAUCAUCCCAUUUUUCGAGCUCGUGCUGUCUAAAUCCUUCAGUCUUAUUGUUUUCUUAUCUUGUUCUAAUCAAAGUGGUUUCAGAGUCUAUCUGAUUCCGUGAGCAUUCGAUUCUCGUCUUUAUCGUCGUUCAUUUUCUUUUCGAGUUCUCUCGAUUCUUUGAUUUCCUCCUGCGUUCUUAUUCCUUUUUCUAUCUUCUCCCAACCGGAGUGAUUUUGAAUUCAGUCUUAUUCCUCGAGCUUUUGCUUCUUGUCUCACUCAAAAUUCCUCUUUUCUUCUCGAGUGUUCUUGACUUUGUUCAUCCUCUCUCUUUUGUUCUUAUUUCACCUCAUCCUUUUUCCCUUCCGUCUCGGUCCUAAGAUCUCGGGACGAGAUCUCUUGUUAGUGGAGGAGUGUUGUAACGCCCCGGAUCCGAUGCGCCAGGUGUCUGCCAGUUGUUCGCUGUCGUUGCCAUGUCAUCUGCUUGCGUGUUGCAUUUUUCCAUGCCAUCAUCUGCAUUUCAUAUCAUGUCAUCAUGUGCAUUGCAUUGGCAUACGUGUUCGUCUCAUGCAUCCGAGCAUUUUCCCCGUUGUCUGUUUUCCAAUCCGGUGCUCCUAUCUCCUCCGGUGCACCCCUCUUCUUUUAUUUCGUGUGCGUGUGUCAAACUUUCUCGGAAUGGACCGAGGCUUGUCAAGUGGCCUUAAUAUACCACCCGGAGACCACCGGUCAAGUUUCGUUCCAUUUGGAGGUCGUUUGGUACUCCAACGGUUAACCGGGCAUCCGCAAAGUUCAUUUGAGUGUCCAGCAAAACCCCCUCUAUAACCAGCCCAAAACCCACCAAACUCUCUUCCAUGCUCUAGGUCAUUCGAUCACGAUCUUGUGGACGAAAACCGCACCUCAUUUGGAGCCUCCUAGCUCCCUCUACCUAUUUAUAUGUGGGCAUCCCGAAAUACAUUCGCAGUCUCCCGUAACCCUAAAAUCCCCUCUCCGCGGGCGGACGCCUCCAGCGCCCGCCGGACAUCCGCGCCGCCGCCCCGAGCCAGUGGCGAGGCGACAUGUGGCCCGCCUCCGGCCUCCCACCGCCGCGGCCCGCAGGNNNNNNNNNNNNNNNNNNNNNNNNNNNNNNNNNNNNNNNNNNNNNNNNNNNNNNNNNNNNNNNNNNNNNNNNNNNNNNNNNNNNNNNNNNNNNNNNNNNNNNNNNNNNNNNNNNNNNNNNNNNNNNNNNNNNNNNNNNNNNNNNNNNNNNNNNNNNNNNNNNNNNNNNNNNNNNNNNNNNNNNNNNNNNNNNNNNNNNNNNNNNNNNNNNNNNNNNNNNNNNNNNNNNNNNNNNNNNNNNNNNNNNNNNNNNNNNNNNNNNNNNNNNNNNNNNNNNNNNNNNNNNNNNNNNNNNNNNNNNNNNNNNNNNNNNNNNNNNNNNNNNNNNNNNNNNNNNNNNNNNNNNNNNNNNNNNNNNNNNNNNNNNNNNNNNNNNNNNNNNNNNNNNNNNNNNNNNNNNNNNNNNNNNNNNNNNNNNNNNNNNNNNNNNNNNNNNNNNNNNNNNNNNNNNNNNNNNNNNNNNNNNNNNNNNNNNNNNNNNNNNNNNNNNGCCCGCCGUGCUCCGGCUCACCUCCCUCGCCGCCGCCGCCGGACCUCCGGAGCUCCGCCGCCGGCGCUUCGACCUCCGCCGCCUCGGGCCGCGCCCCUCCACCGGAGCCCGAGCCCCGGCCGGCCUCCUCUCCGGCCUCUCCUCCCCUCCCGCCGGCGAGCCGCGCUGCCGCCCCGGCGAUCUCCCUCGAAGGCUCAGCCCCGAUCGGAUCUGGGUACUGUAGCGAGGUUGACCCCGAGCCCCAAUUUUUUUCUAAGUGUUGGAAUUUUCCCAGCAUGUGCCUCUGUUCGUGAUGCCAUAACUCCUUGCAUCUAGCUCCGAUUCACGCGUAUAAUAUGUCAAUUUGUUUGUCUCGUGAUGCUCUACAUUUUGUUCAAUUUACAGUGUUCAUUAGAGGUCAUCUUGAUGCCCAAAUCUCUGUUGGAAGAGGGCUAGUUGCUGUUAUUCUCUGGUUCUUAUCAGAACUUGGCGAUUUGUCAUUUUUGCAUCAUUUAAUCUGUGCAUCUUAUGAGCAUGAGCUCUACAUGUGUUUUGUUGUAUGCCAUGCCUUCUUUCCAGUAGUAUAGUCCAUGUAUUUUUGUGAUCUCUGUGGUGACUAGCACAAGCAUGCAAAGUAGGCUCCGUAAUGUUUCUGAUUUCAGGGACAGUGAUUUCUCCAAGUCUUUGUCUGCUGUUAUUUUGUUGCCAUGUAAACUUGAUGCUACAAAGAGAUCCGUGCAUAUUUUGGUGAUGUUCAGUAAGGUUGUUUUGUAUAUAUUGUUGUAAUUGAUCCAUUCCUGCAAUUGUUUGCAAUUAUGGAGUGCCAUAGCAUGACUCAAUCUUGCUCUACUUUUGCUAUAAAAUAUUUCUGGCAGAUUCUUAACAUGAUAUGCAAUUUUGCCAAGCUUAUUGUAGUUGAUCCAUAUAUGCUAUGCAAUUGUUCUUGCCAUGGAUAGCUUCAUUAACAUUCCAUCUUGCUGUAGGUGUGCUUGGUUUGUCGUGAAUUGCUCUGUAGUGAGUGCAUCAAGCUCAUAAAGAGGCCUACAUAUUGUUAUUUCUGCCAUGCUCUUUUCUGCUAAGUCUGAAACCUGAUAACGAAACUUGCUAUGUUUACAUGCUUGCCAUCAUAUCUUCUGGUCCUUUUUGGCUUAUGGUAAGUAAGGGACAUUUCUUAUACGCUUUGAGUAGAUUCCUGCCAUGCCUUGUUUUGCCAUGUUAAGUUUCUGUAGCAUGUUGAUAUCGUGCUCUGAACAUUGCUACCUGAUGCUGCUUCUGUCAUGUCCAGUAAUUCUGCCAAGUCUGGGAACCUGUUAUUAUUUGCAAUCUUGCCAUGUCCUUUUGAGCAUGUUCUAGUGAUUUCUGAAGAUAGCUCAGUGUUCAUGUUUUGUUGUGCUUUACCUGUACAUCAUGCCCAUGCCUUUUGUUUUCAUGUUGAGUUGCUGUAGCAUAUUGUUUUGAUGCUUGCAUUAUGCCUAGUUGCUGUUUUGGACAGAUUGUUGCUAUGUCUUGUUUGGAGUGUAUGCUUAGUUUUGCAUGUAGUCUCAUAUUAUCAUGUUGCAUCCUUGUUUUGAGGUGUUUGCUUGAUGUUUGUAUCAAUUUUGCAUCAAUGCCAUGUUUAACUUGUUUUGAUCAUAUCUUCUAGACCGUAGCUCCGAAUCUAAUGAACUUUAUAUGCAACUUGACUAGAAUUUCGUGUAGAUCAUCAUGGUGCUCUUUAACUUGCUGUUUAACAACUUGAGCAUAAUGUUUAUUCAGUUCUGGACCAAUUUAGAAAUUUGCAUAUGAGGACUUAUCGGAUUUGUUAUAUGUUGUUUCCGGCCUCAUUUAAACUUGCCUUGAUGUGUUGUUCUUGUAUGCAUCAUCUCUUGUCAUGAGUAGCUCCAUAUAGCCUUGUCAUGCAUCAUACUUGUUUGAGCAUCGUGCCUUGUUCUUGUGUGGUGUGUUUACCUUGUUGUGUCGUUGCGAUCAUGAGGAUUCGUUCGUCUUCGUGGCUUCUUCUUCUUCUUCUUCAUUGACUCAUUCUUCUUCCUAGCGGGAUUUCAGGCAAGAUGACCGUCACCUUGGAUCUCAUUACUAUCAUUGCUAUGCUAGUUGCUUCGUUCUAUCGCUUUGCUGCGCCACCUAUUCACUUGUUCCUCAAGCCUCUCAUUUUGCCAUGAACCUCUAACCUUUGUCACCCUUCCUAGCAAACCAUUGUUUGGCUAUGUUACCGCUUUGCUCAGCCCCUCUUAUAGCGUUGCUAGUUGCAGGUGAAGAUGAAGUUUGCUCCAUGUUGGAUUAUGUUUAUGUUGGGAUAUCACAAUAUCUCUUAUAUUUUUAAUGCAUCUAUAUAAUUGGUAAAGGGUGGAAGUCUCGGCCUUAUGCCUGGUGUUUUGUUCCACUCUUGCCGCCCUAGUUUCCGUCAUACCGGUGUUAUGUUCCCGGAUUUUGCGUUCCUUACACGGUUGGGUGAUUUAUGGGACCCCCUUGACAGUUUGCUUUGAAUAAAACUCUUCCAGCAAGGCCCAACCUUGGUUUUACCAUUUGCCUAGCCUAUUUCUUUUCCUUGGGGAGUCGCUCUCUCGAGGGUCAUCUUAUUUUAACCCUCCGACCCCCGGGCCAGUGCUUCUCUAAGUGUUGGUCCGAACUAGAGCCCCUUGCAGCGCCACCUCGGGAAACUUGAGGUCUGGUUUUAGUUGUACGGAUUGCUCAUCCGGUGUUGCCCUGAGAACAAGAUAUGUGCAGCUCCUAUCGGGAUGUCGGCGCAUCGGGCGGCUUUGUUGGUUUUGUUUUACCAUUGUCGAAAUGUCUUGUAACCGGGAUUCUGAGACUGAUCGGGUCUUCCCGGGAGAAGGAAUAUCCUUCGUUGACCGUGAGAGCUUAUAAUGGGCUAAGUUGGGACAACCCUGCAGGGUAUUAUCUUUCGAAAGCCGUGCCCGCGGUUAUGUGGCAGAUGGGAAUUUGUUAAUGUCCGGUUGUAGAGAACUUGACACUUGACCUUAACUAAAUACAUCAACCGCGUGUGUAGCCGUGAUGGUCUCUUCUCGGCGGAGUCCGGGAAGUGAACACGGUUUCUGGGUUAUGCUUGACGUAAGUAGGAGUUCAGGAUCACUUCUUCAUCAUUGUUAGUUCACGACCGUUCCUUUGCUUCUCUUCUCGCUCUCUUUUGCGUAAGUUUAGUCACCAUAUCUUGCUUAGUCGCUGCCGCAACCUCACCACUUACCCUUUCCUUUCCCUUUAAGCUUUGCUAGUCUUGAUACCCAUGGUAAUGGGAUUGCUGAGUCCUCGUGGCUCACAGUUUACUACACCUCCAGCUGCAGGUUCAGUUUUUGCGAUGAUCAUGACGCGAGAGCGAUAUCUUGUUUUGGAGUUCUUCUUCUGCUUCUUCUUCGAUCAGGGGAUAGGUUCCAGGUCGGCAGCCUGGGCUAGCAGGGUGGAUGUCAUUUGAGUUUCUGUUUAUGUUUCAUCCGUAGCCGGAUGUUGUUCUCAUGUAUUAUUGUAUUCUUGCGACAUUUGUAUGCCUUGUAUGUACCCUCAAAUAUUAUGUAAGGUUGAUGUAAUGAUAUCCACCUUGCAAAAGCGUUUCAAUAUGCGGUUCUAUCCUUGGUGGGGCCUUCGAGUCUCUUUAGGAUAGUAUCGCAUAUUGGGCGUGACACAGGCGCUACAAACAUUAACAUGCAUCUCAAUCAGCGUUUAAACAUCAGCCGGCACCUGUCGACCCGCCGGUGCCGUCAUCGCAGCCGACGCCCCUCCGCUUCUGCGCGAGUCUCCGCGCCGGGAUGCUCGUACCGCACGUCGCCCGCCUGUCCGCUUCUGACUCGCUCCCGCACAGGCCGUCGCGUCGAGGCGCUGAAACACCCGCUGCAUAUACCACAGCCGAAUCGCCCUGUUCUCCCGUCGCCUCCUGUGGGAGGAAGAACCUAGUUUUCGUAGUACAAUCCAAAGGAAAGGAAGCGAUCUACCAGAGUAUGCUGUCAACGAGACCUCCAAGAAAGCUCUCACGUGGUCACAAAGGGCAAGCCAUCACAUCAAAAAUUAAAUGACACGCCCGAGAAGUUUGCCUGCCGGCUGUAUUCAGCAGAUGCAUUGUGCCACGUGGGUGCUACUGUUUAUCAGACUUACGUCUAGGCGUUCAUCUGACGUUGUCCAGCAUUGACUAAUACCAGCAUCCGUGUUCAUCUGACAAAAUAUAUCAGUACGUGUUAAGCAUCAUCAUGAACGAGCAUCCGCACCCACUUGAUGUUGAACGCGUGUGCGCGAGCCGCCGCCCGUACAGCUCGAUCUACAUCAACUCACCAAGACCGCGCCCGCGUCCGUGCCGUUUCCAACGCGGCGGCCGACUCUCUCGAACGCACUGGCUUACAACGCCGCGGCCGACUCUCUGGACCGCAUUGGCUUACAACGUCGUGGCCGACUCGCCCGUCCGCACCACCUUACAACGUCACGGAUGACUCGCCCAUCCGCCUUCACCGCCGGUUCACGUGUCCGCGCCAGCUUACAACGCCGUGGCCGACUUGCUUUCCGCGCCGGCUUACAAACGUCGCGGCCGACUCACCCGUCCGCACCGCUUUACCACGCAGCGGCCGGUUCACCCGUGAGCGACUUCAACUUCACCUAGCGAUCAUCAAUUUCAUGGCGGAUUAUUUCCGGCCUGGCACAUCAGAUGAUAUCCAUCUAAAAUAUAUUUUAUUGGUACAUAUUAUUUUUUGUCAAAGAGCAGUUUAUCUUUGUCUUGGUCUGCAAUAUUGUUGAUGCAGGACAAUUGUUCACUACAUCAAAACGAUGUGGUUAACUCGCCCAUCUGCACCAGCUUACAACGCCACGGCCGGCUCAUCUGUCUGUGCCGCCUCUGAUCCAACGGUCAUCUUUACCUUCCGUUUCUCGCGGCCUGGUCUACAUCAACAUACCGGGCCACACCCGUCUGCGUGAGCUGAUUAUUGAGUAUGAGCAAGUCACUGCUUGGGAAGCCCGGUUUUUCUUUCAACAAAAUUGGAGGCAAAUUAUCAUGUAUUAUCAGCCGCCGUCUGCACUGGAUGGUUCAAAUGGACAGGUGCACAAGUCGCCGCCACUACGGUUUGGUUAACUUCAAACAGCCAGUUGGAAGGGACCAUUGGCCGAGUUGCUGACACGGCUCAUACAGGAUCAUUUAUAACCCGCCACAGUCACCUCAACCUUCUGUAGAUUCACAUCGCGCUAUCAACACCAAUGACAUACACCUUAUGCUAUAGUCAAUAUGGAGAAUCUCAAAGCCAACUCCUCGAGUCGUCUUGAGACUCGGGGGCUACAAUGAUAUGACUCGGCAGCAUUGGUCGGUUUCAAUGCAUUCAAGAAUUCUGGGACAUUGGAGGGAGAAAUAAUUCGGUCCCGGAGGCUACCGCCAUAUUGGUGAAAAAGUUUAAAGGCCGUCAGAAAAUUUCCGGCUUAAAAAGAAGGAUUCCGGUUUAGAUCCGGCUCAAGAGACUUGACAUCUCCCACAAAGCACUGAAGCUCUUAAUAUCCGGUUUAAAAUCCAGUUCAAGGGAAAUUUAUCUGCCACAAAGUUUUGAAGCUCUCAAAUCCCGUUCAAAAUCCGGUUCAAGGUAAAUUUGUCUAUCACAAAGCUUUGAAACUCUCAAUAUCCGGUUUUUCCGGUUCAAAAAGAAUUUAUCUCUCGCAAAGUUCGAGUUCUUAGGAAAAAUUAAAGGCACCAAAAAGAGUCUUUAAAAAGAACAACCCAAACAUAGGUACCCUGCUUUAAUGACCAUUGGGAGCUGAUCGUAUUCAAAUUUUAGCUUAACCCUUUUGGUGUGACCCUGAUCGUAUUCGAAUCAGAGUCGUUAAAUAUUCUCAUGAUCACUAGGGGGCUUCCUGUUCAAACAUAGGUCGUAUUCGAACCAAUGAGAACAUAGCUGUCGGUACCCUCUUGAUCGGCACACUGCCGAGCUCACUAGGGGGCUUCUUGAUCGUAUUCGAAUCAUUGCUCAACCCCAUUUUGGGAACCGACGUGGAUCGUAUUCGAAUCAGCGUCGUUAAACAACUCUCAAAGGUCAUUUGGGGGCUUCCUGUUCAAACAUAGGUCGUAUUCGAACCAAAGAGAACAUAGCUGUCGGUACCCUCUUGAUCGGCAACGCCAAAGCCACUGGGGGCUAUAUGAUCGUAUUCGAAUCUUAGCUUAACCCCUGUGGGACGGUUUUCUGAUCGUAUUUGAAUCAGAAGCCUCAAAAUUUUUGAAUUCUCUUUUUGCACACAAUUUUUGGAUUUUAUUUGAAGCUUUUUGCUCAUAUCUGAAGCAUAUAUAUAUGUGGUUUCUAUUAACCCACCCUGGCAUUCGACGAACAAGUCGCCAGCAUAUGACAAUUUUAAAUACUUUGAAGGUUUGGCUUCUAAGGAUUGGGUUAUCACUCUUACUGCACAGGUCAUGUAAACCGGCAGUAUAAAUUCAAUAUCACAGUGGUUAUAUGUGAGAUAAUAUGACCCGCCCUGAGUAAACCGCCAAGGGAUCUUGUGAUCUAAUUAUGUGCAGGAUAAGACUACAUUUGGGUGGUUACACGCCCUGGUUUUUGACAUUACAUAAAUGAUUAAAUUCAAGCCCAUCGUCAAAGAUUGAAAUUGGUGUCUCAAAAGGGUUAUCAAUUCUUGAUUUUCUCAAAGGCUAUAAGCCGCCGGGUUGUAUAAAUUCCGGCUUACAAUGGAGGCGUAUUAAAUCGCCAUUGGCCAAGAGCCACCGGGUAUUUAACCUCCGGAUUGACUUAUCAACAGAUGAGGUAUUCAAAGUCGCUUUGGCGCAAUGGCUAUUAUUUUAUCAAUGGAUAUGAUUUAUUCUGCAAUGGAAAGAAUAGUCCCGAGUCGCUGCAGGCUUACGACCCGGCACUUGGGGGCUACAUUAUUUAAAUUGAGAUCACAUCAAAUAUGCAAGACCCAUGUCACUGCCAGCAUGCACCAUGGCCCUUGGGGGCUAAUGCAAAGUCAUUUUUACUGGCCUUAUUGAAGACCCGACUCAUCACAUUGUAAUGAGCCGGCCCUUGGGGGCUACCAAUUGCUCCUGUCAACAAUUCAAGGUAUACAAGUUUAAAUCCAUUAUAUUGAAAGGUCCACUAGUCAGUUGGAAGAGUACAAAGCUCUUAACCUUAUGGACGUGGGUUCGAGCCCCAUGGAGAGGAUUACAGCAUAUGGUAUUCGUUUCAAGGAAAUGUAUAUAAUGUCCCAGCUCAAUAUUAUCUUACUGAGCCGGCCCUUGGGGGCUACAUGUUGCUGCUCAAGUCUACAUCUACAAAGUCCCUGCUCAUUAUUGCAUAAUGACCCGGCCCUUGGAGGCUACGCCGGUUGAAGUUUUGUGAGCAUAAGACAAUUACAAGUCCCAGGUUGAUGCAAGCAUGAUAACCCGUCACUUGGGGGCUACAGGUAACACGGAUAUAAGGAGAAAUACUUUCGAAUUAUCAGUUUUGAGCAAAUCAGACUGACCCGGCGUCACCAAUCAUUAUGACCUGGUGUCUGCAACAAUCAUAGCCCGGCGUCAUCAACAAUUAUGACCCGGCGUCGGCAACAAUUAUGACUCGGUGCCAUCAAUAUUUACAAACCGGCAAUUUUGGUAAUAUUAAACCGGCAAGUUCUACAUCUUUAAACCGGCUGAAUAUCAGAUGAGUAUUUCAAGACCAAUAUUUCUUAAGCCGGCGCUUUGAAAGCCGAGUCAAGUGGAUUAUUCUUCACAAUAUUUCUCUACAAGAGACCAAUGUUAGCAAAUUGACUCUGAAGCUGGCCUAUUGACCCGGACUUUUCAAAAGAAGUAUCUGGAUUUUUUGCAUUGACAAAGUUGAAACAUAUCUGCUAAAGACGAUUUACUAUGAGAUCAUGGACAUAUACAUAUCAACAAGGAAAUGACAAGGACUUAAAGAUGAUCAGGUGCCGGUUCAUGAAAAUAUUUAACCCGGAACACAACCUAUCAAGUUUGUUCUUGUGUUUAUUUUACAAGAUCAGUUUAACAUGGAUAAAUCCAAAUUAAACUGGGGGCUAAUGUCGGAGAUAUACCACGCGGUAUGUCCCGACCGGACUUGUCGGCUCACAGAGACCUGGCGAGUAUUUGGUGACUUACUGAUAACCCCAACGGCGGGUCAGAUGGAUGACAAGGCCCAAGGCCCAGAAGGCCGGCUCAUGUUAUGGUGGGCCGGUUUACGAGGAAAGGCAUAAGGAGUUUUCCCUUAAGGGAGCAGACUAGGAUUCCACUUGUAAUAGACUAGUCCUAAUCCUAAUAGGACUCCACAUGUAACCCGCCCCUUCAACUUAUAUAAGGAGGGGCAGGGCACCCCAAAGAGGGACGAGCAACAAGAAACAAUCUCUAGGGCUAGACACAAAGAGCCGGCUUACCAGCGACUCUCUCAUGACCAUAAUGAGACCUAGGCACAAACAGCAUGUAGGGCUAUUACCGGAUUAUGUUUCCCGGGGCCCGAAGCUGUCUAAAUCCUUGUCUUGUGUUGCGUCUCUCGAUUCCGCCCAACCCCUCUCAAGCUACUACAUAGUUGUGCUGGCCUCGCGACUAAGUCCUGACACUAAGGACAUCUGCCAUGACAAUUCCACGACAGAGAGGGAGGUGGAUGACCGGCAACCUGAAGGCGCGCCAGGCAGCGGAGCCGGGGCCGGGAGGUCUCCGCGACGACGACCACGGCGCUCUGCGUGAGGAGGGAGGGAAGCCAGAGCGUGUCAGGUAAGGGAAUGGAAGAGAAAGGAAGAGCAAAUCGGGAGAAUAUCUUAUCUCGACGAGCAGCAGAAGCACGCGGACGGCCGAGCGGAAGCAGACGACGCCAUGGAGAUGGAGCACCAGGUCCAACCCAUGGGGGCGCGGAUCUGGAAGCCAACCCCAUGGAGGAGAUGGAACUCCAGGUCCAGGCCCAUGGCGGACCUGUCAGCCGCAGCCGCCGCCGCUGCCAUGGGGAUGGAGCUCCAUGUCCAAGCCCAUGCGGAUCUGGGAGCCGCCGCCGCCGCCUGACCUUCUCGCGCGCACGAUCUCCCUCGUCUCUUCCGAUGAGGUGAGGGAGGGGAGAGCGCCGGCGGCGAGGUCGGAGGGAGACGCGGCAGUCAGGAUCUGGCGCCGGAGGUGGCGGCGGCAAGGGAGGAGUGCAGCGCUAGGGUUAGCGUGAGAGAGAGGAGGGCUUGCUGCCGUGGGUGGGGUUCGCGCGAGAGAGGAGGGUUGGGUGGGGUUCGCGUGAGAGAGGGUGGUUUGGGGCGUGUUUGGUUGAAGUUUGGAACAGUACCUGCAUUGCAUGUCCAUCUCAACCCAGCCUGGUUGCUGAAAUACAGCCUCAUAUGCAGGAGAUGCAACCUGUUUGGUUGCCUGCAUCGCAUCAAGAGGCACUUACCCCCUGCUGUUUGGUUGCCCGCAUUUGUGCUUAGGGUGUGAGCAGAUGCAAACUUCAGCUGUUUGGUUGCAAACAGCGUUUGUGUUCUGCUCAGCCCAUUCAAAUGUGGUGGCCUUACCACCACACAUGAUCAACACAACAGCAACAUCACAACAGCAAGAUCAAACAAAGCAAGCAAUGUAAUGACAACAAACUACUUAACUAGAUAGCAUAGUCUAGAUUAAGAGCAGGGGCAUCCUCCUUCCCUGCUGUGCCAGGGUGCUGCACCUGGCCAAAAUAUGAACAUGUUCCCAGCACAAGUCUCGCCACACACCCUAACUAGAUAGCAUAAGUCUAGAUUAAAAGUUCUCCACUAACACCUGACUUAACUUAACUACAUAGCCUGUUCGAUGCCACCAAGGCAGUUGUGCCUGCUGCAACGGUACCUGCACAUCACCGACGAGUCGUGGUUGUAGAUCUGAACCUUCAGUCCGAGUCCGGAGAUGCGCACAACGACGAGGUCGGCUGGGACGAUCUUGUUCCGGCGGCAGAAGUAGUUCCACCCCCGGCCAAGCACCAUCUAGCCCUCGAAGUUCUGGACCUGCACCCGGAACUUGCACCUCUUGUUGGCUGAGAGCCUGUCCACGCGCAGGAGUCGCUUGAUGACCAGCCAGGUGUUCAUCACCUCCAUGAACUUGGGAGGGACGACGAGCAUGGCGAGGUCCUCGUUGUCCUUGAUCUGUGCGUAGAAUCUCAUUGGCUCCCUGGCCGCCUCCUCGUGGCCCUGCCUCGGAGAUCGUCCCCUUGAAUGAGGCAUGCUCAUGAAGGCGAUCCUGCCAGGCAGGUCCCCCAUCCUAAGCCACCUGUUCGUGGGGAUGAAAUCCUCGGCACGCUCAGCUCCGGCAACGACCUGAGCUCCUCCACCCGCCACAUCCCAGUCAGUCUUUAGUAUCUUGUCAGGCAACAUGACAAGUAUUAGUAUUAAACAAAGCAAGCAAGCAAGCAAAUGCCACUGACCAGUGGCACUAAUCAGUGGACUUGCCCAACAGCAAGUGGCGCUGAUCAGUGGACUUGCCCAACAGUAAGUGCCACUGAUCAGUGGCAUGUGCUCAUGGCCAAAUGGCAAUGAUCAGUGGCACUUAGUGUUGGGCAAGAGCACUAAUCUACUUGCUGUAGUGCAAAUGGCACUGAUCAAUGACACUGAUCAGUGACUUGCCCAAUAGCAAAUGCCAUUGAUAAGUGCCAUUUUGCCGAACAGCAAGUGCCAUUGAUAAGUGGCAUUUGCCUAGGGGCAAAUGCCACUUAUCAAUGAGCCUUGUUGUUGGGCAAGUCACUGAUCAGUGGCAUCUUCUUUGCUGCAACUGGCACUGAUUACUGCACUAUCCUAAUCAAGGAAACAUCUAAAAAUAGCAACAACAAGUGCCAAUAGCGCCCAUGUGCAGCCAUGCAGAUUUGGGACCAUCCUACUACAUGCACGUAUAACAUCCACUCAUGGCACAAACCCUAGCUUCAACAUGCAACAUGAAACAAGGACAUGAUCCUAACAUGAGCAUGCCAUCAGUCAACAUGAUUCUAGCAUUCUUCACUCAACAUGAACAUGAUUCUAGCAUGAACACAACUACUAGCAUGUAGUAGCACUCGCACUAGCAUGAACAAGAAUCUAGCAUUAACAUGAAUCUAACAUGUAACACAGCUACUAGCAUUGUAGCAUGAACACAAGCAGUAGCACACGCACUGUACAAAACAAGAACAGAUCAGUCCGAUUGGAUUCGAUUGGGAUCGCAUCCAAUCGGAUCUGCUAGAAUCCUAUCAAUCCUAGCACAUGCCUAAGAAAUUAACCGCUAAUCUACAUCUAGGAGCAAGAUUGUUGGGGAUUUGAAUCACCGGAGCACGCGCAUGCGCGGCGAACCAUGGCUGGGGUGAAAACCCCGGCGGGAACGAUAGAGGUGGCGGAGCAGAGGACGAGACGGCCCCGGCGACAGCCUGCGGCAUCGGCCGCGUGCUGAACGCCACGCUGGAGGUCAAGAAGGACUACCCGUCGACCGGAGAAAACCCUCGGACGGGGGUCAAGAAAACCCCCGAGGCCAACGGUGUCCCAACAAGGGGCGGCUCCGUUGACGGAGCCGACGCCGAGCCCAGGACCACGAGGUCCGGAAUCAGUGGCGAAGCAGGAGCGGCCGACACCGCAUUGGCCGGCGCCGGCGCUCGUGGAGGCCGGCAGCAAAUGGGGGACGGGGCCCGCAGCACUGAGGCCAGGUCGCGGCCUGAGUUCUGCAGCCCGGCCAGCUAGCGCUCCUGGAUGCUUGAGACGCGCUGGUCGACCGGGGUCAGAGGGCGGCGCGGCGGUGGGCGUGGCGGAGCGAUCGGAGCAGAGGAGAGGAGAGGGAGGGGCGGUGAGGGAGAGAGAGGGAGCGGUGGGAACAGUGCGCCUGGGCGGUGACAGGAGAGUGGGGGCGAGUAAUGAGAUGUCGCCGCCGUCUCACGCGCUGCCCGAGGCAUGCAACUGCCCCGGACGCGCGGCCGCGCCCGGCCAGGCUCGCGAGAAACUGCCGAUUCGGCAGUUCCCGCCGGGCUAGGCUGCUGGCUGCUUUGAGGUUCGUGCGGGCCUCAAACCGCAUGCAGCCCAGCCAACCAAACAGGCCGCGCACAUCCCGCGCAGGCUUGGUUGGGCUGCAUGCGGGCAACCAAACACGCCCUUGCUGUCGUCGGAUGGGAUGGACCGAUGGACGGAUGGAUGGGCUCAUGUUUGCCAUGUCAUCGAUCCAAGCCACUAGUGAUUCCACCAAUCAGAAUUAAGCUUAGGUAGUUUUUUUUUCUUUUGUUUCUCUUAUAAUUUUCACCCUCUAAUUCAGGGUAAACAUUCAACAUAUUAACCACAUAUAGUUUUCUAAAAUGAAACAAUAGUGUGCACAUGUGUGUAUCUUGGGAUGACAACCAAUGUUGAUGUGGGGGGUUUUCACUUUCAUUGCACAAAAGAGCCAUUUUCCAUUUUUUGAGUGCCCAAAAAAAGUUUUUUUGUGAAGAAUCUAGCAUAUAUUUGUUGCAAAAUUGGACCAAAUCAUUUUUGUAAAAUAUUAGGCCAUAUUUAAUGCACAAUUGACCAAAUGGUUGGGUGUUAGAAGCUUUGAUCCACCUCUGGUGAAAAAGACAAAUUUCCGACGAUUCCGAUGGAAGCGGGUCAAAUUUGAACUGCAGCCACCUCAUAGUUUGCUCUUUAUUUUUUUGAAAAAUCAUUUCUAGGUACAUAAGUAUCUAUUUAAUCAAAGAAAUAUGAAAAGUUUUCCAAGAUUCAACCCCUAGCUAAGAAAGGUCAAGCCCACAAUUUUGACCGCAUUUUGAAACGGGCAUAAAAAAUUCAAAAAAAAUGGAAAACCUUCGCAUUGUGUCAUUAUAUGUGACCAAGUUGCCAGAAAAAAUAAUAAACUUGUAGUACGGCAAUUAUUUUAAAAAAGUGUUCUCAGAAAUGAGCUAUCAUGCGUGAAGAUUCACGGCUUUCAAGCCUGAUGAUCAAUGUUAUGGCCGCAUUCAUGGCAUAGUUUGUUCAAAUGAUGAUCAUAUUGUGCAGAAGGGUGCAUCUUGGAAUUCCAAACAAUGUUGCCUAAGGGAGUUUUCAUUUUCUUUGCACGGAAAUUUCCUUUUCCAUUUUUUGAGUGUCCGAAAUGAGUUUUUUUGUGAAGGACCUACCAUAUAUUUAUUGCAAAAUUGGACCAAAUCAUUUUUCUAAAAUAUUAGGGCAUAUUUAAUGCACAGUUGACCGAAUGGUUGGGUGUCAGAAGCUCUGAUCCACCUCUGGUGAAAAAGACAAAUAUUAGGGCAUGAGUUUUUUUGAAAUGCAGCUGCCUCAUGUUUGCUCUUUACUUUUUUCCAAAAAUCAUUUAUAGGUACAUAGGUAUCUAUUUAAUCAGAGAAACAUCAAAAGUUUUCCAAGAUUCAACCCCUAGCUAGGAACGGUCAAGCCCACCGUUUUGACCGCAUUUUGAAACGAGCAUAAGAAAAAUUAAAAAAAAUCAAAAAAAUGGAAAACCUUCGCAUUGUGUCAUUAGAUGUGACCAAGUUGCCAGAAAAAAUAAUAAACUUGUAAUACGGCAAUUAUUUUAAAAAAGUGUUCUAAAAAAUGAGCUAUCAUGCGUGAAGAUUCAUGGCUUUGAAGCCAAAUGAUCAAUCUUAUGACCACAUUAAUGGCAUAGUUUGUUCAAAUGAUUUCAUAUUGUGCACAAGGGUGCAUCUUGGAAUUCCAAACAAUGUUGAUGUGGGGGUUUUCACUUUCAUUGCACAAAAGAGCCAUUUUCCAUUUUUUGAGUGCCCAAAUUUUUUUUGAAGAAUCUACCAUAUAUUUGUUGCAAAAUUGGACCAAAUCAUUUUUCUAAAAUAUUAGGCCAUAUUUAAUGCACAAUUGACCAAAUGGUUGGGUGCCAAAAGCUUUGAUCCACCUCUGGUGAAAAAGACAAAUUUCCGCCGAUUCCGUUGGAAACGGGUCAAAUUUGAACUGCAGCUGCCUCAUAGUUUGCUCUUUAUUUUUUCUAAAAAUCAUUUCUAGGUACAUAAGUAUCUAUUUAAUCAAAUAAACGUCAAAAGUUUUCUAAGAUUCAACCCCUAGCUAAGAACGGUCAAGCCCGCUGUUUUGCCCGCAUUUUGAAACGAGCAUAAAAAAUUCAAGAAAAAUAAAAAAACGGAAAACCUUCGCACUGUGUCAUUAUAUGUGACCAAGUUCCUGAAAAAAAAUAAACUUAUAAUACGACAAUUAUUUUUAAAAAGUGUUCUCAGAAAUGAGCUAUCAUGCGUGAAGAUUCAUGGCUUUCAAGCCAAAUGAUCAAUCUUAUGGCCACAUUCAUGGCGUAGUUUGUUCAAAUGAUCUCAUAUUGUGCACAAGAGUGCAUCUUGGAAUUCCAAACAAUGUUGCUUAAGGGAGUUUUUAUUUUCUUUGCACGGAAAUUUCAUUUUCCGUUUUUUGAGUGCCCAAAAUGAGUUUUUUUAAGGACCUACCAUAUAUUUGUUGCAAAAUUGGACCAAAUCAAUUUUAUAAAAUACUGGCCAUAUUUAAUGCACAAUUGACCAAAUGGUUGGGUGUUAGAAGCUUUGAUCCACCUCUGGUGAAAAGACAAAUUUCUGCCGAUUUAGUAGGAAGCAGGUCAAAUUUGAACUGCAGCUUCCUCAUAGUUUGCUCUUAAUUUUUCCAAAAAUCAUUUAUAGGUACAUAGGUAUCUAUUUAAUCAGAGAAACAUCAAAAGUUUUCCAAGAUUCAACCACUAGCUAGGAACGGUCAAGCCCACCGUUUUGACCGCAUUUUGAAACGGGCAUAAAAAAUUCAUGGCAUAAUUUGUUCAAAUGAUCUCAUAUAGUGCACAAGUGUGCAUCUUGCAAUGACGAACAAUGUUUCGUAAGGGAGUUUUUAUUUUCUUUGGACAAAAAAUUAAUUUUCCAUUUUCUUAGUGCCCAAAAUGAGGUUUUUUUGUGAAGAACCUACCAUCUAUUUGUUGCAAAAUUGACCAAAUCAAAUUUCUAAAAUGGUUGGGUGUAAAAAGUUUUUGAUCUACCUCUCGUGAAAAAGACAAAUUCCGCAUAUUCAUUUUCCAUUUUUCGAGUUCCCAAAAUGAGUUUUCUUGUGAAGAACCUAACAAAUAUUUUUUGUAAAAAAACUUCUCCAUUUUUCGAGAAUAUUAGACCACAUUUUAUGAACAAAUUUGUGUACACUAGAAACAUUUUUUAUAGAUAUUAAACGGUAUUCAGUUACAUCAUUAACAUUUUUAAUAAAUAUUUUGAUGUCUAAUAUUUUGAACACAUGUCUACAUUUUUAAGACACAUUGUACAUAUUGUUUAUAUAUGUUUAACUUUUUUCAAAUACAUGAUUAACAUAUUUUCAUAUAUAUUCCCAACAAAAAAACAUCUUUUCAUACAUACGUUUUGAUGUCUAUAUUUGUUUUUACACAUUGUACAUUUUUGUAUACAUAUAAAACAUUGUUCAUAUUGGUUAGAAAAAUUUAGAUACAUGAAAAACUUGUUAUUUUCCCAUUUUCGUUGGGCCGAAUAUAUGUUUUUCUGUGAGUAAUAUGAGGGCAUCGACAUUUCUUCCUGGAUGGGUCGAGGCCUACAUGGCACACAUAUUUUUUUUAAAGAGAAGGUGGCCUCGUUCCACAAGGCCCAAGCCCACCUUGAGCGACACCUUAAGUACCAAUGCAUCCACGUUCACAACCUCAUAACCAUUUAUAUUGGUCGUAAUCAGGUAGAAAUAAGGUCGUUGACCACUCUUGUCUGCUUUAUGACCAUUUGAUGUAAGUCAAUUUCAGGGUUUGAGCUCUUCCAAGCGAAAUGGCCGUGGAUUUACGACCAAUUCAGCCGGGGUCACAGAGAGAAGGUCACAAGUUGACAUAUUUCUUGUAGUGCUUUGCUUCCUUCCUCUACCCCGCUAUGCACAGCCGCAGGUGCGGCUCUGACUGCCGGUGCACAAGUAAAGGGGUACAAAGAGGGCCCCUACAUUUGUACACCAACAAGAUGCCCCGGGCCUGGGCCACAUAUAAGCGCGACGCAUUGUUGGGCUAGGCCCAGAACGGUGCGCGGGCAUGCGUGGCAGAGUUUUACCGCAGUAACUCCCUCGCCAGUUGCGCUUCCCAAUGACCCGCAUUGAAUGCGUGACGUGGGGGUCGCGCGUGGAGCGGCUGCUGCACGCGUGCAUCACAUCGUGGUAAAUGGUAAAGAGGCGGCCUGCGCCUUCCCCAUAAAAAGGAAAAUCCGCUGGCGCGCUGCUCAUUUACCCCCUGUGCCUUCCCUAAUUUUGGAACCGUCGCUCCCUUCUUCUUCCUCAAGCUCUUUGCCUUUGCUCGCCGCCGCCGCGCCCUCAUUGUCCUCAAUCCUUCAUUCCCUCUCGGUCGCUAUGGCGCCCAAGACAGGCAAGGGCAAGGGAGCGGCCAAGGACGCCGGGGAGACGGAGGUGAUACGUCUCCAACGUAUCAAUAAUUUUUGAUUGUUCCAUGCUAUUAUAUUAUCUAUUUUGGAUGUUUAAUGGGCUUUAAUAUGCUCUUUUAUAUUAUUUUUGGGACUAACCUAUUAACCGAAGGCCCAGUGCCAAUUCUUGUUUUUUUGCCUAUUUCAGUGUUUUGCAGAAAACGAAUACCAAACGGAAUCCAAACGGAAUGAAACCUUCGCGAUGAUCUUUCUUGGAACAAACGCAAUCCAGAAGACUUGGAUUUGAAGUCAGGAACUCCGUGAGGCGGCCAUGAGGCAGGAGGGCCCGCCCAGGGGGGUAGGCGCGCCCCACCCUCGUGGCCCCACAGAGCUCCACCGACGUACUUUUUUCGCCUAUAUAUACUCUUAUACCCUAAAAACAUCAGGGGGAGCCGCGCAACCACUUCUCCACCACCACAACCUUCUCUACCCGUGAGAUCCCAUCUUGGGGCCUUUUUCGGCGCUCCGCCGGAGGGGGAAUCGAUCACGAAGGGCUUCUACAUCAACACCAUAGCCUCUCCGAUGAUGUGUGAGUAGUUUAGCACAAACCUUCGGGUCCAUAGUUAUUAGCUAGAUGGCUUCUUCUCUCUCUUUAAUUCUCAAUAAAAAGUUCUCCUCGAUGUUCUUGGAGAUCUAUUCGAUGUAAUAUUCUUUUGCGGUGUGUUUGCCGGGAUCCGAUGAAUUGUGGAUUUAUGAUCAAGUUUAUCUAUGAAUAAUAUUUGGUUCUUCUCUGAAUUAUUAUAUGCAUGAUUUGAUAUCUUUGCAAGUCUCUUCGAAUUAUCGGUUUAGUUUGGCCUACUAGAUCGAUCUUUCUUGCAAUGGGAGAAGUGCUUAGCUUUGGGUUCAAUCUUGAAGUGUCCUUUCCUAGUGACAGUAGGGGCAGCAAGGCACGUAUUGUAUUGUUGCCAUCGAGGAUAAAAAGAUGGGGUUUAUAUCAUAUUGCUUGAGUUUAUCCCUCUACAUCAUGUCAUCUUGCUUAAUGUGUUACUCUGUUCUUAUGAACUUAAUACUCUAGAUCCAUGCUGGAUAGCGGUCGAUGUGUGGAGUAAUAGUAGUAGAUGCAGAAUCGUUUCGGUCUACUUGACACGGACGUGAUGCCUAUAUUCAUGAUCAUUGCCUAGAUAUUGUCAUAACUAUGCACUUUUCUAUCAAUUGCUCGUCAGUAAUUUGUUCACCCACCGUAAUAUAUGCUAUCUUGAGAGAAGCCACUAGUGAAACCUAUGCCCCCGGGUCUAUUUUCUAUCAUAUAAUAUUCUAUUUUCCAUCAUAUAAUAUUCUAUUUUCCAUCAUGUAAUUUUACGAUCUACAAGUCUAGUUUCCUAUUUAUUUUAUUUUGCAAUCUUUACUUUCCAAUCCGUACAACAAAAAUACCAAAAAUAUUUACUUUACUAUCUUUAUUUGAUCUCACUUUUGCGAGUGACCGUGAAGGGAUUGACAACCCCUUUAUCAUGUUGGUUGCAAGGUUCUUGAUUGUUUGUGUAGGUACUAGGUGACUUGCGUGUUAUCUCCUACUAGAUUGAUACAUUGGUUCUCAAAAACUGAGGGAAAUACUUACGCUACUUUGCUGCAUCACCCUUUCCUCUUCAAGGGAAAACGAACGCAUGCUCAAGAGGUAGCAAGAAGGAUUUCUGGCGCCGUUGCCGGGGAGAUCUACGCUCAAGUCAAGACAUACCAAGUACCCAUCACAAACUCUUCACCCUCGCAUUACAUUAUUUGUCAUUCGCCUCUCGUUUUCCUCUCCCCCACUUCUAAAACGAUUUUCAAAAACCUUUGAUUUUCUAUCGUCAUGGCCGAACCAAAAGGGGCUAAGGGUUUUCUCCCGGGUAAUAAUACUUUGGAUAGUCCUUCUGCCCUUUCUAAGCUCAUAAAUAAUGAUGCUAUGGAAAGACCUACCGGGGUUAUUGAUGAGAGUUUGAAUAAUUUUGAUGAAGAUGACCCCGGAAUUUUUCGUUAUUUGCUUGAUGAAACUUUGAAAGAUGCUUGGGAUAGGCUAUUAAGGAUCCGAGCCAGCUAUGUGCCCCAAUAUCAAAUUGAGAUAUACUUAAAAAAAAUUUGUUGGCUUAACAUCUUCUUUCAAGCAAGUUUUGGAUUCUAUUUUUGAAGAAGGUUUUCUUGAGGGGGAUGCCAUCGAUACCUAUGAAAAGAUGAAAUCUAUAUUUGGGCACCCUAUGAGUGAAAUGGUUGAAUCUACUUCUCUUUUGUGUUUUUAUCAGAAUGAAAUUAUCAAAGAGAUGAAGGCUAGUCUAGAUGCGAAUUUUCGUAGUGUGUCUUUCUUCUACCAUUAAUGGCCACGUGCUUUCACAAAAUAGAAAGAUAAAUGCUUUAGAUAAGAAACUUUCCCUUUCUCACCAAAAGGGAAAAGAUGACAAUACCUAGAUAUAUUCUUGUUUUUAUGCCUAGCUAGGGGCGUUAAACGAUAGCGCUUGUUGGGAGGCAACCCAAUUUUAUUUUUGUUCUUUGCUUUUUGUUCCUGUUUAGUAAUAAAUAAUUCAUCUAGCCUCUGGUUAGAUGUGGUUUUGUGUUUUAAUUAGUGUUUGUGCCAAGUAAUACCUUUGGGAUAGCCUACGGUGAUAGUUAAUUUGAUCUUGCUGAAAAACAGAAACUUUUGCGCGCACGAAAAUAAUUUUCAUAAAUCACAGGAACGUGCUUUCUAGUUGAUUCUUUUUGCGUAAUAUUAAUAAAGAAAUUGCUUAGGACUUCCGAAUUUCUCAGAAUUCUGGCGUUACAGAAGUAUGCGUAUGAAUCAGAUUGCUAUAGACUGUUCUGGUUUUGACAGAUUCUGUUUUUCGUGUGUUGUUUGCUUAUUUUGAUGAAUCUAUGAGUAGUAUCGGGGGGUAUGAACCAUAGAUAAGUUGGAAUUAAGUAGGUUUAACACCAAUAUAAAUAAAGAAUGAGUUCAUUACAGUACCUUAAAGUGGUGGUUUGUUUUCUUAUACUAACGGAGCUCACGAGAUUUUCUGUUAAGUUUUGUGUUGUGAAGUUUUCAUGUUGUUGGGUAAAGUUUUGAUGGAUUUUGGAAUAAGGAGUGGCAAGAGCCUAAGCUUGGGGAUGCCCAAGGCACCCCAAGUUAAAAUUCAAGGACAACCAAAACCAUAAGCUUGGGGAUGCCCCGGAAGGCAUCCCCUCUUUCGUCUUCAUCUAUCGGUAACUUUACUUUAGGCUAUAUUUUUAUACACCACAUGAUAUGUGUUUUGCUUGGAUCAUCUUGUAUGAUUUGAGUCUUUGCUUUUUAGUUUACCACAAUCAUCCUUGCUGAAUACUCCUUUUGAGAGAGACACACAUGAAUCGGAAUUUAUUAGAAUACUCUAUGUGCUUCACUUAUAUCUUUUGAGCUAGAUAAUUUUGCUCUAGUGCUUCACUUAUAUCUUUUGAGCUAGAUAAUUUUGCUCUAGUGCUUCACUUAUAUCUUUUUAGAGCACGGUGGUGGUUAUAUUUUAUAGAAAUUAUUGAUCACUCAUGCUUCACUUAUAUUAUUUUGAGAGUCUUUUAGAACAUCAUGGUAAUUUGCUUUGGCUAUAAAAUUAGUCCUAAUAUGAUGAGCAUCCAAGAUGGGUAUAAUAAAAACUAUCAUAUAAAGUGCAUUGAAUACUACGAGAAGUUUGAUUCCUUAUGAUUGUUUUGAGAUAUGAAGAUGGUGAUAUUAGAGUCAUGCUAGUUGAGUAGUUGUGAGUUUGAGAGUUACUUGUGUUAAAGUUUGUGAUUCCCAUAGCAUGCACCUAUGGUGAACCGUUAUGUGAUGAAGUUGGAGCAUGAUUUAUUUAUUGAUUGUCUUCCUUAUGUGUGGAGGUCGGGAUCGCGCGAUGGUUAACUCCUACCAACCCUUCCCCUAGGAGCAUGCGUGUAGUGCUUGGUUUUGAUGACUUGUAGAUUUUUGCAAUAAGUAUGUGAGUUCUUUAUGACUAAUGUUGAGUCCAUGGAUUAUACGCACUCUCACCCUUCCAACAUUGCUAGCCUCUCUUGUGCCGUGCAACUUUCGCCGGUACCAUAAACCCAUCAUUUACCUUCCUCAAAACAGCCACCAUACCUACCUAUUAUGGCAUUCCCAUAGCCAUUCCGAGAUAUAUUGCCAUGCAACUUUCCACGAUUCCGUUUAUUAUGACACGCUUCAUCAUAGUCAUCUUGCUUUGCAUGAUCAUUUAGUUGACAUCGUAUUUGUGGCAAAGCCACCUUUCAUAAUUCUUUCAUACAUGUCACUCUUGAUUCAUUGCACAUCUCGUUACACCACCGGAGGCAUUCACAUAGAGUCAUAUUUUGUUCUAAUUAUCGAGUUGUAAUUCUUGAGUUGUAAGUAAAUAAAAGUGUGAUGAUAUUCAUUAUUAGAGCAUUGUCCCAUGUGAGGAAAGGAUGAUGGAGACUAUGAUUUCCCCACAAGUUGGGAUGAGACUCCGGACGAAAAAUAAAAGAGGCCAAAGAAGCCCACCAAAAAAAUGAGAGAAAAACAGAGAAGGGACAAUGUUACUAUCCUUUUUCCACACUUGUGCUUCAAAGUAGCACCAUGAUCUUCACGAUAGAUAGUCUCUUAUGUUGUCACUUUCAUAUACUAGUGGGAAUUUUUCAUUAUAGAACUUGGCUUGUAUAUUCCAAUGAUGGGCUUCCUCAAAUUGCCCUAGGUCUUUGUGAGCAAGCAAGUUAGAUGCACACCCACUUACUUUCUUUUGUUGAGCUUUCAUACACUUAUAGCUCUAGUGCAUCCGUUGCAUGGCAAUCCCUACUCACUCACAUUGAUAUCUAUUGAUGGGCAUCUCCAUAGCCCGUUGAUACACCUAGUUGAUGUGAGACUAUCUUCCUCCUUUUUGUCUUCUCCAUAACCACCAUUCUAUUCCACCUGUGGUGCUAUGUCCAUGGCUCACGCUCAUGUAUUGCGUGAAAGUUGAAAAAGUUUGAAAAUAGUAAAGUAUGAAACAAUUGCUUGGCUGAAACCAGGGUUGUGCAUGAUUUAAAUAUUUUGUGUGAUGAAGAUAGAGCAUAGCCAGACAAUAUGAUUUUGUAGGGAUAACUUUGUUUGGCCAUGUUAUUUUGAGGAGACAUGAUUGCUUUAUUAGUAUGCUUGAAUUAUUAUUGUUUUUAUGUCAAUAUUAAACUUUUGUCUUGAAUCUUUCGGAUCAGAACAUUCAUGCCACAAUAAAAAAAAUUACAUUGGAAAAUAUGUUAGGUAGCCUUCCACAUAAAAAAUUCAGUUUUUUACCAUUUACCUACUCGAGGACGAGCAGGAAUUAAGCUUGGGGAUGCUUGAUACGUCUCCAAUGUAUCUAUAAUUUUUUAUUGUUCCACGCUAUUACAUUUUCUGUUUUGGAUGUUUAAUCGGCUUUAAUAUGCUCUUUUAUAUUAUUUUUGGGACAAACCUGUUAACCGAAGGCCCAGUGCCAGUUCAUGUUUUUUUGUAUAUUUUAGUGUUUUGCAGAAAAGGAAUACCAAAAGGAAUCCAAAGGGAAUGAAACCUUCGCGAUGAUCUUUGUUCAAACAAACGCAAUCCAGAAGACUUAGAGUUGAAGUCUGGAACUCCAUGAGGCGGCCACGAGGCAGGAGGGCGCGCCCAGGGGGGUAGGCGCGCCCCCACCCUCGUGGGCCCCAUGGAGCUCCACCGCCGUACUUCUUUCGGCUAUAUAUACUCUUAUACCCUAAAAACAUUAGGGGGAGCCAUGAAACCACUUUUCCACCGCCUCAACCUUCGGUACCCGUCCCAUCUUGGGGCCUUUUGCGGCGCUCCGUCGGAGGGGGAAUCGAUCACGGAGGGCUUCUACAUCAACACCAUAGCCUCUCCGAUGAUGUGUGAGUAGUUUACCACAGACCUUCGGGUCCAUAGUUAUUAGCUAGAUGGCUUCUUCUCUCUCUUUAAUUCUCAAUACAAAGUUCUCCUCGAUGUUCUUGGAGAUCUUUUCGAUGUAAUAUUCUUUUGCGGUGUGUUUGCCGAGACCCGAUGAAUUGUGGAUUUAUGAUCAAGUUUAUCUAUGAAUAAUAUUCUGUUCUUCUCUGAAUUCUUAUAUGCAUGAUUUGAUAUCUUUGCAAGUCUCUUCAAAUUAUCGGUUUAGUUUGGCCUACUAGAUCGAUCUUUCUUGCAAUGGGAGAAGUGCUUAGCUUUGGGUUCAAUCUUGCGGUGUCCUUUCCCAGUGACAGUAGGGGCAGCAAGGCACGUAUUGUAUUGUUGCCAUCGAGGAUAAAAAGAUGGGGUUUAUAUCAUAUUGCUUGAGUUUAUCCCUCUACAUCAUGUCAUCUUGCUUAAUGCGUUACUCUGUUCUGAUGAAUUUAAUACUCUAGAUCCAUGCUGGAGUAAUAGUAGUAGAUGCAGAAUCGUUUUGGUCUACUUGACACAGACGUGAUGCCUAUAUUCAUGAUCAUUGCCUAGAUAUUCUCAGAACUAUGCACUUUUCUAUCAAUUGCUCGGCAGUAAUUUGUUCACCCAUCGUAAUAUAUGCUAUCUUGAGAGAAGCCACUGGUGAAACCUAUGGCCCCCGGGUCUAUUUUCCAUCAUAUAAUAUUCUACUUUCCAUCAUAUAAUAUUCUAUUUUCCAUCAUAUAAGUUUCCGAUCUACAAGUCUAGUUUCCUAUUUAUUUUAUUUUGCAAUCUUUACUUUCCAAUCUAUACAAAAAAAUUACCAAAAGUAUUUACUUUACUAUCUUUAUUAGAUCUCACUUUUGCAAGUGACCAUGAAGGGAUUGGCAACCCCUUUAUCGCGUUGGUUGCAAGGUUCUUGAUUGUUUAUGCAGGUACUAGGUGACUUGCGUGUUAUCUCCUACUGUAUUGAUACCUUGGUUCUAAAAAACUGAGGGAAAUACAUACGCUACUUUGUUGCAUCACCCUUUCCCCUUCAAGGGAAAACCAACGCAUGCUCAAGAGGUAUAAGGAGGCGCCCGAGAGCGAGUUGGCAGCGCUUCGGACGCGACACGCCUAGUUCCCCUCGACGGUCGAUGCGGUCCACCUCAGGGACUACUUUAGGCCCCUGUGGGUGAUGGGGACGACGGGGCACCCUGCCGCGCGCAUCAUCCCUGCCGAUUUAGCCAAGGCCGGCCCAAAUCAGUACCCCUUCUUCGUCGACUACUUCUCUUGCGGGCUUCCCCCCCUUUUUCUGAUUUCUUCAACGACAUCAUGCACACCUACGGUUUCCAUCUCCUGGAUCUUACGCCGAAUGCCGUGGUGUACAUGGCCUUCUUCUCCCAUCUCUGUGAGGGCUUCGCCGGAGUGUUCCCAGCACGCCGCCCCCAUUGACCACGCCGCCCAUAGGGGCGUCCCCGGCAAAGGCAUCCAUUGCCGAGCCCACGCGCAUGGAGGAGGAGGAGGAGGCGAGCUUGGGUGCUGGUGGCUCCGUUCCGGUAAGGAAUGUUGGCGGAGAGGGCGCCACUCCCUCUCAGCCCGGCGCGGGUAAGUUGUUUGCUUCCCGUCCCUGUUCCUUCUUUUGUUAUGAGUUUUGAUCUUGGCCUCGUUUCAUUCUUUCUUCUGGUUUUCAGAUCCUCCCUUGAUGGACCAGGAAGAUAUCGACACUGUCAUCGAGGAGGUUGCCAGGGAUGCUGAAGCCGAUGCCGCCAAGGGUGCGGCUGGGGAAGCCGCCAAGUCCGCCAUAGAGGAGGCCGCCAAGGGGCCUGCCGGGGGGACCGGCGAGACCGCUGCUGGGGAAGCCGACAAGGGGCCUGCCGGGGAGCCCGGCAAGGCUGCCACCGAGGAGGCCGCCAAGGAGCCCGUCGAGGAGGAGGAGGCCAACGACCAACCUUCCUCCCCUGCAGCCCCGGCUUCGGACAAGUAUCUGAAGGUGGGCGACGACUUGUUCGUCCAUCUCCCAGGGACGGCGGGUAGCAGGGCGCCGGCCGAAGGGGAGGUGUUCGACGACGAGGCGCUCGCCACCGCCGGGCUCCAGGUUGUUGACGAACCGAGCGUCGGUGGCGACGGUUCUUAGGAGGAGCAGCUUCUUCGGGCCAUGGGCGCCAACUUCCAGAAGCUCCAAGUGCUCCACCGUGCCCGCCUCGACAAGGAGAAAUCCAGGAUGGCGGUAGCGGACAAGGCGGAGGCGGAUCUUGAGGAGCGCGUCGCUCAUACGCAGGUCUGGUUCCGCGAGGCUCAGGAAGAACUGAAGGCUGCCCAGGGCGAGCUGGCUGAGCGCAAGCGGGAGCUCAUCCUGAAGCAGGCUGACGUCGAGAAGGCCCAGGAGGUGGCGAAGGAGCAGGCCACCAAGGACGAGGCUGCUCGGCAACAACACCAGGCUUUGCGGAACUCCCAGGAGGAGGACCUGGCCGCUCGUGAGGAGGCGCUCGUCGCGCAGCGGACCCAGGAGCUAGAGCAGAGGCACAAGGACGUGCUCGAUGCUCUGGCUCGGGUUCACGCCGGCGAAGUGGAGAAGCUAGAGCUGGAGCGGGAUGGGCUGAAGAACGAGGCCUUGGGGCUGACGGAGGAGAGGGACAUAGCCAACCGCGCUUUGGUGGAUGUGCAGGCCGCGGUCUCCGACAAGGCCAAGAUGCUUUCCAAGGCCAACAACUCCAUCGACGAUCUGAAGUGGAAGCUGGAGGGCCUAGAGGGGAACCUUUCGGAGGCCAGGGCCCGUGAAGAGACCCUGAACAAGGCCUUGGUGGAAGAGAAGCAGCUGCGGGGCAAUGACGCCGCCAACCACGAGGAUUACGUGAAGAGCGUAAACCUCUGGAUUAGCUGCCUCGUCAAUGUUGCGGAGAGGCUCACCGCGCAGCUGGCCGUCAUGGGCAUGCCAAAUUUCAGGUUCUCCUCAGAGGCGAACACAAGCCCCAAUGCCAGGCUGACCUUGUUCUUCGAGGGUGUCCUUGAGGCCCUGGAGCAGCUCCGGUCCAACCGAGUGACCUAUCUGGACAAUGAGGCCAGGAAGCUCUGUCGGGGAGCCCUGACCAAGGUUCUCACCAAGGUGACAUUCUGGAACCCCAGCGUCGACUUCGCCAACGUGCUGGAGAGCUUGCCGGAGGGCGUGGACCUCGCGGCGCUCUAGGAGCGCAUCGAGCCCAUCAUCAGCCGCGUCGACAAAGUCAAGAGGGCGGAAGGCCAGCGUCGGGACUAGGCACCCCGUUUCUAUUCGCCGCUGCGAGUUCAUGACCAAGACGAUUUUAUCUUAAGUUAGAACCGCAGCAACAAUUGAUUUACUAUAACUCUGCAGUACUUCCGAAGCAAUGCGUGUUAUUUUCCUAUUUGGUUAUUCGUUGUAUGUACACACCCUACGCUUAUUUGGAUAGGUUUGCCGGCGCGUAAACCCAAGCUGCGGCGCUUUGAGGACGGAUCCUUAGCGGCCUGCCGGGUGUGCUUGCUGUCGGGCAAACCACGUUGCCAUUCUUGGCGCAUCCGCUUGAACUGUUGAGCGGACUCGAAACAGUGCAAGGGCGUUGCCAAUAGCGGAAGGGCUCCCUUGCGUGCAGGUUUUCCAGACAAGGAACAAAACCUUUCGAGGAGAAUAACUUUUUAUUAAAAGGAAAUUGCUCAAGGUUCUGUAUGACUUAGCUUUUUCGUCGCCGUGCGGACGGUUGCUGCAUCUGUAGACGAUGCUGCUCGCUCGGCCCAGUUUCCUCGCAGAAGCCAUGGCGAUGAAGAAACCGCUAUACUAACAGCUAGACCGGAUUUUCACAACUGUGCCCCCUACCUGGCGUGCCAAAGAUGUCGGUGGAAACAACACCUAUGGGAUCACGAGGAUCCCUUCUACGGUUGGCGGGCGCGAGGUUGUGCAAAGAGCGGGUCUAGUGGUCAGUACAAGGAGAUUUUACCCAGGUUCAGGCCGCAAGGAUGCGUAAUACCCUAGUCCUGCUUUGGUGUAUAUUCGUUGUAUGUACACACCCUACGCUUAUUUGGAUAGGUUUGCCGGCGCGUAAACCCAAGCCGCGACGCUUUGACGACGGAUACUUACCAGCCUGCCGGGUGUGCUUGCUGCCGAGAAAACCACCUUGCCAUUCUUGGCGCAGCGGCUUGAAUUGUUGAGCGGACUCGGAACAGAGCAAGGGCGUUGCCAAUAGCGGAAGGGCUCCCUUCCGUGUAGGUUUUCCAGACAAGCAACAUAACCUUUCGAGGAGAAUAACUUUUUAUUAAAAGGAAAUUUCUCAAGGUUCUGUAUGACUUAGCUUUUCGUCGCCUUGCGGACAGUUGUUGCAUCCGUAGACGAUGCUGCUCGCGCGGCCCACUUUCCUCGCUGAAGCCAUGGCGAUGAAGAAACCGCUAUACUAACAGCUAGACCGGAUUUUCACAACUGCACCCCCUACUUGGCGCGCCAAAGAUGUCGGGGAAACGACACCAAUGGGAUCACGAGGAUCCCUUCUGCGGUUGGCGGCCGCGAGGUUGUGCAAAGAGUGGGUCUAGUGGUCAGUGCAAGGAGAUUUUACCCAGGUUCGGGCUGCAAGGAUGCGUAAUACCCUAGUACUUCUUUGGUGUAUAUUCAAGUGUUCUUGAGUUCUUGAACUAGCUAUGGUGCGCACAUAGUCCAAAAAGUCUGAAUCCUUCCUCAGUAUGCCUCGGGCCUCCUUUUAUAGGGUAAAGGGAUCGCCACAGUGACACGCAGGAGGUGGAAAGUAUGUACAAUGUACAAGCUUAUCGCCUGACAUCACAGGAUAAAACACAUUUAAUGCUCUACUUAGGUGUUCUCUUGCUUUAUCAGGGAUGGCAAUGAAGCAUGUCAUGUCCGUCGCCGCUCUGCCUUGAUUCGACACGCGUCCAUGCCAAUGAGGCAUGCAGUGCCAUGUAGGCUGGCAGGCUGCUGAGUUGGUGUGGUGGCAGGGUCUUCACGAAGAUUUGCAUGCCACAACGUAGGUGCUUGACUAGUUGGCCUAGAAGCGACGCACUGCCACGUGGGCAUUUCCUUAGUUGGUGGGUCGGCCGCUGAGGUGGGUCGACGACGGGGCGGCAAGCCUUGCCGCGAUCUUGCUGAUGUCCCCGGCAAGGGUCUUGCCGGGGCCUCGCGUGUGCCCCCGGUAGGGAUCUUGCGGGGGUCUCGUGGGUAUCUUCGCCAGGAGCGUUGCCGGGGCCUCGUGGGCGUCCUUGGCAAGGAGCCUCGCUGUGGUCUUGUCUUCUGGUUCUCAUUCAGGCCUUGCAGGCCCUUUGUCUUCACAAAGAUCUGCAUGCUAGUGUUGGGUAAGUUGCCCCGGCAAGCCUCUUGCCGGGGCUAUGUAGGCCACCCCGGCAAGGGUCUUGCCGAGGAAGAUCCCAUCUUAUCGCUUUGUCCUUUGCGCUCCUGGUUCGAGCGCUGCUCUGGUAGUCUUGUGUCUUUGCUUCCUUCCUCUGCCCCGCUAUGCAUGGCCGGAGGUGCGGCUCUGACUGCCCGUGCACAAGUAAAGGGGUACAAAGAGGGCCCCUAAUUUUGUACACCGACAACUUCGGGCACAAGGAAGCUUAUAUCCGAAAAAAUUAUGUUAUAAUCUCAGCGCAAUGCCGCAAUCGGAGUUACGGAUCUCCAGGAAUAUAAGAAACGGUUUUCGGCCAGACCAGGAGAGCACGAAACAGAAGUGAACAGAGAGGGAGAUCCAAUCUCGGAGGGGCUCCCGCCCCUCCGCCGCCAUGGAGACCAUGGACCAGAGGGGGAACCCUCCUCCCAUCUANNNNNNNNNNNNNNNNNNNNNNNNNNNNNNNNNNNNNNNNNNNNNNNNNNNNNNNNNNNNNNNNNNNNNNNNNNNNNNNNNNNNNNNNNNNNNNNNNNNNNNNNNNNNNNNNNNNNNNNNNNNNNNNNNNNNNNNNNNNNNNNNNNNNNNNNNNNNNNNNNNNNNNNNNNNNNNNNNNNNNNNNNNNNNNNNNNNNNNNNNNNNNNNNNNNNNNNNNNNNNNNNNNNNNNNNNNNNNNNNNNNNNNNNNNNNNNNNNNNNNNNNNNNNNNNNNNNNNNNNNNNNNNNNNNNNNNNNNNNNNNNAGAAGAAGGAGGGGGGCUCUCUCCUGCUCGCUUCCGGUGGCGCCGGAGUGCCGUCAGGGCUAGGAUCGUGAAGGCGAUCUACAUCAACAACCUUGCUACCGUCAUCACCAACUUUCUCCCCCUCUAUGCAGUGGUGUAACACCUCUUCCCCCCGCUGUAAUCUCUAAUUAAACAUGGUGCUCAACUCCAUAUAUUAUUUCCCAAUGGUCUAUGGUUAUCCUAUGAUGUUUGAGUAGAUCCAUUUUGUUCUAUGGGUUAAUCGUGAUCUUGGUUGGUAUGAUUGUAUAUUUUAUAAAUGGUGCUGUCCUAAAGUGCCCUCCAUCUCGCGCAAGAAUGAGGGGACCCCGUUGUAGGGUGUUGCAAUAUGUUCAUGAUUCGCUUAUGGUGGGUUGCGAGAGUGACAUAAACUUAAACCCGAGUAGGUGGGUUAUAGAGUAUGGGAGUAAAGAGGACUUGAUACUUAAUGCUAUGGUUGGGUUUCACGACCUUAAUGAUCUUUAGUAGUUGCGGAUGCUUGCUAGAGUUCCAAUAAUAAGUGCAUAUGAUCCAAGUAAAGAAAGUAUGUUAGCUCAUGCCUCUCCCUCAUAUAAAAUGGCAAGAAUGAUUACCGGUACUUGUAAUCGAUUGCCUAGGGACAAAUUACUUUCUUGUUGACACAAACCCUUUUACUAAACACCCAACUUUUAUUAUCUUGCAAAGUACUUCUAGUUUUAUUCUUGCAAAGUAGUUCUAGUAUCACUCCUACAAACUAGUUUCAUACUCGUUUCCGGUAAAGCAAACGCCAAGUGUGCGUAGAGUUGUAUCGGUGAUCGAUAGAACUUGAGGGAAUAUUUGUAAUACCUUUAGCUCCUCGUUGGGUUCGACACUCUUAUUUAUCGAAGAAGGCUACAAACGAUCCCCUAUACUUGUGGGUUAUCAAUACACCACAACCACUUCGAAGGAAGUGCAAUGUUCAUGCACUUAGACUACACGAUCCGUAGACCACCCUGGUCUUUGGGUCUGAAAUAUCGUAUUUUUGCUUGCUCCCCUUGCCAUCCCAGAAGAACCGGGAUUGAAUCUUCACGAUGUCAUGGUGAAGGGUUUCGUGUAGAUUGUAUAACCUCAUGAUGAACAUGGGCAAACUACACAUGGGUGAGUUCAUGAACACCAUACAAGCCGCCUUGGAGAGCCAUCUACCCUGUGAAGGAUCUACCCGGUGCUGAACUUUUGUCACUGUCUUCCUAAGAUCUGUAACUGAGAGGUGAGAAUCACUUAUGGGUAUUCUCAAGUAGGAGGUAUUAGGGAUGGACCCAUGGGCGCAGUUGAGGUGGUCAACAAUGCUUUCCAACUCCUUAAGCGUGUAUCCGAGGACCAUUACGUUGUUCUUGGUGAAGUUGAUCAUAAGCCCGGACGCUGCUGAAAACAAAACAAGAUGAAUUUGAGAUUUGUAAUAUCCCGGUUAGAGCCCUCCACCAUUAUAAUUGUGUCCUCAGCGUAUUGUAGCAGGGAGACCCCUCCCCCGGCCACCAAAUGCGGAAGGACCCCGCGGAGGUGACCCUCGGCCAUGGCCUUGUCAAGGAUCGCAACAAGAGCAUCCAUCUCCAUGUUGAAGAGGAAGGAAGAAAAUGGAUCUCCCUGCCGAACCCCACAUGAAGUGGAGAAGAAAGGGCCCACCUCGCCAUUAAUAUUGACUAUGGUGCGGCCGGAAUAAACCAUCUGCAUCACUCGAGUGAUCCAUCGUUCAUCGAAGCCCUGUCGACUCAACAUUUCCGUAAGGAUGGGCCAAAAUGAACCAUGUCGUAUGCCUUCUGGAAGUCAACCUUGAGGAAGACCGCCUUUUGAUGUUUGAUCUUCACUACAUGAAGAACCUCAUGAAACACCAUAACCCCAUCGAAUAUGAAUCUCCCAUGUAUAAAGGAUGAUUGAUUAGGGUGGGUUAGGUGGUCGGCAAGAAGUGCCGCUGUGCACCUUGGCGAGAAGACGGAAUACCACGUUGACCACCAUGAUUGGCCGAAACUCUCGGAUGCCAGACGCUCCCGACACUUUGGGGAUAAGAGCAAUUAUCCCAUAGUUAAGCCGGGAGAGGUCCAAGACACCGACAUAGUGUUCCUGAAACAUAGCCAUUAUCUCGUCCUUGAUUGAUGGCCAGAAUACCUACAAAAACUUGACCGGCAGACCAUGCAGGCCUGGUACGGAGGAUGGGGUCAUGCCCUUAAUAGCCGCAAAAACCACCUCCUCCAAGAACGGGGCGUGGAGAGCCAAGUUCAUGGCCGCCGAGAUCCGCCGGGCAGCCGGCCAGAUGUCCGAGGCAAGAGAUCCCCCCCUCCCCCGACUAGGCGGAGAGAAGAGUGCUUUAUAGAAGCCACCCACAUGGGCCUAGACCGCGUAGGGUGCUCCCGUAAACAAUCACCGUCCCAGAGAAAUGGAUGGUGUUGCCACGCGGGCGGCAAUUGCCUGGAAGUACGCAGUUGUUUUCAUUAAAGGGACUGUUUGCUGCUUGUGCCAUCUAACUUAUGAAAAGCUAAAAACUUUAUUUUGUUUGUCUGUUAAGAAUUUCAGUGCUCAAAUUGUUAUACGUGUACCAAUUCUUCUAUAACACUUGGCAUUGCUCUAAAAUUUUGUAGCCGAAUGAAAAUAGGAGAACACGUUCGGAAUGAGAGAUCGUCGCACGGAAGAUGGAACAAUUUAACAUUUAACAUAUAAUGAUGUGCAAAAUUGCAUUGUAUAACCAUGCGCUCAAAAUAUGCUAAUAGAAGACCAAGGUUGCCUUCCUCGACUGGAGUCUCAUGGGCUUCAGCAUGCUUGAGUAGAACUGAAUCCGCUGGGCCAACACAGUCAUGUGUAUGAAGUAUGAACUUCAACAAUGUACAGUUCACUCCCGCAGAAAGUCACCUGUUAGAUGGCAAGAUUGAAUUUAGCUGAUAGUGAGAAUGCCGCUUGGAAGAGAUCACCUAAAUGUUGGAUUAUUGUGGGGAUCUUAGCGAAUGAAUUCACCAAUGCCUCACAUUCUAAUCCUACAAUCAGGGCCACUGGGUAGCGGUCAUCGUGGCUUAUAAUGUGCAUUGUCUCCUCUAAGUUAUGUGGUCUCUUAGAAGGUUUUUUCUUUGCGGGUAGGUCUCUUGCAAGGUUGAGUGUCUUAGUCUCUCUUAUCUCCUGAUUUUAUAGACAAGCAACCAAUUUAAUUAAUCGAAUACUCUAGAAUUUAACAACACUGGAGAGCCUUUCUCCAAGAAAAAAGGACUAGCAUUGAAAAGCAUGCAGUGUAUGGUGUACCACGUGGUUCACAAUGCAUUGUGUAUGCAGUUUUUUUCACCUCGAGAAAACCAUAGUCCUUUUUUUUCACGUGGAAGAUAAACCGUGAGUCUGCAGCUGGCCUCUUAUGUUCAAGGCCUUUUUCUUUUGCAGGUAAAAAAAGGGAUGGUUUCUUGUCAUAUUGCUUGACAUUAAGCAAAAUAUCAAGCAAUAUGACAAGAAACUAUUAGUGAUGGUUUGUUGUCAUAUUGCUUGAUAUUUUGUUUUCUACAUUGUAUUAUCUCCUUAUUGAAAUAUUCUGUUUGUCAUGAAGUUAAUAUUUUAAGAUGCAUUUAAUCUUUUUCUGUGAUUAGUACACACCAUCAAAAUCUCUAUUCUCAAAUUUGAGUACUAUUCGAGCCGGUGUUCCAUUCUCGAGGCAUUAAAUGACUUUCCCGCAACUGAAAAUGGCAUGCAGGAGGACCCUGUCAAGUGAGAAAUAGCGGGUAAACGAGCUCCGCCACAACUUUUUCAAUGAUUAGUAAACACCAUCAAAAUCCCUUUCUAUGCUCAAAUUUUUGGACCUAAGAUAUAUGUGGCGGGCGCUAAUAGUGCCCGCCAUAGCUAAGUUCUAGACAUGUUAUUUUUUUGGCAUGGGUUACAAACAUUUAUUUGUGGCGGCGUACAAUCCGACCGUCACUGCUGCCUUAUAAACCAGUGGUGGGCGGUCACAGGUGCCUGCCACUGCUAGCAUUCAUCACGCGGGCAAAUUUGAAAGAGUGUAUGUGUGGCGAGUGCAUCUACAUUGCCGCCGCCGCUGUGCUUUUUGUUAGAGAUAUAUUUGGGAUACUUGUAUUUGGUAGUCUAGUAUUUGUAAUCCGUCUCCUACCUUAUCUCCAGGAGAGGCGUCUUGCCUUCCAAGUCUUGUACUCAAUAUAUACUCGCCCUCGAGGCUCAAUAAUACAUCCAUCAUAUUCCGCAACAAUCCCUCUCUCUCCCUUCUAACAUGGUAUCUAUCACAAGUCGAUCCUAAACUCUAGUCGCCACUGCUUCCGCACCCGCGCACCGCCCCCGGGGCGGUCGGCCUCCAUGACCGCCGCCGGGGGCCGCGCCGCCCGUACCUAGGGUUUGUCCGCCGGCCGUGUUGGCCGGCUGCCCUAGAGAGUCUUUUUUCCCGAUCCUUUGAUCCGGAUUUUCUCUCUCUCGCCGGUCGCCUUGAUCGGCGUCUACUUUUUGCUUUUCCGGUCUAUGUGAUUCGGUUUGCGGCGCCCACCGCCGCCGUCGACCCCGUGCGCCUCUACUCCAAUACCGGCGCGAUUGGCCGGAUUCUUCACAGACCCGGCGGCCUCGCGCGUCAUCCGCGCGUCUGCCCGUCGGUCGCGCCGACUCGGCGGCCUCGCGCGUCGUCCGCGCGUCGGCCCACCGGUCGCCCCGACCCGGCGGCCCUUCACCGCCGCCGUUCGCGCAACGGCCCGCCCGUCGAUCUACGCCGGCCGUCACCGCCCUGCUCCGACCGGGGCUCCUGCAUCACCCCGACCCGGCGGCCUCGCGCCAUGCGGCGGCCAAUCAUAGCCGCCCUGCCGCCCGCCGCCGCCGGCUUCAUCUCGGACUUCGCCGCCACCACGCCUCCACCGAGCGGCGUCCCCGACCUCGGGUGCGAUCUGCUUGAUCACCCGCUCGCCGCCGCGAUCCGCCUCAUCUACGUCGCGCGACCGACCUGGCCCGUCGGUUACGCGCGCCUCCGGAGGUCCCGUGAAGAUCGUCCCCGAGUUCAGCGCACCUCUCCACCGAUCGAACAUCGGGCUGCCGCUGCAUCGCCCCGUCGGGCCGCAGCGCCGCCGCCCCAUGGUUCUUCUCCCGGCUGCACCGACCCGCGUCACCGCUGCGUCACCCCUUCAGGCCGUAGUGCCGCGGCCCGCGGUCCCCCGCCACCCCGAGGGCGGCCGCUCUAGGCCGUCCCGUGGCUGCGUCGACCCUCGUGCCGCCACUGCGUCGCCCCGUCGGGCCGUAGCGAGCGUGGCACGCGGUCCACGCCGCCGUCCCGAGGCCGUCCCCGCGGUUGCACCGACUCGCGAACCGCCGUUGCGUCACCGCUUCAGGCCGCAGCGUCGCGGCCCGCGGUCCCGGCCGCCGCCCCGAGGUCUUCCCGCCGUCCCCCCGACCCGCCUGCCGCCGCUGCGUCGCCCCUUGGGCCGUAGCGCCGCGGCCCGCGGUGCACUCCGCCGUCACCGCGCGUCGACCUCCUGUGGUAUGCACCGCGCCGUCUCCCUUGGCGCGGGAACGCCACCGUCCGCGCCGGUCUUCGUCACGCUGUCAGGGUUCUUAGCCUACUUCGAGCACCGCCGCCGCACUCCUAACCUAGCCGCCGCGGCUACCUCCGUAGCUGCCGCCGCCGCCCGUCCACCCCACUUCGUCUUCGUCCAUAACCAGCUCGUCACCAGCGUCGCCGUCAUCUACCCCGACUGCUUCAUCUACUACGACAACCGCGGGCGAUAUUGGCCCCGCGCCGAUUGGCGCCGCAACCGUCGUCGAUUCCUUCUCUACUGGCCUCUCCGACCUCUUCGACAUGGCGUACAGCUCCUGCAGGUCCCAGUCUACGCAUGCCUGGUGCUGGCAACACCGUCGCGUGCCUUCAUCCACGACGUGUCCCCGGGCCUGCCAAGCCUGGUGCGGCGCUUCGUCAACUUCGUCUUCGACCAUCUACGCAUGCCCGGUGCUGGCAACACCGACGCGUGCCUUCAUCUACGAUGCGUCCCCGGGGUUGGCAAACCCGGCGCGACGCGUCGUCAACACCAUUCUCCUUCAUGGCGCAUCACUACUUCGACACCACUGCGCCCAUGACUAACUCGGCGCCUCCUUGCGCCUGCAGCUCCACGGUGACUCCCUCGACACCGGCUACCCCGACUGGACAUCGACCACGGCGUUCUUCGCACAGCUACCUCGACCACGGCUACACCACCCUACGCUCUUGGCUACAUCGACAUCGGCACAAAGGGAUAUCAUCCGCUUGAGCAACUCCUCGGCUUCCUCUACAGUCAACGCGUCCGCGACGCGACACCGUCCACGACGCUCCCGCUAGGACUGCGGGGGGAUGUCAGUCUGUCGGCUGCUAUUCUCUCCAGUCUAACCGUCCGCGACGCUCCUGUUGUUCGCAACGCUACCGCUACGACUGCGGGGGGAUGUUAGAGAUAUAUUUGGGAUACUUGUAUUUGGUAGUCUAGGAUUUGUAAUCCGUCUCCUACCUUAUCUCCAGGAGUGGCGUCUUGCCCUCCAAGUCUUGUAAUCAAUAUAUACUCGCCCUCGAGGCUUAGUAAUACAUCCAUCAUAUUCACCAAUCCUCUCUCUCCCUUCUAACACUUAUUCCUCUCCUGGGUGUUAUUGGGUACCCACCACUACUACCUCUCUAAAAUAGCAGUGGUGGGUGCCUGACUUCACCCGCCUCUAAUUAGAGGCUACCAAUAAGCCUCUUUCCAGUAGUGGGUGAUUGUUUGGAAUUAAGCACGUCGCCAGUACGGUUCAGGCUUGAAAACCAUUGUUGACUAUGUAUUUUGUGUUGCAUGUAUAUUGGAGUUGUGGCCCAUCUCCUAGUUUUGUAUAGUUGAGGUAGAGGCCUUUUCUGUAAUUAUAUAUACGUGCACCAGCACCCCAUCAAUACAACCAAUAUUGUAUUGUCAAACCAUCUCUCCACAUGAUAUCUAUCGCAAGUCGUUCCUAACCCUAACCUAGCCGCCGCCGCCGCCUCCAUCAUGCCGCCGCCGAUCCCUCCAACUGCCGCCGCCACCCGCCGCCGCCACCGGUUCUCUCCGGCCGCCACCACCGGUUGCCGCCGCUUUCCGCUGCACUAGCCGCCUCCGCCGCCGGUUUGCCUCGGUUUAGUUUCGCUCGCAAGUUUCCGUCGAGACAGUCGCCGGCUAAACACGUACGUACGGGCACGUACGGCCAGAAUCGAUUAAGGUGCCUGCUUGCUUGUCUAACUAGCUUGCACUACGUGUUUUGGCUUCCGGGGAAUACGUGCAAGGUUUCAAAACCAAUACGCCGCAGGUCCUUGCCGCCGCCGCCGCGUUCUAUCCUCUGUGCGCGGCCGCCGCCGCAGAUCCUUGCCGCCGCCGCCACACUCUAUCCUCCUUGUGCCGCCGCCGCAGGACCUUGCCGCCGCCGUGCCAUCCUCCUUGCGCAACCGCCGCACCUCCUGCUGCCGCCGCAUCUCUUGGUCGUCGCAUCUCCCGCAGCCGCUGCACUUCUUCUAUAUCCCCAUUUUUUCUUUAUUUCUUUUCUUUUCAGCCGUUGCCCUUCUCCUUCCUUCAGUAGCAGCCUAGGCUCACGUCCGCGCAGCAUACGGCCAGGCCUAUAGGCACGUUCAUCCAUCCAGCUGUGUGUUCGUGUACUUGCUAGCUAGUACGUGCUUGUGUGCUUAUUAGCCGCGGUUGCCUUUUCCUGCCCUAGCCACCGCCGCCGUCGCUGCGAUGUCUUCUGCCGCGUCGUGUCUCUUCGGCUACAUGUACGCGGACGCGCUGGGUCCCUUCACCACGCCGCAGUUUUUUCCGGCGGGCCAUUCGGCCUACUUCGCCGUGCCGCCGCAGCCGGCCGGUACCGGCUUCGUGGCUCUACUCGCCACGCCGAUGGCCGGCGGCCAUGCUCCGCCCACCGUGAUUCAGCCCUACGGCGGCUUCGGCUCGCUGCCGGUCUCACCGCCAUGGGACCCUACUUCACUGGCUGCACUGCACUCGACCCCAUCAUUGGCGGAUUGGUACCGGCGGCGCUUGGUACAUGGACUCGGGCGCCACCGCCCACAUGACAUCUCAUCCCUGCAUUAUAACCUCCUUCACUCCGGUUCAUACUCCUACUCGCAUCACCGUUGGUAACGGUUCCUCUUUACCUAUCACACAUGUUGGUCGUACUUCGUUUCGUUCCACAUCUACGCCUAUCACUAUGUCUAAUAUUCUUGUUUCUCUUGAUUUAGUUACGAACCUUGUGUCUGUUCGUCGUCUUGCUCGUGAGAAUCCCAUUACCGUUGAAUUUGAUGAUGUCCGUUUUUCUGUGAAGGACGCCCGUACUCGGAUGGUCCUUCACCGUUGCGAUAGUCCUGAUGAGCUCCAUCCGGUGCACUCGUCCGCCACCGCCUCCACCACCCCAGUCGCCCUUGCCGUAGGUGUCGACCUUUGGCAUGCUCGUUUGGGACACCCGAACCCCACCACUUUAUGUCAAAUUCUUAAUAGUUUUUCAUUCUCAUGCAAUAAGAUCGACGACCAUACUUGUGAGGCUUGUCGUCUUGGCAAGCACAUUCGUCUUCCAUUUAGCGCAUCUACCACUAUUUCCACUUUUCCAUUUCAGUUAUUGCAUAGUGAUGUUUGGACAUCCUCGGUUGCAAGUAACACGGGCUACCUAUACUAUUUGGUGAUCUUAGACGAUUUCUCUCAUUAUGUGUGGACAUUUCCACUUCGUCGCAAGUCCGACGCCCUUGCCACACUCACCACCUUUUAUUCCUAUGUCACCACACAGUUCGAUCGUCCCAUCCUUGCAUUACAAAUUGACAACGGAAAAGAGUUUGACAACGUCGCUGUUCGUAACCUUCUAGCCUCCCAUGGUACUAUCUUCCGCCUCACUUGUCCCAACACGUCCCAAUAAAAUGGCCAUGGCGAGCGUAUCCUUCGCACUCUUAAUGACUGCGUCCGCACGUUGCUCUUUCACUCUAACUGAAGGAAAUAUGCCCUAGAGGCAAUAAUAAAGUAUUAUUUAUUUCCUUAUAUCAUGAUAAAUAUUUAUUAUUCAUGCUAGAAUUGUAUUAACCAGAAACAUAAUACACGUGUGAAUACAUAGACAAACAAUGUGUCACUAGUAUGCCUCUACUUGACUAGCUCGUUAAUCAAAGAUGGUUAUGUUUCCUAGCCAUAGACAUGCGUUGUCAUUUGAUUAACGGGAUCACCUCAUUAGGAGAAUGACGUGAUUGACCUGACCCAUUUCGUUAGCUUAGCACCCGAUCGUUUAGUAUGUUGCUAUUGCUUUCUUCAUGACUUAUACAUGUUCCUAUGACUAUGAGAUUAUGCAACUCCCGUUUACUGGAGGAACACUUUGUGUGCUACCAAACGUCACAACGUAAAUGGGUGAUUAUAAAUGUGCUCUACAAGUGUCUCCAAAGGUACUUGUUGGGUUGGCGUAUUUCGAGAUUAGGAUUUGUCACUCCGAUUGUCGGAGAGGUAUCUCUGGGCCCACUCGGUAAUGCACAUCACUAUAAGCCUUGCAAGCAUUGUGACUAAUGAGUUAGUUGCGGGAUGAUGUAUUACGGAACGAGUAAAGAGACUUGCCAGUAACGAGAUUGAACUAGGUAUCGAGAUACCGACGAUCGAAUCUCGGGCAAGUAACAUACCGAUGACAAAGGGAACAACGUAUGUUGUUAUGCGGUCUGACCAAUAAUGAUCUUCGUAGAAUAUGUGGGAGCCAAUAUGGGCAUCCAGGUCCCGCUAUUGGUUAUUGACCGGAGAGGUGUCUCGGUCAUGUCUACAUAGUUCUCGAACCCGUAGGGUCCGCACGCUUAACGUUACGAUGACAGUUUUAUUGAGUUUUGAUGUACCGAAGGAGUUCGGAGUCCCGGAUGAGAUCGGGGAUAUGACGAGGAGUAUCGAAAUGGUCGAGACAUAAAGAUCGAUAUAUUGGACGACUAUAUUCGGACAUCGGAAAAGUUCCGAGUGAUUCGGGUAUUUUUCGGAGUACCGGAGAGUUACGGGAAUUCGUAUUGGGCCUUAAUGGGCCAUACGGAAAAGGAGAGAAAGGCCUCAAAAGGUGGCCGCGCCACUCCCCAUGGUCUGGUCCGAAUUGGACUAGGGAAGGGGGGCGCCCCCUUCCUUCUUUCUCCUUCUCCCUUCCCUUUUCCUACUCCAACAAGGAAAGGAGGAGUCCUACUCCCGGUGGGAGUAGGACUCCCCCCUUGGCGCGCCUCUCCCCUUGGCCGGCCGCCUCCCCCUUGCUCCUUUAUAUACGGGGGCAGGGGGGCACCUCUAGACACACUUAAUAUACGAUAUUUUAGCCGUGUGCGGUGCCCCCCUCCACCAUAUUACACCUCGAUAAUACCGUUGCGGAGCUUAGGCGAAGCCCUGCAUCGGUGGAACAUCAUCAUCGUCACCACGCCGUCGUGUUGACGAAACUCUCCCUUAACACUCGGCUGGAUCGGAGUUCGAGGGACGUCAUCGAGCUGAACGUGUGUAGAACUCGGAGGUGCCGUACGUUCGGUACUUGAUCGGUCGGAUCGUGAAGACGUACGACUACAUCAACCGCGUUGUGAUAACGCUUCCGCUGUCAGUCUACGAGGGUACGUGGACAACACUCUCCCCUCUCGUUGCUAUGCAUCACCAUGAUCUUGCAUGUGCGUAGGAAUUUUUUUUGAAAUUACUACGUUCCCCAACAGUGGCAUCCGAGCCUGGUUUUAUGCGUUGAUGCUAUGCACGAGUAGAACACAAGUGAGUUGUGGGUGAUAUAAGUCAUACUGCUUACCAGCAUGUCAUACUUUGGUUCAGCGGUAUUGUGAGAUGAAGCGGCCCGGACCGACAUUACGCGUACGCUUACGCGAGACUGGUUUCACCGUUGCGAGCACUCGUUGCUUAAAGGUGACUGGCGGGUGUCUGUCCCUUUCACUUUAGUUGAACCGAGUGUGGCUACGCCCGGUCCUUGUGAAGGUUAAAACAGCACCAACUUGACAAACUAUCGUUGUUGUUUUGAUGCGUAGGUAAGAACGGUUCUUCCUAAGCCCGUAGCAGCCACGUAAAACUUGCAACAACAAAGUAGAGGACGUCUAACUUGUUUUUGCAGGUCAUGUUGUGAUGUGAUAUGGUCAAGACAUGAUGUGAUAUAAUUUGUUGUAUCAGAUGAUCAUGUUUUGUAACCAAGUUAUCGGCAACUGGCAGGAGCCAUAUGGUUGUCUCUUUAUUGUAUGAAAUGCAAUCGCCAUGUAAUAGUUUUACUUUAUCACUAAGCGGUAGCGAUAGUCGUAAAAGCAAUAAGUUGGCGAGAUGACAACGAUACUACGAUGGAGAUCAAGGUGUCGCGCUGGUGACGAUGGUGAUCAUGACGGUGCUUCGGAGAUGGAGAUCACAAGCACUGUGCUUCGAAGGUGGAGAUCACAAGCACAAGAUGAUGAUGGCCAUAUCAUAUCACUUAUAUUGAUUGCAUGUGAUGUUAAUCCUUUAUGCAUCUUAUCUUGCUUUGACUGACGGUAGCAUUAUAAGAUGAUCUCUCACUAAAAUUUCAGGAUAAAAGUGUUCUCCCUGAGUAUGCACCGUUGCGAAACUUCUUCGUGUUGAGACACCACGUGAUGAUCGGGUGUGAUAGGCUCUACGUUCAAAUACAACGGGUGCAAAACAGUUGCACACGCGGAAUACUCAGGUUAAACUUGACGAGCCUAGCAUAUGCAGAUAUGGCCUCGGAACACGGAGACCGAAAGGUCGAGCGUGAAUCAUAUAGUAGAUAUGAUCAACAUAGUGAUGUUCACCAUUGAAACUACUCCAUCUCACGUGAUGAUCGGGCAUGGUUUAGUUGAUCUGGAUCACGCAAUCACUUAGAUGAUUAGAGGGAUAUCUAUCUAAGUGGGAGUUCUUAAGUAAUAUGAUUAAUUGAACUUGAAUUUAUCAUGAACUUAGUCCUGAUAGUAUUUUGCAAAUUAUGUUAUAGAUCAAUAGCUCGCGUUGUUGCUUCCCUGUGUUUAUUUUUGAUAUGUUCCUAGAGAAAAAUUAUGUUGAAAGAUGUUAGUAGCAAAGAUACGGAUUGGAUCCGUGAUCUGAGGAUUAUCCUCAUUGCUGCACAGAAAAAUUAUGUCCUUGAUGCACCGCUAGGUGACAGACCUAUUGCAGGAGCUGAUGCAGAUGUUAUGAACGUUUGGCUAGCUCAAUAUGAUGACUACUUGAUAGUUUAGUGCACCAUGCUUAACGGCUUAGAAUCGGGACUUCAAAGACAUUUUGAACGUCAUGGACCAUAUGAGAUGUUCCAGGAGUUGAAGUUAAUAUUUCAAGCAAAUACCCGAGUUGAGAGAUAUGAAGUCUCCAACAAGUUCUAUAGCUAAAAGAUGGAGGAGAAUCGCUCAACUAGUGAGCAUGUGCUCAGAUUGUCUGGGUACUACAAUCGCUUGAAUCAAGUGGGUGUUAAUCUUCCAGAUAAAAUAGUGAUUGACAGAAUUCUCUAGUCACCAUCACCAAGUUAGUAGAACUUCGUUAUGAACUAUAGUAUGUAAGGGAUGACGAAAGUAAUUCCCGAGCUCUUCGCGAUGCUGAAAUCGACGAAGGUAGUAAUCAAGAAAAAGCAUCAAGUGUUGAUGGUUAAAAAAACCACUAGUUUCAAGAAAAGGGCAAAGGGAUAGAAGGGGAACUUCAAGAAGAACGGCAAGCAAGUUGCUGCUCAAGUGAAGAAGCCUAAGUCUGGUCCUAAGCCUGAGACUAAGUGCUUCUACUGCAAAGGGACUGGUCACUGGAAGCGGAACUACCCCAACUAUUUGGUGGAUAAGAAGGAUGGCAAAGUGAACAAAGGUAUAUUGGAUAUACAUGUUAUUGAUGUGUACUUUACUAGUGUUUAUAGCAACCCCUCUGUAUUUGAUACUGGUUCAGUUGCUAAGAGUAGUAACUCAAAACGGGAGUUGCAGAAUAAACAGAGACUAGUAAAAGGCGAGGUGACGAUGUGUGUUGGAAGUAGUUCCAAGAUUGAUAUGAUCAUCAUCGCACACUUCCUGUACUUUCGGGAUUAGUGUUGAUACUAAAUAAGUGUUAUUUGGUGUUUGCGUUGAGCAUGAAUAUGAUUUGAUCAUGUUUAUUGCAAAAUUGUUAUUCAUUUAAGUUAGAGAACAAUUGUUGUUCUGUUUACAUGAAUAAAAACCUUCUAUGGUCAUACACACCAACGAAAAUGGUUUGUUGGAUCUCGAUCGUAGUGAUACACAUAUUCAUAAUAUUGAAGCCAAAAGAUGCAAAGUUAAUAAUGAUAGUGCAACUUAUUUGUGGCACUGCCGUUUAGGUCAUAUUGGUGUAAAGCGCAUGAAGAAACUCCAUGCUGAUGGGAUUUUGGAAUCACUUGAUUAUGAAUCACUUGAUGCUUGCGAUCCGUGCCUCAUGGGCAAGAUGACUAAAACGUCGUUCUUCGGAACUAUGGAGAGAGCAACAGAUUUGUUGGAAAUCAUACAUACAGAUGUAUGUGGUCCGAUGAAUAUUGAGGCUCGUAGUAGGUAUCAUUAUUUUCUGACCUUCAUAGAUGAUUUGAGCAGAUAUGGGUAUAUCUACUUAAUGAAACAAAAGUCUGAAACAUUUGAAAAGUUCAUAUAAUUUCAGAGUGAAGCAGAAAAUCAUCGUAACAAGAAAAUAAAGUUUCUACAAUCUGAUCGUGGAGAAUAGUAUUUGAGUUACGAGUUUGGCCUUCAGUAAAAACAAUGUGAAAUAGUUUCACUAUUCACGCCACCUGGAACACCACAGUGUAAUGGUGUGUCCGAACAUCGUAACCGUACUUUAUUAGAUAUGGUGCAAUAUAUGAUGUGUCUUACCGAUCUACCACUAUCGUUUUGGGGUUAUGCAUUAGAGACAACUGCAUUCACGUUAAAUAGGGUACCAUCUAAAUCCAUUGAGACGACAUCUUAUGAACUGUGGUUUGGCAAGAAACCAAAGUUGUCCUUUCUUAAAGUUUGGGGUUGCGAUGCUUAUGUGAAAAAGUUUCAUCCUGAUAAGUUCAAAACCCAAAUCGGAGAAAUGUGUCUUCAUAGGAUACCCAAAGGAGACAGUUGAGUACACCUUCUAUCACAGAUCUGAAGGCAAGACAUUCGUUGCUUAGUAUGGAUCCUUUCUAGAGAAGGAGUUUCUCUCAAAAGAAGUGAGUGGGAGGAAAGUAGAACUUGAUGAGGUAACUGUACCUGCUCCCUUAUUGGAAAUUAGUUCAUCACUGAAAUCUGUUCCUGUGACUCCUACACCAAUUAGUGAGGAAGUUAAUGAUCAUGAUCAUGGAACUUCAGAUCAAGUUAUUACUGAACCUCGUAGGUCAACCAGAGUAAGAUCCGCACCAGAGUGGUACGGUAAUCCUGUUCUGGAGGUUAUGUUACUAGACCAUGACGAACCUACGAACUAUGAAGAAGCGAUGGUGAGCCCAGAUUCCGCGAAAUGGCUUGAGGCCAUGAAAUCUGAGAUGAGAUCCAUGUAUGAGAACAAAGUGUGGACUUUGGUUGACUUACCCGAUGAUCGGCAAGCAAUUGACAAUAAAUGGAUUGUCAAGAGGAAGACGGACGCUGAUAGUAGUGUUACUAUCUACAAAGCUAGAAUUGUCGCAAAAAGGUUUUGGACAAGUUCAAGGUGUUGACUACGAUGAGAGUUUCUCACUCGUAUCUAUGCUUAAGUCUAUCCGAAUCACGUUAGCAAUUGCCGCAUUUUAUGAAAUAUGGCAAAUGGAUAAACAAAAAUGCAUUCCUUAAUGGAUUUAUUAAAGAAGAGUUGUAUAUGAUGCAAACAGGAGGUUUUGUCAAUCCUAAAAGUGCUAACAAAAUAUGCAAGCUCCAGCGAUCCAUCUAUGGACUGGUGCAAGCAUCUCGGAGCUGGAAUAUACGCUUUGAUAAGUCGAUCAAAGGAUAUAGUUUUAUACAGACUUGCAGUGAAGCCUGUAUUUACAAGAAAGUGAGUGGGAGCACUACAGCAUUUCUGAUAAGUAUAUGUGAAUGACAUAUUGUUGAUCGGAAAUAAUGUAGAAUUAUUCUGCAAAUCAUAAAGGAGUGUUUGAAAGGAGUUUUUCAAAGAAAGACCUCGGGGAAGCUGCUUACAUAUUGAGCAUCAAGAUCUAUAGAGAUAAAUGAAGACGCUUGAUAAGUUUUUCAAUGAGUACAUACCUUAACAAGAUUUUGAAGUAGUUCAAAAUAGAACAGUCAAAGAAAGAGUUCUUGCCUGUGUUACAAGGUGUGAAAUUGAGUAAAGACUCAAAGCCCGACCACAGCAAAAGAUAGAAAGAGAAUGGAAGUCAUUCCCUAUGCCUUGGCCAUAGGUUCUAUAAAGUAUGCCAUGCUGUGUACCAGAUCUAUUGUAUACCCUACACUGAUUUUGGCAAGGGAGUACAAUAGUGAUCUAGGAGUAGAUCACUGGACAACGGUCAAAAUUAUCCUUAGUGGAAUAAGGAUAUGUUUCUCGAUUAUGGAAGUGACAAAAGGUUCGUCGUAAAGGGUUACGUCGAUGCAAGUUUUGACACUAAUCUAGAUGACUCUAAGUCUCGUUCUAGAUACAUAUUGAAAGUGGGAGCAAUUAGCUAGAGUAGCUCCGUGCAGAGCAUUGUAGACAUAGAAAUUUGCAAAAUACUUACGGGUCUGAAUGUGACAGACCCGUUGACUAAAAUUAUCUCACAAUCAAAACAUGAUCACACCUUUGUACUCUUUGGGUGUUAAUCACAUAGCGAUGUGAACUAGAUUAUUGACUCUAGUAAACCCUUUGAGUGUUGGUCACAUAGAGAUGUGAACUAUGGGUGUUAAUCACAUGGUGAUGUGAAUUAUUGAUGUUAAAUCACAUGGCGAUGUGAACUAGAUUAUUGACUCUAGUGCAAGUGGGAGACUGAAGGAAAUAUGACCUAGAGGCAAUAAUAAAGUAUUAUUUAUUUCCUUAUAUCAUGAUAAAUGUUUAUUAUUCAUGCUAGAAUUGUAUUAACUGGAAACAUAAUACAUGUGUGAAUACGUAAACAAAUAGUGUGUCACUAGUAUGCCUCUACUUGACUAGCUCGUUAAUCAAAGAUGGUUAUGUUUCCUAGCCAUAGACAUGAGUUGUCAUUUGAUUAACGGGAUCACCUCAUUAGGAGAAUGACGUCAUUGACCUGACCCAUUCCGUUAGCUUAGCACCCGAUCAUUUAGUAUGUUGCUAUUGCUUUCUUCAUGACUUAUACAUGUUCCUAUGACUAUGAGAUUAUGCAACUCCCAUUUACCGGAGGAACACUUUGUGUGCUACCAAACGUCACAACGUAAAUGGGUGAUUAUAAAGGUGCUCUACAGGUGUCUCCAAAGGUACUUGUUGGGUUGGCGUAUAUCGAGAUUAGGAUUUGUCACUCCGAUUGUCGGAGAGGUAUCUCUGGGCCCACUCGGUAAUGCACAUCACUAUAAGCCUUGCAAGCAUUGUGACUAAUGAGUUAGUUGCGGGAUGAUGUAUUACGGAACGAGUAAAGAGAUUUGCCAGUAACGAGAUUGAACUAGGUAUCGAGAUACCGACGAUCGAAUCUCGGGCAAGUAACAUACCGAUGACAAAGGGAACAACGCAUGUUGUUAUGCGGUCUGACCGAUAAAGAUCUUCGUAGAAUAUGUGGGAGCCAAUAUGGGCAUCCAGGUCCCGCUAUUGGUUAUUGACCGGAGAGGUGUCUCGGUAAUGUCUACAUAGUUCUCGAACCCGUAGGGUCCGCACGCUUAACGUUACGAUGACAGUUUUAUUGAGUUUUGAUGUACCGAAGGAGUUCGGAGUCCCGGAUGAGAUCGGGGAUAUGACGAGGAGUCUCGAAAUGGUCGAGACGUAAAGAUCGAUAUAUUGGACGACUAUAUUCGGACAUCGGAAAGGUUCCGAGUGAUUCGGGUAUUUUUCGGAGUACCGGAGAGUUACGGGAAUUCGUAUUGGGCCUUAAUGGGCCAUACGGGAAAGGAGAGAAAGGCCUCAAAAGGUGGCCGCGCCCCUCCCCAUGGUCUGGUCCGAAUUGGACUAGGGAAGGGGGGCGCCCCCUUCCUUCUUUCUCCUUCUCCCUUCCCUUUUCCUACUCCAACAAGGAAAGGAGGAGUCCUACUCCCGGUGGGAGUAGGACUGCCCCCUUGGCGCGCCUCUCCCCUUGGCCGGCCGCCUCCCCCUUGCUCCUUUAUAUACGGGGGCAGGGGGGCACCUCUAGACACACUUAAUAUACGAUAUUUUAGCCGUGUGCUGUGCCCCCCCCCCACCAUAUUACACCUCGAUAAUACCGUUGCGGAGCUUAGGCGAAGCCCUGCGUCGGUGCAACAUCAUCAUCGUCACCACGCCGUCGUGCUGACGAAACUCUCCCUUAACACUCGGCUGGAUCGGAGUUCGAGGGACGUCAUCGAGCUGAACGUGUGUAGAACUCGGACGUGCCGUACGUUCGGUACUUGAUCGGUCGGAUCGUGAAGACGUACGACUACAUCAACCACGUUGUGAUAACGCUUCCGCUGUCGGUCUACGAGGGUACGUGGACAACACUCUCCCCUCUCGUUGUUAUGCAUCACCAUGAUCUUGCGUGUGCGUAGGAAUAUUUUUUGAAAUUACUACGUUCCCCAACACUAACGUGCCUCCCCGGUUUUGGUCGGACGCUCUCACCACCGCCACCCUCCUCAUAAACAUCUGCCCGUGUCGCCCACGCUGGAACUAUGCCCCUCACCAUCUGCUCUUUGGUGCGCCCCCAUCUUAUGAUGGCCUUCGCAUCUUUGGCUGUCUCUGCUAUCCUAGCAUCGCCGCCACUGCGCCUCAUAAGCUUGCACCAUGCUCCGUCGCUUGCAUCCUCCUCGGCUACCCACCUAACACUAAAGGCUACCGCUAUUACGACCCUAUCUCACAUCGUGUAUUCACCUCCCGACACGUUUACUUUGAUGAGAAGGUGUUUCCCUUUCUGCAACAUGUACCUCUCGUCGCCCCAUUGCCGCCGGCGACCGGCGGCUCUUCGGCGACCCCGUCAGGUGGACGGCCCCGCUCGGCUCUUGGACCGCCUCCGGGCUUUGACGGUUCUCGCGCCGUGGGACGAGCUGCGCCAAGCGCCCCCACGACACCCUCGCCGUCACCGCUGGCCUCGCCGCCGGCUCCCUCCCCGGUCUCCUCGGGCGCUGCCGCCUCGCCGGUGUCUUCGCCCGCGGCCUUGCUGGCACCCUCGCCGGCCGCCUCGCCGCCCCCGCCGGCCUCAGCUGCCCCCUCGCCGGCUGCUGGCUUGUCCGUCGCCGCCGUCUCGCCCGCCGCUGCGGCGGGCCCUGCCGCCGCCGCUGCCCCGCCUCUUGGCGUGAUGACUCGCGCCAGCGCUGGUGUGCUCUGGCCGAGCACACGCUACUCCUCCGACGAGUAUGUGUGCGCCCCCUCGACUUCGACGCCAUCACCCAUCCCCACCUCCGCUCGCGCUGCCCUUCGGGAUCCCCACUGGCUUGCAGCAAUGUAGGAGGAGUUCGACGCCCUACAGCACAACCGCACGUGGCAGCUUGUCCCGCGACCCCCUCGUGCCAACGUCAUCACUGGCAAGUGGGUGUUUCGACACAAGACUCGCCCAGACAGUUCUCUCGAGCGCUACAAGGCUCGGUGGGUGGUUCGUGGAUUUCGGCAGCGUGUGGGCGUGGACUUCACCGAGAGCUUCGCCCCGGUUGUUAAACCGGUCACGAUCCGCACCGUGCUCCAGUUGGCGAUCUCGCGCGCCUAGCAUGUGCACUAGCUGGAUGUCUCCAACGCCUUCUUGCAUGACCAUCUUGCCGAGCAAGUGUUCUGUGAGCAGCCCACUGGCUUCGUCGACGCCGAGCACCCAAACUUUGUGUGCCUGCUUUCCCGUUUUCUUUACGGGUUGAAGCAGGCGCCUCGGGCUUGGUACCAGCGUAUCGCAGCCUUCCUGCAGUCUCUGGGAUUUCGGUCCGCUCGCUUCGAUGCCUCACUCUUCGUGUAUCAUCAGGGAGCUGACACUGCAUAUCUGCUGCUCUAUGUCGACAACAUCAUCCUCGCGGCGUCCGCCCCCGAUCUCCUUCAACGGCUGAUUGCUCGUCUUCGUGAUGAGUUCGCCCUCAAGGACUUGGGGCCUCUGCACUACGUCCUCGGCAUCAAGGUGGUCCGACGGACUGACGGCUUCCUUCUACAUCAGCAGAAGUACGCCCACGAGCUCCUGGAGCGUGCCGGUAUGCUUAACUACAAGCCGGCGCCCACCCCCGUCGACACGAAGGCGAAGGUCUCUGCUUGGGAGGGGUCUCUCGCGUCCGAUGCAGCGUUCUAUCGCUCCAUUCUUGGUGCUUUAUAGUACUUGACGCUCACUCUACCCGACCUGCAGUACGCUGUCCAGCAGGUGUGCCUCCACAUGCACGCUCCGUGUGACUCCCACUGGACCUUGGCGAAGUAUAUUCUCUGUUAUAUAUGCGGCACCAUGUCUUUGGGACUCACGCUGACGGCCUCCGCCUCCACCGACCUUGUGGCCUACUCGGAUGCCGAUUGGGCUGGCUGCCCCGACACUCGACGCUCCACGUCAGGAUACUGCGUCUACCUUGGGCCCUCAUUGAUCUCUUGGUCAUCGAAGCGGCAGCCCACUGUCUCCCGCUCCAGCGCCGAGGCAGAGUAUCGCGCCGUGGCUAAUGCCGUGGCCUAGUGCUCUUGGAUCCGUCAGCUGCUCCAGGAGUUGCUUUGUGAUGUUCACAAGGCCACUCUUGUCUACUGCGAUAACGUCAGCACGGUCUACCUUUCCGCCAACCCGGUGCACCAUCGACGUAUGAAGCAUAUUUAGCUCGAUAUUCACUUCGUGCGAGAGCACGUUGCCCUUGGCCGUGUUCGGGUUCUUCACGUGCCGACGUCGCAACAGUUUGUUGAUGUGAUGACUAAGGGAUUGCCUACUUCCGUCUUCAAGGAGUUUCGGUCNNNNNNNNNNNNNNNNNNNNNNNNNNNNNNNNNNNNNNNNNNNNNNNNNNNNNNNNNNNNNNNNNNNNNNNNNNNNNNNNNNNNNNNNNNNNNNNNNNNNNNNNNNNNNNNNNNNNNNNNNNNNNNNNNNNNNNNNNNNNNNNNNNNNNNNNNNNNNNNNNNNNNNNNNNNNNNNNNNNNNNNNNNNNNNNNNNNNNNNNNNNNNNNNNNNNNNNNNUUGUGUUGCAUGUAUAUUGGAGUUGUGGCCACCUCCUAGUCUUAUAUAGUUGAGGUAGAGGUCUUCCCUGUAAUUAUAUAUACGUGCACCAGCACCCCAUCAAUACAACGAAUAUUGUAUUGUCAAACCAUCUAUCCACAACCAUCACCAUAUCCGUAUAAGAUUUGUAGUAAACUAGGUUACCUACUAUAUGUACCAACAUGUACACCUGAAAUCUUUAGGCCAGAUCAUACCAAUUUAAAGUAAGGUCAACUCCAACGCACGACUGCAUUUGGUCCAUCUCUGUCCGUUUGGGUCAGAAAAAUUGCGGCCCAACACGCCGAGGCAAAUGGACGGGCUUUCGUUUCUUUCUGUCCCUGUCCGCCCGCGACCGAUUUUCGACCCAAAUUUGAGCCAAGUUUGGUUAAAAACGGAAAGGGUGUGGAUGCACCCGACGCCCGCCCUUGUCCUCACCACGGCCGGCCUAUCGGGGGCACUUCCUCCCAAUUCGCCCCUUCCCUCCCAAAACCCUCCCGCAUUGGCCACCACGGCAAAACCCUACCGUUGUUGCCAUCCAGGCUGCCACUGCUGCCCGUCCCGUGUGCCCGAAGAGGAAGAAGCCCAAGAAGGUGCUCACGCGAGAGGAGACGACCCGAGAAUCAGCGAAGAGGGUUGGCCGUAGAACUAGGGAUGCAUAAAGGAAAGCUGUCGUCAAUGCCGCCACCAUGCAAUAGACCGCCGCUGCUCAAGAGAACACGGCCAUCGACGCCAAGGCCAUGCAACAGGCGAUGUAGCGGGCCCUACUCCUGCUUGGGUUUAGUCUUCCCACAUCGACCAUUGUUACGGCCAUCGCCAUGUCCACGGCUAGCAACGGCUCAUCAGUUGGUCACCCUCCACAGGGUCGCUGCGCGCAUUCAGAACACCGUCGACGCGUGGGCUCCAUCCCCGACAGGACACAACAGUGACCCGCAUCUCCACCUUGCCGGAAGGUAUUGUGAUAGCACCGGCCACCCCCACGCCCACAGCAAUCAUUGACCUCAAUGCCACACCCGUGUCCGACACCGGCCAAUCGGCUACCAGGAUGCAAAAGAAGCGGGCAUGGGCGAUUCGUGUGACCAACCUUCCUGAUGCCUGCAACCUGUUCGAGGGAACGUCAAAGCAUGAUGACCCGACCUACUACAAAGAUUUCAUGGAGAAUAUCAUCUUCGAGGGUGGUGGCCAAGGCUACGAUGCCGAGGAGACCCAAAGCCAGGAUGACCAUGACCAAGAUGAAGGUGCCAAAGACUUUGACACCAACCAAGAAGCCACCGACGGCAAAGGCGAGCAAUGGCAUGAAUACAUGCAUUGCGAAGAGGAGAAGAUGGCAUAGACAUUGAGGAGGAGCCAUUGUUUGUCGAUGAGCUCACUCAAUAAGCCAAUAUACAAAGGAGGAGGUGGCAAAGCAUUCGGACAGGAGCAUACACCAAAGAUGAGCACAAGUUGAUUUGCGAAGGUUAAAUGGAAAAAAGGCAAGAUCCCAAGAUCGACGCCGAGCAAAAGAGAGUUGUUUUUUGGUGAGAGCUCAUGUAUAAUUCCAUGAACGUAGGAAGUUCCCGCCCUACAAUGCAUCGGUGGAUGAGUGGUUUACAAGGACAAAGAGACAAAUGCGAUCGCUUGGUUUUCUGCUUUUAGGGUGCCUGCUACAAAUAAAACUACAGAUGGCGUGCGUUGAGUUGCAAAACCGAUGUCCUACAAAAUAAACAAUAGAAGUUGUAAUAAAAUAUUGGUAAAUCGCGAACCAACCUGUGGUUGGAUGGUUAGGUGGCCAGUGAUAUCUCUAGUCCACCAGGGUUCAUGUCCUGGUGCUCGCAUUUGUUCCUGAAUUUAUUUCAGGAUUUUGGGCAACUAUGAAUGUAGACACCGAGGCCACAAUCGGUAAGGACAAAAAGUAAGAUAAGAGACACAUGGGAUGUCAUGUUGAAAUAUAGAACGUGGAAUUGUGCUGGGAGGGGUUUAUCCAUUUUUUCACGAAAAGGGGAGGGGUUUAUCCUUGAGCCAUUAUUAGGCUAGGGGUGCGUGGUCUUUUUUUCCAUUGCAACGUACAUGCCUUUUUGCUACUAACUUAACAAUCAAGACUACAUCUAACAUUAUUUCCCGUGAUGAACAUAAAUGGUGCAGUUUGUAUACUAUUUACUUGCACUUUCCUAGCAGAUUUCUCCUUGGGUCAAGAUUUAAGUUGCAGAACAAAAAUUGAAGGUUGUAACAAUUUCUAUCUAUAAGCAGGUACUAUGAGGAUGAUAUAUUUGUAGAGCGCUCGCUCAUGUCGCCUCCAGGGGGCGACUCGGGCGCCCCAACCGCCACAGCCCUCGACCUCCGUCCUUCCCUUCUUCCCCGCCGCCGCCCGAGGAGGCCGGCAAGCGAAGCUCGCCCGGCGAACAGCGGACAGCGGGCCCACCUCCUUUCUUCAUGAGGGGAUCCUUUGGCCGAGAUGCGUCAGCGUCCCUGGGCUACGGCAUGGAGGCGGAGUUGGCGCGCUAAGCGUCAACCAUAUGGGAUCCCGGCGACACUGCGGGGGCUGGCGGCGGCGGAUCUAGGGUUUCCUACCCCAGAUCAGUUCUCCUUCGGGUGGUCAGGCUCGGGCGCAAUCCGGCGGCCUGUAACGGUGGUGGGCGCUCGCGCUGGCUGUCCUCCUUCACCAAUGUGAUUGGGGGCGGCUAAAGGCGUUAGGGUGAUGCCGGGUCCGAGCACGGUGGUGGUACCAUCUGAAGGAAAUAUGCCCUAGAAGCAAUAAUAAAGUUUUUAUUUUAUAUUUCCUUAUUCAUGAUAAAGGUUUAUUAUUCAUGCUAGAAUUGUAUUGAUCGGAAACUUAAAUACAUGUAUGAAUACAUAAACAAAUACCGUGUCCCUAGUGAGCCUCUACUAGACUAGCUCGUUGAUCAAAGAUGGUUAAGGUUUCCUAACCAUAGACAUGUGUUGUCAUUUGAUAACGGGAUCACAUCACUAGGAUAAUGAUGUGAUGGACAAGACCCAUACGUUAGCUUAGCAUAAUGAAUGUUCAGUUUUAUUGCUAUUGCUCUUCAUCUCAAAUACAUAUUCCUUCAACUAUGAGAUUAUGCAACUCCCGGAUACCGGAGGAAUGCCGUGUGUGCUAUCAAACGUCACAACGUAACUGGGUGAUUAUAAAUAUGCUCUACAGGUAUCUCCGAAGGUGUUUGCUGAGUUGGCAUAGAUCGAGAUUAGGAUUUGUCACUCCGAGUAUCGGAAAGGUAUCUCUGGGCCCUCUCUGUAAUACACAUCAUAAGCUUGCAAGCAAAUGACUAAGGAGUUAGUCACGUGGUGAUGUAUUACGGAACGAGUAAACAGACUUGCCGGUAAUGAGAUUGAACUAGGUAUGAAGAUACCGACGAUCGAAUCUCGGGCAAGUAACAUACCAAUGGACAAAGGGAAUUACGUAUGUUUUCAUAACUGUUCGACCGAUAAAGAUCUUCGUAGAAUAUGUAGGAGCCAAUAUGGGCAUCCAGGUUUCGCUAUUGGUUAUUGACCGGAGAGGUGUCUCGUUCAUGUCUACAUAGUUCUCGAACCCGUAGGGUCCGUACGCUUAACGUUCGAUGUGGAUUUGGUAUAAUAUGAGUAUGUGGUUUGGUGAACGAAUGUUGUUCGGAGUCCAGGAUGUGAUCACGGACAUGACGAGGAGAUCCGGAAUGGUCCAGAGGUAAAGAUAGAUAUAGAGUACGAUGGUAUUUGGUCUCCGGAAUAGUUUCAGAAUGCAGCGGGAAGUAAUCGGAAGGCCGGAAGGGGUUCCGGAGGUACCGGGAGAGUAUUGGGCCUUAGUGGGCCAAGUGGAAGGGGCCACAUGGGCUGGUGUGCCCCCUUUAGGGUAGCCACAUCUAAUACAUGGUGAUGGUGGGUGCCACCCCCUCUUACCAUAUCCCGGAAAAGGGAGGAAGGAAAGAAGGGGGCGCCUCUCCCCUUUCCUUCCCCCUUGUGCGAUUAUUUGGCAGGGGGGGCGCACCAAAGGGAGGAGCCCUAGGGCUGCCGCCACACCUGUUGGGGCGCCCUAGGGGCUGCCUCAUCCCCUCCCACACUUAUAUAUAUGUGGGGAGGGGUGCCACACAGUACACAACUUAUUCCACGCCGUGUGUCGGCACCCGUCCGCCUCUAGUUUACUCAUCCUCUCUAGAUCGUCACAGUGCUUAGGCGAAGCCCUGCGGGAUUGCUUCACCACCACCGUUACCAUGGCAUUAUGCUGACGGAACUCAUCUACUACCUCGCCCCGCUUGCUGGAUCAAGAUGGCGAGGACGACACCGAGCUGAACGUGUGCAGAAUGCGGAGGUGCCGUGCGUUCGGUACUUGAUCGGGCGGAUCGUGAAGGUGUACGACUACAUCAACCGCCUUGUAUAAACGCUUCAGCUUACUGUCUAUGAGGGUACGUAGACACACUGUCCCCCUUGUUGCUAUGCAUCUCCAUGGAUAGAUCCGUGUGCGUAGACAAUUUUUUGUUUUCUGUGACAGCCUGGUUUUUGCCCUCUUUUCUUUUUCUGAUUUUUAUUGCCAUUUAAUUUGAACUUGGGUUUUCAAUCAACUCAGUUGGACUUAAAACACUUGGGAAUACCUUUUAUUUUCACCAAAGUGGCCCAUCUCUCUCUCAAACCAUCAUUUCCUCUCUGAUAUAUCCCAAAAUGAUCCUAGGAAUAUUUUUCAUAAAUGAAAAAUAUUCAUUUUCUCUUCAAAACCCCACUUCAGCAAAAUAUGCUCCAAAGCAACCAUCAUUUUCUUAGCCCACAAAAAUCUGAGAAAAUUCCCAAAUAUUCUUUGAACCUUGGCACACAUCACUGUGCAAAAAUAUGGCAUAUGUUUUUGGAAUAUUUUUGCUGCAGAAAAUUAUUUCUGUUCUGAUGAGAAAAUGCAGUUUCUACAGGAAGUGCAUUUUUCCUUGAUCUAAUGGAGCUGAAAUUCUUACGGCUUCAUUAACCUCCUAAGAAACUACUAACCACCAAAAAUCAGCCCUAAACUCUUUCUGGUUUACUCACAGUUAACCUCACAAGUUACUGACCAGAAACUUGCUAGGAAAAAACCAACUCACACAGAGCUAUUGUGACCAACUCAAACCCGUGGAGUGACUCAAACCAUCAAGGACUACAUGCCACACAUGAAUUUAAGACAAGUCGUGGCUCUAUGCCAGAGUUCGCGUGGUGACCACGCGUGUGCACCAUGCCAACGUGCUUGUCGACGCGCUCUGGAUGUCGCCUACGGCUCUGUUUCGCGCGUGCUCGCUUCCUACCCCGUCGCGCCUUGCCAAACUUCGCCACAAUCACCGUCCUAAUGCCCUUAUCUCCCCCUGGCACUCGCCGACGCUGGAGCUCGCCGCAACGAGCACGGGCACGACGCGGCCAAUCCAACAGUGCGCUCGUGCCCACUGUGCUCGUCGCCACAUGAGUCCUGUUCUCGUCUCCGCUCGCCCACAGUGGCCGCGUGAUCCAUGGCGUCUUCUCCCCAUCUCACUCACGCCAAUCGUCGCUGGGCGCCGAUUCCAGAGAACUCCGGCGGAGCCCCGAGCCCCUCUCCUCCCUCGCCUAUAUAUACGGCCCUCCCCAGCCUCUCCGAGAAUCACCACACACUCAUACAUCCCUCACAACGCCGUAGAUAUCCGCAGCCCGGCCGGGCAGGCCUCGGGCCGCCGUCCUCGAGGUCGAGCUCGCCGGCAAUCCCCUCUGUUCGCCUCCACCCAUCCAGCCACUCUCGAGCUCAUGCAACUUCUCCGGUGCCUCCGUGGUGCUUCACUGGUGCCCACUGACCCGGUUGGAGCCCCUCAAAUCGCCUCCCUCCACCAUGUUCUUCAACUCUGGCUAGACCCGACCGCAGCCGCCGCUUGUGAGCUUGAUUCCGAGCUGCUCCGGCCAUCUCUCGUCGAGCCACGGGUACAAGCAGGUGCGCCUCGACCCCUAUCUCUUUCUAUCCCUCUGGAUCUAGCCAAUGACCCCUCCUCGCCGGCAUGAGCUCCGGCGAAGCACCGCCACCCCUUUGUUUCUCUCCCUCCUCCUCCACACCUGACCGGUGGGGACCGUUGUCAACCUCUCCACUCUUGCCCGAAGCGGUACGAGUGGAGGCGUAUUUUGAAAAUACGCCAUCAACGUCACCCCCUGUUUUCUGUUUUAUUCAAAUUUAAUUCAAAUUUGGACCACCCAUAACUUUUAAACCAUAAGUCCAAAUGAAUUGAUUCUUUUUGCAUUGUGUUUAUUUUGAAAAGUUCUAGCAGCACACCUAAAUGUAGAUUUUUCUCUGCUGUCUAGAAUUUCUGGUGAUUUUUAGAGUCAUUCUUGAUAUUUUCUUUCUUUGUUUUUAAAUGCUUUCAGAGGGAGAAGCUUGUCUUGAGGAUCACCAGGAGGAGUGUGAACCUCCUCUACACUAAGGCAAGCCACACCAACAUUUACAUGGUGUCAUUUCAAUAUUUGUGAUUUUUCAACUUGAGUAUGAGUUAUUUCAUACAUUUAAAAAUUAUUUAAAUAAAUAUUGAUUUUGCUAGUUACUUGUUCUGCUUAAAAAUACUAGAUUCCAGUAGUGUGAUGAUGUCUAAGUUAGUAUGAGUUAGUAGAAGUAACUUUUGCUUAUGUGAUAAUGACAUGGUUAUGACACGACUAGCACCGGUAUUAUUUUUAUUAAGAAAGAAGUUGAUUCUACUAAGUGAUAUCAUGACUAAAAAUGAUGAGUAUCAAGAACCAGUAAGAUCAGUAUGUUGAUGAUGGCUAGUGCAAGUAUAGAUUUAAUGAUGUUGAUACGUUUACUUGUAGUGGUAUGUAAUGCAUGUUGGAUGGUUGCAUAUUCAUGGCAUAUCAUGACACCCAUUAUUUUUAUUUCUAGUUAAACCUGAUGUUAAUUCAACUAGAACAUAACUUUGAUCGGGUCAUGGUGCCACUGAAUCGAGUUUUUCCCAGUGCAACCACAUUUGCCUUUAUGGGAAGGCCUUUAUUCGGUCUGUUGUCAUGCCUCUGGUCGGUACCUCCAAUGAGGGAAGGUUAUGUGCGAGCGGUACCCUGGCCCGGUAAGCAGACAUAACCUUGUGUGCCCGUUUGUAUGGUACCUUGUCCCUGUUUUGGACCAUUUAUGUUUUGCCACGACGGUGGCCGUUGAUGCCUUUGGUAGGCACGGGGCCACCCAAGACUUAGCCAAGUGGGGAGUGAGUCGGAGUGGCCAGGAGAGUGUCAUCGCAAAGGGUGGGUUUCGUCGGAAUGCCAUUGGUCCACCCGCGCGAGGCCAUGGAUUCCGUGGUGUGGGUACAACGCGCUACCUCUGCAAAGUGUAUUUAAUCUAUCGAUAGCUGCAUCCUCGGUUACAGACACAACUCGGGAGUAGGUCACUCCAUGGAUCAACAUUUAUAAGUAAUCAUGCACACUAAUGAUAAUCACUUGGCACUGUUUGAAACAUGAUGGUUGACAAAUUAUGAUGAUGGUGGAGACCAAAGUGUUGGUUUCUUUUGUGAUCCGAGAAAGAUCACAGUUUGGUUACAAGAUAACCCGUUCGGUAAGAAAGUCCGAGUGACUUGGUGCACGAGUUGUUUUCACUGCAUUAGUAGUAUGAUUUUGCAUUGCAUUUAAUUUGAUUAAAUAUCAUGAUAUGGUUUGACAUUAUGCUUAUGAUUGUUGUGAGCUUGCAAGUACAUUCAAUGUACUGACCUGGCGUGUCAUGCCAGAUUUCAGGAAAGUUUCGUUUGAUCGAUGUGCUGCCCGAGUCUAGAUCAUGUCCACAUCGGUGUCCCUGUGAUAUGGAGUCCCGCUUCUUUUUUGUUCCGCUGCCGCGUAGUUGCCGUGAUCGAGGCCCCUUUAUAUUCACUAAUGAAUGUACAUAGUGUUCAGCCGCACCGUGUGUGCCGCUUAGCCUCGCUACUUGAUGUAACAUCGAACUAUGUUCCGCUCGUAUCAAUAAAGCGGUUGUUUUCUAUACCAAGAUGUUGUGUGUUGCCAGAAGACUUGAUCUUUCGGCUGGCAAUGCAAGGUAAACCGGUUGCUCUGAGCCGGGGUGCCACAACGCUUGGUAUCAGAUCCGUGCUGACUGUAGGACACGCUGGACCACCGACGUGUUAAUUGAACGUUAGUUAGGUUAGAAUUUGAGUGCCGGUAGUGUUUGUAUGUGAUUGUUGCCUUGCGUUCACUUGCUUUAUUAUUAUUAUUUCUAAUCGGCUAAUGGUCGUGAGUGUAGAUGGCUCCAGUGCCGUACCCGCGCUAGUUGGAGCUGCUACCGUACACGUCGCCGCACCUUCUUCGGAAUGUUUGGCAGCGACUCUACCCUCACGGUGACGACCCAGUGUAUCGGGUGUACCGGGAGCGUCUAACCGACUCAGUAUUCGAGUAUCACGCCAUGGUUACUUUGCGCGCCAGUUCAGCCUCAGGCUCUUACACCCGUACCUCUAGGAGCGGUUUCGCUUCCAUCACCACUCAGGCUGUCCAGUUUGCUGCGUUUGAGGUCCUCGUUGAGCUGCGCUAUAACGAGAUCCAGAUGUAGACCCACCCAGGUUUCCACUACUAUCCAUCCCUGUACGACGAUGGUCGUGUCCAUUUCCCUAUCAUUGAUCCGGCGGCCGAUAGCGCUGCUAUCCAUUUUUCUCGCUAUAUCACUACUAGUUACCUUCUGAUUCACGAGCUGGCUCGAGAGCUGACUCGUGCUCGCACUGCUUUAGUAGCCGCUAGGUCCUAUCCACUCCCCCGUCUAUGGGGUUUACUCCUUAUAUUGCACCCGGUUCUAGCUCGCUUGUUCCCCCCGUUACUCCUCCGAGUAGCUUGGGCACCUUGACCGUGACUCCCCAUAGUGCCCCUACUGAGUGGGCUUCUCUUCUCGCCACCCCCGCAGCUCCUAUGCUCCAGCCUCAUUCCGCACCUGCCCCUGAGGGAGAACCAUCGAGGCAGCGUCGUCGUGUAAACUUUAACCCGGAGGUCUCGGUUAACGUCGUCAGUUCAGGAUCUGAGUCCGCUUCAGGAGAGGACCCAGCUGGACCAGCAGACCACUAGAGCGUCUGAGUACCGGCAGUUGUCAUGUUGAUGUACGGAUGUUGUCGUACGAGUCAUGAUGUUCCGUUUCAUGUAUGAGAGUAGUCGAACUGGUCAUGAUGUUUAUCUUUCAUGUAUGAGUCUAUGUAUAAUUAUGUUGGAACAUUUGUAUUCGCUUUGUUUUUUGCGGUUUUCCUUCUUUUUCUCGGAUUUGUCGUUGGCUUUUCCCUACUAUUUUGGAUGCUGCUCAUCACGGUUGCUUUAUAUUGGGGAAACCAAAUAAAAGGAUGAUGCGGCGAGGCAGCAGCAGACACGCUUGUGAGGAUGUCCCUGUUCGCCGCUCAACACGACAGGAAGGGCAUUCCCCCGAGCCGUACAAUCCACCACCGCCUCACUCGCCACAUCCGCCCUCCACUGAACAAAUUAUGCGCAUGUUUGAAGAAAGAAGGAAUAACAAUCUGAUCGAAUUAUCGAAAAGUGUAGAAGCUAUGGUUGGGCAGAAUGGAAAUCAAAACGGUCAUCACUCAAAGCUGUCAGAUUUUCAGAGAACCAAGCCUCCUAGUUUCAAUCAAGUUAUCGAUCCAUUGGAAGCCGAUGAUUGGUUAAGAAGUAUUGAGAGAAAGCUUGAGAUUGCUUGUACUGAAGAAGAUGACAAGCUUCCGUUCGCUACGCAUUACCUCGAAGGAGCUGCCGCUAUAUGGUGGGAUAAUGCUCAAGCCAUGUGGCUUGCAGACGAAGAAAUCACUUGGACUAAAUUCAAGGACCAUUUCCCCAAAUAUCAUAUUCCUGCUGGUAUUAUGAAGGUCAAGCAGCGUGAAUUCCUCGCACUCACCCAAGGAAGCCUGUCUGUUAGUGAGUAUCUGCAUAAGGUCAAUCAUUUGGCCCCUUAUUCUCUCUAUGAUGUGGCCACAGAAGAAAGAAAGGUCGACAGAUUUCUUGGAGGACUAAACCAGCACCUCAGAUGCACCCUCAGUAUGUUUGAUUUGCCUGAUUUCCAAACUCUGGUAAACAAGGCCCUCAUUGCUGAAAGGGAGCACAAGCUUGUGCAUGACAACAAGCCUGCUAAUAAUGAUCACAAGUGCAAGUUUGAGCCUAAGAAGGAUGGUCAGCCAAUGCAGAAGGCUCGUACUUGGCAGCAGACUCAGGUGGAGUACAAACCCAACUGGCAGCAAAAUGUUAACAAGACCACUACUCAAGUCAAGAAUGUCGUGACCAGCUAGGUGCGCGAAGAAUGCCAGCGCAACAAUUCGUGUUUCAAUUGGGGACAAACCGGACAUUAUGCACGAUAGUGUCCCAAGAACGGCACGUCGAAUGCUCCAUUCAGGACGCAAGUCAACCAUAUGGCGCCGUACCCUGUCCAGCGGACCUUCCAAGGGCAAGUUCACCACCUAUCCACAGAUGAAGCCCAAGAGGACCCAGAAGUCGUCAUUGGUAUGUUUCCUGUUAAUAGCAUACCUCUAAUAAUUUCAUUUGACUAUGGGGCAUCCCACUCUUUUAUAUCGCGGAGUUUUAUUGCCCAAAACAAAUUUCUUUGUUUGAUUUUGGGAAAAAGUAUGCUGGUACAAUCCCCGGUAUUCGUGCUCAGAAGCAAUCUAGUAUGCCGUAAUUUGGAAAUUGAUAUCAAAGGAGUCAGCUUUCCAACAUCCUUGAUAGUCAUCGAGUCUGCCAAAUUGGACAUUAUUUUGGGAAUGAAUUGGUUAACCCAAUAUCAGGUAUGCAUCAACUGUGCUACGAGAGAAGUCACUUUGACAAGUCAGGAAGGUCGAACCACAAAAUUCUAUGCCCAGAAGAGCAUACCCAAGAAAGAAAUGGUUUUCACGGCUGUGGCUGAAGAAUUGGAAUUAAUUCAUGUGGUCAGUGAGUUUCCAGAUGUAUUUCCUGAGGAAUUACCAAACAUGCCGCCAGGCAGGGAGCUUGAGUUUGCAAUUGAUCUUGUGCCUGUGACCGCACCGUUAUACAAGAAGUAUUAACGGAUGCCUUCGUCAGAAUUAGUGGAAUUAAAGAAACAGCUUGAUGAGAUGCUCCAGAAAGGUUAUAUCCGUCCAAGCUCUUCGCCAUGGGGAUCACCCGCAAUAUUUGUUGACAAGAAAGACGGUAGUCUUCGGAUGUGUAUGGAUUACCGUCAGUUGAAUGAUGUCACUAUCAAGAACAAAUAUCCAGUACCAAGGUUUGAUGAUUUAUUUGAUCAACUCAGUGGGGCAAAAGUAUUCUCCAACAUUGAUUUGAGGACCGGAUACCACCAGCUCAAGAUCAAGAAAGAAGAUAUUCCUAAGACCGCGUUCACUACCCGAUACGGUGUUUAUGAAUAUACAGUUAUGUCGUUCGGCCUCACCAAUGCCCCUGCUUUCUUCAUGCAUAUGAUGAACAAAGUAUUCGUGGAUUUCCUGGAUAAAUUUUUGGUGGUCUUCAUCGAUGACAUCCUAAUAUACUAAAAGGGUGAAGAAGAGCAUAACGAACACCUCAGAUAUGUCUUACAAAGACUCCAUGACCAUCAGCUAUACGCAAAAUUCAGUAAAUGUGAGUUUUGGCUCAAGCAAGUUGGAUUCCUAGGGCAUGUUCUGUCAGCAGAAGGUAUAGCCGUGGAUCCAAGUAAGGUAAAGGACGUGCUUGAUUGGACGGCACCCACGACAGUAUCUGAAAUCCGGAGUUUCCUUGGAUUAGCCAGGUACUACCGCCGUUUCAUUUAAGGUUUCUCUAAGAUUUCCAAGCCAAUGACAGAGCUUCUCAAGAAGGAUAAGAAAUUCGAAUGGACUAAGGACUGUGAGAGAAGUUUCAAUGAGUUGAAGACCAGACUGACAACAACACCUGUGUUGACUCUUCCGGACAUCUACCGUGGCUUUGAUGUGUAUUAUGACACUUCUAGGCGAGGUCUUGGAUGCGUACUCAAGCAAGAUGGCAAGGUGGUAGCAUACGCAUCUCGCCAGAUACGACCCCACAAAGGGAACUAUCCUACUCAUGAUUUGGAGUUGGCCGCGGUUGUUCAUGCUUAAAAAAUUUGGAGACACUACCUCAUUGAAAAAAGGUGUCAGAUAUUUGCCGACCACAAAAGUCUCAAGUAUAUAUUCACUCAACCGGACUUAAACCUCCGCCAACGAAGAUGGCUCGAAUUAGUCAAAGAUUAUGACCUUGGAAUUCAUUAUCAUUCGGGUAAGGCCAACGUGGUCGCCGAUGCCCUCAGCCGCAAGCCUGCCAGUCUGAAUGCCAUGAUGGAGUCCUUGCCUCCGGAACUUCAGGAAGAGAUCACUCAGCUCAAUGUGGAUACUGGUCUUGCUAAUAUGAUGGAAGUUACCCCUACUCUCGAGGAUGAAAUCCGCAGGGCCCAGUCAGACGACCCAGUUCUACAAAAACAUGUCAAUCGUAUGCUAGAAGGCAAGACCCAGGAUUUAUCUAAGGAUCAGCAAGGUACACUAAGGUCCCGAGGAGGGGUUUGUGUACCUGAUCAAGCAGACUUAGGAAUGAAGAUCUUGAAAGAAGCGCAUGAAUCUUUGUAUUCCAUUCACCCCGGAGGUACUAAAAUGUACGAAGACCUUCGGCAGAUAUUUUGGUGGGAUGGGAUGAAGAAGGACAUCGCCUAUUUUGUUGCUUGUUGCGAUGUAUGCAACAUAGUCAAGGCAAAACACCAGAAACCAGCCGGACUCCUCCAACCUCUGCCCGUUCCGCAGUGGAAGUGGGAUGAUGUUUGCAUGGAUUUCAUCACAGGACUACCAAGGACUCACCGAGGCAAUGAUGCAGUAUGGGUCAUGGUGGACACACUGACCAAGGUAGCCCAUUUCAUUCCCAUCCAAACCACGUACCGAGCCGAUCAGCUCGCACAAUUGUAUGUGUCCAGAAUAGUCAGUUUGCAUGGAGUGCCAAGAACUAUCACUUCCGACAGAGGUUCUCUUUUUACCUCAGCUUUCUGGUCACGUCUCCAACAAGCUUUGGGGACCGCGCUAAAAUAUAGCACAGCCUAUCAUCCUCAGACAGACAGACAAACUGAGCGAGUAAAUCAAAUAUUUGAAGAUAUGCUUCGAGCAUGUGCUCUGGCCCAAGGACCCAAAUCGGAAGAUUGUCUGCCAUAUGCCGAGUUCUCUUACAACAAUAGCUUCCAGACUAACCUCAAGAUGUCACCCUAUGAAGCUCUAUAUGGGCGUAAGUGCCGCACUCCGCUAAACUAGUCUCAAACCGGAGAUAGCCGUAUUUUCGGAAUUGAUCUCAUGAUGGAAGCUGAAAAGCAAGUCAAGGAGAUCCGAGAUAGCACUACAAAAAAAAGACACAUCCGUGACAAUUUGGGCCGAACGAAUUUUUUCUGUCAUGCUUAUGACACUUCUAUGGCCAUAAUUGUGACAAAACCCGGUAUCAUCAUAGAUGUGGUGGGCUCCUACUUCUAUGACAAAAAAUCAUGACAGAAAAUGGGCUUUUCGUCCUAGGCGGGCCGGAGACGCAGCUGCAUGACAUUCUUUGGGCCGUCCAUGACAGAAAAAACUGUGGUAGAAGCGAGGGCGAGGAAAAUAUCAUGGUGUUCCUGGUUAUGGUGGGUGGUCAGGGCCGAGCGAUGCACGGAGGUUUGCGCGUUUCUCUUGUACACGUACGCACGUGGGUGCGAGGCGUUGGGCUCUUACUGAACCCGAGCGAUUGCACAGCAGGCUACGCGUUACUGAACCCGAGCGAUCGAUCGAUGGCUGUUAACUGAACCCGAUCGAGCGAUUCCUUCGCUACUGCUGCUAACUGAAGCCGAUCGAUGCUGCCUCUGGAUCAACAGUGAGCAUUGUUGGGGGCGUUCGAUGAACAGUUCCCGGUGGGGGGUUGGAUGAACAGGACCCCGUGGUGUUGCCGCUGGAUGAACAGGACCCCGAUCGAUCAAGCCGGUUGGGCGUGGAUGAACAGGACCCCGUGGAGGGAAGGUUGAACAGUAGCCGGUGGAGGGCUGGUUCAACAGUAGCCAGUGGCAGUAGCCGGUGGAGGGCUGGAUGAAAAGUAGCCCGUGGAGGGGUGGUUGAAGACCCCGUGGAGAGGGCUAGUUGAACAGUAGCCGGUGGAGGAGCGGUGGAGGCUGUAUGAACAGGAGCCCGUGGAUGAACAGUCGCAUGUGGAGGGUGGAGGAGGUCGACGGUGGAUGAACAGUAGCCCGUGGAGGCUGCAGGAGGUCGACGGUGGAGAUGAACAGUAUCCCGUGGAGUCCCGUUUUGCGGUACGCCACACCCCUCCCGAUGAACAGGACCCCUUUUUCGACCGUAGUGCUCGAACACAAGUCCGUUUCCUCUCUUUGCGGUACGUCACACCCCUCCCGAUCAACAGGACCCUGUUUCGACCAAGAGAAGUCCGUUUCCUCCGUUUUGCGGUACGCCAGACCCCUCCCGAUGAACAGCAUCCCGUUUCGACCGUGGCGGGUCGAACACAAGGCCGUUUCCUCCGUUCUGCGGUACGCCAGGCCUCGUUUCCAUCGGCUGUUCCGUCCAAGCGAGUUGGCUCCCGAUGAACAGCACGCGUUCCAUUGCCUCCCGAUGAACACGACGCAUUCCGUUGCCUCACCAUGAACACGACGACGGCGCAGUUUCUUCGUUCUGACCCGGCCAUGUACACGAGCCCUGGCCGUACGUAUGCGCGAGUAGGCGUUCAAGACCCCACCUAUAUGUACAUCGUGGCCGUAUUUUCUUUCUUGCACCCUGGCCGCUGUACGUACGUGUACAUGCUACGUGCGCGCCUCUACUACGACACGUGCGCGCCUCUACUACGACAUGUGCCCUUCCUUGCACGGCCACGGUUCAUCGCUGCAGCCUGCAGACAGACCGAUCGACCAGUAUGUAGGUACACGUCCGCGACCAGAAUGACAACGCUACGUAUGCUUUGACCAGGUGUUUCCCGACUGUCAGGCACUGCCUUGCGUGCAAAGAUGUAGCUGGUGGGUCCCAGCAGUCAGGGGGCGAAUCAUUUGUUUGCCCGUAAUAUGGACGCACUUCCUUGCAUGCGAAGAUGUAGCUGGUGGGUCCCAGCAGUCAGGGGGGAAAUGUUUUUUUCGCGAAAUACGGUGGCCCAUCCGGUGGGUCCGUGCUAUCAGGUGGAGGAAUCAUUAUUUUCCGCGUAAUAAGGAGACACUUCCUUGCUGUGGCCGUGGACCCAGCUGUCAGCCUCUCCACGUACAGUACUCUUCCGAUGGAAGUCGGUCGUUGACCACAUUGACCAUGCCGUGCUGAGAGCACCAAGGCGGUGGACAACGGCGAGGCCUAGGAAGGGGACGACGCAGAGCCGGGGAAGACGCGGCAGUGGAUGCCCACGCGGAGAGGAGUACGAGGGUUCACUGGUUCGGCUGUGGUGUGAGGCUGCCAUCACCGCAGAAUAACAGGGGGUGUGGGUGAGUGAAGGAUGGCCUGGCGAGCGGUGGGAGUAGUAGGGGGCGGUGGGGCCUCCGCGGCAGCACAGCCGGCAACGGGAGGCAGGAGCAGGCGGCAUGAUCGACGCUGCUUUGGGUGGCUAGAGUAAGAAGACCAGAGGUUGAAGAAGCACGGCGGCCGUUGGAUGGACAUCGUAUGGUAACUGCAGCUUGAGUCGUUUAUAUUGACUAAGUUGACAAAGAACUUAUAGCCCAUUUGAGAUUUGUAAGAAUGUACACCCAAUUUUUCAAGUCUAAUGGAAUUAACUACAACCCAUUUACAGUUUGUUAAAAGUACAACCCAUUAUCUAGCAAGGACAACAAUUAAUAAUUUCAGCCAACCGUUCAAAACAGAAUUCAAUGAAAUUUCCCACAUUUUGAUGGGAUCCGAAAUAUUUUUAUCCCGAAAUUUCUAGUCAAAUUAAAUACAAUUUCAAUAUAAAUUUGUAUUACAUAAAAAUACAAUGAAACAUUGCGCGUGCAAAAAUUAAUGAAAUUAAAAAUUUUAAAAUCCAGAAAUAAUAUUUUAUAAAGUAAUUACAUGUUUCGUGAAUUUUUUAUAGUUACUGCCCAGUUUUUAUAAUUACAUCCCAUUUAUUAUUUCUUAAAUCCCAUUUUCUUGUUAAGCCUAAUGCGUCCCUCAUAGGAAAGAUUUGCAGCCCAGCGGGGCGUAGAAUAACAAGUUGACCUUGCCUGGGUAUUCCUCAAAAAAAAAGUAUAGUUGGGCUAGCCAUUUUCAGCUUGAAAAAAAUUAAUAUCUGGGCUGGAUAUCUGGCCUGGGCUAGACGGGCCACAUCCCGCCUAGUUAAUAAACUGCUCUCCUCUGAACAACAACGAAAACAUUGCUCAAGAAAAACUCUGCAGUGCUCACACCUAAAAAAACAAAUACUGCUCGAGCUGCUUGGUCCAAGCUGUUGGCCGCUCCUUGUGCAAUUCUCUCAUUUGUUGACUACCUAGGUUGACAAUGGUGUGGGACCGUGAUGUCAGGAAACCAGGAGGAAGCAAAAAAAUUACAGUUGUAUAUAAUAAGGAGGCCCUUGCAUACGUGCGGCUAUGGCCCUGGAGGGUCCCCACUGUCAUCCACUCCUAGUAUGACCAUGUUGACAACGCGAGACGGCGGCGCCACGACGAGCGCAACAACUCAAAGGACGACGGAGAGGGCCUCGUAGGCCCUAUGGAUGGUCUGGUACAGCGCCCGCUGCUCAUUCGGGAAGCCAGGAUCAUAGGGCCACAUGUCCGCGACGGCAUUGUCGUUCGCUUGUUCACCGGUGCACGUUGAGGAGACGGAGGUUGCAGCACAGGUCCUCCUGCGCUGGUAGCUCUUCCUCCAUUAGGGGCGUUGGAGUGGGCCGCACCUGCUCUAUGGCGAACAAGGCAUGAACCGGCUUGGAUAGUGGCGCCGGCUCCUGGUCGGAAGCUACGUCCAUCGUCUGAUUGUCGUCGCUCAGCUCGGCGAGCUCGCUGGCGAGCCAGCAUGUCCGGCUGCUGGACCGACCCGCUGCCAAGCACGAGUCUGACUGCCCUGGUCCACCCAGACCGCCUCCCUCACCCGCGCGCGCUUUUCGCACGAAACGGUUAGCGCCGCCCGCCCCGCUUCCCGGUGCAGGCGAUUGCUCUGCCUUCAAACGACACAAGUGCCGUCCGUCCGUCUGCCUCAGAGGCAGCUACUCCGGCGCCACACGUCCGUCCCUCCGCCGCCCACCAUUGCUAUAUAAACUGCUGCGCCGGCCAUAGCCGCAGUCAUGCGCCUCCGUUCCCUUUCUCCUGUCCACACCACUACUGCCAACCAUGGCUUCCUCGCGCUCCAUCGCUCUUCGGGACGGGCGGACAAUGAACCACAAGGAGAUGGCAGCCAUUGCUGCCGAUUGGCUGGUCGCUAGGCAGCCGUAGGACGAUGACGUCCCAAUGGAGAACAUGGUAGUCGACGAUCCGGCGCCACCCCCCUCCUCCGCGCCAUCCUCGCCGUUGCAUUGCACCAUGACCAUCGGCGAGGCCCGUGCCCAAUACAUGGACACGGUGAGGCAGAAGCAUCAGGAGCAGUUCUGGGAGGUGCAGGCCGACGCCGCCUACAACCACCAUCUCCUCCAGGAGCACCUGCAGGCGGAGGAGCAGAUCGCUGCGGAGCGGGCGUAGCAGGAGGCGCUGCUCGACUCGUACGGCUUCGCCCGCGAGGGCUGCCUCGAGCGCUGGCGAUACCGCAUGCGGGUGGCGGAGGCUGCAGCCGCCUACAAAGAGGGUGAUGAAGCGGGUGAGGCACUGUUUGGUGAGACCGAGGACAAGGCAGAGGAUAAUGCCGGCUCCGACGAGUCCUCGCUCCGUUGGCGUCGACGAGGCCCUGCUCCGCCGAGGCCCCGCGGCACCAACAACGAGGCAGAGGACCCCGCCGGCUCCGCCGAGGCCCCGCCCUGCCGGCACCGAGGCGGAGGCCAUACUCCGCAGAGGCCCCGCCCCGCCAACAACGCGGCAGAGGACAUCGCCGGCUCAGCCGAGGCCCCACCCUGCCAGCGACGAGGGGGAGGAUUUCCCCCGCUCCGCCGAGGCGCCGCCCCGCCGACAACGAGACGGAGGACAUCGCCGGCUCCGUUGAGGCCCCGUCCCGCUGCCAACGAGGCCGCGCCACACAGAAAACGAGGAAGAGUAGAACACGGUAGGUCGCCGCCUCUCUGGUCCAAGUAAGGCCACCGCUGCUACCCUCCAGUUGAAGCCAAGCUAGGCGGGUUGACCAUCGACGGCCGAUUAGCUUCUUGGCAGCGACGUGGAGUCAGAGAGCUAUGUUCGAGAAGGACGCUGCUUCUACUUAACUCUGGUGUAGUUGGCUGACUGACACGUGGGCCCAACAAGCGUUUGGGCCACAUGUCAGUUACGCAACUGCACCUGCAGUUAAGUCACUGAAGCUCAGUCCGCUGGAGAAGAAGCUUUUGUUCGGCUCAACCGGACACAGGUGGGUAGCUUCGGUUAAUUAAUUAUACCUGUAGCGCACCCCUUUUUAGUUGAAGAAUUUAUGAAAUGUAAUGAAAUCCAGCAUGUUUGUAAGAAAGCCGACCGUGUAUGAAUGAAUUUAGUUCGAUUAGUUCGAAUUCUUGUAUCACUGGCAUUGGAUGAACAUGCAAAACAAUACUCCCUCCGUUUUUUUAGUUCGCAUAUAAGAAUUGGUCAAAGUCAAACUUUAAAAAGUUUGACUAGCUUUGUAGGAGAAUAUAUCAACAUUCACACUAUGAAAUUAACAUUAUUAGAUGAAUGAUGAAAUUAAUUUUCAUAACAUAUGACUUUAGUAUUGUAGAUGAUGAUAUUUUUUUAUAUAAAGUUAGUCAAACUUUGUAAAGUUUGACUUUGAUCAAAUCUUAUAUGCAGACUAAAAAGAAACUGAGGGAGUAUGUACUAGCAUUAUUCCCAGGGUGAUCACCUCUUUUGCAGAAGUUUCACAUGUACAGCCUCCGGUCCUUUUUAGUCUGCAGUCAAAGUAUCACUACUUUGACCAAUCUUAUAGAAAAAAGUAUGAACUUUCACAAUGUGCGAAGUAAAAAGGAACAGAGGGAGUACAAAGAGUUUGAGCAGCUUUUUAGCGUUCCUGUACAUCGCAAUCAGACACACAGGCCUGGAAAUUCAUAGAGAACAUUCAAAACAAUCGAUGAUUAUGCAUCUCAACGAUUCACAUGUCAGAGCCAACAUUUACUUCACAACUAAAGAAUAAAGAAAAAUCGAUCGACACUGCUAAAAGCCACUAGUAGAAAAUGGAGCUUUAAUACCGGUUCAUAAGGGCCUUUAGUGCCGGUUCUGCAACCGGCACUAAAGAGUGGAGACUAAAGGCCCCCCCUUUAGUACCGGUUCGGCACAAACCGCCACUGAAGGCCCACCACGUGGCGUGAGCUCGCACCGUGGUAUGGGGGACCUUUAGUCCCGGUUGGUGUUACCAACCGGUACUAAAGGUAAUUUUUUUUAAAAUUUUUUUUGAAAUUUUUGGAAAAAAUUGAUUUUUUUAUUUUCAAUUUUCUGAAUUAUUUGAUGAUUUAGUCUCUAAUCACCACUCUUAACUACUCAAGUGUGGAUCACUCAUUCCAAAUCGUCUAACUUCUCGACCGGUCACCCAUCCUUUCACUCCCCUAGCCUGAGCACGCUUAACUUCGGAGUUCUAUUCCCCCUACUUUCCAAGUCUGCACUUGUUGUUUUCCUGACAAAUGUAAGCUGUAAAUCCUAUUACCCCGCAGCAGUUUAGCUUGAGCAUUAGGUCACACAUUUCACCGUUUGAGUUUGAAACUAUUAUUCUAAAAAACAGUAAUUAUUUAGUAACACUAAUACUUCUUGAAUAAGUUUGACCAUAGUUUGACCACAGUUUGACUAGAUUUGACCAAAAUUCAAAAAAUUGAAAUAAUUAUUUAGUAACACUAAUAUUCUUGAAUAAGUAUGUAGUAACAUUAAUACUUCUUGAAUAAGUAGUUGACCAUAGUUUGACCAGAUUUAACCAAAAUUAAAAAAAAACUUAAAUUUGAGCAUCUCUUUUUCUCCUUUUGCAAUUUGAGGAUUCUAAAAAAUUGCAAACAGGCCGUAUGCAAAAGUUAUAGCCGUUUUACAUUUUCCCUACACUUUUUGCAAAACAUGUCCAAAUUUAAGUUUUCAAAUUUUCCUAACUAGUAGAUGUAGUAAUAUAACUACCUCUCGAAGGAUUUUAUUUUUUGAAGUUUUUAUCAUUUUCUUUUGAUUUUUUCAAAACUGAAACGGCGACACAAAGGGGGGGUAGAGUUUGAAAAUUGCCCUGUAAUGCUGGUUUGUGUCUCCAACCGGUACUAUAGGUCAGACCCCUUUAGUACCGAUUCGCACGAACCGGUACUAAAGGUUAGCCCUUUAGUACCGGUUUGUGAUUCAAACCGGUACUAAAGGUGCCUUUAGUACCGGUUCGUGGCACGAACCGGUACUAAAGUUUCAACACGAACCGACAUUAAUGCAUAGCCGUUCGAACUGGCACUAAUGGUACCUUUAGUACCGGGCUAAAAUCAAACCGGGGCUAAUGUGUCUCACAUUAGGUCCUUUUUCUACUAGUGAGCAAAGGGCGUCCCAUUCGAAAAUAUCAAACGCAUGUCUUCUUGCUAACAUCAAUGAGCAAAAUUUGACAAGGUUGUCCCAUUCCAAAAUGUAUAAUGCUUGUUGUUUUGUGUACAUCAAUGAGCAAACUUUGACAAGGUUUUCCCAUUCCAAAAUGUCAAAUGCCUAUGGUUGUGGAAUGGGCAGGGUUUGCCAUCAGUUCGGACAUUGACAUGGCACCUCGUGCUAAAUAAACUAGCUAUUCUUUUUGUGUAGUUCCACCAAAAUCAACCAAAUUCACACAUAGCUUGUAUGAUUUUGCCUUUAUAUGUUGCAAUGCCUUGAACAUAUCGGCACCUCCUUUCUUGUGGUGGAAAUGAAUGAUUCGAUGUACUCAUGAACAUUUUGUGUAGUUCCCAUUGAAAUCAAGCUGAGCACCCCUAUUUGCACAAAUACAAAAAAGUGAUUAGUAUAAAGCAAACUGUACUAUGAAUUGACAGUUUAAACAGGCACCUACGUGGUCCAUGUAGAGCACACUUUAAAAAAAAUGUAACUCACUGGAAAGAAUCCUAGAACAACAUUGUACUUGCGAAUCACAGCAAAAAAGAUGGAGAUAUGUCAGUCCUUCUGAGAUGAAGUUAGUUUGGUCUUGUGGGGAGUAAUGUAACCAUACUUCAAGCGCUCCUUCUGAUGAGAAGAUAAACAUGGCUUCUGCAUCCUGGCAUAAUCGGAACUGGUCACUUCACGUACUCCAUAAUCUUCUUCAGAGGAGGAUGAUCCUGUUGUGCAAAGACAAGAGGACAACUAAAUGCUAGCAUGCCUGUUUGCUCGAAAAAAGGAAACAAAAUAUUUAAAACAACACAGAUGAAGCACUUCUCAAGGACAAUACCACUUUCUCAUGACAGUAUCUAAACAGUAGCACAACACCAAUAGAGAUGACAAAGCUCAAUCAUAUGGAUGAAAUCCGUGGGCGAGUACUAACCUUUGUCAGGAUGCUUAUUGUGUAGAGCAUACAGAUCAAGCACUUCUCCGGAACCAUAUGUUGUUAUCUACUGUGGUUGCCAUGCUUACUAUAUACUCCUCGAUUAGUUUAAUGUUUCCAACAUCUUGUGCAGUUUCACUAAAAUAUAUGGUAUCUUCAAAGAAGAUCCAUGUUUGCACAAGUAGAGAUAACUACAUAUUACAUUAAGAGUGGCAUCAAAUCAGUGGCAAAACAAUUGCUCGUUCCAGCCAUAGCAAUAAAUUAAGAUGCAAAACUAUAUCAUUACUUGUGUCAGCAUGUUCCAGUGCUUCAUUACAGCACCGGGACUUGAUUUUUGUUUUUCUUCCUCUUGUUCUUCCCCUUCAUCACUUGGUUCAAUAACAGACAAGCUUCACCUUCAAUGUAAGAUUUGGCAUGUCAAUUAGGGAGCACAAGUAUAGCACUAAACAACGACGUUAAUUUUAAGAUGAAAGUGGAAAAAUACAGGCCAACAGUUGUGAAAUAUCUUUAUCUUACCUCAAUGGGAUAUUACGGUGGACAUGCAAAUUGGAAGUCUUGUCUCCAUUUGUGCGGUUCACUAAAAUCAAGCAACAUUACCAUACAAGUAGCACAAAAUAUGAAAGCGCACUUCACAAUCAUGUGAAAGAAGGCUAGUACUGACCUCUCAUGACGUGGAAUUCAAACAACUCACAAGAAGAAGAUCUGAACCAAAUUUGCCAACACGGAUAGAAAGUAAGAUCUCCUCUUGUGCAGUUCCACUAAGAUUAAGCAAUCAAGCAACGUCGUCGGUGUGACAUUUUGGUUGAACUGCACAAAACACUCUUAAAACAAAAGUGUUUUGUGUAGUGCAACAAAAGGUCACAAUAGCAACGAGGUGAAGUAGAUAACCCUAUUUACACAUAGGUGCAAAGGAAACAACUAGUGGUCAAUAACGGUGGAUGACACAGAAGCCAACAAAAAGAAGCAUGUAACUUAUCUAAAUGGGAAAUAAAGCAAGACAGUAGCAUUUCUCAAACGGUGGCAUUGAUUAAUAUUAAUAGAGAAAUUAUAUUAACAAUAAAAUUUGUUAAACAUGUAAUUUGCUUUUAACUGUGGCAUUGCAUCAAUUUUCCAGCGGCAUUAUUAGAGGGUGUUUGUUUACAUGGACAUUUUGGUGUAGGGACUAAAAAAGUCCGUGUCAGUCCCAUCUAAACCAAAGAGGAGGGACUUUUAGGGACGAAAAGUGUGCAUUUGGGACUAAAGAAAGAAGACCCCGAGGGAGAGUCUUUUUGGGACUUUUUCCAACAGUUGCCCCUGCCCCGCAUCGCACCUUGUCUCUCUUAGUACAUUACUAGGGGUAACAUGGUCUUUUAGCAUGUCAUUUAAUAACCACUAGUCCAUGUUUAGUCCCUGUAACCAAGCAGGUAGGGACUAGGCAGUUUUUAACCAAACAGGGCCUUAGAUUAACAACAGCUAAAGAGUUGCACGGGACAGUGGACGCACCAGCACCAUGUGCAUCAACCGAUGUAUGAAGGGGUGAUGCACAGUCUGUUGCAACAAAGAACAAACAACUAAGGAGCAUAUUUGUGUUGGUCCCAGUUUUGUUAUCUUUAAACACCUUUCCCUAUGUGAGCGCAGCAAAUCUAGUCCCCCUCAAAUUCUACAGCCUUGUCCCCCAAAACAAAAGAUCAGUUCGUUACAGAUGUGCGUACUGCGUUUGUCAUUGUUUUCCCUUUUCGACCAACGUAGGUGCUGGAUAGCCAGUCUGUACUAGUACUUUCCCCCUUGCUUUCCUCUUUGAACCACGUCCUAGAUUCAUGCUAUACAACUUUCCCCACUACUUUCCCCCAUUCCUUUCCUCUUUGAACCACGUCUUAGAUUCAUGCUAUACAACUUUCCCCACUACUUUCCCCCCUUCCUUUCCUCUUUGAACCACGUCCUAGAUUCAUGCUAUACAACUUUCCCCACUAUUUUCCCCCAUUCCUUUCUUCUUUGAACUACGUCCUAGAUUCAUGCUAUACAACUUUCCCCACUACUUUCUUGUUUGAUCCAACACCUUGAUUCGAGUGCUGAAGUGGAAAAAGCCCACAUGCAGCUAGAGUAAUGCAUGUGGAAUAAGUGAAUUAUACCUUAAGGUUCUUGGGGUGCGGUUUGGUGGGCGACCGGAGGCCGUUCGGCCCACACUAUGUACGGUUGCGAGGAAGAAGGGGUCGGAGGCCCUCCCGCGCUGCCGCUGGGUGAAAGAGAACAGCUGCACCGGUAGUGGAUUCCCUCCCUCACCGAUGGCGACAAUGUUAAGCCUCCCUCCGUUCCCGGCGGACAGAUCCUGCCGGCUCUUUAACUAGCAGUGAGGGGAGAGAGAGAGAGAGAGGCCAACGAAGUCUUGUUUAGAUCUGGAGAGGGUGAGAGAGUGUGAAGAGAGCAACUACAAGCGAUGAAGCUCUAGCGUGUUUAUAUAUACUGGAGAGAGAGUGUGAAGAGUGCAACCCUAGAAAACAAGCGCCGAGGCUGCAGCGUAUACGUGAUGAGGUGAUUAUACGGUCACCACGAGAUUGUAUAGCUCCGUAUCCAUCCAUUUUGACCAGUCAAAGAAUCCUCCUAGCACCGCCCCAUAUCACCUUCUCUCUCUGUUAUGCAGGGCCUACCUGUCAUUGGGUGGAAGAAAGAAGUCGAACAGAAACAAAAUUAUGCUCAAGUGUAGUUAUCGAACCGAGACCUCAAGUUUGAUGAGCGAAUAGGCUAACCAGCUACACCACCCUCCCCUUAUGUUCGACGAGAGGAAAGUAACCUUUUAUACAUUCCUGCAUUCGUGUGACAAGCAUGCCGUGUUUUUUUUGCGUGGGAGUCAUUGGGAUUUAAAUCAUAAUCGUGUCACGUGGCUUUGGUAGUAAGACUAUCCACAGUGGGAGUAACAUAGGUGGUAACAUCACACAUCUUUUGGCAAAAUAGAUGAUGUGGUGAGUAAUUAAUGAGGAAAGAGAGGCAUGUGGUAACAUAUCUAUUUACUGUAACAUCACACAUACCAAGACAAAAUGAGUCUACAAUCUAAUAAAUGAAGUGUUGCAUGAUACCAUGCAAUGUUACUCCCCACUAUUAGAGGUAGUAACAUACACUAGUAACAUAUGCAUGUUACUAGUCUAAGCUACUAUCCAUUGUGACUAGUCUAAGGUCAUUUGGGAUUUAAAGCAGUGUUGGCAGUACAGAAAUAAUGCAGCCUUAGUCACAUUACCUCUCUCCACGUAGUACGUUGGGUCCCACCAGUCAAAGGGUGAAAGAAACAAAUUAAUAAGAAAAAUUAAAAGCGCCAGCGGUGUAUCUUACCUCACACAUCUCGCUACUGCUCGUGAACACUGUCCAAUUGAUCCCUCUGUUCGCUCACGUACUAUUUUAAGUGAAUCCUUAUUAUAACAUGCACACAAUUUUGGGCACUUGUAUUCGACCUAAGUCAGUGUGCCACCGUAUCUCGUUCUGCUCCCUCCAUCUAGGUGUAAUAAGUCACGUUAGAAGGUGCAGCGGGUCCAAGGUGCAAGCAGGUUGGAGGAGAAGGAGAAACUUGACCGGUCCUUCCUCCAAUCAAAGCCCCGAUUUCUGUCUCUAAAUGCAACAAUUAAUUCCAACAACUAAGAGAUGUCGUUUUAGCUACCAUGCAGGGCCACGUAUUAACUCACAUGCAAGCCGACUUCGAUUUCUUGACUGAUCAAUUCAUAGUUGCGCUCCAUGCAUUGGGUUUCCGGGGGACAUAACAAGGCAGAGUAAGGAGCGUUUGGUUACAUUGCUUAGGCUGGUCAUAACGGUGAGUAACUUGGACUAGUAACAUGCAUAUGUUACAAGUCUAUGUUACUACUACCUUCGUCCUGGUUUAUAGGUUCCCUUUGUAGUUUGUGCCAAAUUUUGACCAAAGAUUUAACUAACAAAAUGUUAAUGCAUGUCAACAAAAAUUAUAUCAUUGGAUUCAUAUUUGAACAUAGUUUUAAAUGAUAUAAUUUUUUGUGACAUUCAUGAACACUUUGUUAGUUCAAUCUAUGGUCAAAAUUUGACACAAAAUACAAUGGGGACCAAUAAACCAUGACGGAGGUAGUACGCGAAGUCUGCCGUCGGAAGCGAGCCGAUCUGGCUCUCCUGAGGUGGCAAGGUUUUUCUAGCCCACCCAAGCUAGUUGGCCCACAAAAGCUAACAUAUUUUAACAGUUCCAAACGCCUAACCUUGCCCGGCUAGGCUAUAAACUGUUCUUGCUAAGGAUCCGAAUGCUCCCUAAGUAACAACGCUCGCUAGCAAUGAGGCCAGGAGGGGAUUGAGAAGCGAAGUUAAUGGACGAUGCCUAAACAUUUAGGGAAUAUCUGAUUUUCGUCAGAUGACUUAACACCUAGACGGAGGGAGUACUACUCCUCAGUCCAGGUUUGAUGGAAUAUUCGUCACCUCUUCUCUUCUUGUAUGUACUCGAUUUGUAUCUCACUUCCUGUGGCCUCGCACUCGCACGAUAUUCCUAUUCUAUGAACCUGUGUGUGCAUAUGCGUGUGUGUGUGUGUGUGUAUUUAACAACAUGUGUGUGUUAGAGAGAGCGACACAUCGACCUACUCCUACAGAAAGAUGGUGUGUAGUGUACGAUUUAGCCGCGAGAGUCGGUGCAUACUCUCGUUUCCGGGCGUCCGAUCGGGACAGGCGGGACAGCUGCCACGCCCGCUCCUGACCAGCCUGGCCCACCCAAAGCCCCUCCAUCGCCCGCGCAUGCUUCCCGCCCAAAACUGUCAGCACCGCUCCAAAGAAUCGGUGCCGCAUUCAUGCCCGGGCAGAGCAGACGCGACCUCUCACUGGCGCUUGUGUUGAAGGGAAAAGCGGGUUCAAGAGUGAUGGUUGCUUCGUCCGUCCAACUUACUACAGGGUUUCUGUGAUUUGGCGGCUCAUUGGUCAUCAUUACUGAGGUGGUAGGACUGCUGGAUGUCCCACGCUUUCGGCGAAAGGAGGUACUACUAGAUUACAAUUUUCUCCAUUCUUACAGCGGAGGAGUGCGAGAGCAGUGAAAACACGCAGACUCAGUGAUUAUGUGGCCCACCUCACACUACCACCAUAUUUUUUAGAGACCGUGCGACACCUAACUCUUUACAUAGUACUAGUAUAGUACGUACUGUAAUUUAUCAGCGAGAUAAAUUUGUACAAUGCUAUGAAGCUUCCAGCUUCUGUUUCAUGUAUCUUGCGUCCAAGGUUGCCCGUUGCAACAUUUCAUCAAAUACAAAGGAGACUAACAUGCAUGCUAUUGCAUCUCAAUGAUUGACAGAUCAUAGCCAAUAUGUACUCCCUCCAUUCCAAAAUAAGUGUCUCAACUUUAUGCAAACUUUAGUACAAAGUUGUACUACUACUAAAGUUAACACUUGUUUUGGAACAAAGACAGCUAAAGAAAAAACGAUCCAUGCAGUCCCUAGCCCUUGAGCCAUAAACCCUAACCAGGCUUUAAUUUGCUGGCAACGUUGGAGCUUCCAAUGAAAUGAAGUUUGCAACCCUGUGACCAUCGGAUGAUUUUGUGCAGUUUCACCAAAAUCGAGAUGAGCAUCCCUGUGGCAAAGAAAUUGAAGAAGUGUGAUUAGAAUAAGAUUCUUGGGACUAGUUGAUGAGACAAAAACUCAUCACAAAUACAGUACGUAGAAGCCAGUAGAGGUACGUGCGGGGCAAAGAAGUAGAGAAAUAUCCACAUGGAGUGGUGUGGGCAGCUGGAGCAAUGGUGCAAGCUGGGUGUAAAGGGAGUUGUACCUGAGGGAUUUCGGGACGUAGCUCAACCUAGAGGAGGGAGGCGGGAGGCGGCAACUGCCCACGUGGCGACAGUGAGAAAUGGAUGAAGGUAACCUCACCGGCUUUUUGAGAGAGAACGGCGGGGACCCCUGAUCGGGACGUGCUGACAGUGGGUUUUCGCCGUCGGCGACGGCGACCGCAUCUACACUAAGCAUCCACCCUUCCCGCGGUGGACGUGAUCCCUCGGGAUGUUAGAGAUGUGGCCACAGUCGUUUUGUGUGAGAGAGUGUGAAGACUUAAGAGAGCAACCCCAACAAGCAACCGUGUAGGCUCGUCCUGCCUAUGUAUAUAGUGGAGCGGUUUCCUUUUCUCUCCAUAUGAACCUAUUUAUAUUGCGUACGUGCCACUGAAGAAAAACAACUUUAUUUAUAAAUGACGCGACACCUACUACUCCUUGUCCUACAAACCCUGCACUUGGCAUCUCCAAAAUAUUAACCUUGCGAUUGGCUAUUCGCCUCUUCGGGAAGUCGAGCAAUAAUGGUACUGCAGUAUAUAUCGUUCUAGCUAUAUGAGACCGAAUGAAUUGCUGCACGUCCACCACGUGGGCGAGGGUCGAGGGGCGAGGGAGAGUGCGUACUAUUACGUCCGUUUCAAUAUGGACUACAUACGGAGCAGAAUUAGUGAAUCUACACUGUAAAAUACGUCUAUAUUUGUUCGGAGUAUGUACAACUAGUUCAUAUUGAAAUCUACUAAAGGACAUAUAUUCCAAACAAUAUGAUAAUCUCUCUAACCAAGGUAGGGACGAGGUGUAAACAGAGGGAGUAGUAAAAUUUUCUCCUCGUCCUGCGAGCCACCGAGCGCGUGGGCGAGGGAGCGGGCGUAAGGCGUACUAGUAAGCAAGCUUCACCUCAUCCUGCGAGCCACCGCGCCCGUGGGUGGGGGAGACAGCGUACUAACAAAGCAUCUCCUCGUUCUGCGAGUUGACGGGACACAUCAAAAGUACUCUAGUGUAUAGAGCCUUGCCUCUAAGGUAGGCCCCACAUGGUUUGCCUCUUUUUUAACAUAACGCGUCAAGUCGCAAUAUGUUUGUUCACCCAUGGUAGACGAUCCUCCAUCAAGUGGACAACCAGUACACGUGUCAAAUUACCAUGUGGGCUGCCUUUUCGUACAGAAAUGAGCUCCACCGUGUACCCACGCGGGUGUGGUUGGGAAAGAGAUGGGAGUACGUGCGCCGUGCGUGCACCUCUUCUCUUUGUGCAUGUCCCCCACCUACAUGGGUGUGUCUGAGAGAGAUACAAACCUAGACACAUGGCGUGUGCGUUCGUGAGUUUUUUUUGUUUGGGGGGUGUGAUUUUGUGAAUGUAUUUGUGGGAAUAUGUGUCGAUGACAUCUCAAACAAAAUUUUGCAUGCAAUGUGUGCGAAAUAGAGGCAUAUCCAUAUCAUAUAGAGAGGGCCAGAGGGGGCGAUCCACGAGAAGAGAGGGAGGGGUCAUAGAUAUCGAUAGAGUCGAAGAGAGGAUCAAGUGGGUGUGUGCGAGAUCGAUGAAGAGAGCCAUCGAAAAUGUGUGUGUGCAAGUCAAAGAUAUAGGGCGACUAGCCUACCAGAACGCCAGAGGGCACAGGGCAAGUUUGUGUGGGGCAGGGAGACAUGACUAGAGCGCUCGAUGUAUCGGUGUGUGGGGGGUGGGGGGAGGGGGAGGCAGAGGCCUAACUAGAGAGGUAGAACCACUCGUAUAUGUGUUGAGAAGGAGAGACCCAGCUAUUGAUAACCCACAAGUAUAGGGGAUCGCAAUAGUUUUCGAGGGUAGAGUAUUCAACCCAAAUUUAUUGAUUCGACACAAGGGGAGCCAAAGAAUAUUCUCAAGUAUUAGCAACUGAGUUGUCAAUUCAGCCACACCUGGAUAACUUAAUAUCUGCAGCAAAGUAUUUAGUAACAAAGUAAUAUGAUAGUAGUGGUAACGGUAACAAAGGUCACGGUAGCAAAUGUAAUAUUUUUGGUGUUUUGUAGUAAUUGUAACAGUAGCAACGGAAAAGUAAAUAAGCGAAGAACAAUAUGUGAAAAGCUCGUAGGCAUUGGAUCGGUUAUGGAGAAUUAUGCCGGAUGCGGUUCAUCAUGUAACAAUCAUAACAUAGGGUGACACAGAACUAGCUCCAAUUCAUCAAUGUAAUGUAGGCAUGUAUUCCGAAUAUAGUCAUACGUGCUUAUGGAAAAGAACUUGCAUGACAUCUUUUGUCCUACCCUCCCGUGGUAGCGGGGUCCUAACGGAAACGAAGGGAUAUUAAGGCCUCCUUUUAAUAGAGUACCGGAACAAAGCAUUAGCACAUAGUGAAUACAUGAACUCCUCAAACUAUGGUCAUCACCGGGAGUGGUCCCGAUUAUUGUCACUUCGGGGUUAACGGAUCAUAACACAUAGUAGGUGACUAUAGACUUGCAAGAUAGGAUCAAGAACUCACAUAUAUUCAUGAAAACAUAAUAGGUUCAGAUCUGAAAUCGUGGCACUUGGGCCCUAGUGACAAGCAUUAAGCAUAGCAAAGUCAUAGCAACAUCAAUCUCAGAACAUAGUGGAUACUAGGGAUCAAACCCUAACAAAACUAACUCGAUUACAUGAUAGAUCUCAUCCAACCCAUCACCGUCCAGCAAGCCUACGAUGGAAUUACUCACGCACGGCGGUGAGCAUCAUGAAAUUGGUGAUGGAGGAUGGUUGAUGAUGACGAUGGCGACGAAUCCCCCUCUCCGGAGCCCCGAACGGACUCCAGAUCAGCCCUCCCGAGAGGUUUUAGGGCUUGGCGGCGGCUCCGUAUCGUAAAACGCGAUUAAUCCUUCUCUCUGAUUUUUUUCUCCCCGAAAGUGAAUAUAUGGAGUUGGAGUUGAGGUCGGUGGAGCGUCAGGGGGCCCAUGAGGCAGGGGGCGCACCCUAGGGGGGCAGGCGCUCUCUCCACCGUCGUGGACAGGGUAUGGGCCCCCUGACGUGGAUUUUUCUUCUAGUAUUUUUCUUAUUUUCCAAAUAGAUGUUCCGUGGAGUUUUAGGUCAUUCCGAGAAAUUUUGUUUCUGCACAUAUAUAACACCAUGGAAAGUCUGCUGAAAACAGCGUCAGUCCGGGUUAGUUCCAUUCAAAUCUUGCAAGUUAGUGUCCAAAACAAGGGCAAAAGUGUUUGGAAAAGUAGAUACGACGGAGACGUAUCAACUCCCCCAAGCUUAAACCUUUGCUUGUCCUCAAGCAAUUCAGUUGAUAAACUGAAAGUUAUAAAGAAAACUUUUACAAACUCUGUUUGCUCUUGUUGUUGUAAAUAUGUAAAGCCAACAUUCAAGUUUUCAGCAAAGAUUAUGACUAACCACAUUCACAAUAACUCUUAGGUCUCAUGUUUACUUAUGUCAAUGGCAUAAUCAACUAGCGAGCAAUAAUAAUAAAACUCGGAUGCCAACACUUUCUCAAAACAAUCAUGGUAUAAUAUAAUAGGAUGGUAUCUCGCUGGCCCUUUCUGAGACCGCAAAACAUAAAUGCAGAGCACCUUUAAAGAUCAAGGACUGACUAGACAUUGUAAUUCAUGGUAAAAGAGAUCCAGUCAUAGUCAUACCCAAUAAAGAUUAAUAGUAAUGGAUGCAAAUGACAGCAGCGCUCUCCAGCUAGUGCUUUUAAUAAGAGGGUGAUGACUCAACAUACAAGUAAAUAGAUAGGCCCUUUGCAGAGGGGAGCAUGGAUUUGUAGAGGUGCCAGAGCUCGAUUUUGAAAUAGAGAUAAAUAAUAUUUUGAGCGUCAUACUUUCAUUGUCAACAUAACAACCAAGAGAUGGCGAUAUCUUCCAUGCAAUACACAUUAUAGGCGGUUCCCAAACAGAAUGGUAAAGUUUAUACUCCCCCUCCACCAACAAUCAUCAAUCCAUGGCUUGCUCGAAACAACGAGUGCCUCCAACUAGCAACAGUCCCAGGGGGAGUUUUGUUUGCAAUUAUUUUGAUUUAGUUUGCAUAGAGCAUGGGACUGGGCAUCCCGGAGACCAGCGAUUUUCUCGUGAGUGAGGAACGGAGUCCACUCCUCUUGAGAAUAACCCGCCUAGCAUGGAAGAUACGGACAACCCUAGUUGAUACAUGAGGUAUUCGAGCAUACAAAACAGAAUUUCAUUUGAAGGUUUAGAGUUUGGCACAUGCAAAUGUACUUGGAACGGCAGGUAGAUACCGCAUAUAGGAAGGUAUAGUGGACUCAUAUGGAAUAACUUUGGGGUUUAAGGGAUUGGAUGCACAAGCAGUAUUCCCGCUUAGUACAAGUAAAGGCUAGCAAAAGACUGGGAAGCGACCAACUAGAGAGCGACAACAGUCAUGAACAUGCAUUAAAAUUAAUAGACAUUGAGUACGAGCAUGAGUAGGAUAUAAUCCACCAUGAACAUAAAUAUCGUAAAGGCUAUGUUGAUUUGUUUCAACUACAUGUGUGAACAUGUGCCAAGUCGAGUCACUUAAAUCAUUCAAAGGAGGAUACCACCCCACUAUACCACAUCACAACCAUUUUAAUAGCAUGUUUGGCACGCAAGGUAAACCAUUAUAACUCAUAGCUAAUCAAGCAUGGCACAAGCAACUAUGAUCUCUAAUUGUCAUUGCAAACAUGUUCAUUCAUAAUAGGCUGAAUCAGGAACGAUGAACUCAUCAUAUUUACAAAAACAAGAGAGGUCGAGUUCAUACCAGCUUUUCUCAUCUCAGUCGGUCCAUCAUAUAUCGUCAUAAUUGCCUUUCACUUGCACGACCGAACGAUGUGAAUAAUAAUAAGAGUGCACGUGCAUUGGACUAAGCUGGAAUCUGCGAGCAUUCAAUAAACAGGAGAAGACAAGGCCAUAUGGGCUCUUGGUUAAAUCAACAAUAAUGCAUAUAUGAGCCACUUCAACAAUUUCAUUAUGGUCUUCUCCUAUCCACCCCCAAAGAAAAGAAAAGAAAUAAAACUAUUUACACGGGAAAGCUCCCAACAAGCAAAAGAAGAGCGGGAAAUCUUUUUGAGUUUUCUUUUUAAUUAUUACUACUACAGCAAGAAAGUAAACUAGCUUAGAGCUACAACUAUUUUUUUUCUUAAGGUUUAUCAAACACAAGAAGAAAGCAGGAAAAGAAAAUAAACUAGCAUGGAUAUUACUAUCAAAAAGUAUGAGCACCAACAUCUAGCAAUGAUUGUGUGAACAUAAAUGUAAUGUCGGUGGGAAAUACGUACUCCCCCAAGCUUAGGCUUUUGGCCUAAGUUGGUUUAUUGCCACGGAUGGCCUGGCGGAUAUCCAUAGAUGUAGUCGGGGUCGUACUGCGCUGCUGCAGUUAUUGCCUCCUGAGCUGCAGCGUGGCGGCGAGCUGCCUCCGCCCUCCUCUCGUACUCAUCCGCCUCCUCUUUGCACUACUAGGAAAAGGCCUACUAGUGGCACACCAGUUUUGCCUACUAAUGGCGCACUACUGGUGCACCACUAGUACCACGCCACUAGUAUUAGAUACUAAUGGCGCACCACAGGUGCGCCAUUAGUAUAGCCCACGGUGCGCCAUUAGUAUCUCGUAUACUAAUGGCGCACCGCAUAGAAGUGCGCCAUUAGUAACAAUUUUUUAAAAAAAAUUUGUUCAGAAUUUUUUUAAUUUUUUUUCGUUUUUUCUUAAUAUCGGGUCACUAUGGCUUAAUCUCAAGUCAAAUCGCUCUCUGUGGUCAAACUUCCCGGAAGGUCACCCAUCCUCACACUACUCCAGCCCGAGCACGCUUAACUUCGCAGUUCUAUCCAACCCCAGCACUAGCCCACUUCACAGGCACUUGUUGAUAUAUCUAUCAUAUCAAUCCUAUUAAACCUUGUUGAUGUCUAGGACUUUGUUCAUGUUCAUGAGUAUGAUGAAAUUUUGAAAAAAUAUUUCAAACUUCCGGGUCAUAUUACGUAUCAUAUUUUGAAAAAAAAUUCCAAUUUUCUUUUUGAAACCAAUUUUUUUUCUGUUACUAGUGGAAGCCCCGUCACACAUUUCACUGUUUGAUUUUGAAACUAUUGUUUUAAAAAACAAUAAUGAUUUAGUAACACUAAUAUUUCUUGAAUAAUUAGUUUGACCAUUGUUUGACCACAGUUUGACCAGAUUUGACCAAAAUUCAAAAAAACUGAAAUAAAUAUUUAGUAACACUAAUAUUCUAGAAUAAUUAGUUUGACCACAGUUUGACCAGAUUUGACCAAGUUUGAAAUUUUUUCCAUUUUUUUCCACUCUAGAUCUUAAAAGCCCCGUAUCUUUCGUUCUGUUAGGUUUUUGAGGAUUUUGAAGAUGUUUAACAGUGUUACCCCGGUUAAAUUCGGAUGUAACUUUUCGAGUAGAUGAUUUUUCAUAUAAAAAACUUUUUAAUCCGAGUUCGUAUGCAAAAGUUAUGCCCAUUUUACAAAUUCCAGAGAGAUUUUGCAAAUAAAGUCGAAAUUCAUAUUUGUAAAUUUUCCCAACAAGUAGACCACAUAUCACAUGGGAAACUUAUUUUCUUUUAUUUUUUGACAUUUCCAUCAUUUUCUUUUAUUUUUUUAACUGAAAAGGCGAUCAAGGGGGGGUGCAUUCGGUGGAAUUUUUGGGCCAAGUUAGUAAUGGCGCACCGUGUGUGGUGCGCCAUUACUAGUUGAACUAGUAAUGGCGCACCGUGUGUGGUGCGCCAUUACUAGUUGAACUACUAAUGGCGCACCACACACACGGUGCGCCAUUACUAGUUUUGAAAAAAAAUAAAAAAAAAGAAAAAAAAUUGAAAAAAAAUUACUAGUGGCGCACUGUGGAUGUGGUGCGCCAUUACUAGUUUAACUAGUAAUGGCGCACUAUCCACUGGUGCGCCAUUACUAGUUUCGAAAAAAAAUUUGAAAAAAAAUUACUAGUGGCGCACCGUGGAUGUGGUGCGCCAUUACUAGUUUUGAAAAAAAAUUGAAAAAAAAAUUGUUACUAAUGGCGCACCGUGGAUGUGGUGCGCCAUUAGUAUUUGGACACUAAUGGCGCACCGACACAUGGUGCGCCAUUAGUAUAUAGUAGUGGCGCACCACAUUUCUGGUGCGCCAUUAGUGGCCAUAUCAUCUAUAGCCCUUUUCCAAAUAGUGCUGGUAAUAACAUAUCUUCCUUUUGCCUGAUAAUCAAAGAAGGCAGGAGCAGGGAGAGUAAUACGGACAGCACGACGUCUGUCAAAGAUUAAGCGAUACCGGAGAGGUGAUUCAUUCCUCUCGACAAACUGGUGGUGAACCAUAUCAUUAAAUUCUUAAUAAGUAGGCAACUCAAUAUCAUCUUCACAAACGUCCACACCAAGAAAAUCAGCUAAGCGGGUUGCAUAAAUUCCUCCAAAGAAAUCUCCACUAAAUCUAUUAUGAUGCAACCGACGUGCAACAAUGGCUCCCAAAUUAUAAGAUUUGUCUCCUAACACAGCACUCCUGAGAAUACUAAGGUCAGGGACACACAUAUGACAUGCUUCAUCUUUACCAUUUAUGCACCUAUCUAUGAAGAGAGCAAAAUAAUGUAUAGCAGGAAAAUGAAUGCUCCCUAUGGUAGCUUGUGCUAUAUCUCUGGAUUCCCCCACAGUUAUACUAGGCAGAAAAUUUAUAAAUUCAGAUUUGCGAGGUUCACUAGCACUACCCCAUUGUGGAAGUUUGCAAGCAGUAGUAAAAUCCUCUAAGUCCAUGGUAUAAGAUUUUUCAUAAAGAUCAAACAGGACCGUUGGAGAAUUACGUGAAGACGAAAAUUCAAACCUCCUCACAAAGGAACUAGUGAGAUAGUGGCACUGGCGGCAUUUGUCUACCUCGAAGCUCACAAGAUCAGUGUUACGCAAAUAUGCGUUAGAUUCUUCCUUGAUUCCCGCUCGAUCCAUAAAGUUUUCCGAAGGCCAUUCACAAGGCCGCACUGGAGCGUCCCUUGGUGGCUCAUCGUCAGCAUCACGCAUUGCAAGCCUGGGUCCUUGCUUCCUUGAAUAACCACCUUGGAACAUUUUCCUAAGCAUAUUUCUUCCUCUGAAAAAUUUCUGAAAUUUUUAGUAACUUCAAAUAAAAGUGAACCAAGCUCAACGAAAUUGAUAGCAACUACUCCUACAAGUGACUAGAGCCUAAAUCAAGCAUUAGAACUACUUGGAACCUUAUAAAUUUGACAUGCAAGCUCAAGAACAUGGUCACCUAGGCAACACAAAUUUGCAAUGAAUAGAGCACUAGAACAAAAACUAAUUGAACCAAUGGAGGAGUCACAUACCAAGGAACAAUCUCCCCAAGAAGUUUUGUGAGAGGUGCUUUGAGCAAGGAGAUCGAAAAUCGCAGCAAAAUGAGCUAGAACUCGUGCUUGAGUUGGAUGGUGAUUUUUUUGCGAGGAAGAAGAAGUGUGUGGGUGUAGGAAUAAGUGGAGGGGAGCCACCAUGGGCCCGCGAGGCAGGGGGGCGCGCCCUCCACCCUCGUGGCCAGGUCCUUGCACCUCCUGCUGUGUUCUCAGUGCCAGAUAUUCUCAAAUAUUCUGGAAAAAAAAUCAUAUUCCAUUUUCAGGGCAUUUGGAGAACUUUUAUUUUCGGGGUAUUUUUAUAUUGCACAGAUAAAUCAGAAAACAGACAGAAAAAUACUAUUUUUACUUUAUUUCAACUAAAUAGCAGAAAGUAGAGAGAGGGUACAGAAGGUUGUGCUUCUAGUUUCAUCCAUCUCAUGCUCAUCAAAAGGAAUCCACUAACAAGGUUGAUCAAGUCUUGUUAACAAACUCAUUCCGACUAACAUGGAACCGGAGAAAUUUCGAAUAACACUAUGUUACCUCAGCGGGGAUAUGCACAUCCCCAAUAAUAAGAAUAUCAUAUUUCUUCUUGGCAGUAGGAAGAGGAAAUUCAAAACCUCCAAAUAUAAUCGAUGUAAUUUUUCCAAUAGAAUUGAUACUAUGAACCUGAGGUUGUUUCCUCGGAAAGUGUACCGUAUGCUCAUUACCAUUAACAUGAAAAGUGACAUUGCCUUUGUUCCAAUCAAUAACAGCCCCUGCAGUAUUCAAAAAGGGUCUUCCAAGAAUAAUAGACAUACUAUCGUCCUCGAGAAUAUCAAGAAUAACAAAGUCCGUUAAAAUAGUAACGUUUGCAACCACAACAGGCACGUCCUCACAAAUACCGACAGGUAUAGCAGUUGAUUUAUCAGCCGUUUGCAAAGAUAUUUCAGCAGGUGUCAACUUACUCAAAUCAAGUCUACGAUAUAAAGAGAGAGGCAUAACACUAACACCAGCUCCAAGAUCACAUAAAGCAGUUUUAACAUAGUUUCUUUUAAUGGAGAAAGGUAUAGUGGGCACCCCUGGAUCUCCUAGUUUCUUUGGUAUUCCACCUUUAAAAGUAUAAUUAGCAAGCAUGGUGGAAAUUUCAGCUUCCGGUAUCUUUCUCUUAUUUGUAACAAUAUCUUUCAUAUACUUAGCAUAAGGAUUCAUUUUGAGCAUAUCAGUUAAUCGCAUACGCAAAAAGAUAGGUCUAAUCAUUUCAGCAAAGCGCUGAAAAUCCUCAUCAUCCUUUUUCUUGGAUGGUUUUGGAGGAAAAGGCAUGGGUUUCUGAACCCAUGGUUCUCUUUCUUUACCGUGUUUCCUAGCAACAAAGUCUCUCUUAUCAUAACGUUGAUUCUUUGAUUGUGGGUUAUCAAGAUCAACAGCAGGUUCAAUUUCUAUAUCAGUAUCAUUGCUAGGUUGAGCAUCAACACGAACAUCAUCAUUAACAUUAUCACUAGUUUCAUGUUCAUUACCAGAUUGUGUUUCAGCAUCAGAAAUAGAAAUAUCAUUUGGAUUCUCAGGUGGUUCAGCAAUAGGUUCACUAGAAGCAUGCAAAGUCCUAUCAUUUUUCUUUUUCUUCUUGUUAGAAGGACUAGGUGCAUCAAUAUUAUUUCUCUGAGAAUCUUGCUCAAUUCUCUUAGGGUGGCCUUCAGGAUACAAAGGUUCCUGAGUCAUUUUACCAGUUCUAGUAGCACUCUAACAGCAUAAUCAUUAUUCUUAUUCUUUAAUUCAUUGAGCAAAUCAUUCUGAGCCUUAAGUACUUGUUCUACUUGAGUGGUAACCAUAGAAGCAUGUUUGGUAAUGAGUUUAAGUUCACCUUUAACGCUAGACAUAUAAUCACCCAAGUAUUCAAGCUUAUCGGAAUUAUAUUUCAAUUGUCUACCAAAAUAAGCAUUGAAGUUUUCUUGUUUGACAAUAAAAUUAUCAAACUCUUCUAAGCAUUGUCUAGCAGACUUAUAGUGAGGAAUAUCACCUUCAUCAAAUCUAUAGAGAAAAUUUACCUUUACUACCUGUGUCGGGUUAUCAAGACCAUGAGUUUCUUCAAUAGAUGGAGGAUUAAGAUCACAUAUUUCUUCAACAGGCGGUAAAUUAAGACCAUGUAUUUCUUCAAUAGGAGGUAAAUUCUUAACAUCUUCAGCUUUAAUACCCUUUUCUUUCAUAGAUUUCUUUUCCUCUUGCAUAUCUUCAGGACUGAGAAAUAGAACUCAUCUCUUCUUCGGAGUUGGUUUAGGAAUAGGCUCAGGAGCUGGCUCAGGAAGUGUCCAAUUAUUUUCAUUGGUUAACAUAUUAUUCAAUGGAAUUUCAGCUUCAUCCGGUGUUCUUUCCCUGAAAACAGAACCAGCACAACUAUCCAGGUAAUCUCUGGAAGCAUCGGUUAGUCCAUUAUAAAAGAUAUCAAGUAUUUCAUUUUUCUUAAGAGGAUGAUCAGGGAAAGCAUUAAGUAAUUGGAGAAGCCUCCCCCAAGCUUGUGGGAGACUCUCUUCUUCAAUUUGCACCAAAUUAUAUAUGUCCCGCAAAGCAGCUUGUUUCUUAUGAGCAGGGGAAAUAUUUAGCAGAGAAGUAAUAAAUCAUAUCCUGGGGACUACGCACACAACCAGGAUCAAGAGAAUUAAACCAUAUCUUAGCAUCACCCUUUAAUGAGAACGGAAAUAUUUUAAGGAUAUAAAGGUAGCGAGAUCUCUCAUCAUUAGUGAACAGGGUGGCUAUAUCAUUUAAUUUAGUAAGAUGUGCCACAACAGUUUCAGAUUCAUAGCCAUAAAAAGGAUCAGAUUCAACCAAAGCAAUUAUAUCAGGAUCAACAGAGAAUUCACAAUCCUCAUCAGUAACACAGAUAGGUGAAGCAGCAAAAGCAGGAUCAGGUUUCAUUCUAGCAUUAAGAGAUUGCUGCUUCCAUUUAGCUAAUAAUUUCUUAACAUCAUAUCUAUCUUUGCAGGCAAAAAUUUCGUUAGCAAUUGCUUCAUCCAUAACAUAGCCCUCAGGCACAACAGGUAAUUCAUACUUAUUAGGGGAAGAGUCUUCAUCAUCACUUUCAUAAAUAUUAUCAAUAAUUUCAUUCUCUCUAGCCCUAGCAAGUUGUUCAUCAAGAAAUUCACCAAGUGGCACAGUAGUAUCAAGCAUAGAAGUAGUUUCAUCAUAAGUAUCAUGCAUAGCAGAAGUGGCAUCAUCAAUAACAUGCGACAUAUAAGAAUGAAUAGCAGAAGCAGGUUUAGGUGUCGCAAGCUUACUCAAAACAGAAGGUGAAUCAAGUGCAGAGCUAGAUGGCAGUUCCUUACCUCCCCUCGUAGUUGAGGGAUAAAUUGUUGUCUUAGCGUCUUUCAAGUUUUUCAUAGUGACCAGCAGAUAUAAAUCCCAAGUGCUCAAAGAAUAGAGCUAUGCUCCCCGGCAACGGCAACAUAAAAUAGUCUUGAUAACCCACAAGUAUAGGGGAUCGCAACAGUUUUCAAGGGUAGAGUAUUCAACACAAAUUUAUUGAUUCGACAGAAGGGGAGCCAAGGAAUAUUCUCAAGUAUUAGCAACUGAGUUGUCAAUUCAGCCACACCUGGAUAAGUUAAUAUCUGCAGCAAAGUAUUUAGUAGCAAAGUAAUAUGAUAGUAGUGGUAACGGUAACAAAGGUAACGGUAGCAAAAGUAAUAUUUUUGGUGUUUUGUAGUGAUUAUAACAGUAGCAACGGAAAAGUAAAUAAGCGAAGAACAAUAUGUGAAAAGCUCAUAGGCAUCGGAUCGGUGAUGGAGAAUUAUGCCGGAUGCGGUUCAUCAUGUAACAAUCAUAACAUAGGGUGACACAGAACUAGCUCCAAUUCAUCAAUGUAAUGUAGGCAUGUAUUCCUAAUAUAGUCAUACGUGCAUAUGGAAAAGAACUUGCAUCACAUCUUUUGUCCUACCCUCCCGUGGCAGCGGGGUCAUAAUGGAAACUAAGGGAUAUUAAGGCCUCCUUUUAAUAGAGUACCGGAACAAAGCAUUAGCACAUGGGGAAUACAUGAACUCCUCAAACUAUGGUCAUCACCGGGAGUGGUCCCGAUUAUUGUGACUUCGGGGUUGCCGGAUCAUAACACAUAGUAGGUGGGCUUGCAAGAUAGGAUCAAGAACUCACAUAUAUUCAUGAAAACAUAAUAGGUUCAGGUCUGAAAUCAUGGCACUCGGGCCCUGUUGACAAGCACUAAGCAUAGCAAAGUCAUAGCAACAUCAGUCUCAGAACAUAGUGGAUACUAGGGAUCAAACCCUAACAAAACUAACUCGAUUACAUGAUAGAUCUCAUCGAACCCAUCACCGUCCAGCAAGCCUACGAUGGAAUUACUCAAGCACGGCGGUGAGCAUCAUGAAAUUGGUGAUGGAGGAUGGUUGAUGAUGACGAUGGCGACGAAUCCCCCUCUCGGGAGCCUCGAACGGACUCCAGAUCAGCCCUCCCGAGAGGUUUUAGGGCUUGGCGGCGGCUCCGUAUCGUAAAACGCGAUGAAUCCUUCUCUCUGAUUUGUUUCUCCCUGAAAGUGAAUAUAUGGAGUUGGAGUUGAGGUCGGUUCAGCGUUAGGGGGCCCACGAGGCAGGGGGCGCGCCCUAGGGGGGCAGGCGCUCUCUCCACCCUCGUGGACAGGGUGUGGGCCCCCUGACAUGGAUUUUUCUUCCAGUAUUUUUCUUAUUUUCCAAAUAGAUGUUCCGUGGAGUUUCAGGUCAUUUCGAGAACUUUUGUUUCUGCACAUAAAUAACACCAUGGAAAGUCUGCUGAAAACAGCGUCAGUCCGGGUUAGUUCCAUUCAAAUCAUGCACGUUAGAGUCGAAAACAAGGGCAAAAGUGUUUGGAAAAGUAGAUACGACGGAGACGUAUCAGCUAUGUCUUGAGGGAGAUCGGUCGACAUCCAUACAUAACUCAAGGACGGGAAAUAGGUUGGGUCAGAGAGAGAGAGAGAGGAGAGAGAGAGGGAGGGAGAGAGGUAGAGUGCUGGAUGGGUGAUGGAGUUGCUUCUCGAAGAUGGUGGGAGAGGCCUACUAGACAAACUAAGGGUAGAACUGCAAUAUUAUCAAUAAGAGUGGGGAUGUGUUUCUGUGUGUGCCUGUGCGUGAUAGAUCUGUCGGUACGCAUGCAUGGAUGAUGAAGGGGACCCAUGUGUUUGGUAAGCAAACCUAACUAGAUCGGUAGAUCAAUUGUUGUUUGUCGGAGGAAGGGAGAGACAUAACUAAUGAGGUAGAUCGAUCGACGCGCAGGGAAAAUGAGUUAUAAGGACCUAGCUAGCUAUAUGUAUAGCGGGAGAUCGGUCGGUGUACAUCCAUUUGUUAGAGGCAAAUAAGGCCCGGCGAGAUGGAUAGACAAAGAGAAUGGAGCUAGGAGGUGGUGCGAGAGGCCGAGCUACUAGCUAGAUAGGGGGAGGAGUGCGCGAAUAAGGCCCUGUGAGAUGGAUAGUCAAAGAGAAUGGAGCUAGGAGGUGGUGCGAGAGGCUGAGCUACUAGCUAGAUAGGGGGAGGAGUGCGCGGUUGUGAGAUCGAUGAAAAGAGGGGCGAGAGUUUACACGUGUGUGGGACCGUAUGAGAGACACAAGGCAUGGACACAGAAAGGAGGAGAUGGAAGGUGCGUGUGUAUGUUGUAGGUAGACAUUGCUGGAGAGGUUUAUCGAUUUGUGUGUGUCGGAAAGGAGUUGUGGAGACUGUGGGAGAACGACCUAAAGAAAAAAAUGAAUGUGUGCGAUGGAUAGAAUGCUGAGGGAGGGGGUGCGAGGAGGGCGUGUGCAUGCAUGAGAGAAAAUUGGUGCUAGCUACAAAGUUUGAGGAUUGUGUGGGUGUAAGAGACUAACAAAGAUCAUAAUUUGAUAUGAAAGUGGAUUCAUAUAUUUGAAUAGGAGAUCAUAGUGUUAUAAACAUAUGCAUGCAUGAAUAUAGCGGUGAUACGCGUGUUGUGGUUUUGCACAUGUUAUACCAUAAUGUGAUAAUGCAUGUCGUUUGCAACUCAUAGCUAAAUGUCGAACAAUAUAAAGCAUACUAUACAUCAAAGAAUCUCACAUUUUAUUUGAAUUUGUGAUAAUAUGUGGCGUUUGCAGCUUACAACUAAAUAUCGAACAAUCUAAACAAUACUAUAUAUCGAACAAUCUCACAUUUUAUUUGAAUUUGUGGUAAUGUGUGAUGUUUGCAACUCACAUCUAAAUACUUGUAGGCGUAGGGGGCGGGGCACCAUACAUUAUGUGAUAAACACAUUAUACAUAUGAGACAUGGUUUAGAUUAUGAAGAUCUAGCUAGAGCUUGAAAUGUACUGUGAUUUGACAUCAACAUAAAGUGGAUUCAAAAAAUCGAGUUCGAGUGGUGUGCUGUGAAGAUAAUACACAAACGAUGGUUUAACUUGACAAUAAUGAUGAUUGUAGAUCUUAUUAAAAUAGAGAAACAAAUUCAAAUGGUUCGACUUCACAAGAAUCAUUAUUGUAGAUCUUAUUUAAAUAGAGAAACGAAUUCAAAUUGAGUUCAUAUUGAAGUGGUAGUAUAUACGUUUGGAAUGCACUAAAACGUUCAUUUGAGUAGCAGGUUGCAUGCGUUAUACACGUAGCAAAAUAUUUUAAUUGAACAUAACAUGAAUUCAAAGUUUUGAAUGACAUUUUUAGUGCGAAUUGAUUUGGUAUUGUACAGGGGACUAGACUCUCUUGUGUGCUGCGAAUUGAUUUCUUUUUGUUUUUUCAUCGACGGAAGUGCGAAUUGAUUUGGUACAGUACACGUUGGGCUUGUCCGGAAAUUUCAACCCGCGCCUUGUUACCCUGAAAGAUUUAAGAUAUAUCUUUGUCUCGUUGUGCUCCGACAACUCCCUCCAUCUCAACCUACGCCUUGCUAUUCCAAAUUUACAACGCGCGCGAAAACUCCCACCUCCUGUGAAAUCCCGACAUGCGAAAUGCCCAUGAUACCCCUGAACCAAAAGAACCGCGUAGCUCAAAUCGGUCGGGGUACUUUCGUAAAUUACCCCACAUUUCGGACAAGCGCGUCCCUAAGCCAUGGUUCCCCACUCCCAUCCUAUCCGCCCACCCAUUCGUACACCGAGGCCGCGAAAACCAAUGAAGCCCCACACCCUCCUUUGUCCGCCACCCAGCCGGAGCCUCUUCCCCGACGACGUCAUCCACAGCAAUACCUCGACGUCCCUCAUCCACCGUACCAGAUGAGGAUCCGUCGUCGAUCUCGUCGUCCCGCCUGUUCAGCCACCCCUUCCUCCACCUCUAACGAGCUGCCCCGACGUUCCCCUCGUCUUUCGCACCACCUCCAUUCCCACACCGCCGUCUUCACCUGCACCACCGGAAGAGCGUCAUCAUCACCGUUUCCUCGGAUGAAGCUGAGGCCUAAUCGGCACCACCAAAGAGGUUGUACACUAAUCGCCGCAUUUUCUUCUUGAUUCGGUCUCACGGUGCUGCCGGCGCUCGGUCCCGAGCCGACACGGCACGACUGCAUCCACGGCGGCGUUGCCGGCCACUUCCUCCAUAGCAUCGCUCCCUCGGCGACGACGUCCACAUCAGUAGGAGCUGCUACUGCUUUAGCUCAAGCUCGCGCUGCUGCUCUGCUCUUGCUCUCGGUCCCCUGCUUGGUGUCCUCUUGCUAUUGCUCUCGCUCUUGCUCUUGCUCGCGGUGCUGCUCUCGCUCUUGCCCUUGCUUGCGAUGCUGCUCCGAUUUAUCUACACUUCACUCGACUGAAUCNNNNNNNNNNNNNNNNNNNNNNNNNNNNNNNNNNNNNNNNNNNNNNNNNNNNNNNNNNNNNNNNNNNNNNNNNNNNNNNNNNNNNNNNNNNNNNNNNNNNNNNNNNNNNNNNNNNNNNNNNNNNNNNNNNNNNNNNNNNNNNNNNNNNNNNNNNNNNNNNNNNNNNNNNNNNNNNNNNNNNNNNNNNNNNNNNNNNNNNNNNNNNNNNNNNNNNNNNNNNNNNNNNNNNNNNNNNNNNNNNNNNNNNNNNNNNNNNNNNNNNNNNNNNNNNNNNNNNNNNNNNNNNNNNNNNNNNNNNNNNNNNNNNNNNNNNNNNNNNNNNNNNNNNNNNNNNNNNNNNNNNNNUAGGGUUCAGGGUGGGGGCGGUGGUCAUCGGCGGUGGUGGGGCGGUGGCGUGGGGAUCGCCGGAGAAAAAGCUCGGCACGGGGAGGGGGGGCUAGAGGGAUGACCGGGGCGGCGGUGGACCGGCGGUGGGGAGUGGUUUCAGGGCGGGCGGGGCGGCGCACCGUCAACCGCGGGCGGCGGUGGGCAGCGGUUUGGUCGGUGGUGGCUGGCGGCUCAGUGGGGUGGAGGUUGAAGAUGAACUGUUGGCCCUUGAUUUCGUAUCCAACGGCUAGAAAAUCGACUGACCAGAGAUGAAAAUUCAGUCGACUAACGUGUAGCCUCACCUGAUGCUGCUACACGACCAGCUGCCCCACCUCUCGUACGCGCUGCUGCUGCUGCUACUGCUUUUCUGCUACUAGUGCGUUUAGUUUCGGCAGUAAAAUUCAGUUUCGACAACAAAAUUCAGUUUCGACAGUUAAGUUCAGUUUUGACAGUUAAAUUCAGUUUCGACAGUUAAGUUCAGAGAUGAGCGGCUGAUUUAUUCUACAUCUAGCACUUUUUUGUUAUGUAUUUUAUGUCAUCUAUUGGAGAUGCUAUUAGAAUUCCACUCAGGCUAACGUUGUCUCUCCUGUCCUGCUUCAGCCUCGGCGUCGUACAACUCACCGGAGCGGCUCCAACAACGAAACCCUCCAUCACAGCGGAGCAGUACCCCGGGCUCCAUCUCAAGAUGCCUAAGAUCUUCUUCCCCUCCCGACAGCCAAGUCAGCCGGAUCAUCCUCCCCGACCAACCCAAUCAUGCUGAGAUCGAGAUGGCUUCGCCAAAGAGGUUGUACACUUGUUGCAUCUCUUUUUUACUCUACAUGUUAUAUAUAUUGUCCACUGAGCACACGCAGUAACGUGAAAUACGAUUAGUUUCUCCUACUAUAUGACAAGAAGUGAGGUACCAGGCAACUUAGCUAUCCGUGAUGGACUCUCUCAAAUGCCAUCAUUAUUUAUCUCUGCGUGUUUGAGCUGUGCAUUUGUCGAUGGGCCUGGGACUUGAGCUAGUAGGGCAGUGGCCUGGGUCCAAAGUAGUCGAAGUAGCACAAAAACAUUUUUUGAGUGUAGGCUUUUCCUUGCUCAAGCCUGCCUACUAGAAUCGCGAGUGCUUGAAAGGAAAAGUGAAGGAAAAACAUAUGAAUUGGAAACUUUCCUAUGGUACUACUAUUCAUGCAUUUGGUUCAAAGGAAUGGAGCAAAGGAAAACUGUAGGAUUUGUUCCUUUAGUGUCUCCUUGAAAGAAAAACUGUAGGAAUUUUAAUUUCCACUUGUCCUCCUUUUCAAAUUCCUAUUCAUGUAGCACAAGACUAAGAGAUAGUAGCAUAAUAGCAUUAUAACCAUACAUUUUCUUCUGGUUUGACUUAAUCUCACCAUGCUUCUUUGCAUCCUGUGAUCUUCCAAUUCUUGUGAACCAAAUACCCAGAUUGGCAGAAAUCAUGUGUUUUUAAAUUCUCUGUUUUGCACGUGCAUUCCUAUCCUAUUACUGUGUAUUUCCUAUCCCUGCAUUAUUAGAAUCCUCCAAUUCAAACAAGCCCUUACAAAAUUUCUUCUCUUACAGAAAGUUGUCAAAGAAAACCUUGUGUGGUUUGUCCCGCUCCUGCUGCGUCGUCGUCCACCCCCUCAGCUGCUCCAACGACAGAAGGGUCCAGCAUAGCAGGGAUCCGGCCUCCAGACUGUCUUUCACCGCCUCAGAUCUUCUUCCCCACCGCCGGUAGCCAUGACAACUUCAUUACCAUCAUUAACCGAGCACAUGACCUCGAGGACUACACGGGUCCGCAAGAGAGGUCGCACUCUUUCGUGUUUGCUUACGUUAUGCAUCACUUAAUAUUACAUGCUACUUUAUCAUCCUGUUCACCGAUUAGACACUGAGUCAGCUCCAAAAUAAUGGUCAAACUUGAGUUUCUAAAUGGUUGUGGGGUUCAUAUUGGGGCUGCAAUCAAUAGUAUCUAUCUACUAUCUUGUUAAUCUCUGGUGUCUACUAUGAGUUUCAUGUUGGGUGGGAAACAAACAGUAAAGAAGCCAUUAUCUGUAUUUUUUAACUAAAGCCAUUAUCUGCGUGCUAUCAUUGGUUUUGGGUCUAUCCACUGGUUGCUACCAUCAGUCUGGAUUUCUGCAUGCACUCCUUACAUAAUCUCACUAUGUUUUAUUCCUAUGCAUGUUAGUUAUUGUACACAAUGGAACUGAACAUGUAGAGCAAAAGGGACGAGCCUUGCGUGGCAAUAAAAUUUCAUGCAAACGUCGCUCCAUGGAAGGCGCAAAGGCAGCCCCCCCCCCCUCCACCCAUUUCGGAUUGUAUCUGAGAGGAAGAUAUCUGUUCUGAGGGGAUUCAGAAGGGGAAGACCACUCCUAUUUACCCCCUGAGGUCUUCGCUCUAACUUGGCAUGCUGAUGUUGGUUAUAUCAUGCAUAUGGUGCCUUGUAUUGCUUAGUUUAUACAUCAAAUAUGUCAUCUACUUAGUUUAGACAUGCUUUGUGUGAAUGCCAUCUGUUAAGUUUAUUCAUCGUUUAUGUGAAUUAUGCAACGCCAUCUUGUUUAGCCAUGUAUCAUAUAUGUGAAUUUUGCAAUGCCAUCCUACUUAGGUAGUCAUCUUAUAUGUGAAUUAUAUCAGGCCAUCCUUUUUUUCCGUUACGUAUUACAUUUGUCAACAAUGUUAGUACAUUCAACUACUCUUCAUGUGCAUCAGCCAUUUGACACGGUGAUGGAAAAUUCCAGAGUGAAAACAAGGUCUUCAGAGCAAACUAUGCUAUCUGACGAAGCACAUAUCUCGCUGGUUACGGAUAGCUCCUCAGAGGAGGAUCCAGAGAUAGAUGACCAGUCCUAUUUCCCCCCGAGGUGUAUGCUCUAACUUGGCAGGGUUAUGUUGCUCAUAACGUGCGUACGGUGUCUUGCAUUGCUAUGUCAUUUGAUUAGUUUAGACAUGCUUUGUGUGAAUGCCACCUAUUUAGUGUCUAAUUACCAUAUAUGUGAAUUAUGCAUUGCCAUCUUGUUGCAAGACAUUAUAUAUGUGAAUUAUGCAACGCUAUCUUGUUGCAAAGGCAUUAUAUAUGUGAAUUAUGCAAUGCCAUGUUGUUUAGCCAAUCAUCAAGUAUGAGAAUUAUAUCAUGCUAUCAUUUUUUUGUAUUACGUGUUCCAUUUGUCGACAACAUUUGUAUAUUCAACUAUGCUUCCUGUGCAUCAGCCAUUUCAAGCGGUGAUGGAAGUAUCUGGAGUGAAAACAAGGUAUUCAGAGCAGACAAUGCUACCUGAUGAAGCAGACAUCUUGCUGGAUACAGAGAGCUCCUCAGAGGAUUAUUCAGAGACUGAUGACCAGUCCUAUUUCCCCCCUGAGGUCUAUGCUCAAACUUGGCAGGGUUAUAUUACCCAUGUCAUGCAUGUUGUCUUGCAUUGCUUAGUUUUUACAUCAUAUAUGAAUUGCCAUCUGCUUACUUGCUUACUAUAUAAAUCAUAUAUUUGAAUUAUAUCAUGCAAUCAUGUUUACAUACACAACAUCUAUCUGAAUUAUGGCAUGGCAACCAAUUUAAUAAAGACAUCAUAUAGUUAUAUCAUCUCAUCUUGUUUAGUGUUUACAGUCAUCAUAUUUUGAAUUAUGUCAUUCUAUCCGUGAAUAAUAUCAUGCUAUCAUGUUUCCAUAGGCGGCAUGUAUGUGAAUUAUGGCAUGCCAACCUAUUUAAUAAACACAUUAUAUAGUUAUAUCAUGUCAUCCUGUUUACAUAGUCAUCAUAUUUUGAACUAUGUCUUUCCAUCUUUUUAGUUAGCCAUCAUAAUGUGAAAUUGUGUCAUGCUAUCCUGUUUAGUUAGCCAUCAUAUAUGUGAAAUUGUGUCAUGCUAUCCUGUUUGGUUAGACAACAAAAUAUGAAUUAUUUCAUGCCCUCUUUUAUUCUCCACUAUCCAUUGCACCUGUCUAUCAUACAAUGUCUGUAUAUUCCAUUACUUUUCUUGUUUAUCAUCCACUUGAAUUGGAGAGGGUGAUGGCAGUAUCCAUGGGAGUAACAACACAGUCUUCAGAAAAGAUAGUGCUACCAGUUGAUGCAGAUAGAACCACGGUUGUACUUGCCCAAGAACCAGCCCCACCACACAUAACCCAGACUCUCGCAGAUUGUACCCCUACCCAGUUGGAUAGAGAACCAACUACACCCCUUCUAACCCCAACCCCAGCAGAUAGUAACCCAGUUCCAGUUGACACAGCACCGUCUCCACCACAGAACACCCAAACACGAGCAGUUAGUAAGGGAACUGCAGUGCCCAAAGCAUGAGGACCACCACUCCGGAUCCCAACUCAAGGCUUAAAGGAGAAGAAGAAUUGUUCUUAGGUCAGGUUUUCUAGCUAUGUUUCAUACUCCUUUGCUCUUGCAUCACUGUAUUUACUCAUACCAACUAUUUUCAAAUUUGAAGGAUGGAACUGAAACUCCAAUGGCGCAACAGGUAUGUUUUAAACCUGUUUCUUUAACUGGUUUGCUGUUGUAACUUGCUCUAUGUUGAUUUUAGUUUCAAUUGAAUAAACAGUUAUGUUCUCAUGUCAUGGACAUUACAAGUGUUGUUAUUGCUCUAUAGUUUCCCACACUUAUAUUCUGUCUAUUCUGCUAUGUCUUGAACAAAUAUUAUUUGAACUAUGUCUCUAUCUUGAUUUGGCAACAAAAACUAGAAUGAUAUAGACCAUAAAGUGACCAUGGUGCAUAGAUAUAUGUUUGUUUCAUGUUGUUAUCCUGUCCACUUUACUACUCAACUGAUUUACCAAAAUGAGUUUCAUAUACAACAUGGUAAACAUGUGAUGUGUCUGCUUGUUUCUCUUUGAGAAUCCGGACAAAAUAUUGGAGAACAGUACCCCAUUAUGCAAUGGUAAAGGAAGUAAUGCAGAUAAGGUUCAAGAUAGUGAGACAUCCCUGUUGGUCUCCAAGAAAGGUGAUAAAAACUAUCUUGACGACAGUGAGAGAACCCAAAAGUCCUGUCUUGAUGUAGUGUUCGAGUUACUGGCCACUACUGUUGGCACAAGCUCUUCGAACUCGCUGCCUGAAUCAGUUCGUCUUCUUGAGUCUCAACUUCAAGUUGAAAGACAUCGAUCAGAUGUGCUGCGACAGGAAGCUGAAGGACUGAGGAAGUCCGUGCAGAAUUCAGAUGCAUACUUUCUGGUGCAACAACAAGCGCUGGAGGAUUUAAGCACCAAACAAGAGAAAGUUAAUAAGCUUGCACUACUAGGGAAAACCUUAUACACAGAAUCUUAUCAGCAGCGCGGCUCAAAAAGAGGCGCUACUGCUAAUUAGCCGUAGCGAUGUUAGGAAAACCGCGCUGCUGAUGAAAAUUUAGCAGUGCCGCGUGAUGGAUAAAUCGCACUGCUACAAAAAUCGACCGACAGUAACCAACAACCUAAGUUUAGCAGCAGCGCGAGGUCACAGUGCACGCUACUGCUAAUGCAAUAGUAGUAGCGCGCUUUUUACUCACGUCGCUGCUGCUAAUUUUGAAAUUGUCCACACGGUUGGCCCGUUUAGCAGUAGCGCGUGUUAGAAAAGCGCGCUGCUGCUACACCCUUAGCAGUAGCGCGCUUUUCCGCCCGCGCUACUGCUAAGGCACAGUACCCCACCACCUUUCCCCUCCCGUCCUCUCCUCCCCCAUAUCCUCUCCUCCCUUUCCCCUACCUCCCACAUCCUCCCAAAUUAGCUAGCUAGGUAGAUGUAGCAUUUACUCAAGUGACUUAUUUGCCCCCUAAUUAGAUCUAUCUUUGUCAAGAAGAGCUUUGUGCACUUUUGAUCUCCCUACAUCAUCAUCUCCACCGUGUGCUCGAUCUCGAGAUAGAGGUGAUUAAAAUUUCAUGCUUUUGCAAAAUGGAUAUAUGUGUAUGUGUGUGUGAUAUGAUAAUUGGGCAAUAUGAUGGAAAUUGUGUGUGUGGCAUGAGUUGACGCCUUGUGCUUUUGAGUUGCCUAUGUUUUGCCGAAAUGUCGAUUUAUUUCCGUUUCGGCGAAUUCCGGGCAAACUCUAGAUCUAUAUAUGUCCUAUUUUUAGGGAAGGUCAUGCCGAAUUUUUGUAUGACUUUGAUGCAUGCACGCAUUUUUAUAAUCAAUUAGUUUUAUUAUUACCGUGCAGACAUUCAUGAUGGUCAGUGGAACGAUGGUGGACAGGUGGUUGCGGUCGGCGGUGCAGGACAUGAAAGAAAAUAACCUGACAGAGGUUUUAUGUCCGUGUCGAAAAUGCAAAGGAAUAGUUUGGCUCGACCCCUAUGACGAUGGUCGUGUCGUAGCGCACCUGCUCAUGACUCGUUUCAUGGAUGGCUAUACUCGGUGGAUAAUUGAAGAUGAGGAUGACGAUGUUGAGGACGCCGAUGGGGCAGGCAAUGAUGACACGGGACAAGACGAAGAGAUGAUCGAUAAUGGCGGCGUGGAAGAGGCUGGACAUGGCGGCGGAGAAGGGGCCGGACAUGGCGGAGGAGAAGUGGUCGGGCAUGGCGGCGGAGAGAACGACGUGGACUCCACACAGCAGAGUUCAUCGGUACUAAGUUCAAUCAUGCAAGACCCUCAUGUUCAAGCACUGCUUCGUAAGGAGACGAGUACUGAGAGAGCUGCUUCUAGAGAGGAGGCUAAGCUGGAGCAACUGGUGGUAGACUCGAACACUCCAUUGUAUGAUGGUUGCAAUCCUGAGGUGACCCGCUUGAGUUUCACGCUCCAACUCCUGAAGACGAAGGCUAAAAACAAAUGGACUGACACUAGCCUCGAUGAGCAUCUCAAGUACCUAAAGGAUGUUCUUCCCGUGGGGAAUCUAUGUCCUACUAGUGCUGAUGAGGCCAAGAAGAUCGUGUGCCCUCUUGAUCUGCCGCAUGUUAGAUACCAUGCAUGCAUCAAUGAUUGCAUAAUUUAUCGGAAGGAGCACGCGGAAAAAACAAGCUGUCCGGUGUGCAAUGCUUCUCGAUACAAGAAGGCUGGGAAGAAAUGUCCCCAGAAAGUUGUACGGUACUUACCGAUCACUCCCCAUCUCCAGCGGUAUUUUGUAGAUCCCAAGGAAGCAAAGCUAAUGCGCUGGUACGCGGAGAGGAAGAAGCCCGAUGAUGGAGAUGAUCCGAAGCUGAGACACGUCAAGGAUGGAAGCCAGUGGAGAGCGUUGAACAGCUUCUAUCAGUAUUUCGAAUGUGAUGCAAGGAACAUCGUGCUCGGCGCGUGUACCGAUGGCAUGAAUCUGUUUGGCAACCAGAACACCAACCAUAGCACAUGGCCCGUGUUUGUAUGGAUGUACAACCUCCCCCCUGGUUGUGCAUGAAGUCGAAGCACAUUCACAUGAGCAUGCUUAUUCAAGGGCCGAAACAACCAGGAAAUAAUAUUAAUUUGUAUCUGGGGCUACUUCAAGAGGAGUUAGACACGUUAUGGAAAACACCGGCCAAGACAUGGGACGCCAGCAAAGGCGAGUAUUUCUACAUAAGAGCCGCGCUGAUCAUGACGGUGCACGACUAUCUCGGUUAUGGAUAUGUGCAGGCCAGGCAUUCCAUGGAUAUUGCGGAUGCACGCGGUGCAUGGAUGAUACGACGUCUCAGCAGCUAACGUCAAGGAAAGAUGGCGGGUCUGGAAAAACUAGAAGGAGUGCCCCGCGCCGGGAAAGAUGAUGAAAAAGGCGCCAGAGCCGCUGCUGAAGGUAUGGAAGACGAGGUCUAUGUUCUCGGACUUGGAGUACAGGCACAAUAUCGAUACACCUCAUUGCCUUGAUCAAAUGCAUAUAUGUAAGGAUGUCCUUGAGAGCUUGCUCCUGACACUAAUGAGCAUGCCGGAUAAGACCAAGGAUGGGCCGAAGGCAAGAAAAGACUUGCAAGAUAUGAAAAUCAGGGAAGAUCUGCACAUGCCGCCCCGUAAAAUGUCAGACGAGACAGAGACGGAGACAGAGGCACGGGAGAAGAAGGGCAAGAAAAUAAAGAAAGAGGAUUAUUGCCCCCCCUUCUUGCUUCACCUUGAGUCAGGCUGAGAUCGGUCAAUUCUUUAAGUGCCUUACCAGAGUCAAAGUUAGUUCCGGUUACUGUGGCAAGAUAAGCAGAUAUCUCGAUGCGGACAAGAAAAGGUUCAACGGGAUGAAGUCCCAUGACUGUCACGUGAUGAUGACGCAAAUACUACCUGUUGCCCUUAGAGGGAUAAUGGACAAGCACGUCCGUGACACGCUUAUUGGUCUCUGCAACUUUUUCGACGUCAUCUCUCGAAAGUUGAUCAUCUGAAGCAGCUCCGAAGGCUACAAGAAGAGAUUGUUGUGAUACUGGAUGAGCUGGAGAUGUACUUCCCGCCCACGUUCUUUGACGUGAUGGUGCAUCUGUGUGUCCAUAUUGUGGACGACAUAAUAGACCUGGGGCCGUCAUUUCUGCACAACAUGAUGCCGUUUGAGAGGAUGAAUGGGAUCAUCAAAGGAUUCAUUCGUAACAUGUCCCAUCCGGAUGGAAGCAUCAUCCACGGCUAUCUGACACAAGAGUGCAUCUCUUCCUGCGAAAAUUUUCUAUAUGGCGCGGACCUGCAGCCGCCUGGUGUUAGUGUUGGUUUGCCCGUUAACAAGCACGAUGGGAGGCUCGAAGGAGAAGGUCACUCCAAUGGUCGCAGGGAACUGCAGGUGGCAUACUCAGAUCGACGCAGCGACUUUGACAGAGCAAACUUGGUAGUGCUACAACACCUAGACGAGGUAGAUCCUUUCGUGGCACUGCACAAACAAAUUAUCGCAAAGAAGUAUCGUGACCGGGGGCUAUGCAGGACGGACACCGAAGUUACUAGAGAGCACAACUCCACUUUCGUGCAUUGGUUCAAAGAGCAUGGCCCCUCGCCCAACCCCUGAGGAGGGCUCUAAGGACGGAUUGCUCAUAUGCGCCUUAGCACAUGGCCCCUCGCCCAACCUCGUAACCUAUCAGGUAUACGAUAUCAAUGGAUACACAUUCUACACGGAGGCCAAAGAUAUGGACAGUGAUGAUCAGAACUCAGGGGUGACGAUGGAAUGCAUGACCGGCAGCGACAACGGCGCAACUGAAAUAUUUUACGGAAGGGUCAAGGAGAUCUGGGAGCUUGACUACGCUGGACUGCACAACACGAUGAUGUUUCGUGUCAGAUGGGCUAAGAAUGUCGAAAGAGAAAACCGGAAUUUCACUACCAUGACUAUACCCGACGCCAAGAGCGCUACCGUGAACGCUAUCGCAAAAAAUGAGCCAUGGGUACACGCUAAGCACGUGACACAAUGCUUCUUCAUAACCGACCCGUGCAAUCCCAGCCGUGUUGUCGUGAGGAGAGGCAAAAGGAACAUCAUUGGAAUGGAUGGAGUCGCCAACGAGGAAGACUACGAUCUGUACGGCAACCCAAUGAGGGAAGAUGACGAUGAUGAUGAAGUAUAUGUCAAAAGAAGAAUCAAUACUACAUUACCUAAGAAAAAUCAUACUCCAUGGAAAAGUCAAAGUCACAAUCAGGGGCUCAACUAUUCUUCAACGAACAAGAAGGGAAAGAAGCUGACUCAAAAUCCAAAACGUCAACGCUGAGGAACCGUAUGCUAUCGAUCAAAUGAUGUAAUAUAUAUACAUAUACAUAUAUAUAUAUAUGUGUGUGUGUGUGUGUGUGUGUGUGUUCCUAUUUUGUAUACACACUUAGCCAUUAUUAUGCAUGUGUCCAAUGAUGUAAUAUAUAUGUUCAUAUUUUGUAUACAUAUUUAACCGUCAAAUGAUGCAAUAUAUAUCGCCUUCCCUUCGUUCACUACUCUCGGAAAAAAAGUGAGAGAAAAUAAAGGAAAAGAAAAAGGGAAACUUGUUAUAGCAGUAGCGCUUUACUAAGAAAGAGCUACAGCUACUGAAGGUAGCAGUAGCGGUUUCCGUAUAAAACCGCUAUAGCUGCAUGUAAUAGUAGUAGCGCGUUUGCUCUAAACACGCUACUGCUACGUCCACUUAACCCAAAAUCCUCACUCUCUCUGCUUCGUCCCGCCUCUUUUCCCCCCAAAUCCCCACUCUCUCUUCCCUCGCCGCGCCCCGGCGCUCGCCCCCGACCCCGACCCCGGCCCCAGCCUCGGCUCCGACCCCGGCGCUCGCCCCCGACCCCGAUGCGCCACGCCUCCCUCCUCUGCUUCCUCUCCUCCCAACCUCGGUCGUCGUCGGGCCUGCCUCCUCGCCCCUGCACCCUCUGUAACCCCCCCCCUCCAGCGCUCCUCCUCUCUCUGCUAGCUAGGGUUCUUCAGUUAAUUUACUUAGGUUUUAGUUAGGGCAGUAGGUUAAUUAGGUUAUCUAUUUAGUUAUGAAUUUAGCUAGGUUUUAAAAUAGGACAGAAAUUUAGGGUUAAGCAAUUGUAGUUAAAAGCAAAUUUAGGUAGGCUGAAUUUAUAUGCAAAUUUGAACUGGACAUGUGAUGUUUUGGACAUGUCAUGUUUGGAAUUUGGACAUGUGAUGUUUUGGACAUGUCAUAUUUGGAAAAUGAUGAUUAUGUGCAGGGUAAAUGAUCCGAGUGGCCUAUGUUACGCCGGAAUGUUGAUUCAUUUCCAUUCCGGUGAAUUUCAGGCGCUCGAUAUGUCCAUUUUUUAGCAAAGGUCAUGCUGAAAUUUUCGUGAAUUUUGGCAUGAUUUGUGCUAGAUAGUAGGCAUAUCGAGUGCUAGGAGUUGCUGGGAAACGACAUUCCGGCAAACAUAUAUUUAUUUUUUAUGUCAUUUUUCAUUUUUUUCAUACUUUUAGAAUUAAACGAGAAGACUUAAUCAUAGGAAACAUGUCGAACAACGAAGAAACUGGGCAUUCUGACCAAGAUGCAGACCAGAUGGAUUAUGAGGGUGAACAAGAGUACCUCGACUAUUUAACUGCUAAGCAAGGUUUGCAGGUCGGCCUCGAUGAUGGUACUGACGCCGACAUCGACACCGACGGCGCCGGCACGGAUGGCGGCGCCGAGACCGAUGGCGGCGCCGGGACCGGCGGGGAAGAUACCGGCGGGGAAGGUACCGGUGCUGAUGCCGCUACCGAAAAGAACAAGGCAAAGAAGCAAAGGAUACGAAAACCUAACAAACUACGGAUUGGACGACUAGUGAUCACAAAGAUGGCACCUGGCACGUUUGAGCCAUUAGAGCCGGAAGAACCUCACAAGUGCUAUGGGAACCAAGUAGGAUGCAUCCUACGGGAAUGCGCGAGCAUCAAUGACGAUGACUUAAGGAGUAAAGAACAUUUGACGCAGUUUCCCGUGACGAAGUUGCACAAGAGAUUCAAGUUCCCCGACCGUGAUGAUAACAUAGAACAACCGUGGGAUGAUCCAAAGAUGAAAAAGAUUAACAAUCACACCAUGGGCAUGUUCCGCAAUGAUUUGGCCUCCUGGAAAGGGAGGGUGAAACGAGCUUUUGAGGCUGAGGAACCCCUGUCCAAGAUUCUGGAGGAAAAUCCGACACUUACGGAAGACGAGUUCGAAAAGUUCAAGGACACUUGCGCUACCGAGGCAGCCAAGGCUAAGGCUGCAAAAUUCAAGAGCCUUCAGCAAAGGAACAUGGGGAAGCAUCACCUCGGAAGCCAUGGCUACCUCGGUAAAAGGCCCAUAUGGGAUAAGGAGGACGCGGAACGUGAAGCCGCGGGUAUCCCAGACCCCUUCGCGAAGUUCAGCAACCCCUUGGAGCGUGACUUCAUCAGGGCCCAGUACAAGUGGGACAAGGAAAAGAAUGUUUUUUACACGGACCAGAUCACGAGGAAAUUGAUUAGACUACUGGUAAUUACUCUUUUACCACCUUACAUUUAGCUCCAUAUCUAAUCGACUACACAUUCCUAAACGGUUCAUGCUCCUUCUGCAGGAGAAGCAACACCAGCUUGCAGCCGAAAGCCUUACUUCUCCGAUGAGGCCCAAGUUGGACACCCCUCUCAACCAGGCCUUGAACGAACUUAAGGGACUCCCUUUGGGCCAGCGGCCGCAAUAUGGUCGUGUGGACGGCACUGGAGACGGCGCCAUGUGGAACGUGUUUUACAACGAGGGCCCGGAGGCCAAGAAGCAGAAAAAGAAGUUUAGUCAGGCGGACAUCAACGCGAAGGUGAAGCUUGUGGUCGAGAAAAAAGCAGCUGAGGACACGAAAAAAACAGCCAAGGAGAAGAAUGAGUUGCUACAGCAGGCAGUCAAUGCAGCUGUAACUGCCUGCAAAAAUGAUUUUGCUACUAACUUGUUUCCAGCUAUCAUCAACUGGACGAAGGAAAAUCCAGACAAGACGGUACAUGAUUUCCUGUUGCCCAGUUUCGUCGGGAGCAACUCCAUGAACAACAACACUACCGCACCAUCACUUGCUUACACAACCGGGCCUCCUCUCACAGCCGCUCCCGCUCAUAGCAGCCCGUUCUCAGUCUCUGGCGCGCUAGGUGGGCCUUCGUGUUUGGCUGAGCUCGACGCCGUCAUGGUAAUUACAUGUCGCACCAACAUAUAUAUAUAUAUAUAAUAUUCCAUUUUCGUUGCCUUUCGGAUGUUUUACGCCACAGACAUAUGUGUUUGCAGGCCAAAGAAACCCCGUGCACCAUACUCCACUUGAUCAAAGGCCAGAAGGUGGACGUGGGAAAGGGGAUGAUAAUGGACCCCUUACAACCCACGUUCCACAACCAGCCGAUCCCCGCUGGGCACUUCAGGGUUAGCUUGUCCAGUGUGAAAUCGGGGCACGAGGAUUUGCCUCCUCUGUUACAGCAUGUGGGAGAGGACGACGAGACCCCGCCGUGGAUUGGAAGCUGCAAGGGUUGGGUGCUGCUAUGGCCGAAGAAUCUUAUUCGUCUGGAGCCGGCCGAGAGCACACCAAUAACCACACAUCAACAAGCAUGUGCGGAGACCACCACCCCGCCUACGCAAUUACCAGCUCCUGUAUUGCCGGGUGAGAGCGGCGGACGACGUGAUGAAGGGGGUGAAAUAGUACUGGCUGAUGUAAUCGGUCCUGUAGAACAGAGAAUGGAUGAUGAGACAGAGGUCGACCCUUUGGGUUCCCUCAAUACAAACGCGUAUGACUGUGACAUAGAUAUGAUGAGUCAACCAUAUGACGAAUCGGGCUAUCAGCAUGCUAAUGAGGAUAUGGAUGAUAUGCCCGGGCAGGAAGGUCGUAGCAGGGAUUGCAAAAAGUCUCUUUUCAUGAAAUCCUCACAGGACACGCCUGAAGAUGCCGCCUCAACACAGGCUCAACUAGGCGGGCGCGAGGGUCGUACAGUACUUAGCCCGGGAACACUAGGGCAGGGGUUAAGGAAGGGUCUGGAAGGUGUGCCCAAGAAAAAGGAGAGGAACAGGUCGGGGAAAAUAGCUGCCUUCAAACAAGCCAGAGCACAUAGCAGCCAGACGACGGAUUCUGAAGAGCGUGUACCCGUGAAAGGUGCGGCCAUGUUCCAUCUCACGGGCGAGCCGACGCUACCGCCGAAACCGCUGGAGGCACUAUCAUGGGAUCUCAGGAGACUGCACGAACAUCUGUGUUGUCGACUGAGAAAAGCCUACUAGCCUCAAAGGAUCCAGGAUAUCCGACAUACGCAGCUCGUGUGCCUAAGGGGAAGUGCUACAUCGACACACGGCCUGCGGAGGUGUUCUUCCUGCGGUUUGACCAUAUCUUUGAGAUGUUUCUGACAAGGUGGCUCGAUUUUACAAUCGUCCGCCUUUUUGCGCUAUAUAUGAGCUCCGUCAUGAAGAGAGUAUGCAUGAGUCUUUCUUGAGUCUCGGCAACUUUGAGCGUGAAACUGCUAGGGACUACCUCCAAAACUUCAUGGUACAGAAUAAGGACCAGGAAAUUGUCCUCCUGCCUUAUCAUCCAAAGUAAGUCAGUUCCGGACAACCCUUUCGUACAUUUCAAUCAUUCCUUCUCGCUCAUAUGGAGAAUAAUUUGAGGUGUCUUUUCCCCGCAGCAACGGGCGCGCCAUCCUUAUCGUUCUUUACCCGCGAGUCUCCCACGCCGUGUAUUUCGACCAUUCCAGAGACUACGAGAAAAAGGACUACACCCACAUAAUGAAUAUUCUAGAUGAUGCUCUCCAAGAUCUUCAGCAUUAGAGGUGGCACGUGCAGAUCAGGAAACAAAGGAACAAGAAGAUGGGUUUCGCGCAUAAAACUAACUUCUCAUGCAUCCAUGUCCCAAAACCAAGCAAGAAGGAUGGUUUCUACAUUGUCCAUCUCAUGAUUGAGUUCAGCACGGAUCACCAAAAGCUUUGCAUGACAAGCAGAAAUGAUGAUCAUAUCCACAAGUGGCUAGAAUCUCAUGGAGAAGCGGAUUAUAAACUUAGAGAUGACUUCUUUCGCAUCCAAAGGGACAUUGCGACGAUCAUCAUGAAAGAAGUCGUCGAUGAGAAGGGGAUCUUCCACCACGGCCCUAUAUCGCGAGCUGACAUCCGAACUCGCAUAGGCAUGCAACGUCUAGACCUCACGCCGUUCAAGAAGCUAGGGUCCAUCCUCGAUGAUACGGUAGGAUGGAACUUCUAGUGAUUUACGAUGCCGAUGAUGAUGAUAUGUGUCGGUUGAACUAUUAUACUUUCUGUAGCGAUGAAACUUUGUGACGUCCACGGUCCCUGCCGAACAUGCAUAACGCUAAUUUGUUAAUUUGCAUACGAUGACCUGUGUACCUCUAGUUAAUUAGUUUGCGUACUGUGUGUUGCAUCUAGUUCCUAACCCUUUCUUUUUCGUGUUGCUCUAGUAUAUAUUGUUGCAUAUGAUUGUACACCCUCUUGAUGAAGAUGCAUCUCUAACAAGUACCUAGUUUCUUGAUGGCGAAGUGCUAUGUCGUGUACGAAGGGAAGGUUCCGGGAGUGUAUGACGAGUGGCAUGAGUGUCAGGCGCAAGUGCAGGGGGUCUCGGGCGCCAGCCAUAAAGGCUUCAAAAGAAGACAAGAAGCACAAGCUAGUUACUUGAGGUUCAGGCGAGCGCGAGAGAGGACUCAUGACCGCCGCCUCAUGUACUACAUAGUUCCACUAUCACUCAUAGUGAUAGCACUUCUCGCAUAUAUCAUUGUUUAGAUGGAUGACGUUGUAGUUGCAAGUAUUCGAGACUUGCAUGUAUCGCUAUUUUUGAGAUAAUGACGAGAUACCACUUUGUUGGAUGAUGAUUAUGAUGAGACUAUUUGUAUGUAUAUUCUAUGAUUACAUUUGUGGUCUAACAACGAUUUGUAUGUGUAUGAUGAUGACAUUUGUAUGUGCUAAAGAUUCGUGUAUAAAGCCUGUUCAAAUAAAAACAAAUAUGCAGAAAAAAAUAAAAAACUACUAAAAUUAGCAGUAGCGAGUGGAGGAAAGUUAGCAGCAGCAUGACUAUAGCAGUAGCGCGUACUGCCAAAGCGCGCUAGAGCUAUUAGCAGUAGCGAGCUUCCGCGCAGCACGCUGCUGCUACACUUGUAUAACAGUAGUGCCAGUGCGCACGCGCUGCUGCUAUGGGUUAGCUGUAGCGCCCUAUUAGUAGCGCCGGUGCCCGCGCUACUGGUAGGCCAAAAACCCGCGCUGCUGCUAGGCUUUUCCCUAGUAGUGUUGCUAAGCAUCUUGCCAGCAUUAUGGGUACCUAGGAUAUUGUUUCUUGAGAUCUUCUGAAGUGGUUUCAGUUCUGGACUUGUUUUGCUGCGGCAUUUAUUUGCACUGGUCGCCAACUUUGACAACCAGUGUAUAUGAUAUGCUGCUCUGUUCCCUAUAGUUGCACUGGUGGCGAACUUUGAUGCCCAAUGGAUGUAAUAUGUGUAAUAGCCGUGAUAGCCUAGCGUAAGUUGCUUGCUUAUUUAUUUCCUUGUUGUCUUGUUUAUUUUUUGCUUAGUGUUGUUCUUUUUCCGCGGUUUGCUAGUGGCCGCAAUAACCUAUUUUUUAAAACUAGGCCACAAUAAUCAUGGGCUACAUAUUUACUGUAGUGACACUGGGCCUCCUACGGGCCGUAGAAACAAUGGGCCUUCUACGGGUCAUAGACACAAUGGGCCAUCUACUCCCCAUAUCAUCAAUGGGCCUUCUACGGGCCGUAUGAUCGAUUGCCCAAAUAUGGGCCAAUAACAAACCGCAUUAUGGCCGUAAACGGGCUAGAGUUGGAAUCGUCCGUUCAUGGGCCGACCAUAACGGGCCGUCGUUAAUCGACCAUAUUUGAUGAAGCUAUGAAAAUGGCCCAACGUAUUAACGGGCCACAAACGGGCCAACUGUAACCAUAGGCUGAAUUUGGCCCACAAGCAGAAAAUGACAGUAACGGGCCGUAAGUAACCGAAUGCUGGACAUGAGCCCAAGAAUAAAUGGGCCAUCGGAGGGCCGAAAGAUAACAUGGGCUGGAAACAGCCCAACGGAAUAAUGAGCCGUUAAUGGGUAUAAAGUGAUAGAAUGUUCAUUACGGGCCAGUUUCACCACGGGCCGUUAAUGGGCCAAGAGUUACAAAUGGCCUCAUAUGGGCCGAAAGACGUCAUGGGCCAUACAUGGGUCGGAAGUUAAAAAGGGCCAGAAUCAUAUUGGACGGCCCAAAUGACGCUACCGGGCCUAAUUCGGAUAGGUCGUAACGGGCCCUGGGUUAGCGGGCAAUAAAUGGGCUAUAUGCGAAUAGGCCGUUAACAGGCUUUCCGUGGGCCGGCCUGCCACCUUUUGACCAAGUCAAACGGGCCCGCCUUUUCACAGGAAUGGGCCUCUGUUGGGCCGUGCCACGUGUCGACGUACCAUAGGCGCCUUCUGUCCAAUGAGUGGAUGACAUCUGUCCCAAUGGUGAGCCGACACGUGUUUCCUCCAGCCAAUGAUGAUUUUACACAUGGAAAAUCCCCAUUGGUCGGGGCUGUUAACGGGUUAUCGGAUCCAAAACCGGACCCAAGAGCUUUACGGCGAGCCGUUACGGUGGAUGCCACAUGUCGGUCACCCUUGAAGAAAGCACUUCUAUGACACGCGAUUUAUCGUCAUGGAAGUGGACACUUCCGUGAUGAUAAUUUUGGUAAUUUCAUGGAACACUUUUACGACAGCACAUGUAUGACUAUCUUGAUUCUAUUAUAAAAUCGUCAUGGAUGUACAUGCAUGACAGAAAAUGUGACCUACUGUGACAAACACGUAUCAUCAUGGAAGUGUAUUUUUUGUAGUGUAGAUUGCAGUUGGCUAAGUCUCGACAGAAGAGUUCUUAUGAUGCAAAGCACCGUCAGAUCAGUUUUGAACCCGGAGAACAUGUAUACCUCCAAGUCACACCUAUGAAGGGAAUCAAGAGAUUUCAGACUCGUGGAAAAUUGGCACCAAGAUACAUUGGUCUAUUCCCAGUUAUGUCCAGAGUGGGUACUGGUUGCGUAUCCAUUGGAAUUACCCCCGGAAUUGUGAGAAGUACACAAUGUGUUCCAUGUCUCACAGCUAAGACGAUGUAUAUCGCCUCCAGAGAAAAUGACUGAUAUGGCAGAAUUAGAGCUGGCUAAGGAUUUAACGUAUGAGGAGAAACCGUUCCGAAUCUUGGAUGAAAUGGAAAGGGUCACUCGCAGUAAAGCAAUAAAGUUUUAGGGUUCAGUGGGAACACCACACCGAGGAAGAAGCAACUUGGGAACGAGAGGAAUUUCUAAGGGCAACCUAUCCAGAAUUGUUUUCCCGAGCAACCGAAUCUCGAGGACGAGAUUCAUCCUAAGUGGGGGAGGUUUGUGACAGCCUGGUUUUUGCCCUCUUUUCUUCUUCUGAUUUUUAUUGCCAUUUGAUUUGAAUUUGGGUUUUGAAUCAACUCAGUUGGACUUAAAACAUUUGGGCAUACCUUUGAUUUUCACCCAAGUGGCCCAUCUCACUCUCAAACCAUCAUUUCCUCUCUGAUAUAUCCCAAAAUGAUCCUAGGAAAUGAAAAAUAUUCAUUUUCUCUUCAAAACCCCACUUCAGCAACAUAUGCUCCAAAGCAACCCUCAUUUUCUUUGCUCACAAAAAUCUGAGAAAAUUCCCAAAUAUUGCAUAGGUUUUUGGAAAAAAGUUUCUACAGAAAAUCAUUACUGUUCUGGUCAGAAAAUGCAGUUUCUACAGGAAGUGCAUUUUUCCUUGAUCCAAUGGAGAUGAAAUUUUUAGGGCUUCAUUACCCUCCUAAGAAGCUACUAACCACCAAAAAUCAGCCCUAAACUCUUUCUGGUUUACUCACAGUUAACCUCACAAGUUACUGACCAGAAACUUGCCAGGAAGAAACCAGCUCACACAGAGCUCUUGUAACCAACUCAAACCCAUGGAGUGACUCAAACCAUCAAGGACUACACACCAGACAUGAAUUUAAGACCAGCCGUGGCUCUAUGCCAGAGUUUGCGCGGUGACCACGCGUGUGCACCAUGCCAACGUGCUUGUCGACGCGCUCUUGAUGCCGCCGACGGCUCUGUUUCGCGCGUGCUCGCUUCCCACCCUGCCGCGCCUUGCCAAACUUCGCCACAAUCGCCGUCCCGACGCCCUUAACUCCCCCUGGCACUCGCCGACGCUGGAGCUCACCGCAGUGAGCACGGGCACGACGCGGCCAAGCCAACAGUGCGCCCGUGCCCACUGUGCUCGUCGCCACACGCGUCCUGUGCUCUUUUCCGCUCACCCAUAGUGGCCGCAUGAUCGACGACAUCUUCUCCCCCUCUCACUAACGCCAAUCGUCGCCAGGCGCCGCUUCCAGAGAACUCCGGCGGAGCCCCGAGGCCCUCUCCUCCCUCGCCUAUAUAUGCGGCCCUCCCCAGCCUCUCCGAGCAUCACCAAACACUCAUACAUCCCUCAGAACGCCGUAGAUAGCCGCAGCACAGCCGGGCAGGCCUCGGGCCGCCAUCCUCGAGCUUGAGCUCGCCGGCGAUCCCCUCUGUUCACCUCCACCCAUCCAGCCCCUCUCGAGCUCAUGCAACUUCUCCAGCGCCUCCGUGGUGCUUCACUGGUGCCCACUGACCCGCUUGGAGCCCAUGGAAUCGCCUCCCUCCGUCGUCUUCUUCAUCUCCGGCGAGACCCGACCGCAGUCACCGCUUGUGAGCUUGAUUUCGAGCUGCUCCGGUCGUGUCUCGUCAAGCCACGGGUACAUGCAGGUGCGCCUCGACCCCCUCUCUCUUUCUAUCCCUCUAGAUCCAGCCAAGGACCCCUCCUCGCUGGUGUGAGCUCCGGCGAAGCGCCGCCCCCUCUGUUUCUCUCCCUCCCCCUCCACACCUGACCGGUGGGGCCUGCUGUCAGCCUCUGCACUCUCACCCGAAGCGGUACGAGUGGAGGCGUAUUCUGAAAAUACGCCAUCGACGGCACCCCCUGGUUUCUGUUUUAUUCAAAUUUAAUUCAAAUUUUGACCAGAAACUUUAACCAGCCAUAACUUUUAAACCAUAAGUCCAAAUGAAUUGAUUCUUUUUGCAUUGUGUUUAUUUUGAAAAGGUCUAGCAUCACACCAAAAUGUAGAUUUUGCUCUGCUGUCUAGAAUUUUUUGUUGAUUUUCAGAGUGAUUCUUGAUAUUUUCUUUCUCUUUUUUAAAAUUUUCAGCGGGAGAAGCUUGUCUUGAGGAUCACCAGGAGGAGUGUGAACCCCCUCUGCACUAAGGCAAGACACACCAACAUUUACAUGGUGUCAUUUCAAUAUUUGUGAUUUUUCAACUUGAAUAUGAGUUAUUUCAUGCAUUUAAAAUUAUUUAAAUAAAUAUUGAUUUUGCUAGUUACUUGUUCUGCUUGAAAUACUAGAUUCCAGUAGUGUGAUGAAGUUAGUAUAAGUCAGUAGAAGUAACGUUUGCUUAUGUGAUAAUGACAUGGUUAUGACACGACUAGCACUGGUAUUAUUUUUCCUAAGAAAGAAGUUGAUUCUACUAAGUGAUAUCAUGACUAAAAAUGAAGAGUAUCAAGAACCAGUAAGAUCAGUAUGGUUGAUGAUGACUAGUGCCAGUAUAGAUUUAAUGAGGUUGAUCCCUUUACUUGUAGUGGUAUGUAAUGCAUGUUGGAUGGUUGCAUAUUCAUGGCAUAUCAUGACGCCCAUUCUUUUUAUUUCAAGUUAAAUUUGAUGUUAAUUCAACUUGAACAUAACGUUGAUCGGGUCAUGGUGCCACUGAAUCGAGUUUUUCCUAGUGCAACCACAUUUGCCUUUAUGGGAAGGCCUUUAUUCGGUCCCUUGGCAUGCCUCCGGUCGGUACCUCCAACGAGGGAAGGUUAUGUGUGUGCGGUACCCUGGCCCGGUAAGCAGACAUAACCUUGUGUGCCCGUUUGUUGUUAUGGUACCUUGUCCCCGUUUGGGACCGUUUAUGUUUUGCCACGAUGGUGGCCGUUGAUGCCUUUGGUAGGCACGGGGCCACCCAGGACUUAGCCCAUGAGGAGUGAGUCAGAGUAGCCGGGGGAGUGUCAUGGCAAUGGGAGGGUUUCGUCGGAAUGUUGUUGGUCCGCCCGAAUGGGCGUGCGAGGCCAUGGAUUCCGUGGUGUGGGUACAGUGCGCUACCUCUGCAGAGUGAAUUUAAUGUAUCGAUAGCCGCGUCCUCGGUUACGGACACAACUCGGGAGUAGGUCAUAUGAUGGAUCAACAUUUAUAAGUAAUCAGGCACACUAAUGAUAAUCACUUUGCACUGUUUGAAAGAUGAUGGUUGAGAAAUUAUGAUGACGGUGGAGACCAAAGUGUUGGUUUCCUUUGUGAUCCGAGAAAGAUCACAGUUUGGUUACAAGGUAACCCGUUCAGUAAGAAUGUCUGAGUGACUUGGUGCACGAGUUGUUUUCACUGCAUUAGUAGUAUGAUUUUGCAUUGCAUUUAAUUUGAUUAAAUAUCAUGAUAUUGUUUGCCGUUAUGCUUAUGAUUGUUGUGAGCUUGCAAGUACAUUUAAUGUACUGACCUGGCGUGUCAUGCCAGAUUUCAGGAAAGUUUCAUUGGAUCGAAGUGCUGCCCGAGUCUAGAUCGUGUCCACAUCGGUGUCCAUGUAAUAUGGAGUCCCGCUUCGUCGUCGUUCCGCUGCCGCGUAGUUGCCGUGAACGGGGCCCCUUUAUGUUCAGUAAAUAAUGGACAUAGUGUUCAGCCGCACCAUGUGUGCCGCUUGGCCUCGCUACUUGAUGUAACAUCGAACUAUAUUCCGCUCGUAUCAAUAAAGCGGUUGUUUUCUGUACCAAAAUGUUGUGUGUUGCCAGAAGACUUGAUCUCUGGUAUGGCAAUGCAAGGUAAACCGGUUGCCCUGAGCCGGGGUGCCACAUUUUCCAUGCAACGAUUCCCAAUAUCAUCCCAUUCAGGGAUGAUGGUCAGGUGGUGGGUCCUUGUGGCGGCGCCGGUGGCGGCGAUAUUGGGAUCCCACUCCCGGGGACGUCGCAGGACGCAGCGGCUCGUGCACGAGAGAUGGAGUUUCUUUGAACAGAUCUGGGUGAAAACUUGCUUUCUGCUACUGCCAAGGCCGGGGGUGGCGGCGUUGUCUGCAUCGUUCCCUUCUUGAAGUCAUCAUCGUGGAGAAGUUCAAGGCCACUCUCUGCUACCUCCGCACUACAAGAAAUAUGUCAACUUGUGACCACCACUAUUGGUCACUGAAAGGUCAUUGUUUUUCAUUUGCCACCUUUUUGUGACCAAAAACAGAUGGUCAAAAGCUGGCAGUCGUAAACUGAAAUUAACGACCUUCUUCGGGAUAAGGUCGUAAACGUUUACGACCAAAACAAAAGGUCGUGGAACCCAUGACCUUUUGUUUUGGUCACUGGCUGUCUGCCCAGGCCACGUUGGAUCCGACGUGGCAAUCUGACGUGGCAAAAUUGCGACCAAUUGAAAAGGUCGUUGAUAAGAUUCAGCCCGGUCCAAUUUGGUGUUUUACAUGGGCCGAGCCCAACAAUUCGGCAUUUUUUAUAUUUUUUUUCCAUCAAUUUUUGGUCGGGAUCAUGGGCCAAACCCAAUAUGGCAGCCUUUUUUAUUGUUGGGCCACGGCCAUUUUGGCUAAACAAUUUAAUUUCUUUUUUAUUAAAUGGGACUAGUCAGAUGGGUCCCAAUUGUUAGGUUCUGGUAACUGGUUUCCAUUUCUUAGGUAAGUGGGUCCCAUCUAUCAGACUCAUAUUCUUCAUAUUUCAAGCAGUAUUUAGAUUGGCAGAGACAAAAUCACACAUAAUACUUAAAAAAGAGCAACCAGAUCACAUAAUACAAGCUCUAUCCGUGCCAUUACAAAGGGCCAUGUAUAAUACAAUACUUUACAAGCUCUACAAGUGUAAUAUAGUACUACUUCACAAGCUCCUGUCAUGAACAACACACUGGACUCGCUGGACUCUCUCAUAUUUCUAUGCAACUUCAACAGGACAAAAACUUCGGUAGUCAGGGCUGGAACCAUAGUCAGAUGAACAACACGCCGGACUCGCUCGACGGCGAUAGUCAGGGCUGAGACCAAACAAAACAGCAACAUGGCUUCCUCUGUCAUCCUGUUACAUGAAUCAGAGAAGAAUGAGAAAAACUGGGGCAAAUAUAUAUGACCAGACCAUUCAAGAAAAGGACAUGUAUUUAGAAUGAUAACACAAAUUCAGCUAGUACCAUGCUUUUUGUUGUCGAGCUAGUUAAAAUGAGAUAGUAGUUCAUAUAAGAAACAGAGACACGAUAUGAAUAUGCAUGGCACAUAUGCAGGUUGUGCAAAAAACUCCACUACAACACAUUGCGCCUAAAACAAAAUACCAUUCUACUAUCACGACCAUACAUUCAACUGGCAUGAUCUAACAAUACUCGUCAGCACACGCGUACUAACAUCACAAAGGCAGGAGAGAAUAAAGGGAACGAAGGAAGAUACCUGUGGAUGAUAGUCUCGACGAUGAUCUGGAUUGAGUUAGCAUUGAUGAGGAAGUGGAUGGUGUCCAUGGUGUACUUUAGAUGCACACAGCCAUGAGCUUCUUGCCGCUGUUGCAUCCGUUCGCUCGAUGAUGGGUACCAGUGCAUCCAAGUUGAACAAAACCACCAACAUUAACCCACAGCUUCAAGUACAAGCAAGUAUAUAUAAAGUGACAGUGAAAACAAGUUGAGAAAAACACUGUAAAUAUCUAUUUCAUGUCUUGUAGAAUUCAAACCGAAUAAACCUAUGCAUACGAAGGUGAAAUAUUACAAAGAACGCACUCAUCAGGUAGCAUGCAUACAAAAUCUUUGUGUCGGUAGUAGUAAAUACUCUCUAUGUUAGCAGUAGCAAAACUCAUGCAGUACCAAGUUAACAACUUUGAGUCAGAAAAGCUAGAAGUGUCUCUUAAGAGACACCAGAACUUAGAAUUAAGGCACAUAUCAUAUUCUGAACAACAUCAGCACCAUGGUAGUAACAAUUAACAGUAGUAGGACAUUAAUGGGGCACAACUUAGUUAACUGCAGAUGGAUGGAUAGACAAUUACCUUCUCGAGGCAGGGGCGAGCGUCCUUGAAGUCGAGGAAGAUGAGCGUGAGGGUGGCACUAAUGGCACUCCAAGACAUGUUGAGGCUGAGCAGCAGCGCCACAAGCAUGCCCAAGGUGAUGGUGUACAUGCCGAAGGUGAUUUUCUCCCCAGAUUCAGUGCAUGGAACAGCUCCCUUCCGUUCCCAACAGCAGCAAGGUACUGGUGCUACUGUCGUGCAAAGAAAAAUCUUGUAAGCAUGAUAGAAGGCUGGGAUGGUAGGAAGUGAAAAUCGAGUCUAACAACAUGAGCAGAGCACUAGUUACAAGCAUGAUAGAAGGCUGGGUGAAGAAUAUACGAAACUGAACCAAUCAAUUCAAUUCAAAGAGUGUAUCUUGUGUAAAUGAUGCUAGCAAUCUCAGUUUCAUGCACACACACACACACACAUACAUAUAUAUAUAUAUAGCAGAAAUUUUAUUAGAUAAUCCUAACUCCAUACUUAACAGAUAUUCAUUCCUCAAAAUACUCAACAGAGAGUAUUCCCUACCACAAGCAGCAAGAUGAGCGGGGUUUGGGCGAGAUCCAGCGAGGUGCAGGGCUGCUCGUUGGGUAACUAGUACCUGGAUGUAUGGAGUAAGGAGGGAGAGCUGCAGCAUACUAAUAUUGAGCGUGAAGAGUGUAAAGUACCACAUAUUGCCCAAGAAUUGAACCCAGCUUUGACAUGCAUGCUGCAAUUCAACUCCAUUGGUUGUCACAGAGAUAAGAUGAAAAUCAACAUUGUUUUGUUUGCCACUUAUUGAUGAAGCUACUAAUCAGUAUUAAAUGCAGACAGUAGUAGUAGUAGUAGCAUAGCAGUAUAUAUAUUAAUUUGACUAAACUGAACCAACACCACAAGUCUGCAUACAAUGAAGUUACUAGGUAGGGAUCAUAUAGCAUGAGGCAGAUGGAUGAUUAGCAAACAUGCUGGGAGGCCAAGAAAUGAACAUCAUAUAAAAUACUCCUACUACUGUAGUAGUUAAGAUGAUGAGACAAAGGACAGCAGCAUGCAGAGUUCCUGAUGCACUGGAGUGGCCCAACUCGGCUGCACCACACCGAGGCACUGUUGUCCCAUCGAGCUCGACCAUGUGCAGGCUUCAUCACCGCCGUGGAGGUCCCGGUGGUCGUCCUGGUCCAUGGAGUGUGAAUCUUAUUAUUUCAUUUCAGAGAACGUUAAACACAAAUGGCAUGUAUAUGGAUCACUGUGGAGAAGCAAACUUCGCUAAUAAAUAUGAACAAGGCCUACUAUAGCAUAGCAGGUAAGGAGUUAGAUUAACUCAAGCAUUGGUGACUAAUAGACCUAUUAUUUCAUUUAAGAGAAAGCCUGAAACACAAAUGGCAUGCAUAUAGAUACCAAGGACAAGCACACUUAGCUAAUAAAUAUGAACAAGGUCUACUAUAGCAUAGCAGGCAAGUAUUGGUGACAAAUAGACCUAUAUUAAGAGUAAACAAAACUAGCUCGGAAAACAACUCUAUGUUAAGAGUAUCAUGUGUGAAUGUGAUACAGUAAAAAAUUGCAUGCUAUGUACAACAAGUUAAAAGGCACAAGUUAUACAGUAGCCUAAAGCAGAGCAAGUGUACAGCAAGUUGAUAAAAGAAUGCCCAGUCAUGGCAUUUGAUUUCACAAGAGAAGAAUGUGUAAGGUGCAAUGUUGUGUACACUUUGUAAAUGUAAGCAUGUUGCACUCCUAUCUAUAUCUAGUAGCUGAAUUAGUACACGCAUACACUAAUCCUGCCUGUCUAGUAGCUCAAGUGACAUCUCAAUCGUCCUAUUUGGAUAUAAACUUCAGCUCAAACGGGGACGUCUCUUUGGUAUAAGCUAGAAAAGUCUAUGCCGUAAGGGAUGACGAGAACCGAACUGUUGUAACUCUUACAGUUAACAGAAUUUCGUAGCUAACCUCUGCAAUCGGGAAUUUCUUGAACAGUAUGUGUCCCUUCCUCAUACAGGCCAAUCAGUGGUUUCUAUGGUGUUCCGCGUACCGCUAGCUUUGCCCGGCAACGCCAUUCUGACUAAAAACAAGGUUCCCACAUUCAGACUUAGCGACAAAGCAAAUCCACCAACUAAUCACAUCAAUUGCUUAUGCACCUAAAACAUUUACUAGGAAGUGGGAACAUUUUGAACCUAAAAUUCUUCUCCGUUACUGGAUCACGUGACCAGAAGCUAUGCAAACUAAUUUAGUGGAAACCAAAUAGACACAUCAUCCCACACAUUUCCUGCUAGAGAUUCAUGGGAGCUGCACUCACCAGCAUACCCCUGCUGAAGGUGAAGUCCUCAAUUCUGUGGCCACUGAAGAAAUCCGCCACCUCCUGCAGCACCAGCGGCUUGUCCAGGUCAAACUCGUGCGUGCAUCCGGAACACCAACGAACCACGCAGAAGAAGAGUCAGCUCACACGCAUGCACGUACCGAAGUGGUACACAGUAUCUUAUUGAAUCGAAGGAAUCAAAGCGGCGAGAACCGAACUGUUGGAGAGACGAUAUCGACGGAUCACUCACGUGGCGGAGGUCGGCCUUGAGGGGCGUCGCGGCCUCCGGGGAUGACGAGGCUGCCGUCGUCACCGCGAAGGCAGUCACCCGCGAGGGCGGCCAGCAGGCUUGGCCUGGACGUGCUUGACCUUGGAGAGGAUCUCUCGCGGCCGCCAUCGCUGCUGCUGCUGCUAGAUCUGAGCUUCGGGGAUUGGGGAUCGUGGAGACGAAACCCUAGCUGCAGCGGAGGAAGAAGAAGAGCUGGGAGCGGGAGCGUGGUUCGGGUGCAGCGCGAGGGAAGGAGGGCGCCGCUGGUGACAGAAAGGAAGGAGGGCGCCGCCGGUGCCGGCGCGAGGGAAGGAGGGCGCAGCACGAGGGGUGAGGGAGAGGCUGAUCUGGAUCGGGGACAGAGAGAGGGAGGCGGCGGGCGGAAGGAAGGGAGGGAGGAGAGGUGGUUUGGUGCAGUAGUUUUUUUCCUUUUCUUUGCAUGCAUGGAUGGAUGGACGUUGGAUUGGUAGCAAUGGAUGGUAGGAUGUCUGCAAUCUCAUCGAUCCGUCCCACAAACGGUUCCACCAAUCACAAUGUAGUACACACUUUGAUGAUUUUCUAACCAUCUAAAUUGGUCGUAAUCGAUUAAAUAAUAUGCUAAAUCAUGUCACCUAUUUUAUAAUAUCAUAGAAUUAGAAAAAAUAAGAACAAUAGCAUUGUGUCACAAGUGAGACUUGUUUUUCAGAAAAAUAACAAACCUGGAAUAAUACAAAUAUCUUUAAAAAUUGAUCUCAAAAAUGAGUUUUAUUUGCAAAAAAACAUUUUCUACCUUUGGAGUGUCGAAAAUGGUAUAUAUUUUUUUGAAGCAUCUACCAAUAUUUGUUGCAGAAUGGCACCACUCUAUUUUUCAAUAAUAUUAGAUCAUAUUUUAGGUACAAUUGACCAAAUGCUUGUGUCUCAAUAGCUGUCUAUCCACCUCUCGUCAAUAAUUGAGGAGGUUUUUCAAGUGCCCAUUUUCCAUUUUUUCGAGUGCCCAAAAGGAGGUUUUUUUAUGAAGAACCUACCAAAUAAUUGUUGCAAAAUUGGACCAAAUCAUUUUUCUAAAAUACUAGGCCAUAUUUAAUGCACAAUUGACCAAAUGGUUGGGUGUAAAAAGUUUUCAUCCACCUCUCAUGAAAAAGACAAAUUUCUGCCGAUUCAGCUGGAAGCGGGUCAAAUUUGAACUGUAGCUGCCUUGUAGUUUGCUCUUUAUUUUUUCCAAAAAUCAUUGCUAGGUACAUAAGUAUCUAUUUAAUCAAAGAAACACCACAAAAAAAUCCAAGAUUCAACCACUAGCUAGGAACGAUCAUUCCCGUCGUUUUGACCGCAUUUUGAAACGGGCAUAAAAAAUUCAAAAAAAAUCGAAAACUUGGGAAACCUUCGCAUUGUCUCAUUAUAUUUGGCCAAAUUCCUAGGAAAAAUAACAAACUUGUAAUACGGCAAUUAUUUUAAAAAAGUGUUAUCAGAAACGAGCUAUCACGUGUGGAGAUCAAUGGCUUUCAAGCCAAAUGAUCAAUCUUAUGGCCACAUUCAUGGCAUAGUUUGUUAAAAUGAUCUCAUAUUGUACACAAUGGUGCAUAUUGGAAUGGCAAACAAUGUUGACGAAAAAACCAUUUUCCAUUUUUCGAGUGCCCAAAAGGAGGCUCUUUUGUGAAGGACCUCCCAAAUAAUUGUUGCAAAAUUGGACCAAAUCAAUUUUCUAAAAUACUAGGACAUAUUUAAUGCACAAUUGACAAAAUGGUUGGGUGUAAAAAGUUUUGAUCCACCUCUCGUGAAAAAGACAAAUUUCCGCCGAUUCAGUUGGAAGCGGGUCAAAUUUGAACUGUAGUUGCCUUGUAGUUUGCUCUUUAUUUUUUCCAAAAAUCAUUUCUAGGUACAUAAGUAUCUAUUUAAUCAGAGAAACACCAAAAAAAUCUAAGAUUCAACCACUAGCUAGGAACGGUCAUUCCCGCCGUUUUGACCGCAUUUUAAAACGGGCAUAAAAAAUUCAAAAAAAUUGGGAAACCUUCGCAUUGUGUCAUUAUAUGUGGCCAAGUUCUCAGGAAACAUAACAAACUUGUAAUACGACAAUUGUUUUAAAAAAGUGUUCUCAGAAACGAGUUAUCACGUGUGGAGAUCAAUGGCUUUCAAGCCAAAUGAUCAAUCUUAUGGCCACAUUCAUGGCAUAGUUUGUUCAAAUGAUCUCAUAUUGUGCACAAGGGUGCAUAUAGGAAUGGCAAACAAUGUUGCCUAAGGAAGUUUUCAUUUUCUUUGGAAGAAAAAACCAUUUUCCAUUUUUCGAGUGCCCAAAAGGAGGUUUUUUUGUGAAGGACCUCCCAAGUAAUUGUUGCAAAAUUGGACCAAAUCAAUUUUCUAAAAUACUAGGACAUAUUUAAUGCACAAUUGACAAAACGGUUGGGUGUAAAAAGUUUUGAUCCACCUCUCGUGAAAAAGACAAAUUUCUGCCGAUUCAGCUAGAAGCGGGUCAAAUUUGAACUGUAGCUGCAUUGUUGUUUGCUCUUUAUUUUUUCCAAAAAUCAUUUCUAGGUACAUCAGUAUCUAUUUAAUCAGAGAAACACUAAAAAAAUUCCAAGAUUCAACCACUAGCUAGGAACGGUCAUUCCCGUCGUUUUUACCGCAUUUUGAAACGAGCAUAAAAAAUUCAAAAAAAAAUCAAAAAAUUGGGAAACCUUCGCAUUGUGUCAUUAUAUGUGGCCAAGUUCUCAGGAAAAAUAACAAACUUGUAAUACGGCAAUUAUUUUAAAAAAGUGUACUCAGAAACGAGCUAUCACGUGUCGAGAUCAAUGGCUUUCAAGCCAAAUGAUCAAUCUUAUGGCCACAUUCAUGGCAUAGUUUGUUCAAAUGAUCUCAUAUUUUGCACAAGGGUGCAUAUUGGAAUGGCAAACAAUGUUGCCUAAGGAAGUUUUCAUUUUCUUUGGACGAAAAAACAUUUUCCAUUAUUUGAGUGCUCAAAAGGAGGUUUUUUUGUGAAGGACCUCCCAAAUAAUUGUUGCAAAAUUGGACCAAAUCAAUUUUCUAAAAUACUAGGACAUAUUUAAUGCACAAUUGACAAAAUGGUUGGGUGUAAAAAUUUCUGAUCCACCUCUCAUGAAAAAGACAAAUUUCCGCCGAUUUAGUUAGAAGCGGGUCAAAUUUGAACUGCAGGUGCCUCAUAGUUUGCUAUUUAUUUUUUCCAAAAAUCAUUUCUAGUUACAUAACUACCUAUUUAAUCAUAAAUACAUGGUUUGAUGGUGAUACGUUGAGGUUUGGGCGGUGGCCGAGGCCCCCAACUCUAGAGCGCAUAAACUCACAUGCCCGCCGCGUGGUCACCGCGUGACCUUGGCGUUGCCAUGUGUUCUGGGCAGCCUAGGCAUGUCUAGUGGGUUGGGCACUCCCCAGGUAGGUGCUAGGAAGAAAAUUACAACAUAAGAUUCUCACGAGGAGACCGAUCGAUGCUCAAACAUGAAUUAGCAGCCAAGUGUUUGAUUAGCGGUACAGGAAAUGUACAUGACAAAUGGGCGUGACUUUUGGCUGAGGAUGAUCAGUUACUAAGAAGACCGUCUUCACAAAUUUUCAGCUCAAAAGGAGGAGCCUAGGUGGUACUUGCUUUGCAAAGUACCACACUGGACAUAAAUACGAAUGUUGAAGCUGUGCUCAAAAUAAUGAAUAGAUUGAGGUGGCAUUUGGUGGAGGAUGGUUAUUUGGGCAUAGGAAAGCACCGUAGAAAAUGGAUACUAUUUGGACAUGCCAAAGUGGUACUUCUUCACAAACUGUUGUUCUAAACAGAAGAGGAAAAUGAAUAUUGUUGAAUUAUUUUUGAACUAGGCAAGGAAGGUUUUUUUACAUAUUUGACGAAGAUAUGACCCAAAGAAUUUAUGAGAUUUUUUUGGGAAUUUUGGGAUUGACAGAAAUAUAGGUUGCUUCACAACCUGGGGCAAAAAUUGCCACAUGGACAUGAUACAUAGGCAAAACUGAUGAGGUGGCGCCUAGUCAUAGCAACCCACCACAAUUUACAAGGUUAUGACCAUCUAUAUUGGUCGUGAUCAGCUAGAAAUAAGGCAGCAGACCAGUGCUAUCUGCUUUAUGACCAUUUCGUGUAAGGAAAUUACGACCUUUCUGACGAAAAUGGUCGUUAUAGUUUAGGGUUUGGAGCCCCCCGAACAGAUUUUGACCAAUUAGUCUGAAAUGGUCAUAGAUCUAUGACCAAUUCUUCGAGGGUCACUGACAGAAGGUCACUAGUUGACAUAUUUCUUGUAGUGUCGGGGGAAACCCUAGAUCAGUUGAUCGGAUGACUGCGAUGCUCUGGUGUCGUUUCCCCCUUGGGGGCGUCAUUCAUGGAGGUACACGUGGGCUCAGGGAAUAGAGGACGGCUUCUUACACAUUGAUGGCGACGGAUCUCGUCGGCGUGGCGCUGUGGAUAUUCGGAGUCCGAUGCGAGGAGAUGGACUUGUGCAGGAGGAGGAUGAUGUCUAGCGUCAUGGUGGCAUUGAUGGCAGAGAGGCAUGGCAAGGUCGGCGCAUUAGUUUCUGCUCUAAAGGUGGAUUGGUGGAAGAUGGCGGCGACGACACAGAUAGUGCGUCGGACCAGUUUGUGUCCCAAACCCAAUAUGUGGCUUGGUUGGGGCCUCUGUCUUUAGAUGUUAGGCAUUUGUGCGAUGUCUGUUUGGUAUUAGGCUUGGACUAUUGGCACCCCUUCAUCAGGUGGAUAGGAGUAGCGAUAGUUGUUGCUAAGAUGGUGGCUUCAGACUACUUAAUGUACUACUUUGUAAGGUCUUUGUGAAUAAUUAAUAAAAUGGCUGCAUGCAUCGUCUAGAUGCAGAGGCCGGGGUAAUCCUCCUUUUCUAAAAAAAUGAGGAUGAUAUAUUAAGGGCAAUAGGGUGACACUAAGCAUCAGUUAGCUUAAAACCCAAACGGUGGACGAGACCUUUGCCUCGUAGAAAUAGUUUGGGAGGACUCACAGUUCUAGCUACUUCUACAUGAAAUAGUUCACCAGUUGCAUAGGAAGAGCAAGAUGCUAUGAUCUUUGAAAAUGAUUUCUCAACAGCGUUGGGCCAAGCGUCUACCUCUAGGAAGACGCCCGAAUUCAACAUCGAAACUUCAAAAGGAAGCCGAUAGUCCAUACCAUGGCCAAGAUAAAUGUGUGUUCCAACCCUAUAUAUUGUGUACUACACCUCACGUGAGCGAGCCAUUUGUGCAGCCUACCUAUAGUGAACGGAUUUGAGGCUCCUUUCAUGAAUUUCAUUGCUAUGUAUUUGUGAUUUGUAUUAGAAACAAAUGAGAAUUGCAUGCUCGACAAUGAGAUGUCCUAUUUGAACUUUCUAUUCCCAUUGGUCAUAUGGUCAAGUUUUAACCCGUCACACAUAGGUAUGACUCAACGAGCUGCUCCUCGCCUCGCCUCAGGGGCGACCAAGGCGCUAACCCUAGCUGUUGCCACCUCCUCCAUCCUUUCCUCUCCCUCCGUCAUCCCUAGAGGUGGCCGCCAAGAAAGCCCAUGCGCCACCAUUGAAGGGGACGACAGGGAUCUCGGGUCCUGCGGCCGUGGCGUGGUUGCCUGGAGGGGCUGUACACGGCAACGUGAGAUCUUCCUCCGACGACUGCUCCUCCAAGGCCGUGACGUUGCUUGGGCGACAAUGUGGUGAUGAUGGACUCAGCUGGAGUGAGAUCUACGGCGCAAGGGCCUCGGAGCGGCAGUUUCUGUCACGGCGGCGGGCGGUGUCCCCUCCAUCAGGGAUGAUGUGCCAGGAGGCGGCGGUGUGCUCCUCCGUACAAAUUUGAGGCACGAUACUUGACGGUCCUCGAUACCGUUAGAGCUAGAGGUGGGGAUUCAGCCGGCACUGGUGGCACUAGUAGAAAAAGGGUCAAAUGUCAAGCACAUUAGUGCAGGUUUGCUUUUGAGCCGGCACUAAUGUGUGCAUUAGUGCCGGUUCCAACGGCUAGCCAGCCGCUGUCAUUAGUACCAGUUCGUGGCCGAACUUUAGCACCGGUUCGUGCCACGGACCGGUACUAAUGUGAGUGGUGGCAGGAUGUUGUCAGUCCGGGGCCCCUCUAGCACCUUUAGUACCGGUUCAUGGCACGAACCGGUGCUAAAGGUCGUCCUACAUAAGCCCUUCGUCCACCCGAGCUCGCUCUGUUCUUCCCCUUUCCCCUCUCCUCUCCGUUCUUCCCCUCUUCCUCUCAAGCUCCUCACACAUUUUGCCCAAAAUUUGUCAAGAUUUGAAGGCCCCCAUCCAUUCAAAUGAUCACAGAGGUUAGCAACUUUGUCCUUUCAUUUCUCAUUGCUAGAUUAGCUCUUGCAAUGCUUUGUAUAGUGAUUAAUUUAUGAGUUUAGUAAUUUGGUAGAAAAUAUGUGUGCUAGUAUUUGAUUUAUAUGCAAUUUGUGGUCAAAACUAACACUUAGUUUGCAUAUGUAGGUGUGGUUUACUUAGUGCCUUCUAAAUCUCCGUCGUAACCACAGUCGAUCGCCCGCACCCUUCCGUCGUCGGCACCACCUUGUGGUGAGCCUCUUGUUCAUGACUGUUUUACAUUACCAAAUUGAUGUUUGUGUGAUUUGGAUAUAUAGUUACUCGUAUAAUUAUCUUACCCGUACGUUGUUUGUUAUACAUAGUGCCAUGGUUUUGAUAUCCGUGCCCGUCGGCCCUCGUCCUUGUUAUAAUUCGGAUGUGGUAUAUUCUCUUAUAAAACUAGUUGUUGCAUUUCGUGUUUAUGACAAAUUAUGCCCAUCAAGUUGACAUAGAUAUUUUUGUCUAGGAGGUUUGUGAACCGGAAAUUCCAACCGACCCUAUUGUCGAGAGGUUAAAUUUAGUUGAAAGAGAAAACGAGUAUUUGAAAGAAAAAUUGAAAAGAAUUGAGGGGGAGAGGAUGGAAUUGGAGUUGCAUGUUGCCGAUGUCGUCGAUGAUCACAAGAUCAAGAUGGAGAAAAUGCGCUUGAAGAUUCGAAAGAUUAGAAAAUAUGCCAGUGAGGCUUGGUAUCAUUAUGCUGUUGGAUCAAUUGUUACCUUAGUUGCGAUCUUGAUCACAUUUGUUGUUGCAUUUAAAUUCUUUAGUUAGAGAGUUAUUUGUUUGUUGCAUUUAAGUCUUGUAUGAACUUUAUGUAUGAACUUUAUGUAUGAACUUGUAUUAAUUUGGUCUAUUCGGUGUUGUGUAAAUGAAGAUGAGCCGACAAUGGAUGUACGAUGACCGAUGCUCUCCCGAGUUCAUUAAUGGCGUGCAAACUUUUCUGCUUGCGGCUGAGGCAAACAAGCGGGCGGAUGGUUUUAUGCCUUGUCCAUGUUUAGUCUGUAAGAAUGAUCACAAUUACUCUACGUCAAGAACGAUUCACGUGCACAUGUUUAAGUCCGGUUUCAUGCCCCACUAUAAUGUUUGGACCAAGCACGGAGAAAGAGGGGUUAUGAUGGAAGACAAUGAAGAAGAAUAGGACGACGACAGCUAUCCUGGCCAUGGGUUCCCUGAAUACGAUGAUACAAUAAUGGGGGAAGAAGCUGAGCUGGCAAUGCGGGAAGAAGCUGAAGAAGAGGCAUCAGAUGAGCCCGCUGAUGAUCUAGGUCGGGCCAUUGCCGAUGCAAAGAGAAACUGCGCAAGUGAUUUGGAGAAGAAGAAGUUGCAGCGCAUGUUAGAGGAUCACAAGAAAUUUUUGUACCCGAAUUACGAAGCUGACAAGAAAAAGUUGGGCACCACACUGGAAUUGCUGCAAUGGAAGGCAGAGAAUGGUGUAUCUGACAAGGGAUUUGGAAAGUUGCUGGUAAUGAUAAAGAAUAUGCUUCCAAAGGACAACGAAUUGCCCGAGAGUACGUAUGAAGCAAAGAAGGUUGUCUGCCCUCUAGGGUUAGAGGUGCAGAAGAUACAUGCAUGCCCUAAUAACUGCAUCCUCUACCGCGGUGAGUACGAGGAUUUGAACGCUUGCCCGGUAUGCGGUGCAUUGCGCUAUAAGAUCAGGCGCGAUGACCCUGGUGAUGUCGAGGGCGAGCGCCCCAGGAAGAAGAUUCCUGCCAAGGUGAUGUGGUAUGCUCCUAUAAUACCACGGUUGAAACGUUUGUUCCAAAACAAAGAGCAUGCCAAGGCGAUGCGAUGGCACAGAGAAGACCGUAAGAAAGACGGAAAGUUGAGAGUACCCGCUGACGGAUCGCAGUGGAGAAAAAUUGAGAGAAAGUACGGGAAGGAGUUUGCAGAUGACGCAAGGAACGUAUGGUUUGGUCUAAGCGCAGAUGGCAUUAAUCCAUUUGGGGAGCAGAGUAGCAACCAUAGCACCUGGCCUGUGACUCUAUGUUUGUAUAACCUUCCUCCUUGGUUGUGCAUGAAGCGGAAGUUCAUUAUGAUGCCAGUGCUCAUCCAAGGCCCUAAGCAACCUGGCAACAACAUUGAUGUGUACCUAAGGCCAUUAGUUGAAGAACUCUUACAACUGUGGAAUGGAACAGGUGUACAUGCGUGGGAUGAGCACAUGGGGGAAGAAUUUGACCUAAAGGCGUUGCUGUUCGUGACCAUCAAUGAUUGGCCUGCUCUUAGUAACCUUUUAGGACAGACAAAUAAGGGAUACCGCGGAUGCACGCACUAUUUGGAUGAUACCGACAGUAUAUAUUUGGAGAAUUGUAGGAAGAAUGUGUACCUGGGACAUCGUCGAUUUCUUCCGAGCAGACAUCCCGUAAGAAAGAAAGGCAAGCAUUUCAAAGGUGAGGCGGAUCACGGGACGAAGCCUCGGCACCGUACUGGUGCUGAUGUACAUGAUAUGGUCAAGGAUUUCAAGGUAAUCUUUGGAAAGGGUCCUGGCGGACAACCUGUUCCAAAGGACGCUAACUGACGCGCACCCAUGUGGAAGAAGAAAUCUAUAUUCUAGGACCUGCCCUAUUGGAAAGACCUAGAGGUCCACUCCGCAAUCGACGUGAUGCACGUGACGAAGACUCUUUGUGUGACCCUGCUUGGCUUCUCGGGCGUGUAUGGGAAGACAAAAGAUACACCUGAGGCACGGGAGCACCAGCAAUGUAUGCAUGGAAAAGACGGCAUACAUGAGGGGCAUGCCAACUACGCUCUUACCAAAGAGGAGAAGGAAAUCUUCUUUGAAUGCCUGCUCAGUAUUAAGGUACUGUCUGGCUUCUCGUCGAAUAUAAAGGGAAUAAUAAACAUGGCAGAGAAAAAGUUCCAGAACCUAAAGUCUCAUGACUGCCACGUGAUUAUGACGCAACUGCUUCCGGUUGCAUUGAGGGGGCUUCUACCGGAUAACGUUCGAUAAGCCAUUGUGAAGCUAUGUGCAUUCCUCAAUGCAAUCUCUCAGAAGGUAAUCGAUCCAGAAAUCAUACCAAGAUUAGAGAAUGAUUUGGUGCAAUGUCUUGUCAGUUUCGAGUUGGUGUUCCCACCAUCCUUCUUCAACAUCAUGACGCACAUCCUAGUUCACCUAUGCGAAUAGAUUAGCGUUUUGGGUCCUGUAUUUCUACACAAUAUGUUCCCAUUUGAGAGGUUAAUGGGAGUCUUAAAUAAAUACGUUCAUAACCGUGCUAGGCCAGAAGGAAGCAUCUCUAAGGGCCAUGAAAAUGAGGAGGUCAUUGAGUUUUGUAUUGACCUUAUUCCUGACCUUAAGCCGAUUGGUGUUCCUGAAUCGCGGCAUAAGGGCAGACUGGAUGGAAAAGGCACGCUAGGAGGGAAUCAAAAAAUAUGUAUGGACGGACAUUCUCUCACUGAAGCACACUACACAGUUAUACAGAAUUUCGCCUUGGUGGCUCCGUAUAUGGACGAACACAAGAAUUUUCUACGCUCCAUACACCCGGAGCGGUCUGAUGACUGGAUUACACGUGAACAAACCAGGAGUUUCGCCGGCUGGUUGCAGACACGUACCAUGCAUGACGCCUCUAUUGAAGAUGACCUGUACUCGCUGUCCCAGUUACCAUCUUCGAAUAUAAUGACUUUCAAAGGGUACGAGAUAAAUGGUAAUACAUUUUACACGAUCGCCCAAGAUAAGAAGAGCACCAACCAAAACAGUGGUGUCCGCUUUGAUGCAACAACCAAGACGGGAAAGGAAACAUAUUAUGGUUACAUAGAGGAAAUAUGGUAACUUGACUAUGGACGUGAUUUGAAGGUCCCUUUGUUUCGGUGCAAAUGGGUCAAUAUGACACGAUAUGGGGUAACGGAAGACACGCAGUAUGGAAUGACAACAGUGGAUCUCAACAAUCUUGCGUAUGCAGACGAACCAUUCGUCCUAGCUAAUGAUGUGGCAUAGGUUUUCUAUGUGAAGGAUAUGUCUACCAAGCCGAGAAAAAGAAAAAAGAUAAGGAAGCGAAUGCAUCAUAGGAUGAGCCAAAGCGCCACAUAGUUCUUUCUGGGAAGAGAAACAUCGUGGGAGUGGAUGACAAGAUUGUCAGAAGAUUAUGAAAAGUUUGAUGAAAUUGCUCCAUUCACAGUGAAUAUUGGCCCGAGCAUCCAGUUAAAUGAUGAAGAUUUUCCAUGGCUACGGCGUAAAGGGACAUACGCGAAGAAAAAGUUUCACACCCAAAGAUCUGGGAUGUGAUCGGCUUCACUAUCAUCACUUUCUUCUGUGUUUCACACCCAGGAGGGAAUCUCUGUAAUAGUUAGGGUAGUUAUGUGUUUUGGCAUUUGAAACGCGAAGAAAUUUUAUGUGCAAACAAAUUCUUUCAUGCAUUUACUGAUUUUUUCACCUAAAUGACCCUGAAAUUGAAAAGCAUUUCAAAUGAACUCAGAAAAGGUUGAAAGUUGGCAUGGUAUCAUAAUUUCACCCACAUAGCAUGUGCAAAAAAGUAGACAGGGUUACCGCAAAAACUAGAUGCACUUCGUGUAUAAAAUGGACAAUCUCUUUCGAAGUAUCAGGGUUCCGGACGAAAACUCAUCCGUUACAAAGGGUUUCAUUUUUUAAAUAACCUAAGCAUUACCAAAUUGAAUAUAAUGACAAAACACACUAAUAUUAAACAUAAGAAAAAAGAAUCACUGAAAAUCUAUUUUCAAAGUUAAGUUAUUCACAAACUAGUGAUUCACACAAAUUUCAAAUAAUUCAAAAUGUAAACUAUUCAAAUUUGUAAACUACCGGCACUAACAGAAAGUUUGUAAUUUUUUGUACCUAAAGCAAAAAUAUUCCCAAAGAAACUCUAAAUAUUGCAAAAAAACAACUCAAAAAUAAAUAAACCAAAAAUAAAUAAAGCAAAAAAAAUAAGAAAAUAAAAAAGCCCACCUACUGGGCCAAAGCGGCCUGCAUACGACUAGAAACCCAACCUGUAGUUGGGCCAGGAUGCAGGCCCGCAAGCCCAGUAGGCCCACAGGCAGAGUAGGAGAGGUAGGCCCAGAAGGCCUGCUAUUGAGAGGAGCUCAAUGCAGUGCCCGCGUCGGGGCUUAUAAACUGGUCCUGGCGCUCCUCAACUAGCAAGGUGGGACUAUAUAAACUUCUGCGCCCCUCGCCUGGCAGCGCACACCCUUUAGUACCGGGUGGUGGCACCAACCGGUACUAAAGGGUGGGCCUUUAGUACCGGUUGGUGCCACCACCCGGUACUAAAGGUGGGCGCUUCCCGCCGCUUGGCCUGGCCAAAAUCGACCUUUAGUACCGGUUGGUGGCUCCAACCGGUACUAAAGGACCAUCCUAUAUAAGAAACACUUACGAAAAUUUCAUCAGUUUCCUCCCACUUCUCUCUGCUUCAUCGCCGCCGCCCCGUCCCGCGCCAUCGCCGCCGCCGUCGCGCCAUCCCCGUCGACUCCACGUCGCCCCCGUCCUUGUCGUGCCCUCCGCGUCGCCGGCCCAUCCCCAUCCCCGCACCGGCCCGCGUCCCCGUCCCCGCACCGGCCCGCGUCCCCGUCGCCGUUGCCUCGACCUCGCCCGCGCUGUGAGCCUCUGUCCCCCCUCUCCUCUCCCUCCAAUCGAAGCCGCCGCGCGCGCCGUCGGCGCCGUCGCCUUGGCUCGCCGUCGCCGUCGCCUGCACACACAACACAUACACACACAUACACACACACACACCAUACACACACACAUACACAAUUUUUGUUCUGUUUUUAGUUUUUAGUUUUUCUGUUUUUAGUUUUUAGUUUUUCUGUUAUUAGUUACUAGUUUUUAGUUUUUUCAGUUUUUCUGUAUUAAUGUUAUAGAAAUGUUAGUUAUAUAGAAAUGUUAGUUAUAUAUAGAAAUGUUAGUUUUUUCUGUAUUAAUGUUAUAGAAAUGUUUGUUAUAUAGAGAUGUUAAAGAAAAAUUAGUUAUACAAUUUUAGUUAUAGAAAUGUUAGAAAUCUUAGUUUUAGAUAUGGUCGAUGUUUUUUUAGUUUAUUAUAUUUUUAGUUAUAAAAUUUAGAAUUUGCAUAUAAGAAAUCACAAUCCAAUCAUUUAAAAAAUGUUACUUUACUUUUGCGGCAUAUAGUAUUUAUUGUCGACGAUGCCCGGCCCGCAUCCUCGCCGUCGACCCGUUCGCGACGACGUCUUGCUUCAGAGGACCCAUGUCCGGGAUAGGGCUCCGCCGGGCUGGCACUAGGAGGUGCUACCUGGAGGGGCGCGAUGCUUGGUGAGGAACCCGGCCUCGGGUCCCGUCGUCGACCCUGAUCUCCUUUGGUGGCGUUCGCGUGGGCCACAUUCGGUGCAGAGGGAGCCGGCCCCGCCGGAGGUGGUGCGUCGUCGUGUCAGGGAGGAGGACGAGCACGUCCAUCGCUACAUGGCUGCUAUGGACGUCAGGUUCUCCAAUACCUAGCAGGUUCUUUGGGCAGAUGACCGGAGAUAUGAUCCUUUGAUGUUUCCUUGUCUUUGGGUGUCCACCGCCCGCGCCCUAGGAACCGCGAGUGGCCUAGAUUCUUCUAUAGUAUUUGAUCUUUAUUAGCUACCUAGCCAGUGAUGUAUUCGAGAUUAUAUAUUAUUUGAGAUGAUGUAUUCGAGAUUAUAUAUUAUUCGAGACGAUGUAUUCGAGAUUAUAUAUUAUUCGAGACGAUGCAUAUUAUGUACUAUAUGAUUCAGUUUUUCCUUAUUGAUUGCAUCCAUGCAUUGUAAUUUGAAUACUAAAUUGUUUUUUAUUUCUUCUGUAUUAGUUAAAUAAAAGCUAUGGCGGACAAUAACGACAGAGAGGGAGAAGAGGCCCUGUUCGAGAUCAUACGCGGCCCUAGCAGGCCAGAUGAUCUAAAUGAAGCAAAUGACGGCUCCCAAUAUCUGAACAAUACCGGGGAGGGUGAUGAUAAGAUAUUCGAUCUCGACGACUGAGCUGAUGAAGUCAUGAACUAUGAUUAUGGUUAUGAUGACGCAGACAAUGAUUAUGAUGACGAAUACAAUGUUGAUCUUGAAAUAACAAAGACUACCGGCGAGGUAUAUUUAUAUAAGCAGGCAUCUAGUGAUCAUCACAUGUUUUUUUAUUUGAAGAUAUAUUAACGAAUCGAUCUUUCUUCUUUCAGCCCUCCGGAUCAAGCAAAUCUGCUUCUACAGACAGCAGGACAAAGCCCGGCCCGAGCAAAAAGUUGAAGGAGGGUGUAAAGUACAACAUCGAUUCCAUCAAAGCUAGUGGUGAACCCCUCACGCCUAAGAACAUUGCGAGCAAGUUCGUUUGUCGGUACGGAGUUCUUGUGAAGGACCAACUCCCGAUCUCCAUUCAAGAAUGGAAAGAGCCAAAAACUAAACGCCCAGAUGUUACUUGGGUCAACGAUAGAGCAAAACAAAAGCUUUGGGAAUCUCUGAUGGAACAUUUCAGAUUAUUUCACUGAUGCAGAUGUGCAGAAAGUCAAGGACGCUGCUCUUAAGAAGAUGGCAAUUGCAUUCAACACCCACAAGAAAACUGUAUGGGCCAACUACCUCGCUGCAGAAAGGAAGACUCCAGAAUUCAAGGGAACACUGGAGAAGCAAAGUGAACACUGGCCCGCUUUCGUGAAAUUUAAGGAACGGUCAAGAAAAAACAAGGCCAAUGCCGUAAAAAAGACGCAGUUCCAUAGGCUGGGUCCAGGUGGCUACGCCGUAGCAAUGCCUAACUGGGAUAAGUCUGAGCAAGAGAUGGAGGAUGCAGGGGUCACUCCGGUUACUAGGAGCUGGCCCCCCAGGUGCAGAACUUGGUUCUAUGCGCAUGGGGGGGCGUUGGACCCGAAGACAGGCCUGGUUUCGAAGAAGGCAAGUCUAAAAGGAGCAGAACAAAAGUUACUUGACGCAAUAGAAGAUGCUCGAAAGGGGGUGUUCACGCCCAACAGAGAGAACGACGAGCUUACGCGCGCCCUGGGAAAUCCUGAACACCCGGGAAGAACACGAGGCAAGGGCGUUAUUCCCUGGUAUGAGGGCUUUUCGGAAUGGAACGACGACUACAGGACCCGUGCAAGAAAGAAGAUGGAGGAGGAGAAGAAGAGGAAGCUGGAGGAGGAGCAGAGGAAGCAGGAUGCGGAAUGCCUUCAAGGCCUAGAAGCAAGGCACGCGGACUUGGCACUCAAAUUCCAGCAGCAGCAGCAGCAGCAACAGAUCGACUCACUUAGCCAGGAAAGGGGGUCUCAGCAGCGGCAGCAGCAAGCGGAUGAUCAUCCAGCAUUGGAUAGCACCGUCCCAUCCAUGCCGAGAAGCAGCGUUGGUUCCGCCCCGGGCGACGCACUGCUGGAUACAUACCCUGUGGAUGAAAUCAUAGAGAACACUAACUGUGAGCUACACUUCAAAAUGAAGAACAUAUCCAUGAAGGUGGCGAACGUCGUUGCUUUUACAAUUACCCCCGAAGCAACCUUCCAUUGCGCCCCGAUUCCAGCGGGCUAUGCUCGUGUCUUGGUUGAUGAGGUGGUGGGCCCAUAUUCGGGGCGAGAGCUUGACAUCCCUGGAGGUGACGACGAGCAAACACUGGGAGAGGCCAGACAUCGUAUCAUCGAAUGGAAAAAGGAUUGCAUCAUCUUUCGAAGUCCACUGACACGGCGUCUGCCGACUCCUCCUCAAAGUCCGCCACCGUGGCAGCAGACUCCCGCUCCUCCAAGUACACGAACGCGUGAGCAGACUCCUGCUUCAUGUCCGGCAUAGCGUUAGCCAACUCCUCCUGUUUCAAGUCUGACACCGUGUCAGGCCACACCUCCUGCUUCAAGUCCGGCACAGCGUCAGGCCACACCUCCUGCUUCAAGUCCGACACCGUGUCAGGCCACACCUCCAGCUUCAAGUCCGGCACAGCGUCAGGCCACUCCUCCUGCUCCAACUAAGCCACGUCAGCUGUCUCCGCUGCCUAAGCAAUCGCAGAAGAGACACGCUGCAGCUAUGGUGCGUAGCGGUACGAGUCGAGGUAGUACAGAAAGUACAGGCGGAGACAAGCGAUAUAAAUAUGGUCCAAGCAGCCUCGCUCCUCUUCCUCAGAGGCCUUACGACAUGACCGAGGAGCAAAACGAUGCAAUAGUGUGGGCCGAAGUGGACGCUCAUUUUCGACUGAAACCGGCAACGCCGCCGAGGGAGAAAGUGCAUGAGGAAAAGAUUGACCACUUCAUUCGUAUGGCUAGACCACCAGCUCCCAAGCCUGUUGACUCAGACUAUGAGCGCCAAAUCAGGAAGGCACAUCAAGCACGACUACAGAAAGAAGCGAGCUCGAGCUCGAGCCAACAAGCAGCUGUCAAAAAAUGCGGGAAAACCGUUCCCCAGCUGGGAGAACAGGCGGCGCAAUCGACCCCCCCCCCCCGCUUGUUGUGCCAACAACACAUGAGAGUACGCGCGCCCAAUAUUAUUGUGGGCAAAUCGUUUACGUUCCCGAGCUAGGCGAUGUGGUAAUAACCGAGGAGCACAUAAUGCAGGCUGAAAUGCUCAAGAUCAUUGUUGGACAACUCCUCGAUAUCGAGCCCAUGCCUCCGCUUAGAGAGGAGGAAAUAAAACGAAAAUAUGUCCGCGGCAAACCUUUGGUCGAGCCCGAGAAGGUCAAGAACCUCCCAACGAGAAUGUAUGAAUUGCAUGAUUGGUACAUGAAAAUUACCAAGAUUUCCAAUCGAGAGUCCCUCAUGGUGCAAGACGAGGAAGAUCAUUACUUCCAUAAGAAAGCUCUGGCCGUUGAGUAUUCAGAACUAUUUCAGUUAUUCAAUUAAGAUGCACUCGACAAAUCUCUCGUCAGUUGCUAUUGUCUGUAAGUGAUUUCUUUCUGUAAUUUAAGUCUCAAGCUAGCUCUAGUGCUCAUUGAUUGAUCAUUAAUUACCUGUAAUUAUAUAUCCUCACUAUAUAUUCUUUUCUGUGGUAUUAUGCAGGAUGAAGAUGUAUGAAAUGAAAAAAGCUGGACGCUAUGGCAUUGGGUUCAUUAACCCAAAUACCAUUAAUGAAUACACAUGGAAAUUAGAAUGGUGUAGACAAGAUGUAGAGAAAAACAUGGUAGAGUUCUUGAAGCGCCUCAAUAGCAAUGAAGAUAUACUACUUCCUUACAACUUCGAGUGAGUCACACUGUCUUGUACUACAAAUUCUGUUUUUGCUUACUAGCUACAUGUUAAUAAGUGUAUAGGGUUUAGGGUUAUAGUUGAUUAGUGUUAUGCACAUGCCCGCUUAAUUUAUACAUGCAAACGUAUGCGCAUGCAGCUUUCACUGGAUCUUGUUAGACAUUAAAGUUGACGAAUGAAAAGUUGAAGUACUGGACUCACUACUUAGAAAAAAUAGUGACUACAGCAUCGUGAAGGGGAUAGUCGACAGGUUAUUUCAAUCAUUAUUAACUAUAUCUCGGCCUAUUUAGUUCGUCAUUUCCUGAUAUGAACUAUUUUUAAUAACUCCUUUAUUAAUUUUCUUUGCCGGCGGGUAGGGCUUGGGCAAAGUACAUCAAGGUGACUCCAGGAAAAUGGCGACAAAAGCUAUGUUGGUAUCGACCCAAGGUAAGUAAUUAAGUAGUACUAGCUAGCUAGCUACCAUCAAUUUAAUUUUUGUUUCAAUACUAUUAGUUAAUUAACAUGCUUGAUUAAUUAUUAUCUGAUUAAAUUCUAUUGUCGUAAAGGCCCUGAAGUAGGCGCCGGGGACUGAAGUGUGUGCAUACUACGUUUGCGAGAACAUUCGCAUGAUGGCAUCCGAAAGGAGCACAUCUGAUAGACAGGACUGGGUACGUUUGCCAGAACACUAUUCACAAAUCUUACACGAUUGUCGAUAUCUGGUCACACAACUAAUACACAUGCAUAUUGAUCUCCUUCUUAACAGUUCAAAGACGCGCGGGACAAGCUCCUAUCAGAGGAGCGCAUACGAGCACAUCAAGAGGAAAUAGCGGGAUUUUUGCUCGACCAGGUCAUAGAUCCCAAAGGAGAAUACUAUUACCCGCUACCGCCCCCAUGAACCACUUGUCAUCGUGCUCCGAAGGCACCAAGGCAUCGUGUAGGAGAAAUUGUAUAUAUAUACAUAUGUAUGUGUGAAUAAUUAAUAGUGGUUGUGAGACAUUCGAUUAUAUAUAUAUGAUCAGUUCUACGAGAAAAUCUAUUUAUAUAUAUGCAUAACGUGUACAAUAUGUAGUAUCGUAAAAUACCAGCAAACAAAAAGGAAUUAAAUGGAAAACACAAAAUUAAUGGAAAAAUGAAAAUUAAAACCAAAACCCCCCCAAACAUUUAGUACUGGUUGGUGCUACCAACCGGUACUAAUGGUCUACCAGCACCCAGGCCUGGCUCGUGCCACGUGGUGGCACUUUAGCGCCGGUUCGUGCCGAACCGGUACUAAAGGAGGGGGGCCUUUAGUCUCCACUCCAUAGUGCCGGUUGCAGAACCGGCACUAAAGGCCCUUACGAACCAGUGAUAAAGGCCUGUUCUGCACUAGUGUGGGCCACAAUGGCAGCGACGCCCGUGGGCACCGUCUUUUCUCCAUGGAGACGUUCAUUAGAUCUGCUUCUACCUACACCACGCCAUUUGUCUUUCGGGUGAAAACCCUAACUCCAGUGGGCGGCAAAGGCACCUUCAACGUCGUUCCCUUCUAGAAGGCGCCGCCAUGGGAGAAGGUUGGCUCUUCGACACCGUUGGGAUUGUGUUGACAGCGAGCUGGAUCAGGAGGUGGUGUAAUGUGGAAUUUACUGCAUCGGCAGCGGCUGGUCUAACCGGCAUAUCGUAGCAGGGUCUCGAUGUUGGACGUAUGUUGAUAAAUGCGCACAGUGUGAUGGUGCUGUCUGCCAUCAUGGUGGCAUCGAUGACAGUUGGGCCUGGCAAGGUCAAUGUGUUGAUCUCUCCUCAAGUUGGGAUGGCAGAAGAUGACGACGGCAGAUUUUGGAGCAUGCGCACGCUGAGCAUGCUGAGGGUCUGCUAGUCCGGUUGGUGUGCUUCGUCGUUGUGGGGCCGUGCGAUCCGUCGAGUUAACAUGAAUCACCGGAUGAGCGAGCAGAGCCCGCGUCAGCGUUUUAUCUAAUAAAUGCGCCCCUCCCAGAAGUCGUGGUUUGUUACACGUAUUAUCUCUAGAAUUAGUACGGUUAUCCGAGUAGCACGUACCAUCAAACAAACUAUAACUGAUUUAAUGAGUCAUUCGCAGUUUCACCAUUCAAAUUGGUUCAUAUUUGCACAUGCAUGGCUUAAUGUUUAAGACAAGCAUAUGACUACUAGAAGAAUCAACCAGGUAGCACGUCCUGGGUGACGACCAGCGUCGGCUGUCGUCCUUCCCUUCCACCGGACCGGUUGUCGUUGUUGAACGGCGUAGCUCAUCCUCCUUGAAGAUCGGCACAGAGAGUAGCGUAUCCUACCACGUAAUUGUGGAGACAUAGAGGCAACUCCUGUUCCGGUUCUUGGUGAGGCCACGGGAUUAGAUGGUGUGUUUUUAUGCGUGGUCAGAGUACAUUAUCAAACUAGUAAGUGUAGCGACAUAGAUCCCCAGGUGGCUUUGGGUUGAUGAAUGUUUUGGUUUUGUUAAAUAAUAUAAUAAAGAUGGUUGUGUGCAUUGCUUGAUGAAGAGGCCAGGGAUUAUCCUACUUUUCCCAAAAAAAUGAGCAAGUUCUUUUUUUUGCCACCUUUCAAUAGGACAACCCAGCUAGAAAUUCGUUUCACUGUUUGACAAAAGGUCUUGUAGGCUUUGAUGGGGAUGGUAAUGUAGUGAAAAGACUUACAUAUAUUGUUGAGUUAUAUGUUUUCCCGUAGAUAGAACGAACCCCAAGUAGUAGUGGAGAUAUAGGAUAGGAAGCCACAAUAUUUUAGUAUUGUCAGCCGAUAUAGGCUGCAAGUUGAAGUUUUUGUGUUGACAUGGAAAAGCAGGAGCUCUGAUUUUGCAAUUGAGAAGACCGAAAAGUUGUAUAGAGGUUGAAGCAAAACGGGUAAACUAUGAGAGAACGCCGUGAAGAGGGACUUUUCCAUAGUAUCAACUAUCAAGGUGUUAGCAGAGCCUUUCCACACCAUUGUUAGCUUUAAUCUUGAUAUUUUAUAUCUCCAUGUUUAUUUCAGUCUUGCAUGUAGUUUAGCUUAGGACUGUUCCGGUAAAGUCAUGGCUAGUGUGAGGCGGCAACGUCGUGUGAAGCGGCGAGCAGUGAGCAGGUGAAGCGUGACGAGCUGCAUGGCCAAGUUGAGCCGGCUGAUCUGGCUGAGUCAUCAUUAGUGUCUUAGCAUGCAUAAGUAUUCAGUUGUAUGGCCGAGUCGUGUGGCUGCUGGAGAGAUUCGAGGAGUAAGAUAGUCAUGGAUAGUGCGUUAGUGCAUGCAUGGGUUAGUUGAAGUUUGUUGCCGAGAGUAGCGGCUGGUUAGUGCGUGCGUUUAUGUACUUGAACAGAGCAUAUUUGUUUAGCAGUCAAGUAAAAGAGAGAGAAGAAAAGGGCUUGGCUGUGUGAUACAGCAGCUCACCAAAUAUCCUCUUCUCCAUUGUCUCGUGUGUGUGUGGGUUGUGUGAAACAGCCGUGAGGUAGAAGAGGGGCUGACAGAGUCAGCUCCAACAUUUGAUAUCAGCGCUAGGUGAUGACGAAGAUGAUGCCGUGUGACUCUUCAGCGAGUGGAGCAUUGGUGCCGAGCGACUCGGCGGCGAUGGCGGCUGCGGUGACGGCGGCGACGACGGCGGCGGCGGGGAAGCUCCCAUUCCUGCUGCUCGUGAGGACGAACUACGCGGCGUGGGGGAUGAGGAUGAAGUACCUCUUGCGCGCCAAUGGCGCGUGGGCUGCCGUUGAUCGCGAGGACUCCUCCAAGGAGGUCGACGCGGGCAAGGAGGAGAUGGCCAUGACUAUCGUCUCCGAGUCGAUCGACGACACGACGCUGCUGCGAGUUGCCGAGAAGGAGACCGCCGCCGAUGUGUGGGCGGCGCUUCGCUCCAUGCAUGUGGGCGUCGAGUGCGUCCGAGAGGCGAGGAUUCAGUCCUUGCGCUCGGAGUUUGAUAGCCUCAAGAUGGGCCAUGCGGAGUCCGUGGAUGAUUUCGCAGCGAGGUUCACGACGCUCGUGAGGCGCAUCCGUGAGCUUGGUGAUGCGAUGGAGGAGAUGUACAUCGUGAAGAAGCUGCUCCGAGCUCUCCAACAAGUUCAUCCACGUUGAUUCGUCGAUUGCGUUGUUCAGCGACACCAACAAGAUGGCCAUGGAGGAGACCAUUGGUUCACUCAAGGCGCACGAGGAACUCGUCAAGGGGCGGGAGACGGGACGUGAAGAAGAGCAGCUCCUCAUGGUGAGAGGGCAGGACUCGUCGCGAGAACGGGGCCGUGGCCGUGGCGGUGGACGGGGUGGAGGCCGCAAAGAUAAAAGUGAGGUAGAGUGUUAUAAUUGUCAUGAACUUGGGCACUUUGCUUGGGAGUGUCCGGAGAAGAAGGAGAAGGAGGCGAAGGCGCUGCCUGGCGUUGAGAACGAGCCGGCUCUUCUUUGAAGCUGUGUGAAGGAAUGGAUAUCAAGAUUAGGGGGUUGAAUGUUAGCUUUAAUCUUGAUAUUUUGUAUCUUGAUGUUUAUUUCAGUCUUGCAUGUUGUUUAGCUUAGGAUUGUUCCGGCAAAUCCAUGGCUGCAGCGAGAUGCCAUCCGACCGUGUGAUGCGGUGCGGUAGUGCCGUGUGACGCGGCAACGUCGUGUGAAGCGGCGAGCAGUGAGCAGGUGAAGCGUGACGAGCUGCAUGGCCAAGUUGAGCCGGCUGAUCUGGCCGAGUCAUCAUUAGUUUGUUAGCAUGCAUAAGUAUUCAGUUGUAUGGCCGAGUCGUGUGGCUGCUGGAGAGAUUCCAGGAGUAAGAUAGUCAUGGGUAGUGCGUUAGUGCAUGCAUGGGUUAGUGGGAGUUUGUUGCCGAGAGUAGCGGCUGGUUAGUGCGUGCGUUUAUGUACUUACAAGCAUAUUUGUUUAGCAGUCAAGUAAAAUAGAGAGAAGACAAGGGCUUAGCUGUGUGAUCAGCAGCUCACCAAAUAUCCUCUUCUCCAUUGUCUCGUGUGUGUGUGGGUUGUGUGAAACAGCCGUGAGGUAGAAGAGGAGCUGAGAGAGUUAGCUCCAACAACGAUGUCCUACGAUCACACAUAAACCAAAUCCAUGUAAGGCACAAAGCUCUGCCAAAAGGUGAGAGUGUGGUGGUGGAAGCGACCACAGAUUGUUAGAAUCAAAUGAACCAACUCGACAUCAGCUUUCAUUUCCAUGGCUUUAGCUUUGAGGACCUCUUGUCAAUUAGAGGCUAAACUUCAACCUUUCCCAGCUUUCUUAGACUAGGAGACAGCCCCGGAUGUCCAGAUCAUCACAUCAGAUAUGUCUGGCACACAUUUUCUAAAAUUGUCCUGCAACCUAGAGAUUUCACCAGAAGCUUAGGGGGCAGCUUGGACUACUGGUUUCUCAGAUCCUAUAAGAUUCAGAAACAAAGCAACAUCCAAUGCAUUCCUUGAUGCGUCCCAUGCACAGUCCUAUACUACAGAAAUCGAAACCUAAUGGUGGUAAGAAAAACUUCAAAUAAUCCAGCUUCUCACAAAUAUAAGUCGGUCGUCCCUUCUCCUUUAUAGGAAUAGUAAUGGACCGUUGAACAGUAAUUAAUUUGAUCUGGUGGCAUGAUCAGAUACAGCUUGAAUGCCUGGUCAUGAUGUGCUCACCUUAUGAAGACCACAUCUUAUUGAUUGUGUCUUGUACUGAAAUGUACAAUCCGGAAUUGCUUGACCAAGGCCUUGCCUCGUUGUUGGGACCAAAUCAACACAGGGAUUGGGCCCCGCACUUAAUCACGUUGGGGUCAGUCCCUCCAAGCACACUGUUCGUUGGAGCAAGCUAAAAUAUCUCCCGGACACCCAGUUCGGUAUAUGAAACACUAACAUGUAUAUCAAAGAAGUCUGUUGUGAUACAACAGUAGACACUAACAUGCCGAGUCCUGCUACAAGCAUCGAAAGGCAAUGGCGGCGAAAGAAACAUCAAGUCAACUAGAGCAGAUACAGCUUGAAUGCGUGAUCAUGUUGUACCCAGACUGAUGAAGAUCACAUUUUGUUGAUUGUGACUAGUACUGAACUGUACAACUCUGGCAUUGCUUGACGAACAAAUUUUUGGGUUGUUGGGAACAAUUCACGGCAGGGAAUGGGUCGAACCCUAUCCUCUCACUCAACCCCUAUUGGGGUUAAUCCCCCGCAGUAACCUAUUCGGUACAACAAGCUAAAAACCCCUCCCAACAGCGAGUUUCGUACAUGAAAGACUACAAAGCAUACCAUGGAAGAAGACUGUUAGCAUACAACAUGAGAAGUCGGGCAAACAACAGGGCACCAUGAACAUGUUCCAAGAUCACAUGGCGACAUGCCAAAACAAGUUUCAUGCAAUUGAAUAAUUCACUCGACUGCUAUUUCCAGAAGAAAAUUAACAAAAAUUCUACUACUCCCUUCGAUCCAUAUUAAUUGACGAGUACAACUUUAGUACAAAGUUAUAUCAAAGCAGCAUCAAUUAAUUUGGAUCGGAGGGAGUAGUAUUAUUUAUGUUCGGCCACAAGAAGGCUGGAAGAAGAAAAAUUACUUCAACAUCUCACUCGUCGCAGCUUCGUCCUCACCUUCUGUUUUUCUAGAUACUCCUCAAUUAUCCUUCUUCUGGCUGCACAGAUGCGAAAGGUUUAGUAGUAAUCAAUGUACAUGAAAAAUAAAUUAAAAAUAUAGUUAAAAAUGAGUUCAAGACUACAGACCUACAACCAUGCAUAUGAACAUCUUAAGAUAGUCACACUAAGAAAAGUUCAGGGUGUAGAAGGGAGCCACGAGAAAUGCAAUUGCUUGGUGUAGUAAUCUUCGUAAACCUAACCAGUUUUUGUUAGGUGAAAUCUUGGCCACUUGGAUUUUGCACUAGUUAGCAGGCUGCUCUGGAAUUAGAGAGUGGACUGUAGUGACUCCUGCUUGCAUUUCUUCUUUGUAUCAAAGACAAAUGGGAGUUGGAUGUUUCAUAUUGCGAUAUCUGAUUUGAACUUCUCUAUUUAUUUUAUUUUAAAAAGAGGAUGACCCCCGGCCUUUGCAUUAAUCGAUGCAUGCAGCCAUAUUAUUAAAAAAAUGUAACAAAGUCUUAAGGUCCAAAGAGGGUCAUAAACUGAGCAGUAGUCGAAAGGAAAUAAAUCUGAAAAGCGCCACAUCUGGCGAUAUAGAAUUGAAGAGUGCCACAUCCGGCGAUAAAAAACAAGCUACAAUGCCUACACACCUAGCCUAUUAUUAGCUCGCCAUCCAAAUAGGCUGAAGAUAGACCGUGCUACCGUCUCCCGGCGGUUGCACCCAAUAACCCUCUAUUUCCAUUUGUCAUAUGCUCAAGUUUUUCCUUUGGCUCCUUGCAAUAGGAGAGCCCUAUUGGAAAUUCGUUUCACAGUUUGGCAUAUGUCUGCAGUCUCAAAGCUCUUGCACGCUGUUGAUGGUGAUGUUAAUGCAGUAAAAAUACUACUACACCACAGAUGGUCAAACCGGAUUGAAACCAUAGCAGUGGAGAGACAGCCAGCCACAGUGUUCUAUUGCUUUUGCUGAAAUUUCAAGUUUUUUGAUGUGCAAGGACUGAACCUCUGCCUUUGCUGCUAUAGAUGAAGGAAAAGUUGUACAGAGGCGAGAGGCUAGACAUCUGAAUCACAUGUCCGGCCUGUAAGCUUUGUAAGAAAUGGGGAAAAGCCUCGGAUUAGUGCAUGGCAGCGAACUUGUUCCUCCACAAAAAUCAGCUGCAAUUCUUUGGAUGUCCAGAUCAUCGCUUCUGAGAGGUACCCAACACAUUUGUCAAAAUUGGCCUGCAACCCAGGUACUGUUGGAAUAAUCUUGAGUAGUUAAUUAGUGUCACACGUGCUUGUAGAAGUGCAUGCACUUACGUGUGAUGUGUCCUAGUGUAUUUGGUUUAGAGUACUAUAGUUUGAGUCUUGACUGGUCCGUGUACUAGUAAUAGUCCGGCUAGGAUGCAUACGUGGUAGUACUAUGAGGACUCCUAGCUGGUAGUACACGCGUGAGUGUCCGAGUUGUAUUAGGACAUCUAGUACGUAUAGGAUUAGGUCCGUGUUGGGUCGGUGGCUGCUGUGCAUAUAUAUGCACAUGGCCGUGAGACUUUUGUAACAUCGUCAGAGAAAACAGAAAAUAAAGAGGAAAACUAAGGGCACGAGACGAACCCUCGGCUAUCAGUUUUUCGUGUGUGUGCUCAUUGUGAUUUCAUGUGAUUGAUCCUGUAGGCGAAUCCCAACAGACACUUCACCAGAAACUUGAUGAAUAUGUAAUGUAACGAUCUCAUAUUUGAUAAGACUCAAAAGUAAAGCAGUAUAUGUUGCAUUCUCUUAUGCCUACCAGAGUUUUGGAUUUCGUCCGUAAAAAACGAAAUUCCGGCAAAAUUCGUCUGCUACGUUAAGGCCCGGUAGAUAUGUUAGCCGGCCAAAUUUUUCGGCCCUAUUUGAUUUUUUGGCUCAUUCCAGCGUCCGGCCCAGCCUGGAUAGCCCUUCCCGCAAUGUAAAAGGCCUGAAUAAGGCUCCUAAACCUAAACGUCAUCAAAUUCCCCACAUCACUUCUAGCGGCGGCGCCUUCCUCGCUCCCGAUGUGCUCGCACCGCCGCCUCCUGAGCGCAUGGCCUCGGCCACAGGGCGCUAGCUGACCGUUCCAUAUGCCUCUGUCCGGCAGCUUGGUGCAGCGACGAGUGCAAGUAUGGCCAUAGCUCGGUCGUCGGCCAUAGGACUUGCGUGAGGCGUCCGUGCGCUGCUGGCGGCCGGAACGGGACCACAAGUGAGAAGCGUGAUUGGAUUUUGCUGCAACUGAAGCGUAUCAUGCGUGCAAGCAAUCAAUUGGUAGUUGCAAUUCUGUAAGAUCCUUAUUUGUUUCCUUUGCUGCAGGAUUUCAAUUUUUGGUAGAAUUUCGGUUGUUUUUCGUCCAAAUUUCGCUCAUUUUUCGUUCAAAAUUUCAAAUUUUGAUUCAGUCUUUUCGUCCGGAAUUUUCUGAAAAAAAUCCGAAAUUACAGAAUUUCGCCUAUUUCGUCCGCGGACAGUAAAAUUUGCAAAACAAAAUCCAAAUCCUUGAUGCCUACAACGCCUAGUCCUAGUACAGGCAUGGAUAGGUAAUGAUGGCGAGAUAAACUUCAAGUCAGCCCUUCUCACAAAGUCAAAAUCGUUAAGUUGGCAAUCCUUUCUCGGAAGCAGAGUAAUUGGGCGCUCUAGCCCAAGCCUAGCAGCGACGGGCUGGAGCUCCGCUCCACUUUGUCAGAAGUUAGCCUCUAUCUUUAUGCUUGAAUUUAGAUCACAACAUAAUGUUGAAGUAUCCUGCCACGGUUGUUGGGGCUAGUGACAUGGCAUAAAUAUAAGGUGUCAAACUGGGCCAACAUCCUCCUUUCUUUAGAGAAAAAGCAUACGCCUAACUUUAUAAAAAAAGCCACACGGCAGAGUAGGAGACAAACCCACCAACCGAACGUACAAUACGACAACAGAAAGUAAGACCAAACCACAGGGGCAAAACAACCCAGAUUUCGAAGGCACACAUGCCAGAAGACAGAUAGGAGGCACGCAGGCGAACAACCUACACCUAUAUGACAAAAAGCAAGACGACAUUACGAGGGAGUCGUGGCGCCAGGAGGAGACAGCAGAUUGGCAGACGCCCGAACAUUGUUGAUCAACACCUCCAUAUCGUCCUGAUCCGUAGGUUUAGUCAAUAAUUUCCACUGCUACAAAAAGAUAGAGAUUCUGAACAGAACAUCAUCAGGUUUGUUAGGAAAAACACCCUCAAUGAUGAAUUUGUUCCUAGUGUUCCAUAAAGACCAACAUAAAGCAUAAAGCACCAAGCCCAACCCAAAACAAUCUCUUAGACACACCCUGGAGGAGCCGGGCCAAUAAACGUAGCUCAGAUAAGGAAUUGGGGGCCUAAGUCACAUAAUUCAGCCAGGAACGAAUACAAUCCCAGACGAACUUGGCCAGCGCGCACCCAUAGAAAAUAUGGCCAACAUCCUCCUUCAAAGUUCAUCAAAGUAUAGCUUUACUUGUAAUAGUGUUCUAGCACAAGUUGCAGACACUUGCUUGGGAAAACAGCUUGUGGCUCACGUUGUAUUGGAGUAGUCUACUCUUUUAUGCAAAUAUAUCUUGCUGUGUUCAAGUGGAAAGUGGAGAAUAGCAAUCAUCGGUCCUUCAGUUGCACCUAACUCUUGAGGUACCUGGGUUUCCAUUGUCACACCUUGCCUCAAAUAUACAUGGCUUAGGUGCUUGUUUUGUUGCUCUGUAUUGAAUAACAAAAUUUUGUUUUUGUUACGUGAAAUCUCAGCCGCUCUUGGAUGUGGAAUUAGGGAGUAGACCAUAGAGAAGUCUAUAGAACAGGGAGUGUAGAAUGUAGAGACUGUUGCUUUGUACAAAUGAGAAUUACAUGCUUGAUAUUGGGAUAUCUUAGUUGAAUGUUUUCUGUAUUCAUUGGUCACUAUGGUCACAUUCUUGUUUUGACCUUGUUUAGUAGGAGAACCCAAUUAAAAAUUUGUUUCAUAGUUUUUGACAAAAGGUCAACAGUCACUAGUAGAAAACUGGGCUUUGGUCACAGGGCAAUAUUCACAUUAGUCCCGGUUCAGUCACGAACCGGGACUAAUGUGAGCAUUGGUCCCGGUUCGUGCGGCCAGGGGUCUGCCGAGCCUCGUGGGGGCAUUGGUCCCGGUUCGUCCGGCCCCUUUGGUCCCGGUUGGUGGGACAAAGCGGGACCAAUGGGCCUCGCUCCUGACCCACCACCAUUGGUUCCGGUUGGUGGCUUGAACCGGGACCAGAGGCUCACCCUUUAGUCCCGGUUCAUACCACAAACCGGGACUAAAGGGUUGGUCCUAGUUGCGGUCAGAGUUUAGUCCCACGUCGCCAACCGAAGGGCGCUCACACCGGUUUAUAAGCCCGUCCCGAAUUUGACCUAAAUUCAGAGUAAAUUUCUUUGAAUUUCAUAGAAAUUUAUUAUGAAUUUAGGUUGAAUUUUCUCUAUAGACGCAUCUAUAUUCAUUUUUUAUAGUAAAUAAAAUAAAUAAACCUUAAUAAAAUAAAAUAAAAUAAACUAUAGUAAAUAAAAUAAAUAAACCUUAAUAAAAUAAAUAAAAAUAGCAGCAGAAAAAUAAAUAAAAAUAGCAGCAGUAAAAUAAAUAAAAAUAAAAUAAAUAAAGUAAAAUACAUAAGUAAUUAGAAACAAAAUGGAAUAAAAUAAAUAAGUUUUUUGUUGUAAGUAGAAACAAAACAAAAUAAAUAAAGCAAAAGAGAAAACAAAAAACAGGGAAAAAAAUUAUGCCACCUACUGGGCCACCACGGCCAGAAUACGACUUGAAACCCAUCCAUGGGCCAGGAUUCAGGCCCGCAGAAGGCCCAUUAGGCCCCACAGGCAAAGAGAACGGUUAGGCCCGAAAGCCUGCAGUUGAGAGGAGCUCGAGAGGGUGGGCGCAGCAGCACUUAUAAACCACUCUCGAGCUCUCUCAACUAGCGAGGUGGGACUAAACUUUUGACGCGGGGCAGCACAAGGCCUUUGGUCCCGGUUGGUGCCACCAACCGGGACUAAAGGGGGGCAUGCGUACCGGUUCGUGGCACCAACCGGGACCAAUGCCCCCCCUUUAGUCCCGGUUGGUGCCACGAACCGGGACCAAUGAGUUGCCUAUAUAUACCCCAUCGCCACAGCAGAGCACUCCACAGUGCUCUGUUUUUUCUGGCCGGCGAGGGGAGCGCAUUUGGGUGCUCUAGCUCACCUCCUAUGCACAUGAGGUGUUCGAUGAAAUGUUUGAGCCACACUAGUUAAUCUUUCUCCUCUCGAAACUCGACCUCCGAUCUCGAUUUUCCUCGAGAUUUGUCUAGGUUUAGCGGUCUGUCACGUCCCGUCCCCGUCUUCAACGCCGUCGAUCGCCCGCGCCGAUCUCGUCGCCAGCACCACCGUGGUGAGCCUCUUGUUCUUAUCUUCUUUCUGAAAGAAAAAAAUUCUUACUUUAGAUAGAUACUUGUCUAAUUUUGUUACUUUUAUUAUUCCUUCUUAUUACAUAGUGCGAUGGUUUUGGUAUCCGCCCCCGUCGGCCCUCGUCCUGUCUAUGAUUUGGAUGUGGUAUAUAUUAUCUUUUUAUAACUAUUUGGUUCAUUUAUUGUUUAUGACAAAUAUGCCGACCAACGUGACAUAGAUUUUAUUUAUCUAGGAGGUGGUUGAACCGGAAAUUCCAACCGACCCUAUUGUCGAGAGGUUAAAUUUAGUUGAAGAAGAAAACAAUUACUUGAAGGAAAAAAUAAAAAAAAUUGAGGAGGAGAAGAUGAUAUUGGAGUUGCAUGUUGCGGAUGUCGUCGAUGAUCACAAGAUCAAGAUGGAUGCAAUGCGCUUGAAGAUUAGAAAGAUUAGAAAAUAUGCCAUUCAUACCGAGGCUUGGUAUCAUUAUGCCAUUGGAUCAAUUGUUACCUUGGUUGCGAUUAUGAUCGCAUUUGUUUUCGCAUUGAAAUGUUUUACAUAGUUUCAAUGUAUGGUUUAAUUAAUUAGAUGCUCUAGAGAGCUAUAUGUGUUAGAUGAGAACUAUGUAUGUACUUUGGUUUUAAUGUGAUGAUGAUCUUCUAUUAAUUUCGUCACUUAAUUAUCUAUUCCUGUUGUUCUGUAAUGGUUUUUGACACACUUAAUUAUAUAUAAUGCACGCAGAUGAACCGGCAAUGGAUGUACGGUGACAGACACACCUCCGAGUACAUUAACGGCGUGCAUGAUUUUCUCGAAGUGGUUGAGGCAAACAAGCAGAAUGGUUUUAUGUGUUGUCCAUGCCCUACAUGUGGGAAUACGAAGUCUUACUCUGACCGGAAAAUCCUUCACACCCACCUGCUUUACAAGGGUUUCAUGCCACACUAUAAUGUUUGGACGAGGCACGGAGAAAUAGGGGUUAUGAUGGAAGACGGCGAAGAAGAAGAGGACGAUGACAACUAUGUGCCCCCUGAAUACGGUGAUGCUGCAACGGGGGAAGCUGCUGAAGAUCAAGAGGAACCAGACGAUGUGCCCAAUGAUGCUGCAAGGGGGAAGCUGCUGAAGAUCAAGAGGAACCAGUGCCCGAUGAUGAUGAUCUCCGCCGGGUCAUUGUCGAUGCAAGGACGCAAUGCGAAAGUCAAAAGGAGAAGCUGAAGUUCGAUCGCAUGUCAGAGGAUCACAAAAAAAGGGUUGUACCCCAAUUGCGAAGAUGGCAACACAAAGCUCGGUACCGUACUGGAAUUGAUGCAGUGGAAGGCAGAGAAUGCUGUGCCUGACAAAGGAUUUGAGAAGCUAUUGAAAAUAUUGAAGAAGAAGCUUCCAAAGGAUAACGAAUUGCCCGACAGUACAUACGUAGCAAAGAAGGCCGUAUGCCCUCUAGGAUUGGAGGUGCAAAAGAUACAUGCAUGCCCUAAUGACUGCAUCCUCUACCGCGGUGCGUACAAGGAUCUGAACGCAUGCCCGGUAUGCGGUGCAUUGCGGUAUAAGAUCAGACGAGAUGACCCUGGUGAUGUUGACGGCGAGCCCCCCAGGAAGAGGGUUCCUGCAAAGGUGAUGUGGUAUGCUCCUAUAAUACCACGGUUGAAACGUCUGUUCAGAAACGAAGAGCAUGCCAAGUUGAUGCGAUGGCACAGUGAGGACCGUAAGAAAGACGGGAAGUUGAGAGCACCCGCUGACGGGUCGCGGUGAAGAAAAAUCGAGAGAAAGUACUGGGCUGAGUUUGUAGCUGACCCAAGGAACGUAUGGUUUGGUUUAAGCGCGGAUGGCAUUAAUCCUUUCGGGGAGCAGAGCAACAAUCAUAGCACCUGGCCCGUGACUCUAUGUAUGUAUAACCUUCCUCCUUGGAUGUGCAUGAAGCGGAAGUUCAUUAUGAUGCCAGUUCUCAUCCAAGGCCCUAAGCAACCCGGCAACGACAUUGAUGUGUACCUAAGGCCAUUAGUUGAAGAACUUUUACAGCUGUGGAAUGGAAACGGUGUACGUACGUUGGAUGAGCACAAACAGGAGGAAUUUAACCUGCAAGCGUUGCUGUUUGUAACCAUCAACGAUUGGCCCGCUCUCAGUAACCUUUCAGGACAGACAAACAAGGGAUACCACACAUGCACGCACUGUUUAGAUGACACUGAAAGUAUAUACCUGGACAAAUGCAGGAAGAAUGUGUACCUAGGCCAUCAUCGAUUUCUUCCGACCAACCAUCAAUGUCGAAAGAAAGGCAAGCAUUUCAAAGGCGAGGCAGAUCACCGGAAGAAGCCCGCCAUGCGUACCGGUGAUCACGACUUGCUAUUGUCAAUGAUUUACACGUAAUCUUUGGAAAGGGUCCCGGUGGACUAGCUGUUCUGAAUGACGCUGAGGGACACGCACCCAUGUGGAAGAAGAAAUCUAUAUUUUGGGACCUACCCUACUGGAAAGAGCUAGAGGUCCGCUCUUCAAUCGACGUGAUGCACGUGACGAAGAACCUUUGUGUGAACCUGCUAGGCUUCUUGGGCGUGUAUGGGAAGACAAAAGAUACACUUGAGGCACGGGAGGACCUGCAACGUUUGCACGAAAAAGACGGCAUUCCUCCGAAGCAGUAUGAAGGUCCUGCCAGCUACGCUCUUACGAAAGAAGAGAAAGAAAUCUUCUUUGAAUGCCUGCUCAGUAUGAAGGUCCCGACUGGCUUCUCGUCGAAUAUAAAGGGAAUAAUAAAUAUGCCAGAGAAAAAGUUCCAGAACCUAAAGUCUCAUGACUGCCACGUGAUUAUGACGCAACUGCUUCCGGUUGCAUUGAGGGGGCUUCUAUCGGAAAAUGUCCGAUUAGCCAUUGUGAAGCUAUGUGCAUUCCUCAAUGCAAUCUCUCAGAAGGUGAUCGAUCCAGAAAUCAUACCAAGGCUAAGGAGUGAUGUGGCGCAAUGUCUUGUCGGUUUCGAGCUGGUGUUCCCACCAUCCUUCUUCAAUAUCAUGACGCACGUCCUAGUUCAUUUAGUCGACGAGAUUGUCAUUGUGGGGCCCGUAUUUCUACACAAUAUAUUCCCCUUUGAGAGGUUCAUGGGAGUCCUAAAGAAAUAUGUCCAUAACCGCGCUAGGCCAGAAGGAAGCAUCUCCAUGGGCCAUCAAACAGAGGAUGUCAUUGGGUUUUCUGUUGACUUCAUUCCUGGCCUUAUGAAGAUAGGUCUCCCUAAAUCGCGGUAUGAGGGGAGACUGACUGGAAAAGGCACGCUUGGAGGGGACUCAAUAAUAUGCAGGGACGGAUAUUCUUGGUCUCAAGCACACUACACAGUUAUACAGAAUUCUACCUUGAUGACCCCGUAUGUUGAUGAACACAAGAACAGUCUGCGCUCCAAACACCCGGAGCAGUGCGACGACUGGAUUACAUGUGAACACAUCAUGACUUUCAGCAGUUGGUUGGAAACACGUCUCAGAGGUGACAACACUGUUUGUGAUGAGCUGUACUCGUUGUCCAGGGGACCAUCUUUGACUGUAUUGACUUACAAAGGAUACGAGAUAAAUGGGAAUACAUUUUACACGAUCGCCCAAGAUCAAAAGAGCACCAACCAAAACAGCGGUGUCCGCUUUGAUGCAGCAACCGAGAGGGGAAAGGACACAUAUUGUGGUUACAUAGUGGACAUAUGGGAACUUGACUACGGACAUGAUUUUAAGGUCCCUUUGUUUAAUUGCAAAUGGGUCAAUCUGUCAGGAGGCGGGGUACAGGUAGACCCACAGUACGGAAUGACAACAGUGGAUCUGAACAAUCUUGGGUACACUGACGAACCAUUCGUCCUAGCCAAUGAUGUGGCACAGGUUAUCUAUGUGAAGGACAUGUCUACCAGACCGUGAAAAAUAAAAGAUAAGGAAGCGAAUACAUCAUACGAUGAGCCAAAGCGCCGCAUAGUUCUUUCAGGAAAAAGGGACAUCGUGGGAGUGGAGGGCAAGACAGACAUGUCUGAAGAUUAUGAAAAGUUUCAUGAAAUUCCUCCCUUCAAAGUCAAGGCUGAUCCAAGCAUCCUGAUAAACGAUGAAGAUUAUCCAUGGUUACGGCGCAAUAAGCAAAGGACACAAGCGAAGAAAAAGUGUAUACUUUCUCUCCACAACUAUUAUGAUGAUACCAUGCCAACUUUCAACCUUUUUGUUGUUCAUUUGAAAUGUCUAUUGUAACAGAUGAGUUUUCGUCCGAAAUCUUGAUACUUCGAAAGAGAUUGUCCAUUUUGUACACGAAGUGCAUCCAGUUUUUGCCGUAACCCUCUCAACUUUUUAGCACAUGCUAUGUGGGUGAAAUGAUGACACCAUGCCAACUUUCAACCUUUUCAGAGUUCAUUUGUAGUGCUUUUCAAUUUCAGGGUCAUUUAUAGCUCAUGAACUAAUAGCAAAAAGAAUGAACUAAAAAUAAUCAAUUAAAAUAUGCUGUUAUGAUCAACUAAAACAAAACUAUAAUAUUCUUCAAUAGCCAAAAGAAUCAACUAAAAAGCUUUUAUAAAACUCCAAUAGCAAAAGGAAUUUUCAUAAAGAAUGUUUUUGUUAGAAACUUUAAUAGCAAAAAGCAUUAUCAUAAAGAUACAAAAUCUGUUUUUGAAUAGAAUCAUAAAACACAGUAAUAUUAAAUAGCAGGAAAAAUAAUCACUCCAAAAUCUAUUUUUAUAGUAAAGUUAAUCACAAACUAGUGAUUCACACAAAUUUCAAAGAAUUCAAAUUUAAACUAUUCAAAUUUGAAAACUAAUGGCACUAACAGAAAGUUUACAAUUUUUGUGACCUAAAAGCAAAAGGAAUUAAAAAAUAAACUUUAAUAAAAUAAAUAAAAAUAGCAACAGUAAGUAUUUUGUUGUAAGUAGAAACAAAAUAAAAUAAAUAAAGCAACAAAGAAAAAAAGUGCCAUCUACUCGGCCACCACGGCCUGAAUACGACUAGAAACCCAACCAUGGGCCAGGAUUCCGGCCCGCACGUGGCCCAGUAGGCCCCACAGGCACAUAGUGUAUGGUUAGGCCCGAAAGCCUGCAGUUGAGAGGAGCUCGAGAGGGUGGGCGCAGCAGCGCUUAUAAACCACUAUCGAGCUCUCUCAACUAGCGAGGUGGGACUAAACUUUGGCCGCGACGCGGGCAUCACAUGUCCUGUGGUCCCGGUUGGUGGCACCAACCNNNNNNNNNNNNNNNNNNNNNNNNNNNNNNNNNNNNNNNNNNNNNNNNNNNNNNNNNNNNNNNNNNNNNNNNNNNNNNNNNNNNNNNNNNNNNNNNNNNNNNNNNNNNNNNNNNNNNNNNNNNNNNNNNNNNNNNNNNNNNNNNNNNNNNNNNNNNNNNNNNNNNNNNNNNNNNNNNNNNNNNNNNNNNNNNNNNNNNNNNNNNNNNNNNNNNNNNNNNNNNNNNNNNNNNNNNNNNNNNNNNNNNNNNNNNNNNNNNNNNNNNNNNNNNNNNNNNNNNNNNNNNNNNNNNNNNNNNNNNNNNNNNNNNNNNNNNNNNNNNNNNNNNNNNNNNNNNNNNNNNNNNNNNNNNNNNNNNNNNNNNNNNNNNNNNNNNNNNNNNNNNNNNNNNNNNNNNNNNNNNNNNNNNNNNNNNNNNNNNNNNNNNNNNNNNNNNNNNNNNNNNNNNNNNNNNNNNNNNNNNNNNNNNNNNNNNNNNNNNNNNNNNNNNNNNNNNNNNNNNNNNNNNNNNNNNNNNNNNNNNNNNNNNNNNNNNNNNNNNNNNNNNNNNNNNNNNNNNNNNNNNNNNNNNNNNNNNNNNNNNNNNNNNNNNNNNNNNNNNNNNNNNNNNNNNNNNNNNNNNNNNNNNNNNNNNNNNNNNNNNNNNNNNNNNNNNNNNNNNNNNNNNNNNNNNNNNNNNNNNNNNNNNNNNNNNNNNNNNNNNNNNNNNNNNNNNNNNNNNNNNNNNNNNNNNNNNNNNNNNNNNNNNNNNNNNNNNNNNNNNNNNNNNNNNNNNNNNNNNNNNNNNNNNNNNNNNNNNNNNNNCGUCGGCCCGCCCCGACCACGCCGCGUGCCCCUGCCCCGACCACGCCGCGGGCCCUCGCCGUGCCUCUGCCUCGCCCUGCCCUGAUCGACCACGCCGUCGUCGCCCCUGCCCCGACCACGCCGCUGUCGCCGCCCUCUACCCCGACGCGCGCCGUGCCUCUGCCCCUGCCCCGACCACGCCGCACCUCUCCUUUGGUCAGGCCGGCGCCGCCCCCUGCCUCCCUAUUUUUUUCACAUAUAUAUGAUGUUUUUUUCCAGAUUAUAUGUAUAUGUGUGAGUAUAUGUAUGUGUGUAUAUCUGAUUAUAUGUCCCCUUUUCAGAUUUUUUGUUUUUUGCAUUUUUAUAAAAAUGUAUAUUAUGUAUGUUCUCUGUGUAUAUAUAUGUUCAUGUAUGCAAAACAUAGAUUUUUAGAAAAGUUUUAUCUAUAUAUGUUCUCUGAUUUAGUCUAUUUUAGGUUAGUUUCAUUUUUAGAAAAGUUUUAUAUAUUUAGGAAAAGAAGGAAGAGAAGGAACAAGGAAGAAGAAGAAAAAGUUUUAUAUAUAUGCAAAAGUUACAUUUUUAGAAAAAAAUUAUAUAUCUAGCUAGGAAGAAAAGGAAGAAGAAGAAAAAGAAGGAUAGGAAAAAAGAAAAUAAGAAGAGGAAGAAAGGAGAAGAAGAGGAGAGGAAGAAGUGGAGAAAUAAACAAGAAGAGGAAAAAAGAAGAAAAAGAAGAGGAGAAGAAGAAAGGAAUAGAGGAGAAGAAGAAAAAAUAGAUCUUCUUUUUCUUCUUUUUUCUUCGAUCUUCUCCUCUAUUCCUUUCUUCUUCUCCUCUUUUUAUUUCUUCUUUGUCUUCUUAUUUUUUAUCAGGUAUGUCGUUGUCGAUAUACCCCCUCCCCGAUAACAUUAUUUCUCAUGUAUGUAUGUCGUCGUUGUCGAUAUAUAUAACUCCCUCCCAAAUAACUUCGACAUGAUGGACGGUCGAUAUUUAUACCCCCUCUCGACCGUGAUAACUUAUACAACGGGAGCACCCCCGGCCCUCUCGCUCGACCAAAACUCUCGAGGACACCCAAACCCUAGAAAAAAACGAUGUCGGUCUCCUACCCCCUCCCGCCGCGCCCCUACCCUUGAAGCGUUGCUGAGGCCACCCGAAACCCGGAAUAAGCUAGGUCUACGUUUGCACUAAUAUAUCCACCUGCUGUCAUGUUUGUGUAAUAAUUGCCAUGUUGUAAUAUUUGCAGAAACAAUGGAGCACGGACGAGACGAGCAAGCAGAAGAGGUGUUGGGGGACAUAAUCUUAGCUGGAGGUGAUAUCUUGUCGUAUCUUAACGACAAUGAUGGUCUGGAAGAACAGGGUAAAGAAGUAGGCUACGGUGAUCGAAGAGUGGAGGAGGAAAGACAUGACUAUGAUGGCUCUAGUGGCCCAAUGCUGGUGCAAGAAGGAGCCCGUGGUGACGGCUCCAGUGACCGAACAGAGUCCGGCCAGGUAAAUAUAUUAGUUAAGCCUGUGCUGACUAGUUAAUUGAUGCAUUCAUUGUUUUGGUAUGUACACAUAUUAAUUAACUCUCGUCUUUCUUCUUUUUCCUAGCCCUCCGGAUCAAGCACAUCUUCGGUAAAGAGACGAGGCCCGAAGAGAAAGUUGCGCUCGGAUGAAAGGUUUGAGAUCACAGCAAUCGCGCGCAACGGCCAACCGAUUGAACCCAUCCGGACAAAGGAAGCAUUUGCUGCUCAGUGCGGGGUUCUUGUUAGGGACAAGAUCCCGAUCAGCAUCCACCAAUGGUAUAAGCCUAAGAAGGAAGACCCUGAGGUGUCUUAUGUCAAUGAUAUGCAGAAAGAUGAUUUUUGGACUGAGCUGAAGGCAAAUUUCAACCUACCGCCAGAGGAGGAUCCGGAGAAGCCAGUUAAAGAGCAAUUAAUCAAGUCUCAUGCUAUUAAGAAGAUGGCAGACCUAUUCAGGAGGUGGAAGAAUGAGCUGAAAACGUUUGUCGACAAAGAAGACACACCAGAAUUCAUCGGCUGGUAUGAGAAGAUCAGAGAUCACUGGCUCGCAUUUGUGGCCCACAAGACAUCGGAAAAGAGUAAGAAGAUGUCAGCGACAAACAAGAAGAAUGCUGCGAAGAAGAAGCUUCACCAUCGCACGGGGUCAGGUGGCUACCUCAAAGCCCGGCCUAAGUGGGCCAAGGCUGAGAAUGAUCUGCUUGAAAAAGGGAUCGAACCACAGACAAUGAAUGGGCCAGACCGUUGCCGGACUUGGUUCUUCGGGGCUGGCGGAACCUUGGACCUUGUAUCAGGGAAGUGCAUUUGGACGGACAAGCAAAUGAGAAUACCAGUCAAGAGGCUUCAGCACUAUAUCGAUGCAGCGCAGGAAGGGACGUUCGUUCCAGACAGAGAGAACGACGAGCUCACAAUGGCCCUCGGGAAUCCUGAGCACCUGUACGGACACGAGGCACGCCAGGCUCCGUUCCAUGGAAGGCUGGUUUUCCGGACGCAGGCGGUUACAAAAGCCAGGAGCGGAGGAAAAAAGUGGAGCAGACCCAAAUUCAGAAGCUGCACGAAAGGGUUCAAGCGCUAGAGGAACGAGACGGCAAUCGACAUGCCGAAACUACCCCCGAAGCUACCCCACCAUCUCAGCGGAGAAGCAGUGUGGCUUCCACCGAGCUGCUUCAGCCGGAGCAUGUCUUGACGGCUCCUGCUAGCUACCCCGUGGAUGCUAUCACGGAGUCUCAACAUUGCCACCUUAUGGCGCAAUGGCAGAACUUCAAAGUCAAGGCGGCUGUUGGCUCUGUUUUACCUCCUGAACCCAGCGCAACCUACCACUGCCGGCCGAUUCCAGAAGGAUAUGCUAGGGUGAUGGUGGAUGAAAUAACGGAGGGAUUUGAGGACCUCUAGCUUGACCGCCCUACCGGUGAAGGGGAGACUCGGCUGGGUUCUGCUCUGAAGACUCCGUGCCUAUGGCGGAAGGAACUCAUUAACCUUCCGAACUGGACGCCUCCGGCGAGUAAGGGCACUCCGCCGCCUCCUCCUCCGGCGAGUGAUCAAGGCACUCAGCCUCCUUCUCCGGCGCGUGGCGGCACUCUGCCUCCUCCUCCGGCGAGUGAUCAGGGCACUCAGCCUCCUUCUCCGGCGCGUGGCGGCACUCCGCCUCCUUCUCCGCCUGCGCCGGCGUGACAGAGCAGUCAGCCUCCUCCUUCUCCGCUUCGUCAGCAAGGGCGGAAGAGACCCACCGCCGCCCCGGCAGCUCCGGCGCGUCGUAGUCCUUCUCCACCGCCUCAUAAGCAAGGAAAGAAGACAGCCGCAGCCGGUCCGUCUGCUCUGUCGGCGUCUAGCAGUACAGCUGCCAGAGGCGGGAGGCAAUAUAGAUUCGGUCCUUCUCUGAAGACUCCAGAGAAGUUACCAUACGAGAGGACCCCGGAGGAGGACGAGAAGAUCGUGCGAGCCGAAGUGACAAACUUCUUUGAAGGGGUGAAAGCAAAGAAACAUCCACCUCCGGAGGAGAAGGUAGAUCCGGUGAAAGCGAAACGCACUCUGGCUGCCCUGACAAAACCACCAAAGUCUCCCCCGAAAGACAACUAUGAGCGCAUUAUUGCAAAGACAUUUGUCGAAGCGGAGCGGUCGGGAAGUACUGUCAGCGAUCAAAGGUUAAAAGAACAACGAGCUGGGAAAAAAAUUGCCUAGCUCGGCGAACAAGCGAACCAAUCGAGCCCCCCGCUCAAGGUGUCUAGCGACAUCGUCGCUAAUGAUCCGAGGAUUGUGCCCGGUUAUAGCAAUCUUGGAGAUUACUUGCCCGACGAUGUACAUUAUGAAAUCAUGGAGGUGGACGAACACAAAUACCAUUACGGGAAGCCUCUCGUCAAAGAUGAAAGAUCUCUAACAACGAUGAUGCAAAGAUUACAUGAUUGGUACAUGAAAACCUGUAGAGAGUCUGAUGGGAUGAAUACUUUGACGCUGAAAGUUAAACCAGAGCAUGACCUCGUUGGAAUUGAACUGCUGAAUGUUCCAUUUGAGGAGUUCUUCCAGUUUUUCAAUCAAAAGGCCCUCGAUAAAUUAACGAUCACUUGCUACUGUCUUUAAGUAGUGCUACUUCUGUCAUUAAGUCUCUCUAUAUAGGUCAGCUCUUUCAUUGCAUGUAUUUAUAAUUAUCCUCACUAUAUUAUGCAGAUUGAAGAUCGCCGAAUUGAAGAAAAGACAAAUCGAUGAUAUUGGGUUCAUUAACACAAAUCUCAUUGAUGCAUAUACGGUUGAAAAACAUGCCAAAGAAGCCGAGGCCAACUUGCUACGAUCGUUGGUAUUAAAUCAAAACAAAGAUAUAAUACUCUUUCCUUAUAACUUCAAGUGAGUGUUACUGUCUUGUGCAUGUUCGGUUUCCCUUAUUAGUCCAGGUUAUGGUAAUGUAAUUGAUGAGUUAUGCAUGCAUGCGCAGCUUCCACUAUAUUCUCCUAGAGAUUAAGCUUGAGCAGGGAGUAGUAACCGUCUUAGACUCGAGACGAAAAGAUCUCCAGGACUAUGCGGACAUGACUCAAAUGCUCGAGAAGUAAGUUAAAUCGAUCAUUAUCCACCAUAUCAGCAACUUUGUUCAUUUCCUGAUAUCAAGUAAUUGUAUUCUUUCUCUGGCAGGGUUUGGAGAAAAUUCACCACAAAAGCUCCGGGACUGCCGAAGAAGCUGCAAUUUAGACACCUGAAAGUAAGUACUAUAGUAGCAUGUUCCGCACAUCUCCUAGUGAUUCAAGCGCUAGUUUCAUCAAUACCAUUUAGCAUGCUUGCUUAUCAGUUAGAUUGACCUCUAUUUCUUGUAAAGUGGUUGUGGCAGGAACAAGGGAAUGAUUUCUGUGGAUACUACGUUUGCGAGUCUAUCCGCCACACGACCUGUGAGCGGGGCUACUUUGACGAACAAUAUGAAGUGCGUAAGCAAUAAUAUUCACAAUUUUAUUUUAUUACCAUCAUUUGUGUCGAGUUUCAUUUAUUCAUAUAUAUAUGUAUUGAACCCCUUCUUCAAAUUAGAUGUUUCGGAUGCGGGAUGAACUCCUAGCACCAGAUCGUAUGCGAGCAAUUCAAGAGGAAUUGGCGGCAUUCUUCCUUGACCACGUGAUCGCUGAAAACGGAGAAUACUAUGUGGACCCUGUGUUCUUACAAUUUAAUUAGGAGAUUAUAUUGUAAGAGAUAAUUAUUGUAUAUAUGUAGCCGGUAGUGUCAGAUAGAUAUACGAGAACUUGUUGUUCGACCAAUCUCUCGGAGAAGGAGAGGUGGUCGAUAUCACGUCUCUCUGUAUGCAUAUGUUCAUGACGAUCUUCUGUUUCCUUCAUUUGCUUACUAGCUAGCGUGUCUAGUCCUCUCCAUACGUAUAUAGUACGUAGCGUCGACCAAGCACGGAGAUAAGAGAGGACACUUCUCUCUAUUAAUAAGCUAGCUAACACAAUAUAUGAAACACCUAAAUUAACCCCCCAAAACCCCCAACUCCCCCCCCCUUUCAAAAAAAACCAAAAACCCCAGCCCCUGAAAUGCUGACGCGUGGAUGCCUAUUGGUCCCGGUUGGUGACACCAACCGGGACAAAAGGCCCUGCCUAUUGGUCCCGGUUGGUGUCACCAACCGGGACCAAAGGCCCCCCUGCCUGGGCUGGCAGCAGCGGCCACGUGGAGGACCUUCUGUCCCGGUUCGUGUAAGAACCGGGACUAAAGGGUUAGGGCUUUAGUAACGACCCUUUAGUCCCGGUUCGAAAACCGGGACAAAAGGCCCUUACCAACCGGGGUAAAAGCCCCUUUUUCUACUAGUGAGUGCCAGAUCUAUUGCACGAUGUUGACCCCGACGGUACUGCAGUAAAAAAAAGUCGUGCUAUUGUUCAAUUUUGUUUUCCUAAAGUUAGAAAAAUCGGAAGGAACAAACUCUGCUUUUCAUGACAGAAAAGGAAAUAGUUGCAGAGAGGCUGACUUCUAUAGGCGUGUGAAUCAACUGAAUCGACCUGUAAGCUUUAUGACACUCGUUAAAAGCAGUAGACAAGUGCACAGCAGCUAACCGGUUCCUCAACCCAAAUCAAUUAAAAUGAUUCAGAGGAAUAACUAAUAUUUUGCCAAAAUUGACCCGCAGCCCAGAGAUUUCAACCAAAACUUCAAUGCCUGUUGCAGCAGUUCUGAUAUCAGAUUUGAAAAGAUUGAUAAAUAAAGCAGCAUCCACUGCAUUCUCCGAUGCCUCCCAUGCCUAGUCGUGCUACAAGCAGCAAAAGGUAAUGGUGGCAAAAAAAAACUCAAGUCAGUGAGCUUUUCAGAAAUGUUGAGUCAAGCAUCCCUCCCCCCUCUUUAUAGGAUGUGCAAUGGACCAUUGGAUAGUACCUGAUCUGAUGCCACAAUAACACAAAGCUUGAAUGCUUGAUCAUGUUGUACUCGCCUGAUGAAGACCAGAUUUGGUUUGAUUGUGACUCGUACUAAACUUUCCAACCCCGGCUCCGGCCCAGGUGUGGCAGUGGUGUGGCCUCCUCCUUCGCUGGAGGUGGUUGGACGGCUUGUUGUAGCGGAUCCCUAGAUCCCACGGCUAGUCCCGGUGGCGAGUUAGGGAGGCAUGGCUGCCGGUGAAAAUUGAGCUCCGGCAGGCGAUGGCAGCGUAUAUGCGCUGUUAUCUUGUUAAAGGCAUCGCCAUUGCAGACACUGUCUACCCACUUGCGCUGCUCCGGGGGAAACCCCAGAUCUGGGUAUCCCCGGAUCGGAUGAUGGCGGUGUUCUCGGUGUCGCUCUCCCUCACGAGGGCAUUAUUUUGGAGCAGCUGUUGGACGGAGGACACAGGUGGAGCGAUGUUUCAUGUGACGCAUCGAUGACGUGGAGUCUCAGCGGCAUGGCGCGGCAGGGUCUAGGGGACGGAUGUGUGAUGAUGGACGCACGUAGGGAGGUGGCGUUGUUUGGGGCCGUGGUGGCGUCGACAGCAGGCCUGGCAAGGUCGAUGUGUCAAUACUUGCUCUAUAGAUGGUUCGGUGGAAGACGGUGGCAACGGCCUCUACAGUAUUGAGGGUGAGCUGGACUGGUGUGUGACCCAGACCUGGCAAUUCGGUUUGGUAGCGGCCUCCGAUGUUAUACGCUGCGCUUUGGUGUGAGGUGUGGGUAUGCGGCCCCGACAAUUUGAACCUCUUUAUCAAGUUGAUAGGAAUGGUGACAGUUGUUGCCAAGACGGUGACUUCAGACUUAUUGAUUUAUUACUUUGUUAGGUCUGGAUGAAUAAUUAAUAAAAUGACUGCAUGCAUCGCCUUGAUGCACAGGAGGGGGUACCCUCCUUUUGGAAAAAAGAGCAGCUUAGUCCUCGUCUUUUUUCUCUCUCUAGAUACUCCUUCAUUUUCCGUCUUCUAGGUACAGUACAGACGGGUUAAACCUCGAGUGCGGCCAUAGAUUAUGCCAGCGGCCAUGCCAUCGUCCAAAGUUCAUGUCCGCACCAUGCCAGCGGCCGGCAUACAAUGCCAGCCUCCGAAAAACCACCAGACAGUUCAUGCUGGCGCACUUGCCGGCGCACUUGCCGGCGGCCGACACACAUGCCAACACACAAAAGGGUGGGAAAUCGACCACGCCAUGUCGGUCGUAGUCAUGCUAGCACAAUUGUCGGCAUCCAAAGAAGGGAUGGCGAUCGCCGCGCGCCAUAGCACACUUUCUCGGCGUGGAGGCCGCCACCACGCUCACCUCCGGCGAGCAUUCCCCAGAGAGGCGGGAGGCUAGCGGAUAGACGUGGAAGCCGGGAAUCAGUUGCGUUGCAGACGCGCGCGGCGACUGUGGCAGCACCAUCCGAGGAAACCCGUGCUGGCCAGUGUUUAACCCUAGGUAGAUCAGGGCGUCCCUAGUUGCCGCCGCGACUCGGGCGUUGGUUUCCUCCUGCUGUGCGGCGGCGGUGAGGGCGGCGACGGCCUCAGCUUCGUCCCUUGCUACUACUAGGGAAAACCUUAUACACAGAACUUUAGCAGUAGCGCGUGUUAAAAAAGCACGCUGGUGCUAAGUAGCAGUAGCGCGGUGAUGUAAACGGCGCUACAGAUACAGCUGUAGCAGUAGCGCGCCUGUGGAUAAAAGCGCUACUACUAAAAUUCCCACAGCUUAGCCGAUAGGCUACACAUAGUAGUAGCGAUCUAUAUCGAACUGCGCUACCGCUACUCGCUUUGUAGCAGCGUGUUUUCGCUGAAAGGCGCUACUGCUAAAGGAAAUAAAAUUAAAUAGAAAGCAAAUAUAAAAGUAAAUGAAAAUGAAAGAAAUAGAAACACGUGAAAGGAAAAAAAUAAAAUAAAAAUAAAAAUAAAUGAAAAAGGGGAAAAAGAGAAAGGAAUAGCAGUAGCGCGUAUCGGGGAACGCGUUGAGCUAGCUUAGCAGUAGCGCACUUCCUGGAACACGCUACUGCUACUUCUGACUUAAACGCGUGGUUCGUUCUUCCCCACGGCCACUUCCCCCAAAUCAAACUCCUCCGCUGUCGCCGCCGUGCGCUCUCUCCCGUCGCUCUCCGCACACCCUCGACGCCGCCCCCGACCCCGGAUUCGACGCCGNNNNNNNNNNNNNNNNNNNNNNNNNNNNNNNNNNNNNNNNNNNNNNNNNNNNNNNNNNNNNNNNNNNNNNNNNNNNNNNNNNNNNNNNNNNNNNNNNNNNNNNNNNNNNNNNNNNNNNNNNNNNNNNNNNNNNNNNNNNNNNNNNNNNNNNNNNNNNNNNNNNNNNNNNNNNNNNNNNNNNNNNNNNNNNNNNNNNNNNNNNNNNNNNNNNNNNNNNNNNNNNNNNNNNNNNNNNNNNNNNNNNNNNNNNNNNNNNNNNNNNNNNNNNNNNNNNNNNNNNNNNNNNNNGCCGCCCUCCGCCGCGCGCCCGAGCCCCGACCCCGACCUCGACGCCGCCUGCCCCUCCCUCGCCGCAGGCACCCGAGGUGAGCACGCCUGCGCUCCUCCCCCUCCCCUACCUCUGCCUAGGGUUCUUCAAUUUUUAGUUGCAUCAAAUUAGUUAGGGUUCAUCUAUGGGUGGAAACGAAUCGGAUGCGGAUGUCAUCGGAUACGGAUGCGGCUCGGAUGUUUUCUUAGAUGAUGAAUAAACACUAUUGUAAUGCAUAAUAAAACUAGAAAAAUUUGACCACUUAUUUCACUUUUAAGUUUGAUAAUUGGAAUAUCCGCUACCACUUUCCACCCCUAGGUUCAUCAAAUUAGAUGGUAAUUAGGGCAGUAGUUCCUAGGUACUAAUUAGUUAGUAAGAACUAGGUACUAGUUUAUUUUUAUUUAUAGUAAGUUUAUUUUUAGUAAGAAGUAGUUGAAUUAAUAGAACUAGUUGAACAUGUCACAUUUGUUGUUAUAUUUUUAGUUAAAGCAAUUUUUCCCGCAUCAACGUCGACGAUGCCUAUCCCGCAUCCUCGUCGUCGACUCGGCGGAGGACACCUGCUUGACCAGAUGGGCCAUGUCCGGGACCGGGCUCCGCCGGGCUGGUACUGGGAGGCGCUACCUACCGGGGGGCGCAGCUUCGUGAGGAGCCAGCCCAUCGUUGACCCGAAUCUUCUUUGGUGGCGGUCGGGUGGGCCAGUGACGGUGCAGAGGCUUGAGGACCCCGCAGAGGUGGUACGUCACUGUGUCAGCGAGGAGGACGCGCACGUCCGUCGCUACUUGUUUGCGUUGGAGCACAUGUUUUCCAAUACCUGGCAGGUUCUCCAGGGAUCUGACUGGAGCUAUGAUCCUAUGAAGGUUCCUUCUCUUUGGGUGUCCACCGCCCGCGCCAAUACCCGUCGUGCGCUAGGGUUUUAGUUGUAUCAGUGAUGUUAUAUGUAUGAUACUAUUCGGGAUGUAUUAGUGAUAAUAUUCGACGAUGUACGGGCGCAUGAGAUGAUUUACUUUUGCUUAUUGAAUGCAUGCUAAUUUGAAUAUUUAUUUAUUUUACAAUUUGGUUUUGCUUAUUGAAUGCUCAUGUCAAUAUGAGUCCUAUAAGAUAUUUUGAAAUGUAUAUCUUGUGUUGCUCAAAUAGGAUAUGUGCUUGCCCAAGUGGCCGGUCAUGUUUGCAGGUUACACCUUCGAGUGGCCUAUGUUUUGCCGGAGUGUUGAUUCAUUUCCAUUCCGGCAAAUUUCAAGCGCUCGAUAUGUCCUAUUUUAGCAAAGGUCAUGCCGGAUUUUUCCGUGAAUUUUGGCAUGAUUUGUGCCAGAAUAUGUAGGAAAUAUCGAGUGCCCCGGAUUUGUGUGUUGAGUAUCCUGUUAGUUGUCUUCGAUCGGUUUUCAAUUAAUGUUUCAACUAUGAACAUAGGAAAUGUCCGACGACGAAAAGGAUUUCGGUAUUUGCAAAUACUGAGAAGACGAGCGCGGCCUGCGCGACGGAAUCUUCCUAGGUGAUGAUAGCCAUUUCAGCAUCAAGCUGGACGAGAACUUCAAAGUGGAUACAUUAAGUCACAACGACAAGCCUUUUAUCGUAAUUAAGCAUGACAUCUGCUUCAUUUGCUUCAACUUAUAAUUUAAUUUUUUUACUAUUCUACUAGCGUAUCCCCUGCCAUGCAAGAGUUUUUGUCUUGGAUAAGAUAGGUUUCAGUCCUAUGACAACUACUAUGGAGGUAAAGAGAGUUUACUUGAAGACCGAGCAUGGUUGUAUUUUUCACGCAAAAUUAUACAACGCAGACACCUACACCUAUUUUGGAUGCAAAACUUGGCAAGCACUCUGCAAGUCUUAUGCAUUUGAGCCUGAUAUGGUUAUCAACUUUGAUAUUCAUCCGGAAGAUGGUAUUGAAGGUAAUAUCGACAUCUGGGUCAAUGUGCAUACGCCUCCAGUUAUACCAUUAUGUGAGUUUCUCAACCAUAUUUAUGUCUUUGAUAUUGUUUAUUCAAAAAUAGUUAACAACUAAUUUCUAUUGACAGCUUAUUUCCGUUCAAGCAAACAUGUCCAGCGCUUGGUAGACAGGACCUACUACUGUCCCGGGGCUGAACUAAACUGCAAGGAGAUAAGUCAUUAUGUUUCAUGACUUGAGGAUCUUCAUACUGUCAAGACAAAUUAUUUUUUUGGACUUAAAAAUCUUAUUACUCAAAACGUGCGACCAAUAGUGUUCGUACUGAACUGCGGUCACAUCUAUUUAGGAAAGAUGGUAAGAUUUUUACUAUUUGUCCUCAGUGCAUCUUUUGCAUACAUUAUUUUUUAAGCUAAACUUCAUUGCUAAGUAUGUUACUAUACGAUGUUCUUCAACAGGGACUCCCGAUGAAUGUUGUGCCUCAUUGGAUCGAGACUAAAGGUAGCAUGAGAAUUGUUAGCUUACGGCCAAGAUAUCCUACAAUGCACUUUAGUGCAUUCAGGAUUUCUAAUAGCGAGGAAUGCUUAAUAGUGAAAGACUGGAGCAAAAUUGUGAACGAUCGCAGAGAAGUAGUAGGGGGCAGCAAUCAGAAGCGUAGCACACGAUUAGGAGACAUGUUCAUCUGCAUGCUCCAACUUGAUGAAGUAGGAGUGCUACACAUGUUUUAUGUUAUUUCACCUGAGAGAGCAGCAGGAGUGAUUAGCUAGCUAGAAAUGAGUUUGAAGAUGAUGAUGUGCUACACUAUGACUAUGAUGAUUAAAUAGCUAGUGUUGGUGGUAAUGACUAUGAUGAUUAUUAUUAGCUAGUGUUGGUGGUGAUUAGAUAGCUACCGCAGCUAGUGUUGGUGGUGAUUAGCUAGCUAGAAUGAGUUUGAAGAUGAUGAUGUGCUACAUUAUGACUAUGAUGAUUAAAUAACUACUAUUGAUGGUAAUGUCUAUGAUGAUGAUUAAAUAGCUUGUGCUGGCGGAUUAGAUUCAAGUGGAGGCAACAUGUGGUGCACAUCGAAAGUACUACUAGUCCAAACUAGAUCAAGUUUGGAUUAGUAGUAUACUUUUGACAUGCACCACAUAUUUUCUCCACUUGAACAUAAUCCACCUUCACUUGACGCACUGUUAUGGACAUAAUGAUAUAAACCUCGUAAUUGGUAUUGUACCAAAAUUUGUAUAACGGCGUAUAAAUACACUAAAAAAAGAAUACUAGUAGCGAUGGAUAGUAAACACGCUGCUACUAGCUAGAUUAGCAGCAGCGCGGGAGAGAACACACGCUGCGGCUAUGUGUCUUAGCAGUAGCUGUAGCGCCUUAUUAGUAGCGCGGUGCCCCGCGCUACUAGUGGGCAUUAAACCCGCGCUACUACUAGGGUUUUCCCUUGUAGUGUGCGUCCGUUGCGUGCCUCCGGCCCUUCCUCUUGUCCGACUCCACGGCCCGCUGCUCGGGCGUCAGCUGCUUAUUCUUCUUGGGCGCCGCGACGGUGUGGCGGGGGGCGUGGGGCUUGCCUUUGCUGGAGGGGCGGAGAUGAUGCCAGACGAGGCGAGGCCGGCGACGGUAUCGAGGGCGUCAUCCAUGGCGAGCGACUGGUAGCGCGAGCGGGCGGGAGGUUUUGGCAAAUUGGAGGAAAAAUGGUGAUCUUUUUUUCCACCGACUGGCGGGCCAUAGGAAGGAGUAAGCGCGCAGCCCGCUCGUUCGCCUCCUGUCCGCGCUGACGCAAAUGAGGCUCAAAACUGGGCCGGGAAUGGGUCGGCAAGCAGACGAAAAGCGGACACGCGUCCGUUUGGGUUGACGCGUUUGGCUGACUUUUCUGUCUACGGCGACCUAAACGAACGUGCGCGGACGAAAUGGGUCGGUAUGUUGGAGUUACUCUAAAUAACUUCCAUGUUGUUGUUCAAUUGUUUCCCCAAUCAUGGAUAAACCAACACGAAACCAUCCUAGUGAUGGAGAGAUAUCCAACCACGUGGAAUGUUUUAGUGUUGUCUGCAGAUAAAAAGGUAGCAACUCCAAAUGCUUGACAAGAAUCUGUUUUUGCAUCAUAGAAGGGUGUACUGUUGUACAGAGGCCGAAGGCUAGACGACUAAACGAUAACAGAGACAAUGCAGGGACUUGUCCAUAGAAUCACAGGUGACAGCUGAGCCUUUCCAUGUCAUGUAUUCGUCCUCCCAAUAAAAGUUGAAACUAAAUCCAUCGAGAAGGGUUUAUCGGAAUCAACUUGGGACGGGAAAAACGACAAAUCCUCAGACUUCUCGUCAGCGCUCGUAUGGAAUAUCUUGAAGAGAAUUGCACCGGUUUAAAAAGAAUUGACAUCACAACGAUCGAAACUACCUGCGUGAUCAUAAAAAAAAUUUGAAGGGGAAGAGAAGUAGCAUCAAAACACCUACGUCACGAUUUCUCACUAGAGCGUUGAAGGGGAUAAGGAGUAAAAAGAGUUCCUACUCUCUGAUAUAGCUAGACUCCAAAAAUAAUUUUCUUAUAGACUUGACAACCGCCAAACUGCGAUCAAUCAAGGGGGCUUCUAUGGUCGGUCGAGGCUUUGAUACCAACUUGUAGCGUCCAAGAUGCAAUUCUAUCCCGAUCACAUGAUGGAUUCAUGGUUGAGGUAGAAUCACAUUUCGGGCGCAUAGCAAGGUGGGUCUCAUCACAACAUACCAUAUACUGAAUAGAUGAGAAUACCAUAUAAAAUCUUACACUCGCCACAAGCUACAACAAGAACAUAUGAAAAAAAUGGCGGUCUCGGUCUUGGGCUGUUACAGUGAAAACCUCCCCGGCCGUACGCUCCAGCCGUAUGGACGCCAUUACAAAAAUGUCUCUGUCCUCCGGCCUCUGUAGGAUAGACCAAGUACGGAGUCAUCGCAUAAAUGCAUCACUACUAGAAGAAAGCUUACUAGUAGCACUGAUUUAGGGGGUAGCAGUAGCACGGGUACCAACGCUACUCCUACAGCGCUACAGCUAACUUGUAGAAGUAGCGUUGGUUGUCCAACGCUACUGCUAUACCUACUUAGCAGUAGCGCACCCUCUAAGCAGUACUACUACUAACCGUAAAUAGUAGUAGCGUCCCUUAUAAACAGCGCUACUGCUAAAUUUUCCUGUAUUUUUUUCUGCAGCUUAUUGGCGCUGCAUUUGUAUAGGUAUUAUACAGUAGUUUCAUCAUAUGAUUUUACAACCAUGAUGAGUUAUUAUAUCAGUGGAAGAAAUAGACAUGGAUUAGAUUUAAGUGGAGGCAACAUGGUGCAGAUCGAAAGUGCUACUAAUCCAAACUAUAUUAGUAGUACUUUCGAUCUGCACCAUAUUGCCUCCACUUGAAUCUAAUCCAUGUCCAUUUCACCCAUUGAUAUAUAUAAUAACUCAUCAUGCUCAUAUAACAACUUAGCAUCAUCACCAUAAUAAUAAAUCAUCAUCAUUAUCAUAAUAACAAGUCCUACACAUCAUCAUCAUAGUAAUCUAACAACUUCUACUCGUUAAUAAUAACAAGUCAUACUCAUCAUCAUCAUAGUCAUCUAUAAACUUCUACUCGUUAUCAUAAUAACAAGUCAUACUCAUCAUCAUCAUAGUCAUAACCAACCCUAGUUAAUUGUUCUUAGCACAUGAUCAUGAGUAUUAACUAGGACCUGCUACCCAUCUCUAAGGUAAAAUAGCAUAAAGCAGCAUAGCCCCUGACUCUCCAUUAUGGAGAAUGAAGAUUAUCCUGUCUCCAAUUCGUGGGCUUCGCACAAUGUUGCUUCCAAGUACCUCCCUACGAUCAUUCAUAACUUUUUUUCCAUUAUUUGAUUAUGAUGUCUUCAUCUGUUGGAGAAAUCUUGUGUGAACAGCGGUGACCCGUAUGCGGACUUGGCCGUAAGCUAACAACAUCCAUGUGACCUUUCGUAUGCAUCAGAUGAGGCACACAAUCCUUCAGGAUAUUCUGUUGAAGAGCAUAAUAGUAACGUAGUUAGCAAUGUAGUUUACCUUUAAUUAGAAGAAUGUAUGCAAAAGAUGAACUGGUUUUAUAAUAAUAAAAAAUCUUACCAUUCCAUUUCCGGGUUUUGCUGUAGUUCAACACGUGGACUAGUGACACGUAUUGACCAUAAUAUGGAGGAGUUUCAUAAUUGUUAUUGAAAGUCUCAACAUCAAUAAUAAAGGAGACAAGAUGGUCUUUCUCCUCGUAAGUUAGUUCGGAGCCAUCAGCGUAGUAGGUUUUGUCAACUACUUUCCGCACAUUUAUUGAAGAAUGGAAAUAAUUUGUCAAUGGAAAUAUAGAGGCUGUCAACUAUUUCUAUAAAAACAAUAUAAAUUACUUAAUAAAUAAGUUUGAGAAACUCACAUAGAGGUAGAAGUUGAAGUGUAUCAAGAUCGACCCAAAUGUCGAUAUUCUCUUCAUCGAUAUUCUCUUCGUCGAUAUUAUCAUCGUCGACAUUAUCUUCAUUGAUGUCAUCUUUAGGAUCACCCAGAUCGAAGGUGACAUGCACACCCUCCUGAAAACCAUACGCCUAUCAUAGUGAUGCCCAAUUCGAGCAAUCAAAAUGGGAGUAGGUCACCACAUUGUAUAGCUUUACGUCAAAAGCAUAACCAUGAUUGGUCUUGAGGUUAACUCUCUUUAUCUCCAUAUUCUCACGAUCUUCAUAAUUUAGCUUCUCCAAGACAUAACAUCCUACAUGGCAGGGGAUGCACAAGUCGAAUUGUAGAAAGCGGAAAUUAUAUGUUGAAGAAACAUAAGUCACGCUUAAUUCUGGAAAAAGACUUGUCGUCGUUGCGUACCGUAUAAACAUCCAAGGUCUCGUCGAGCUUAAUACUAAAGCGUCGACUGCCUUCCAGAUGUGGCCUGUCGCGGGUUGACUAUCGGUCUGUUGGGGUUCUUGCUCUCUGACAUUUGCGACCAUCGGUGAUGGAAGCUCCUAAUUUCAUUUGAAAGUGCAUUGCACCAAAAUGUGUAGCACCUUUGAAUGAAAAAAGAAGCUCCCCUCACGACAACAGUCGGGAUUCUUCUUCUAUAUAUGGUGGACACUCUCUGUCAGUGAUUUUUCGACCAUCGGUGAUGGUCGCUACUCCUCCUUCCCCUAGUGCAUAACAAAGGUAUAGCACAAGGAGAAGAAGAAGAAGCGACCCCCACGACAACAGUCGGAAUUCUUCUUAUCUCAUAUAUGGUGGACACUCUCCCUCACUGUUUUUUUGACUGUCAUGUAUGUAGCCCCGACAGACUUAAAUUCAACCCAAAAUGUCGUUUAAUUCUCUUUCCGACAAAUCCAAGACACUCGAUAUUUCCUACAUUCUAGCACAAGUGAUGCUAAAAUUCACGGAAAAAUCUGGCAUGACACUUGCUAAAAAGGACAUAUCGAGCACUUUCGAUUUGCCGGAACGGAAAUUAAUCAACACUCUGGCAAAACAUAGGCCACUCGGAGGUGUUCUCUGCAUUGAUAAUGAACGAAACAUAAGUGCAUAUAACAAGGAGUAGCCUCACUGAUACUUUCUCAAAAAAAUAGCUUCAUCACAUUGUCACAGCUACUCAUCUACUACUCUACUACGUCCAUGAAAACGUCUACAUCAUCAUCGACAUCAACGACAUGGGGAUUUGGCAGGUCUCACCUCGAGGUCGGACGGGGUCGGUGACGGGGAUGACGGCGGGGAUGAUGCAGGGGCUCCUUGAUUUCUGCAAAAACAAAAUAUAAACAAAAACAUUAUUAUCCUGAUUUAGGACUUAGUGAAACCCUAUAAGCUAUCAACUAAACAUUAUUAUGCUGAUUCAUAAGACCUACAUUUACUAAAAUUUGUAAAACUAGUUUUUUACUAAAAAAUUGUAUUACCAAAUAUACCCUAGUUCUAACCCUAACAUCUAUCCAUCCAUCCAUCUAUCUAUCCAAAGUAUUACUAAAAAACCUAGUUUAAUCCAUCUGUCUAUCCAUCUAUCUAUCCAAGCAUUACAUCUAUCUGUCUAUCUAUCCAUCCAUCUAUCUAUCCAUCUAUCUAUCCUCUCCAUCUAUCUACAAGGGAGGGAUGGAGGGAGGGAGGAGGGAUGGAGGGAGGGAGGAGGGACAGGGUCGGAGGGAGGGAGGGAAGGAUGGAGGAGGGGGGAGGGGCAUGGAGGAGGGAGGAGGGAAGACAUACCGGGGGCGACGGGCGGGAUGGAGAGUUGAGAGGGAUAGAGUGAGGGUCGUGCGCGGGGGGUGAACAUACACUAGACUUACCAGUAGCACAGGUUAGGAAAAAGCGCUACUGCUAAGUUGGGCCCACCCUGCUGGCACCGUGCACACUUAGCGGUAGCGGUGGCCGCCGACCAGUGCUACUGCUAUGUAUUUAGUAGUAGUGUUGGUUUCAGCCAACCGCUACUACUAUGGGUAGCCCUUGUCUGUGGUGAUGGGACCACUUAGCAGUAGCGCUGCCUAGAGGCCCAGUGCUACUACUACUUUAGUACCUAUAGCGCCUGUUUCCUCCCCGCGCUACUACUAAGUAGCAGUAGCGCUGCCCCGCUAGCCAGCGUUACUGCUAAGAUUCCUUCUAUAUGCUUUCUGCUAGUAGUGCAUAAAUAACCUUCGAAGUCCAGGUUCGGGGAUGCCAUCCUACACAUGACCUUGGUCGGGGAGUCGUCGUCAAUAGCUUUUGUACCAUCAACACUGACAGAGUGACGACCGGUGCGUCUGAGCAUUGAGGGUGUGAAGUCGGCUGCAGCCACGGACACAACGCCCCCGAGUGGUGCAGUAGAAGGGCGCGGCGAAGCUGAAGAAGACCAAGAGGGCUGUAGCUCAGCCCCCGUGCCCUCGGACGGUGGUGACGACGUGGGCGGCGUCGAAGCCCUGGGCAUCGUCACCCCUCGAGGUGUCGGAGGCAUUUCUCAUUACUCAAAGCAUUAUAUGUUGACAUUGAUGCCAUGCAACUAAUGCCACGACGUGACUCACUACUCCAUUAAGGUCUUGUACAAUGCAAGGUUCUUAGGGGAGAUGCUUAGAGAAAUAAACCAGCAUUUGCUUAAGCAUCGAUGCCUUUGUUUUCUUAGGUCAUGUUAAGCUGGUGCCCUUACCAGAACCUUGUGUUUUUUGUCUUUUGUGUUUGUGUGUUCAGAUAGUGUGUUGUGUUUUAUGGUGUGUUGCUAUCUCUUGUUGGACCAUGUUUGCUUAUGGCGGUUGCUUUAUAUAUAAACUAAGCAGGGUGAAAAGCUUUUUUGGUAUUUAUAGAGGGUAUAUAUACGCUUAGUUAGGCAUCUCUCCUGCAAAAACAAACAAUGGUUUUUAAGAAAAACUUAGUUUAUUUUACUAAGCGCCAUGUACAAGGCCUAAUGAAUGACUCAUUACCACGCCAACCUAGUGCUGUACGCUCACAUAACUAACUCCAGGAUCUAUAUAUGCAUUCGCUUUGCAUAAACACUCAAUAUAUCUUGACGAAAUCUCUCGCUCCUCAUAGUUGAUUGAACUCAAUGUCUACUGGCUCAUGCAGUCGUUGCACUUCUUGAUCAGCUCGCAUGCAUCACCGCUUCACGACACAUUAGCACCUCGCCGUGACAUGCUUCCAGCUGUGCUGGCCUUGUAUGCGUCACACGGACUCGCUCCAUGCAAAAAUACUUAAUAGGAAAAUUGAUAAAAAUAGAUGUAUCUAGUAUUUCCUGACAAGUAUUUUCAGACGGAGAGAGUACCUGCUGCUAGAUGUGACCCUAGACAGACAAUUAUCGAGAAUUCGAGAUUACCAUUUAAAACCAUCAUUCAUUGGACAUGGUGCGACCUUUGACCCUGUAACCCACAUGUUAAAUUAGGGUUUAUAAUAUAAUAGCUACACCCUCCGGUCCAUAUUACUUGCUUUAGAUUUGUGUAGACACGGAUUUAUUUAAAAUCUGUCCUAGUAAUAUGGAUUGGAAGGAGUACAAUGUUAAAUAACAAUGAAAAUAGAAGACAUGUGGUAGAACUUUUUUUCCAGGCAUUUUGGAUUGACCGUACAGUCUAUUUUUAAAACCACCCUUGCCAUCAUAUUGCGGUGCAACUCACGAAGAAUCUCAACCCCAUCGAGGAUGAUUCUGUCAUACAUGAAAGCUGUUUGUGUGGGCCGGGACAAUUGGUCAGCGCACCAAUGGUCAUUUUUUUGAACCAGGCUUAAGCCCCUUCCAUAAAAGCAUAACGAAAAUACAGGUGAUCUGAAGGUCAAUGAGAAGGGAAAGGUCUAUAAGCAGAUAAUGGUCAAUGAAGUCAUUUAUUUGCUACCUUGAGAAAAAAAAUUGAAGCCCACAUUAAGUAGGUAUACAACAUGUAUUGUAGAAUCCCAAUAGCGUCCUUAGUUUAGGUUACCAAAUUAUUUCAGGCAAGUUUAGCCUACAGAGCUCAAGGUCGCCCAUAAUGAUCUUUCAAAACGUCCGAUUGAACUCACUUGGGAAUCCAUCUGGUCUGGAUGCUUUAUUAUACUCCAUCUAAAGCGACACUCCUCACCUGUUCAGGAAAAGGGGCGGCGAGGAGGUCAUUUUUAUUAUCUGAAAACAUGUGGGAUGCUCUCUGUUCAGGCCUUUUCUAAUGAGAAACUAUACUCAUAUGGAGUUCUGAAUAUGCCUUUAUAAUAGUUUGUAAUAUAUGCCUUAAGGGGGCCGUUCCCUCAUUCGGGCUCACAUGCUGUUGAAGACUAUAAAUGCAUUUUCUUAUGUGGUGCCCAUUGAAAAAAGAGCAUCUUCCUCGUUGCUCCUUUUCUUUACCGAUGGAUUUGUUUAUACACCUUAUUCUUUAAAUUACUCUCCUACCUUCCCAAAAGUGGCUAUGAAAUGAUGUAAUCUGCACAUGUGUAGUUUCCAACUACUCCAGUUCAUCAUUUUCUAUAAUACUAAAAGGCAUGCUUGAGUACCAUUCUUCUAUGGUUCUUAGAGAGUCAAGUGAAUCCAUAAACUUAUAAUAUCAUAUUGGAUGAACACGCUGUCCUCAAUUAUCUCGAAUUUAAGUACUAUGUAAGGCAAGCUGCUAAAUUUCUUGUGGAAGCGGAUUCGAUCUAGAUUGCAAAAAAAAAAUACUUGUGUUAUAGAGAAAAUUGGGGAAAAGAAACAUGUAUUUUUUUCUACAAUUCGCCAAACUUGUAUUAGUUAAUAUCUUCUUCAUUAAUUUUACCUACUGGCUCGUUACAAUACUAGUGUUCGUUUUUAUUUGAUGGCAACUUUUUAUUUGAGCUCUUAAUGCUGACCUGCAUAUUUUCCCCUUCAAAUUUCACCAAGCAUCUGUGUUACGGCUUUUAAAUGUUGCAAAUAAGAAACAAAGAGAAAUUCAUUGGUGUGUUACUCAUCUACAUACUUCCCAUAUUAUAUUUCUCCGAUCUAAUAUUUUUUUCUCCAAUUUAUAUUCUUUGGUGCAGCAAUUUACUUAGAAAAUGUGUGAUCUAUAGUGGAUUCAAUAGCAUGUGUCUGCUAUACUUAACCAGAGUCUUAGAAAUUAUUUUCAUAUAACCAUCACUGUAAGGGUCACUACUACAGUCUAGGUCUAUAAAGACCCCUCCACAGACGGUAGGAGGGGAAGGGUGUGCAUUUUGUAAUAACCUCAAACAUUCAUCAAACCACAAUUGUUUGUGAUGUGACACACGUAAAAGAGGGUUGUGAGGUGAACCGUAUCACACGCAAGCUAGGAAAAAUAGUCAUUAAAUAGCGGUGUGUUCUAGGAAAAGAGGGUUGUGAGGUGAACCGUAUGGUCUCUAAGGGUUCAGUCAUUGGUUCGAAGGGUGACAUAUUCAGUUCUCAAUUUGGAAAACCUAAAUUUCUGAAAAACUGACAUGGAAGUCUAUCCAUGGAAAAAUUUGGGUCUUGAAUUUCUCUAUGCAGCUGCAAGGAAAGGUAGAGCUACCUUGCAUAAUCAUAGCCAAGCAGAUUGGGUCAAACCCAUGUUUAUGCUGGUCUUGUUAUUAAUGUUUACUUAGUGACUGCCCUUGGCAUUUAGUCGAACGUGUAUUUCCGGUUUCACAUUUUCGACCACAACCCAUGAGAUGCUGCAAACAUGCAAAAGUUCUUUAUUACAAAAAAUUUAAAAUCCUCCAACCAACUAUGUACCUCAUAUGUCAGUGGGCUCAGGAUACUACAACUAGCUAGUUAAGUUCGCUUGUUACUUACGUUAGGGGUAAAUUAGUUUGUGCAUGGUCGGCACAAGCCAUAGCCACCCUCUAUAAAAGCUAGAACAAAGAAGCCAUGGUAGGUAAGUGUUUCUUGGUAACACAUGUGAGUAAGGAAAUAUAGUCAGUUGUUUCUAAAGCGGACUACUAUCUGGCUAUCAUACAUUACGGCAGUAGAAGUGGCAAGAUUAGUAGUAAGAAAUACGCCGACGAUACGAUGCUCCUUUUCGAGCCUGACUUGCAUAGUAUCGCGUCGAUUAAGCUGCUGCUAAUUACUUUCGAACUCCUCUCCAGGCUGAAAAUUAAUUCCCUAAAGAGCAAGGUCAUUACCAUAGGGAUGGGUCAACAAGAAAGUAGGCAUGCGGCCAAUCUACUUAAUUGUAAGCUUGGGGUCUUCCCAAUUAAGUACCUCGGCCUUCCGAUUUCUCACCGGAAACUUUUGAUUUCUGAAUGGGAACCCCUAUAUGGCAAGGUGGAAAAUCGGGUGAGUCCGUGGAGAGGGAGGUUCAUGUCCUCGGCGGCUAGGCUCAUUCUUACUAACACUAGUCUAUCCUCCCUGCCUCUCUUCACUAUGGGAAUGUUUCUUCUAGCGGAUGGGGUUCACGCGAAGAACGACACUCCCCGUUCCAGGUUCUUUUGGGAAGGAACUGGAAUCAAAUGGAAAUAUCACUUAGUUAGGUGGGCGGCACUUUGUAGACCUAAAAAGUUUGGCGGCUUGGGGAUUAUCAACUCCAAGUUGAUGAAUGUGGCUCUCCUAACGAAGUGGUUGUGGCGCCUUGCCCAAAACGAGACAGGGCUCUGGGCGGAAAUCCUCAGGGUAAAAUACUUCCCUGACGGAAAUUUGUUUAAGGCCAAGCACAGGGGCUCGACGUUCUGGAAUGGGAUCCAGGCGGUCCGGCCAGCCUUUACGGUCGGGGCCCGGUUUGCAGUCCACAAUGCACUACUAGGGAAAAGCCUAGCAGUAGCGCGGGUUUUAGGCCUAUCAGUAGCGCGGCCAGGAGCGCUACUGGUACGGCACUACAGCUAAAGGUUAGCAGUAGCGUUGGUUAACCAACGCUACUGCUACACCGACUUAGUAGUAGUGCUUUCUCGGAGCGGCGCUACUGGUAAUUACAAGUAGCGCUUCUCCCAGCCCGCGCUACUAGUAUUAUUCCGUAUUUUAUUUCUUUUUUAUUUCAUGUUGUAUUCAUACAUCUCUAUAAAAGUUUUAAUACAAUAGCAAUUUAUAGAUUGUUUUUAUCGUGGUUCAACACGUGCACUAGUGGCACGUAUUCACCAUAAUUUGGGGGAGUUCGAUAAUAGGUAUUGUAAUUCUCAAAGAAAGUACAAAAUGCGAUCAGAUGAUUUUCCUCCUUAUAAGUUAAUUUGGAGCCAUCGGUGUAGUGGGUUUUGUCUACCAUCUUCCGCACAUUCAUUGAAGAAUGAAAAUAAGUUGUCAAUGAAAAUAAGCUGUCAACUAUUUUGAAAUAAACAAUAUAAAUUAGUUAAUAACUAUGUUUGAGAAACUCACGUAGCGAUAGAAUCGGAAGCGUAUCAACAAGGAUCCAAAUGUCCAUAUUGUUUUGCUCGAUAUCAGGAUCACCAAGAUCCAUGGUGACAAUCAUACCCUCAUAAAAACCAUAUAUUUUGCAAAGUGCUUCCCAAUUUUGGCAACCAAAAUGGCUUACGCUUUGAGAAUUGUACAGAUUUACUUCAAAAUCCAUAUCAUGAUGGGUCCUUAGGUGUAUUUUCUUUGUUUCAAAAUUUUCAUGGUCUUCAAAACCCAUCAUCUCCAAGACAUAGCGUCUUCCAUGGCAUGGGAUAAGCUAGUCGAAUUGUAAAAGAUGAAAAUUAGACGUUGAAAUAGUUGAAGUCGUGCUUAAUUACGAAAAAAACACUUGUCGUCGUUGCGUACCAUUUCAACGUCGAAGGUCUCAUCGAGCUUAGUGCUGAAGCGCCGAUCAUCGUCCAGGUGAGGGCACUUGUCGCACAGACCUCGAUCGUCGUGGCAUAAACCGCACUCCCCCGGGAGACUUUCGUCAUCCGAGUACGACAUUUCCUAUGUUCAUAAUUCAAAUAUUAAACUUGUACAAUUAAAUAUAUGUACUAAAAAACCUAAAUUAGAUCAUUAUUUUUUGAGAAAAUCCAGGUCACUCGAUAUUUCCUACAUAUUCUAGCACAAGUCAUACCAGAAUUCACGAAAAAAUCCGGCAUGACCUUUGCUAAAAAAGGACAUAUCGAGCGCCUGAAAUUUGUCGGAACGGAAAUUAAGCAACACUUUGGCAAAACAUAGGCCACUCGGAGGUGUAACCUGAACAUGACCGGCCACUUGGGCAACCACAUAUCCUAUUUGAGCAACACAUGAUAUACAUGUUUUUAUCUACAUCAUAUAUAUCUUAUAGGACUCAUAUUGACAUGGAGAUUUGGCUGGUCUCACCUCGAGGUCGGAGGGGGUCGAUGACGGGGACGACAGCGGGGAUGAUGGAGGGGCUCCUUGAUUUCUGCAAAAGUAGAAACCCUAUUAAUUCUAUUAAUUCAACUAGUUAUUACUAAAUAUAAACUAGUUCUUACUAAAUAUAAACUAGUUCUUACUAAAAUAAAAAAAUAACAACAAAUAUGACAUGUUCAACUAGUUCUAUUAAUUCAACUAGUUCUUACUAAAUAUAAACUUACUAUAAAUAGAGAAAAAACUAGUUUUUUCUAAAAAUAAAGUAGUUCAACUAGUUAUAUUAAUUUUCUUACUAAAAAUACAUUAGUUCUAUUAAUUCAACUAGUUCAACUAGUUUAUUAAUCUACUUAGUAAACUAGUUCAACUAAAACUAAACUAGUUCAACUAGUUUGUUAAUUUACUUGCUAAUUAUUUUAAACACUUACUAAUUAUCUACAUUUAAAUUACCUAGAAUUUGCAAGAACAGAGACAAGGGAGGGAGGGAGGAGAGAGGAUGGGGAGGGGNNNNNNNNNNNNNNNNNNNNNNNNNNNNNNNNNNNNNNNNNNNNNNNNNNNNNNNNNNNNNNNNNNNNNNNNNNNNNNNNNNNNNNNNNNNNNNNNNNNNNNNNNNNNNNNNNNNNNNNNNNNNNNNNNNNNNNNNNNNNNNNNNNNNNNNNNNNNNNNNNNNNNNNNNNNNNNNNNNNNNNNNNNNNNNNNNNNNNNNNNNNNNNNNNNNNNNNNNNNNNNNNNNNNNNNNNNNNNNNNNNNNNNNNNNNNNNNNNNNNNNNNNNNNNNNNNNNNNNNNNNNNNNNNNNNNNNNNNNNNNNNNNNNNNNNNNNNNNNNNNNNNNNNNNNNNNNNNNNNNNNNNNNNNNNNNNNNNNNNNNNNNNNNNNNNNNGCGGCCGGAGGAGGGGGGGAGGGGCGGCCGGAGGCGGAGGGAGGAGGGCGCGGUGGGAGGAGGAAGGAGGAGGGCGCGGUGGGAGGAGGAGGGAGUACCUCGGUGGAGGACGGACGACGGUGGCGGCGGCGGCGGACGACGGGUAUCGGCGCGGGCGAGAGUGACUGAGAGGGAGAGUGAGUGAGAGAGGGUCGGCCGCGUGGGGAGGAUAAGGUAGGGUUAGUAGUAGCGCGUGUGUGAGAAAAGCGCUACAGCUAAGGAGAAUAACAGUAACGCGGAACGGGGAUACGCGCUACUGCUAAGUUGGGCUAGGCAUGUGCGCCCAGUUCAAACAUAGCAGUAGCGCUUUUUGCUAGUACGCGCUGCUGCUAAAGUUAUAGCAGUAGCGCGGUUUAUUUUCGGGUGCUGCUACUAAGUAGCAGUAGCGCAUUAUUUUGUCCAGCGCUACUGCUAAGAUACUGUGUAUAAGGUUUUCCCUAGUAGUGAUGGUUUGUCCACGAGGUUCUGGCUCGAAGCUGGAUCGACUUGAGGCCGCUUUCGCAGGCUUACCAUGCGCUCUUCCAAUUAGCUACGGAUACUAACGUGCUGGUUAGGGAGGCUCUUAGGACGUCCACCGGCAAUUCAUUUCAUGCGUCCCCUGUCUGCGAUUGAAGAAGGGAGUUGGAAUGAGCUGAUCUCUAAAAUAGGGACCGACCCACUUAGAUUGGGAGCUGACUCGGUCUCGUGGGGCUUAACGGCCUCAAAAAAAAUUCUUGGUUAAGUUUUUGUAUGCCAAGUUGUCGGAAGGCAACACAUUGGACAUAGCCAUGUGCUAUGGAAGGCCGGGAUCCCCUCAGGAUAAACAUUUUCGUGUGGCAAAUGUUUAAAAAUCGCCUCCCGAUGGCGGACAAUGUAGCCAAAAGGAAUGGACCUUCCAAUAGCACAUGCGUGUUGUGUGGGAAUCUAGAGGACGCGAACCAUGUCUUUUUUCAUUGUGCAUUAGCAAGGUUUGCGUGGAGCGCGGUUAGGGAAGCAUUCCACCAAAACUGGAGCCCCGCGUCAGGCUUCGAUUUGCUUCAGAUUAUGCAAACCCAGAAGGGGACUAGCGGUCGGAUUGUAUGGCGAUGCGUUGGGGCGCUAUUGUGGGCUUUAUGGACCAUUAGAAACAAAAUGACGAUCGAAAAAAAGUUCCCCUCUCACCCGGCUGAUGUAAUCUUUAAAUGUCAUCUCUUGUUACAGAUGUGGAUACCGCUGGGGAAGCACCGCGAUGCUGAGCAGAUGCAUGAGCCAUGAAGAAGAUCAGAAGCACCUUGACGAUCGUGCGUCAACCUCCGUAGAUGGUCUCAUCUUUUGGUGGAGCGGUAGUAGUAGGAAGUAGGGUCUGGGCUGAGUUCUGUUCCUUUGUUGUACCCUGCUAUCUCGCUGCCUCUCGUACUUUGUGUUUUGAUACUUUUUGGUUUGUAAGACUAUUGAACCCUGUGAUGGUUGCCUUGGUGGCUUUAUUAACUAAAAGCCGCGGGACACUUCUAAUGUCUCCGUUUCAAAAGAAAAAAGAUUAGGAUUAAGAGGCAUCAGGGAUUGCAAGAAUGCUACACAGCGUUGUUUGGCACCCUGGUGCUUCAGCGCAGCUCAUGUGCAUCCCACGAGUCGUACUUUGUGUAGAGUCAGCUCUAGACAUACCCACGUUCAUUGCUCAGAGCAACUCCAACCAACUCUCACGCCUCUGGUCAGCCCGGUCCACCAGGGCGCCCAGCGGAGAGAAAAGGAAGAGCAAGGACGGGCGCCCCUUGCCUGCUUGCAUGGCCGGGUGGGAGGCAAGACCAGCCGCUGCGUUUGCACAUUGCAAUGUGCACUGCUCUCUUAUAUCGAGUGUAGACGCUAGUUAAUUGGUGAAUCUAGAAAAAUGCAGUGCCGCCUAGGGGGAUGGAGCAUGUGUUUUCCGCAUUGGGAAAACAUCUUGUGGCUCAAGUGGCAUUGGACUAGUCUGCACUUUUAUGCAAAUACAUCUCGUUGUGUUCAAGUGGAAAAUAGAGAAUAACAACCGUCUAUCCUUCUAUUGCACCUAAGGGCAACUCUAACCGAUCCACUAAAAGUUAGUGGAGUAUCCGGCCGAGUAAAUUUAGUGGAGUAAAUUUAUCCUUCUCUGUAGAUGUCCAAAUAUAGCCAAUUCCCUAAACUUUAGCGGAUUAAAAAAUUUGUAUAGUUUUUUUGUUCUAACCGCAUGAACUUCAAACACUUCACAAUCUUAUACCAUUAAAACAUUGAAUUCAAACAUGCAUAACAUAACCAUCAUAAAGUAUAGUUUCAUCAUCGCGGUUUUCAAAUAAAAACAUGCAUAGUUCACCCAAAAGGCAUCACUUCAAACACAAUGUUAGAUCCAAAAUCACCACAAACAUAGCAUGUAAAUGUUGUGGAUCGAGCCAACCAAUGGCAUGCACGAACUCAAACGAGGUGCUCAGCGAAGAAAACAUCAUCGCCACCACCACUACCAUCCUCUCGGCCAGCAUCACCACCACCAUCCUCUCGGUCGCCUCUACCACCAUCACCAUCGCCUCGGCGGGUACGAUCACCACCACCACCCCCUCGGCCACCACCACCAUUCCGAAGAGAGGUUUCCACUUGGGUCAAGAUAUCUCUACAACUCCCAAUAUUUUCUUAUGGGAUUCAUGAACAUGAUAGCACGCUCUUCGGCCUUCUUGGCAUCACGAAUCCUCUCAAACUCAAUUGCAAGCCUACGCUUCUCCGCCUUCAACUUUCUCUCUUCGGCCGCCAACUUGGCCUUCCAUUUCUCAUUUUGCAACACCUUGAGCUCAUUCCACCUCGCCAUCUUCAGUUCCUUGCGAUUGGCUGCCAACACCUCCUUGGCCUCAAUCAUGGCCACAAGUUCUUCGUAUGUGCCACCGAAUGCAUUUCUCUUCUUUCUUUCUUAUGCAAUUUUGUUCCCAUCUGGUCCCAUCAUGGCCGAGGACUCCAAAGACGCUAGAAGUUCAGCUGUGUUCAUUUACGCCCUACGACAACAAAACAACCGAACUGCAUCACCAUCGGCAACCAACAAUCACUAUCGGCCGAAAUUUUGAAGAGGUUUUUAUUUACCUUUUUGGCAUUUCAUCGAGUACUUGGCCGCCGCGACCUUUCUUGUCGGCCGCCGCCGCCGGAUGUGCCCAAGGAGUGCCCAUAGGUGUCGCCAGAGACGUUGCACCUGCCGUCGGUCGUGGACGGGGCGCCGGAGACAAUGUUUUCUUCUUCUUUGAGGACUCGUCGGCUAGGGCCGAUGCCACCGUCGUCGGCUUUCGUGCUCUUUUGUCACCGUCGGGAGCGGCGGCAGGGUGGUGGGUUGUCACUCGAGAGGUACUCGCCACCUCGGCGGCCUUUGCCGCGGUUGGAGUGGGGGCUUGAACCCGGUGAACUUUUUUUAUGCCCAUGCUUUUUUUCGGCGCGGGGGUGGUUUCCGGUGGCGAAAAGCCAUGGGCAAUGGACGGCGGGGUGGUGNNNNNNNNNNNNNNNNNNNNNNNNNNNNNNNNNNNNNNNNNNNNNNNNNNNNNNNNNNNNNNNNNNNNNNNNNNNNNNNNNNNNNNNNNNNNNNNNNNNNNNNNNNNNNNNNNNNNNNNNNNNNNNNNNNNNNNNNNNNNNNNNNNNNNNNNNNNNNNNNNNNNNNNNNNNNNNNNNNNNNNNNNNNNNNNNNNNNNNNNNNNNNNNNNNNNNNNNNNNNNNNNNNNNNNNNNNNNNNNNNNNNNNNNNNNNNNNNNNNNNNNNNNNNNNNNNNNNNNNNNNNNNNNNNNNNNNNNNNNNNNNNNNNNNNNNNNNNNNNNNNNNNNNNNNNNNNNNNNNNNNNNNNNNNNNNNNNNNNNNNNNNNNNNNNNNNNNNNNNNNNNNNNNNNNNNNNNNNNNNNNNNNNNNNNNNNNNNNNNNNNNNNNNNNNNNNNNNNNNNNNNNNNNNNNNNNNNNNNNNNNNAGGGGAGGAUAAUUAUCCUCCCUUAUUAGGUUUAGGGAGGAUACAUUUGGUUAUCCUCCCUUAGCAUCAGAUAGGGGAUCGGUUGGAGUUUGCCUAACUCUUGAGGUAGAUACGUUUCCAUUGUCACACCUGCUUCAAAUGCACAUCACUUAGGGGCUUGUGUAGUUACACUAUUGGACAACAAACUCCUCUUUUUAUUAAGUGAAAUCUUGACCACUCUUGGAUUUUGCAGUAGGGAGUACACCGUAGAGACUUCCACAAAAAAGGGAGAUGGAUUGUAGAGUCUAAUGCUUUGUACAAAUGAGAACUGAAUGCUUGAUAUUGAGAAAUCUGAUUUGAACCUUCUUUGUUUCAAUUGGUCAUUAUGCUCAUGUUCUUGUUUUGACCCUAUUUAGUAGGAGAACCCAUUUGGAUGUUUGUUCCACAGUUUGAAAAAAAGUUUACAGUCGCAGAGCUCUUGCAUGAUGUUGACCGGGAAGGUAAUGUAGUGAAAAAGAAGCAUGCUAUCAUUCACUAGAAUAGGAAAUAGUUGUACAAAGACUGAAUGCUAGGCGCGUGAAUGAAAUGAUCCAACCUCUAUGCUUUGUAAAAAUCCAACGAGGCCAUGGAUAAGUGCACGACAGCAAAACUGGUUACUCCACCCCAGUCAGCCACGCUUUGGUUUUCAUAUCAUAGCCUCUGAUAGGCCCGAGAAUGCAUCCCAGAUAUUUCACUAGAAACUUCAGUAUCAGCAACCGCAGUUCUGAUAUCAUAUUUGAUAAGAUUCAGAAAUAAAGCAAUAUCCUAUGCAUUCUCUCAUGCCUCCCAUGCCUAGUCCUGCUACGGGCAUUGAUAGGUAAUGUUGUCGAAAUAAACCUCAAGUCAGCAUCCCUUCCCCUCUUUAUAGGAAGAGUAAUUGACCAUUGGACAGUACCUAAACUGAUCUGGUGCCACAAUCACAUAGAGCUUUAAUGAUUGAUCAUCUUGUACUCGCCUGAUGAAGACCACAUCUUGUUUGAUUGUGACUUUUACUAGACUUUACAACCCCGACAUUGCGUGACCAAGAAAGUUUUUGGUUGUUGGAUAAAAUUGACCAUAUGGAAUGGGUCAAUCCCUAUCAUAAACCUUUGGGAUAAUAUUUUUCGUCCCUCAACUAUUUCGGAAAUCUAGAAAUGGUCCCUCAAUUUCAAAACCACCAAAUCUUAAUCCCCCAACUUUCAAAACCGGAUAAGUUUAGUCCUUCAUACGGCAUACUAGGGCGAUUUGGUGCUGACAUGGACAUGUUGGCAAUAUAGCAAUGUUUUAAAUAGCGGGCUAUGGUAUAUAGCGGCAGCCCUAAAAAACAGCUAUAGCGGCAAAUUGUACAUGAAAUCAAAUAGCAGCAACAUGCUCAAACAGCUAUAGCGCAGCUAUAGCGGGGCUAUAUCCGGCUAUUUAAAACUAUGCAAUAUAGUCAUGCCUAAUUUCAAGAUGGCUUUGACAACAUGAAUAUAAAUAUAUAUGAGCGAGUCACAAUUUGGUAAUAUUGGUGGAUGGUUCUUAUACCCUUUCUCCUUCUUUAAUAUAUGAUACAUAUGUUAUGCAUAUUUCAGAAGAAAAAAACAAUUCGAUAAUAUAAAAGCAUGCAAUGGUGGGGCUGGUAACAACACUGGCCUAUCUCAGAAAUGGCAGUAAAUUACAACACAUUGUAAUAUGGAUUCCACAAAAUUGUUUUUGCUUUGGUGCAGAAUAGAGUGAAGUGAUUUGUCCCAUUGUCUUCAUAGGCUUUCUUAUCAGAGCUUGGGUGUGAUUCCUUGCUCCUAUUCGUGGAUCUUGACCUGCAAUCUCCCUUUCCAAUAACUUGCCUGGGUGAAAAGCUAGUGCUUGUCAACAUCAAGGAAAGGCAGCCUGAUAAAAUACCAGUUGCAGCAAAAUUUGUAAACUCGAAUGGAAGUUACUCAUGUUUUUCUAGUACUAGCUAGAAAGUAGAAACAUUGAAAAUCUUAGAGUAAGGCAACCUGAAAGCUCCACGACCAUGAUGGCCCAUUGGAACAUUAGCCGAAGUUAAAUUCCAUAUGCUUGCAGCUCCGAGGAUGUUGCAGAUUCCUUCUCGUGGACCUGUCCGCCGUCCACAGACGGUUGUGAAGUUGCAAGCCACACGAAAAUCUUGAACUCCAGCGGCGCCCAGCAGUCCCAACACUGGGCGGCGCACGGCGCUAGCUCUCUUCCGAGGAAGAACGCGUUGUAUGCCGACCGGGAUGGGAAUUGGCUAUUAGCAGUCAGCCGACAACGGAACAAGUCAGCCUCGUCAUAUAACUCAAAUGUGAGCACGAUAUCCCAGAGGUUGAACAGUUCCGAGAUCGCCGCGAUUGACGGGGUGCCCCGUAGGUCACAGACCCACCUACCUUCUGGCAGGAUCUCCGCCACCAGGUGUUUCAGAGCCACUGGCCUUACAAACUGCAUCAACGCGGGCAUGAUUUGCCACACGCUCGUUCCAUGAAUCCAGCUGUGGGUCCAAAAUUUCAGGGACCUACCAUUCCCCAAGGUGCACUCCAAAGAGGCAGCAAACAGGGCGUCUGCCUCCUUAGAGAUGUUUAUCUGGAGUCCUUCCCAAGGCUUCUCCUCUACCGUUUUCUCCAGCCAUCUCCACUUCAUCAUUAGCGCAUCGCUGAGGACGGACAGAUUUUUUAUCCCAAGUCCUCCAUAUUCCUUGGGGUUGGGGGUGCACACAAGCUUCCAGUUCACCAGGCAGUUAUCCCUCUUUGCUUCCGCGUGGCGACACCAGAAGAAGCCCCGACAGAUCUUAUCCACGCACGAAAGAAACCGUGGCGGCAGGUCAAGCACUAGCAUAGGAUACAUAGUCGUCGCCGUGAGGGUUGAGUUUACCAGCACCAAGCGCCCCGCCCUCCGCAGCACGGAGGCCUUCCAGGUAGGUAGAUGACCGGCUACACGAUCGAUGUAAGGCUGCAUGUCCGUCUUGGAUAGCUUGCCCACCGACAACGGGAUUCCCAGGUACUUCGCCGGAAGAAGUAAUGUCUGAAGACCAGCGAGAAAACAGAACGACAAAAGUAGAGUUGUCGGUCUCUCUCUCUCUCUCUCUCUCUGUGUGUGUGUGUGUCGGUGUGUGUGUUUGGGCCCAGGGCGUGCCAUGUGUUGCCAUGUGGAAGUUACUAGUGAGCGGUGUGCCAUCCUUUCUAGUGCUACCUGUGGUCCUUCCUGUGCCAUGAUUUCGAUUGUUUUCUUUUGUUAUGCUUUUUUAUUUUUCCUCUCCUUCUUUGAUGUCGGGUCUUCUAUCCAAAACAUUGUCCAAUUCAACAACUCUAGAGAGCCCUGCAAUAAAUGUUCCACAUUGUCGAUAUUGUAUGCCUUUUUUCCUCAAGAAACCCUGAGUAUGCAGUUAGCUUCUUCUUUUUCUUGGAAAUGGAGGCUUACCCCCGGCCUCUGCAUCAUAAUGAUGCAAGCAGCCAUCUUAUUAAAAAAUAAAUGAAGUAUCAUAAAGUCCUAACAGUAUUACAGCUCGCAAGCGGAGCGGAACAAAAGAAAAAAGAAAAGUACAUGCUGAUAAUCACAACCGAUACGGCAAUAUGAAGGAUAAGCUCUCUAGACUCCUAUCCUGCUGUGCAACCGCCAUCCGAACCGGUUGAAUAUAGCCCGUGCACCAUCUCCCACUGGUUGCACCCAGUAACCAAAGGCUCUCUGGAGUCCAUAGGAGUGAGUAAGGACCACGUACGGAUCCAUGCGGUAGCUCUGAAGAUGACGUGCAACAAAGUUAAAGUGUGUUGUCUGUUAAAAAUAAAAUCAUUCCUACAGUUCCAUAUAGCCCAACGAAGCGCACAUAUUCCCAUCCGAAUACGAGCCGUAGUAGUAUGCUCAACCCCAGCUAACCACGUUCCGAACAGCGACUCAAUGUCAGCUGGAGGAUUAAUGUUGAAGGCUAUAUGAAUCGUUCUCCAAAGCAAUUUGGCGAGUGCGCAUUCAAGGAAUAAAUGUUGUAUUGUUUCAUCAUGAUCACAAAAACAACAACGUGAACUACCUACCCAUCGCCUCUUGAUUAAGUCGUCAUUGGUGAGUAUUACUUGCUUGUGGACGAACCACAUAAAAAUCUUAAUACGCAAGGGAACCUUAACCUCCAAAUAUGCAAAGAUCUUGAGAUUGGGUCAGAAUUAAUCAAAUCCAUAUAGAAAGAUUUCAUCGUAAAUACCCCAUUUUUGGCUAAUUUCCAUUGUGUCGAAUCCGGCUGGUCGGAGAGUUGAACAUCUAUCAAUCUCCGAACCAAGUGCAUCCAGGCAGUCCAUCGCUCACCAACUAAUGCACGUCUGAACUGAAUAUUCAAGGGAAUCGUUUAGAAAACUGUGCCUACGUAAUCCUCCUUACGUUGCACAAUAUUAUAAAGGGUGGGAUAUUGUACAGCCAGGCGUGUCACUCCUAACCACGUAUCCUCCCAAAAUCUCGUUGACAUCCCAUUGCCAACGAAGAAUUUGACCCUACGAAAGAACAAGUCCUUCGUUCUCAUAAGCCCCUUCCAGAAUGGCGAAUCGGUUGGUCUCAUGGUAACCUGGGCAAGCGUUUUCGACUGUAAAUACUUAUUGCGCAGGAUUUGUGCCCACAUGCCCUCCAUCUCAGUCUCUAGCCUGUAUAGCCAUUUGCUCAUAAGGCAUUUAUUCUUAAUUUUUAAGUUCUCAAUACCGAGACCCACUGGUCUUUUGGUCGGCAAAGGAUAUCCCAUCGUGCGAGAUGGUAUUUCGUCUUGGCCUCAUCUGACUGCCAGAAGAAUCGAGAUCUGGAGAAAUCAAGUUGCUUCCGAACCCCUUUCGGAAUUUCGAAGAACGAAAGAAGGAACAUCGACAUACUAGUCAGUACCGAGUUAAUCAGCACCCGCCGACCUCCAUAAGACAUAAGCUUGCCCUUCCAGCAGCUAAGCUUUUUUUCAAUUCGAUCUUCGAUACACUUCCAUUCACUACUAGGAAAAAGCCUAGUAGUAGCGCGGGUUAAAAGCUAGUAGUAGCGCGGGUAUCUGCGCUACUACUAUGGCGCUACAGCUAACUAGUAGUAGUAGUAGCGCGGUGCAUCCCACGCUACUAGCACGUGUGUUAGUAGUAGCGCGGGUUCGACACGCGCUACUACUAACUAUCUCUAGCGCGUGUCUGUGACCCGCGCUACUACUAUUAAUUUCAAAAACCAAAAAAAAAAAUCUCGACCCCAUGCAUGCUAUCAAUGGUGUCAAUGAUUCGAUCCAGCGACGACAAGGGUCGCCGAUGGUGCGGACGGGCAGCGGAGGCCAGAUCCAGCGAUGGCUGUUGUAGAGGGACCGAAUCCAGUGUAGAGCAAGACGAUGGUGUGAGGAUCCUCUUCGCGGUCAAGGCGGAGAACUCCUGGUUGGCCAUGUCGAAGACCUGUGCAGGCAUGAACAUGGGAGGUGAGUAAAACCAAAGGGAGAGGGAGAGGGAGAAGGAAAAAGAGAAACAAGGGAGGAAGGAAGGAGAUGGAGGGCGCAUUGGGGCUGCUCGCCGGUGGUGAGGUGCUCCGCCGUGGUGGCAUGGAGGCGAGGGGGAAGACGGGCGAGCUCCUUGACGCCAGCGAUGCGAGGAGGAAGACGCGGGGUGCCAUGGACGAGGAGAUGUUGUUGGGUAGGAGCACCAUGGAGAGAGGGGGAAAGUGAGGGAGAGAGGAGGAAAGUGAGAGAGGGGGAAAGUGAGGGAGAGAGGAGGGAUUCGACCGAGGAUAUGGAGAUUUCACCUAUCUCGUACUUAGUAGUAGCGAGGGGUAUAAAACCACGCUACUACUAUCAACUUAGUAGUAGCGCGGGUUUGUACCCCUCGCUACUACUAUGGCAUGUCCCGGGAGGGCACGUAGAGACCGCUUAGUAGUAGCGCGGGUUAAAAACCCGCGCUACUAGUAUCAACUUAGUAGUAGUGAGGGGUAAAAACUCGCGCUACUAGUAAGUAGCAGUAGCGAGGGUUAUAAACCCACGCUACUAGUAAGCGUCUGCCUAUAAGCUUUUCCCUAGUAGUGAUUCUUUUAUUGGAUAAUUUACGGUAAUGAGUCGGUAUGCCCAAAUAACUAAAAGGUAAAGAACCUAGUUCACGCCGGAACAAUUGUCUAUAAGUGUCUUGCUCGUCUUUGGCCUUCCCAAAGCAGAACAACUCGCUCUUGUGAAAGUUUAUCUUUAAACCAGACAAUUGUUCGAAGAGACAUAAAAUAAGUUUCAUAUUACGCGCCUUAGCAAUGUCAUGCUCCAUGAAUAAGAUAGUGUCGUCAGCGUACAAUAAGAUGGAUACUCCUCCAUCGACCAGGUGAGGAACUAACCCCUCCACAUGGCCAUGCUGCUUGGCCCUGCCAAUAAGAAUGGCUAACAUAUUGGCCACUAUAUUAAACAAGUGAGGAGACAUGGAAUCUCCUUGUCUCAAACCCUUGUGUGUCUAAAAGUAAUGACCGAUAUCAUCGUGAACCUUGAUUCCGACACUACCCUUCUGGACUUGAGAACCCACUUGGUUCCGCCAGUCCUCACUAAAUCCUUUCAUACGCAUUGCCUGUUGAUGGAAAGGCCACUUAACUUUAUCAUAUGCCUUCUCAAAAUCCACUUUGAAAAUAACCCCAUCUAGUUUCUUCGAAUGAAUUUCAUGUAGUGUUUCAUGCAAAACGACCACCCCUUCAAGUAUGUGUCGCCCUGGCAUGAACGUUGUCUGGCUCGGUUGUACCACUGAAUGAGCAAUUUCUGUCAAUCUAUUGGUACCCACCUUUGUGAAAAUUUUGAAACUCACGUUAAGAAGACAUAUGGGCCUGAAUUGUUCGAUCCGAACUGCCUCUUCUUUCUUUGACAACAACGUAAUCAUACCAAAGUUAAUAUGAAACAACUCUAGAUGACCGUUAAAGAAAUCAUGAAACAUAGGCAUAAGAUCAUCCUUAAUAAUAUGCCAACAUUUUUUAAUAGAAUUCAGCUCGAAACCCAUCUGGUCCCGGUGCUUUAUUCGGUCUCAUUUGUGAGAUUACUUCCAGAACCUCCUUCUCAGUAAAAGGUGCAGAUAGAAUAUCAUUCUCCUGUACAUGGAGCUAAGGAAUAUCUCCAAUAACAGAUUCAUCUAGGGCCACCCUGCUUGUUUCCGGAGGCCCAAAAAGUUGUUUAUAGUAAUUAUAGAUAUAAGCUUUCAGAUUCUCAUGCCCCACAAUUGUCCCCUCAUCCUGUUCAAGCUGUAUGAUUUUCUUCUUCCUAUGUUUACCAUUCGCAAUCAUAUGGAAGAAUUGUGUAUUGUCAUCCCCUUGGACAACCUUAAGCACUUUAGCACGCAAUGCCCACUUGAGCUCCUCCUCUCUAAGGAGAGCUCGUAAGCCUUGCUCAGCUUCGGACUUGGAGCUUUGCUCAUUAACCAUAAGAAGGUUUCCUUCAGCUUCUAAAUCUAGCGCUUCAAUUAAUUGAGUGAGUCGCUCUUUUUCUUGUUUGUAAAUCCCACUCUCGUUUCUGGCCCAACCUCGCAAAAACUGUCUGAGAUGUCCGAUUUUUUUUUGCCAUCUCUCAAUACUAGUUCUUCCACUAACAAGCUUUGCCCAUUCGCGUGCAAUGAUCUUCAAAAAGGUUUCGUUCUCGAACUAACCUAGUUCGAAAGAGAAAGCAUUCUUGUUCGCCACAUCUGUAGCCUCUCCUGAAUCUACAAGUGGUGUGUGGUCUGAGAUCGCUCUCUGCAUCGCCUGAACCGACACUAAUGGGUACUUUUGUUCCCAUUCCACACUAGCGAGUACCCUAUCCAACUUCUCAUAAGUCGCAGUGGCCAAUGAGUUGGCCCAUGUAAAUUGUCUACCGGUGAGCUCAAUUUCUCUCAAAUUGAGACUCUCGAUAAUCAUGUUAAACAUCAUUGACCAACGUCCAUCAAAAUUUUCAUUAUUCUUUUCAUCUCUCCUUCAAAUGAUAUUAAAGUCACCACCAACUAGGAUUGGCAGAGUUUCAUCUCCGCAGAUCCACACCAAGUCGGCUAAAAAAUUUGGUUUGAGUUCAGGUUGUGCUGCCCCAUAUACAACCACGAGACACCAUCGGAAACCAUCCAAUUUUGAUCUCACCCGAAACUUGACCGCAAAAUCUCCCCGAACUACGUUAAGCACCUCAAGUGUUUCACACCGAACCCCAAGUAAAAUCUCACCAGAUCUUCCUCUAGGAGGUAAGACGUGCCAAUCGAAAUCAAUUCCUCCGGAUAAAGUUCCCAGGAACUAUGAGGUAAAGUUAUUUCAUCGUGUAUCCAAUAUCGCAAUAAAAUCUAGAUGUUGCUCUAUCGAUGUCUCUGCCAAGAACAUUUGUUUAGCCAAGCCAGCUAGACCUCUGCUAUUCCAAAAGAUUCCUUUCAUAAGUCAUCAUGGAAUUUUUUCUUAAGCUUAACCCUAGCACUUCUACGAACAGCCGAAGUAGGAUAAAUUUUCCGUUUCCAAGGUCGCUUGGGCUUGUCCCCAUCACCCUUCGGGAACGUAGGAUCGGCAGAACAUGAGACAUUGCCCUCCAUCAUUAGAGGCUCUACAGUGUCCGUAGUUUCUGACCCCUCCUCAUCUUCGGCCUCCGCACUAGGCAAGAUAUUAUUACAUAUGUUUUCAAGCACAACCAUUCCUAAAUUUUUCAUGUCAUCGUCAUUCAUAGGUUUGACUGAUGCAAGAUUCCGAAUUAUUUCCGAAGCCCGCUCCGCUUCUAAGUCUUAAAGGUCAUUUACGGAUUUCGCAACCUCCUUCUCAUUUGAACCCAAAGAUAUACCUAAGCCGUUUGCCUUAUCAACAAUUUCAUGCUCGGUGAAAUGCAUAUUUGAACAACUCUUAUCGAAAGACAUACCUUUAGUUGCUCCGACAUCUCGAAGCAUGGCCACCCUCUUGCCGUGCGCUAGCUGCAGGUCGUCAGCAUCCGGCUGUCCCUGGAUCCGGUUGCUGACACGCCUGCCAGCCGACACCGGAUCCGUGAUCCCACCGAAAGCGAUAAGCUCCUCCGCCGUCCUCUCCCGAUGCGUAUGCACCCAACUCCCACACCCUCCCCUUAGUGCCGGUGAAGAAGGGUAAGGUGCAGUCGAGCGGGUAUCGCCCACGGUAGUAAUAGGGGAAGGAGACCGUGGAGCCACCUACUCGAUAGUCCCACUCCCCCCCCCUCACCAACAAGAUGGCAUGGCCAUCGUCCGUGCUGCUCGGCGGAGUUCCGCGAAAAGGAGAAGCCACGGGCCUCCUGCCCGCGCCCCUCCCCCGGCUCGCUCGGAACCGCUGGAGGAGAGAAGGCACCACGGACCUCCUGUCCGGGCCCCUCCCCAGAGGAGCUCGAUGUUGUCGCGUGUGGGUGGGCGCUAUGGGCCUCCUGCCCACGCCCCCCCCCGGGCCCCACCACCACUCGCGGCUGGCCCGCCAGUGCCCACCGAACCAUCGGUCAUGGAGAUCAUCGAGGCACCCGUCCCCACCGUGACCAGACCCUUGUCAGAUAGAGUGUGUCGUGCCUCCUGGGUGGCCAGCUGUGGGGUAGCCAUCUCCUCUCUCGGCGUAACCGUCAGCCCGGAGUCCGCCUGCUGAGAAGAGAGAACCGUCGGCGACUCACAGUCAGGGAGCAUCACCGGUGGUAACUCAAGUUCCGCCGGAUCGUCCGCCUCUACUCGGUUGCUCCAUUACCGACUAGGCGCUGACCUCGCUCCAAAAGUACCAAACCGAAGAGUGUUCAUCGGAGUUUAAGGGCAACUACUCCGUGUAGACCAAUUUUUGGUACGUGAAAUGGUCACACCCUUGGACUUUGAACUAAAGAGUAGGACAUACGUAGAUUCUCAUCCAUCCAUGCUUACUUAUCUGUUAUAUAUUAAAAAAUAAAUGAAAGUUUGUUGUUUGAUAGAGGUCGAAAUAUUUGAUUGAGCUUUUGUAUUUCCUCCACAGAUGAAAUGUUCAAGUUAUUUUGGUUCAUAUGAAUGAUAUUAUCAAGUGGAAGCUAGUUUCCCAGUUUGACAAGGUAUUGAGUUUCACUGCAAAGGUGCCACUCAGGACCCACAAUGGAUGUUAUCAUUGUAAAAAAUAUCCAUAUAUCUUGUGCAUUUCAUCCACAUUUUUUAGAGGCAAAAAGUUUGUAGUAAAAACGUAUUGGGUUUACACAGUACUGGAGAGAUGGCAAGCCCGGGGCAGAUUGUACCUUUUUCUCUGGACGAACUGAAUACCAUGGUGUCAUGUGGGCAAAAGGCUAAACUUGAGCUUUGUUGAGUUCCAGUUAAGGUCGGUAAUAGAGUAGCCUAUGAUGAGGAAGAUAUCCGAAGUAAGUCCAAGCAGAACCAGGAGUUACGCUGGUAAUAUUCAGCAUAGUUUUACUAGCCAUUCUCGAGAACAAAGACCAAGAUAAGUCCCUAAGGUGCCUAAGGAUGUGAUUUUUUUCGUGCUUCGUUAGGAUACGAGUCCCCCUGGGUGCCUGAGGGCAGGCAACCUGGCCCUCCUUCACCAGGAGAACAAGCCCUUGUUCAGCUUUGGUUCCUCCGUUAGCAGAAAUCCACCCGCAUAACAAGCUGAAAACUUGGAACACUGCAUUCUCUAAUGUCUCCCAAUUCUAGUCCUAUCGUGCAGCGCGGUUGAACUUCAAGUCAGCCAUCUUUCUCUGAAAUUUUGAGGCAGCUAGCCCUUUUCCCUCCUUAUAUAAAGAGAGGAACGUGCAGCCUUUUCUUUUCUUUGACCUGGUUUUAGCAAAGUGUUGGGCUUCUCCCUUUCACGGUACAAGUGCGUUGGCAGGACCAGGAACCAUUGGGUAUUUCCCUGCAGUACAGCUGCUAUUUCCAAAAAUAAAAGACAUUUGAACUGUACCCGAUUAGAUAUGAUGUGGUGCAACGUUCAUACAGAGUUUGAUGAUGUUUAACUUGAACUCGCUAUAUCAAAACCACAUGUUUUUCUGGUCAUAGUGAAUGUAACGUGGUUCACCACGUGAAAGGACCUCAAUCAUUUACCUAACUAGAUGAUGCCCCGCGCGUUGCUGCGGGAUUUUUUGAUAAUUUUUUUGAGAAAAUUUAUGAUCCAAAUUUAAGUAACAAAAUGCCCUGCACAAUCUAGCUGGCACUCUAUAUUGAGGCAAGGUCAAUAGGCCAAUAAAAGCCUCACAGUGGAGGUUUGCAGAACCUAUACAUAUACUCCAGUAUGGCUAUAUAUUUGUAGUCUUGUACCGCUGCAAAACAUCUAGAAUUAUGAAUAUUUCCCGCGUGUUGCUGCGGGAAUGUAGACAUAUUUUUAAUGGAAUGUUGAUAUAUAAGCGGUGAAGAACAUUAAGAUCCAAUUCCAUAUGAAAUAUUCUAUAGAUCGAUGUGUCAAAAAAUUAAGAACAUAUUCGAUAUUCAUAAUAGCUGAAAGUAGUGUACACCUAUAAUAACAUCAAAGUAUUAUGGUACGUGUAUGUGUACUGGUUGGCAAUUGCUUGUAGAGUUAGCAACAUAUGAAGAGAGGCUGAUAUCAAAUUCAUGGAAAUUUUCCAUAUGGAAAAUACUAUACAUCUGCGCACCUGGAAAUUGAGAACAUGUUGGAUAUUCAUAAUGCUUGAAAGUGGUGUUUCCCCUAAAAUAACAUAAAAGUACAAUGGUGAUGUACGAGUACUGGAUGGCCAUACUGUUCCUAGAGCUAGCAAUCGUAUGAAGAGGCUGAUCACCAACCCAUGGGAAUUUUACCGAUUCAACAUUGAUAAGAAUGGGAAUUUUACUAAUUCAAUAUUGAUAAGAAUGCCAUAAAAAAUGUUUGAUAAAUAUAUACUAAAUCCGCAAGAAAAUAAGAAUAUAAACUAAAACAAUGGUAUGUGAAUGAACUAAAAAGAUGUGGGUUCUUAUCUGCCAGAUACGAGAAAAGGACACAGGUCACUAACACCAAAAAAUUAACUUUCAAAAAGCAAGCUCAUGGUUUGCAAGUCUGAAAUGCUAAUCAUCUCACUCAGUCUCCCCAUCAUGUCCUUGAACAUGAACACAUCCAAUCCAAACUCCUGGGCAGCCAUCAACGGCAUCCCCAAGGGACAUCCAUUGCUGGAUUUGACUUAAAAGUGUUGCCAGCUUCAGCGCCACUGCCAAAUCGUCUUGUCGUCGCCAAUCCUAGCCUGGAGCAAACCGAAUGGUUAUUACUCCUAACCAUUAAUGAAUAAAAAAAAAAGACGAAUCAUGAACUUCUAAGGCAGAUGAGUAAGAUCCUUGGGGCUGAUGGGAUCACACUGGAAGCUGUAGCACCCAGGGAGUCGGAUGCUGUAACACGUUAAGAAGGGAAGUUAUAGAGGCGACCCAUCACAAAAAACGAAUGCUAGCAUUAUUGCAAAAUAAAAAAGGAAAGAAAACAGACUUGCCCGCGCUUGGCCCUCAAGCUGACCGUCUACCCCACCGAUGAUUCGCCAACUUCGCCGGCGGCGCCGGUGAUUUGUCAUUAUGCCCGCGUGUCCGUCGGCUCUUCAUUAUCCAUCUCUCUGGUUUUUCAAAGGGAAGAUGUAAGUUGCUGGCUCAGAGGAAAGUAGUAGGGCACCAGCGAUGGUGGUAACGGGCGACCAGAUCAGUAGAUCGCCAAGACUGGCCAAUUCCGUACCACUGACAGCUGCAGCUGCACAUAUUCGGUUUCAUUGAUCUGUGCAGUACAAAUAUGAGAUUAACAUCUGCUUGGCGAAGUAGAAACUCGACGGUGUGGCCUAUGGUAGGCAUGCAGAACGCUGGAUUGAGGAGGAAGCAGCGUUAUCACUCCGGCCGUCCGCUCGACUGCCUUGUGAAUUAAUUUUUCAGACCAAAUGUGUGAUACAGUGGAAAAUGAAACGGUAGAACAUAAUGGACGGAUGGGCAUAAUUCUUAUUGUCAAACUAAAUUUGAAAUAUAGAACAUUCGAUAUAACCAACUGGAAAUGACCAAAGCCAACAAAUAUGUGUAUGGAUAACUGAGUUUCACUACCCCAGCAAUGAAGAACUUUGUAUGAGAGGAGAUCCCGCCUACCUAUGCAGUAGCAAGAGGCCUGUAUCAAGAGUCCUAUGAAGCAGUAAAGCCAAAUCGACCAGUAAAACGUUGAACACCUUUCAAUCUGGAGUCACAACCUGACAAAUUUCAAUAGCAUAAACUCAGGGAUAGGAACAAUUGAGGAAAGGUGAAAAUAGGGAGCAUCCACGUACCAGAGUGGAGGCCGUUUCCAAGAGUAGAUGCGAUCAGGCUUGCAUAGUCGAUGACAAUGGCGGUGCAGGCAUCCUUUUAAAGACGAAGGUGACGGAGGCUCAGUUAAAUCCAGCACUCUCUUCCGGAUUUGCAGGGGUAACAGGUCGUGAGGUAAUGAGAGGCGAUGAAUGCUUCGGUUUCAUGUGUAUUUGUUGCUGCCGUUUCGAUGAGAAGAAUGGAGGAGCGCGUCGGUCAUGGCGCCGCUGACCGGAAGACAGAUCGACAGGGAAGACGAACCCUCAGCUACCUAAGGUGAUAAGCAUGUAGAUGGGCCAGGUUAUAUACAAGGCCUGUGUAUUAGUCUAGCUUUUUUGUCUUGAUGAGAACACGUACAACCAAGCCCUUACCUCAAAAGCAAAUUUGUACGACCAAGCCCAGCUAGAUAGUUUUGAGGGAAACCAAGCCCAGCUAGAUGAAACGUAUUCCACUGGUGGCCAGAGCAGCCCAGUUACAAAAACAUUAGCUUCCUACAGCCCAUUUCGCUGAGUUAUGCGAGAUUAGCGAUGGAAAACCUGCCUGUGCAGAUUAGUGCUACCGUGUCGGCAUAGCAAUGGAUGCUGAUGUGGAUAGGCUGAGUAGAUGCGAUCAGGCUUGCGUAGUCGAUGACAAUGGCGGUGCAGGCAUCCUUUUAAAGACGAAGGCGACGGAGGCUCAGUUAAAUCCAGCACUCUCUUCCGGAUUUGCAGGGGUAACAGGUCGUGAGGUAAUGAGAGGCGAUGAAUGCUUCGGUUUCAUGUGUAUUUGUUGUUGCCGUUUCGAUGAGAAGAAUGGAGGAGCGCGUCGGUCAUGGCGCCGCUGACCGGAAGACAGAUCGACAGGGAAGACGAACCCUCAGCUACCUAGGACAUGUUUAAUGCACAAUUGACCAAAAUGGUUGGGUGUCAAAAGCCUUGAUGCACCUGUGGUGAAAAAGACACAUUUCCGCCGAUUCAGUAGGAAGCGGGUCAAAUUUGAACUGUAGCUGCCUCAUAGUUUGCUAUUUUUUUUUUCCAAAAAUCAUUUCUAGAUACAAAAGUAUCUAUUUCCAAAAAAUCAGAGAACCACUAGCUAGGAACGGUCCUUCCGCCGUUUUGACCGCAUUUUGAAACGGGCAUAAAAAAUUCAAAAAAAAUCAAAAAAUUGGAAAACCUUCGCAUUGUGUCAUUAUAUGUGACAAAGUUAGGAGGAAAAAUAAUAAACUUGUACCUAGACAAUUAUUUUAAAAAAUAUUCUCAGAAAUGACCUAUCAGCGCGAAGAUUCAUGGCUUUGAAGCCAAAUGAUCAAUCUUAUGGCCACAAUCAUGGCAUAGUUUGUUCAAAUGAUCUCAUAUUGUGCACAAUGGUGCAUCUUGAAAUUCCAAACAAUGUUUCCUAAGGGAGUUUUCAUUUUCUUUGCACGAAAAAUUCAUUUUCCAUUUUUUGAGUGCCCGAAAUGAGGUUUUUUUUUGAAGGAACUACCAAAUAAUUGUUGCAAAAAUUGACCAAAUCAAUUUUAUAAAAUACUAGGUCAUGUUUAAUGCACAAUUGACAAAAUGGUUGGGUGUAAAAAGAUUUUAUCCACCUAUGGUGAACAAGACAAAUUUCCGCCGAUUCAGCAGGAAGCGGGUCAAAUUUGAACUGCAGCUGCCUUAUAGUUUGCUCUUUAUUUUUUCCAAAAAUCAUUUCUAGGUACAUAAGUAUCUAUUUAAGCAUAAAUACAUUGUUUGGAGGAGAUACGUUGAGGUUUGGACGGUGGCCCAGGGCCCCAACUACCUAGCGCGUAGACUCGCAUGCUCGCCGCGUGGUCACCGUGUGACCGUGGCGUUGCCAUGCGUUCUGGGAAGCCUAGGCAUGUCUAGUAGGUUUGGAACUCCUCAGGUAGAUGCUUGGAAGAAAAUAACAACAGAAGAAUCUCACGAGGAGACUGAACUAUGCUCAAACAUGAAUUAGCAGCCAAGUGUUUGAUUAGCGGUACGGGAAAUUCACAAGGCCAAUGGGCCUGAGUUUUGGUUGAGGAUGAUCAUCUACUAGGGAGAUUGUCUUGCCAAAUUUUCAGCUCAAAUGGAGGAGUUUGGAUGGCACUUAUUUUGCAAAGUACCACAUCGGGUAGAAAUAUGGACGUUGAAGCUGGGCUCAAAUGGAUAAGUGGAUUGAGCUGAAAUCUUGUGGAGUAUGGUAAUUUUGGCAUAGGCAAAUGAAGCUGAAUAUUGAGGGCAAUAGGAGUUGUAUAGAUAGCACUUGCUUUGCAAUGUGCCAAUCUGGACAGAAAAUGAAAAUUGAAGCUGGGCUCACAUAGAUGAUUUGAUUGAGCUGCAAUUUGGAGGAGGUUGAUAAUUUGGCCAUAUGAAGGCACUGUAUAAAUUUCAUGCCAUUUGGAUGUGCAUAGCUAGUACUUCCUUCACAAAGCUUCUAGCUGAACAAAAACUUUGGAAAUUUGCCGAGGAACAUUUACUAGGCAAAUGGAGCUGAAUUUUGUCAUGAGGCAAUGAUUUGGAUAGGAAAGAGUGCCCAAAAAUUUCUAGGGCAAUCAAGAAUAUAAAAAUAGCACUUCCUUCACAAAGUGCUGUUCUGAACAGAAUAGGAAAAUGAAUAUUGUUGAAUUAUAUUUUAACUAGGCGAGGAAGGUUUUUGACAUAUUUGAAUAAGAUAUAAUCCAAAGAAUUUAUGGGAAUUUUUUGGGAAUUUUUGGACUAACAGAAAUAUAGGUUGCUUCACAACCUAGGUAAAAAAUUGACACAUGGACAUGACACAUAGGUAAAACUGAUGAGGUGGCGCCUAGUCAUAGCAAUCCACCACAACUUACAAGGUUACGACCAUCUAUAUUGGUCGUGAUCAGCUAGAAAUAAGGCAGCGGAUCAGUGCUGUCUGCUUUAUGACCAUUUCGUGUAAGGAAAUUACGACCUUUUAUGGCCAAAAUGGUUGAUAUAGUUGAGGGUUUGGAGCCCCCCGAGCAGCUUUUGAUCAACUGGUCUCAAAUGGUCGUAGAUCUAUGACCAAUUCUUCCAAGGUCACUGACAGAAGGUCACUAGUUGACAUAUGUAGUGCGCCGCCACCAGCAGCCCGGGGCCAAGCCGGUCGCGGGCGCAGGCGAUGGCAGCAGGAAGGGAGGAGGGAGGGGGCUGGAGGGAGGAGGCCGGUCGCGCGGCCGGUCGCCCGCGGGGGGGCGACGCGGUCGCGAGAGAGAAGGGAUGUCUUCGGUCCCAGUUGCCCUAACUUCAAAAUGCCCCUACGUCAAGGUAUUGGGCUUUAGUACCGACCCUUUAGUCGCGGUUCCCGAACCGGGACAAAUGAGCCUUAUAAACCGGGACAAAUGGCCUUUAUCUAUUAGUGAUAAUAGAGGAAAUAUUUCGAUUGCAUUAUUGAAGAAACCCCAUACCAAGUUGCAUGUAUGUUGGAUGGUGUGGCAGAGAAUAACACAAGUAUAUAUCGUAUCAUUGCUUCCCUCGAAGUCAUUGGGUCUUUUCUAGAAGGUGGAGGUAGGCAUGACUGGUUUCUUCUUCCAAAUAUAUAAGUGAAGUGUUCGAGCAGAAUCGCUCAGGUCCCCUUUUCUCUCUUACAAUCUCUAGCAUCUCCCAUUGUUUCUCUCAAGAACACACACGCACAAGAAAAAAAUGGACUUAGCUUUGCCGAUGCAUUUCUAAUUGCUCAGCAUUAUAUAUUGGCACUGAUGGCAUGCAAUUGACGCCAUAACCUGACCCACUACUCCACUAAUGACCGACCCAUUACACGCCCACGUACUGCUGUAUGCUCAAAUAACUAACUACAUGAUCUAAUCCUUUGUUUUAGAUGCACACUCAAUAUAUCUUGACCAAAUCUCUCGGUCGUUUGAUUAAACUCAACGUUUAGUUUUUUUUUGAAACAAGGCAAAAGAUUUACCAUUUUCAUUGAUUAAGAAGAAGAGAAUUGCCCGGUUAAUUGGCAGAAAGCCGGGCUAAAACCGAUACAACUCAACCCACAUGACAUGGGCACCACCGGCCAACCUGGCCACCGACAUGGGAUCACAGAGCUACAAACAACUGCACAGAAACCAUGACGGCACAUGCCAACAGAAGGCCACACGCGUGAAUAACCGACAGCUCCGACUUUGACGAUGAUCAUCACAAGGGAAAUAUGCAGGACUUGCGCUGACCGUGCCCUCUGAAACCGACCACCGAGCGCCUGUCAUCAUCACCGCAUGGACACACUCCACCGCAGCUCCGACUUCAAAGCAACCAACGGAAGAGCACAUCGAACACGCGGGGAAGAUCCGACUACCGAAGCCCGAGCCGCGACCAAAGCUCCUCUCGAAGUCAUGAUCGUUGCCAAACAUAAAUCCACGCCCCCGAAAUGGCCGCCUCAGCAAACUACGCGGCGAAGAUGCCGCAAACCACGUGGCGAAGAUGCCGCAACCCACAAGGAGGAAAUGGUCUCCAGGUUGUGGCCGGCUCCGAGACGAUGCCCCCAAGGAGGAAGAAGACGUGAAGGCGCCUUCAUCGCCCGAUCCCGAAGAUCUGAGGUUUCCCUCCGGAGCCAAGGCCGCGGGAGGGAGGAGGAGCACCACACAACAACAACGCUUCCAAGAAAGAGCACGACGCCCACAGACGUCGCCGUCGCCGGAUCCGGCAAAGGCCGGACAUAGGAUUUCUCCCGGAGAUGCUCAACCACCACCUGCCGCAUCAACGCAGCCAACAAACCCCAUCCUGCCAAGGCCAAUCCCGCACUGGUCGUGAGAUCCCACGACCCACCAUGCCCAGACGCGCGCACCACCCCCUAGCCGAAGCCGCUUCCACCAAAUCCGGGGCCUCCGCCCCGGCAGCGUCCACCACGCCACCAGCCACGCCGGGCUAGCAAGCCAGCCAGAACUGCAGCACCAGGCAGGGGGGCACCCCGCCCCAUCCCACCGAGCAGAGUUGCCAGGCCGAAACCCGAGCACAUCUGCCACAGCCACAACAGCAGCAGGGGCGGCGCCGCCAAAGAGCCAGGAGCCUCCGGCCGCAGCCCCAACCGCCGGAUCCACGCUGCCAAGAGCCACCAGAGCACCUCCACCAUCCGGAUCCACUCCGUCAGAUCGGGGCCCACCGCCCCACCGAGCCGCCCGAGCCCCGCUGCCACCGCCGAGCCGCCGAACCACCGCAGGUCGCCAAGCCGCAGCAGGACCACCUCCUCCACGCCAGGGCACAAGGCCGCUCGCCGACGCCAACCGCUGCCCGACGCCACAAGAUCCCCAUCUUGCAACGCCCGCCAGCGCGAGAGGAGACCCCGCUGCCGCCCGCUCCGCACGAGCUUUGCCCGCGGGAGGCACCGGCGAUGGCGAGGGGUGGAGGGGAUCGAGGGGCCGAGCGCCUCGGUGGCUGGGGUCGCAGCCCGUGUCGCCCCUGGGGCCGGUGCGACGCGGGGGCAGUUUUUCCCACAACUUGGUGAUGAUGGUCUCCAGAACUCAACGUUUAGUAGCUCAUGCAGCCAUUGCACCUCUUGAUCAGCUCACAUGCAUCACCAGCACAUUAGCACCUCGCCCAGACAUGCUUCCAGCUGCGCCGGCCUUAUAUCACGUACCUCCUGCUAGAUGCCACCAUGGACAAACCAUCAUUGAUAAUUUGAGAUUACCAUUUAGAACCAUCAUUCAUUGGAUGUGGUACAACCUUUGACCCUCUAAUGCGCAUGCUAAAUUAGAGUUGCUAAUAUAACCACUACAAUGUUUAAUAGCAACAGAAAUAGAAGACAUGCGGGAGAACUUUUUUUUCCAGGCUUUGAUAAUUUGACUUUACAAUAUGCCUUUGUGCAGUCUAUUUUUAAAACCACUCUAGCCAUCAUAUUGCGGUGCAACUCAUGAAGAAUCACGACCCCAUCAAGGAUGAUUUAGUCCUACAUGAAAGCUGUUUCUGUGGGCUGAGUCACUUGGUCAGCACACCAAUGGUCAACAAAGUCAGCUAUUUGCUACCUCAAAAAAAUAAAAAUGAAGCCCACAUUAAGUAGGCAUACACCAUGUGUUGUAGAAUCCCACAAGCCUCCUUAGUUUAGGAUACCAAAUUAUUUCAGUGAAGUCUAACCUACAGAGCUCAAGGUUGCCCAUAAUGAUCUUUCAAAACAUCCAAUAGAACUCAGUUGGGAAUCCAUCUGGUCCGGACGCUUUAUUAUACUACAUCUAAAACGACACUCCUCGCUUCUUUAUGAAAAGGGGCGGCGAGGAGCUCAUUUUUAGUAUCUGAAAACAUGUGGGAUGUCUUCUGUUCACGCCUCUUCUGAUGAGAAACUAUACUCAUGUGAAGUUCCGAAUUUGCCUUUAUAAUAUUCUGUAAUACAUGCCUUAAGGGGGCCAUUCCCUCGAUCGGGCCCACAUGCUGUUGAAGACUAUAAAUGCAUUUUCUUAUGUGUUGCCCAUUGGCAAAAGAACAUCUUCCUCUUUGCUCCUUUUCUUUAGUGGUGGAUUUGUUGAUACACCUUAUUCUUUAAAUUACUCUCCAACCUCCCCUAAAGUGGCUAUGAAAUGAUGCAAUCUGUGCAUGUUUAGUUUGCAUCUACUCCAGUUCAUCCCUCUCAGCAAUACUAAAAGGCAUACUUGAGUACCAUUGUUCCAUGGUUGUUGGAGAGUUAAGUGCAUCAAUAAACUUGUAAAAAUAUCAUAUUGGAUCAGCAUGCUUCCCGUAUUAUACAAGUACUGUAUAAAUCAAGCUGCUAAAUUUCUUGUGGAAGUGCAUUCGAUCUAGAUUGCAAAAAAUUAAUAAGAAACAUGUGGUCAAGACAAAAAUGGGGAAAAGAAACAUUUAAUUUUUUCUACAAUUCACCAAACUUGUAUUAAGUAAUGUCUUCUUCAUUAUUUUUUACCUACCGGCUCUUUACAAUACUAGCGUUCAUUUUUACUUGAUGCCAAUUUUUCAUUUGAGCUCUUAAUGCUAUUUCCUGCAUAUUUCCCCCUUCAAAUUUCACCAAGCUUGGUCUAUUACAUCUUUUAAAUGUUGCGAAUAAGAAACAAAGAGAAAUUCGUAGGCACUUAACACAUCUUACAUACUUCCCAUAUUAUAUUUCUCCAAUUUAUAAUCCUUGGUGCACCAAUUUACAUAGAAAGAUGUGUGAUUUGUAGUGGAUCACAAGCAGGUGUGUGUUCUAUAGUGGAAACGCGUACACGUGCUACGUGCCACCUUAUUACAAUACACAAAAUUCUGGUUGUUAAACAGUCAUUGUUGAUGACAUCUCACACACGUGAAGUUUCUAUUAUGUUCUAAUGCAUCAAGAUUCCUCCAAUUCCUAAUCUUACCCCAUUAGAAAAUAAAGAAUAAAUAUAAGAAAACCACAACCCAUGUACAUCACUUGACCACAAUCUUAGAAAUUAUUUUCAUAUAACCAUCACUAUAAGAUUCACUACUACAGUCUAGGUCUAUUAAGACCCCUCCACAGACGGUGGGAGGGGAAGGGUGUGCAUUGUAAUAACCACAAACAUUCAUCAAAAGAGAAUCGUUUGUGAUGUGGCACGUGUGAAAGAGGGGCUUGUGAGGUGAACCAUAUGGUGCACAGGCUAGGAAAAAUAGCCAUUAGUUUGCGAUGUGAUAUAUGAAAAGUAAUGGUUAGCUCACAUGGUCGCAAAGCUUUUCAGGUGCCCCGUUUGCAAUGAGACACUGUAUCCGCUCACUUAAUUAUGCAGAUGUAUGUGAUGUAAGUACGGUUGGGUCUUGACACAUUUUUACAAGGUGGACCUUGGAGGGAAUUGCACAAACGACCAAUAAUUGGUGCUGAAUUUGCACAAAACACCAACUCUACGGUUUUGCUGCACAGAACACCACAUAUAGGUGUAAUCUAUAGCAGCUAGGUCCAAUCCAACAUUUAGGUAUGUUGAUGUGAUUUCUGAUAGGACAAGAUUCAUAGUUGGAAACGGUACUGCUACGAGGUUUUGGGAGGAUACAUGGCUAGGGGAGACACCCCUCGCACUCCAAUAUCCUUCCUUGUAUAACAUUGUUCAGCGUAGAGAUGCCAACGUUGCAACAGUGAUGCAGUCCACUCCGCUUAAUAUUCAGUUUAGGAGGAGGCUAGUGGGGACCUGUUGGGAAGCUUGGCUCCAUCUUGUCCGAAGAUUAAUGGAUGUUCAACUGUCCCAACUGCCCGAUCAGUUGAGCUGGAAAUUAACUAAGAAUGGCGAAUUUUCGGUUAAAUCCAUGUAUUUGGAUGCUAUCAACUCUAGCGUGAUUCCUAGAUCGAAACAUGUUUGGAAUAUCAAAGUUCCUUUGAAGUUCAAAGUGUUUAUGUGGUUUGUGCAUAAACAAGUUAUUUUAACGAAGGACAAUUUAGCAAAACGCAAUUGGACAGGAUCUACCAGAUGUAGUUUCUGCGACCAACACGAAUCCAUCAAACAUCUCUUUCUGGAUUGUCCCUUAGCAAAAAAUUUGUGGCGGUCGGUCCACAUAGCUUUUAACAUUACACCACUGAAUUCCAUCAAUACGUUAUUUGGGACGUGGCUUGAUGGGAUAAAUAUUGAUACAGCGAGACACAUUCGUGUGGGAGUGUGUGCUUUAUUAUGGGCAAUCUGGAAUUGCAGAAAUGAUUUGGUUUUUAACAGAACAACAAAUAUUCAUUUUUUGCAGGUUAUAUUCAGAGCCACUGCGUUGAUCCGUAUGUGGUCGCUACUCACUCCGACGGAGGCCAGGGAGCGUUUGGUUACUGCGUCUACCCGAUGGGAGAUGGUAGCACGGGGUAUUUUCAACCGGUUUGGAUGGCGGUCAUGUAAUAGGAUAGGCAUGUAGUGCUUUUAUCUUUUUAUGCCAGCCGGUUGUGGCUUUUCCUUUUUUCUGUUCGGCUCUGGUGGAGCCUUUUACCUUUUUUGAUCGAGACUUGGAGACUUAUGUUGGAUAUUUUGCUUAUUAAUAAUACUGUCCGCAUGCAUCAUUUAGAUGCGGAGGCUGGGGCAUACCCCCUUUUUGAAAAAAAAGUGAUUUCUGAUGGGUGAGCCUCGCUUGUAAGUGCACCUUUUACAAAAAAGAGAUAUUUCUCAGACCUUUGCUCUGACUGAGCUCAAAAUUUUCCAGAUUAGUAUUGAGCAGAUGUACUAUCUACAAGAAGUGUUUUUUUUUUUGCAUUUCUCUGAAAAUGUAAAAAAAUUAAUCAAAAAAUCGAACGAGCUAACUAAAAUUGGCAAUAUCUCCCAAACCUUUAGUCCAGACGAAUUGAGAUAUUCCCAUAGCAGUGCUGGCUACAUUUAUAGUUUACUAGAUUUUUGUAACUAUUUUUUUGAUAAUGUUAAUUUUGAACCAAACUUGAAUGAAACAACAAAACCAUCAUAUAUCUACCAAACCAUUGGUCCAAAUAAGUUGCGUUUUUUCCAAAAUAGUACUGAUGGAUACACGUGUGAUUUACUGGAUUUUUCUUGCAUUUUUCUGAAAAUAUGGAUUUUAAGUCAAAAAAUUGUAUGGGCCAAAAACUACGAUGGGACGUCCUCAGUUUUAUUUGCUGGCUAUGUGGCCGUUUUUUUGGCACAUGCACGCUUAAAAGUGGGACCCAACCAACAAAAAAUAACAUCAUCUUACGAGAAAAGUUAAAUUAGAACUAAAUGCAAUGGGUUACACUGAUAUAUAAUGUUCUGUGCAACAAAACUCGUAGAGUAGAUGUUCUGGGUAAAAUCAACACAAAUAGUUGGUGGUUUUGUGCAAUUUCCUCGUGGACCUUGUUUCAACCAUCUGACUCAAUCCCAGCAAUAAUGCUCGUACAUUAUUGCUGCAGAGGCUACCUCAAGCGCAGCAGGGGUGGCUUAUCGGAGGGGCUGAGUGUGGUCUACUAUUAGAGGCACGGUCCAUGAAGGGGACUACGAGAGGUGCAGCAGCGGUGGCAUCGGUGCUGAGUGGGCUCAAGAUGUUAGCUGACGACUGCUGCAGUGGUAUCCUCCGGAGGCUUGCUUGUUCGAGCUAGCUGUUGCUUGGGCUGCAGCAGGCUGCAGCUGCACCAGGCAGGUCGAGCAGCAACUAGUCCGACAGUUGAUCUUGUUCUGCUUCGUCAGCUGCCCGUGGCCCAUUGGCUCUGGGUAAGAAUUCACACUUCUCCGAUGCCUCCCAUGCCUAGUCCUACUAUGGUCACCUCGUGAUUUGAAAUUGAAGUCCGCCAACUUAUCUGACAUAUCGAAGCAGUUGGCAACUUGGCAUCCCUCCUUUAUUUAUGGGAGGAGCAAUGGAACUGCAUUCGAGUAUAUCUUGUACAACAAUCGUACAGAGCCACAUCGUAAUGUAAUUGCCAUAUGAAGACCACAUGCUCAUCCAUGCACAUGGGUGUUGGUUCUGAUUUCCAAACUCUACAUUGGUCGGUGAACUUUAUGACGGGCGUGAUAGAUGUUUUUGCAUGCUGUAGAUUUCUCUACAUGCAUGAAUGGAGAUAGUUCAUCGACCAUACAUUCAUCAAAAGAUUUGGCACCCCUCAUUUUAUUUGGCUGCAAACACGAAUAUCAUGUUGCUAAACCGGGGAGGUGACCAACGGUACCAAGGGAAAUGGAACGGCAGCAGUGGUUACAACAAAGGUUAAGGUAAAAACCGGUGCAAGAGGGCUAUCAGAAACACUGCAAGCCAAAGCAAAACAAUUUCAACAAUGAUUCCUCUUCGGGUUCAGGCAAAGCCGCAGUAGCAGUGGGGGCUGCGACUAUUUGAGACUGGUUCAGGGUGUGGCCGUACAGGUCACAUCCAGAUCGACUGUAAUUUAACUCCUCUAUGCUGUCUUUGCAAACAAAGAAGGGCACUCUGUGAUUGAUUGUAAGGUUCACACCCAGUUCCCCAGUUGCAGAUGAUGGGACACAACAUUCGGAGACGGCUUUUUUUGCAUCAAGAUUGAAGAAGCGAAGAUUAGGAUUAGGUAUAGGGGUUAGGGAACUCUCUGGUAGCCAACAUUAAGAUUGAGAAACAUCGCAUCUCGUUCUCACCCCUUGAUCUGAAUGCCGAGCUGAACUGCCUCCUCGACAUAGAGGACUGGGCUUGGCAAGUGUCUAAGAUCAGUGACACAGAUUUUUUUUUGUGCUCCCUAGCAAACAGAGCCUAAGUCUUGGCCUUAACAGUCGAGGUAUGAAGCUCCCGAUCUGCAAAAGAGUUGUCUUUCUCUACUUUGAUAGCGUGCUCCCGAGGCUGGUGCCCGGGCUGAUGCAAUUGCUCCAGGCUAGCGGAGAAUCAGCUACUCCUCUAGCUGCUGCAGACCCCAUGGCUCCGAGUAAGAAUUGGCACUUCUCCGAUGCCUCCCAUGUCUAGUCCGUCCAUGGUCACCGAAAGAUAUAGUGGUGAUUUGAACUUGAGGUCGUCCAGCUUCUGUCAAACAUUGAAGCAAUUGGCAUCCCUUCAUUAGCUCUUACCUUCUUAGCUCACAUGUAAAAAGAAGGGGUCAGAAGGAGCAUGUUAAAAUUUGCCAUUAUUUAUAGGAAAAGCACUACAACUGCACUCAAGUUGAUCUUGUACAACAACCUACAGAGCUAGAACAUAAUGUAAUUGACAUAUGAAGGCCUUAGGCUCAGAACUACACAUGGUUGUUGGUUCUGAUUUUUGAACUCUACAAUCACUACAUUUGUCAGUGAAACUUAUGACAGGCUUGAUAGAUGUUCCUGCAUGCUACAUAUUUCUCUACAUAAAUGGAGAUGAUUCAUCGACCAGGCAUUCAUGAAACGAUUUGGCACCCAUCAUAUUAUUUGGAUGCAGACAUGAAUACCAUUUCCAUUCGAAAUGGAAUUUGAAGUAAUGGGGUUCUAAAUCUAAUUUUUUUGUUUGGCAGUGGUCAGGAAUUUUGAAACAAAGUAAAAUCUGAAACUCGUUUGAAUCCUGGAUACAAUACAAUGAUAAACAACAAACUAGACAAAAUUUCACAUAUGACCUGGAAAUGAGAUUCGCUGGCACCAACGCUCUUGCUUCUGUCCUUGUCGUGCGGCGCCCACUCGGCUCGUAUCCGUAGCGGGCUAUGCACACCUGUGCAGGGGUACUUUCCCCAGAGUCACUGUUGUCCAUGCCACUCAUCGCUAGUAUGUGUGCACCCAUUGCCCGCAUGUCAUUGUUGGCCUCGUAUGAGGCAUGAGCUCACCGCCCUAAUGACCAACAUAAGUUGAUGGUGUCUAUGGGUUCAGUCAUUGGUUUGGAGGGUGACAAAUUCAGUUCUCAAUUUGAAAAACCAAAAUUUCUUGAAAACUAACCCAACCGAACAGAACAGAAUGUAUCAUAUAGCCCCGAUGUUCACCCCCUAUUGGUAAGGAAUGGACUUGUCCAAUAUCUAUAUGAUACCAACUCACGGUAUCACCUUGAAAACAGUUUUGAAAUACUUACAGAUAUGUGUGUACAAGACCAUAAUAUCACAGUAAAUUUGGUCUACGUAUAGGGAAACAAAAAGAACAAACCAUCCUGAUCAGACUCUUUAUAAUAUUAAUGGUAGAAUCUGUCUUUUUUGUUUCUGUAUGCAUUGAUCGAAUUUGGGUUUUGAAUUUAUCUAUGCAGCCCCAAGGAAAACGCUACGUUGCAUAAUGAUAGCCAAGCAGAUUGGGUAAAACCCAUGUUCAUGUUGGUCUUGUAAUUAAUGUUUACUUACUGACUCCUCUUGGCAUUUAGUCCACGUGUAUUUCUGGUUUCACAUUUUCGGCCACAACCCAUGAGAUGCUGCAAACAUGCAAAAGUUCUUGAUUACAAAAAUUCAAAAUCCUCCGAGCAACUAUGUCCUUGAUUUAGUGAUAGUUGUGACAUGGACCUACAUAUGUCAGUGGCUCACGAUACUACUACUAGCCAAGGUUUUGGUUACCAAAUGAGGCAUUUUUACCGAGGGAAACUGGUAAACGUGGUUACCAUGGUUACCAAGAAAUACCGAAAAUAUUUCGAACGAAUUUUAUAGUUGAAUUUUGAAUUCAAUUAAGUGAAUGAACGAACAUUUGACCUAGAGACCUCUCAAAACAGGAACUAGGUUGCUACCAACACGCCAGAACCAACUCUCAUGACAUUAAUUAGAUCCUACGCACUUUACUAUCAAUCAGAGUGUUUAAAUUCAAAAAAUUCAAAAAAAUGGUAUUUUUUUCUUGGUAUGGGGAUUUACCGAGGGACAUGGAAAUACGCGGUAACCAUGGGAAAUCUCGAAAUUUCGACCGGUAACCAAAACCUUGCUACUAGCUAUAGUUAAGUUGGCUUGUUACUUUGUCCCAGCACUGCCGUCAGGGGUAAAUUAGUUUGUGUGUGCUCGGCGCAAGCCAUAGCCACCCUGUAUAAAAGCUAGAACAAAGAAGCUAGGUAGAUAAGUGUUUCUUUUGUAACACAUGUGUGUAAGGAAAUAUAGUCAGUUGUUCCUAAAGCGGACUAAUAUCUGGCUAUCAUACACUACGGCAGUAGAAUUGCAAGAUUAGGAGUAGGAGGCAUCAGGGAUUGCAGGAAUUCUACAAAAUAUUGCUUUUCAUCCUGGUGCUUCAAUGCUGCUCCAGCGCCUCCCACGAGUCGUGCCAUCUGUACAGUCAGCUCUAGACAUAACCACAUACAUUGCUCAGAGCAACUCCAACCAACUCUCUCGCCUCUGGUUAGCCCGGUCCAGAUCCCCCACCGGAGCUUGUCCACGAGGGCGCCGAGCGGAGAGAAAAGGAAAAGCAAGGACAGGCGUAUAUUGCCUGCUUCCAUGACCGGGCGGGAGACAAGACCAGCGGCUGCGUUUUCUCGUUGCAAAAGGACGAACUGCUUUGCAAUGGUGGCGAGUCUAGAAAAAUGCAGAGCCGCAUAGGGGGACCGAGCAUAUGUUUUUCGGUCCUUUUUCUGCAAAAGCUAAGACGGAUUCCAUACUAGCAGCAAUUAGACUUGCUCCUAUCAAUUUAUUGUCUCAGAAAGAACGGAAAGUGGGUGAUGAGUAGAAGGUGUGUCAUCUUGUUGUGUCAAGUCAGCUUUGACAAAUAUCCUGCCUAUGACAAUUGGCCUACCUGUCAAAACAUUACUUGUACGAGAGUAGGGAAACUGGCACACCCUCAACCAUAUGCUAGAGAGCCUCUUAUCACUAGUAGAAAAAGGGGCUUUUACCUUGGUUCGUAAAGGCCUUUUGUCCCGGUUUUCGAACCGGGACUAAAGGGUCGUUACUAAUGCCCUAACCCUUUAGUUCCGGUUCUUACACGAACCGGGACAUAAGGUCCUCCACUUGGCCGCUGCUGCCAGCCCAGGCAGGAGGGCUUUUGGUCCCGGUUGGUGACACCAACCGGGACAAAAGCCCUGCCUAUUGGUCCAGGUUGGUGCCACCAACCGGGACCAAUAGGCAUCCACGCGUCAGCAGCUAGCAGGAGCUGAGGUUUUUGUUUUUUUUGAAAGGGGGUGGUUUAGGGGUUUUGGGGGGUUAAUUUAGGUGUUUCAUAUAUUGUGUUAGCUAGCUAAUUAAUAGAGAGAAGUGUCCUCUCUUAUCUCCGUGCUUGGUCGACGCUACGUACUAUAUACGUAUGGAGAGGAGUAGACACGCUAGCUAGUAAUCAAAUGAAGGAAACAGAAGAUCGUCAUGAACAUAUGCAUACAGUGAGAAGUGAUAUCGACCACCUCUCCUUCUCCGAGAUAUUGGUCGAACAACAAGUUCUCGUAUAUCUAUCCGACACUACCGGCUACAUAUAUACAAUAAUUAUCUCUUACAAUACAAUCUCCUAAUUAAAUUGUAUGAACACAGGGUCCACAUAGUAUUCUCCGUUUUCAGCGAUCACGUGGUCAAGGAAGAAUGCCGCCAAUUCCUCUUGAAUUCCUCGCAUACGAUCUUCUGCUAGGAGUUGAUCCCGCUUCCGAAAAAUCUAAUUUGAAGAAGGGGGUCAAUACAUAUAUAUAUGAAUAAAUGAAACUCAACACAAAUGAUGGUAAUAAAAUAAAAUUGUGAAUAUUAUUGCUUACACACUUCAUAUUGUUCUUCAGUGUAGCCCCGCUCAUAGGUCGUGUAGCGGAUGGACUCGCAAACGUAGUAUCCACAGUAAUUAUUCCCGGGUUCCUGCCACAACCACUUUACAAGAAAUAGAGGUCAAUCUAACUGAUAAGCAAGCAUGCUAAAUGGUAUUGAUCAAACUAGCGCUUGAAUCACUAGGAGAUGCGCGGAACAUGCUACUAUAGUACUUACUUUCGGGUGUUUAAAUUGCAGCUUCUUCGGCAGUCCCAGAGCUUUUGAGGUGAAAUUUCUCCAAACCCUGCCAGACAAAGAAAUCAGUUACUUGAUAUCAGGAAAUGAACAAAGUUGCUGAUAUGAUGGAUAAUGAUUGAUUUAACUUACUUCUAGAGCAUUUGAGUCAUGUUCGCAUAGUCCUGGGGAUCUUUUCGUUUCGAGUCUAAGACGGUUACUACUCCCGGCUCAAGCUUAAUCUCUAGGAGAAUAUAGUGGAAGCUGCGCAUGCAUGCAUAAGUCAUCAAUUACAUUAUCAUAACCUGGACUAAUUAGGGAAACCGAAUAUGCACAAGACAGUAACACUCACUUGAAGUUGUAAGGAAAGAGUAUUAUAUCUUUGUUUUGAUUUAAUAUCAACGAUUGUAGCAAGUUGGCCUCGGCUUCUUUGGGAUUUUUUUCAACCGUAUAUGCAUCUAUGAGAUUUGUGUUAAUGAACCCAAUAUCACCGAUUUGUCUUUUCUUCAAUUCGGCGAUCUUCAAUCUGCAUAAUAUAGUGAGGAUAAGUAUAAAUACAUGCAAUGAAAGAGCUGACCUAUAUAGAGAGACUUAAUGACAGAAGUAGUACUACUUACAGACAGUAGCAAGUGAUCGUUGUUUUAUCGAGGGACUUUAGAUUGUAAAACUGGAAGAAAUCCUCAAAUGGAACAUUCAGCAGUUCAAUUCCAACGAGGUCAUGCUCCGGCUUAACUCUCAGCGUCAAAGUACUCAUCCCAUCAGACUCUCUGCAGGUUUUCAUGUACCAAUCAUGUAGUCUUCGCAUCAUCGUGCUUAGAGAUCUGACAUCUUUGACGAGAGGCUUCCCGUAAUGGUAUUUGUGGUUGUCCACCUCCAUGAUUUCAUAAUGUACAUCGUCGGGCAGGUAAUCUCCAAGAUUGCUAUAACCGGGCACCAUACCCGGAUCAUUAGCGACGAUGUCUUUUGACACCUUGAGCGGGGGGCACGAUUGGUUCACUUGUUCGCCGAGCUGGGCAAUUUUUUUCCCAGCUCGUCGUUCUUUCAUCCUUUUAUCACUGACAGUACUUCCCGACCGCUCCGCUUCGGCAUAUGCCUUUCCAAGAACGCGCUCAUAGUUGCCUCUUGGCGGAGACUUUGGUGGUUUUGUCAGGGCAGCCAGAGUGCGCUUUGCUUUCACCGGAUCUACCUUCUCCUCCGGAGGUGGAUGUUUGUUUGCUUUGUCCCCUUCAAAGAAGUUCUUCACUUCGGCUCGCACGAUCUUCGCGUUCUCCUCCUCGGUCCUCUCAUAUGGUAACUUCUCUGGAGUCUUCAGAGAAGGACCGAAUCUGUAUUGCCUCCCGCCUCUGGCAGCUGUAUUGCUAGACGCCGGCAGAGCAGACGGAGCGGCUGCGGCUGUCUUCUUUCCUUGCUUACGAGGCGGAGGAGAAGGACUACGACGCGCCGGAGCAGCCGCAGCGGCGGCAGGUCUCUUCCGCCCUUGUUGACGAGGCGGAGAAGGAGGAGGCUGGCUGCCCUGGCGCGCCGGCGCUGGCGGAGAAGGAGGCGGAGUGCCGCCACGCGCCGGAGAAGGAGGCUGAGUGCCCUGAUCACUCGCCGGAGGAGGAGGCGGAGUGCCCUUACUCGCCGGAGCCGUCCAGUUCGGAAGCUUGAUGAGCUCCUUACGCCAUAGGCAUGGAGUCUUCAGAGCUAAACCCAACCGAGUCUCCCCUUCACCGGUAGGGUGGUCAAGCUGGAGGUCCUCAAAUCCCUCCGUUAUUUCAUCCACCAUCACCCUAGCAUAUCCUUCUGGAAUCGGCCGGCAGUGGUAGGUUGCGCCGGGUUCAGUAGGUAAAACAGAGCCAACAGCCGCCUUGACUUUCAAGUUCUGCCAUUUCGCCAUAAGGUGGCAAUGUUGAGACUCCGUGAUAGCAUCCACGGGGUAGCUAGGAGUAGCCGCAUGCUCCAGCUGAAGCAGCUCGGUGGAAGCCACGCUGCUUCUACGCUGAGAUGGCGGUGUAGCUUCGGGGGCAGUUUCGGCAUCUCUAUUGCGGUCUCGUUCCUCUAGCACUUGAACCCUUUCGUGCAGACGCGGAAUUUGGAUCUGCUCCACUUUUUUCCUCCACUCCUGGGUUUUGUAACCGCCCGCGUCCGGAAAACCAGCCUUCCACGGAACGGAGCCUGGCGUGCCUCGUGUCCGUCCAGGGUGCUCAGGAUUCCCGAGGGCCAUUGUGAGCUCGUCGUUCUCUCUGUCUGGAACGAACGUCCCUUGCUGCGCUGCAUCGAUAUAGUGCUGAAUCUUCUUGACGGGUAUUGCAAGUUGCUCGUCCGUCCAACGACACCUCCCUGAUACAGGGUCCAAGGUUCCGCCAGCCCCGAAGAACCAAGUCCGGCAACGGUCUGGCCAGUUCAUUGUCUGUGGUUCGAUCCCUUUAUCAAGCAGAUCCCUCUCAGACUUGGCCCACUUAGGCCGGGCUUUGAGGUAGCCACCUGACCCCGUGCGAUGGUGAAGCUUCUUCUUCGCAGCAUUCAUCUUGUUUGUCGCUGACAUCUUCUUACUCUUUUCCGAUGUCUUGUGGGCCACAAAUGCGGGCCAGUGAUCUCUGAUCUUCUCAUACCGGCCGAUGAAUUCAGGUGUCUCUUCUUUGUCGACAAACGUUUUCAGCUCAUUCUUCCACCUCCUGAAUAGGUCUGCCAUCUUCUUAAGAGCAUGAGACUUGAUUAAUUGCUCUAUAACUGGCUUCUCCGGAUCCUCCUCUGGCGGUAGGGUGAAAUUUGCCUUCAGCUCAGUCCAAAGAUCAUCUUUCUGCAUAUCAUUGACAUAAGACACCUCAGGGUCUUCCUUCUUAGGCUUAUACCAUUGGUGGAUGCUGAUCGGGAUCUUGUCCCUAACUAGAAGCCCGCACUGAGCAGCAAAAAAAUCCUUUGUCCGGAGGGGUUCAAUCGGUUGGUCGUCGCGCGCGAUUGCUGUGAUCUCAAACCUUUCAUCCGAGCGCAACUUUCUCUUCGGGCCUCGUCUCUUUACCGCAGUUGUGCUCGAUCCGGAGGGCUAGAAAAAAGAAGAAAGACGAGUGUUAAUUAAUAUGUGUACAUACCAAAACAAUGAAUGCAUCAAUUAGCUAGUCAGCACAGGCUUAACUAAUAUAUUUACCUGGCCGGACUCUGUUCGGUCACCGGAGCCGUCACCACGGGCUCCUUCUUGCACCGGCAUUGGGUCACCGGAGCCAUCAUAAUCAUGUCUUUCCUCCUCCACUCUUCGAUCACCGCAGCCAGCUUCUUCACCCUGUUCUUCCAGACCAUCAUUGUCGUUAAGAUACGACAAGAUAUCACCUCCGGCUAAGAUUAUGUCCCCCAACACCUCUUCUGCUUGCUCAUCUCGUCCGUGCUCCAUUGUUUCUGCAAAUAUUACAACAUGGCAAUUAUUACACAAACAUGACAGCAGGUGGAUAUAUUAGUGCAAACGUAGACCUAUCUUAUUCCGGGUUUGGGGUGGCCUAGGCAACGCUUCAAGGGUAGGGCGCGGCGGGAGGGGGUAGGAGACCGACAUCGUUUUUUUCAAGGGUUUGGGUGUCCUCGAGAGUUUUGGUCGAGCGAGAGGGCCGGGGGGUGCUCCCGUGGUAUUAGUUAUCACGGUCGAGAGGGGGUAUACAUAUCGACCGUCCAUCAUGUCGAAGUUAUCUGGGAGGGAGUUAUAUAUAUCGACAACGACGACAUACAUACACGGGAAAAUAAUGUUAUCGAGGAGGGGGUAUAUAUCGACCCCCCCCACGUGUUGAAGUUAUCGGGAGGGGGUUUUAUAUCGACAACGACGACAUACAUACACGGGAAAAUAAUGUUAUCGAGGAGGGGGUAUAUCGACCCCCCCCCUCGUGUUGAAGUUAUAUCCCCCCUCGUGUUGAAGUUAUCGGGAGGGGGNNNNNNNNNNNNNNNNNNNNNNNNNNNNNNNNNNNNNNNNNNNNNNNNNNNNNNNNNNNNNNNNNNNNNNNNNNNNNNNNNNNNNNNNNCGGGAGGGGGUAAUAUCGACAACGACAACAUACAUACACGGGAAAAUAAUGUUAUCGGGGAGGGGAUAUAUCAACCCCCCCUCGUGUUGAAGUUAUCGGGAGGGGUAUAUAUCGACGACGACAGACCCGAUAAAACAUAAGAAAACGAAGAAGAAAUAAAAAGAGGAGAGAAGAAGAAAGGAAUAGAGGAGAGGAUUGAAGAAAAAAAAGAAGAAAAAAAAGAGGAGAAGAAGAAAGGAAUAGAGGAGAAGAAGAAAAAAUAGAAUAUUUUCUAUUUUUUCUUCUUCUCCUCUAUUCCUUUCUUCUUCUCCUCUUCUUUUUCUUCUUUUUUCCUCUUCUUAUUUAUAUCUCCUCUUCUUCNNNNNNNNNNNNNNNNNNNNNNNNNNNNNNNNNNNNNNNNNNNNNNNNNNNNNNNNNNNNNNNNNNNNNNNNNNNNNNNNNNNNNNNNNNNNNNNNNNNNNNNNNNNNNNNNNNNNNNNNNNNNNNNNNNNNNNNNNNNNNNNNNNNNNNNNNNNNNNNNNNNNNNNNNNNNNNNNNNNNNNNNNNNNNNNNNNNNNNNNNNNNNNNNNNNNNNNNNNNNNNNNNNNNNNNNNNNNNNNNNNNNNNNNNNNNNNNNNNNNNNNNNNNNNNNNNNNNNNNNNNNNNNNNNNNNNNNNNNNNNNNNNNNNNNNNNNNNNNNNNNNNNNNNNNNNNNNNNNNNNNNNNNNNNNNNNNNNNNNNNNNNNNNNNNNNNNNNNNNNNNNNNNNNNNNNNNNNNNNNNNNNNNNNNNNNNNNNNNNNNNNNNNNNNNNNNNNNNNNNNNNNNNNNNNNNNNNNNNNNNNNNNNNNNNNNNNNNNNNNNNNNNNNNNNNNNNNNNNNNNNNNNNNNNNNNNNNNNNNNNNNNNNNNNNNNNNNNNNNNNNNNNNNNNNNNNNNNNNNNNNNNNNNNNNNNNNNNNNNNNNNNNNNNNNNNNNNNNNNNNNNNNNNNNNNNNNNNNNNNNNNNNNNNNNNNNNNNNNNNNNNNNNNNNNNNNNNNNNNNNNNNNNNNNNNNNNNNNNNNNNNNNNNNNNNNNNNNNNNNNNNNNNNNNNNNNNNNNNNNNNNNNNUUCUAGUCGUAUUCAGGCCGUGGUGGCCCAAUAGAUGGCAGUUUUUUAAAUUUUUUGCAUUAUUUAUUUUCUUCUGUUUUUUGCUUUAUUUUUUAAUUCUUUUGCUUUUAGGUCAGCAAAAUUAUAAACUGUCUGUUAGUGCCUAGUUUUAGAAAACAUAUAAACUUUCUAUUAGUGCCAUUAGUUCUUUAUGAAAAUUCUUUUUGCUGUAUUUAGUUUUUUUAUUUUCUUUUUUUCUAUAUUUAUUUUGUUUUAUUUCUACUUACAACAAAAAACUUAUUUAUUUUAUUUUAUUUUGUUUCUAAUUACUUAUUUAUUUUACUUUAUGAUAAUUCUUUUUGCUAUUAAAGUUUCUAUCAAAAAAAGUUCUUUAUGAAAAUUCUUUUUGCUUUUAAUGAUUAAAAAUAAAAAAGAGGCGCAAUGCGCGUUGAUUUGCUUCAAGCCUUUCGGAAUAGUGUAGACUGCACUGCACAUAGCUCGAUGCAGUCUACCUUAUUCCUCAAGGCUUGAAGCUAAGCAACGUGAGCAUUGCGCCUCUUCUUCAUCGUCUCUGCACUCAGGGCUUAUAAACCGCUCCUAGUGCCUCUCAGCUAGCGAGGUGGGACUAAAAAACUGCUUAGCUAGUAAGAAACUCUAGUACCGGUUCGUGCCACGAACAGGUACUAAAGGUGCUCGUGGGGCCACAGCCUCAUUAGUACCGGUUCGUGGCACCAACAGGGACCAAAGGAUGGAAUUGGUCCCGGUUCGUGCCACCAACCGGGACCAAUGGCCUUGCACAGCGGCGUGGUGGUGAGUUUAGUCCCACCUCGCUAGCUAAGAGAGAGCCGCACCUGUUUAUAAGGUGCGGUGCGCCUGAGCUGUCGAGCUCCUCUCUAAAGCAGGCUUACGGGCCUAACCUCUCUGCACUCAGGGCUUAUAAAGCAUUUCAAAUGAACUCUGAAAAGGUUGAAAGUUGGCAUGGUAUCAUCAUUUCAUCCACAUAGCAUGUGCAAGAAAGUUGAGAGGGUUACGGCAAAAACUAGAUGCACUUCUUGUACAAAACGGACAAUGGUAUCAUACUCGUCUAUGACAAAGUUGGCAUGCUAUCAUCAUAAUAGUUGCGGGAGAAAGUCUUCACUUUUUCUUCGCUUGUGUCAUUUGCUUAUUGCGCCGUAACCAUGGAUAAUCUUCAUCGUUUAUCAGGAUGCUUGGGUCAGCCUUGACUUUGAAGGGAGGAAUUUCAUGAAACUUUUCAUAAUCUUCAGACAUGUCUGUCUUGCCCUCCACUCCCACAAUGUCCCUUUUUCCUGAAAGAACUAUGUGCCGCUUUGGCUCAUCGUAUGAUGUAUUCGCUUCCUUAUCUUUUCUUUUCCUCGGUCUGGUAGACAUGUCCUUCACAUAGAUAACCUGAGCCACAUCAUUGGCUAGGACGAACAGUUCGUCAGUGUACCCAAGAUUGUUCAGAUCCACUGUUGUCAUUCCGUACUGUGGGUCUACCUGUACCCCGCCUCCUGACAGAUUGACCCAUUUGCACUUAAACAAAGGGACCUUAAAAUCAUGUCCGUAGUCAAGUUCCCAUAUGUCCAUUAUGUAACCAUAAUAUGUGUCCUUUCCCCUCUCGGUUGCUGCAUCAAAGCGGACACCGCUGUUUUGGUUGGUGCUCUUUUGAUCUUGGGCGAUCGUGUAAAAUGUAAUCCCAUUUAUCUCGUAUCCUUUGUAAGUCAAUACAGUCGAAGAUGGUCCCCUGGACAACGAGUACAACUCAUCACAAACAGUGGUGUCACCUCUGAGACGUGUUUCCAACAACUGCUGAAAGUCCUGAUGUGUUCACAUGUAAUCCAGUCGUCACACUGCUCCGGGUGUUUGGAGCGCAGACUGUUCUUGUGUUCAUCGACAUACGGGGUCACCAAGGUAGAGUUCUGUAGAACUGUGUAGUGUGCUUCAGACCAAGAAUAUCCGUCCCUGCAUAUUAUUGAGUUCCCCCCUCCAAGCUUGCCUUUUCCAGUCAGUCUCCCCUCAUACCGCGAUUUAGGGAGACCUAUCUUCUUAAGGCCAGGAAUGAAGUCAACACAAAACCCAAUGACAUCCUCUGUUUGAUGGCCCAUGGAGAUGCUUCCUUCUGGCCUAGCGCGGUUACGGACAUAUUUCUUUAGGACUCCCAUGAACCUCUCAAAGGGGUACAUAUUGUGUAGAAAUACGGGCCCCAGAAUGACAAUCUCGUCGACUAGAUGAACUAGGACGUGCGUCAUGAUAUUGAAGAAGGAUGGUGGGAACACCAGCUCGAAACUGACAAGACAUUGCGCCACAUCACUCCUUAGCCUUGGUAUGAUUUCUGGAUUGAUCACCUUCUGAGAGAUUGCAUUGAGGAAUGCACAUAGCUUCACAAAUGGCUAAUCGGACGUUUUCCGGUAGAAGCCCCCUCAAUGCAACCGGAAGCAGUUGCGUCAUAAUCACGUGGCAGUCAUGAGACUUUAGGUUCUGGAACUUUUUCUCUGGCAUAUUUAUUAUUCCCUUUAUAUUCGACGAGAAGCCAGUCGGGACCUUCAUACUGAGCAGGCAUUCAAAGAAGAUUUCUUUCUCUUCUUUCGUAAGAGCGUAGCUGGCAGGACCUUCAUACUGCUUGGGAGGCAUGCCGUCUUUUUCGUGCAAACGUUGCAGGUCCUCCCGUGCCUCAGGUGUAUCUUUUGUCUUCCCAUACACGCCCAAGAAGCCUAGCAGGUUCACGCAAAGGUUCUUCGUCACGUGCAUCACGUCGAUUGAAGAGCGGACCUCUAGCUCUUUCCAGUAGGGUAGGUCCCAAAAUAUAGAUUUCUUCUUCCACAUGGGUGCGUGUCCCUCAACGUCAUUCGGAACAGCUAGUCCGCCGGGACCCUUUCCAAAGAUUACGUGUAAAUCAUUGACCAUAGCAAGUACGUGAUCACCGGUACACAUGGCGGGCUUCUUCCGGUGAUCUGCCUCGCCUUUGAAAUGCUUGCCUUUCUUUCGACAUUGAUGGUUGGUCGGAAGAAAUCGACGAUGGCCCAGGUACACAUUCUUCCUGCUUUUGUCCAGGUAUAUACUUUCAGUGUCAUCUAAACAGUGCGUGCAUGCGUGGUAUCCCUUGUUUGUCUGUUCUGAAAGGUUACUGAGAGCGGGCCAAUCGUUGAUGGUUACAAACAGCAACGCGUGUAGGUUAAAUUCCUCCUGUUUGUGCUCAUCCCACGUACGUACACCGUUUCCAUUCCACAGCUGUAAAAGUUCUUCAACUAAUGGCCUUAGGUACACAUCAAUGUCGUUGCCGGGUUGCUUAGGGCCUUGGAUGAGAACUGGCAUCAUAAUGAACUUCCGCUUCAUGCACAUCCAAGGAGGAAGGUUAUACAUACAUAGAGUCACGGGCCAGGUGCUGUGAUUGCUGCUCUGCUCCCCGAAAGGAUUAAUGCCAUCCGCGCUUAAACCAAACCAUACGUUCCUUGGGUCAGCUGCAAACUCCGCCCAGUACUUUCUCUCGAUUUUUCUCCACUGCGACCCGUCAGCGGGUGCUCUCAACUUCCCGUCUUUCUUACAGUCCUCACCGUGCCAUCGCAUCAACUUGGCAUGCUCUUCGUUUCUGAACAGACGUUUCAACCGUGGUAUUAUAGGAGCAUACCACAUCACCUUCGCAGGAACCCUCUUCCUGGGGGCUCGCCGUCAACAUCACCAGGGUCAUCUCGUCUGAUCUUAUACCGCAAUGCACCGCAUACCAGGCAUGCGUUCAGAUCCUUGUACGCACCGCGGUAGAGGAUGCAGUCAUUAGGGCAUGCAUGUAUCUUCUGCGCCUCCAAUCCUAGAGGGCAUACGACCUUCUUUGCUGCGUAUGUACUGUCGGGCAAUUCGUUAUCCUUUGGAAGCUUCUUCUUCAAUAUUUUCAAUAGCUUCUCAAAUCCUUUGUCAGGCACAGCAUUCUCUGCCUUCCACUGCAGCAAUUCCAGUACGGUACCGAGCUUUGUGUUGCCAUCUUCGCAAUUGGUGUACAACCCUUUUUUGUGAUCCUCUAACAUGCGAUCGAACUUCAGCUUCUCCUUUUCACUUUCGCAUUGCGUCCUUGCAUCGACAAUGACCCGGCGGAGAUCAUCAUCAUCGGGCACUGGUUCCUCUUCAUCUUCAGCAGCUUCCCCCCUUGCUGCAUCAUUGGGCACAUCGUCUGGUUCCUCUUGACCUUCAUCAGCUUCCCCCGUUGCAGCAUCAUUAGGCACAUCGUCUGGUUCCUCUUGAUCUUCAGCAGCUUCCCCCAUUGCAGCAUCACCGUAUUCAGGGGGCACAUAGUUGUCAUCGUCCUCUUCUUCUUCGCCGUCUACCAUCAUAACCCCCAUUUCUCCGUGCCUCGUCCAAACAUUAUAGUGUGGCAUGAAACCCUUGUAAAGCAGGUGGGCAUGAAGGAUUUUCCGGUCAGAGUAAGACUUCGUGUUCCCACAUGUAGGGCAUGGACAACACAUAAAACCAUUCUGCUUGUUUGCCUGAGCCACUUCGAGAAAAUCAUGCACGCCCUUAAUGUACUCGGAGGUGUGUCUGUCACCGUACAUCCAUUGCCGGUUCAUCUGCGUGCAUUAUAUAUAAUUAAGUGUGUCAAAAACCAUUACAGAACAUCAUGAAUACAUAAUUAAGUGACCAAAUUAAUAGAAGUUCAUCAUCACAUUAGAUCCAAAGUACAUACAUAGUUCUCAUCUAGCAACAUAUAUAUAGCUCUCCAGAGCAUCUAAUUAAUUAAACCAUACAUUGAAACUAUGUAAAACAUUUCAAUGCGAAAACAAAUGCGAUCAUAAUCGCAACCAAGGUAACAAUUGAUCCAACGGCAUAAUGAUACCAAGCCUCGGUAUGAAUGGCAUAUUUUCUAAUCUUUCUAAUCGUCAAGCGCAUUGCAUCCAUCUUGAUCUUGUGAUCAUCGACGACAUCCGCAACAUGCAACUCCAAUAUCAUCUUCUCCUCCUCAAUUUUUUUUUAUUUUUUCCUUCAAGUAAUUGUUUUCUUCUUCAACUAAAUUUAACCUCUCGACAAUAGGGUCGGUUAGAAUUUCCGGUUCAACCACCUCCUAGAUAAAUAAAAUCUAUGUCACACUGGUCGGUAUUUGUCAUAAACAAUAAAUGAAUCAAAUAGUUAUAAAAAGAUAAUAUAUACCACAUCCGAAUCAUAGACAGGACGAGGGCCGAAGGGGCGGAUACCAAAACCAUCGCACUAUGUAAUAAGAAGGAAUAAAAUAGUAAGAAAAUUAGACAAGUAUCUAUCUAAAGUAAGAAUUUUUUUCUUUCAAAAAGAAGAUAAGAAGAAGAGGCUCACCACGGAUCAGCGCGGGCAGUUGACGGCGGUGAAGACGGGAAUGGGACGUGACGGGCCGCUAAACCUAGACAAAUCUCGAGGAAAAUGGAGCUUUGAGGUCGAGCUUCGAGAGGACAAAGCUUAACUAGUGUGGCUUGGGCAUUUCAUCGAACACCUCAUGUGCAUAGGAGGUGAGCUAGAGCACCACAAAGCCCUCCCCUUGCCGGCCAGAGAAAAACAGAGCACUGGAGUGCUCUGCUCGCAGGCGAGGGGUAUAUAUAGGCACCUCAUUGGUCCCGGUUCGUGGCAUGAACCGGUACUAAAUCCGGGCCUUCUGUCCCGGUUCAUGCCAAGAACCGGGACAAAUGGUUGUGGGCCAGGAGCGAGGACCAUUAGUCCCGGUUCGUGGCUCGAACUGGGACAAAUGGUUCCAUACGAACCGGGGCCAAUGCCCACGAGGCCCCGGCCGGCCCCCUGGGCUCACGAACCGGGACGAAUGCCCCCAUGGGUCCCGGUUCGUGACUGAACCGGGGCUAAUGUGAAAACUGCCCUGUGACCUAUACCCUGUUUUCUACUAGUGUAUUCCUCGUGAUGCACAUAAAUGGUGCAGUAUGGUUACUACUUACUAGCACUUUUCUAGGAAAUUUCUGUUUGGGUCAAGAAUUAAGUUGCAGAACCAAAAUUGAUGGUAACAAUUUCUAUCUGCAAGCAAGUAUUGUAAAACUUUUACGAGGAUGAUUCAUUAAAGGUAAAAGGGUGACACUAAGCAUCAGUUGGCUCAAAGCAUCAAGUUCGAACCCGUCACACAUACGUACGACUCAAAGAGGAGUUCCUCGCGUCGCCUCCAGGGUGACCGGGGGAGCUUACCCUAGCCGUCGCCACCUCCUCCAUCCUCUCCUCUCACCCCGUCGUCCCUAGAGGUGGCCGCCAGGAAAGUCCAUGCGCCAUCGGUGAAGGGGACGGUAGGGAUCUCGGGUACAACGCCUGUGGUGUGGCUGCUUAGAAGGGCUAUACACGGUGGCGCGAGAUCUUCCACUGGUGGCGCUGCUCCUCCCGGCAGCGUGGCGUUGCUCUGAUGACAACGUGGGGAUGGUGGACUCGGCUGGGGCGUGAUCCACGGAGCAAUGGCCUCAAAGUGGCAUUUUUGGUCACAACGGCGGCGGUGUACCCUCCAUCGGGGAUGAUGGGCCAGGAGGCGGCGGCGUGCUCCUCCGUACAGAUCCGGGUCCUAUGUUUGCUCGCGCCUCGGGGGCGUCUCAGUUCUGGAAAGACCUUGUUAAACUUAGGCCUAUUUUCCAAGGCCUCGUCAAGUUUGUUGUUCACAACGGCAGAUCCACUAGAUUCUGGCUUGACUGGUGGUGCGGUUCGACCACGUUGGCAAACUCUUUUCCUGGUUUUUUUCUUAUUGCCCUUACCCUGAGAUCUCAAUCUUUGAGCUCUCUGUCAAUAAUUGGGAUUUGCAACUUCGUCGCUCUCUUUCUCCUGAAGAGUUUGUUGAUUGGCAGCGCCUUGUUGCCUUCUUCCCUGUGCUCUCGAAGGAGGAGGACUCGGUGGUUUGGCCCCAUUCCCCUUCUGGUCGUUUUUCUGUGAAAUUGUUAUAUGGUAAGCUAAUCUUUGGCUCCGCCACUUCCAAAUUCAAGUGGAUCUGGAGGGAUCGUAUCCCUCCUAAGAUCAAGAUAUUCCUCUGGCAAGCUUCUCGCGGGCGGUUGCCGGCUGGUGAUCAGAUCGACAAACGUAAUGGUCCUGGGUCUGACCACUGUGCCCUCUGUGGGUUAAGAGAAGACACGAUGAAUAUCUUCUUUAAUUGUGUUCUGGCUAAACUCUUCUGGUGUUGUAUCAAAUCUUGGUUGCAUGUUUCCUGGAGAUCGUCUUCAACUCUUGGCCAACAACCUGGUUGGGGCCCAGAGGAGAAUGGUUUCGGUGGGCUUGGCAGCGAUGUGCUGGACUCUUUGGACGACAAGAAACAAAUUUACUAUUGAACAUGUUUUUCCUGCUAAACCUGCUGAUUCCUUAUUUAAAACUUGCAUAUUCUUGCAGUAGUGGAGAUUAUUGAUUAAGGAGGAGGACAUAGAUGCAUUCGAUGUGAUGAUAUCCAAGAUUCAGGCUUCUGCUAUCUCCCUUUCUGCAGUUCAAGCCGGCAGUUAGGAGUUGUUGGCCCUGAUGUUGCUGUCUUUAGUCUCCCCGGCCUGCGUGCCGUGUACUGGCCUGGGAGCCAUGUAUGUUCUACUUUAGCCUCUAUGGUUCUGGUUGAUGCUCCGCUUGUGUUGUGUGGCUGUUCGCUGUGGUUCGUUAUGACUCUGCCUGGUGGCUUUAUGUAUAAAGUCGGGCUCUGGCCUUUUCUCUAUAGUGACAGUCCUCGAUGUGGUUGGAGCUGGAGUUGGGGAUUCAGAUCGGGAGAAAUCCCUGGCGGGCACUUGUCGGCCACGACAGCGACGACGCAUGUGGCCACCGUCUUUUCUCCAUGGAGAUGUUCAUUAGAUCUGCUACUACCUCCACCACGCUAGUUGUCUUCUGGGUGAAACCCCUAACCGCAAUGUGCAACAAAGGCGCCUUCAACGCCGUUCGCUUCUUGAAGGCGUCGUGUGGGAGAAAGUUGGCUCUUGGACACUGUUGUGAUGUUGUUUGCUGCGAGCUGGAUCAGGAGGUGGUGCAAUGUGGCAUUUACCGUGUCGGCAGUGGCGGAGCCAGAAAAAGUUAAUGAGGGAGGCCAAGUGUAGUUAAUCCUGGUUGGGGAGGGCCGGUGCAUCAAAAUUCAUCAUUUUAGCAGCAAUUUAUCACCUCUUAACAUGCAUAUUAGGCUUAAAUGAAUGACGUUAGGGGGGCGGGGUGGCUUGGGCCCUUGCUGGUCCCCCUGUCUCCGCCACUGCGUGUCGGUGACAGUGGUCUCGGCGGCGUAGCGCAGCGGGGUCUCGGUGUUGGACGUGUGUUGAUGGACACGUGCAAUGUGAUGGUGUUGUCUGGCAUCGUGGUGGCAUCGACGACAAUUGGGCCUGGCAAAGUAAAUGUAUUGAUCUGUCCUCAAGUUAUGACGGCGGAAGAUGACGGCGGCGGAUAUGAGAGCAUGUGCACCCGGUGCAUGUUGAGCGUCUGCUAGACCGGUUGGUGCUCUCCGCUCGCCGUGAGGCGUCUUGGUGAGGCCACCGCAUUAGAUGAUGUGCGUUGAUGCGUGGUCAGGGCAUAUUAUCAAACUAGUAGAUAUAGUGACAUAGAUCCUAGGAAGGUGGUUGUGGGUUGAUCAAUGCAUUUAUUUUGUCAGACUCUGUUGAAUAAUAUAAUAAAGAUGGAUGUGUGGAUUGCUUGAUGCAGAGGCCGGGAUUAUACUUUUUUCAAAAAAAUAUAUUCUCACGGUCUUCUUUUGCCACCUUUCGAUAGGACAACCCAGCAAUUCGUUUCACUGUUUGACAAAAUGUCUGGUAGGCUUUGAUGAGGAUGGUAAUGUAGUGAAAAAAACUUUCAUAUAUUGUUGAAUUUUGUUUUCCAGUAGACGGAACGAACCCCAGGUAGUACUGGAUAGAUAGGCAGCCACAAUAUAGUAUUGUCAGCGUAAAUAGGCUGCAACUUCAAGUGUUAGUUUCUUUUUUCUUAUUUUUUUGACAUGCAACAAGCAGAAGCUCUGCUUUUUCAACAGGGAAGACAGAAACGAUGUACAGAGGUUGAAGCAAGACGAGUAAACAAUGAGAGAACGCCGCGAAGUGGGACUUGUCCAUAGCAUCAAGGGGUUAGCAGAGCCUUUCCACACCAUGUCCUCAGAUACCACAUAAACCAAAUCCAUGGAAGGCACAGAUUGUUAACAAUCAAAUGAACCGACGUCAACAUCAGCUUUCAUUUCCAUGGCUUCAGCUUUGAGGACAUCUUGUCUAUUAGAUGCUGAACUUGAACCUUUCCCAGAUUUCUGAGACUAGGGGAGAGCCCCGGAUGUCCAGAUCAUCACAUCAGAUAGGUAUGCCACACAAUUUCCAAAAUUGUCCUGCAACCUAGAGAUUCACCAGAAGCUUACGGUGCAGCUUGGACAACUGGUUUCUCAGAUCCUAUAAGAUUCAGAAACAAAGCAACAUCCAAUGCAUUCCCUGAUGCAUCCCACGCACAGUCCUAUACUACAGUCCUCGGAACCAAAUGGUGGCAAGAGAAACUUCAAAUCAUCCAGCUUCUCACAAAUAUAAGUUCGUCAUCCCUUGAUCCCUUCUCCUUCCUUAUAGGAAGAGUAAUGGACCAUCAAACAGUACUCGAUUUGAUCUGGUGGCAUGAUCACGUAAUGCUUGAUUGCCUGAUCAUGCUAUACUCUGCCUUAUGAAGACCACAUCUUGUUGACUGUGUCUUGUACUGAAAUGUACAAUCCCGACAUUGCUUGACGAAGGCCUUGCCUGGUUGUUGGGAUCAAAUCAACACAGGGAUUGGGCCCCUCACUUAAUCACCUUGGGGUCAGUCCCUCCCAGCAUACUGUUCCGUGGAGCAAGCUAAAAAAUACUCCCGAAAACCCAGUCCUCUAUAUGAAACACGAAAAUGUAUACCAAAGAAGAAGUCCGUUGUGAUACAACAGGAGAAGCAAGGAAACAAUAGAGGACCAUGAACAUGUUCCAGGAUUGCAUCACCUCAUAAAGAUGAUGAUUUUCAUGCUAUUAAUUAAUUCAUAGAAUUACUGAUUCCAAAAAGAGAAUGAACAAUUUAAUAUAAAUUUCUAACCAUUAUUUUUGUUUACUCACAAGAAGGCUGGAUGAAACAAAACUCCUUGAUUCUCCUUCUAGCUACAAAAGAGGGAAAGGUUUAGCUGGUGUUUCGUGUUUUGUGAGUAGCCCGCUUUUGGGAAGCAGCUCCCCUUACGUACAUCACAUGCCGUUGAGGAUACUAACAUGUGGGCCUAAUUCCCGGCAGGCCCACUUGGCAGUGGUCGAACGGCACCCUACCAUACGACAGAGCGUCCUCAUUGCCGCUUUUGGGCUGUUUGUACCGGGUUUCGCCUGGUUUUGCAUAAGUUACAUAGGUAGUUCUCUUCUUCUUAAUUAAUUAAGACUACAAUUGUCAAGAGUAAUCAAGGCUCGGGCUUCGAACCAUUCAUAUCAACUUCUCAAGAUAGGUACACUAUGCAUAUUUCUUUUUGGAUAGAGACACUAAGCAAAACUCUAGGUGUCAAUUGGAUUUGCUUGGCACAGUAAUCUUAUUAAACGAUAUCUUGUGGUUUAAUGCUAUGGUAACUAAUAACUAGAGCCAAAUUUAAAUAACAUAGAAAUUUAUUUCCUUCCUUCUUUCAUACAUCAUAAGGUACUUAAUUUCAUAUUAGUUUCGAUUCUAAAAACAUAGAUAAGCUUGCCCAUAUUUCUGUAUAUAUCACUAUUACUUAUUAGACAUGAGGCCUCCGCGUCGCUCCUUCCCCUGGGUGACACGGGCGGCGGAGGAUCCUGCCACCUCUCCCCGCUCCACUCCUACCUUCUCCUCGCCAUCGCCGGCACGCCACCGCACGGAGCCGGUGGCGGCAGGACCUUCUUCGUAUUGCCUUAGGAGGCGGUCUGCUUGUGGUUGGGGAUCUGCGGCGGGUGGUUGCUCAGCGGUGCGUGCCUGUGGCUGACGCCCUGGAAUGCACGCGGUGGAUCCUAGGCGGCAGCAACUGCCCAAGCGGAACGAUGCCCCAGAUCGGGGCAGCACCCGAGCUGCUCGAUCUGUCCAUGGAGCUGGCCACCGGUGACGGCGACGGGUUGCCGUGUGCUUUUGCUUACAUUGGCGGCGUGGAGGCAUGCAGCAGUGAUGCAAAGCCCGAUGGGUUGUGGUAGUCCCGAUCUGGAUCUCGGUAAGCUUUGGCCGGGAUUGCGGCCGCUCCGAGGCUUUUGCGCUCAUGGUUCCUGCGAGGCUUCGGUUGUGGUCUCUGCGGCCAUGCGGAUGGAGUGGCGGUCCGACUAGAUGUCGGUCGGCCACAUUUUGGCGUCUUCCUUGGUCGAACCGGCGGCUGCCCUGAUUUAGAUCUGGACGAGUCGGUGGUGGUGAUCCUGAUCCGGUCGGCCGAGUGGUGGUGACUGCACACUGUGGUGCGACGACCUCCUAACCGGAUGUGUGCCUAUCAUGUUUGUAUCCUCUUCAUACUUCAUUUUGAGCUAAUAAAAUCCACCUUCUAUAAAAAAACCUUAUUACUUCCAUUUGACGGAGCUUGAAAUAUUUGAUUUGAUCUUAUGUAUUCCAGCUGGCGAAAUGGUCGACUAAAUGGGUGUGAUUUAAGAAAGUAUCAUUGCUCAUUUUGUGCUUUUGUUGUUAAUAUUUAUUUUAGUAUGUAGAAAAUGUAUGAAUGUGGCAUUUUCAUGUCAAUAUAUUAACCAUUAGGCACUAGCGCUUUGUUCGUUUUCUAUAGUCGCAUUUAGAGAUGACAGCAAAGGGUCAACUGAUCCAAAAGAACGAUAUGUCGGUGCUCUGAGCUGCUAAUUUGAAUCAGAGAUACGGGGAAAACAAUGUGGCAUUUGAGCAGGGCUUUGGGAUCGUGGCAUCGUGUCAUCUGCUAGAAGGCCCUGUACAAUGCGAAGUGAUCUAUACUGGAAAACCACGAGACACAGGUACGACACGAGCAGGGAUCACUAGGCAAACAAACAACAUAGAUAUCAGGCUCCCUGUCGCUGAGAGGCAGAGGAAAUUUUGACAUCCGCUGCAUUCUCCGAUGCCUGCCAUGCCUAGUCCUACUGGCAUCGAAAGCUAAUGGUGGCAAAAUAAGGGUGUGUUAGAUUGAUUACCGGAAGACCCCACGCCCAAAAUGCAGUCGCGCCGCAGGUGCGGCGAAUGAAAUGAGCGCCAGACUUUUGGCGAGAUGUGGCAAAAAUGAACUAGCAAGGCAUAUAGUGCGAUACGCCACAACAUAGGCAUAAAGCAAACAGUGGCUAAGCUUAGGCGUAGGGAGCUGUGGCGAUCUGUGGCAUGUUGAGGUGACGAACCAAACACGCCAUAAACUACAAGCGUCAUCCCGCUUCUUAGAAACGAUAGGUCAGUUAUCACCUAUGUUGUUGCCGCUCUCUCUCUCUCACUCAAGACUAAAGGUAAAAGAAGGAGAAUCGCAAUACACUGGAGUUUCACUCGGCUACACACAGCCCCGUUACUAAUCCACUAGCACCAAACUUUCAUCUGAACACACACAAGUGGCCAUGACUUUGUAGUGGCACAGCAACGCAGCCCCCAAGUUUCCGUGUGCCGUACACACUAACUAACCGCACGCAUGCACGCCCGCUUACUUGGCCGGCACACCCACGCAUCUAUCUUAUCCAUCUAAUGCAUGCACGCAUGACCCGGCCACCCCAAACGGCCACUAACUCACGGCCAGCUAUGCCCGCACGCACACACGCAACAGCCACGAGCACAUACACACACUACACCACGCACGCAUUUUGCCACGCUUCCGUUGCGUCCCGCACGUCCCGCGCGUAUUCGUCACGCCCGACGAGCCCGACUGCACUAGUGCUUCCCGCAUGUCCCGCGCGAAUCCGUCGCGCCCGACGAACCCGACCACACAUGCCGUGGCUUAUUCCAACAACCUAUCCACCAUCCGACCUAAUCCCAGACGUUAGCUCAGUACAAAAGCGGUGGCUUAUCGGAGGGACUCAAGCUGAUAGCUGCUACUCCGAUAGUUGAGGCAUGCUACAUCACACGCCAUCACGUACUCCGACAGUUGAUCUUGUUCUUCUCCGGCGGCUGUCCCAGGCCCCUCGCCUCCGAGUAAGAUUUCACACUUCUCCGAUGCCUCCCAUGUCAUAGUCCUACUAUGGUACCAAAAUAUAUGGUGCUGAUUUGAAAUGGAAGUGGUACAGCUUUUGUGAAAUAUGAAAGCAGCUGGCAUUCCUUCAUUAUUUAUAGGAAGAGCAAUGGAACUGCACUUGAUUAAAUCUUGUACAACAACCGUACAAAGCCAGAUUAUAAUGUAAGUGCCAUAUGAAGACCACAUGCUCAGCCCUGCACAUGCUUGUUGUUUCUGAUUUCUGAACUCUACAAUCACUACAUUGGUCGGUGAUAUUUAUGAAUCAGUUGAUACAUGUUCUGCGGGCUGUGUAUUUAUCUACAUGAAUGGUGACCAUUUGUCACAGUCUUGAAAAGAUUUGGCACACAUCAUUUCAUUUGGAUGCAGACAGGAAUACCAUUUUCAUUUAAAAUGGAAUUUGAAGUACUGGGUUUCUAAUUUUUGAGUUUGGCUGUGGUCAGCAAUUUUGAAGGAAAACCCUUAAAUUCAACCGCCUGAUCCCACGGAAAAAAAUCAGUCGGCCGUGCGGCUGUUCGAUGAGAGAUAAUCCACGCCACAUGUUCUUUUGGCCCUACCUUACUCUCUAGAAAUAUCUACGAUAGAGUAUUCACUACUAGAAAAAGGCUUACUAGUGGCGCACUAGUUUUGCCUACUAAUGGCGCGCUACUGGUGCGCCACUAGCACCACGUCACUAGUAUUUUUUACUAAUGAUGCAUCACUAGUGCGCCAUUAGUAUCUGGUAUACUAAUGGCGCACCAGGCAGUGCGCCAUUAGUAUAGGCCACGGUACGCCAUUAGUAAGCCUCCCAGGGGGCCAUAUUUACCCAUGUGCCUAGCCAUACUAAUGGCGCACCGCGUGGUGAUGCGCCAUUAGUAUCCUUUGGCAUACUAAUGGCGCACUGCGUGGUGAUGCGCCAUUAGUAUCCUUUGGCAUACUAAUGGCGCACUGCGGUGUGAUGCGCCAUUAGUAUGUAUAUUAGGGAUUAUUUUUUUUCUUUUCUGAUUUUUGCACAGAUUACAAAAUAUAUUAUUGGACAGAAUAUAAGCAGCACCACACAGCAACAGCAGAUUCAUCGAAUACAAUAGAAGAUUAGUCUCCGAAUACAAUUCAUCGUAUUAGUCUCCGAAUUCAAAAGACCGAAUAAAGAUAGAACAUUACAAGUCUCGAGACCGCGAGUAGCGAGUUUGUCUUCACAUUACAAGUCGAUAUCGAUCAUCUAAACUACCAUCACAUAGAAGAGAGCUGCGGUCAUCAUGAUGAGCAUCACCACGAUGAAACUGGUCUUCAUCCGGUUCCUCCAACGCUCCCUCCUCUCUCCCGCUAGAUAGCGCGCGUAUCUAGAUUCCGCCUCCGCCCUAGUGGUGUACCCUUUGUAACUGUUACCGCUGAAACGGUGAACCUGUCUCCGACACUCCUCCCAGUCGUCGUAGACUCCGGGAACCUUACCCUUGUACACGACAUACGACGGCAUCUCUAUGCACUAGCCAAACAACAGACAAUACAUAAGCAAUAUAUAAGUAUACAACAAAAGGAUCGGAAGAGAAAAGCAAGACAUUAAUAGCACGAUUCAUGGUCCUACUAAUAAAUAGCAUCGAUUACAUCUAAGUUGAACGACUGUCCAAACCAAAGAGACAUACAAGUUCAUUAAAGUUUAAUUACAGCAAGAGCUAAUCAAUGUUUCAGAACUAGACAUAGCAUCACUACUUUCGACUCGACUCAUGGGACCGGAGCGUGGAUGAAGCCGCCGUCUGUCGUGAUAGUCAUGAAGUCGCGGGCGUUGUCAGCCUGCAUUUGUAGCGUUGUGUCUAUCUCGCAGUUGGACGAUUGAAAUUUGAGGUAGAACUGCCCCGAGGUACGAAGGACAUCUUGAUGGAUGAUUUCUGCAAACUCCGACUGGAUGCGAAAGAAUUCUUGUCGGAUUUCUGCAAGCUUGCGGCCCAAUUUUUGAGAUUAUUUGGUAGCAGAAGGUGAUUAUGGUCCCGUACGAUCGCCCGCAUGUGAUGGAGGGCGUAGUAGGCAUCCUUCUGACCGCCAGGCGGCUGCUUGACGCAGGGAAACGUCGUAUUGUGGGUGAACACGUGCCUGCCGUACCUACGAGAUGGCCUCUUAAAGGUGCCUCCAGAUGCGGCGUAGCCGGGGAGAGCAUCAUCAAGAACUUUCUUGAUAUUUGUGUAGUCUAUCUUGGAGUCACGGUCAGGGUCGAAAUACGUGGCCAUGGAAUAUUUCGGGCUUAAGAGGAUGAGUGUGCAAUGUGUGUCACUGCACAGAACACAGAAUGUUAGAAAAAAAAGAACGAUCGAAAUCUAAGAAAUCAUAUGUUACGGGGCGGUUAGGAGAUGACUUACUCGGGAAAGUAAGGCACGAGGAAGUUAUCCUUAUCUGGGUUUGCCAGAAUGACGCCUUCGAGGUGUGAACUCGCGACUUGCCGGCCCCCAGCGCUACCCAAGAUCUUGGCACGCAUGUAGAAGGGGUCGACUAUCACAAUGUCCGGGGUCUUGUCUCUAAUGAUCCGCAUCUCCAUACUCAGCGAGAACAACCGAACAAAGGUGUAGUGCAGCGGAUGAAGGUUAAGCAUAGCAAAGAUGUCAUCAAACCGCAGGACGAUCGUACCCCCGAUGGCGCUAUCCACAAAGUCCUUGCCCUCUGGCACCUUGGCCACGAAAACCGGGUAUGCCACAUCAUUCUCUCUGAGACGCCGCUUCUCCAAAGAAAGAACACUGUCAUGGAGACUCCGCAUAGCACCGGUUGCAGCAUUGAGUAUAUUUGUCGGUAGCAUCGGCCUACCCGCCACAUGCACCCUCCUCGAGAUAUCCUUAGGUGAAGGUGGCCCGUCCUGAGCACGGAUCGUACUCGGUGCCAGCUGGCUCACACUGGCGCCCUUGUUAGUCUUUUGUUUCCGUCUCUUCUUCCUGAUCUGCUGUAAUGGGAUCGAGUUCUGCUCACAGACCGCCUUCUUGAGCGUGUUGGGGCUGAUAAUAUUUGGCACCUCAGCCAUCUGAGGCUCGGUGAAGGUGGCAGCUAGAGGCGUCUCCUGAGAACUGAACGCCAGACGACGCCUGUGGCAAUUGGGUUUCUCCGCCGUACCAGCUAGAUCGCGGUCGUCUUUUUCAGGGUUGGGUUCUUGAGAAGGAGGCCCGCAGAACUCGUCACCGUACCCAUGUUCGGCAAAGUACUUAUCAACGUUGGAAAAUGUACCACCGUCGUUGUCGUCGUCGUCUGGAUCCUGUGCCAUAUGCAUGUCCGGAUCCUGUGCCAUAGGGAUGUCCGGCAUGUCCGGUAGCGUUGCGGCGUUCUUGCCAUGGCUUGGCGCUGGCACGACUGGCGGUCUUGUCUGUGGGGUGGUGUCCCCCGCCCCCAAACGAAUCUGGCUCUUCGGCCAAAGCAGGGGCCAGCUUACACAGGCGCUGAGGGUCAUCACAUCAUCUUCGUCGGCCUCAGCGGGUCGAAUCGGAGGUAACAACUCGUCGCAGCCUGGCAGCACCCGAACCAGUUCAACCCUAUACAAGGUGGGUGGCAUCGGAUUACCGUGGAACACGCGGUUGCCCGGUUGAACGAUUCUGCCCUUGGCGACAUCGACCAACUUGCCGCCCACGAAGUGCAGGAGAGUGCAAGGAACAUCGGUGUUGCCCUGCGAAAACAUAUAGGGCGUUAGGGAUGCCCAGUCAAAGGCAAGGAGAUGAAGUCAUCGGCCGAGAGGCUUAGUUACCGUGAUGCCAUCGAGCUCGGCUAAUGUCGAGGCACCGCCAACGGCGGGCGUGCGCGUGCAACUGACGGAGGGGCCGCUUGCUGGCGAGGUGCCGGCCGGCGUACACCCGGGUGCAUUAAGGUCCAAUGCCUGUGCCGGCGCCGGAGAGACGAAUACCGCCUCCACCGGAGACACCAAUGGCGCCGCCUGCGCGUUGUGCGAGUUGCUGGCCGUGAAGCUGGGAACCGGGGGAGGCCCCUGUUGGCCGCGCGCAAUCCACGUCGUCAGACCCUGAAUCAAGGUAGGCACAAUGGCGGUGAGCGUCGUUCCCAGUUGUUGUUGCACUUGCUCUUGGACAAUCCACGGAAUCCGCGCCACAUGUGCCUUGAGUUCUUGAACCUCGCGCGACUGGCUUUCCGAGCUGGUCUUUUUCUCGUUUCGCCCACCAGCGGUAUAGUAUGACGACCAUUUUGUGGACAAGCCUUUGCCGGCCACACGACCAGCUGACGACGGCUUACUGAGCUUAUCCUUGUUUUUCAUUACGUUCAACACCCUAUUUAAAGGGGUGUCAAAAGGGGAGCUCUGAGACGACCCCGCGCUACUGCUUUCAACCUCCUGCGGAAGGAAUGUGAACCAUUUAGAAAUUUGGCUUCAUUAAUUAGAAUGCAACCAUAUGGAGCUAAUUACGCCGGGGUGUAUUCCUUACCAGAACAAGCUCAAGCGCCCUGGUCUUCGGAUCCGUGGUAAGCUCCUUUGUUACCGGGUCCUCCUUGUACCAGGCCCUGACAAAGUUCCUGGUCUGCUUGUCACGUAAUUUCUCGAAGCGGGGUGGUAGGCCUUGCUCGGCACGCUCCGCGUCCUCCUUGUCCCAUAUAGGCUUCGCCACUCUGUAACCGCCGAACCGAGUUGGUGGACCCCUAAGUUCAACUCCCGCAUUUCUUUCCCCCACUGACUUGAUUCGGAGGUUGCGCUGCUCUCGCACUUGAUCUUGAACUCCUUUUAGCCAUCUUCGCUCAUCAAAGGAUAUUUCGCCUUGAUCUUCUCAUAACUAUCACCUUUUUCAAUCAUUGCCUUCACCGUGCUUCUCCAUGUAGACAGGGCCGUGCUCAUCCUCGUGAGGGCGGCACUGUUCACUUUAUUCCCUGAGAGGCGUGUGUUUGCAAACUCAGCGGGGAACUUGUAUCGUUCGCGCAACUUCGUGAAGAGGAGGCUGCGCAAAUUCCCUCGGUCCUUAUGCCUUAGGUUCUCGGUGUUGAUCGAGACGGUGCUCCGGAGAAUGCACCCGAACUGAACCGAGUACCCCUUGACUACAUGUUUGGGCGCCGUUGGAUGCCCGUCGGAGUUCACUUCAGUAAAUUCCUCCUUGACGGUGCCGAGCACGUUCGGGCGCUGGUCCUUCCGUUGCCUCUUCAGGUUGGCUGCCAUCUGUGCGUGCGCCGCCAUCAUCAGUGGUGGCAUCGUCGGCAGCACCAUCAGUGGUGUCAUCCCCGACGCCACUAGGGGUUGUGUAGUCAGGAUCGGUGUCUUCCGCGGCGGCGUCCUCAUAGCGGUGAGGUUCUUCCUCCAUCUCCUGGGAUAGCUCCCAGAAUUGCUUGCCGCCUGAACCGCCGGCCUCAUCGUUGUGGGCCAUGUUUUGCUCUAAAUAGGAAAAAAGUUUGGUCAAAAAGUUGGUUAUUGUCAAGGAACAAGAUCAUGGUCUCAUCAUUUAGGGUUUGUCGACACCGAGGCAUCCUAAAAGCUAAGCUUUUAUCAUUUAGGGUUUGUCGACACCGAGGCACCCUAAAAGCCUAAGCGUACAUCAUUUAGGUUCUCAUCGACACCGAGGCACCCUAAAAGCUAAGCUGGGAAGGAGAAUUCUAAGUUGGGCCUAAUCACUUGGCUCUAUUGCCACCUAUGGUUUAAUGCAGCAAGAAUAAAGGGGCAGUUGAUCCUACUUAAUUAAGUACUAAGAUAACCCGGCCCAUGCAUUAGUCGCAAGUACCCCAUAUGUCCUAUUUUUAGCAAAGUCAUGCUAAAAUUCACGGAAAAUUUCAGCAUGACCUUUGCUGAAAAUAGGACAUAUGGAGUACCCGAAUUUGCCGGAACGGAAGUUAAUCGACAUUCCGGCAAACUCAAGGGCCUCUCGGGGUACAGCAACAGCAUCACAAGUCCUAGAUUAUGAUGAUACAGCAGCAAGUUGAAAAAGCUGAAGUUCUCAGCAUGAAGAAUCACACAACACAGCACCUACAUUAUGAUGAUACAUUUGGAGAUUGCACAUACAGUUUUCACAUGAGCUUAAUUGUUCUGGAGAUUGCACAUAUAUUUUUUGACAGCACAUACAGUUUUUCACAUUUGGAGAUUGCACAUACAGUUUUCACAUAACCAUGAAGAAUCACACAACACAGCACCUAUGGCAGUUUUCACAUACAUGAAGUUCUCAGCAUAAGCAUAAUUGUUCUGGAGAUUGCACAUAUAGUUUUUGACAGCAAAAAUUCAGAAAAUGCAUUUUUGUCAGUAACACAGAAAACAAAAACCAUCAAAAAAUUUGGGUACAUAUUUGGGUACCUCUAUACAAUUUGGGUACCUCUAUACAAGGUGGUACAUAUUUGGGUACACAGAAAACAAAUACAAUUUGGGUACAUAAGUUUUAUACAAUUUGAAUAGUAUACAAGGUGGUGUAGAUCUCUAAGGAGCUGCAUUAGAAGGGAAGGGCGUGCGGCAAGAUGCCAUCAAGCUCCCAGCAGCAAUGGUCACAAGUGACAGGAGCUGUGCCUGCCACUAGAAUGAGCACUUUUAAUUUUUUGCUUCUUUUUUUUGAGAUAGAAGCACUUUCAGACUUAGAAACAAAGAUCACACAUCUUUAUAAAAUCAACUUUACAGGAAGUAUUCGUGUUAGGAAACAUUAAUAAGUAUCUAAGUGUUUUCAGUUCAUUUUAUACAAAAGACAAACAACAACCCUUUUCUUUUGCACUGGAAGAAAAUGCUAGUACUAUGUGAUAAGCUUUAGAAAAUGGAGUACUUACAGCAACUGUGUAGCCUUGAGUAGAUUCCCGGGACCUGAAGGUUGUUCACCCUGCUCAUAUCAAAUAUUAUGUUGUAUUAGCAGCAAGUAGACAAGCCUCCAUACAUCAAGCCCUAGCUAGUUAUCUUAUGCCAGUAAAUAUAAAAUAAACAAACUUAAUAGGUGGUUUAUUUUUACUCUGCUCUCACCCUUCCCAUUGCGUAGUUACUGUGUUCCCAAUGUCAGUGAAUUUGCAGUCUUCAAAGAUCAGAAAGUUGUGCUCUUCAGCAAUCUUCAGAAAACAAUUUAAGAAUCAUCAAAUAAAAAACAAGCAAUAUAACAGUAGUUCUUGUGCUCAUCCAGUAGCAACAUCUUUCAUACAUGAUGAGUAGUCAUGUACCAAAUUUUUAUUUAAACUGAAUUUGCAAAUCACCAAGAGCUCUACUAGUUUCAGACUAGAUUUACAGAAACUAGCUGCCUUAAGAUUGAUAACAACAGAACCCACUAGCUGCCUUAAGCAUCUCAUCAAAAAAAUAAUAGGAGGGGAUCCCUAACUACAAGUAUGCUGAUAACUAAAAUCAAGCAGAAAACCUUGGAUGGCUGCGGCGGCGGUUGCGGUCUGGCGGCAGGUGGGAGGAGACGGGGCGACCACGGNNNNNNNNNNNNNNNNNNNNNNNNNNNNNNNNNNNNNNNNNNNNNNNNNNNNNNNNNNNNNNNNNNNNNNNNNNNNNNNNNNNNNNNNNNNNNNNNNNNNNNNNNNNNNNNNNNNNNNNNNNNNNNNNNNNNNNNNNNNNNNNNCUGUGGGAGAACGGCAGGCUGCCGUAGGAGAACACCGACGUCGAGGAGGCGGCGGGCAGCGGCGCGUCGAGGAGGCGGCGUAGUGGGUCGGGGGAUGGGGGAAGGGAGGGAGGGGACGUACGUGCUGGGGCGGGGCGGAGAAGGAGCGGCGGGGCGCGGGGGCGGCGGCGCGGGUGGAUCUUUGCGAGGGAGAGGGACGAAGGGGAACUGGCGAGGGAGAGGGAGGAAUUAGCUAUAGGGGGAAACAUUCUAAUGGUGCACCACAAAGCGGUGCGCCAUUAGAAUGUUUUUUUAUAUAGCAAUGGCGCACCCACGAUCGGUGCGCCAUUAGUAAACUUUUUUUAUGUAGCAAUGGCGCACCAGCCAGAGGUGCGCCAUUAGUAAAUUUUUAUUAUUAUUAUUUUUUGUUGCAUGUAAUAAUUUUUUUAGAAAAUGAAUAUGAAUAUGAAACAGUAAUAAUUUUUUAUAAAAACAGUAAUAAUAUUUAUGAAUAUGAAAAAAAUCAUCAAAUUUAUUAUUUGAAAAUAUAAUCAAAUUUGAUUUUUUUGCAAUUUUAGUUGCAUUCAUUUGUGACGGUGGAGCGGGCCGGGGAGGGUGCGGGGGGUCGGCGGCGGCGGUGGAGCAGGGAGGGUGCGGGGGGUCGGCGGCGGCGGUGGAGCGGGGGAGGAUGGGGGGUGCUCGGCGGCGAGGGGGAUCUGGCGAGGGGGGAUAGCGAUCGAGAUGGAGGGGGAUCGAGAUCGAGUGUCGACCUCAUGAAUAUUCAAUAUUUUAUCAUAUUGAAUAUGAAAAAAUAUCAUCAAAUUUAAAAAAUAUUCAUGAAUUCAAAAAGUGCCCAUGAAAUUUAAAAAUAUUCAUGAGUUCAAAAAAUAUUAAUAAUAAACAUAAAUAAAUAUUCAUGAGGACACUAGAACAGAAGAAAUAUCAUUUCAAUAUGCCGAAAUACAAUCGAGAAAUGGAGUUCUUAGCUAGCUAUCUGUUCACAAUCUUCUUGCCCUUAUUUUUCGUAAAUGGAGUUCUUCUCUUGAACGGACGUCCUUUAGGUAGGGUGGUCCUGCUUCUUCUUGUGGUGUAUGCUGAUACUUCAUCGUCGUCAUCAUGUUCCAUAUUCGGGUCGCCGUACUUGUCGAAGUCUUGCUCAUUGGCAACUCCAUCCAUUCCGAUGAUCUUCCUUUUGCCUCUCCUCACGACAACACGACUCGGCUUUGAUGGGUCGGUAAUGAAGAAGCAUUGGUCCACUUGGGAAGCCAGUACCCAUGGCUCAUUUUUCGCGGUGACGUUCGCGCCUGCGGUCUUGGAUUUGGCUUCGGGUAUAACCAUGGUGGUGACAUACCGGUCUUCUUUUAUGACGCUCUUGGCCCAUCUGACACGGAACAUCGGGACCUUCUCUCCAGCGUAGCUCAGCUCCCAGAUCUCCUCGAUCCUUCCAUAGUAUCUGUCCUUGUCGUUACCGGUGUAGGAUUCCAUCGUUACCCCGGAGUUCUGAUAACCAUCGCUCUUCAUGUCCUUGUCCUCGGUCGAGAAUGUGUAGCCGUUGAUAUCGUACGCCUCAUACGUCAUCAGGUUGUGCUCGGCGCCCUGUGACAAGGCGAAUAUGAGUUGUUCUUCCGCGGAAGAAUCCUCAUGUAAAGGAUACGACAGAAGCUUCUGCUUGAACCAACGCGUGAAACAUGAGUUGUGCUCUUUGAUUAUAUCUCCGUCCGUCCUCUGUUGGCCUAGGUCAUUGUACGUCUUCUCAAUAAACGUUUUGUACUGUACCACCCAAGGAUCGACCAUGUCUAUGUGUUGUAGCGCGACUAGGUUUUCUCUUUCAAAGUCGGCGAGUCGACGAUCGAAGUCGACAUGCAUUUCGCGGCGACCCUCACGGUGACCCCAUCCAGCGAGCCUGCCGAGGUGCGUGUUGACGGGCAGACCAACGGGGUUCUCGAUGCCUAUAUAAUUCGUGUAGUAGGAGAUGCACUCUUCGGUCAGAAAGCCCCUGGCUAUGCUUCCCUCUGGAUGUGACAUGUUGCGAACGUAUCCUUUAAUGACACCAUUCAUCCUUUCGAACGGCAUCAUGCUGUGCAGGAACGUCGGCCCGAGUUGGAUGAUAUCCUCCACGAUAUGGACCAGCAGAUGCACCAUAACUUCGAAGAAUGCGGGAGGGAAGUACAUCUCAAGCUCGCAUAGUAUCACCACGAUCUCUUCCUGUAGCCUUCUGAGUUGCCUCACGCCAACCGACUUCCGAGAGAUGACGUCGAAAAAGUUGCAUAGGCCAAAUAGCGUUUCACGGACGUGCGCGUCCAUGAUCCCACAGAUUGCAACUGGAAGUAUCUGCGUCAUCAGCACGUGACAGUCGUGAGACUUCAUCCCGCUGAACUUCUGCUUCGCUAAUCUAGGUAUCUGCUUAUCUUCUCCGCGCAACCGUAAGGAAGUUUUACUCCUACGAGGCAGGUGAAAAACUAAUCGAUCUCCUCGUGACUUAGAGUGAAGCACGCGGGAGGGAAGUCAUUUCCGGUCUUCUUGGCCUUUUUGCCUUUGCGACGACUUUCCGUGUCCUGCUUCGCCUCAUCAUCAUCAUUAGCGUGAAGCUCCUCCCUGAUGCCCAUUGCUUUCAAGUCUGCCCUUGCUUUCGGCCCAUCUUUGGUCUUCUCUGGCAUGUUGAGCAGGGUACCAAGCAGACUCUCGCACACGUUCCUCGUGAUAUGCAUGACAUCAAGGCUGUGAGGCACACGGUGGAUCUUCCAGUACAACAAGUCCCAGAAAACAGACCUCGUUUUCCAUACCUUCAGUAGUGGCUCUGGCGCCUUUCGCUUCUUUCUUGGCUCUGGCGCCUUUUGCUUCUUUCCCGGCAAUGGGCAAUCUUUCCAAUUUUUCAACAGCUCGUCUAUUUCCUCGCCGCUCCUCCUACGCGGGCGUCUUCGGGGUUCGGUUUCACCAUCGAACAGAUCCUUGCCUUUCCUCCACGGGACAUCGUCGCGAAGCCACCUUCGAUGUCCCAUGAACACGAUUUUCGAAGACCCGGGAUCUCUAUCUAGCUGGCGAUACGUUGUGUCAUCCAUGCACCUGACGCAUCCAGAAAAUCCGUGGACCACCUGCCCCGCGAGAUAUCCGUAACCGAGAUAGUCGUGCACCGUCGUGAGCAGUGCGGCUCUCAUAGGGAAAUAUUCUUUCUCUGCGGCGUCCCACAUAUUGGCUGGCGUUUUCCACAGCGUGUCAUGUUCCUUGGAUCCUUCCCAAAUUCUGGUUGUUCGAAGUUCAACGCUUGCCACUGGCUCCCAUCCUUAGGGUGACUCAGCAUCUUGUCUUUUUUAUUUAUCUCCGGAUCAUUUGCGUCAUCUUCUCGCUUCUUCUCCUCCCUAUCCGCGUGCCAACGCAGGAGCUUUGCUACCUUAGGGUCCGUGAAAUACCGCUGCAGACGAGGAGUGAUCGGAAAGUACCACACCACUUUUCGAGGAGCUUUCUUCCUCUUCUUGUAUCGAGUGACGCCGCACACCGGACAUAUGGUAGACUCCGCGUGCUCGUCCCAAUAAAUGAUGCAAUUGUUCAUGCACACAUGGUAUUUCACGUGCGGUAAAUCCAGAGGACACAUGAUUUUCUUCGCCUCCUCGAAACUGGUCGGGCACUUGUUCCCCUUGGGAAGACGUUCGUGCCAGAAUGACAUGUUCUCGUCGAAGCAUGCGUCGGUCAUUUUGUGUUUUACCUUCAUCUCCAGAGCCAUGAGCGUUACUUUCAGGCGGGUAUCCUCGGGCCUGCAUCCUUCAUACAAUGGAGUAACCGCGUCUAUCUCCAGUUGAUCCAGCUUGGCUUUUUCUCGGGCGGCAGCUCUUGCGUUAUCCGUCUGCUUGAGAAGCAGCUCUUGAAUAUGAGGGUCCUGCACCCAGCCCAUUGAUGGUCCAUCGUCGUCUGCCCCGCCGGCAUCUUCAUCUUCAUGAUCAUGCCCUUCGUUUGCUCCCGCAUCUUCCUCAUCAUCAUGUCCGGCAUCUUCUACAUGAUGACUGUGUACAGCAUCACCGUCGUGAUCAUGUCCUGGAGAUUCUUCGUCUUCUCGCCCGCCCGAGCCGCGGUGGUUGUCUUGCUGCCCAUCCUCAUUUCUUGCCCGACCCCCAUGGACGACUUCAUAGUCAUCUUCAUCACCUUGCCACCGAUAGCCAUCCAUGAAAUCACGCAAGAGCAGGUGGUCCCGCACCUACCCAGAAUCCGGGUCCGCAAUAAGGCUCUUCAGCUUGCAUCUUCGACAUGGACAUCUUAUCUCCGUCUCGUUCUUUUCAAGCAUCUCGGCCUUCGCGGAGCUCAAAAACCUAUUCACGAUGCCUUCGGUCAUCGUGCGGACCAUGGUCGCCUGCGGGGUAGAGCAAAACGAUAUUUUAGAACCAAGAAAAAAUUUGGCAUGACUUUCCCUAAAAAUAGGACCAAAAAGAACGCAUAGUGCCAAAAUUCUCGCCGAAACGGAAAUGAAUCAACAUUCCGGCAAAAUAUUAGCAACUAUCGCAUUUCAAAUACGGUACCUACAAACACAAACAUAUAUGCAACACCACAAACAUAUGCAAUACCACAAACAUACAUAGAUCUAGCUAGGCCAUAAAAAGUGCAUGUGCACGUUGUUCGAGAGGGAGAACAACAUAAAGAUAGCUUCCCCCUGACUUACCUAUCAAAAAAGGUAAUUUAACCACUUAAUUUGGAUGAAUUUAUGGUGCAAAUGAGGUGAGGAGGAGGAGGCAGCCGAGACAAGCUUGGAGUAGGAGGUGGAGAGAAUGAAGUGGGGAAAGUGAGUGGGUAGGUGUGGCUGUCCAAAAUAUCUAGCUCGUCCCAGGUUACUAAUGGCGCACCACCACCUAAUGCGCCAUUAGUAACCCUGGUUACUAAUGGCGCACCUGCUGGUGGUGCGCCAUUAGUAGUUUUGCAAAAAAAAACACUAAUGGCGCACCAGGGAACAGUGCGCCAUUACUAGUUUAAACUAGUAAUGGCGCACUGUUCCCUGAUGCGCCAUUAGUAGUUUUGCGAAAGAAUAAAAAUAAUAAAAAAUUAGUAGUAGCGCACUAUCUGGCUGGUGCGCCAUUACUAGUUAGAACUAGUAAUGGCGCACUGUGCCCUGGUGCGCCAUUAGUAUGUUUGGAAAAAAAUUGUUACUGCGCACCGUGUGGCUUUCACACUAAUGGCGCACCAGCACAUGAUGCGCCACUGCUAUAUAGCAAUGACGCACCACGUGUCUGGUGCGCCAUUAGUGACCAUUCCAUCUAUAGCCCUUUUCCUAGUAGUGAUUAUCGCACCCUUAUCCUCAGGAGUCACAACCCACCGAUUAUCUUUAGAAAUCCUACACUUAGGCCCCACUCGACAUCGGGGUAAAUUUAUACACCCGCAUUUCUAUUACAGGUGCAUAUCCAGCCAUAUGUAAUUUCCAACUAAAAAACCCGACAAAUAGAGGUCUACAUAUUUUACAGGUGUAAAGUGUGGAAAACGACAAUCCAAUCAGGCCCAUACCAAAAAAUUUCUACCGACAGAUUUUACGGAGCUAUGUGUCCUUCUCCCUACCAUUAAAUUCCCCUCCUGUGAUUUCAACUGACCAUGCCUCCUGAAUUUCAUUGGGCCGUGUUAGCCCGUAACCCCUUUCCGGUAAGAAUUGCACCGCAUAUGUAGCAAAGCUCAUGUUCGCCUCCUCCUAUGAGGCAUGACCUCACUGCCCUAAUGACGAACCGAAGUUGACAGUGUAUACGGGUUCAGUCAUUGGUUUGGAUGGAGAGAAAUUCAAUUCUUAAUUUCAGAAACCUAAGUUUGUGAAAAACUGACCCAUCCGAACAGAACAAAAGGUAUUAUAUAGCCCCAAUGUCCACCACCAAUUCGUAAGGCAUGGCCUUUCACGAUUUCUAUGAUGCCGACUCACGGUAGCACCUUGAAAAUAGUUUUGAAAUUCUUAAAGGUAAGUUUUUACAAUUCCAUAGUAUGAAACCUAAUUUUGGCAUAUGUAUAGGAAAACAAAAGGAACAAAUCGACCAGCUUCUUUCUGUUACACAAUUAAGGUAGAAUCUGUCUAUUUUGUUUCACUAUACAUUAAUCUCUCUAUGCAGCCCUAAGGAAAAGUAGGACUGCAUUGCAUAAUCAUUGCCAAGUAGAUUUGGCCUUUACAGGAAAACCGAUGUUCAUGAUGAUAUGCUAUCAAUGUUUACUUAAUGACUCCUCUUGCCAUUUAGUUGAACGCGUACCUUCCGGGCUCACAUUUUCGAUCACUACUCCUCCCCCGCCUCCCUUUGCUCUUCUCCACACCGGCUCCCCCUCUGUCAAGCAGGACGGCUGCCUGCCUCCGCCGGCCGUGGACGUCGGCUCUCGAGCUCGACAUGAUCGACGCCAACUCCCUGUCCCGCCUGGAUCGAUGCCGGCAGCUCCUCCCCGACUCCCUAGUCGGCCCAGUCUCCUCCCAUGGCAGAGAAGCACCUAGUUUUUGGUUAUGCCCAAGUUUCUACUUGCUGUAAGAGCAUCUCCAACAGGCGCCACAAAACUGCCUCAGCCGCUAUAAACCAGCAUUUUUGUGCGCCGGAGACAAAAAACAGUGCUCCAGCAAGCGCUGUAAAGUAGAGGGCUCUGAAAAAACUUUAGCGCACGGGUGUGCAUGCGGGCUACAGGGCUGCAAAUUUGGGACGCCGGAUUGUGCCUGCGGGCUGCUGCAGAUGGGGCCACCUCAUUGGGUGUCGUGUUUUUGUGCAUCUCGAAAACCUCUUCUUCGCUCCGGCGCGCAAAAAUGCUACUUCGGCGCUGCAAAACUUUUCUAACGAACUGCGCUAUCGCGCGCCUGUUGGAGAUGCUCUAAAAAAGGAUUAAUGUUGCUAGCGAAUGCAUUCAGAAAUUUGUAUGCAACCACUAGCAUUUUGAUUGUUGUUUGGUUUGUUCCUGCUAGCAUUUUUUGCAAGUGCAAGAGAGUAUGAACGAAGUUGUCCAAGUUGCUUCUACAAUAUACAGAAAAUGCAGUUAAAUGUCAUACAAUUACAUUUUAGGGGUAUUGUAGACUUUUCACUAGAGAACUCGGAACGUCCAUAAGCCGAGACAAAAGAAUGGAUGGCUUAUUCUGAUGAUGGACUUAUUUCCACGGCAGCUUCUGUGAGGCUUAUUCCCAUGAUCCCAUCGCAGCUUAUGUAUAAGCUGCACCUCAAAACAACUGGCCCAUAGUCUUGAUAAUAAGAAUUCAGGAUCUUCACCAACUAUGUCCUAGAUUUAGUAAUAGUUGUGACAUGGAGCAACGUAUGUCAGUGGCUCAGGAUACAAACUACUAGCUAGUUAUGUUCGCUUUUUACUUUGUCCCAGCACCGGCCUCAGGAGUAAAUUAGUAUGUGCGUGCUCGGUGCAAAGCCGCAGCCACCCACUAUAAAAGCUGGAACAACGAAGCUAGGGUAGGCAAGUGUUUCUUGGUAACACAUGCGAGUAAGGAAAUAUAGUCAGUUGUUCGUAAAGCUGACUAAUAUCUGGCUAUCAUACAAUACGGCAGUAGAAGUUGCAAAAUUAGGAGUAGGAGGCAUCAGGGAUUGCAAGAAUACCACAUAGCGUUGAUUGGCGUCAUGAUACUUGAGUGAUGCUCCAGUGCCUCCCACGAGUCACGCUAUCUGUACAGUCAGCUAUAGACAUACGCACAUACAUUGCUUAGAGCAACCCCAACCGACUCUCUCGCCUCUGGCCAGCCUAGUCCAGACUCGCCACGGCAGCUCGACCACAAGGGCGCCCCGCAGAGAGAAAAGGAACAGCAAGGAUAGGCGUAUCUUGCUAGCUUCCAUGGCCGGGCGGGAGGCAAGACCAGCGGCUGCGUUUUCUCGUUGCAAACUUAGGCACUGCUCUGCAAUAUUGAGCGUUGACACUGAUUACUUUAGUGUGUCUAGAAAAAUGAGCCGGAUAGGGGGUUGGAGCAUAUGUUUUUCGGGUGUGUUUCUGUCAAAGCUAAGAUGGAGUCGAUACUAGCACUGGUUGGACUUGCCCUCAACAAGUUAGUUUUUGAGAAAGACUGGGAAAUUGCCCGUGCGUUGCAACGGAAAUUACACUGUGAAAAUGCAUGAAAAAAAGGAUUAUGUAUUUUUUUUACCUCUUCAGCGCGUCCUUCUUGCCCUGCAUCACGUACAACAAUGUGACUGCGCAUGCUCAAUUGCCUACUAUCAUCACGUACAACCAAGUGCCACGUCUUGGUUUUCUGUAGUGCGAAAUAUUCCUCCUCCAUUGCCCGUUUCCAUCGAGUAUCACCAAAGCUUCAUUCAAAGUAUGACGUUCACCUGAUAAAUAGGCUAGACCAAAUUUAGAGAUAUUCUUCUAAUUUAUACGAUUGAUAACUCCCUGCUGACGUGUGUGUGGUGGUGUAGGCGAAGCAGCAGGAGGAUAAGUAGGUGCUUCAAACCUCGAGGGAGCCACAGGAAAUAUGGAUACAGUAGAUGGAGCCGCAAAGGAUCUAUGACCAGUGGUUGAAGACGAUCCCGAGGCCGAUUCCCUGUGUGGCACACAAGCGCGCGGAGACGCGCACGUACAUGGGCUGACAGCCUGGUCGUCUGGGUCGGGGCAUGCAACGCAGUUGGGGACAGCCGCGCGCGAGCCAAACACCCCCACGUGCCCCGCGGGCCCGCCUGGGUGGUGCGGUGCGCGCGCGGACGGGGCAUCGCGUUGCGGCGUGGGACCCAGAGGAGAUUGCCUGGGCGCGUGAAAUAGUGCACAUGUGAUAUCAAAUUUGCAUUGUUUUCAUCAACGUUUUCUUCUCUGUUUGAGCAUGUAUCAUCGCACUCACCAAAGGAUUAGGAGGAUUAGUCAAAAAUGAAUCAUUGCAGUUAUUAUCACCCUCGUAAGAAACACUGGAAAGAUGAGAAGGAAGCAAAAGGACUUCUUUUCGAAGAAGGGCACGGCAUUUGGAUGGUGUUUUUCAAAAAGGAAUUGUGUCUCAUCAAAGACUACAUCACGAGAGAUCUAAACCCGUCCACUAAAAACAUCAAGACACUUGAUUCCUUUGUGUUUGGCACUAUAGGCAAGAAAGACACACUGGAUGGAAUGAAACAUAAGUUUUCAUUUGUUGUAGGGGCAUAAAUUUGGCCAACAUGAACAACCAAAAACACGAAGAGAUGUGUAAACAGGCUUGACACGCAAGAGACGUUUUGCGCGAGUUAUACUGUUAAUAACUCGAUUGGGAAGAAUGAACGCCAGUAAGAAAAAGUUCAUCCCAAAAGGAAACAACACAAGUAAAGCGAGGCCAACUUCAACAACAUGCCUAUGCUUACGUUUUGCGAACCAUUCUGUUGAUGAUCAUGUGGACAUGAGACACAAUGGGAGAUUCCUAUUUGCUGAAAGAAUGAGUCUAAUUUUUCAUAUACAUCACCCCAAUCAGAUUGCACAGCAAGGAUCUUGGUAUCAAAUUUGCUAAAGUCAUCAAUAAUGCUAACAUAAUACGAAUUUCUCCCAACAGAGAAGGAGCAGGACCCCAUUCAUCGGAAAAACAUGAGUUGCAAAGGAUGACAAAAACACUAGUGGAAACAGGAUACGCUAAUUAAUGACUUUUAGCUCUCUGACAUGAAUCAAACAUUGAUUCCGAACUAUGCUCACCAAAAACUGGGAGCUUAUUUUCACUAAGAACUUGAUGAACAAUAGAAAAAGCAGGGUGACCUAAACGACGAUGACGCCUGUCCAAUGAAAGUUUGACGACACUGAGCACUUGUUUAUUGAUUCUCCUAAACCUGGAAAUCAAUGGGUAGAGUCCAUCCACGCAUCUACCUCGAUAAAUUAUUCUUUCAGUGGCAUGAUCCUUGAUAAAAAAGAACGUGUGAAAUUCUAGAAAUACAUGAUUGUCAAGGGCAAUACGAUGAAUGGAAAUAAGGAAUUUGGAAGUAAGAGGAACAUGAAGAAAAUUAUUUAGAUGAAUGUCUUUAUGUGGGUUUUAAUAACUGAAUGACCAAUGUGACUUAUCUCCAUACCCGCCCCAUCAGCGUUGUGGACCUGUUCGUGGCAAUUGUACCUCUCAUGCAUGGUGAUCUUCUCAAGUUCACUGGUUAUGUGAUCUGUGGCACCUGUGUAGGUGUACCAAUUUGUUUCAACUCCAUAGGAAGUGUCGACGGCGUUGUCUACCUUUUUCUUCCUAGAGUUAUCUUCGGCAUAGAAAGUGCCACUUGCAGUCUUUCGCAGUAUGGUUAGUUUUCUUACAUAUUUGACAAACACCUUUGGCAUACCCUUGUGAGGAACCACCACCAUGGUUCCGGUUGUAGUUGUUCUCGAGGUUUUGAUGAUUGUUGUUGUACCUUCAUCCAUAGCCGCCAUAGCUACCACUACUAGGGAAAAGCCUAGCAGUAGCGUGUGUUUCGAGCCUAUCAGUAGCGCGGGGUGCCGCGCCCCGCGCUACUGAUAAGGCGCUACAGCUAAAGGUUAGCAGUAGCGUUGUUCAACACACGCUACUGCUAUACGUACUUAGUAGCAGCGCUUUUUCCAUAAAGCGCUACUGGUAAGUACUAGCAGCACGCCUCUACGCCCGCGCUACUACUAUUAUUGUGUAUUCUAUUACUUUUUCAUUUUAUGUCGUAUUCAUACACCAUUAUACAAGUUUUCAUAUAGUAUCAAUUUAGAGAUCGUUUUUACAUCAUAAUGAGUUAUUACAUCACUGGGUGAAAUAACCGUGGACUAGUUUCAAGUGGAUCUAUCCAUCAACUUGAAACUAAUCCGUGGUUCUUUCACCCAAUAAUAUAAUAAAUCAUCAUCAUCAUAUCAUUAACAACUUAUCAUCAUAAUAAAUCAUUGUCAUAUAACACCUCCUCAUAAUUAAUCAUCAUUUUCAUCAAUGAGACAUCAUAUAGCAAGUUGGUCACUAGUCACAAUCACAACUCCUCCUCCUCCUCAUCAACUCUAACAUAUUGUAGAACAUAAUAACACAUUGUAACUAGGACCUACUCCUCUCUCUAGGACCUACUACCCUCUCUUAGGUAAAAUAGCCUAAAACAAGAUAGGCCCUGACUCUCCAUUACGUAGAAUGGAGAUUAUCCUGUCUUCAAUUCGUGCGCUUCACACAAUGUUGCUUCCAAGUAGCUCCGUACGAUUAACCAUACAUUUUUUUCCAAUAUUUGAUUGUCACGUCUUCAUCGGUUUUAGAAAUCCGGUAUGAACAGCAGUGAUGCGUAGGAUGACCUGGCCGUAAGUUCAUAACAUCAAGGCGACCAUUCGGAAACAUCAAAUGAGGCACACAAUCCUUCGGGAUUUUCUGUUGAAAAACAUAGUAAUAACUUCGUAGUUAGCAAUGUAGUUGAGUUUUAGAAGAAUUUAUGCAAAAGAUACACGGAUGUCGUAAUAGUAAAAAAAUCAUACCGUGACAUCUCCAUGGAUGUUACCGUAGUUGAACGCGUGCACUAGUGGCACGUAUUGACCAUAAUGUGCAGGAGUUUGAUAAUAGAUAUUGUAAUUCUCGAGAUCAGUAAUAAAUGAGAUCAGAUGAUUUUUCUCUUGAUAAGUUAAUUCUGAGCAAUUGGUGUAGUAGGUUCUGUCUACCAUCUUCCGCACAUUCUUUGAAGAAUGAAAAUAAGUUAUCAAUGGAAAUAAGUUGUCAACUAUUUUGAAAUAAACAAUAUAAAUUACUUAAUAACUAUGUUUGAGAAACUCACAUAUUGGUAGAAUUGGAAGUGUAUCAACAAGGACCCAAAUGUCCAUAUUGUCUUGGGCGAUGUCAGGAUCACCAGGAUCCAUGGUGACAAUCAUACCCUCAUGAAAAUCAUACAUCUUGCAAAGUGCUUCCCAAUUCAGGCAACCAAAAUGGGUUACGCUCUCAGAAUUGUAUAGAUUUACAUAUAAAUCCAUACCAUGAUGGGUCCUUAGGUGAAUUAUCUUUGUUCCCAUACUUUCAUGAUCUUCAAAAUCCAUCCUCUCCAAGACAUAGCAUCUUGCAUGGCAUGGGAUAAGCUAGUCGAAUUGUAAAGGACGAAAAUUACACGUUAAAGUAGCAGACGUCGUGCUUAAUUACGAAAAAACACUUGUCGUCGUUGCGUACCAUUUCAACAUCGAAGGUCUCCUAGAGUUUAAUGCUGAAGUGCCGACCUUCUACCAGUGAGGCCUGUCGCACAGACCCCGGUCGUCGCCACACCAGUCGGACUCCGCCGCGAUACUUUUGUCGUCCGAUGAUGACAUCGACGACAUUUCAUAUGUUCAUAAUUCAAACAUUAAACUUGUACAAUUAAAUAUAUGUACUACAAAAACUAAAUUAGAUCAUUACUAUUCAUCACGGGUUGACUAUCGGUCCGUCGAGUCUUUUCUUGAAAACUCUCAGCUCAUGUGGUGUAUACAUUCGACCGUUGGUGAUGGUCGCUCCUCCUUUUGUCCCCGAGUGCAUUACACAAAAUGUCUAGCACACGAGAACGAAGGAAAAGCGACCCCCAUGAUAAAAGUCAGGAUUUUUUGUCCUCUCAUAUAUGGUGGAGACUCUCCCUCACUGAUUCCUCUCUGAUAUUUGCGACCGUCGGUGAUGGUUGUUACUCCUCCUUCCCCUAGUGCAUAACAAAGGUCUACCACAAGGAGAAGAAGGAGAAAUGACCCCCACGACAACAGUCGAGAUCUUCGUCCUCUCUCAUAUAUGGUGGACACACUCCCUCACUAAUUUUUCGACCAUCGGUGAUGGUCAUUAUUCCUCCUUCCCCUAGUGCAUAACAAAGGUCUUGCACAGGAGAAGAAGGAAAAACAACCCCCACGACAACAGUCGGGAUUCUUCUUCUCUCAUAUAUGGUGUAGACUUUCUCCCGCACUCAUUUGUUGACUACCAUGUAUGGAGCCUCGACAGACUUAAAGUCAAUCAGAAAUGUCGUUUAAUUAUCUUUCUAGAAAAUCCAGGCUACUCGAUAUUUCCUACAGAUUCUAGCACAAGUCAUGCCAAAAUUCACGGAAAAAUCCGGCAUGACCUUUGCUAAAAAAGGACAUAUCGAGCGCCUGAAAUUUCCUGGAAUGGAAAUUAAUCAACACACCGCCAAAACAUAAACCACUCAGAGGUGUUACCUGCAAACAUGGCCGACCACUUGGGCAAGCACAUAUACUAUUUGAGCAACACAAGAUAUACAUGUUUAUAUCUACAUCAGAUGAGCAUUCAAACUUGAUGGUCAUUGCAUUUCAAUGGUUGAAAGUAUGAACAUGGAGAUUAGGCUGGUCUCACCUCGAGGUCGGAGGGGGUCGGUGAAGGGGACGACAGCGGGGAUGAUGGAGGGGCUCCUUGAUUUCUGCAAAAACAAAAACCCUAUAAGCUAUCAACUAAUCAAAUGCAUACGCCUUGCAUAGUGCUUUCCAAUUUGAGCACUCAAAAUAGAAGUAGUUCUCCAAUUUGAGCAUUCAAUAAGCGAAACUAAAUCAUAAAAUAAAUUAGUAUUCAAAUUAGCAUGCAUUCAAUAAGCAAUACUAAAUCAUCUCUUGCGUCCGUACAUCAUCGAAUAUUAUCACUAAUACAUCUCGAAUAGUAUCAUACAUAUAACAUCAUUAAUAUAGCUAAAACCCUAGCGAACGAAGGGUAUCGGCGCGGGCGGUGGACACCCAAAGAGAAGGAACCAUCACAUGAUCAUAGCUCCAGCGAGAUCCCUGAAGAACCUGCCAGGUAUUGCCGAACCUGCCCUCCAACGCAACCAUGUAGCGACGGACGUGCUCGUCCUCCUCGCUGACACGGUGACUUACCACCUUCACGGGGUCCUCAAGCCUCCGCACCGUCACUGGCCCACGCGACCGCCACCAAAGAAGAUUCGGGUCAACGACGGGCUGGCUCCUCGCCAAGCUGCGCCCCCCGGAAGGUAGCACCUCCCAGUACCAGCCCGGCGGAGCCCUGUCCCGGACAUGGCCCCACUGAUCAGGCAGGCCUCCUCCGUCGAGUCGAUGACGAAGAUGCGGGAUAGGCAUCAUCGACGUCGAUGCGGGAACAAUUGCUUUAACUAAAAAAGUAACAACAAAUGUGACAUGUUCAAAAUAAACUAGUUCUAUUAAUUUUCUUACUAGAAAUAAACUAGUUCUAUAGUAAAAUUUUAAUUAGAUCAUCAAAUCUCAUAUACCUAAAUUUUCUUACUAAAAAUAAACUAAUUCUAUUAAUUCAACUUGUUCAACUAAGCACUUACUAUAAAUAAAAAUAAACUAGAUUUUGGGGAGCGCUCCACGCGACUACUGACUUCUUCAUCACGGACUCCGACGACUACUUCCCCGACGACGACUUCUUCACCGACGUCGACUACCUCAGCAACGGCAUGGCUGGAGAGGAUGUCGAUCCCAAGUCCAGUGCUUCUGCUGCUGCUGUCCCGUACGUGUUCUUGCUCUUUCUGUUAGAUGUCCUGUCACAGUUCUUUGCUCUAGUUUCUGCCCUACAUAUGUUAGGUUCUACUUCUUAUAUGCAACUUCAUCUAGUGUCUGUUCUAGAUGUGUUUAGUUUAAGUUCAUAUAUGCAGAUGCUAUUUACCUUUUCUCUGUCAGAACGCAUGACUUGUUCUAUCUCGACUAUAUUAGUCAUGCUUUAUCUAGUAUUUCUGUUAAUAAAAUCAUUUGGUAAAUUGCUCAUAUUUCCAACAAUCCAAAAACCUUAUUAUAGGCAAUUUACCCCGAGUGGUUUUGCUGCUUCCAUGAGACCUCCUAUGUUUGAGGGUAUCCACUAUAAGAGGUGGCGCGUGAGGGCAGUCUUAUGGUUUCAAACCAUGAGUUGCUAUGACACCACUCUUGGCAAAUCUGAAGGAGAGCUUGAUGCUCAACAGGCACAAGCCUUUCAGAAAAUGGAUACUCUGUUUAAGGCUGCUCUCUUGAGUGUUCUUGGUGAGAACAUAGUUGAUGCUUAUGCGUCAAUUGAAAAUGGAACAGAUAUGUGGGAUGCACUCGAGGCCAAGUUUGGGGUCUCGGAUGCUGGCACUGAGUUGUACAUUAUGGAGCAAUUCUAUGAUUACAGGAUGACUGAAGAGCGCUCCGUGGUUGAGCAAGGUCAUGAGAUACAGUCAUUUGCUAGAGAACUUGAGCACUUCAGUUGUAUGCUACCGGACUAGUUUGUUGUUGGAGGUAUCAUCACUAAGCUUCCUCCUUCAUGGAGGAACUUUGCUACCUUGCUGAAGCAUAAGUGGCAGGAGUUUUCCGUCCCGGAUCUUAUUGGCACUCUUGAUGUGGAAGAAAAGGCGAGAGCAAAGGACACAUGUGCUCGAGGUAUUGAGGGAGGAUCUAGUGCCAAUGUGGUACAGAAGCAGAACUUCCAGCCCCACAAGUUCAAGAACAAGGGCAAGUUUGAUGGUAAAGCAAAGUUUGAUGGGAAGAACAAGGCUGUCCAACACAAGAAUUUCAAAAAGAAUAAUGACAAGAAGAAAGGUGUUUUUCAUGUGUGUGGGGAUCCUGAUCAUUGGGCACCUAGUUGCCCUUAUCGCUAUGACAAGCGUCAUCCUGGAAAAGGCGGCAAGACCGCUAAUGUUGUCAUUGGAGACACUGACAUGAAGGAUGCUGGGUAUGGUAUAUUUCCCACUAUUCUUUCAGUAUGUCAUUCUCCUCAUUGGUUGAUUUACACGGGUGCUAAUGUGCGUGUAUGCGGUGAUAUUUCCAUGUUUUCGUCUUAUCAUACCGCAGGGACUUCAACUGUGCUGAUGGGCAACGGUUCAAGUGCUUCUGUUUGUGGUGUUGGCACGGUCGAUCUGAAGUUUACUUCGGGGAAGAUCGUGCGGCUGAAGAACAUGCAUUAUGUCCCCUCCGUCAAUAAAAAUCUUGUUAGCGGAUCUCUUCUGUGUAGAGAUGGCUAUAAGCUUGUAUUUGAGUCGAAUAAAUUUGUAAUAUCCAAGUAUGGAACCUUUGUUGGUAAAGGCUAUGAGUCAGGAGGCCUGUUUCGUUUAUCCUUAUCAGAUGUUUGCAAUAAAGUUGUUAAUCAUGUUUGCAAAAAUAGUGAAUCAAAUGUAUGGCAUUCACGUCUUUGUCAUGUUAAUUUGGUUGCAUGUCGCGACUAGCAAAGUUGAACUUAAUCCCUAGUUUCACCGCCGCUAAGGGAUCUAAGUGUCAAGUUUGUGUGCAACCUAAGCAACCUCAUAAGUCUCACACGACUGCAGAAACGAGAAAUCUUGCACCACCAGAACUCAUACAUUCAGAUCUAUGUGAAAUGAAUGGUGUUUUGACAAAAGGUGGAAAGAAAUAUUUCAUGACGUUAAUUGACGACUCCACUAGAUACUGCCGUGUGUAUCUUCUGAAAUCUAAGGAUGAGGUUGUGUUUUUCUGGGAUAUGCUUUUAAUAGCAUUAGCUAUAGAUUCUUGGUUGUAAAAUCUGAGGUACCUGACAUGCAUGUCGGUACGAUCAUGGAGUUGAAUGAUGCUACUUUCUUUGAAGAUAUCUUUCCCAUGAAGGAUAUGGCUACCUCAUCUAAUCAGGAGAUGCCUAGUUCAUCAAAUCAGGAACUAGUUACAAUUACUGAACCUGCCAUUUUGAUGGAACACUUUGAAAGUCCUGUGGAGGAGAACAAUGAAGUUCCUACUAGGAGCAAGAGACAGAGGACUGCAAAGUCCAUUGGUGAUGAUUUUCAUGUGUAUCUCAUAGAUGACACUCCCAGUUCUUUUUCAGAGGCCUAUGCAUCUGAAGAUGCUGACUACGGGAAGGAAGCGGUUCGUAGCGAGAUGGAUUCCAUCUUGGCAAAUGAAACUUGGGAGAUAGCUGAUCGUCCUUAUGGGUGCAAACCUAUAGGAUGCAAAUGGGUAUUCAAGAAGAAGCUUAGGCCUGAUGGUACUAUUGAAAAGUACAAGGCUUGGCUCUUGGCUAAGGGUUAUACCCAAAAGGAAGGUGAAGACUUCUUUGAUACUUACUCACAUGUGGCUCGACUGCCCACUAUUCUAGUUCUACUUUCACUAGCUGCCUCACAUGGUCUUCUCGUUCAUCAAAUGGAUGUUAAGACUGCUUUCCUAAAUGGAGAGUUGGACGAGGAAAUUUAUAUGGAACAACCAGAUGGGUUCGUAAUAGAUGGCCAGGAAGGGAAAGUGUGCAAGUUGCUGAAGUGUUUGUACGGACUUAAGCAAGCACCCAAACAGUGGCAUGAGAAGUUUGAAAGAAAUUUAACAGUUGCAGGCUUUGUUGUAAACGAAGCUGACAAAUGUGUGUACUAUCGCCAUGGUGGGGGCGAGGGAGUUAUCCUUUGCUUGUAUGUUGAUGACAUACUGAUUUUCGGAACAAAUCUGAAUGUUAUUAAGGAGGUCAAGGAUUUGCUAUCUCAACUUCAAGUUUUAGGAGUGGCUGAUGUCAUUCUGAACAUCAAGUUGUUGAGAGACGAUGAUGGUGGGAUUACAUUGCUUCAAUCUCACUAUGUGGAAAAGAUCAUGAGUCGCUUUGGCUACAGUGACUGCAAGCCCUCUCGAACACCAUAUGAUGCUAGUGUGUUGCUUCGAAAGAAUCGAAGAAUUGCUAGGGACCAAUUGAAGUAUUCUCAGAUUAUUGGCUCACUUAUGUACUUAGCCAGUGCUACAAGACCUGACAUCUCUUUUGCUGUUAGCAAACCGAGUCGGUUUGUUUCAAAACCAGGAGAUGUGCAUUGGAAAGCUCUAGAGAGAGUUUUGCGUUAUUUGAAAGGCACCGCGAAUUAUGGAAUUCACUACACUAGGCACCCAAAGGUGCUUUAAGGGUAUAGUGACUCAAACUGGAUCUCAGAUGCUGAUGAGAUAAAGGCCACGAGCGGGUAUGUAUUCACACAUGGAGGUGGCGCUGUUUCUUGGAAGUCUUGCAAGCAGACCAUCUUAAUGAGGUCAACAAUGGAAGCAGAACUCACAACACUAGAUACAGCUACGGUUGAAGCAGAUUGGCUUCGUUGGCUCUUGAAUGACUUGCCGGUUGUUGAGAAACCUGUACCGGGUAUCCUUAUGAACUGUGACAAUCAAACUGUGAUCACGAAAGUGAGCAGCUCAAAGGAUAACAUGAAGUCAUCAAGACACGUUCAGAGAAGGUUAAAGUCUGUCAGGAAAAUGAAAAACUCUAGAGUUAUUGCAUUCGAUUAUAUCGAAACGUCUAAAAAUCUGGCAGAUCCUUUUACUAAGGGUCUAUCACAUAGUGUGAUAGAUAAUGCAUCGAGGGAGAUGGGUAUGAGACCAACAAUAUGAGUUGUUCACAGUGGUAACCUAUUAUUUGUGAUCGGAGAUCCCGUGAAUUAGAUGUGGAAGACAAGCUGUUGGUCAACUGAGAGGAGAGUAUCCUUACUAUUAAUAAUACCACUCCAUGAAGAUGCAAUACUCUUCUAAUCUGCAUGGCAGGUUGAUGUAUAUCUUAAUGUGUUCCAAGUGGCUCUUUUAAGCAGAGAUGUUGUCCUGCAGAACAUCUGUUGAAGAACACACCUAUAUGAGUCUGAUUGUUAAACGUCGUAAUCUAUGAGAGUAGGGUUCUCACUAGUAAACUCAUGAAAGGUCUUGGAGUAUGACGCAUAAGCUCCACCCGCGGGGAAGACCCACGGUAGCCACGUAUCUGUCAAGGCUUUCUGUGAAGCUAGAUUCGCAGAAAACUUGUAGUUCAAGGCCCAGUCCACUGUUCAAGUUGCUUACUAGUGUAGCAUAGAGUUCCAGAUGGAAGUUCAACUUAACAGUCUCCACUGCAGUACCGGUAUAUAAAACAGUGUUUUGGAACCAAAGGCAAAUUUUGUGUGCCUCUGGGAUCUGAUGGGGGAUUGCUGGAAUUUUGUCUAUUUUGGGCCUAGCCCAAAUAGCAGUUUCAGAAAUUCCUAAUAAAUCCUAGAGGCCCACGCAGCCCAUUCAUGCAAGGCAAGAGGUGGAACAAAAGUUUAGUCCCACAUUGCUAGUUUAGAGGGAGUUGGACCUGUUUAUAAGGGAGGCUCUUUCUCCACAUGUAUGAUGAUGAGAACAAGAGGGACAUCCACGCGCGCUCCUCCUCCGCUGCCAGCCUCGCCAUGCCACGCCUCGUCACGCCGCGCCGCCGGUUGCGGGAAUGAGCCGAGCCGAUGUCUAAGUUUUUGCCACGCACGACGGGUGUACGUAAGGUCACGCGGGAGCUGAAACGUUUUCUGUAGUGGACACUGAAUUCGAACGGCGCACCUCUUCGGCCACUGCCUGUUCGCUUCGUCUCCCUCCGUUGCUUCACCUCCUGUCGCAGCCUGUUCACGUCCCUCUCCCGUGCCUAUAAAAGGGAGGUCGCUCCUCCCAGAGAGACACACCAGAACAAGGGAUAGUAGGCCUCUGGAACCGCACUUUUUGAGUCCUGUACGGGAGAAGGGUGAUAAGGUUUUUGGGGAGCGCUCCGCGCGACUACUGACUUCUUCAUCAUGGACUCCGACGACUACUUCCCCGACGACGAGUUCUUCCCCGACGUCGACUACCUCAGCAACGACAUGGCUGGAGAGGAUGUCGAUCCCAAGUCCAGUGCUUCUGCUGCUGCUGUCCCGUACGUGUUCUUGCUCUUUCUGUUAGAUGUCCUGUCACAGUUCUUUGCUCUAGUUUCUGCCCUACAUAGGUUCUACUUUUUAUAUACAACUUCAUCUAGUGUUUGUUCUAGAUGUCUUUAGUUCAAGUUCAUAUAUGCAUAUGCUAUUUACCUUUUCUCUGUCAGAACGCAUGACUUGUUCUAUCUCUACUAUAUUAGUCAUGCUUUAUCUAGUAUUUCUGUUAAUAAAAUCAUUUGGUAAAUUGCUCAUAUUUCCAACAGAGGAGGGGGCGGUGGGAGAAGGGCUGCUGGAGGAGGAGGGAGGAGGGAGNNNNNNNNNNNNNNNNNNNNNNNNNNNNNNNNNNNNNNNNNNNNNNNNNNNNNNNNNNNNNNNNNNNNNNNNNNNNNNNNNNNNNNNNNNNNNNNNNNNNNNNNNNNNNNNNNNNNNNNNNNNNNNNNNNNNNNNNNNNNNNNNNNNNNNNNNNNNNNNNNNNNNNNNNNNNNNNNNNNNNNNNNNNNNNNNNNNNNNNNNNNNNNNNNNNNNNNNNNNNNNNNNNNNNNNNNNNNNNNNNNNNNNNNNNNNNNNNNNNNNNNNNNNNNNNNNNNNNNNNNNNNNNNNNNNNNNNNNNNNNNNNNNNNNNNNNNNNNNNNNNNNNNNGUGGCCGGAGUAGGAGGGAGGAGGGGCGGCCGGAGGAGGAGGGAGGAGGGCGCGGUAGGAGGAGGAGGCAGGGGAGGAGGGAGGGGGAGGAUUGAGGGACUACCUUAGUGGAGGAGGAGCAGGAGCGUCCGCGGCGGCGGGCGACGACGGUGGGCGGACGACAGGGGCGGCGGAGGACGACGGGGGGUGCGGGGGAGAGUGAUUGAGAGAGAGAGAGAGAGAGAGAGAGUGAGAGGGUCGGCCGCGCAGGGUCGAUAAGGUAGGGUUAGUAACAAUGCUGGUCCAAAAAAUAGCAUAGCAGUACCGCUGGGUAAGGAUACGCGCUGCUGCUAAUUGGGGCUAGCCAUGCGCGCCCAGUUCAAACUUAGCAGCAGCGCGUUUUGCCAACACUCGCUACUGCUAAAAGUAUAGCAGUAGCGCGUUUUACUGCCACACACUAUUACUAAGUAGCAGUAGCGCUUCAUUUUGUCCAGCGCUACUGCUAAGAUAUUGUAUAUAAGGUUUUCCCUAGUAGUGUACUGCCAUGGCCGCCAUAGCCAUUGCCAUGGUUGCCACGAUAGCUGCUGUUCUGGCCGUGGGAACCACCGCCGCCUUGAUGGGUUUUGCCGUCAUAGCUGCUGUUCUGGUCGCCGCUGCAACAACCGCUGUUCUGGCUGCUGCCACCGAAGCCAUAGCUACCACCACCUUGACCAGGAGGUCCACCGCCGCGACCCUAGCCUGGGUAGCCACUGCCGCCGCCUUCUGACUUGCGUGAUCACCCCUUGGAGAAGCCACCACCAUGGUCACGCCCCGCCAGGUUUGCUGAAGACUUGUAACCACCAACACCCGUAUCAUGAAAUAACUCAAAACGUUGAUCUAAAAUACUCACCAUGUAGAAGAGAUUAUCCACGGUUCAUUAGUUUAUUGGUACGGACGUCUAGCACUGAAACGAUGGGCUGGUAGUCCAUGUCGAGGCCGGCGAUGAUGAAGGAGAUUAGCUGGUUGGGGGUGAUCGGAUCUCCCGCCUGGCGAGUUCAUCUGCAAGGGACCUCAUGUGGCCGAAAGUAGGCAGCAGCGGACUGGUUGCCUUUCGAGGUGUUCAUCAGGCUGAUGCGAAGAUUGUUGAAGCGGGACCUUGACGUGGAGGCAAACAUGCUGCUCAGAGCUGUCUAGACCGCAUGUGAUCUCUCAUGCGAGGUAACUUGGAUCAAGGCCUCUUUGGAAAGAUUAUUGAGCAACUAUGCACGGACUUACUGAUCUUCCCUCGUGCAGACCAUGUGCUCAGGAUUCGCAACGAUCUGAUCUUUGCCCUCACAAUUUUGGGCGGUGAUUGUUUUGCUGGCUCUGGAAGGGAUUCAUCAAAAUAGCCGUACAUGCCCACAGCUCGAAUCUGUGAUACCACUUGUACACGCCAUAAGAUGAAGUUUGUUUUGGUAAGUUUCUCGGAUACUUGGGAGUUAAGGUUGAAGGUUGAUGUGGAGCUAGAGGAGAACGCCAUGGGAAAAGGUUGCUAGCUAGAUGAGAUGGAAGAGAUGGCUUUGUAUAACAUGUAAGAUAUGGUGAAGCGUCUCAACCGUCUAGAGGAGAGCCCGCAGGGUUUAUAUUGGUCGUAGGAGAAAACCUCCCGUAGUUGUUUACAAGAUUCGGUAGUUGGAAUUGAAGAAAAGAUAGAGAAGUUCAACAACCAAUUCUCUCUCUAACAAACUCUAUCUAUUUCUAAACGUUGAACGCGUGACAUAGCACAAGUCACGUUACAAUAUUCCAGAAGUCACACGGUUGCUGUGGGGGCGUCAUUGAAAUCUUCAGGCUCUGUGGAUGCGAUCGAGCUAGGUUUUCAUAGUAGAGGAAGGAUAACAUAAGUUGAUUCUACCCGCUGUGAGCUUGACUUCCUAUAAAAGAAUAAAAAACAAACAUGAUGGAUGGAGUACGUAUCAAGCUCGGAAAUGCCAACGGUGACGGAGCUUCAGGUUGCCCCGGUAUUUAAAAAAAUUCAAAAAAAACCAUGGAAACUUAUACGUGUUCGGCAUGAACCUGUGAAAAAUCGUUUGAAAAUAUUGUGAUAUGUAGGCCGUACAAAAAAACAAAAUUCUGGCCCAAGAAAAAAAAAGGCCAAGUUUAGAGAUGCAUAUUGUUCUUUUUUUUAUAUGCCACUCUUGAAACUAUACUGUUAUGAAUUUUUGCACACACAUAAUACACAUGUGUAUGAAUGUUCACAAGAAAAUUCCAUUUUUUCACACUGUAAAAAAUUGGUUUUUGAAAACGAGCUCCUGGAGCUCGGUCUCCAAAGGCCCGCACUCGUAUCGAGCUAGACUUCCUGUAGAUGAAUCAAGCAUGCACGUGAUGGAUUGAUUCGCUGUCGUAUAGCGGGUGGCUCUAUUCCAAGAAAAUGGAUCAAGCAAAAAAUAAAUCGGGAUCGCUACGCGCGUGGAAAAAGAAACUGAGAUCGAAGGGCUUAGUAUGCUUUACAAUCUCAACCGUUAAUUGCGAUGAUUAACAUAAAAUUAAGGAUAUAAAUGAGUGAUGGAUGGAGAACCAAGAAAGGUUUAUUCUUUUAAUAUUAGGUAUAGAUAUAGAAUGGAAGUACAAUGGGUGUCGAGUAAAAGGCAUCUCAUCUUGUUGUGUCAAGUCGGUGUUGACAAAUAUCCUACCUAUGCCAAUUGGCCUACAGUGAAUGCAAUUGAGGCUCUUUUCAUGAAUUUUUCCUCUGACCAGGGGAGCAACUCCUUUUGUUGCUCAGUCUUCAGCUGGGAGAAUGAUAUCAAUACCCCUGACAUAACAUAUGUGCUUGCAUCCAUUCCCACCUCGACAGAGGUCAAUGAAUUUGCAUUUCUCAAAAACAAUGGCAGUAAUUCAACGGUACCUCGUGUGAUGGGUAAUGCUAAUGUUGACCUUGCUGACUUGGAACCAUACAUGAAGUUCCUGAUGGACAAUGAUUCAGAUGAGUCAAUUGACAGAAUUCUAAGCUGUGAUGUACCCCAGGACGUGGUCGGCAACAUGGACCUUUGGACCUUCGAUGGCAUGCCGUUGUCUGCUGGUUUCUACUAAGGGAAUCGAGGUCCCUGGGUGCCGAUAUAUAUAGACAAAGGGUAGGCAUAUGCAUUGUGGAAAUAAACUCAUUGUUAUGCACCUCAAUUUCCAUUUCACUGAUCAUUAUCUUUUAUAUUGUUUCAGGAAUAAGUAUUCUGGGAUCAACAAGUGCUUCUGUCUGGUGCCUCUAGAAUCGAGCAGUAGCGAUGUUAGUCUAUGGUUAAUGGUCAGGACACUGAAGUCUAUGGCAAUAGACUAUAUAUCUAUCUAUGAAACUAGUAUGUGAUGGGAACUGCUUAUUUUGUAUUCAUGUUUCUACCUUAUUGUAAUUGCUACAAGAGGCUGUGAACCUUUAAACUUUGAAGCCAGUAUUUGUUAUGUUGUGGUUAUUUUUUUCUAAUACGCUAGUUCAUCAUUUGCUGCAAUACUUGAAGCCUGUUGGAGUACCUUUCCAUGGUUAUUAGGGUAGUUGACAAGGCAUAAUCAUAAGGUAUCAUACUGCUGGUCCAGCAUUCUCAUUAAAUUUUCCAUGUAUAGGCUUUACUUGUAACCGUGUUCUAGCACACAAGUUGCAGAUACUGGCUUGGGAAAACAGCUUGUGGCUCAAGUGGUAUUGGACUUGUAUGCUCUUAUAUACAGAAACAUCUUGUGUUUGAGUGGAAAGUAGAGAAUACCAACCGUUGGUCCUUCAGUUGCACCAAGCUCUAGAGGUACCAACCUUUCCAUUGUCACACCUGCCUCAAAUGUACAUGGCUUGUCUGGCCGCUCUCUAUUACAUAACAGAAUUUUGUUCUUGUUCGGUGAAAUCUUGACUGUUCUUGCAUGUUGAAGUAGUGAGUAGACCGUAGGGACUUCUGUAGAAAAGGGAGAAUGGACUGUAGAGACUCUUGCUUGUUACAAAUGAGAAUUGCAUGCUUGAUAUUGAGGUAUCCAAUUGGAAUCUUUUCUGUUUCCAAUGGUCAUUGCGCUCAUGUUCUUGUUUUUGACCAUGUUCAGUAGAAUAACCCAAUUAGAAAUUUGUGUCACAGUUUGACUAAAAGUCUAGAGUUGUAAAGCUCUUGCACGAUGUUGACCCGGAUGGUAAUGUACUUAAAAAUCAUGUUAUUGUUCAAUUUUGUUUUCCUAAAGUUGCAAAAGAUGGAAGGAACAGGCUCUGCUUUUGCGCUGCAGGAUAGGAAAUAGAUGUACCGAGGCCGAAGACUAGGCGUGUGAAUCAGAUGACCCGACGUCUAAUCUUUGUGAAACUAAGGGAAAGUCUAGGAUACGUGCUCGGCAGCGAAUCAGUUCCUCUCCCAAAAUCAUACUAAGUGCUUUAGAUGUCCAGACCAUUGCUUCCAAGGGGUAUCCAACACAUUUGCCAAAAUAGUCCCACGACCCAGAGAUUUCACCAGAAACUUCAGGGUUUGCUACGGCAGUUCUCAUCUAGGAUUUGGUAAGAUUAGCAAAUAGAGCAGCAUCCACUGCAUUCUCCGAUGCCUCCCUUGCCUAGUCCUGCUACGAGCAUUGAAAGGUAUAAUAUUGGCGAAAUAAACCUCAAGCCAGCUAGCUUUUCGGAAAUGUUAAGUCAAGCAUCCCUACCCCCCUCUUUAUAGGAAGUGUAACGGACCAUUGGACAGUACCUGGUCUGUUCUGCUCUCACAAUCGGAGAACGUAGGAAGACCACCUCUUGUUUGAUUGUGACUUGCACUAAACUGCACAACCCGGACUUGCUUGGUCUAGGCAUUUUUUGGUUGUUGGGAACAACUCCCCACAUGGAAUGGGUCAAUCACUGUCCCCUCACUCAUAAAACUUCUAAAUAGCCUGUGUUAGGAUGUUAUGCUUAGUUUUCCUAACACUCUAGUUCAUCAUUUGUGGCAAUGUUGGGGGUUUGUUGGAGUAUCUUGUGAUGGUUGUUAGGGUUAGUGACGUGGCAUAAACAUAGGGUAUCAUGUUGGGACCACAUCCUCCUUCAAAAUCUCUGAAAGUAAAGCUUUACUUGUAACAGUGUUCUAGCACAAGUUGCAGACAGUGGCUUAGGGGAACAGCUUGUGGCUCAAGUGGUAUUGGCCUAGUUUGUUGUUUUAUGCAUAUAAAUCAUGUGUUCAUGUGGAAAGUGGAGACUGCCAAUCUUUGGUCUUUCAGUUGCACCGAAUUCUACUUCCCUUUUCCAUUGUCACCUAACAAAAUCCUGUUUUUGUUAACUGAAAUCUUGGACACUCUUGGAUUUUGAACUAGGGACUAGACCGUAGAGAUUGUUGUAAGAAAAGGAGUGUACGACUGUAGAAACUUUGUGUUGUAUUAAAAGGAAAUGAGAAAUCUCAUGAUUUACAUUGAUAUAUAUGUUUUGAACUUUUCUAUAUCCAUUGGUCAUACUCUCAAGUUACUCUUUUGUUCCCUUUAAGUAGGACGACCCAAUUGAAAAUGUGUUUCAUGGUUUGACAAAUGUUUUUUUUUCGACAAAGGGUGUUUUUAUUGAGUCAAAAUAUAGAGCAUCUACAAUUAUAGGAGUACACACUCGGCAUAUGCAUAAUUAGGACGCACAUAGCCAACACUAACACACACACAUAAAAAUCAAGUUGGCAAAUAGCUAAGUCAUCAAGACUGAAGCUAUGCUUAGGCGAGAAAGAAAAAAACCCGAAAGCGAUAAAGACAAUGAUUGAAAACAUACAUCAGGGACCAUCGACAACAAACCAUCUCUCGACAACACAAGGACUAUGAGGAAGGUUCUUCAAAAGUGACGACUCUAGGAAGAGAAUGAUGUGCAAGCACCGUCACCACCGAAGGUCAGAUCGUGGGUUUUCACCCUGAAGGUCAAAUCCGAGCAAACUCCGAACAAUGCCAUCAGCUGGGUAACGACGUUGAUAACGUCGCCAUUGCUAGGUAUAACCAAACGGCCAAACCUAUGGUUUUCACCCUGGAGCUCGGGACCAGGUACCCAAAAAGUACAACCUAAUCAAAGUCAUCAUAUGUUGUCUCCUCCACUUGCCUCGAUCCCAGCAGCUGAAUAUACAUACCGUCCUGACGGUAGGCUAAUGAGCCAGGGCAAGGGCCAUUCAGCACAACCCGGUGAUGACUUUGUUGGGGAAGAAGGAGACCUGCAGCGCAGAAAUCCAGAGUUCGGGACACUCCGGAGGCCCGCACCCUACUCGCGAGCGACAACUGAUGGCUGAUUUGCAUCAGACGGUAGCACCACACAUUGGCACUAUUCCAGCGUCCACAACAUAGACUGCGAACCAUGUGAUGUAGGAAACCGCCGUUGUUGCCGCAUCGGAGGUUCAAAACUCCUCAGACGAUGACAUCUGUCCACAGCCGCAACCAAUAAGAUCUGGGGCAGUGCUAGCUAGCAUCAUACUAGCCAGAUCCAUGGCGCCACCGGCCUUCCGCCGAAGCGGAGGACCACCAUGCUUGCGAAGUUGUUGCAAGCUGUUGACAGGGUUGGUAAUGUAGUGAAAAACUGCCAUAUUAUUUUUCAACUAUUUUUUCUCAGAGAUGGACAAACAUGAAUGAUACCACGUUUGUAGCAGAGUCAUAGCCAGCCACAGUAGAGUUUCUGUGUUGUUGCACGCUUUUGACAGGGUCGGUAAUGUAGUGAAAGAACUUCCAUAUUAUUGUUCAAUUUUGUUUUCUCAAAGAUGGACAAACAUGACUGAUACCACGGUAGUAGCAGAGUGAUAGCCAGCACAGUGUUUCUGUGUUGUUAGUAGAUGGCUGCAACUUCGUUACCAUGGCAUGGCCUCGACAUCAACUUUCAUUUCCGGUCAGCUUUGCAGCCAUCUUAUCAAUUAGAUGCUGAAAUUUAACACAGUUUAACUUUGAUUCACUUAGGGAAGGCCCCGGACAAGUGCACGACAGCGAACCAGUUCCUCCGCCUAGAUCAGCCUAAAUCCUUUGGGUGUUUAGAUCAUCGCUUCUAAGAGGUAUCAAAUCAAUUUCCCAAAAUUGGCUGGAAGCCCUCAUAUUUCACCAGAAGCUGAACGAAUACCUAUAGCUGUUCUGAUCUCAUAUUUGAUAAGAUUCGUAAAUAAAACAACAUCCACUGCAUUCUCUGAUGCCUCUCAUGCCUAGUCCUGCUACAAGUCAGCCAGGUGCCAGCUUCUCACAAUCUUUAAGUUGGGCAUCCUUUGUCCCUCUUUAUAGGAAGAGUGAUGGACCACAAUCUGGCGCCUCAACCACAGAAAGCUUGAUCUUUCUGUACUUUCCUUUAUAAAGACCACAUCUUGUGAAUUGCACUGAACUAUACAACCUGCAUUGCUUCAGUCACACCUGCAUGUACCCUCAUGUAUGCCCUCUCUCUCCCUCCUCAAAGUUAUAAAACACUCCUAGCUUUGGCCUAAAAUUUUCUGAUGAAAUUCAGGUCCAGAACAUCUCUCCCAGGUGAACAUUACAAAAAACUAAUAAUCCCUGCCAGUACCAUGUUCGGUGUAGCAAGCUAACCAAUCCUUCUCAACACUCAGUUCAGUACAUGGAACACUAGCAAAAAAUAAUAAUAUUGGCAUACAACAGGAGAGGGCGGAUACCAACAGAUCACCACUCUCCCGCCAAAAAAAAACCAGAUCAGCACAAACAUGUUCCAGGAUCGCAUCGCACAGUUGUACACAUGAAACUUGUCUUUAGUAUGGCGUGAUCCUUUUGGCAAAAAUAUUUCGGCAAUUCCAAAAGUAUAUGGGAAUUCAAAUGUUUUUCAAUAUUUUUCAAUAUUUAAUUAAAUUUAUGUGAAUAUUUAGACCUUUGUCCGAAAUGCAAACCAAAAUAAGUGAAAUUCAUUGAAUUUCGGUGAUUUGGUUGGUGUUGAUUUUUUUUCUGAAACUGAAAUUGAAAACCGCCUUGUUCAUCAUUUGCUGCAGUAAUGACUAAUGAGAGUCUGUUGCGGUAUAUUGCCAUGGUUGAUAGGGUUAGUGCCAGGGAAUUGUAACAGCCUGAUUUUUGGCCCUUUCUUUUUCUUUUGAUUUUUCGGAGGUUUUUGCCUGAGUUUUCUUUUUCCGUGGCUAUGUGGUCUGGGAACUGAAGAAGAUGACCUCUUGUUUGAUUCCAGAGUGGCUUGUCAACCUCAAAUCCUUCCCUAGACCUUUCCAUUUCCACCUUGGACCAAAUCCCAAUAUUCUUUUUAUUGGGAAUAUUCCUUUGCUAUUAAAGGAAUAACUCAAUUUGCCCUAGGUUGUGAAGCAACCUAUAUUUCUAUCACUUCAAAAAUUUCCAAAUUAUUCUCAUAAAUUGUUUGGGUCAUAUGUUUCUCAAAUAUGGCAAAACAUUUCAUUUCCAUGUUCAAAGAUAAUCCUCAAAUAAUUCAUUUCCUAUUCUGCCCUAAAUGGCACAUUGUGAAGCAAGUGCUAUUUUCCUUUGCCCAAUUGACCUCAAACUCCUUGGACAUCUUUUCCUGUCCAUAUCAUUGGCACAUGGUAAAAUGCAACGUCAUUUUCCUAGUAGUUAUUUAUUUAUGAUUUUCCAAAGUUUCUGUCCAGAAAGAAACUUUGUGAAGGAGGUACAAGCUAGGCAUAUCCAAAUGAGUUGCAAUAUUGCAUGGUCCUCAAUAUCAUCAUAUCAUAGCCCUCCGCCAAAGUAGAGCUCAUAUCAUGCCUCCAUGUGAGCUCAUCUUCAAUUCUUUGAUUCUGUCCAAAUUUUCAGUUUGUGAAGCAAGUAUAUUUUAUCUUGCUCCAUUAAGGCUGAGACUUUUUCUAGGCCUUCUAUUAUCCAUAUAACCUACGUCCACCCAUUUUGGGAAUAUUUCAUCAAGCCAUUAUUCCUCUAGAAUUUUUGCAAGUUUCAGUCCGAAGGAGAUGUUUGUGAAGCAAGUACCAUUUUGGCUUGACCAAUUGGUAUGACACUUUUUGAGCAUCUUCAUAGGACCAAAUGACUCUUCCUUGCCCAAUUUGAGCUCAAGCCGAUACUCCAUGUAAGUGCAUGAUCAUGCUCAAGUUUCUGGACUAUUUUGGUCAGUUGCAAAGCAAGUGCAUUAAACCUUGAUCCAUUUCUCUUCAAAUUCCUAGGAAUAUAGUCCUUCCUACCCUAAACCUCCAAGACAUCACAUUUGGUCCCUAGCUCUUCUCAGGUGAUCACACUAACUUGAUCAAGUUUGCAACAACAAUCUUCAGAGGUUAAUUACCGCUUAACCACAACCCCUUUUUCCAAGCUACCACCUCAGUUUCAACCUCCCCUGGAUGGACUCCCACUAGACAACAUUUGCCAACCCUUGGCUUCUUCUCCUCGCUAGCUCACGCGGUGACCAUGGCUCUGGCGUGCAUUAAACGCGCUAUGGCGAGACGUCGGCGCUGUGCUCGUCCGUGCUCUCCUCGUCUCGACCCGCAACCUUGUCCACUGGCCUCCCCGUGAUCGAGCGUGUCGCCCUGACCUCACUCCCCCUCCGUCUGUUUCCUCACCGACGCUCACCGCCGAACGCCCACGGGAGCACAGUGCUCCGUUUGGCUCCAAGCUCGCCUCGGCCUCUUCCUCUGCUCCCCUCGACUCCGUGACCUCUGUGGCUCGUCCGCUCUCUCGCUCGUCGCCUUCCCCGUGCCUCCCCGUGACUGCUGCAGCCGGCAGCGCCUCGGCCGGACGUGCCCGGCGGCACCCGAGCCCGUGUCUCUUGCCCCGGCUAUAUAUAGCCCUCCCCGAGCCCGUUCGACCUCACCACCAGCCUCGCCUCACACCUAGCAACGCCCCUAGCCUCUCGUUUGAGCUCGAGCUGCUCCUCUGCUCUUCCAUCGCCACCAUGGCCGCCACCGGCAACUGCUCAAAUUCGAGCAAGCCGCACGUUUCCCCCUCGCCUAACCACCACCAGAAGACCACACCACCAUCGGAGAACCUCCCCAACCCUUCGCCUCGUCGCCGGAGCGCCGUAUUCGCGAGUUCCACCUAUGCCCGAGGCUGCCGUCCACCGUGGCUGGCGUCCCGCUCCGCCGAGCUCUCCCCCGCGGCUGCAUCAUAGCUUGAUCUCGUCGGCCCCCUGAGUCCAAAGGUGGGUUGGGCGCCGCCUACGGUGGCCGGAGUCGCCGGCAAACCUCGCCGGCGCCGAGCCUAGUCCUCUGCUCCGCGGGAGGGCGCGGGGAGAAGACGAAGGCGAUGACCCAUCCCCGCCAGCUGGCCUUGGACCCCGCGGGCCCCGCGUGUCGGCGAGACUAGGCCCGUCCCCGCCUCUGAUAACGUGGAUAAAUGGAAGCGUGAACCGACGAAGUACGUGUUCGCUUUCCGAAAGCAUAUUCUAUUUUCACUUCGGCAAGUAAUGUGCUUUCUCCGUUAUGUAGACGUGUUUUCUGAGAAUGGGUUUUCUGUUUUCAGCUCAGGGGCCUGUUUGUAGAGUUAUUUUUACAGAUUGGUCCCUGGACUUCGUCAGGGUAUAUCUUUUUGCUCACAACUCCAAAUGAGGUGAUUCCAAAGCCCACUUCUUUGUCUCGUCGAGCCCAUUAUGUUUACUUCAUUUUUACUGUGGUUUGACAUAUUUAAAAUUACCAUUUUGCCCUUGCACGUAAACAGCCCCUCCGGGAGAGGACUGUUUCCGACAAGUCUUUCCGCGAUCCUUAUGCACUUCUCCCCGGUGCUUUCUUCAUCCCCAGGCAAGUCACAAUACCCACUUGCAUGAUAGUCAUGCAGUAGCCAUGGUUUUCAACUUGAAUAAUUAAUAAAUGUUUGCUUGUUUAAAAUAUGGUUACCGUUGUUCCGGUGAUGCUUAGAGUUUCAUGUUCACUCUCCUGCUAUGUUGUCUUACACUUGGUUAUCAUGUAUUCCUGCUAGAAUACCUUUCAUAUGCUUAUGCUUGCUAGUAGUACAUGUUGAUGUUGGUGAUGGUCUUCGGUGCAUGACUAUCAUUUGUUCAGAGUGUCGUCGUUAUGCAUGUUCAAUUGCAUCUAGUUGGUUAAAUGCUUGCAUUGUAGCAUUGUUGAUAUGUUCUUGCAUGAUAUUUAUUGUUGAUGCUAGUGGUCAUGCUAUGUUUCUGAGAAGUGUAUACUUGUGAUGUUCAUGCUAGUCAAUAUGCCAUGCUCAGUGAGAUAUAUGAUUUGUUGUUGUAUUUUUAAGAAGUAAUGAUGCACAACCAUGCUUAUGUUGAUGUCAUGCUCAUGUAUUGUAGUUGCAUCAUGUUAUUUUCAUAUGACUCAGCUUAUUGCACUCAAGUUUAACCGGACUUAAUUGAACUUGAAAAACUGUUGGCUGAGUCAUGAUGCCACCAUAUCGAGCUGACAAGUGCAGCCACAUUUGCCGGUAUGGGACGGUCCUAACUCGGUCUAUUGUCAUGCCUCUCGUCAGUGCCUCCAACGAGGGAAGGUUAUGCUCGGGCGCUACACUACUAGGGAAAACCCUAGUAGUAGCGCGGGUUUAAUGCCCACUAGUAGCGCGGGACAACGCGCUACUAAUAAGGCGCUACAGCUAUUACUUAGCAGUAGCGCGUGCGACACGCGCUCCUGCUAAGACACAUAGCCACAGCGUUUGUUCUCUCACGCGCUGCUGGUAAUCUAGCUAGUAGCAGCGUGUUUACUAUCCAUCGCUACUAGUAUUCUUUUUCUUCAUUUUUUUAUUUUGAGUGUAUUUAUACGCCGUUAUACAAAUUUUGGUACAAUGCCAAUUAUGAGGUUUAUAUCAUUAUGUCCAUAACAGUGUGUGAAAUGAAGGUGGAUUAGGUUCAAGUGGAGGCAAUAUGUGGUGCAUGUCAAAAGUAUACUACUAAUCCAAACUUGAUCUAGUUUGAACUAGUAGUACUUUCGAUGUGCACCACAUGUUGCCUCCACUUGACUCUAAUCCGCCAGCACAAGCUAUUUAAUCAUCAUCAUAGUCAUUACCACCAACAUUAGUUAUUUAAUCAUCAUAGUCAUAGUGUAGCACAUCAUCAUCUUCAAACUCAUUCUAGCUAGCUAAUCACCACCAACACUAGCUGCGGUAGCUAUCUAAUCACCACCAACACUAUCUAAUAAUAGUCAUCAUAGUCAUUACCACCAACACUAGCUAUUUAAUCAUCAUAGUCAUAGUGUAGCACAUCAUCAUCUUCAAACCCAUUUCUAGCUAGCUAAUCACUCCUGCUGCUCUCUCUCUCAGGUAAAAUAACAUAAAACAUGUGUAGCACUCCUGCUUCAUCAAGUUGGAGCAUGCAGAUGAACCUGUCUCCUAAUCGUGGGUUGCGCUUCUGAUUGCUGCCCCCUAGUACUUCUCUGCGACCGUUCACAAUUUUGCUCCAGUCUUCCACUAUUAAGUAUUCCUCGCUAUUAGAAAUCCUGAAUGCACUAAAGUGCAUUGUAGUAUAUCUUGGCCGUAAGCUAACAAUUCUCAUCUCGAUCCAAUGAGGCACAACAUUCAUCGGGAGUCCUUGUUGAAGAACAUCGUAUAGUAACAUACUUAGCAAUGAAGUUUAGCUUAAAAAAUAAUGUAUGCAAAAGAUGCACUGAGGACAAAUAGUAAAAAUCUUACCGUCUUUCCUAAAUAGAUGUGACAGUAGUUCAGUACGAACACCAUUGGUCGCACGUUUUGAGUACUAAGAUUUUUAAGUCCAUAAAAAUAAUUUGUCGUGACAGUAUGAAGAUCCUCAAGCCAUGAAACAUAAUGACUUAUCUCCUCGCAGUUUAGUUCAGCCCCGGGACAGUAGUAGGUCCUGUCUACCAAGCGCUGGACAUGUUUGCUUGAACGGAAACAAGCUGUCAAUAGAAAUUAGUUGUCAACUAUUUUUGAAUAAACAAUAUCGAAGACAUAAACGUGGUUGAGUAACUCACAUAAUGGUAUAACUGGAGGCAUCUGCACAUCGACCCAGAUGUCGAUAUUACCUUUAAUAUCAUCUUCCGGACGAAUAUCAAAUGUGGUAACCAUAUCAGGCUCAAAUGCAUAAGUCUUGCAUAGUGCUUGCCAAGUUUUGCAUCCAAAAUAGGUGUAGUUGUCUGCAUUGUAUAAUUUUGCGUGGAAAAUACAACCAUGCUCGGUCUUCAAGUAAACUCUCUUUACCUCGAUAGUAGUUUUCAUACGACUGAAACCUAUCUUAUCCAAGACAAAAACUCUUGCAUGGCAGGGGAUACGCUAGUAGAAUAGUAAAAAAUUAAAUUAUAAGUUGAAGCAAAUGAAGAAGAUGUCAUGCUAAAUUACGAAAAAAGACUUGUCAUUGUGACUUACUGUAUCCACUUCGAAGUUCUGGUCCAGCAUGAUGCUGAAGCGCCUAUCAUCCUCUAGGAAGAUUCUAUCGCACAGGCCGCGCUCGUCUUCGCAGUAUUUGCAAAUACCGAAAUCCUUUUCGUCGUCAGACAUUUCUUAUGUUCAUAGUUGAAACAUUAAUUGAAAAUCGAUCCAAGACAACUAGCAGGAUACUCAACACACAAAUCCGGGGCACUCGAUAUUUCCUACAUAUUCUGGCACAAGUCAUGCCAAAAUUCACGGAAAAAUCCGGCAUGACCUUUGCUAAAAUAGGACAUAUCGAGCGCUUGAAAUUUGGCGGAACGGAAAUGAAUCAGCACUCCGGCAAAACAUAGGCCUCUCAGAGGUGUAACCUGCAAACAUGACCGGCCACUUGGUCAAGCACAUAUCCUAUUUGAGCAACAAAAGAUAUACAUUUCGGAAUAUCUUAUAGGACUCAUAUUGACAUGAGCAUUCAAUAAGCAAAACCAAAUCGUAAAAUAAAUAAGUAUUCAAAUUAGCAUGCAUUCAAUAAGCAAAAGUAAAUCAUCUCUUCCGUCCGUACAUCGUCGAAUAUUAUCGCUAAUACAUCCCGAAUAGUAUCAUACAUAUAACAUCACUAAUACAACUAAAACCCUAGCGAACGACGGGUAUCAGCGUGGGCGGUGGCACCCAAAGAAAAGGAACCAUCACAGAAUGAUAGCUCCACUGAGAUCCCUGGAGAACCUGCCAGGUAUUGGAGAACCUGUGCUCCAGCGCAACCAAGUAGCGACGGACAUGCGCCUCCUCCUCGCUGACACGGUGACAUACCACCUCCGCGGGGUCCUCAAGCCUCCCGACCGUCACUGGCCCACGCGACUGUUGGAAAUAUGCCCUAGAGGCAAUAAUAAAUGGUUAUUAUUAUAUUUCUGUGUUCAUGAUAAUAGUCUAUUAUUCAUGCUAUAAUUGUAUUGUCCGGAAAUCGUAAUACAUGUGUGAAUACAUAGACCACAACGUGUCCCUAGUAAGCCUCUAGUUGACUAGCUCGUUGAUCAACAGAUAGUCAUGGUUUCCUGACUAUGGACAUUGGAUGUCAUUGAUAACGGGAUCACAUCAUUAGGAGAAUGAUGUGAUGGACAAACCCAAUCCUAAGCAUAGCAUAAAAGAUCAUGUAGUUUCGUUUGCUAGAGCUUUUCCAAUGUCAAGUAUCUUUUCCUUAGACCAUGAGAUCGUGCAACUCCCGGAUACCGUAGGAGUGCUUUGGGUGUGCCAAAUGUCACAACGUAACUGGGUGACUAUAAAGGUGCAUUACGGGUAUCUCCGAAAGUGUCUGUUGGGUUGGCACGGAUCGAGACUGGGAUUUGUCACUCCGUGUGACGGAGAGGUAUCUCUGGGCCCACUCGGUAAUGCAUCAUCAUAAUGAGCUCAAUGUGACUAAGGCGUUAGUCACGGGAUCAUGCAUUGCGGUACGAGUAAAGAGACUUGCCGGUAACGAGAUUGAACAAGGUAUUGGGAUACCGACGAUCGAAUCUCGGGCAAGUAACAUACCGUUUGACAAAGGGAAUUGCAUACGGAUUGAUUGAAUCCUCGACACCGUGGUUCAUCCGAUGAGAUCAUCGUGGAGCAUGUGGGAGCCAACAUGGGUAUCCAGAUCCCGCUGUUGGUUAUUGACCGGAGAGGCGUCUCGGUCAUGUCUGCAUGUCUCCCGAACCCGUAGGGUCUACACACUUAAGGUCCGGUGACGCUAGGGUUGUAGAGAUAUAUGUAUGCGGAAACCCGAAAGUUGUUCGGAGUCCCGGAUGAGAUCCCGGACGUCACGAGAGGUUCCGGAAUGGUCCGGAGGUAAAGAAUUAUAUAUAGGAACUCCAGUUUCGGCCACCGGGAAAGUUUCGGGGGUUACCGGUAUUGUACCGGGACCACCGGAAGGGUCCCGGGGGUCCACCGGGUGGGGCCACCUGUCCCGGAGGGCCCCGUGGGCUGAAAGUGGAAGGGAACCAGCCCCUAGUGGGCUGGGGCGCCCCCCCUUGGGCCUCCCCCCAUGCGCCUAGGGUUGGAAACCCUAGGGGGGGGGAGUUUCCCCCUUGCCUUGGGGGGCAAGGCACCCCUUCCCCCCACUUGGCCGCCGCCCCCCCCCCCUUGAGAUCCCAUCUCUUGGGGCUGGCGCACCCCCCCAGGGGCUUAUAUAAAGGGGGGAGGGAGGGCAGCACACAACAGCCUUGGGCGCCUCCCUCCUCCCUGCUACACCUCUCUCUCUCUCUCGCAGAAGCUCGGCGAAGCCCUGCCGGAGACCCGCUACAUCCACCACCACGCCGUCGUGCUGUUGGAUCCAUCAACCUCUCCUCCCCCCUUGCUGGAUCAAGAAGGAGGAGACGUCGCUGCACCGUACGUGUGUUGAACGCGGAGGUGCCGUCCGUUCGGCACUCGGUCAUCGGUGAUUUGGAUCACGGCGAGUACGACUCCGUCAUCCACGUUCAUUGGAACGCUUCCGCUCGCAAUCUACAAGGGUAUGUAGAUGCACUCCUUUCCCCUCGUUGCUAGUAGACUCCAUAGAUGCAUCUUGGUGAGCGUAGGAAAAUUUUAAAUUAUGCUACGAUUACCAACAGUGGCAUCAUGAGCCAGGUCUAUGCGUAGUUACUAUGCACCAGUAGAACACAAAGUAGUUGUGGGCGUUGAGUUUGCCAAUUCUUCUUGCCGCUACUAGUCUUUUCUUGUUUCGGCGGCAUUGUAGGAUGAAGUGGCCCGGACCGACCUUACACGUAGUCUUACGUGAGACAGGUUCCACCGACAAACAUGCACAAGUUGCAUAAGGUGGCUAGCGGGUGUCUGUCUCUCCUACUUUAGUCGGAACGGAUUCGAUGAAAAGGGUCCUUAUGAAGGGUAAAUAGAAAUUGGCAAAUCAUGUUGUGGUCAUACGUAGGUAAGAAACGUUCUUGCUAGAAACCUACAAACCACGUAAAAACUUGCAACAACAAUUAGAGGACGUCUAACUUGUUUUUGCAGCAAGUGCUAUGUGAUGUGAUAUGGCCAGAAGAUGUGAUGAAUGAUAUAUGUGAUGUAUGAGAUUGAUCAUAUUCUUGUAAUAGGAAUCACGACUUGCAUGUCGAUGAUUAUGACAACCGGCAGGAGCCAUAGGAGUUGUCUUUAUUAUUUUGUAUGACCUGCGUGUCAUUGAAUAACGCCAUGUAAAUUACUUUACUUUAUUGCUAAACGCGUUAGCCAUAGAAGUAGAAGUAAUCGUUGGCGCGACGACUUCAUGAAGACACAAUGAUGGAGAUCAUGGUGUCAUGCCGGUGACAAAGAUGAUCAUGGUGCCCCGAAGAUUGAGAUCAAAGGAGCAUGAUGAUAUUGGCCAUAUCAUGUCACUAUUUGAUUGCAUGUGAUGUUUAUCAUGUUUUUGCAUCUUAUUUGCUUAGAACGACGGUAGCAAGUAGGAUGAUCCCUUAUAAUAAUUUCAAGAAAGUGUUCACCCUAACUGUGCACCGUUGCGAAGGUUCGUCGUUUCGAAGCACCACGUGAUGAUCGGGUGUGAUAGAUUCUUACGUUCGAAUACAACGGGUGUUGACGAGCCUAGCAUGUACAGACAUGGCCUCGGAACACACGCAAUACACUUAGGUUGACUUGACGAGCCUAGCAUGUACAGACAUGGCCUCGGAACACGGAGGACCGAAAGGUCGAGCAUGAGUCGUAUAGAAGAUACGAUCAACAUGGAGAUGUUCACCGAUCUUGACUAGUCCGUCUCACGUGAUGAUCGGACACGGCCUAGUUAAACUCGGAUCAUGUUUCACUUAGAUGACGAGAGGGAUGUCUAUCUGAGUGGGAGUUCAUUAAAUAAUUUGAUUAGAUGAACUCAAUUAUCAUGAACUUAGUCUAAAAUCUUUACACUAUGUAUUGUAGAUCAAAUGGCCAACGUUGUCCUCAAUUUCAACGCGUUCCUAGAGAAAACCAAGCUGAAAGAUGAUGGCAGCAACUAUACGGACUGGGUCCGGAACCUGAGGCUCAUCCUCAUAGUAGCCAAGAAAGAUUAUGUCUUAGAAGCACCGCUAGGUGAUGCACCAAUCCCACAAAACCAAGACGUUAUGAACGCUUGGCAAUCACGUGCUGAUGAUUACUCCCUCGUUCAGUGCGGCAUCCUUUACAGCUUAGAACCGGGUCUCCAAAAGCAUUUUGAGAAACAUGGAGCAUAUGAGAUGUUCGAGGAGCUGAAACUGGUUUUUCAAGCUCAUGCCCGGGUCGAGAGAUAUGAUGUCUCCGACAAGUUCUUCAGCUGUAAGAUGGAGGAGAACAGUUCUGUUAGUGAGCACAUACUCAGAAUGUCUGGGUUGCACAACCGCUUGUCUCAGCUGGGAGUUAAUCUCCCGGAUGACGCGGUCAUUGACAGAAUCCUCCAGUCGCUUCCACCAAGCUACAAGAGCUUUCUGAUGAACUACAAUAUGCAGGGGAUGGAAAAGACCAUUCCCGAGGUAUAUUCAAUGCUGAAAUCAGCGGAAGGGGAGAUCAGAAAAGAACAUCAAGUGUUGAUGGUGAAACCACUAAGUUCAAGAAGGGCAAGGGUAAGAAGAACUUCAAGAAGGACGGCAAGGGAGUUGCCGCGCCCGGUAAACCAGUUACUGGGAAGAAGUCAAAGAAUGGACCCAAGCCCGGGACUGAGUGCUUUUAUUGCAAGGAAAGUGGUCACUGGAAGCGGAACUGCCCCAAAUAUUUAGCGGAUAAGAAGAAGGCCGGCAACACCCAAGGUAUAUGUGAUAUACAAGUAAUUGAUGUGUACCUUACCAGUACUCGUAGUAGCUCCUGGGUAUUUGAUACCGGUGCGGUUGCUCAUGUUUGUAACUCAAAGCAGGAACUACGGAAUAAACGGAGACUGGCAAAGGACGAGGUGACGAUGCGCGUCGGGAAUGGUUCCAAGGUCGAUGUGAUCGCCGUCGGCACGCUACCUCUGCAUCUCCCUACGGGAUUAGUUUUAAACCUCAAUAAUUGUUAUUUAGUGCCAGCUUUGAGCAUGAACAUAGUGUCUGGAUCUCGUUUAAUUCGAGAUGGCUACUCAUUUAAAUCCGAGAAUAAUGGUUGUUCUAUUUAUUUGAGAGAGAUGUUUUAUGGUCAUGCCCCGCUGGUCAAUGGUUUAUUUUUGAUGAAUCUCGAACGUGAUGUUACACAUGUUCAUAGUGUGAAUACCAAGAGAUGUAAAGUUGAUAACGAUAGUCCCACAUACUUGUGGCACUGCCGCCUUGGUCACAUUGGUGUCAAGCGCAUGAAGAAGCUCCAUGCAGAUGGACUUUUGGAGUCUCUUGAUUAUGAAUCAUUUGACACGUGCGAACCAUGCCUCAUGGGUAAGAUGACCAAGACUCCGUUCUCCGGAACAAUGGAGCGAGCAACCAACUUAUUGGAAAUCAUACAUACCGAUGUGUGUGGUCCAAUGAGUGUUGAGGCUCGCGGAGGAUAUCGUUAUGUUCUCACCCUCACUGAUGAUUUAAGUAGAUAUGGAUAUGUCUACCUAAUGAAACACAAGUCUGAAACCUUUGAAAAGUUCAAGGAAUUUCAGAGUGAAGUUGAGAAUCAACGUGACAGAAGAAUAAAAUUCCUACGAUCAGAUCGUGGUGGAGAAUAUUUGAGUCACGAGUUUGGUGCACACUUAAGGAAAUGUGGAAUAGUUUCACAACUCACGCCGCCUGGAACACCUCAGAGAAAUUGUGUGUCCGAACGUCGUAAUCGCACUCUAUUGGAUAUGGUGCGAUCUAUGAUGUCUCUUACCGAUUUACCGCUCUCAUUUUGGGGCUAUGCUUUAGAGACUGCCGCAUUCACUUUAAAUAGGGCACCGUCUAAAUCCGUUGAGAUGACACCGUAUGAAUUAUGGUUUGGGAAGAAACCUAAGCUGUCGUUUCUAAAAGUUUGGGGAUGCGAUGCUUAUGUCAAGAAACUUCAACCUGAAAAGCUUGAACCCAAGUCGGAAAAAUGCGUCUUCAUAGGAUACCCUAAGGAAACUAUUGGGUAUACCUUCUACCUCAGAUCCGAAGGCAAAAUCUUCGUUGCCAGGAACGGGUCCUUUCUGGAGAAGGAGUUUCUCUCGAAAGAAUUGAGUGGGAGGAAAGUGGAACUUGAUGAGGUGAUAGUCACCCCUUCCGAACCGGAAAGUAGCGCAGCGCGGGAAAAUGUUCCUGUGGUGCCUACACCGACUGGAGAGGAAGUUAAUGAUGAUGAUCAUGAAGCUUCGGAUCAAGUUGCCACUGAACUUCGUAGGUCCACAAGGACACGUUCCGCACCAGAGUGGUACGGCAACCCUGUCCUGGAAAUCAUGUUGUUAGACAACGGUGAACCUUCGAACUAUGAAGAAGCGAUGGCGGGCCCGGAUUCCGACAAAUGGCUAGAAGCCAUGAAAUCCGAGAUAGAAUCCAUGUAUGAAAACAAAGUAUGGACUUUGACUGACUUGCCCGAUGAGCGGCGAGCCAUAGAAAACAAAUGGAUCUUUAAGAAGAAGACGGACGCGGAUGGUAAUGUGACCAUCUACAAAGCUCGACUUGUCGCUAAGGGUUAUCGACAAGUUCAAGGGGUUGACUACGAUGAGACAUUCUCACCCGUAGUGAAGCUGAAGUCCGUCCGAAUCAUGUUAGCAAUUGCCGCAUACUAUGAUUAUGUGAUAUGGCAGAUGGACGUCAAAACAGCAUUCCUUAAUGGCUUCCUUAAGGAAGAGUUGUAUAUGAUGCAGCCGGAAGGUUUUGUCGAUCCUAAUGCUAACAAAGUGUGCAAGCUCCAGCGCUCAAUCUAUGGGCUGGUGCAAGCAUCUCGGAGUUGGAACAUUCGCUUUGAUGAGAUGAUCAAAGCGUUUGGGUUUACACAGACUUAUGGAGAAGCCUGUGUUUACAAGAAAGUGAGUGGGAGCUCCGUAGCAUUUCUCAUAUUAUAUGUGGAUGACAUACUAUUGAUGGGAAAUGAUAUAGAAUUCUUGGAAAGUAUAAAGGCCUAUUUGAAUAAGUGUUUUUGAAUGAAGGACCUUGGAGAAGCUGCUUAUAUAUUAGGCAUCAAGAUCUAUAGAGAUAGAUCAAGACGCCUCAUUGGUCUUUCACAGAGUACAUACCUUGACAAGAUAUUGAAGAAGUUCAGUAUGGAUCAGUCCAAGAAGGGGUUCUUGCCUGUAUUGCAAGGUGUGCAAUUGAGCACGGCUCAAUGCCCGACCACGGCAGAAGAUAUAGAAGAGAUGAGUGUCAUCCCCUAUGCCUCGGCCAUAGGGUCUAUUAUGUAUGCCAUGCUGUGUACCAGACCUGAUGUAAACCUUGCCGUAAGUUUGGUAGGAAGGUACCAAAGUAAUCCCGGCAAGGAACACUGGACAGCGGUCAAGAAUAUCCUGAAGUACCUGAAGAGGACUAAGGAUAUGUUUCUCGUUUAUGGAGGUGACGAAGAGCUCGUCGUAAAGGGUUACGUCGACGCUAGCUUCGACACAGAUCUGGAUGACUCGAAGUCACAGACCGGAUACGUGUAUAUUUUGAAUAGAGGAGCAGUAAGCUGGUGCAGUUGCAAGCAAAGCGUCGUGGCGGGAUCUACAUGUGAAGCGGAGUACAUGGCAGCCUCGGAGGCAGCACAGGAAGCAGUCUGGAUGAAGGAGUUCAUUACCGACCUAGGGGUGAUUCCCAAUGCGUGGGGCCCGAUGACUCUCUUCUGUGACAACAUUGGAGCUAUUGCCCUUGCGAAGGAGCCCAGGUUUCACAGAAAGACCAGGCAUAUCAAGCGUCGCUUCAACUCCAUUCGUGAAAGUGUUCAAAAUGGAGACAUAGAUAUUUGUAAAGUACACACGGACCUGAAUGUAGCAGAUCCGUUGACUAAACCUCUCCCUAGGGCAAAACAUGAUCAACACCAGGACGCAAUGGGUGUUCGAUUCAUCACAAUGUAACUAUAUUAUUGACUCUGGUGCAAGUGGGAGACUGUUGGAAAUAUGCCCUAGAGGCAAUAAUAAAUGGUUAUUAUUAUAUUUCUGUGUUCAUGAUAAUAGUCUAUUAUUCAUGCUAUAAUUGUAUUGUCCGGAAAUCGUAAUACAUGUGUGAAUACAUAGACCACAACGUGUCCCUAGUAAGCCUCUAGUUGACUAGCUCGUUGAUCAACAGAUAGUCAUGGUUUCCUGACUAUGGACAUUGGAUGUCAUUGAUAACGGGAUCACAUCAUUAGGAGAAUGAUGUGAUGGACAAACCCAAUCCUAAGCAUAGCAUAAAAGAUCGUGUAGUUUCGUUUGCUAGAGCUUUUCCAAUGUCAAGUAUCUUUUCCUUAGACCAUGAGAUCGUGCAACUCCCGGAUACCGUAGGAGUGCUUUGGGUGUGCCAAAUGUCACAACGUAACUGGGUGACUAUAAAGGUGCAUUACGGGUAUCUCCGAAAGUGUCUGUUGGGUUGGCACGGAUCGAGACUGGGAUUUGUCACUCCGUGUGACGGAGAGGUAUCUCUGGGCCCACUCGAUAAUGCAUCAUCAUAAUGAGCUCAAUGUGACUAAGGCGUUAGUCACGGGAUCAUGCAUUGCGGUACGAGUAAAGAGACUUGCCGGUAACGAGAUUGAGCAAGGUAUUGGGAUACCGACGAUCGAAUCUCGGGCAAGUAACAUACCGUUUGACAAAGGGAAUUGCAUACGGAUUGAUUGAAUCCUCGACACCGUGGUUCAUCCGAUGAGAUCAUCGUGGAGCAUGUGGGAGCCAACAUGGGUAUCCAGAUCCCGCUGUUGGUUAUUGACCGGAGAGGCGUCUCGGUCAUGUCUGCAUGUCUCCCGAACCCGUAGGGUCUACACACUUAAGGUCCGGUGACGCUAGGGUUGUAGAGAUAUAUGUAUGCAGAAACCCGAAAGUUGUUCGGAGUCCCGGAUGAGAUCCCGGACGUCACGAGAGGUUCCGGAAUUGUCCGGAGGCAAAGAAUUAUAUAUAGGAAGUCCAGUUUCGGCGACCGGGAAAGUUUCGGGGGUUACCGGUAUUGUACCGGGACCACCAGAAGGGUCCCGGGGGUCCACCGGUGGGGCCACCUGUCCCGGAGGGCCCUGUGGGCUGAAAGUGGAAGGGAACCAGCCCCUAGUAGGCUGGGGCGCCCCCCCUUGGGCAUCCCCCCAUGCGCCUAGGGUUGGAAACCCUAGGGGGGGGAGUUUCCCCCUUGCCUUGGGGGGCAAGGCACCCCUUCCCCCCACUUGGCCGCCGCCCCCCCUUGAGAUCCCAUCUCUUGGAGCUGGCGCACCCCCCCAGGGGCUUAUAUAAAGGGGGGGGGAGGGAGGGCAGCACACAAUAGCCUUGGGCGCCUCCGUCCUCCCUGCUACACCUCUCUCUCUCUCUCGCAGAAGCUCGGCGAAGCCCUGCCGGAGACCCGCUACAUCCACCACCACGCCGUCGUGCUGUUGGAUCUCCAUCAACCUCUCCUCCCCCCUUGCUGGAUCAAGAAGGAGGAGACAUCGCUGCACCGUACGUGUGUUGAACGCGGAGGUGCCGUCCGUUCGGCACUCGGUCAUCGGUGAUUUGGAUCACGACGAGUACGACUCCGUCAUCCACGUUCAUUGGAACGCUUCCGCUCGCGAUCUACAAGGGUAUGUAGAUGCACUCCUUUCCCCUCGUUGCUAGUAGACUCCAUAGAUGCAUCUUGGUGAGCGUAGGAAAAUUUUAAAUUAUGCUACGAUUACCAACAGCGACCGCCACCAAAGAAGGUUCGGGUCAACGACGGGUUGACUCCUCACCAAGCUGCGCCCCCCGGUAGGUAGCGCCUCCCAGUACCAGCCCGGCGGAGCCUAGUCCCGGACAUGGCCCAUCUGUCAAGCGGGCGUCCUCCACCGAGUCGACGACGAGGAUGCGGGAUAGGCAUUGUCGAUGUCGAUGCAGGAAAAAUUGCUUUAACUAAAAAAAUAACAACAAAUGUGACAUGUUCAACUAGUUCUAUUAAUUCAACUAGUUCUUACUAAAAAACUUACUAUAAAUAAAAAUAAACUAGUACCUAAGUAGUACCUUGUUCUUACUAACUAAUUAGUACCUAGGAACUACUGCCCUAAUUACCAUCUAAUUUGAUGAACCUAGAGUGGAAAGUGGUAGUGGAUAUUCCAAUUAUCCAACUUAAGAGUAAAAUAAGUGGUCAAAUUUUACUCGUUUUAUUAUGCAUUACAAUAGUGUUUAUUCAUCAUCUAAGAAAACAACAUCUCAGAAAACAUCCGAGCCGCAUCCGUAUCCGAUAGCAUCCGCAUCCGAUUCGUUUCCACCCAUAGUUGAACCCUAACUAAUUUGAUGCAACUAAAAUUUGAAGAACCCUAGGCAGAGGUAGGGGAGGGGGAGCAGCAGGCGUGCUCACCUCGGGUGCUUGCGGCGAGGGAGGGGCAGGCGGCGUCGAGGUCGGGGUCGGGGCUCGGGCGCGCGGCGGAGGGCGGCGUCGAGGUCGGAGUCGGGGGCGGCGUCGAGGUCGGGGUCGGGAGCGGCGUCGAAUCCGGGGUCGGGCGCGGCGUCGAGGGUGUGCGGAGAGCGACGGGAGAGCACGCGGCGGCCGACGGGCGACGGCAGCGGCGACAGCGGAGGAGUUGGAUUUGGGGGAAGUGGCCGUGGGGAAGAACGAACCGCGCGGUUAAGUCAGAAGUAGCAGUAGCGCGUUCUAGGAAGUGCGCUACUGCUAAGCUAGCUACAACACGUUCCUCGAUACGCGCUACUGCUAUUCCUUUCUCUUUUUCCCCCUUUUUCAUUUAUUUUUCUUUACAUUUAUUUUUUUCCUUUCACCUUUUUGUAUUUCUUUCAUUUUCAUUUAUUUUUCUAUUUGCUUUCCAUUUAAUUUUAUUUCCUUUAGCACUAGCGCCUUUCAGCAUGAACGCGCUGCUACAAAGCAAGUAGCGGUAGCGCGGUUCGACGUAGAUCGCUACUACUAUGUGUAGCCUAUCGGCUAAGCCAUGGGAAUUUUAGUAAUAACGCUUUUAUCUUCAGGCGCGCUACUGCUACAACUGUAUCUGUAGCGCCGUUUACAUCAGCGCGCUAUUGCUACUUAGCAUCAGCGUGCUUUUUUAACACGCACUACUGCUAAAGCACUGUGUAUAAGGUUUUCCCUAGUAGUGCUAUCCUGAUCAGGUAGGACGACAUAAGCCUUGUGAAUCUGUUGUUGUUAUGGUACCGUGUCCCCGUUUGGGACUGUUUAUUUGCCACGACGGUUGUAGUUUUGCCUUUGGUAGGCUGGGUCACCCAGGACUAAGCCCAGUGGGGAGUUGGUCGGAGUGGCCGGGAAAGUGUCAUGGCAGUGGAUCGGUUUGGUCGGAACGCCGUUGGUCCACCCGAAUGGGAGUGCGAGGCCAUGGGUUUUGUUGCCGCUACCUCUGCAGAGAGUGUGUGUGUGUGUUAAAUCUAUCAAUGGCCGCGCCCGCGGAUAAGGGCCCAGUUCGUGUCGGUCACACUAUGGGUCAACAGUAAUAAUAAUAACUUGAUUAAUAACAACCCUGGUUCGAUGAUGAGAAAGAGAUUGGUUGUGAUCGUGAGAUGAUCACCGUGGUAUCGAGGAUACUGAGUUGAUGGAUAUUUGGUUGUGAUCGUGAGAUGAUCACCGUGGUACUGAGGAUACCGAGUUGUUGGAUAUUCGUGAUGUUGUGCUAGAAUCGUGGGUAAAAAUCAAGCACCUUGUGGUCAUGUAAUGAUCACUACAGUAUUGUUUAUACCAAGCUUAAUUUGAUCCUGAGAUGAUCGUGUGAUGUCCGAGGCUGGUAAGUGAUGCAUGUGAUGAUUACGAGGUAACCACGAGCAGAGUAAGUUGGUGCAUGAUACUAUCAUCAUGUUGCAUGCUAGUAGUGUCAGAUUCCCUCGGUGGGACCGAAACGUUACGAAAAGGAAACAGAGAGUUUGCAUUGCAAUCUCGGUGGGACCGAUCGCUCAUCUCGGUUUGACCGAAACGUUACGAUGGGAAACAGAGAGUUUGCAACCCCAUCUCGGUGAGACCGAGAUCCCUAUCGGUGAGACCGAAUUGAUUAGGGUUUCUGGCAGUGGCUAUGUCAACUGAACUCGGUGGCUCCGGAUGUGAAACUUCGGUGGGGCCGAGUUGGACUUUUUUGGUUUAGGACAUAUGUGGAUAUGAGAAAGUAGUGGAGGGUUUUGGAGCAUAUCACUAAGCAUUUUGAUCAAGAAUCUCAUUAAGCAACACCUCAUCCCUUCUUAAUAGUAUUGACUUUUCCUAUAGACUCAAUGUGAUCUUGGAUCAGUAAAAUAGAAAAUGUAGAGUCUUGUGCUUUGAGCUUGAGCCAAUCUUUUGUCCUUAGCAUUUUGAAGGGUCCACUUUCUAGUCCAUGCCAUGCCAAACAUUGAGCUUUCCUGAAAUAUUUAUCUUGGAAUAGCAUUAGCUCAAUGAGCUAUAUGUUGUUAGGAAUUACCAAAACCACCCAGGGAUAUAGUUGCACUUUCAGGGGCCAGUCUACGGGCACGGGUGUGGGAGCCGGCCAUCUAAUGCUGCCCGCAUACAUUUCAACAACUUUUCGAACUAACUGGACGAAAAUCAGGCAAACAUGGCGGAUUUCAUAUAAAUCAAACAAAGUUCAUUUAAACUAGGAUAAUUUUCAUAAAACCGGGUGAUAUUUCGUGUGGUGAACCAAAGACCUUAAAACAAAAACCCUAAACUACUCUAUACUUGACGAUGACCUCAUAGGCCAUGCCGAGCAAAUCGACGGCUCCUCCUCCGUCAUCGUCGCCCGAUUUGGCGUUGGAGUCGUCGUCGGGCUUCGGGCGACGGAAGGUGGCGGCGUCGCGGUAGGGCUUCCCGGCAGUCGCGUGACAUUUGUGGAUGAUCCUCUCCGCUUAUUCCUCCACCAUGUGNNNNNNNNNNNNNNNNNNNNNNNNNNNNNNNNNNNNNNNNNNNNNNNNNNNNNNNNNNNNNNNNNNNNNNNNNNNNNNNNNNNNNNNNNNNNNNNNNNNNNNNNNNNNNNNNNNNNNNNNNNNNNNNNNNNNNNNNNNNNNNNNNNNNNNNNNNNNNNNNNNNNNNNNNNNNNNNNNNNNNNNNNNNNNNNNNNNNNNNNNNNNNNNNNNNNNNNNNNNNNNNNNNNNNNNNNNNNNNNNNNNNNNNNNNNNNNNNNNNNNNGCCAUCUAUUCGAGAGACCACUCCUCGCCGUACUUGGCCAUCUCCCUGCCAAAUCUUCUCUCAUGCAUGUUGGCGGACAAUCUUCGUUUAUGCUCCGUUUUGCAUCAUCGAUGCUUACAGUCUAAUUCCUCGCUAAUUGUUUCAAAGGAAGUGGAAGAACUAUUGAUGUUUUUUUUGGACUAGUGAAUGCCUAAUUAUAUGUGUUAAAGAUCAAUAGUCGAAUCUUUAUCUCACCGCUUCAUUCAGAUGGAUUGAAGGCAACUGCUAUUGGUGAUGAUGAUUGUGCCUCAGGGUCUGCUAAAAGGAAGAGAAAGAACUAGUUCAGGGGGAUCCGCCGCCGCCCUUGCGGUAAAUGGGCUGCUGAAAUAAGAGAUCCUCGCAAGGGUGUACGUGUCUGGCUUGGCACUUACAACUCCGCCGAGGAAGCUGCAAGAGCCUAUGAUGUUGAAGCCCGCAGAAUUCGUGGCAAGAAGGCAAAGGUCAAUUUCCCAGAAGAAGCUCCUAUGGCUCCUCAGCAACGCUGCGCUACCUCUGUGAAGGUGCCCGAGUUCAACACCGAACAGAAGCCGGUACUCAACACCAUGGGCAACGCAGAUGUGUAUUCCUGCCCUGCUAUUGACUACACCUUAAAUCAGCAAUUUGUGUAGCCUCAGAACAUGUCGUUUGUGCCUACAAUGAAUGCAGUUGAGGCCCCUUUCAUGAAUUUUUCCUCUGACCAGGGGAGCAACUCCUUCAGUUGCUCAGACUUCAGCUGGAAGAAUGAUAUCAAGACCCCUGGCAUAACAUCUGUGCUUGCAUCCAUUCCCACCUCAACAGAGGUCAAUGAAUCUGCAUUUCUCCAGAACAAUGGCAUUAAUUCAACAGUACCUCCUGUGAUGGGUGAUGCUAUUGUUGAUCUUGCCGACUUGGAGCCAUACAUGAAGUUCCUGAUGGACGAUGGUUCAGAACAGUCAAUUGACAGCAUUCUAAGCUGUGAUGUACCCCAGGACGUGGUCGGCAACAUGG